rnacentral:lncRNA from 1 species
UUUUUUUUUUUUUUCGUUGAGCUUUUUCUUUAGGGUCCCUUAGAUGUCUUUUCUUAAUUUGAUGUUUUGUGCCUGAUCUUUAAUUUUCUCUCUCCUCAUCAUCUUGGCUAUGAGCUUGCACAUGCUUUUUUCCAGCGACUCCAUGGUGGUGUUUGAUUUGUGGUUCCCCAUAGUGUGCUGUAUUUGUAUUGGUCAGUAUGCUAAAUUUUAAGUGAGUUGCCGUUUGAAGUAAUCAAAUCUUCUCAGUGAUCUUAGUUGGUUAUGUUGGUGAGUUGGCAUGGUAUAAUUCCUCUAUUUGUGGCAUUACCCAGUUUAAGGAGCUUGCUAUUUGUAUGGGUUUCUCUUGCUGCAAAGAUGAGAAUGCUUUUUAUUGGAGGAUGUCCAAGCAAGAAUGAGUGUUCAGGGGGUUGUCUUGCCUCUUCCAAUAUUGGUUCUCUUUGUAUCAAGUAGUGAGAGUGUUGUUAUAACUUUGAGAUCUUUCCUUGACAGGUUUCCUUGAUUGCAGUGUUAAAUUGUGGAGCAUAAUGAAAUCAAUUGGAUAAUACUGAUCUUGGAAGUAUUCUCUUCUUCUUCUCCUGCCCUUUUGUGUUUUUUUCUUUUUUUUCCGUUGAGCUUUUUCUUUGGGGUCCCUUAGUUGUCUUUUCUUAAUUUGAUGUUUUGUGCCUGAUCUUUAAUUUUCUCUCUCCUCAUCAUCUUGGCUAUGAGCUUACACAUGCUUUUUUCCAGCGACUCCAUGUUGGUGUUUGAUUUGUGGUUCCCCAUAGUGUGCUGUAUUUGUAUUGGUCGGUAUGCUAAAUUUUGUAUUUUACUUAAACUGCUUUGAAUUGUACCCAUGAGUUGCCGUUUGAAGUAAUCAAAUCUUCUCAGUGAUCUUAGUAGGUUAUGUUGGUGAAUUGGUAUGGUAUAAUUCCUCUAUUUGUGGCAUCACCCAGUUUAAGGAGCUUGCUAUUUGUAUGGGUUUCUCUUGCUGCAAAGAUGAGAAUGCUUUUUGUUGGAGGAUGUCAAAGCAAGAAUGAGUGUUCAGGGGGUUGUCUUGCCUCUUCCAAUAUUGGUUCUUUCUUUGUAUCAAGUAGUGAGAGUGUUGUUAUAACUUUGAGAUCUUUCCUUGACAGGUUUCCUUGAUUACAGUGUUAAAUUGUGGAGCAUAAUGAAAUCAAUUGGAUGAUACUGAUCUUGGAAGUAUUCUCUUCUUCUCCUGCUCUUUUGUGUUUUUUUCUUUUUUUUCCAUUGAGCUUUUUCUUAGGGGUCCCUUAGUUGUCUUUUCUUAAUUUGAUGUUUUGUGCCUGAUCUUUAAUUUUCUGUCUCCUCAUCAUCUUGGCUAUGAGCUUGCACAUGCUUUUUUCCAGCGACUCCAUGGUGGUGUUUGAUUUGUGGUUCCCCAUAAUGUGCUGUAUUUGUAUUGGCUGGUAUGCUAAAUUUUGUAUUUUACUUAAACUGCUUUGAAUUGUACCCAUGAGUUGCCGUUUGAAGUAAUCAGAUCUUCUCAGUGAUCUUAGUUGGUUAUGUUGGUNNNNNNNNNNNNNNNNNNNNNNNNNNNNNNNNNNNNNNNNNNNNNNNNNNNNNNNNNNNNNNNNNNNNNNNNNNNNNNNNNNNNNNNNNNNNNNNNNNNNNNNNNNNNNNNNNNNNNNNNNNNNNNNNNNNNNNNNNNNNNNNNNNNNNNNNNNNNNNNNNNNNNNNNNNNNNNNNNNNNNNNNNNNNNNNNNNNNNNNNNNNNNNNNNNNNNNNNNNNNNNNNNNNNNNNNNNNNNNNNNNNNNNNNNNNNNNNNNNNNNNNNNNNNNNNNNNNNNNNNNNNNNNNNNNNNNNNNNNNNNNNNNNNNNNNNNNNNNNNNNNNNNNNNNNNNNNNNNNNNNNNNNNNNNNNNNNNNNNNNNNNNNNNNNNNNNNNNNNNNNNNNNNNNNNNNNNNNNNNNNNNNNNNNNNNNNNNNNNNNNNNNNNNNNNNNNNNNNNNNNNNNNNNNNNNNNNNNNNNNNNNNNNNNNNNNNNNNNNNNNNNNNNNNNNNNNNNNNNNNNNNNNNNNNNNNNNNNNNNNNNNNNNNNNNNNNNNNNNNNNNNNNNNNNNNNNNNNNNNNNNNNNNNNNNNNNNNNNNNNNNNNNNNNNNNNNNNNNNNNNNNNNNNNNNNNNNNNNNNNNNNNNNNNNNNNNNNNNNNNNNNNNNNNNNNNNNNNNNNNNNNNNNNNNNNNNNNNNNNNNNNNNNNNNNNNNNNNNNNNNNNNNNNNNNNNNNNNNNNNNNNNNNNNNNNNNNNNNNNNNNNNNNNNNNNNNNNNNNNNNNNNNNNNNNNNNNNNNNNNNNNNNNNNNNNNNNNNNNNNNNNNNNNNNNNNNNNNNNNNNNNNNNNNNNNNNNNNNNNNNNNNNNNNNNNNNNNNNNNNNNNNNNNNNNNNNNNNNNNNNNNNNNNNNNNNNNNNNNNNNNNNNNNNNNNNNNNNNNNNNNNNNNNNNNNNNNNNNNNNNNNNNNNNNNNNNNNNNNNNNNNNNNNNNNNNNNNNNNNNNNNNNNNNNNNNNNNNNNNNGAUAGGCAAGAAGGAGGAGAGGCUGACACAUCUGACACCUCUGUGCCAGGUAUGCUCAUGAUUGAGUGAUCUGAUAUGUGUUUGUAUGAACUAAAGUAGGCUAUCAGUUAUGUGAUAAAAGUAAGUAAGAUCGAGCAGAAAAGAAUACAUAAGAGUAGGAAUAAGGUCAGAAAGAGGUUAGAGCCAGUCUGAGAUUGGGUGGUAGUUGAGGCAGAGAAAAGGGUUAGUCUUUUCUGGAAAGAUUCCCGAGGGAAGUUCCAUUAGUUUGAGUUUGGAUCUUCACCCUGACGUAAUAGGAGACUAACACAUCGAAUACGAUGACGUUAGGUACGGUCAUUUGUAAGUAUUCGGAUGUGUAUGCUGUUUGUGUUGGACCCCAGUGUUUCGCUUUCCUUGUUGUUGUGAGCUGUUGGUAGGGUUUGAUGACUUCUGGGCUUAGAGUGUGUUUCUUGGGUCAGUGGACCUAAGUGUCUGAUCCAUCUGAAGCAGAGUCAGUCAGUUUAGUUUAGAGUUUGUGGUGAGUAGAUGCAAUCCAGCUGACCUGAUGGUUCUAGAGUUGACUGUGUCAUUCUAGGGCGGAUUGGCUAGUUACUCACAGUACUACCUGUGUCCGUAGCGACAAGGUAGGAGAGUUCAGGGUAUCGGAUGGAUCGGUGGUAGUCCUUUAGAAGGACAGUGUAUAGAGGUGCCUCGAAGUUGAUGUCAGCCCUACAGGCUCACAGUUAUUCAGGAAAGGUUAUCAGAGGGUUGUUUUAACUCGUGUGAGUACGUAUGUCAGGAUAGGGAAUCAGCCUCAGUGCCAGUGCUAGUGGGUACGAGUAGCCUGUCAGGUUUACCAUCUGGUAGGAAAUUUGAGAUGGGAGUGAAAAUGGUAUCUGGACGCAGAACCAAUUCGUUCUUGCCUUUUCCUACAGAAUGGCACCUGCAGAGAGAGCUAAGAGUUAUCAGAAUAGUGGAAAGUUGGGGUAGAUAAGGUUUUAUCUGACUUAGUACUUCACCCUGGAAUGUUUCCAGUGUUGUUGUGGGAAACGAAGGAUGAUUCCUUAAGUGUUGAUUGUUACAGAUUCGUAUUCCUAGUGAGAGUUGCACAAAGAGAGUCGUUUAGUGAAGAAGAAAGGUAAAGAGUAAGGAUCAGAGUAGCGCAGCGAAAGCUGUGGAGUUCAGAAAAAAGCGUAGAAUACUAAUUCUGGAGUAUGGACUCAGAUCAGGAAGUAGAGUUUCAGAAAUGCUUUUGGUACAGAGCAGCAGUGUUAGGCUUUACUUGCCUGUUAUUUGUUUGUUUUGUGUUUACAUUCGAGGACGAAUGUUGUUAUAAGGGGGGUAGAUUGUAAUACCCGGCUCGUUCAGGCAUCGGACUUCCUUCCGUCAGGUGGAAUCUCGGAUGUCGGAUUCGUUUUGAGGGGUAUUGCAAGGGUAACCUAAAGGUUUUACAAGGUUUUAGCAAGGUUAUGUUUUAAGUGUUUUCCGGUUUNNNNNNNNNNNNNNNNNNNNNNNNNNNNNNNNNNNNNNNNNNNNNNNNNNNNNNNNNNNNNNNNNNNNNNNNNNNNNNNNNNNNNNNNNNNNNNNNNNNNNNNNNNNNNNNNNNNNNNNNNNNNNNNNNNNNNNNNNNNNNNNNNNNNNNNNNNNNNNNNNNNNNNNNNNNNNNNNNNNNNNNNNNNNNNNNNNNNNNNNNNNNNNNNNNNNNNNNNNNNNNNNNNNNNNNNNNNNNNNNNNNNNNNNNNNNNNNNNNNNNNNNNNNNNNNNNNNNNNNNNNNNNNNNNNNNNNNNNNNNNNNNNNNNNNNNNNNNNNNNNNNNNNNNNNNNNNNNNNNNNNNNNNNNNNNNNNNNNNNNNNNNNNNNNNNNNNNNNNNNNNNNNNNNNNNNNNNNNNNNNNNNNNNNNNNNNNNNNNNNNNNNNNNNNNNNNNNNNNNNNNNNNNNNNNNNNNNNNNNNNNNNNNNNNNNNNNNNNNNNNNNNNNNNNNNNNNNNNNNNNNNNNNNNNNNNNNNNNNNNNNNNNNNNNNNNNNNNNNNNNNNNNNNNNNNNNNNNNNNNNNNNNNNNNNNNNNNNNNNNNNNNNNNNNNNNNNNNNNNNNNNNNNNNNNNNNNNNNNNNNNNNNNNNNNNNNNNNNNNNNNNNNNNNNNNNNNNNNNNNNNNNNNNNNNNNNNNNNNNNNNNNNNNNNNNNNNNNNNNNNNNNNNNNNNNNNNNNNNNNNNNNNNNNNNNNNNNNNNNNNNNNNNNNNNNNNNNNNNNNNNNNNNNNNNNNNNNNNNNNNNNNNNNNNNNNNNNNNNNNNNNNNNNNNNNNNNNNNNNNNNNNNNNNNNNNNNNNNNNNNNNNNNNNNNNNNNNNNNNNNNNNNNNNNNNNNNNNNNNNNNNNNNNNNNNNNNNNNNNNNNNNNNNNNNNNNNNNNNNNNNNNNNNNNNNNNNNNNNNNNNNNNNNNNNNNNNNNNNNNNNNNNNNNNNNNNNNNNNNNNNNNNNNNNNNNNNNNNNNNNNNNNNNNNNNNNNNNNNNNNNNNNNNNNNNNNNNNNNNNNNNNNNNNNNNNNNNNNNNNNNNNNNNNNNNNNNNNNNNNNNNNNNNNNNNNNNNNNNNNNNNNNNNNNNNNNNNNNNNNNNNNNNNNNNNNNNNNNNNNNNNNNNNNNNNNNNNNNNNNNNNNNNNNNNNNNNNNNNNNNNNNNNNNNNNNNNNNNNNNNNNNNNNNNNNNNNNNNNNNNNNNNNNNNNNNNNNNNNNNNNNNNNNNNNNNNNNNNNNNNNNNNNNNNNNNNNNNNNNNNNNNNNNNNNNNNNNNNNNNNNNNNNNNNNNNNNNNNNNNNNNNNNNNNNNNNNNNNNNNNNNNNNNNNNNNNNNNNNNNNNNNNNNNNNNNNNNNNNNNNNNNNNNNNNNNNNNNNNNNNNNNNNNNNNNNNNNNNNNNNNNNNNNNNNNNNNNNNNNNNNNNNNNNNNNNNNNNNNNNNNNNNNNNNNNNNNNNNNNNNNNNNNNNNNNNNNNNNNNNNNNNNNNNNNNNNNNNNNNNNNNNNNNNNNNNNNNNNNNNNNNNNNNNNNNNNNNNNNNNNNNNNNNNNNNNNNNNNNNNNNNNNNNNNNNNNNNNNNNNNNNNNNNNNNNNNNNNNNNNNNNNNNNNNNNNNNNNNNNNNNNNNNNNNNNNNNNNNNNNNNNNNNNNNNNNNNNNNNNNNNNNNNNNNNNNNNNNNNNNNNNNNNNNNNNNNNNNNNNNNNNNNNNNNNNNNNNNNNNNNNNNNNNNNNNNNNNNNNNNNNNNNNNNNNNNNNNNNNNNNNNNNNNNNNNNNNNNNNNNNNNNNNNNNNNNNNNNNNNNNNNNNNNNNNNNNNNNNNNNNNNNNNNNNNNNNNNNNNNNNNNNNNNNNNNNNNNNNNNNNNNNNNNNNNNNNNNNNNNNNNNNNNNNNNNNNNNNNNNNNNNNNNNNNNNNNNNNNNNNNNNNNNNNNNNNNNNNNNNNNNNNNNNNNNNNNNNNNNNNNNNNNNNNNNNNNNNNNNNNNNNNNNNNNNNNNNNNNNNNNNNNNNNNNNNNNNNNNNNNNNNNNNNNNNNNNNNNNNNNNNNNNNNNNNNNNNNNNNNNNNNNNNNNNNNNNNNNNNNNNNNNNNNNNNNNNNNNNNNNNNNNNNNNNNNNNNNNNNNNNNNNNNNNNNNNNNNNNNNNNNNNNNNNNNNNNNNNNNNNNNNNNNNNNNNNNNNNNNNNNNNNNNNNNNNNNNNNNNNNNNNNNNNNNNNNNNNNNNNNNNNNNNNNNNNNNNNNNNNNNNNNNNNNNNNNNNNNNNNNNNNNNNNNNNNNNNNNNNNNNNNNNNNNNNNNNNNNNNNNNNNNNNNNNNNNNNNNNNNNNNNNNNNNUGGUAGUUUUAAAGACAAGUUUUAAUAAGGUAUAGUCCAGUCGGAUCAUGUAUGGGAUUUUAACAGGUACACAGAGUUCAUAGCAGGCUUACUACGGGUCCCGGCGGCCUUAAGCCAAUCUGGAUCCUAGUGCCGAGCAGUUUGGGCCGUUACAAAGAGGGUACCGGUUUCCGGGCUGUUACAGAGGAUGGUUCCCUAACCUGACUGUCUAGCUCUCUCACAUAAGCUAGGAACCCCUGACACCCCUUCCUUAACAUCCUACGAGCCUGGAGGGCUGAUAUCAAACCCCUAGGUGUCCCUCUCCUGUCUCCUCUGAAGACACACUCUGACCCAUCCUGGUCUCUGACACUGACUACCUUGUCUCUACAGUUCAGGGUAGCAUCAUACGUAGAUAACCAGUCCAUCCCUAGAAUGACAUCAAAAUCUGUCAACUCUAAAACCACCAGGUCAGCUGGAAGGUAUCUACCCUCUAUGCACACUGGACUGAACCGACAGACUGACUCUGCCAAAGAUGGAUCACAUUUGGGUCCACUGACCCAUAGAGGACACUCUAACUCAGACACCAUCAGACCCAACCUCUCUGCAGCUCUAGAAGAAAUGAAAGAGUGAGAAGCACCGGGGUCCAUUAAAGCAUACACCUCUGAACACCCAAUGAUGAGAUUACCUGACACCACCGUGUUCGAAGUGUCUGACUCCUGCUGAGUCAGGGUGAAAAUUCGUGCUGGGGCUGACGGACCUGCACCUCGGGAACCCAUCCCUGAUGAAGAGGCUGCCCCUCUUCCUCUUCCUCUGCCACUGCUUGGUGGUAUGGCUGAAGCUACUGGCUGUACUACACUGCCCGCACUCAUCUGUUGGGAUGGUGCAACCAAAGUCGCCUGAGGACAUUCCCGUGCAUAAUGUCCCUCCUGUCCACAUCUAUAGCAGGCUGUGGAUCCCAACUGACAAGCUCCUCUAUGCUGUUUGCCACACCUCUUGCACACUGGAAAAUCUGCGCCAGAACUGGAGCCACUACUCAUUCCCAGACCCGACUUAAGCCUGUUCCAGAACUUGCCUCUCUUUCCUCAGAAUUUCUCCCAUCUCUUCUUACUCGCACUUGCCGUACCAGAAGCCUGUGUCUUUGCUUGCUUGACUACUCCCUGACUUAUGGCACUGGCCUCCAUCUUUCUAGCAGCAUCCACAAUAGAGUGGAAACUUUCCUUCUCUGCAUGAAGAAUCAAAGAGAAAUACCUGGGAUGAAGCCUUGUGGCAUAUCUCUUUGCCUUCUUCUGAUCUGUAUCAUAUGCCUGACCGACAUAUGGCAACAAGUCCAGGAACUUAUCUGUAUAUUCAUCAACGCUCAUCUCCUCCGUCUGUCUCAACUGCUCAAACUCCACAACCUUUAGUUCCCUGAAACUGUCAGGAAAAGCCCAUCCAGCAAAUUCGUUGGCGAACUCUUCCCAUGUCAUACACUCCAAUCUCGGGUCCACAUAGUUCUUGAACCAUUCUCUAGCUUUCUUGCACUUUAAAGUGAACCCUACCAUCUCAAUGGCUCUACCGUCAUCUGCUCCCAACUCACUUGUUAUCAUUCUGACUGCACUGAGAUACUCAAAGGGAUCAUCUCCUGUAUUGAAUUUAGGAGCAUCCAACUUUAAGUACUCGGUCAUCUUCACCUUACUUCCCCCUGAAGAACUGGGUUGUUGUGCUUCCACAACAGGGGCUACUGGUUCAGGAGGUGGUGGUGGAGGAACUGGUUCCCUCACUUCAGGCUGUACUGGACUUGGAUGAACAGGUGGGGGUGGAUACAUGUGAUAUGGUGGAUAGAAGGAAGGAUAGGGCAUAUAUGGCAUGUAGGGUGGAUAUGGGGCAAAGCUGGAGUAAUCCGACGUGCCUCCCAUCGGAUACUCUGGGCCCUGAGGAAAGGGUGGAUAGCCAAACUCCGAGGCCUGUGCGCCUCCCUGGGACUCCCCCAUACCUUCUUCUGACCUUCCUACACCCAUGCUUCCAUCUCUACUCUAAUCCUCUUCCAUCCCACCUCUUUCUUCUACUGACCUUCCCCCUCUGCUUACUCCUCUCCUGCUCUCGUCAGAAGACCUUCUAGGGUCUCGUGACGUUCCUUCCCUGCUUGACCUGUGAGAUCUUGCCCUUGGCAAGGCAGGUGGACGAGCAGCUGUACCUUCACUUACAGGUGGGACUCCAGUCAAUCUCGCGGAUCGACGAGUUCCUCGCAUCUUCACUCGCUGGAAAAACAACAAAUCACAUAACACAUAAGCAACACAUCAAAAAAAAAAAUGCACAUGCAGAAAUCAUGGCAUUGCACAUCAGUAUAUAGACAGGACUAACAUCCUAUCCUCGUGGACAUGUUUUUCCUAUGAUGCUUGACCUGCUAAACCUCUCUAUGAGCCCAACUCUCUCUCUAUAGGUCCGACCAUGUGAACCUAGGGCUCUGAUACCAAUCUGUAACAGCCCGGAAACCGAACUGCUACCGGCACUAGGAUCCAGAUCGACUUAAGGUCGCCGGGACCCGUAGUAAGCCUGCUAUGAACUCUGUGUACCUGUGAAAUCCCAUACAUGAUCAAACAUUUUCUGUAAAAAUGAACACUUUUCUCAUACCAAGGCUUACCCUGUGCAAAUACUGUCACGGUACUACAAAACGCCAGCCAGAGCUCUCCUCUAUGCUCAAGGCGGCUCAACUCCUCUAUAUUAAGCCUGGUUCUUCCAUAUAUACAACACAUAUAUGUAAACAUAAACUGAUCAUGUGAAAAGAACAAGGGAUUACAACUCUUAUAGUCAAGCACCAUUCUAUACACUAUACAUAAACCUUAUCUCUUUACAUUUACAUGUCCACACUAGCUAUUACAAUACUCUGUACUCUUCCUGUACCCUGCUGAGUUCUCUCUGACCUCUGAACCUGCACAACUGGAGUUAGGGGAGAGGGAUGAGCUACUAUAGCCCAGUGAGUAGAAUAGUAAUAAAAUCACAAGUGAUAAAACAUGCUCUCAUGGAAUGCAUCACAUCUCAAGUAAGCACAUCACCUCGGCCGGACGGAUCAAAACUCCCUCUAUCUCAUCUGGGGUACCGGAGUACCAUGUGCCUGGCCCCCGUAGGGCUGUUCCAGGUCUUUGUGCCUGGUCCCCGUAGGGCUGUUCCAGGUCUUUCCUCUGAGGGCUAAUGAAUCCUCACGAAGUCCGUGCCGUCUCACAUAAGCAAUGUACAAGGAGCCAUGCCAAGUACAAGGAUAGAUGCAAUGCGUCAUAUUCGUGUACACUAAUGCACUCACCCUANNNNNNNNNNNNNNNNNNNNNNNNNNNNNNNNNNNNNNNNNNNNNNNNNNNNNNNNNNNNNNNNNNNNNNNNNNNNNNNNNNNNNNNNNNNNNNNNNNNNNNNNNNNNNNNNNNNNNNNNNNNNNNNNNNNNNNNNNNNNNNNNNNNNNNNNNNNNNNNNNNNNNNNNNNNNNNNNNNNNNNNNNNNNNNNNNNNNNNNNNNNNNNNNNNNNNNNNNNNNNNNNNNNNNNNNNNNNNNNNNNNNNNNNNNNNNNNNNNNNNNNNNNNNNNNNNNNNNNNNNNNNNNNNNNNNNNNNNNNNNNNNNNNNNNNNNNNNNNNNNNNNNNNNNNNNNNNNNNNNNNNNNNNNNNNNNNNNNNNNNNNNNNNNNNNNNNNNNNNNNNNNNNNNNNNNNNNNNNNNNNNNNNNNNNNNNNNNNNNNNNNNNNNNNNNNNNNNNNNNNNNNNNNNNNNNNNNNNNNNNNNNNNNNNNNNNNNNNNNNNNNNNNNNNNNNNNNNNNNNNNNNNNNNNNNNNNNNNNNNNNNNNNNNNNNNNNNNNNNNNNNNNNNNNNNNNNNNNNNNNNNNNNNNNNNNNNNNNNNNNNNNNNNNNNNNNNNNNNNNNNNNNNNNNNNNNNNNNNNNNNNNNNNNNNNNNNNNNNNNNNNNNNNNNNNNNNNNNNNNNNNNNNNNNNNNNNNNNNNNNNNNNNNNNNNNNNNNNNNNNNNNNNNNNNNNNNNNNNNNNNNNNNNNNNNNNNNNNNNNNNNNNNNNNNNNNNNNNNNNNNNNNNNNNNNNNNNNNNNNNNNNNNNNNNNNNNNNNNNNNNNNNNNNNNNNNNNNNNNNNNNNNNNNNNNNNNNNNNNNNNNNNNNNNNNNNNNNNNNNNNNNNNNNNNNNNNNNNNNNNNNNNNNNNNNNNNNNNNNNNNNNNNNNNNNNNNNNNNNNNNNNNNNNNNNNNNNNNNNNNNNNNNNNNNNNNNNNNNNNNNNNNNNNNNNNNNNNNNNNNNNNNNNNNNNNNNNNNNNNNNNNNNNNNNNNNNNNNNNNNNNNNNNNNNNNNNNNNNNNNNNNNNNNNNNNNNNNNNNNNNNNNNNNNNNNNNNNNNNNNNNNNNNNNNNNNNNNNNNNNNNNNNNNNNNNNNNNNNNNNNNNNNNNNNNNNNNNNNNNNNNNNNNNNNNNNNNNNNNNNNNNNNNNNNNNNNNNNNNNNNNNNNNNNNNNNNNNNNNNNNNNNNNNNNNNNNNNNNNNNNNNNNNNNNNNNNNNNNNNNNNNNNNNNNNNNNNNNNNNNNNNNNNNNNNNNNNNNNNNNNNNNNNNNNNNNNNNNNNNNNNNNNNNNNNNNNNNNNNNNNNNNNNNNNNNNNNNNNNNNNNNNNNNNNNNNNNNNNNNNNNNNNNNNNNNNNNNNNNNNNNNNNNNNNNNNNNNNNNNNNNNNNNNNNNNNNNNNNNNNNNNNNNNNNNNNNNNNNNNNNNNNNNNNNNNNNNNNNNNNNNNNNNNNNNNNNNNNNNNNNNNNNNNNNNNNNNNNNNNNNNNNNNNNNNNNNNNNNNNNNNNNNNNNNNNNNNNNNNNNNNNNNNNNNNNNNNNNNNNNNNNNNNNNNNNNNNNNNNNNNNNNNNNNNNNNNNNNNNNNNNNNNNNNNNNNNNNNNNNNNNNNNNNNNNNNNNNNNNNNNNNNNNNNNNNNNNNNNNNNNNNNNNNNNNNNNNNNNNNNNNNNNNNNNNNNNNNNNNNNNNNNNNNNNNNNNNNNNNNNNNNNNNNNNNNNNNNNNNNNNNNNNNNNNNNNNNNNNNNNNNNNNNNNNNNNNNNNNNNNNNNNNNNNNNNNNNNNNNNNNNNNNNNNNNNNNNNNNNNNNNNNNNNNNNNNNNNNNNNNNNNNNNNNNNNNNNNNNNNNNNNNNNNNNNNNNNNNNNNNNNNNNNNNNNNNNNNNNNNNNNNNNNNNNNNNNNNNNNNNNNNNNNNNNNNNNNNNNNNNNNNNNNNNNNNNNNNNNNNNNNNNNNNNNNNNNNNNNNNNNNNNNNNNNNNNNNNNNNNNNNNNNNNNNNNNNNNNNNNNNNNNNNNNNNNNNNNCUUUCCAUUCCAACAUGCAUAUAACUCAUCCAAAUCAUGCAAAUAUACAUACAUUGGCUCCUAGGGGCUUCAAACUAACUUAAACCCCAACUACAACACACAACAACAACACAUUGCUCAAAAACACAACAUAAACUCAAAAACCUAACUAUGAGCUAAACAUGCAUUCUACCCCAUAGAUCUUGUAUAAAACUUACUUUAAACAUGAAAUGAGCUUAAGAUCGGCUCUUACAUCUUGAAGAUCGAGGGAGAGACGUCCUAAACUCGGAGGUGGGAGAGAUUUGAGUUCUUGAACCUCAAAUCUCCAAAACUUGCUCAAAACUUGAAAAUCUUCAAAACAAGAUGAAAACUUGUUAAAAUCGUGAAAGAUUUGAAGGAAAUAACUCAAGGAUGGUGAGGAACAGCGGAAGGGCUCACCUUGGCCGAAAAUGGGGAGAAAGCUCGCCCAUUUCGGCUAAGGGGCUCUUUUAUAGUGGCUGGCCAGGCCACAUUCGGGAGCCGAACGUGCCUCCGCAUGCAUGCCAUGUUCGGCGGCCGAACCUGGACUUUCCUCAACCUAUGCCUUCGGGGGCCUAAGGCACACCCGAAAUGCCUGCAUGUUCGGCGGCCGAACCUGAGGUUCGGCGGCCGAACCUGGGUUUUCCUCCAAGGUUGUUUUUAUUCAAAAACUCAUUUCCUCUUUACUUAAAACCAUCAAAAACAUUAAAACAUUUCAUGAAAACAUGGUUUUACCCCUUCUAGAGGUCUCCGACAUCCGAGAUUCCACCGGACGGUAGGAAUUCCGAUACCGGAGUCUAGCCGGGUAUUACACAUCAUAUCGACAUUUUCGUCAUCACUUAAUUGUAUUAACCCUUAUUUUAUAAUAGCAUUAUCCAACAUUAGUCGUCUACAAAUAAUUCUUGCAAUCAAUUCCUCACAAGUUAAUAAUCUAAUAACACGAACGAUUUUAAUCACUAAUUCUUCAUAUUUUAAUUUUCUUUCAAUAUAAAAUAUUUUGGAUUUUCCAUCGGCAUAAUCAUACUCCACAUCAAAAUUAAUUAUAUAUCCCCCAAAACACAAUACUAUAGCACUGAAUAGUCAUUUGUCUUCCUAAUUCACCUGCUAAAUAAUUAUAGUUGAAAAAAUUACAAACUAAACAAAUUAAUAUACUAUAUUAAUUAAACAAAUAAAUAAAGACAACCAUUAUAAUUUAAUUUAUCACUACACAAAAUUUUCCAACAAUAUAUAUAAAAAUUUAAGACCUUUAUUUAUAAAUUUUUUUAUUUUUAUCACAUUUUUAAUAAAAUUUAAAAAUUUAGUAUUAUUGAUAAAAAAAUUUACAAUCCUAAUUAUAUUUAAACAUAAUUAUAAAUAAUAAAAAUAUAAGAUAACAAUUAAUAAUAUAUUAUACUUUCUAAAUAAAAAUAACAAAAGAUUUCAUAUAAAAUUAAAUUUUUCAAUUUUUAAAUUUAUUCUUAUAAAAAACUUUUUAACAAUAUAUAUAAAAAUUUAAGUCAUUUAUUCGUAAAUUUUCUAUUUUUAUCACAUUUUAAAUAAAUACUACUAUUGGCGAAAAAUUUACAAUCCUAAUUAUAUUUAAUAUACUUGUAAAUAAUAAAAAUAUAUAUAAAUAAUUAAUAAUAUCUUAUAUUUUUAAAUAAAAACAAUAAAAAUUUCAUAUAAAAUUAAAUAUCUUCAUUUUUUAAAUUUACCGCUAUAUAAAUUUUUAGCUUUUUAAAAUUUAUAUAGCGAUAAAUUUAAAAAAUGAAGAUAUUUAAUUUUAUAUGAAAUUUUUAUUGUUUUUAUUUAAAAAUUUUUAAAAUUUCUAAAAUUAAACUAAUUUAUUUAUAUUUAUUUAUUAUUUAUCUUAUUAUUAUAAAUAAUAAAAAUAUAUUACAAAUAUUAAAAAUCUCUUCUAUUUCUUAAAUAAAGAUAACUAUAAAAUAUUCCUAACUACAAAUCUAAAAUUUAAUUCACUCUACUAAUUUACAUAUAAAUUACAAAUUUCAAGAUAAACAUGAAUUUAUUAAUUAAUUAUAAAUAAUAAAAAAAUACAGCAUAAAUUUAUAAUUAUUUUCUAAUAAUUUACUUAUAUGAAAAUGAUAACAAUUUCACACGUUUAUUAAUAAAUUAUCUCGUUUAAUUAAAUAGAUAAAAUUAUAAAAUAAAUUUAUUUUUAUUAAUUUUUUUCAUUUAUAUCAAUUUUAUUAAAUUUUACGCAAAGAUUUUAUGCAUUUAUCUUUUAAAAUUAAUUAAAUUAAUUGAAAUAUGUAUUUUUAACUAUUGAUUCAAAUUAUACAUUAAUUAACUGAUUCAUAUUGUUUUAUAUAGUUUUUAAUACAAAGAAUAUUAUAUAAUUUCUCAUUCUACUUACUCCCUCCAGCUUACAUGGAACGUGAAAUUAGGCUAUCAAUGUUAAUUCCUAGACAAAGUCGCCAAAACAUUGCUGUUUAUCUAAAAUUUUAUUUAUUUAUUUAUUAUUAUUUUCUGCCUAAGUCAACAACAAACGAUUCCAUACUUGAUGUGGACAAAUUUUUUCUUUUUUUAAAUCCUAUCGUUGCCUUAUGGCCACUCAUUCUAGAAAGAGAGGAACUUCAGUAUAUAUACAUAUAUAUGUAUAUAUUUCAUUAGUAUUGCAUUGAAACUAACAGUGAGCAAUCGCUCAGUUUAUUUAAAAUUAAAUAAAUUAAAAUAAUUAAAAUUAAAUUUGAUUAAAUUUUAAAUAUUGAAAUAAAUUGAUUAGAAAAGUUAAUUAAAUUGAAUUAAAAUUUUAAUUUAAUUGGCUAUUUCAGUCUUAACCAAAUUAUGCUCAUCUCUAAUUGAAGCAAACACUAUAGAGUAAGAUCACAUAUACAAAAAUCAUAGAGUGAGAUUGCAUCCAUAAAAUAUAAUUAUUGAAGAAAAAACUCAAUUCAUAUAUAAAAUCCAGCCCACCUAAAAAAAAAUUACAUUUUCCUCCAUUAAAUAUAACAUAAUUAAUAUAUUUAUCCAUUAUAUUUCGAACUCAACGCUUUACUCUUUAAAAUUUAGUUCUGUGAAAUUUAAAGUAGAAAAUCUUAAAUUUAAUUUUAAAAAAUAAAUAAAAAUUUUAAUAAAUUCAAGAUUUAAAUUUAAUAAAUAUAAUAAAAAUUAAAAUAUAUAAAAUUUAAAUUAUUAAAAAUAAAAAAUUAAAACUCAAUACAAAUUGUUUUUAUAAUGCUACUCGCUGUUGAUCACUGGCCAUUUAAAAAAUAUAUUAAUUUUUUUUAACAUUUUAAAAAGUCAGCUAAUUAGUCUAUUUAACGAGUUUUUCUAUACCAUCGAGAUUAAAUAGUAAUUUUUUUUAUUAUUGUUAAGAGUAUUUUUAAAAUUAUAUUUUUUUUUUUUUUCCUUUGAUAAGAUAUAAAUUAUUGACUAUACAUAAAUUUUUAAUGGAAAAAUAUCAAAUUUUGAUGGAAUUAAAUUUCAGAGACGAAAAUAUUGAUUCUAAAAAUUAGAGGUGAGUUUAAAAUUAAACUGAAUCGAAUAAAUAAAAACUAAAAUUUUAGUACGUGUGAAUAUCAGAGCGGAUCGAUGAACUGAAUUGAAUUUAUGAUUCAAUUCGAUUUGAUUAAUUAAAUUUUUUAAGUCUUUUUUUCUUUUAUAUUUUAUUUUUAAUAUUUUAAAAUUUAAUUAAAAUAUUUUAAUAUUGAUUAUAAUAUAAUUUAUUUAUGUUAUUAAAAAAUAAUAUAUUAUUAUAAUUAAUCGAUUCAAUUUAAUUUUUUUAAUUAAAAUUAAAUCGAAUCGAAAUAAUAAAAAAUUUUAAAAUUAAAAAUUAAAUCGAAAUAAAUAAAAAAUUAAACUAAAAUUUUAUAUUAAUUUAAUUCAAUCGAUUUUUUUUUAUUUGAAUCGAAUAUUAUUCAUUCUAACUCAAAAAUUGGAGGAACAAAUUUAUUAAUUAUAUUAUAUCUCAUUUAUUAGGAUAUAAAAGAAACUUGUAAUUCUACUAAAAAAACAGAGAACCAAAAUCACCUAUCAAAUCCACUAAAAGUAGAUCGAAAAAUAGUCAUUGAGCUACCGUCGCCAUAACCCACAAGAACUAAAACCCAGCCGAAAAAAGAAGCGUCAAUUUCCAAAGAAGAGUUAAAAGCAAAUUCUUGCGAAACUACUUUACACACAUAAAACCAUAUACUGAACCUCUGAUCGAAAAUCAUUGAUGGCUUGUGAAAAGGCUGGCGCCAUAGCAUCGUAGUCUCCCAUAACCAUAGACAAAUUGAAUCAAAAGCUCUUCUAAGCUUGGCGCCUAUUUCACUAACCAUAUACAACCACCUACCAUUGCUGAUAGAAUCUGAAGGCUUACAACUCUUCACAACUAAAACACCAAAUAAACAUAUUCAAAAAAGCAACCUUAGUCAAGACAUACAAAACAAAUUAGUAUACACAAAUCUAAUUAGGAGACAUCUGAAUUUAAGCUAUAUCUCACUAGUCAUACAAAACUAGAUUGCCCUUGUCUCAAAGAGUGGAGAGAACCAAACAAAAACCCUUCAACUAACUACAAAGAUAAAAAUGAAAAACUUUCUCACUCUCUUUCUAUCAUAAAAUCUAAACUCAAAUCAAUAUUAAGACAACUAUUCUUUAUAGUCACAUACAACUUUAGCAAUUAACGCUAUAUAUACAUAUAUAUGUAUGAGUAAUUCUCUCUACAAAUUCAAUAUCAAUUAAUUCUUAAUAAAAGAUACUUUAAUUAAAAUUAUAAUAAAUGAAUAAAUUUAUAUGUAUUAAAAUUACAUUUAAAUUUAAAUAAAUAUUAUUUACUCCAAUUUAACUUUUAAUUAAUUUAUAGGUCGUGACUGUACAUAUUGAGAUGCGUUUAAAAAAUUUUCUUUUAUUAUUGAAAGGCGGUGGGUUUCGUGGAAUUUUCAAAGCACCAGGGAGAGAGCUCCAUUCCAACUGAGAAGAGUCAUAUAGAAAGAAAUUGGGGAUGCUGAUGGAAGCAAGAAUAGGUCAAAUUUGUUGACUUCAACGUUACAAUGACCUGACAAAGCCAACCACACCAAGUGAGACUUGCCGAGCAUUUUCCUUGAUCACGUAGCAAAUUUUUUUUUUUUUAAAUUUAUUAUUUAGAAAAAUGUUAAUAAAAUUUAUGUAUAAAAAAUAUAAUAGUAUUGAUAAAAUUUUAAAAAUUUAGAAAAUGAAGAACAUUUUUCUUGUGAGUAAAAUAUAUUUGUGUUGAUAAGACCUCCUAGUCAAUAAAAAUGUUUUUUUAUUAAUAAAAAUACAUUAAUAUUAAUAAAAUCUCCUAAUAAAUCAAAAUUUUUUCUAUUAAUUAAAGAAAAAAUGAAUUAACUUUAAGGAAAUUAACUCCUAUUCUGAAAAAAUAAAGAAAAUUUUUAAUUAGAAAUAUUAUUAACACACACAUUAGUUAGCAUCUUUUAUCUUAUUUUUUUUAACAUUCCAAUAAAAUAAUUAAAAAUGAAUUAUUUUCUUGCACGAAAAAUAAUUUUUAUUAUUUUUCAACGAAACAAACAAAACUUAAAUUGCUUGUACUAUUGACAAAUCAACUUACUUAAUUUUGUAUGAAUUAUUGCGAUGAGAUUAACGAAUUCGAAUAACUUUUUUUUGUGUAUGUGUUACAGUGGUGUGGGUGUAACUCAAGAUCUUAAGCAUAUUUUUAGGAUUGCAUUUUUUUAAAGGCGUAUAAAAAUACUCAUCAGUAUAUUGCUGCAAAAAAAAAAAAAAAAAGAAUGAUCCCAAGACUAAGAAGAGGUCGAGCUGAAUAGAUUUUGCUGCUCAAGUGAGAUGUGCCAAUUAAUCAUAUCUUUCCGGCAAACCAAUUCUUGUGUUAACAAUUGGCUGAUUAUAUCUCAUCCAUAUAUUGGACUUUGUUUGAUAAAGAGUAAAUAUAUUAAUACAAUAGAACUUUUAAGGUAGUAAAAAACAUUCCAUUAUUUAAUUUGCACUAUCAAACUAUAUUUUAUUAGGUAGAACUUUUUUACUUUCUUACAUAAAAGAAGUAACUUAGCAAAAUUGAUAAGUAAAACAUUUCUUAUUAACUUCUCCGUAAAAAUAAAAUUCAAAUUAAUUUCGAUAAAAAUUAUACAUGAAUUCAUUUUUUUUAAAAUAAUUUUUUAUAGUUUAAAAAAAAUAAACUUACAUUGCAAACAAGUAAUUUAAUAUAAAAAGAAAUGAAUUAAAUUAAGUCAUUGUGAAUCUUUUGGAAAAGUAAAUGAAAUAAAAUUUAUUAAUUCAUCAUAUAUUUUAUUACUUUUCUAUAAGGGCAUUAUUAUCUUCUAUAACUUAAAAAUAAAUUAAAGUCAAAUAGAUUAAUUUGUAUGCGAAAUAUCACACACUAGAACAUUAAUUCCCAUAAAUGUAUUAGUAUACUUUCUAAAAAAUAAAGUAUUCUUAAACCAAAAAAAUUCAGACUUUGGUCUGCAUACCUAGUAUUUCCAUGAUAUAAUGGUGUGUUGCCCGUCCCAGGUGAUGAAUUCAGAAUAUCUAGCAUAAGAGAGCGGGUCUCGCAGUUUGAUCUUGCCUUUAGAAACCUUCUAUACAAAGAGAUAAACCAAUCAAAGAUCCAUUUGGAAUUAACUUCAAAUCAAAACUUCUACAUUAAUUUGAAUAAAAAAAAGGGUUAAAGAAAGACUUAAAAUAAGGAUUAAACCUGCACCAAAAUUUAAGUAUUGGAUGUGGUCCAGCCGUGGGAAGAACUAAAUACUAGGAUAGUGAAAGGCGAGGAAAAAAAAAGAGAACAAAAUGCAAUGGCCAACGCGACGCGACAGGGCACUAGCUCCCACCAAACCAAUUGUCUAUGUCCGACCAAAAAGAAAAGCAGGUACCAGAAAAUCCAGGAGAGAUCCCGCCAUACAAAAUGGAACGAACUCUCUGGGUCGAUGGAGUUGAUACGGAUGAUUGAGAGGACAAUUGGUGAACAGGAAUUCCAUAGACUUACGAGUACAAUCUAACUUACCAUAGACUUACGAGUACAAUCUAUCUAACUUACGCAGUUUAGCUCUCUCUAUAAGCAAACACAAAUAAAGCUUUAAGUUGCGAGAAAAAUAAAGCUUUUGCUAAGAAAAGAUCCAGGUGGAUUCGAACCACCAUCCUCCCAGAACGUUAGACCUGGGCGCUCUUACCGCUUUGAGCUGAUGGAUCUACACAUGUUCAUAACUUGAUUUCUCACGUUUAACAUGCUUCCUAAGAAAGCAAUAUUUAACCGUCCGCCACUUCAAAGCCAAUUUUCAAAAUUUCCACCUUUGCGUGUCAUAUUGUCUAAUCCUCGACAAGUUCUCACAAAAUCGCAUCAUCUCUACUUAAUACUUCAAUACCACUGCAAAAAAUCAUUAAUUUAAUACAGAAUAAUGCUAUAUUUUUUCCAUAAUUUAAGAUGAUUUUUACGUUUGGCUCAUAAAACCAAUUUAUCGAUCAAUAAUCAAAUAGUUUCUGAAAAUUCUUCAUUGAUUCUAGUUGGAAUUAAGGUUAUAAAAGUAAUUUAGUAACCAAUACGAAAAUAUUUAAGGAAAAAAUAUAAAAAGAAUAUUAUAUAGUUACAAAUUUUACAUUUCAAAAUAUGUUAUAAGUAAAUUUUUUUUAAAUAGUUUAUUUUAAAAUAUAUAAUUCAAUUUCAUAUCAAAAUAAUAUUUUAUAAUUUAAAUUCUUAACAUAAAAUCUAAAAAUAUCAACAUUUACAAAUGCCUUAAUACCAUAAAAUACUACUUAAACACAAUUAAAUCACAAACCCUCAUGACUUUUUUUAUACUUUUCCCAAUAUUUAAAUUCUUAUUUCAAGGAUCCAUAUUUUUUGAAAUUAAAAAAUAUUAAAAUAUUUAAAAAUCUUAAAAAUAACACAUAAUAAAAAAUUAAAAACGAAGUCAAUUUUUUAAAAGUUAGAUCAAAUAAAGAAUUUCAGAUACCUACUAAAAACCAGACGCAUUUCUUUUUAACUAUUGAAGUAACAUUUUUAAAACACAUUUUCACUGCAAAGUUGUAACUAUAAAUAUUAUCUACUAAAGUUUGAACUCCAAUAAAAAGACGGGCCUCAGAAUGGGGCCACGAGUCUCUCGCAUCACAUCCAAAAGAUGGCGAGGAAACAGCUGGGUAAUUCCAUUAUCUAUUUAGGAUAGAAGCUUUAGAAUCCAGCAAAUGGGACAUAUGACCAGCCAAUCAACCAGGGAAUAUUAUAACAAUGUUGAAAGUAAAACAUGCUGGAAAACACACUAUUCUUAUUAAUCAAAGUCAUGAACCUAGAAGUUCUCUGUCUGAACAUAUAAACUACAUAAAAGCAAAGAACAUACUAACAUAAAAUAAAGAAGAUGAAAACCAACUCAAAUAAAUUAAAAUCAGCAUUCCCGAACAAUCAGCAACUGAACACAAAUUCAAAUAAUUAAGCAAAAACAGUGAAUAAUUCAAUUAUAUACGCCGCACAAUCUGAAGCAAACCUUGGCGUCUCCCCACAGAUUCAUUUACCUUGCGUCUUUGUUCUCCCGCACGUUGACUGCAUUAGGUAAUGUCUACAAUGAGAUGAUUCUGAUAGAGAAGAUGGUAACAGAAAAUGGACACAACAAAUAUAGCAACUUAUAGUCCAGGUCCAGCUCAAUCACUCUCAAUAUAAUGGAGGGACAGAGGGGGAGAUCUGGGCUCAAAAAAGAAUAUCUAUAAUCAGCAAUUAGGAGAAGCUUAACAAACCACUACAGGACCCCUCAAAGAAGGGAAUAACAGACCGUAAAUAUAAAAUUCACAGGAUUUAGACAUUUGCACCUUAAGCCUAUGAUUUAUAGGAUACAAGCCAAAGAGGACCACCACCUCACCUCAAGAUGCAAUGCCUUAAAAGCAGUUAAAGCAGGCUUCAUUUUCCUCUUUAUGAAUGAGCACAGCAUUUUAGCAUUUUCAUCUCUGAUGCACGACCUAGCGCAAGAUAAUAAUUAAUUUUAGGCAUUUGAAAACAGGAUGAAAUAAUAAUGAUCAUCUGCACCCCACCUAUUCAGGACCAAAGAUCAAAAAAUCAUCUCCUCUAGGAUACAUACCUCAUAUGUUGGCUAUAGCCACUGGACUAUAUCAGAAAGCUUUUUCACCAGAUACCAAGAAAAAAGGAAAGCAGAAGCCAGGCAGAUCAAAAGGAUUUGCAAGCUUAAUACAGAUCUUCAAGAAGAAAGAAGAAAUGGGAAAAUGCAAGAGUCACUGAAAUAUAAGUGACACUAUUUAAUAGUAUCCAAAAUAAAAGGAAGUAACAAGAUUUGUACACAAUUAUAGGAACAAAGGAAUAUACACAUCAAAUUGCAUUAUGAACAGUUGUAAGAAACACAUCCGUUUUCCCAUCUAAUAAAAUGCCAAUGUAGCUACAGAAACCAUAACACAAUGCACAAGAUAUAACAGAAGGAACUCUUGCAAUGAAAAACUCAUCAACAGACUUCCUGUAAUAAGCAAUGUACAAGACGUACUGCACAGAAUUCCAUUCCUAGUUGCAAUUAGUUGAUGUUUGCCCGGCUAUAGGUUUGCAUCACAACUAGAGAUGAAAAAUGUACGGGAACAGCUUUCCUUCAAGAGCAACUAUGUCUAGACAACCCCACGGCAAUAUGUUGGAACCAUCAAGGCUAUUUGCUGCCUACAAGUGUUUCCGCAACUGAAUCGCAGAUGCGAAUGGCGGCUAAAUUGGUACAAGGAAUGAGACCAUGAAGCCAAAAAAUACACCAGGUAUAGAACCCUGCGGCUCUGCAUUUGAAUUUGACAACAAAAUCAAGACUUUAAAGGGCAAAAAAAAGCUAACAAUUACUAACCAAAAGAAUACAAAAAAUGAAGAUGAACGAUGAAUACUACCAAUUGAACUUUGAUGAAGUCGCAUCCACAUAUUCAACCGACAGAGACAGUGAGCCCUGCAGCACAUGACAGAACCAAGCCUUCAGGCAACAAGAGUACUGAAUGCAUCUCUUCAAUAAAAUCAAACAUCAAAGCCAGCUUUGCUCCAUACUAACAAGCUGGGGAUGGAAAGAGAGAGAGAGUAAAUGCAACAUGCUAAACCCACCAUGCAUGCAUUUAUACGUUCUUACCUUUGUAGGUUUUGCUCAACCACCAUCUCCAUGAUAAAGCAUAUAGCACCAAAUAACACUCAUGCCACGAGCCUGCAACACUUCAUAUUGUACCAAAAUGAAAGAAGACUCCAGCAAGCUUGAAGCAGGUCAUCAAGAACCGAUAGUCAUCACUGGUCGUAGGGGACAUAACAGCACCUCGAGUUGAUACAGCACAUACAGCAAAAUACACUCCAUACCAGGUGUAACAACUUCUAAACAUUAGAUACAUGCUUGACAUUCUGGAACAGGAAACCAACACCACCUCUUUGACAAAAUCAUUAACAUGGACAUAAAAGAUGUACAACAGCGAAUGAGCCCAACCCUCAGGGUACAUAAUUGAUAUUUUGGCCCAUAAGAUGAAACUUCCAUGUCAACGUUGCCCUAUAUGUGUGUGUGUAAUACACGAAAAGGGCUUUAAAAAUUUGCAAGUUGCUGCAGGAAACAAAACCUGGAUGUAUAUUUGUUCUCAUCAAAGAUGCAAUUGUCUGUCGACCAUUUAUUUAAACAACUUCCAUCAUCUUCUUAUUUCUUAAGAUAAUUUGAUGAAUAGCUUGACUUUCGGCAUAAAAUAUGACCUAACUGGGAUCGAUGCCUAGUCUUCAAUUCUGUAAUAUUUAAUAACUGGGUUAUCCAAAGUAAAAUAAACCACUUACUUUUGAGCAAAAAGAAUAACCUUGCUGCAACAGGUUGAUAGGAUAAAUCUGUGAUUUAAAUGAACUAGCGCAGUUAUCGUUUGCAACUUUAAUGUGGUUUGUAUAUAUAUACACGUCAUGUUAAAUCAUUUAGAGAAAAAAUAUCGCCUACUUACUUUUAGGCAUAAAGAAGAACCGUCUAGGAUAAAGGACCAAUUUGAUUGUUAAAUGUAAAUGAACUAGCUCGGUUAUUGUGACUACUAUAGCAGCAAAUAUAUAUCGAGUAUAAAUACGAACAAGCUUGUGCAUAUGGCUGCCAAUUUUAAGCAAAAAAGGUUAUAACUACUGGUAUUCAACGAGUGCACUACCACUAUUUUUGAUGAGCUAAUAAAGAUAAAAUUGUUUACGGUGGCCAUAUCUGUGAGAACCAUGAAUAAUAUCUGAAGCAAAUUGUUAUGUGGAUGAAGUAGUAUACCUCUGGUGGUCGAAUUCAUGGACAUUCUCGAUUGCUGCAUAGUUGUUGCCUUGUUUGUCUUGGUUGCAUAGGAUGUUCGUUUGGUAAACAGUCCAGCAUAGAGAGAGAAAAGGAAAAGAGGGAAAGAGAGAAGAAAAAAGAAAGGAACGACCAGACACGCACACAGAAGGGGGAGAGCCGGGCAAAAUAAAGCAAAUAUUCCCGUGCCAUCUCCCCCCCUCGAAAACCCAAUAAAGUAAAUUUUUAUUCAACUUUUUGACCUGCCAUGCAAGCGCACCUGACAUGGCAAAGGUCGGGCGACAAACAGCAGCAAAUAAACAUAAAGUAAUCAAACAUCUCCUCAGCCUUCCCACCCAGCCAUCCAGUCCUCAAACGCAAGUAAAACACCACACACAACAAUGAUAAUCGAACAGAUUCACAUAAAACAAAAUCACAAACAAACCCUUUUGUCGACAAUAAUCUUCACGAACGUGAGCUCCAGAACAUCAUCAUCAUCAAUAAUCAGAUCAGAAGGCGCAAAUCUUCCAGAUAUCUGUAGCCACGGCAUGGUCAACGACAACGAUCCAUCUACCACCAACUCUCUCCUACGGAGAGGUCAAUCAAUAUCGUUGCCAACAUCUAUUAACACAUGCCAAAUACCGAAUUCAGAGAUGCAAAAACAAAUUCAGAUCCAAAGCAGGUAGGCGGAUUCGAAUUCAAUACCAGUGCUGCUUUUCAUCUCAAAAAAAACCCUUCAUCGAUGUACAUAUCAGCUCGGCAAAAAGACCUACACCUGCAGAAGCGCAGCUAACCUGAAUAAAUACAGCUAAACAAGGCAAAUCCUCGAAAGCGGAAGCUUAUAUAAGAGCUAUGGAUCACAUAUCUAAUAUCAUACCAGCGUACCUCCAUAGAUUUUUCAACCGGCGGUCAAGAGCUCCAACGUCUGCAGAUCUGAGGCAAACCGGAGAUAUCGUAGCCGAUCUAACCGAGCUAUGAAGAAGCUUCAACCACAGAUCGAUCUCCCAGAAUAGAUAACGUAAAGCCAUGCUCAAGUGAUAGAUCGGAAAACGAUCUAUUCGAAUCUGAGAGGAGCAGAGAGAGAGGAUAGAAAAUAUAAGAUAAGAUCUGAGGAAUAAGUCGCGAGGUGGCUUAAAAUAGCGAAAACGUUGCCGACCUCGGGAGAGACGUAUAUCAUUUGGAGUGAUGGACAUCUAAUUAUAAGGGAACGGUAUGACAAUCCAACGGCUGUGAUGAUUUGACCUUGGGACUAAUUUACGGUGCGAUUUGCCCGAUACUUUUGGGAGACGGUUGUCUUAGCAAAUAAGAAAGGCGCAGAUGUCAGCUGUUUUUUUAUCGAUAACAUCGAUUAGUCCUUAAACUUAUCCCAAGAUGGAAUUAGUUUCAAUAUAAAAAAGCAUAACACUGUGUUUGGGAAACUUCCUAUUGUCCCUGUUAAAAAAGCGAUAAAAUUAUCGUCUCAUUUCUUAAGUUAACAUCAUGUAUUAUAUCACAUCAAUAAAAUUUUAAAUUAAUUAAUAAAAAUUUAUAUUUUAUUUUUAUUAUAAUUUUAUUUUUUUUAUUUUUAUUUCUUAUUAAUUAAAUUUUAUUAUUUUAAUAUUUAAUUAAAUGCACUUCACUAUUAUUUAUAUAAUUAAAAUUUUAUAAAAUUAUUAAAUUAUUUUUUAUUAAAUAUAUUUAAAAAAUAAUUAUUAUUAUUAUUUAUUUUUUAAAUUUUUAUUAAUAAUUUUAUAAUAAUAAUAAUUUAUUUUAAUCUUAUUUUAACUAAAAUAAUUAUCAAUCAAUUUUUUAAAAAAUAUUUAAUAUUACUUUUAAAAUUUUGGUUAAAAAAAUAAUUUUAUUAAAUACACGAAUUAUGAAAUAUUAAAAAUAAUUUAAAAUAAUAAUUAACAUGAUUCAAUUUAAAAAUAUUAAAAAUAAUAAAAUAAUUUUUUAAAAUUUUUUAAUUAUUCUUUUAACUCUUAAAUAUAAUAAUAAUUCAUAUUUUUUAAAUUAUACUAAUAUUUAAAAUAAAUUUCAAACAAACUAAUAAAAUAAAUCAUUUAUAAAAACAAUUUAGACUUUUACUUUUAUUACAAUUUUACUCUAAAUUAUUAAAUUAUUAUUAAUUUAUUCUGACCUGUUUUUUUUUACUUUGUCGGCCAUUUGUCUUUGUCUGUCUGUUGUCUUUUUCUCUUUUUCUUUUUACUUUGUCGGCCAUUUGUCUGUCUUUGUCGUCUUUUUCUUUUUCUUUUUACUUUGUCGGCCACUGGUCUCUGUCUGCCACUUGAGUGAGUGCUUUGUGGGUCCUUCUUUAUACUUUUGUCUUUUGUUUGAUACUUAUCUGCUACUUGUCAAAGUAUAUGCUUAUGUGGGUCCUACAUUUCUGCUUGUGUGAAGAAGUCAUCAUUAUCGUCUGCAAGAUCAAUUGGUGAUGGUGAUGCUGUUGAGCUUCUGGUUUGUUUGAGUUCUUCUAAUAAUUUGUCAUAUUCUUUUUCUGAGGUACAAGCUGCCAUUUGUGCUAUUAACUGUUGUUUCCGGGCUAGGAAAAUCUCAUGUUUGGUUAUGGUAGAGAGGCUUGGAGUCUUGCUGUAUUGUGGAUGGUCCAGGAGGAAUUGUUCUAUGGCUUGUGGGCCACAAGCCUGCAAAUUGGUUUUAUUCCACCAUUUGGUUUUGUAUCUGCGAACCAGGAUUGGGAUCUGGAAAUUGUCAAGGGUUUGGUCUUUUAUUUGAUAUUCAACCAUGAUGAUCCAUGGGAUAUGAAAAUAAUAACAAUAAAUAGCCCAUUGGGGGGAACAGAUAAUUGGGUCAGGUAAUUGGUUUUGCUCAAAGAAGUGGGUUUUUGCUAUCUUAACUUGGUCAGGGAUUAUUUCUUCAUUUAUCCCAAAUUUGUUCCACCAUUGAUGGAACCAAUAUGGUAAUGGAUAUGUGAAGGUGUCUGCAAAGAAGAAAAAGAAAGAAACUGAUAAUUGGUCGUUUUGCUUUAGGAAGGUUCUCUCCCAAGCAAUUUGAUAGUCAUAAUAAUUGUAUUUAAUAUUUUGUCUCAUUUGUCCAUUUGUCAUUACCAUUUCUCUGGUCUUAUGGGGCUCUUGUCCCCAAUCUGUGAGAGUCCAUAUUUUUAAUAUUCUUACCUUACAAUAUCUUAAUUUAUUUGGGAUUUGAGGAUCAAAAUUGUUAUAGAUAAUGAGAGAAUUGGUAUUAACUAAAAUAGCUUCAUAAAAUUGUUGGGACUUAUGGAAAUUAUCUGGUAUAUAAAAAUGAGUUUUAGGAAAGAUAGUAUCACAAAGUUGGUAUUCAUUAAGGUUAGGAUUCUGAACCCAAUACUCAGGUUCAAUGGUGAGAAUAUAGUCUUCAAUGGUUUUGUACUUAUAAUCUGUCUGGGAUUGGUCUUGGGAUAUUGUUGGGCUUGGAUUAGAUGAAGAAGAUCCUGUAACUGCUUGUUUGAAAGUAGAGGGAGUUAUGAGGUUAGGAGGAGGUUUUAGUGGAUUGAGUGGACUGAAUUUGUUGAGUGAAACAAAAUUGGGCCUUGGCGACCUGGGCCUUGGGUAGGUUGGUUGAACAAUUAAAGCACUAGAAAUUGGGCUCAUUGGUCUAUGCAUAAUGCUUGAAGUACUGGUGUAUAUUGGUCUAGUGAUAGAAGUUUGUCCAGAAGUAAAUAAUUUUGCAUUUGUCAAAUUUGUUUUAGGAAUAUUUGUUUGAGAUCUUAAAGAGAUAUUUUCAGGCUCCUUUCCUUUGUCCGUCAUUGUCCCUGCAAAAAUUCUCGGGUUAAAAAAUCUGCAAUAGAAUUGUCAGUGCUUUUAAUAUGUUCUAUUUUGAAGUCAAAUAUAGAUAAAAAGGCUUGCCAUCUAGCAAAAAUGUGUUUAGCAGCUAGAUUUUUGACGUCUUUGGUUAAUACAUCUUUAGCUGCUUUACAAUCUACUCUAAUUGUAAAUUUUUGGUUUAAUAGAUCACUUUGAAAUUUUGUUACACAUAAAACAAUUGCUAAAAUUUCUUUUUUAAUGGUAGAAUAUUUUUCUUGUGUGGGGUUCCAAAAUCCUGAAUAAUAUCUAAUAAUAUAGUCUUUAUUAUCUAUUUUUUGUUUAAGAAUACCUCCAUAUUCUUGAUUAGAUGCGUCUGUUUCUACUAUUUUAGGAAAAUUAGGGUUACAAAUGUUUAAACAUGGUAACUUUUUGACAUAUUUUUUAAUUUCCUGAAUAAUUUUCGUAUGUUCUUCUGUCCAUGGUUUCGGGUUUGUUUUUAAUCUAUUAUAUAAGAGUUUGCAAAAUAUUCUUAAAUUUGGAUAAAAAUCAGAGAUAUAAUUUAAUGAUCAUAAGAAUCUUUGUAAUUGGUUUUUAUCUUUAAUUUCAUCAGGAAAUUUGUCAGCAAAUUCUAUACUUCUUUGGAUUGGUACUAUUGUAUUUUUAUAUAUAUCAUGUCCUAAAAAUCUAAUUUUUGUCUAAAAUAUUUUCAUUUUUGAUUUGCUUAAUACUAAUCCAUUUCUUUUUAUUAUUUUGUAAAAUAUUUGUAAAUGUUUAAUAUGUUGAUCAAUAUUUUGGCUAAAUACUAGGGCAUCAUCUAUAUAGGUUAUUAUAAACUCAUAUGGUGUGAAAAUGUCAUUCAUAAUUUUUUGAAAUUCACUUGGUGCAUUCUUUAAUCCAAAUGGCAUUAUAUUCCACUCAUAUUGUCCAAAUGGUACUGUAAAUGCAGUUUUAUACUUGUCUUUUUCAUCUAUUUGUACUUGCCAGAAACCUGAUUUCAUAUCAAAUUUUGAAAAAAUCUCUGCUUUAUAUAGUCUGUUUAAAAGAUCUUGUUUGUUUGGUAUUGGAUAUCUUAUCCAUCUUAGAACUUUAUUUAAGGGUUUGUAAUUAAUAACUAAUCUAGGUGCACCUCUUUCGAUUUCAGCAUUUUUAUUUACAUAAAAGGCUGCACAUGACCAUGGUGAUUUGCUCGGUCUAAUUAAAUUUUUUGUUAUUAGAUCUUGAAUUUCUUUUUUGCAGAAUUCUAACAUUUCUUGGUUCAUCUGUAUAGGUCUUGCUUUUGUAGGAAUAUCUUGUUCUUUAAAAUCUGGUUCAUAUGGUAAAGUUACUAUGUGUUGUUUUCUAUUCCAAAAUGCUGUGGGUAAUUCUGAACAUAAAUCUUUUUCAAAUUGUUCUUGAAUUUCUUUGAUUUGUUGUUGAAUAUUUAGCUUUUCUAAUUGUUCUUCUAUUCUUAUUGAAUGUAAGUCUUUUUUUUAAAAAUUUUAUUUGGUUUUCAAGAUUAUUAAUUUUACUUACAUUUUCUUGUUGAAAUAAAUUUACAUCAUGGUAAUUUAUUGGUGUUAUGAAUUGAAAUAUAAUAUCCUGUCCUAAUACAUUGGUUUCUAAACCUAAUUGUGUGACUUUAAAGGGAUAUAACAUUUGUAAAAAUGGAUUUCCUAGGAUAAUUUGUGUAUUGAGAUUUUUAAUUAACAUGAAACUGGUUUUAAAACAUAUUCCAUUGUUACAAAUAUGUGCACUAGGUAUUUUGUAAUCUAUUUUGACUUUAGUCGAAUUAGCUGCAGAUAAUAUCUGUUUAGUCUUAUGAAAAUAUCUACUUGGUAUUAUCCCUUGAUCUAUACAGUUCAUGUCAGCUCCUGAAUCUAACAUGGCAAUGGUUUCUAAGUUAAAAUCUUUAAUUGUCAAAUUUAUUCGUACAUACCAUUUUUGGUAUUUAAUUCUAGUAAUGUCAUUGAAUUUCAAUGUUUGUUCUUCUUCUGUGUCUGUGUCUGCUAUUUCUUCUAGUUUAGUUUUGUCCUUUCCUGAACUUUGUCCUAUACUUUGGUUCUGAUUCGAAUUUUGUUGGAUCUUUUGAUGUUGUUCUAAAUAAUCACAUCUUAAUUUUAAUUGUCUAACUUCUAAUUUUAAUUGUCUUAUUUCUAAUUGUAAAUCCAUAGAAGAAAUUGGGGUUACUGAUUUUUUGUUUUUAAACAUUUGUUCAAUAUCUUCAAACUUUGUUGGAGGUUCAGUUUCUUGUUUUAUUUCUUCAUUGAUUAAUUUGGUUAAUUUUUUAAACAUUUUACGUUUUAUAUUGGAAUCUUGUACUUGUUCUAUUUGUUCUAAUACUUGAUGAUAUUCUGUUAAGACAUUUAUUUUAUUGUUACAAUUACAAAGUUCUCCUUGACAAUUAUGGUUACUAUCUGUACUGCUUAUUGUGUCUGAUGGAUUGUCACUACUAUAUUCAUCAUCUAAUUCUGAAGAAGAUAAUUUAAUUUGAUCAAUCUUAUCUAAUAAUUGUUCUAUGUUGUCAAUUUUUAAUUCUAGACCUAAUUCAUAUAUUUUCUUUCUAGCAGGACAUUCUUUUGCAUAGUGUCCUUUCUGAUUGCAUAAAUAACAUGUUAUAUUAUUUUUAUUAUUUGGUCUUUUGAAAUUAUUUUUUCUAUUAUAAUUAUUUCUUUUGAAUUGUUUUCUUCUGAAAGGUUUCUUGUCUAUUUGUUUAUUAUAUCGUCUAUUUUUGUAAUUAUAUUUUUUAUAAAUUUUAUCUGUCUUAAAAGGUCUAUAUCUCUUCUGUUUAUAUUUCUUUAUGGUUCCGAAACCGAAUUGUUCACACCAAUUUCCUAAUUCUCUUUUAGAUUGUCUAUUUUCUAUUUUUAAUUUCUGUUGUAAUUUCAUAUCCCUACAUAAUCUUAUUCCUGUUAAAUUGACACAUGUUAUUAAGUCUCCAUAUGUUAAAUCAUCGUAUGAUAUAUGGCCAAAUUUUUGUUCAAUUGUUUCUUUUACUUUUGUUGCAAAUAAUCUUGGUAGUCCUGUUAGGAAUUUUUCUUUCCAAUGGUAUGCAUUAGGGUCUGCUAAAGCAUAAACUCGUUUUAGGAAAUUGUCUUUAUACCAUCUGAAAUUUUCUAAUUUUCUACAUUUUAAAUUUUGUAGUAUCUCACUGUUUCUUUCUGUAUAUAAAUCUAAGUCUCCUAUGAAAUGUGAUAUAAUAUUAUAUACUAGAUAUGCUAAGGUAAAAGAUUGUGGUUGUCCUGUUGCUGGGUCAAUAACUGGUUCACAUGUGGUACUAUCAAUUCUUCUUGCUGUUAAUAUAUUUGUUUUUAUCUCAUUACUUAAUAAUUUGUCCCACCAAGUUCUUAAUUCUCCUGUGAAUCCUAGAAUUAUGUUUUCAGCUGCAUCUCUUUCUGUAAUGCCAACUCUUUGUUUAUAAAUGUUUCCUACGAUGACCAUUUCUUUAGUUAUUUGUAUUAUUUCUGUUUCUGAUAGAUCAUCUAUAUUCCAUUAAUCUUAAUUUUUAAUAAUAUAAAUAACGAUAAAUAUAAUUAAAAUAAUUUUAAAAAUCAUAUUUUAAUUGAUAAAAAAAUAUAGAGCGUAGUUGUAACAAAAUUAAAAGUAUAAAUUUUUUUAUCAUUAACUCAUAAUUAAAAAAUUUUUUUGAUAUUUAAAAGGAAAAUAAGAGAGAAAAAAUAGUUUUUUAACUAAAUAAAAUAUCACUUUUGCACCUUCUAUUAUUAUUAAAAUAAAUUAUUAUAAAAAAUAUAUAAUUUCAUUAAAUUACUAUUUAUUUUCUAUUUUGAAGAGAAAGUUGCUCGAGAGACCAUAUAAUAUUUUUCAAAUUUAUUUUUCUUGCCUCUUUAUUUUCUUUUUUUCCAAAUAAAAACUUUUAUUUUCCUCUCUUAUUUUAUUUCUUUCCUUAUUUUUCACUAAUCCAAAUGAAUUAUAAAUGUCAAUCUUAUCCGUAAUUUUUUAUGUGUAUUAUCAUUUAAUUUAAUCUCUUACAAUAUAUAUAUUUUUUAAUUUAUAAUAAAAAAGGCUUUUUGAAUUCUUGUUCAUGUAAAUAGAAUAAUAACACUAUAUUUGAAAACUUUAAACUUACUUUCGUAUAUAUUGUAAGAGAGAAGACUCCUCUUAUUUCUUCUUUGUUUUAAGGUAGUAGAUCUUCUCCUUGUCGGUCCAAUGUUGCUCCUGUUUCAUCCAACAGGGUAACUCCUCUUCUCUCGCUUAGUUUUGUGAGCUUUUGCCUUCUCCUUGUCGAUCCCAAUAUUGCUCCUGCUUCAUCCAACGGGGCAACUCCUCUUACCUCGCUUAGUUUUGUGAGUUUUUCUCUUUCCUUUUCUGGAUGAAGGUGUAUAUAGUUUUUGGUCAUGUUUUUUUAAAGAUUUUAUCUCUUACAGGUAAAAUUUCAUUGAGGAAGAAUAUCUUUUGGAUGCUUGCUUGAUGUGUUUUUUGUGCUCUCGCUCUUUCUCUAGAACUGAGACUUUCAAGGUGUUAACAGUGGAAAAGAAUGGCAACGACCGAGAAGUUGUGUCCCUAGUUGCUGGUCUGUGUUGAUCUGGUGAUUUGUGUUGUGACUCUAGCGGUGAAUUUUGACUCGAUUGUGGUGGUUCGGCCCCCUUUCUCUAGCGUUUGGUUUUCUACUGCUGCUCUCCAAUUCGACAAGCAAAUUCUUAGUUGUCGCGAGCGGCUCUUUUUCAUUUUGAAAAGCUUGGGUCUCCCUUCUCUAUUAUUGCUGACGGUUCCUAGAUUCUUUAUUUAGUUUUGCAUGGCUUCAGCUACAAUGUAGGAGCUUGCGGAUCUCUUUUGUUGACAGCAAUGCCCUUAUUUCUGCCGACGAUUGAUGAGCAGCUUUUUUGAAAGUUUUGUCGAGUUGAGUUACGGAUCACUUGUGGAUGAAUCUUUAGAAUUUAGCUUUCGGUUGGACUCUUCUAUGUUUAAAUCCGAAAGAUUUGAUUUAGGUUGUAAUUUAGAUUUUUGACAUUUUCUUUUCAACAAUAUCCUUUAUAAGUUUGACAAAAAAAAAAUUACAAUUUAAUUUUUGGGUAUUAUCAUUAUUAAUAAGUCAGUUCCUACAUUUUCAAAAACCUAUUAAAACGUUUUUAUCUUUUCUCUCCGUCAAUGAAAUAGUCAUUUCGUCAUCUUUUCCGUUAAAAGUAGAUAAAAGAUAAGAGAUAAAAAUUUUAAAAUCCAAUUUUAUCCUCAAAUAAAACUCCUUACUUAGUUAUUGGAUAUUGCUAUUAUUAACAAGUAAGUCCCUACAUUUUCAAAAAUUUAUUAAAACGUUCUUAUCUUUUCUCAUAUCUAUUAAAACGUCCUUACCUUUUCUCAUAUCUAUUAAAAUGUCCUUAUCGUUUCUUUCCGUCAACGAAAUAGUCCCUCCUCCUCUUUCUCAAAAAAUAAGAAAAAAAAGAAGAAGAAAAUUAUGAUGAUGAAGGAGAAGAAGAAUCUCCUCCUACUCUUCCUUAAACAAGAAGAAUAAAAAGAAAAAUUAAAAAAGAAGAAGAAAAACCAAAGAAGAAAAACCAAAGAAGAAGAAAAAGAAGAAAAACCAAAGAAGAAGAAGAAGAUGAGGAAGAAUCAAUGAAGAAGAAGGAGGAGGAAAAGAAUGGGAUAAAUUAGUCUUUUGUUAUAUUUUUAACGACAGAAAUAGAUGAAAUGACUAUUUUAUUGACAGAGAGAAAAUAUAAAGACAUUUUAAUAAGUUUCUGAAAAUAUAAGAACUGACUUGUUAGUAAUAAUAAUAUCCGGAUAUUAAAUUGUAAAUCUUUCAAAAAAACACUUACUUCUGUUUUUUUUUGGAUGUGAGGAAAGAAUAAAAUAUAAAAAUCAUUUGUUAAAUAGUAAAAUUUUUAUUUUAUUUUUUUAAUUGAAUAAAUUAUUAUAAACAAUAAUUUUAUAAUUUAUUAUUUAUUUCUCUCAAAGAAAGUUGCUCAUAAAUCAUUUUCUAAAUUUUCUUCUCUUCCUUUUAUUUUGUUCUUUUCCAAACAAGUAAUGGAAAACUUUUUUUUUUUUUUAAAUUUCNNNNNNNNNNNNNNNNNNNNNNNNNNNNNNNNNNNNNNNNNNNNNNNNNNNNNNNNNNNNNNNNNNNNNNNNAAAAAAAACAAAAAAACAAAAAAAGAAUGAGAUAUUGGAUAAUUUUCAAUUGUGCUCAACUAGCACCAUUUAUCCAAGACUCAUCUCUCAUUGUUAGUUGAAGAAGAAGAAGAAGAUAGAGAGGAUUUAAUUGUGAGAAUGAUUAAAAAAAAAAAGAAUGGAAGAUAAGAUUGGAAAGGAAAGAAGGGACUUGGUUCUAUGAAGAAGAUUUGAGUUAUGGGUUUCAAUGUAAGAAGGCAUUGGAUAAGGUUAUGGAAGAAUAACAAGAAAAGAGAAAAGAAUGGGUUUAGGAAAGAAGAUUUCUUCAAACAUACAUUGGUUGGGUUAAAAAUUGACAUGCAUUUGAAGGUGAACUAUGAGUGGCGUAAGUUUCAAUCAUUCUAAUUGUUUUUCUCUUUUUAAAACCCAAUUGAAUAUUUCAUUUCUUAAAAAAUCAUUUUUAAUUAGUAAUUAGAGAAGUGAGGAUUCAAAUCUAAAUUUAUAGUUUAUUAUAUAUAUAUAUAUAUUCACCAUAUAAAUUCAAUAACUUAUUUAACAAUUAAAAUAAAAUAAAAAAAAUCAAACUUUAACGGUUUAAUUUAAUUUUAACCGUUAUUGUCCCGUUUAAAUAGAAAAAACAACUCUUUUUUGUUCAAAAAAUAAGUUAAUUGCGAAAAUUUAUUAAUUUUGAGUGCAGUUUUUGAAUUUGGAUUCGCAAGUUAUUAUUGAUAAACUACUUGCAUUUCGAAACUGUUCCAUUAUCAUUUAGUAUGAGAUAUAUUCAUUCGAUUAUAAACUGCAAACACUUCUAAGGUUUCUAAACGGGCUAACCAUUCAAAGCGACAGUUGUGUCACUAAAAGCUUUGUUUAUGGUUUCUUUCUUAUAGCUAUGUAGAUGACAUUAGCUUGGUCGUGCUUGCCCUUUAUUUUCCCGAAUUGGACGGACCGCUAGUAGCUUGGAAACGAGGCCUUAGUUGUGGGCCUCCAUGAUCUUUAGUAUGUUUUUAGCCAUGAUUUUGCUCUAUUGAGUGAGGUUUCAUUUUCUCCUUCCAAAUUCAGCUUCAUUACUGUGAUCCUUGAUGACCCUUGGCUGUAUCAAAGAAUGCACAACUGAGAAAUCUUUUUUUAUUUUUUUUCCCUCUUUGGUUCAUUGUUCUAGAGGAGCUCAUUUCUACCGAUGAAUUACUAGAGGCUCUUUGAUGAACAGGAUUCUAAUGAAUAGGAUUCUAGUUUUGAUCCUUUGACAUAGUAGCGGGACAACGAUGCUUCUAUUCAAGCCCUGAUUUAUUUUAGGAUACGAGCUUUCUUUUAAAUCUUUAUUUAGCAGUAUUCUUGUUUUCCAAACCUGUAUAGGCAAUAUUUUCAAAAAUCUAUUAAAACGUUCUUAUUUUUUCUUUCUAUCAGUAAAAUAGUCAUUCCAUCUAUUUCUAUCGAUAAAAAUAUAAUAAAAUAUUAAAUUAUCUCAUUUUUUUCCUCCUCCUCCUCCUCCUCCUUAUUCUUCGUUAAUUCUUUUUCCUCUUCUUUUUCUUCUUUGGUUCUUUUUUUUCUUCUUCGAUUUUUCUUUUUAUUCUUUUUCUUUAAAAAGGAGGAGACUAUUCUUCUUAUUCUUUUUCUUUUUCUUCAUCGUCAUCUUCUUCUCCUUCUCCUUCAUUAUCAUCAUCAUCUUCUUCUUCUUUUUUUCUUAAGGAAGAGGAGGAAGAUGAACUAUUUCGUUGAUGGAAAAAAAAUGAUAAUGAUAUUUUAAUAGAUAUGAGAAAAGAUAAGGACAUUUUAAUAAAUUUUUGAAAAUAUAGAAACUGACUUGUUAACCGUUAAAAAUAUAAUAAAAGACCAAAUUGCCCCCCUUCUUUUCCUCUUUCUCCUUCUUAUUUUUCAUUGAUUCUUCCUCCUCCUUUUCUUCUUCUUUGGUUCUUCUUUUUCUUCUUCGAUUUUUCUUUUUAUUCUUCUUCUUUAAAAAGGAGGAGGAGGAGGAGAAUACUAUUCUUCUUCUUCUUGUUCUUUUUCUUCAUCAUCAUCUUCUUCUUCUUCUCCUUCUCCUUCUUCUUCUUCUUCUUCUCCUUCUUCUCCUUCUCAUUCUUCUUCUUCUUCUCCUUCAUUAUCAUCAUCUUUUUCCUUUUUUUUUUGAAAAGGAGGAGGGAUUAUUUCGUUGACGGAAAGAAACGAUAAGAACAUUUUAAUAGAUAUAAGAAAAUAUAAGAACGUUUUAAUAGAUUUCUGAAAAUAUAGAGACUGACUUGUCAAUAAUAAAAAUAUCCAAAAACUAAAUAAAUGAUUUUAUUUAAGGACAAAAUUGAAUUUUAAAAAUUUUAUCUCUCAUAUUUUAUCUAUUUUUAACAGAAAAGAGGAUGAAAUGACUAUUUUGUUGAUGGAGAGAAAAAAUAAGAACGUUUUAAUAGAUUUUAAAAAUACAGAAACUGAUUUAUUUAUUAAUAAUGACAAUAUAUAGGGAUUAAAUAAUAAAUCUUUAUAUUUUAAAUAACUAAUAGUUUUAUAUUUGUUGAAUGGAUAAAGUAAAGAAAUUAAUAUUUUCUGUCUAAUUUCACUUGGCAUUCAACUUUAACAUUAAUAUAUUAAAAAAAAUACUUUCUCGUUAAAACGUAUAUUAAACAAUUUAAGGAUGUAAAUUAUUUUUUUUUCUGGCUUUUCAACAAUAAAGGUGGAACAACAGAACGGGACGGAAUUACCAGUUUUGUUUUAUGACGCUACGUUAAGCUUAUCCUCUAAAGCACUCCAACCUAGGGAUGUCAGGCGGGCGAGUUUUUACGGGUAUCCGAUCCACCCAAACCCUAUUAGGAUGGAUUUGGGUUUUUACAAAACGGAUUUGGGCGGAUUCGGAUUUAAAAAAUUUUACCCGUUUCGGAUUCGGAUAGGGUUCGGGAUUAGGUGAUCGGAUACCCGUUACCCGAACCCGAUUACCUAUAUUAACAAAACUAACCCUAAUUUCCUUUUUCAUUUUACUCUUUCUUCUCUCUGUCAGCGCCUCUCUCCCUCGCGUCUCUUUCCUUUUUCAUUUUACUCUUCCCUCGCGCCUCUCUCCGUCUCGGUCACCCCUACCUCUCUCCGUCGGUGCCUCUCUCCCUCGCGUCCCUUUCCUCUCUUCGUCGACGCCUCUCCCCCACUUCACUGAUGACUGCCGGCAGCCCAGUCGGCACCGGCGACGUCUCCUUUCUCUCUCCGAUAAAUCUUCUCUCUCCACAGUAGCAAUAUCUCCUUCUCUCUCUCCAGUCGGCGACAUCUCCCACUUCCCAGUUAAGACCUCUCUCCCCCACUUCACUGACGAGUGCCGGCAGUCGGCACCGGCGACGUCUCCUUUCUCUCCCCAGUCGACGAUAAAUCUUCUCUCUCCCCAGUAAGCGAUAUCUCCUUCUCUCCCUCUCUCCAGCGGCGGCAUCUCUCACUUCCCAGUCAGAGACAACUCUUCCCUCUCCCCGGUCGGCAUAGGCGAUAUCUCUUUCUCUCUUCCAGUCGGUGACAUCUACUCUUUUCAAUUGACGCUUCUCUCCCCCACUUCACUGACGCUGGACCCUUGCCUCUCCCCAAUCGUUGUCGGCGACAUCUCCUUUGACGGAAAUUUCUUCAGGUUUGCAAUCAAAUUUUUUAGAAUUUAUGAACAAUUAAUCUGACUAUCUGAUUAUAAAUCAUUAUUUGCUGAGUUGCUGUUUCUUGUCAUUGAACAUUUCUCCUUCUACUCCUUCUACUGCUGGGUCUGCUUGGUCUGCUGGGUCUGCUGGGUUUGCUGGGUCUGCUGGGUUGCUGGGUUGCUGGGUUUGCUGUUUCUUGUCAUUGAACAUUUCUCCUUCUACCUUAGGUAGUUUAUUUGAUAAUUUUUGUCAUUGAAUUGAUUAUUUGGAUACUUUUAAAAAAUUUAAUUAUUUGCUAUUUGAUUAAUGUAAUACUGUUGAUUUUUAGAAUUUAUGAACAAUUAAUCUGAUUAUCUGGUUAUAAAUCAUUAUUUGCUGGGUUGCUGAGUUACUGGUUUACUGCUGGGUUUGCUGGGUUGUGCAAAUGUUAAGUAGUUUAUUUGCUAGUUUUUGUGAUUGAAUUGAAUUUAAAAAAUCGGGUUCGGGUAUUGUGCGGGUAUUGUUAAACAGGUUUGGGACGGGUUCGGAUAAUAAAAUUAAAAUAUUAAACGGAUUUGGAACGGGUUCGGGAAUUGUAUAUAUAUUCGGGUUCGGAUUUGGGUAUUCUCAAUUUUGCGGGUACCCUACCCGUUUACAUCCCUACUCCAACCCUGUUUUGCAAGCUUAAAAGUGGAUUUUUAAAUUAAUAAGCCACAUUUAUAAUGUUUGGAUAAAAUUUUAAAAAAACUUUUAAUAAUUAGAAACUCUUUUGAAAGAAAUCGCCUCAUAAUUUUCUUUAAAAGCUCUUGUAAGAAAAAUACGGGAAGGCUAUACCUUUUUAAUAAAACUUUUAAAAUUUUAAGUUUAUUUAUAAGUGAUAUUUUGAAAUCCAAAGAAUAUGGUUUAUAAUAGUUGUGUAAGCUUAGGUAGCGGUCCGGUUUCCGGGUCGUUACACUGGAUUAAGGGGUGGCUGGAACGUUGAUUGCGUUGGUGAACCUCUGACACACGUUGCAACUUCUAACAAAUUCUUCUGUCUCCUUCUUAACUGUGGGCCAAUAGUAUCUUUGCCUGAAAAUUUUGUUUACUAGUAUUCCUGCUCCUUCAUGAGCCCCGCACAUUCCUUGGUGAAUCUCUUCCAUAACCCUGGUUGCCUCUUAUGGGCUUACACAUCGAAGCCAUGGACUAGACUUCCCUCUUUUGUACAGGGUUCCUCUUACUGCUUAGUAAUUGGUAGCUCGGGCUGCAAUUUUCUUUGCCUCAGCUUUAUCUUCCAGGAGCUUUUCCCUUUCUAGAUAUUCUAGAUAUGUGGUCAUCUAGUUUUCCCCUUCCCCAAUUUCCAUUACUGCUGCAGGUUUCUCAUAGGCAGGGGUGCUGAUGUACUGUAUGUACACCUCGUCUAGAAGUUGUUCCAAUUAUUCUUUAGACAAACGGCUGAGCAGGUUUGCUUCCUCAUUCUCUUCUCUGGGUAUUCUCUGAUAUCGUACUGUAACUCCUUGCUCGCCGAGCUCAGCCUCUACAGCUUUUACCUUUGCCUGAUACUUUUGCAUAGUGGAAUCUCUUGCUUGGUAUGCCCCGGUCACCUGGUUGACAACCAGCUGGGAGUCACUAUUAAUUGUGAGGUCGGUCACCCCUACUUCUUUUGCUAUCAACAUCCCAUUUAUUAAGGCUUCAUACUCUGCCACGUUAUUAGAAGCACCGAACUCAAACCGCAGGGCAUAACAAACUUUGAACUCUUCAGGUCCUUUCAACAUUAUUCCUGCGCCACAGCCUCCAGCACUAGAUGCCCAAUCUACGUACAAUCUCCAGCUGAAAUCUCGCAAGGACUGCCCCUCAUUCCCUUCCUCUGUUACUCUUGGGGGCUUGUUGUCAAGUUCCAUUUGUUCUUCGUUGAAGGAGCAUUCUGCUAAAAAAUCAGCAAGAGCUUGGGCUUUGAUGGUUUUCCGAGGUCGGUACUCUAAGCAAUAUGGAUUAAUUUCAACAGACCAAGCUAACAUCUAUUCUGAGGUCUCUGGCCUGUGGAAGAUCUUCUUCAAGGGCUGAUCUGUCAUUACCACUCCUUGAUGGCUCUCCAGGUAUACUCUGAAUUUUCUUACUGCAAGCAACAAGGCAUAUGUCAACCUCUCUAUGUUUAAAUAUCUGAUCUUGGCGUCUUUAAGCACCUUACUGACGUAAAAUACUAGUUUCUGUUCUCCUCCUUCUUCCCUUACCAGCACGACACUUAUAGCUGGUUCUGAGGCUGCCAAGUAGAUGAAGAGUUCUUCCCCAGCUAUGGGACUGCUGAGCACGUGUGGUGAACUGAGAUACUGCUUAAGAUUUCUGAAAGAUUAUUGACAGUCCUCAGUCCAUUCGAAGUUUGGGACUUUCCUUAGCUUCCUGAAGAACGGUAGGCAUUUCUCUGCUGAUUUUAACAUGAAUCGAUUAAGUGCUACCACCCUGCCUGUGAGCCUCUGCACAUCUCUCAAGCAGGUCGGCUCGGGCAUCUUUAGUAUAGCUUCCACCUUUUCUGGAUUUGGCUCAAUACCCUUUCCGCUGACUAUGUAUCCCAAGAAUUUUCUCCUCUGAUGAAGAAAGCGCAAUUUGUUGGGUUCAACCUCAUUUUGUACUGCUCCAACACCCCAAACACUUCUUUCAGAUCUACCAAGUGUUGUUGAAAAGUUUGACUUUUUACUACCAUAUCGUCCACAUAUACCUCCACAUUUCUUUCUAUUUGUCCCUUGAAGAUUUUAUUCAUCAGCCUCUGAUAUGUCGCCCCUGCAUUCCAAAGGGCAUGGCCUUAUAACAAUAAGUCUCAUCCUCCGUUAUGAAUGACGUUUUUUCCUCGUCUGACCAGUUCAUUGGGAUUUGGUGAUAUCCAGAUAUUGCAUCGAGAGACGACAUAUAAUCAAAAUCGGCAGUGGAAUCGACCAUUUUAUUAAUAUCAGGAAGGGGAUAACAAUCUUUGGGACAAGCCUGGUUCAGAUCGGUAAAGUCUAUACACAUCCUAUACUUGCCAUUAGCUUUUUUCACUAGUACAGGAUUUGCUAACUGUAAUACCCGGCUAGACUCCGGUAUCGGAAUUCCUACCGUCCGGUGGAAUCUCGGAUGUCGGAAGCCUCUAGUAGGGUAGAAACAUGUUUUCAUAAAAUGUUUUAAGGUAUUUCAUGGUUUUAAGUAAAAUGGAAAUGAGUUUUUGCAUUAAAACAACCUUGGAGGAAAACUCAGGUUCGGCCGCCGAACCUCAAGUUCGGCCACCGAACAUACAUGCCUUCGGGAGCGCAUUUAGGCCCCCAAAAGCACAAGUGAGGGAAGUCCAGGCUCGGCCGCCGAACCUCAAGUUCGGCCGCCGAACAUGGCAUGCAUGCGGAGGCACAUUCGGCCCCCGAACGUGGCCUGGCCAGCCACUAUAAAAGGGUCCCUUAGCCGAAAACGGGCGAGCUUUUCCCCAUUUUCGGCCAAGGUGAGCUUUCCGCCGCCCCUCACCGAUCUUUGAUGUUUUUCCUCUAGAUCUUUCAAGUUUUUCACUUGUUUUCAUCUUGUUUUGAAGAUUUCCGAGUUUGAGCAAGUUUUGGAGCUUUGAGGUUCAAGAACUCAAAUCUCUCCCAACUCCAAGUUUGGUCGCCUCUACUCUCGAUCUUCAAGAGGUAAGAGUCGAUCUCUAGCUUACUAUGUUUUAAGUAAGUUUUAUGAAGUUCAUGGGGGUAGAAUGCAUGUUUAGGUCAUAGUUAUGUUUAUGGGUUUUUGGUGUGAUUUUUGAACAAUGUGGGUUGCUUGUGUAUUGUAGUUGGGGUUUUUGAUGGUUUGAUGCCCCUAGGAACUUGUAUGUUUGCUUGUGUAUGUUUGGGAAUGUUGUAGAAUAGGUUUAUGCAUGUUUGGAUGAGAUUGGAGGCACAAAUGCAUAAGGGAGCUGAGUUUCUGCCAUUCUGGGAGAAACCAGGUUCGGCAGCCGAAGGAACUUUCGGCCUCCGAACGUGCUUGUGGAGGCAGCCUUCGGCUGCCGAAGCUUGCCCCCGAAAGGAGACUUUCGUCUCUGUCUGGAACUUUCGGCCGCCGAAAGUGCCGCCGAACAUGCAUGAGUUUCGCCUCUGUCUGGGAGUUUCGGCCACCGAAGGUGCAGCCGAACCUGCCUGACUUUCGGCUCUGGAGGGACUUUCGGCCGCCGAAAGUGCCCUGUCCAGCCCUUUCUUGCAUGUUUUUCUAUGAUUAUUCCAUGAUGUUUUAGGGGGUUUUUGGAGAGUAGUUUAGAGUUAUGUUCAUGUAUGUUUGGUCCCUCAUUUGAGUCCACCUGUGUAGGUUCGGACCCGAGGAACCGAGGACCCCAGCAGUGAGUCUAUUGCUCCAGUGUCUGGUCAGAGCUACCCAGAGGUGAGUGGAAUAACUUAUUAUGUUUUAAAGAAAAGAAUGAACUUUUCAGCAUGUUUCACGCAUCAUGAAUGCCAUGUGAUGAAUUAGGUUGCUUGCAUUAGAAUUCACGAAUAUGUUGCAUUGCAUAUUUUUAUGUUGAUGUGGAUGAAUGNNNNNNNNNNNNNNNNNNNNNNNNNNNNNNNNNNNNNNNNNNNNNNNNNNNNNNNNNNNNNNNNNNNNNNNNNNNNNNNNNNNNNNNNNNNNNNNNNNNNNNNNNNNNNNNNNNNNNNNNNNNNNNNNNNNNNNNNNNNNNNNNNNNNNNNNNNNNNNNNNNNNNNNNNNNNNNNNNNNNNNNNNNNNNNNNNNNNNNNNNNNNNNNNNNNNNNNNNNNNNNNNNNNNNNNNNNNNNNNNNNNNNNNNNNNNNNNNNNNNNNNNNNNNNNNNNNNNNNNNNNNNNNNNNNNNNNNNNNNNNNNNNNNNNNNNNNNNNNNNNNNNNNNNNNNNNNNNNNNNNNNNNNNNNNNNNNNNNNNNNNNNNNNNNNNNNNNNNNNNNNNNNNNNNNNNNNNNNNNNNNNNNNNNNNNNNNNNNNNNNNNNNNNNNNNNNNNNNNNNNNNNNNNNNNNNNNNNNNNNNNNNNNNNNNNNNNNNNNNNNNNNNNNNNNNNNNNNNNNNNNNNNNNNNNNNNNNNNNNNNNNNNNNNNNNNNNNNNNNNNNNNNNNNNNNNNNNNNNNNNNNNNNNNNNNNNNNNNNNNNNNNNNNNNNNNNNNNNNNNNNNNNNNNNNNNNNNNNNNNNNNNNNNNNNNNNNNNNNNNNNNNNNNNNNNNNNNNNNNNNNNNNNNNNNNNNNNNNNNNNNNNNNNNNNNNNNNNNNNNNNNNNNNNNNNNNNNNNNNNNNNNNNNNNNNNNNNNNNNNNNNNNNNNNNNNNNNNNNNNNNNNNNNNNNNNNNNNNNNNNNNNNNNNNNNNNNNNNNNNNNNNNNNNNNNNNNNNNNNNNNNNNNNNNNNNNNNNNNNNNNNNNNNNNNNNNNNNNNNNNNNNNNNNNNNNNNNNNNNNNNNNNNNNNNNNNNNNNNNNNNNNNNNNNNNNNNNNNNNNNNNNNNNNNNNNNNNNNNNNNNNNNNNNNNNNNNNNNNNNNNNNNNNNNNNNNNNNNNNNNNNNNNNNNNNNNNNNNNNNNNNNNNNNNNNNNNNNNNNNNNNNNNNNNNNNNNNNNNNNNNNNNNNNNNNNNNNNNNNNNNNNNNNNNNNNNNNNNNNNNNNNNNNNNNNNNNNNNNNNNNNNNNNNNNNNNNNNNNNNNNNNNNNNNNNNNNNNNNNNNNNNNNNNNNNNNNNNNNNNNNNNNNNNNNNNNNNNNNNNNNNNNNNNNNNNNNNNNNNNNNNNNNNNNNNNNNNNNNNNNNNNNNNNNNNNNNNNNNNNNNNNNNNNNNNNNNNNNNNNNNNNNNNNNNNNNNNNNNNNNNNNNNNNNNNNNNNNNNNNNNNNNNNNNNNNNNNNNNNNNNNNNNNNNNNNNNNNNNNNNNNNNNNNNNNNNNNNNNNNNNNNNNNNNNNNNNNNNNNNNNNNNNNNNNNNNNNNNNNNNNNNNNNNNNNNNNNNNNNNNNNNNNNNNNNNNNNNNNNNNNNNNNNNNNNNNNNNNNNNNNNNNNNNNNNNNNNNNNNNNNNNNNNNNNNNNNNNNNNNNNNNNNNNNNNNNNNNNNNNNNNNNNNNNNNNNNNNNNNNNNNNNNNNNNNNNNNNNNNNNNNNNNNNNNNNNNNNNNNNNNNNNNNNNNNNNNNNNNNNNNNNNNNNNNNNNNNNNNNNNNNNNNNNNNNNNNNNNNNNNNNNNNNNNNNNNNNNNNNNNNNNNNNNNNNNNNNNNNNNNNNNNNNNNNNNNNNNNNNNNNNNNNNNNNNNNNNNNNNNNNNNNNNNNNNNNNNNNNNNNNNNNNNNNNNNNNNNNNNNNNNNNNNNNNNNNNNNNNNNNNNNNNNNNNNNNNNNNNNNNNNNNNNNNNNNNNNNNNNNNNNNNNNNNNNNNNNNNNNNNNNNNNNNNNNNNNNNNNNNNNNNNNNNNNNNNNNNNNNNNNNNNNNNNNNNNNNNNNNNNNNNNNNNNNNNNNNNNNNNNNNNNNNNNNNNNNNNNNNNNNNNNNNNNNNNNNNNNNNNNNNNNNNNNNNNNNNNNNNNNNNNNNNNNNNNNNNNNNNNNNNNNNNNNNNNNNNNNNNNNNNNNNNNNNNNNNNNNNNNNNNNNNNNNNNNNNNNNNNNNNNNNNNNNNNNNNNNNNNNNNNNNNNNNNNNNNNNNNNNNNNNNNNNNNNNNNNNNNNNNNNNNNNNNNNNNNNNNNNNNNNNNNNNNNNNNNNNNNNNNNNNNNNNNNNNNNNNNNNNNNNNNNNNNNNNNNNNNNNNNNNNNNNNNNNNNNNNNNNNNNNNNNNNNNNNNNNNNNNNNNNNNNNNNNNNNNNNNNNNNNNNNNNNNNNNNNNNNNNNNNNNNNNNNNNNNNNNNNNNNNNNNNNNNNNNNNNNNNNNNNNNNNNNNNNNNNNNNNNNNNNNNNNNNNNNNNNNNNNNNNNNNNNNNNNNNNNNNNNNNNNNNNNNNNNNNNNNNNNNNNNNNNNNNNNNNNNNNNNNNNNNNNNNNNNNNNNNNNNNNNNNNNNNNNNNNNNNNNNNNNNNNNNNNNNNNNNNNNNNNNNNNNNNNNNNNNNNNNNNNNNNNNNNNNNNNNNNNNNNNNNNNNNNNNNNNNNNNNNNNNNNNNNNNNNNNNNNNNNNNNNNNNNNNNNNNNNNNNNNNNNNNNNNNNNNNNNNNNNNNNNNNNNNNNNNNNNNNNNNNNNNNNNNNNNNNNNNNNNNNNNNNNNNNNNNNNNNNNNNNNNNNNNNNNNNNNNNNNNNNNNNNNNNNNNNNNNNNNNNNNNNNNNNNNNNNNNNNNNNNNNNNNNNNNNNNNNNNNNNNNNNNNNNNNNNNNNNNNNNNNNNNNNNNNNNNNNNNNNNNNNNNNNNNNNNNNNNNNNNNNNNNNNNNNNNNNNNNNNNNNNNNNNNNNNNNNNNNNNNNNNNNNNNNNNNNNNNNNNNNNNNNNNNNNNNNNNNNNNNNNNNNNNNNNNNNNNNNNNNNNNNNNNNNNNNNNNNNNNNNNNNNNNNNNNNNNNNNNNNNNNNNNNNNNNNNNNNNNNNNNNNNNNNNNNNNNNNNNNNNNNNNNNNNNNNNNNNNNNNNNNNNNNNNNNNNNNNNNNNNNNNNNNNNNNNNNNNNNNNNNNNNNNNNNNNNNNNNNNNNNNNNNNNNNNNNNNNNNNNNNNNNNNNNNNNNNNNNNNNNNNNNNNNNNNNNNNNNNNNNNNNNNNNNNNNNNNNNNNNNNNNNNNNNNNNNNNNNNNNNNNNNNNNNNNNNNNNNNNNNNNNNNNNNNNNNNNNNNNNNNNNNNNNNNNNNNNNNNNNNNNNNNNNNNNNNNNNNNNNNNNNNNNNNNNNNNNNNNNNNNNNNNNNNNNNNNNNNNNNNNNNNNNNNNNNNNNNNNNNNNNNNNNNNNNNNNNNNNNNNNNNNNNNNNNNNNNNNNNNNNNNNNNNNNNNNNNNNNNNNNNNNNNNNNNNNNNNNNNNNNNNNNNNNNNNNNNNNNNNNNNNNNNNNNNNNNNNNNNNNNNNNNNNNNNNNNNNNNNNNNNNNNNNNNNNNNNNNNNNNNNNNNNNNNNNNNNNNNNNNNNNNNNNNNNNNNNNNNNNNNNNNNNNNNNNNNNNNNNNNNNNNNNNNNNNNNNNNNNNNNNNNNNNNNNNNNNNNNNNNNNNNNNNNNNNNNNNNNNNNNNNNNNNNNNNNNNNNNNNNNNNNNNNNNNNNNNNNNNNNNNNNNNNNNNNNNNNNNNNNNNNNNNNNNNNNNNNNNNNNNNNNNNNNNNNNNNNNNNNNNNNNNNNNNNNNNNNNNNNNNNNNNNNNNNNNNNNNNNNNNNNNNNNNNNNNNNNNNNNNNNNNNNNNNNNNNNNNNNNNNNNNNNNNNNNNNNNNNNNNNNNNNNNNNNNNNNNNNNNNNNNNNNNNNNNNNNNNNNNNNNNNNNNNNNNNNNNNNNNNNNNNNNNNNNNNNNNNNNNNNNNNNNNNNNNNNNNNNNNNNNNNNNNNNNNNNNNNNNNNNNNNNNNNNNNNNNNNNNNNNNNNNNNNNNNNNNNNNNNNNNNNNNNNNNNNNNNNNNNNNNNNNNNNNNNNNNNNNNNNNNNNNNNNNNNNNNNNNNNNNNNNNNNNNNNNNNNNNNNNNNNNNNNNNNNNNNNNNNNNNNNNNNNNNNNNNNNNNNNNNNNNNNNNNNNNNNNNNNNNNNNNNNNNNNNNNNNNNNNNNNNNNNNNNNNNNNNNNNNNNNNNNNNNNNNNNNNNNNNNNNNNNNNNNNNNNNNNNNNNNNNNNNNNNNNNNNNNNNNNNNNNNNNNNNNNNNNNNNNNNNNNNNNNNNNNNNNNNNNNNNNNNNNNNNNNNNNNNNNNNNNNNNNNNNNNNNNNNNNNNNNNNNNNNNNNNNNNNNNNNNNNNNNNNNNNNNNNNNNNNNNNNNNNNNNNNNNNNNNNNNNNNNNNNNNNNNNNNNNNNNNNNNNNNNNNNNNNNNNNNNNNNNNNNNNNNNNNNNNNNNNNNNNNNNNNNNNNNNNNNNNNNNNNNNNNNNNNNNNNNNNNNNNNNNNNNNNNNNNNNNNNNNNNNNNNNNNNNNNNNNNNNNNNNNNNNNNNNNNNNNNNNNNNNNNNNNNNNNNNNNNNNNNNNNNNNNNNNNNNNNNNNNNNNNNNNNNNNNNNNNNNNNNNNNNNNNNNNNNNNNNNNNNNNNNNNNNNNNNNNNNNNNNNNNNNNNNNNNNNNNNNNNNNNNNNNNNNNNNNNNNNNNNNNNNNNNNNNNNNNNNNNNNNNNNNNNNNNNNNNNNNNNNNNNNNNNNNNNNNNNNNNNNNNNNNNNNNNNNNNNNNNNNNNNNNNNNNNNNNNNNNNNNNNNNNNNNNNNNNNNNNNNNNNNNNNNNNNNNNNNGUUUUUAUUAUUCUGCUCACUGGGCUCUAGUAGCUCACCCCUCUCCCAUUUCCCCAGGAUUGCAGGUACAGGGUAGACCAGGAGGUUUACAAGAGUAAUGAAGUCUGGUUUAUGUAAUAGAUAGUGUGGACAUGAUAAAUGUAUUAAUGUUAUGUAAAAGUACAGUUUCAGUCAUGUAAUGAUGUUGAGGAUUAGAUAUUGUGCUUGACAUUGUGUAUGAGGUAUUCCUUUUAUUACAUGAUAAAAAAUGUUUUAUAAUGUUCAUGAAAGCCAACUCAUCUUAUGAUGUAUCGCCCAUUGGGGCAUUGAUGAGAUCCCAAAGAGGGGUCAUGAUUAUGAUUAUGACUAUGUGCAGUGCAUGUUCAGGUUGAGUUGGAUGUAUGAAAGAAAAGUUUUAAAUUUUUAUGUAUAUUGUUGAUCAUGUAUGGGAUUAAACAGGUUUUCAGGUUGCAAGUCAGGCUUGCUACGGGUCUUGGCGGCCUUAAGCCGACCCGGAUCCUAGCGCUGGUAGCGGUCCGAUUUUCGGGUCGUUACACUAACCAUUGUGGGUACAUGACUUCCCUAAUAAACCCUGCUUCUUCUAGUUUCUGCACCUCCUCGCUGGUGGCCUGCUGCUUUUCUUUUCCAACCACUCUCUUCUUCUGUUUUAUAGGUUUUGCCCCGGGGAGAACGUUUAGCUUAUGGGUCAUCACUUCAGGGUCUAUUCCCGGCAUGUCAGACGGCUUCCAAGCGAAGCUUGAGGCGUGGCCCCGAAUUAAAGCCAUUGCUACCAUUUUUUGUUCUUCAGUCAGGCCGGCGUUGAGGCUGAAAACUUUGUCUGCUUCUUCUUCUGACAAAGGGAAAGUUUCCAGCUCCCCCACAGGCUCUAUCCUGGCUUCUUUCUUCUCAUCUCUAACUUUCAUGACCUUUGAGUCGAUUCCCAUCUGCCAAGCUCGGUUCUUGUAUACCGUCCUUGCUUCCUCCUGAUGCCCUCGAACUAUCCCCACCCCUGCCUUUGUUGGGAAUUUCAUGGUCAGAUACCUAAUGUUGGUCACUGCCUCAAAGUCGUACAGCAUAGGCCUCCCCAAUAUUGCAUUGUAGCUUAGAGGGAGUUUCACCAUCAAAAACACGGCGUAGUGAGUCCGAGACAGGGGUGGCUCUCCUAGAGUUAAAGCCACCUUCACUUUACUUUCUAUGAUUACUGGAGUCCCUCCGAUCCCUUUCACCGGGGCUUGAUCCCGUACCAGCUGCUCCUCUGGUAUCCCCAUCUGCUGGAAGACCCUGUACGGCAGUAGGUUUACUUUGCUUCCAUCAUCAACCAGGAUCUUCCGAACUCGGUAGUUGUAGAUGACAGCUUCGAUGACCAGGGCAUUAUUGUGAGGCAUUUGAAUGUCGUGAGCGUCCUCUAGAGAGAAAGAGAUGGUCAUAGGGGAAUGCUCUACCACUUGCAUGACUUCACUGCUGCUUCCCUCUCCUUCUCGGCUUCUUUUCUUUCCCCUCCUGCUCAUUCGACCUCUAGUUCCUCCAACAAUCAUAUUAAUGGUUCUGCUGGAGCCAUCAUUUACUGGUCUUGCCCCCAGUCUUCGAGGCCUUUCUGCUACGAGGUUGUGCUGAGGUCUCUCUCCUUCCUGUUUUUUCACAAAGUUUCGGAGAUGUCCCCUCUUUAUCAUCCUUUCAAUCUUGCUGAUCAGCUGGUAGCAGUCAUUGGUGUCAUGGCCGUGAGUGUGGUGGUACUGGUAAUAUUUGUCAGGGUCUCUCCGGUUUGCUUCUGCUUUCAUAGGCCUGGGCCAUUGAAGGAACUCCUUGUCUUGGACUGCCACAAGCACCUCGACCCUGCAGGCGUUAAGUGGGGUUAUUGUUUCUGGGACCCGAGGUAGGGGCAGUCUCUGCUCUCUUCUAUCCCAGGACAGUCUGUAUACCUCGGGUCCUUUAUUGUGUCUUCUUUUAGGUCUGUCUGACCUCCUUUCUUCUGGAGCCUUUCCCCUAUCUGCAGCUUCUCUAGCAAAUCUGCUGAUCGUUAAGGCAUCAUUCUGCCUUAUAUACUUCUCUGCCCUCUUUAUCAGCUCUGCCAGGAAGGUGGGCGGUUUUCUGCUCAAUGAGCCAAAGAACUCAGGGGAGGUGGUCCCUUUCUGCAUGGCCUCCAUAGCUUGACUUUCAUCUAGUUCGGGGAUCUGCAGGGCUUUCGUGUUGAAACGGGCUACAUAUUCCCUCAAGGACUCGUUCCUCUUCUGCCGAAUUGUCUCCAGGUAACUGGUUCUUCUGUCAGCUGGUACUUCUUCUAUGAACCGGCUAAUAAAGAUGUUGGCUAGGUCGCCAAAACUCUUGAUACUCCCAGCCUCCAAACUGUUAAACCAGGCUCUCGCGGGUCCCGUGAGCGUAGUAGGGAAUACCUUGCAUAUCAAUGCAUCCGACAAAGUCUGCAGUUCCAUGAACGUCUUGUAGUUCAAGAUGUGCUCCCUUGGAUUCCCGGUCCCAUCAUAUAUUGCCAUGGGAGGCAUCAUGAACUUUUUGAGAACGGUUUCUUAUUGAAUCCAUCUAAAAAAAGGCGAGGAGGUGGGCAAGAGAGUCUGGCUGUUGUCCUUUGCCCCCAGCUUAGCCAGAAGCUGCUGCUUCAUCUUCUGCAGCUUCUAAUCUACAUCUUCCUUCUCUUGUCUUGGCCUCUUCUCCAUGCGGUAUCCUUCCCUCCAUUCUUCACUCCCCGUCCUCCUGGCCCUUUCCAUGGAAUAGCUUUUUACCUCGUCGUUGUCAAUAAGUUCUCUCGCUCUCCUUCCAUGAACUCUAGCCAUUGGCUCCUCCUCUCUAUCAACUCCUCUGUCUCCUGUUCCAGCUCCAUUGCUGCUUUGUUGAAGGAUUGGGUGGUUGAAGGUGGGUUGAGAUUCAGCGGCAGGGGUUCCCUCCACUACGGGAAGCACAUUCAAUGGGGUGUUGAGACCCCUUUGCUGCAUUAUUUGUCCCAGCUGGUGGAUGGUAUUUUGUAGUUGAAGGGCUAUGGUUUGGAGUUCUUGGUUAGAGAUGGUAUUUUGGGGUGUGUUCCCUGCUGAGCUUGGUGAAGGUACAUGCAGCAUUGGUGGUUGGCUGGUGGGGUAGUAGGGCUGGAGAAAGAGAAUUACUGCCCUUAUUGGGCAAAGCUUAAGUCAUUUGAGAUGUUAACAGUGUGGUUUUCAUUGUGGAUCUCAGUGGGUUUUAUAAGAGAGGAACUCCAGUGACGAGAAGGUCUCCUUCGUUUCCUACAGACGACGUCAAUUGAUAUUUUGAGAUCCAGAGAAUAGAGUUUACAAUGGUUGUGUAAGCUUAGGUGGAGAGGAGGAUGUUCCUUUUUAUUAUUUUUCCCUUUGUCCGCUAGUAAUGCCUAACGGCCUCUCUACUACAGUGCUACCUGUCUCUAUUGAACAGGUCCGUAUGUACGAACGGCGUCAAACGUCCUCUCCACGCCAGGCGGCCAUUUAAUUCUCCCGGCGCACAUGCAGACAGGGCUGUAAGGUGACUGGGCCUGUUGUCCUUCUUCAUGUCACAUCACUGGGCUGAGCUCGUGGUUGGUGUACUUAGUGUAAUACCCGGCUAGAGUCGGGCGUCGGAAGUCCUGUAAUCCGGCAGCAUUUCUGAUGUCGGAAUCCUCUGGAAGGGUACGGAUUAUGUUUUUCUAUGGUUUGAAAGUGUUUUCAUGUUUUAAAGUGUUUAAAGAAGUAAGGUUUUGCAAGAAAAGCACCAAGGCAGAAAAGCCAAGGUUCGGCCGUCGAAGGUGACUUUCGGCCGCUGAACGUGCAUUGUAAUACCCGGCUCGAGUCCGGCCUCGGACUUCCUGUCGUCUGGUGGAAUCUUGGGUGUCGGAACCCUCGAGAAGGGUAAGCCAUAUGUUUUCAUGUGUGUUUUCAGAGUUUUGAAUGUUUUCAAGUAUAAAGGAAAAUGAGUUUUGAAAGAAAAGCAAUAAGGGAGAAAGGCAAAGGUUCGGCUGCCGAACAUUGCAUGGUUUCGGAUUCACGUUCGGCUGCCGAAGGUGGUCUGGCCAGCCACCUAUUUAAGUGCCAAAGGUCGGUGGAAGGAGGAUAUUUCUCCUCCACUUGCAGCCAGAGGUGAGUUCCAGCCUCUCCCAAGUUGACUUCAUGUUUUUCAUGUUUUUCACCAAAUCUUUCAAGGGUUUUAAGAGUUUUGGUGUGUUUUGAAGGUUUUGAGCAAAAAUAGCAAGUUUGGAAGUUUGGAGUUUUGGAAGAGGUUUUCUUCAUAUCUCCACGUUAGGAUCACUUGAUCUCUUGUUUGGAAGAGGUAAAGUCAAGAUCCAGACCCUCUUUUACUAAUUUUUGAAGGUUUUCUGGGAGUUGUAUGGAUAGUAUGCAUGAGUAGGGUUUUGGUUGAGGUUUUGCAUGAUUUUGUGUUUAAGCAUGUUUAAGUGUUGUUUGUAUGUUUCUUGGGGUGAUAAGUGAGUUUUAGGCCCUUUUAUGCAUGUUUUAUGGUAUGUGCUAGUUGGGAGUAGUUGAUAUGCAUGUUGGGUAAGUUUGGGGGAAAGGUUUGCAUGAAACAGAGCAAGGUUCUGUCCAUUGGACAAAGCCAGGUUCGGCCGCCGAAGGAAGGUUCGGCCGCCGAACCCCUUGUGGAGGCAGUUGCGGUUGCCAAAGCUUGCCCCCGAACAUUUGGACUUUCGUCUCUGGAAGCAAGGUUCGACCGCCGAAAGUGCCGCCGAAGGUUGAGGUUCGUCUCUGGAUGAGACUUUCGGCUGCCGAAGGUGCCGCCGAACAUGCCUGAGUUUCGUCUCUGGAGAGGGGUUUCGGCCGCCGAACCUGCCGUCGAACGUGCCCUGUCCAGCUUUCUUUUGCAUGUUUUAUGUGUUUGUUUGAGGAUCUUGUAGAGGGUUUUUGGGGAGUUUCUUAGAGAUGUUCUUGAGUUAGUUUGGUCCCUCAUUUGAGUCCACCUGUGUAGGAACGGACCAGAGGAACCCCAGAGAGCAGCAGUGAGCACUGUUUCAGAACCUGCAGAGUUAGUACAGAGUCAGCCAGAUGUGAGUGGAACUUCUCUUUUCAGACCUAAACUGCUUUGAGCAUAUGUCAUGCAUCAUAAGAUUAUAGUAGGAUGAUUGCAUUAGUUUCACGAAGAUGACGCAUUGCAUAAUACGAUGUGUAUGAGGCUGUGGAUAGACCAAGGCGACCCCAAUAGCCCUAGCUCUGUGUAAGACCUGGCCGGGCCAGGCAGCCUUAUGUAGGUAAGACCUGGCUAGACCAGGCAGCAGAUUAUCGUAAGACCUGGCCGGGCCAGGCGAGCAGAGUUUGUAAGACCUGGCCGGGCCAGGCAGAUUGAGGUUGUAAGACCUGGCUAGGCCAGGCAUCCUUCCAGUGGGAUUUUUGGUGGUCAUGUCUAUCCCUGAGAUGAUGUGCUGUUAUGCAUUCCAUGAGAUCAUGUUUUCAACCUAUGGUUUAUAGUUCUGCUCAUUGGGCUUGUAUAGCUCAUCCCUCUCCCAUAUCCCCCAGGUUUGCAGGUUCAGAGUCCAGAGGGAGUCCAGCAGGGUUUGCAAGAAGCAGAGUUAUGUAAUAGCUAGUGUGGACAUGUACAUGUAAAGAGAUAAUGUAUAAUGUGUAGCUUUGUGCUUGACUUAUAAGAGAUGUAAUCCCUUGUUAUAGACACAUGAUCAGUUUAUGUAUGUUUCUUUUAUUGUUAAUGAAUAUGAGAAAACCAGGCUUAACAUUAUGAGUUGAUAGACCAGAAAGAGUGCAUGUACAGGUUAAGCCCUGGAGGAAAGCAAAGUUUUUAGUGGUUUGACAGAAAAUGUAUGAUCAUGUAUGGGAUUUCACAGGUACACAGACAGUGUAGCAGGCUUACUACGGGUCCCGGCGACCUUAAGUCGAUCUGGAUCCUAGUGCCGGUAGCAGUUCGGUUUCCGGGCUGUUACAUGCAUGGCAUUUGGGUUCUCAUUCGGCCGUCGUAGUUGGUCUGGCUAGCCAACUAUAAAAGGCCCUAGGUCGGUCAAAUAGAUAAGAUUUUCUUUCCAUUUGCACGAGUUGAGGUGAGACUUGAUCUUCCUUGAGUGAUUUAUGUGUUUUCUCAAAUCUUUCAUGGUUUUAAUGGAUUUUCAUGUGGUUUUGAAGUUUUUGAGCAAAAGAGCAAGUUUGGAAGCUUGGAGAGUUUGAGAGAGGAUUUCUCCAUAUCUCCACGUAGGGAUCGUUCAAUCUCUUGUUUGGAAGAGGUAAGUGAAAAUCCUGAACUUCCUUCCUUAAUUUUUGAAGGUGUUAUGGCAGUUUCAUGGGUAGUAUGCAUGAAUAGGGUUAGAUGAGAUUUUUGGUGAUUUUUGGUAUCAGCAUAGUUAAGUGUUGUUUGGUAUGUUUGUUGGAGGUGUUAGGAUAGGUUUAGACCUCUUUAUGCAUGUUAUAUGGUAUAUGCUAGUUGGUAGACAAGGGUUUCAUCCGCUCGAGUACCUCACCUUGGGGUGCUCCACUACUGUUUAUCAGGAAGAAGGAUGGACCUCUUAGACUUUGUAUCGACUACAGGCAGUUGAACAAGGUCACUACCAAGAACAAGUAUCCUCUACCCCGGAUCGAUGAUCUCUUUGACCAGCUGUCAGGAGCAGGAUGUUUCUCUAAGAUAGAUCUGAGAUCAGCCGUACCACAGAGCAGUGGCAGAGGUAGAGAAAGAGGGUCAGCCUCUUCAUCAGGGAUGGGUUCCCGAGGUGCAGGUCCAUCAGCCCCAGCACGGAUUUUCACCAUGACGCAACAGGAGGCAGAUACAUCGAACACAGUGGUGUCAGGUAAUCUCAUCAUUGGGUGUUCAGAGGUGUAUGCUUUGAUGGACCCCGGUGCUUCUCACUCUUUCAUUGCUUCUAGAGCCGCAGAGAGGUUGGGUUUGAUAGUCUCCGAGUUAGAGUGUCCUCUCUGGGUCAGUGGACCUAGAUGUGACCCAUCAUUGGCAGAGUCAGUCUGUCAAGUCAGUACAGUGUGUAUAGAGGAUAGAUACCUUCCAGCUGACCUCUUUAUGCAUGUUAUAUGGUAUAUGCUAGUUGGGAGUAGUUGCUUUGCUAUGCAUGUUGGAUAGGUUUUGGAUGAAGUUUGCAUGAAACAGAGCAGAUUUCUGCCCAACGGGCAAAACCAGGUUCGGCCGCCGAACCCCUUGUGGAGGCAGUUUCGGCUGCCAAAGCUUGCCCCCGAACAUUUGGACUUUCGUCUCUGGAGGCAAGGUUCGGCCGCCGAAAGUGCCGCCGAAGGUUGAGUUUCGUCUCUGGACGAGACUUUCGGCUGCCGAAGGUGCCGCCGAACAUGCAUGAGUUUCGCCUCUGGAGGGGAGUUUCAGCCGCCGAACCUGCCGCCGAAAGUGCCCUGUCCAGCUUUCUUUUGCAUGUUUUAUGUGAUUGUUCUAUGAUGCUUUAGAGGGUUUUUGGGGAGUUUCUUAGAGAUGUUCUUGAGUUAGUUUGGUCCCUCAUUUCAGUCCACCUGUGUAGGAAUGGACCAGAGGAACCAAGGAGUUCAGCAGUGAGCACUGUUUCAGAACCUGCAGAGUCAGUACAGAGUCAGCUAGAGGUGAGAGGAACUGAACUAAAUCUUUUGCUAUGAGAACUCAAACAUUUUUAGCAUGUUUCAUGCAUCAUUUAUGCCAUGUUUAUAGUAUUGCAUUAGUGAGCACGAAGAUGGUGCAUUAAUCAGUGCAUGUACAGAUCGGGCGUAGCUUGGAUUCAUUAGCCCCCUAAAUGAAGACCUGAGGAGCCCUGAAAGGGCCGGGCACACGGUACCAUAGGGUGCUGAAUGAAGACCUGAGGAGCUCCUUCGCGGGCCGGGCAAUGUGGGGAAAUUUUGAAUUAGUCCGUCUGAGAUUAUGUGAUUUACUUGUGUUGUGAUGCAUUCCAUGAGAUCAUGUUUUAUAACCUGUUUUAUAUGUACUACUCACUGGGCUAGUAUAGCUCACCCUCUCCCUUCACCCCAGUCUUGCAGGUUCAGAGUCCAGAGGUGUCAGCAAGGUACAGAGAAAGAGCAGAGUUAUGUAAUAGAUAGUGUGGACAUAUAAUUCUAAAGGAUAGUUUUUAUUGUAUAGAUGAUGCUUGACCAUAUGAUUUGUAAUCCCUUUUGUCUAUACAUGGUCUGUUAUGAAAAUAAUUGUAUUGUCUAUGUAUGAAAAACCACAGUAUAUGAUUGGACCCGCCUAGAGCAAAGAUGAGAGCUCUAACAGGGGUUUUAUAGUACAGAGAUAGUGUAUGCACAGGUUAAGCCUUGGAACAGAGAAAAGUUUUAAUGUUUACAGAAAAUGUUUGAUCAUGUCUGGGAUUUCACAGGUACACAGAGUUCACAGCAGGCUUGCUACGGGUCCCGGCGGCCUUAAGCCGAUCUGGAUCCUAGCGCCGGUAGCAGUUCGGUUUCCGGGCUGUUACACUUAGACUUGCGAGUGACCCGAUCCGCUUUUUGAGACUAUGUCAAGGCCAAAGAAAUCAGAUCGGCCCAUCAAUGAAGCUUCCUGAGUUUUUGGGUCGGGACAGCUUUCGCGAGUCUGACCUCCUAUCUGGACGCAUGAAACCCAACGGUCAUCAAUAAGUUUAUUUAAAUAAUUGUAUAUUAAAAUUAAAAAAAUUCAUUUAUAUUCUAGAUAAAAUAUAAAAAUCUUUCGUAUUUUUUUUUUCAUCUAUGAUUGUUUUUCGUAUCUAAUAAAUAUAUUAUAAUUUGUAAAUGUUAUAUGUAGAUAAAUUUUAUAUAAUUUAUAAUUAUUUUAUUUUUAUUAAAAAAAUUUGAUAUGAAUAUUGUAUUUAAAUAUACCAUAAUUUUAUUAAAUUAAAACAUAGCAUAAUUUUUAAUGUUGUUAAAUUUAUUAUAUUUAUUUGUAAUGUUUAAUUUUUAAUUUACUGUAUUUUUUAUUAAAAAUAUCAUUAAAAUAAAUUAAGAAAUAUUUUAUUAAGUGAUGAAAUAUUUUAAUUUAUUUUAAUAUCUAAUAUAGUGUAAUAGUCAUUAUCCAUAUUAUAUUAAAUUUAGAUAUAUUCAAUUUAAACAAUCAUAAAAGCUUUUUAAAACAAAAAAACUCUUUUAUAUUAUAUUUCUCAAAUAUAUUUUGAAAGUUCUGACUUUUACUUCAAUUUUAUAUAUUUAAAGCUCUGACAUUUAUUUCUCUUCUUCUACUGCUUAAAAGCUAAAGUAAAAGCUAUGGUCAAACAAGCACUCCACGCAGCAUCAAUGGCUCCUCGCACAGAAUUUGCACAUCUUAAAGCAAUUUUGUAGAGAUGGAGAAUUUUCACCUUGCAUGAUUCCUGACAACCAAUAUAUUCUAAGUUACUCAAACCCACUCAAAAGCUUGUAGACUUAAGAUGCCUCUGCCAACUAUAUUAAGAAUCUAUGCGUCAUGUGUUGUUCUCUGGCCAUGCUCCCAAUCGUCUUUAUAUAAUCUCCUCUCUUUUACUCCAACCCAAAGCACUUACAUAACCAUACAUCUAUAAUCAUCCUAUCUGAUCAUCAUUAGUUAUGGGGAUAAAAUUAAAAAUGGACAUUAAUUUUCAAUAAUCAAGAAGAAUAAUAACAAAAGAAAAGGUGGGAAAAGAUGUUAGGAACGAAUGCUUGGAAUAGAAGCCCAUUCAAAGUUGAAACUUCUGCCAUUACUUGGAUUGGACUCAAAGUCUGGUUAGUCUCAUCAAGAGAAAGAGAGAGAGAGUGAGAGAGAGGGGGAGAGAGCUAACGUCCAUGUUAACCUUUCUGGGUGAAAAUUCAACAUUCCAUUCUAUAACUUUGGACUGGACUUCCCACCUUACCCAACUCUGAAAGAACCCUCCCAACCAGCAAAAAAAAAAAAGAAGGAAAAACAUCAUAUUAUCUGUGAGAAAAACAUCCAAAACACAAUCUUAGAGACAUUAUACCAUUUUUUUGGUUGAAAUGCUCUGGAACUUGGUUCCAACACAGAGGAAACAUGGCAAAAAGAUCAGAUUUUGCACAGAAGCUGUUAGAUGAUCUCCGGGCUCGGAAGGAUCGAAUAUCUGCAUCUCAGAGCUCAAAAAGUUCAAAGCCACUAGCUGCAGGUAAGCAUUCCAAUGAAUUUCAAGCAAGAAGCAAAUUCAUGGGCUUGAGAAAUUUCUGAACAAUAAAGGCAAUUAUGAUUUAAGACUAUUGAGUCACACUUUUGUGUCAAUGAAAGUCAUCAUGGAAAAUGCUCCAAAAAACUGAAACACAUUAACUCCUCUUGGAUAGAUGCCUAUGUUCAGUGUUUCCCAGGACAAAUAAGUUUGUAGGUGUCUAGGCUUCUAUGGUUAACUUUCCUUUUUCUGAAAAUGAUGAUUCUUAUUCAACAACUUCAAGCAAUUCCAAAAAUCAGCAAGCAUCAACUGCGUCUUAGGACAAGUUGAGAGGGGAUCAUCUGUAAGCACUAUAGGAUCAGAGAAAUUUAUUCGCUCUGAUAAAGCGGCACCAAGAUAUAUUAUGGCCAUAAAUACUUAUGUAUUUCAGUUGGUCACAACCAUGAUCAUGUUGAAAAACAAGGACAAUUCCCAACAAAAAAACAAAAUUAAGAACACAAAAGUUUCAUGUGAUUCAUCUAAUAGCAAUAUGUUCUUCAGAAGAUAGAAAAGGGAUAAAGGUUGAUGAGAAUUAGAGGAAAAUCAAACAAAUUAGAGUACUAUUAUCUUAUUCUCCAUAUUGAAGAGCACACAUAACAAAAAAAAAAAAAAAAAAAAAUCAAUUUUCCAUAAUUAGACCAAAUUAGUUAAUAUUUCCAAGUUCGCUUUUAAUACCACUUUGUAAAUCACAUAUUAGAAGAAUAAGUAAAUAAACGAAGAGGAGAAUACUUUACUAAGAGGGAAGUGAGGAUUUAGGUCAAAUGAGAAAUACAAUAUGUGGCUGUUUAAAUGCAAGCAUUCCUUUUAAAUAACUUAAGGACUACUGCAAACUAGAAAGGGGCUUUUACAGACAAAAACCUUGAAUACUGGCACUGAAGACUGAAGUAUUGUUCUUUUAGAAGUAUCUUUAUUUUCUAAAUAUGAUGUGCCUGCACAGAUGCAUAUUCUUAUUCGAAGCAAGCAUAUAGAGGAUCCAGAGAAAUGAAAACGCAUGGACCUGUAAGUUAUUGUUGAUGAAGCUGGUUAAAGCAGAUCUCCUGCACCUCAAUUACUUAAAUUGCUUCAUUUCUGCAGAGUGGCUUAAAAAACGGAAGUGCAUGCCAUAAGUCUACGGGAGGCAGCAGAACACUGUCCGUUGGAGAAGCUUCAAACAAGAUUAUUCCUUUUGGGAGAGGUAGAAGCUCAGAACAUGGAGAUCUGUCCUUGGCACUGGCUUUUGCCCUUGAGAAUGGAGGAAAACUCAGAAGAAUGGACUCAGCUGGCAACAGUUCCAUGCUGGAUUUCCUGAAUCAGAUUGGCAGAAGAUCAUUUGAUCUGGCCAAGAUGGAAAGAAGCAGCAUUGAUAGGCACAGAUCAGCAACUAGCCACUUCCCUACUGUUUCUCAUCUCCAUAUCAAAGAAAUAUCUAAGGGGGCACAAAAAUUAAAUCAGAUCCUAAGUGCCUGCUCUAAUGGUCUUAACUUCGACAGAUAUUCAAUAGAAAUAGGAACAGAACUAUUGAAGGGUGCCAUGGAGUUAGAAGAGUCCCUUCGCAUGCUAGUAAACCUGCAAGAAGCUUCAGAGUACAUGAUCAGCCCACAAAGCAAAACUCGGAUCACUUUGCUUGAUGAUGAUGAAGAUAACGAUAACAUCAAUGUCCAGCAGGAUGACAAUAAGCAACUUGCUCAGAGAAUAUUCUCUUUUGACAAGCCUUCAAAAAAUUCUCAUUACAUCCAGGAAGCCGCAAGGACUGAUCUCAAGCAAAGGCUAAUGGCCCUGACUUACAAAUCAGAAACUACAAACUUUGACCAUGAUACACACACUUUAAGCACCACAAAUUCCACUUUUCAGACACAGCCAGCUAGCUACAGCCCCAACGUGAAAACUUUUCAAGCACUCUCAGAGCAUAAGAAUCACUCAGGUCCAUCAAAACUGAAACCAGAAAAUGGGAGAAUUCCAAAUGUAAUUGCAAAAUUAAUGGGGCUGGAAGAACUUCCAGGAAAUGAUGGUUCAAAAUAUAUCACAAACAAAGAGUCCAGUUCUAAGGGAAAAACAGAGCAGACAGCUGCAAAGAAACCUCCAGAUGGAAGCCUUACACAUGAACGGAAGACAAAAGAUGCUGGGAUUUUGUCCUCUCCAAUCAGGAAACAUAAACAGAUACAAUCCAACCAAAUUCAAUCAGCUCAGGACAUGACACAUAGCUUGCAAGCAGAAAGGAAUCUAGCAAAUCGACAUACUAGAUUUGAAGGGAGUAUUCAUGCUGUAAAAUUAGUGCAGGAGGAUGUGGAAUGGAUAAAACCAACUAGAAGCUCAAACAAGGCCAACAUGAACAUAGCUAAGCAUCAGAGCAACAUCGACCAAUCAAGCCAAAGUAUAGGAAAUCAAAAGGAUAUUAAGGAGAAAGAGCAAAAACAGGAUAAUCCAAAGCUGAGGGAACUGAAAAGCAAUAAAAAGGGUGAAACUAAGGAACUAAUCCUAAAGCGUCAGCCCCAGCAGAUGACACAUCAGCCACCAAAUGGAUCUGAAGCCGCAACACUGCUGCAAGGGCAAGUAGAGUGCAAUUUGACCAUGCUUAAAACAGAAAGGAUAGAUGUACAUAGGCUGCCAUCCGACAAUCAGCUGAAGUCUUUUGAUGAUCUUGCAUUCCAACAAACUCAAAUGCUCCAAAAUGUUGAGUCCCAAGGUGGAAAACAUCAUGCAGAAGAAAAUCAGCAGCAGAGUGUUAAAGAGAAGAUACAAGUGAGAAGGCAAAUAGGAAGUGAAACAAGGCGCUUGCCAAAAAAGCAUUCACAUAAAAGCCCAGCAAUAGCUGAUAAUGGAAGCUACUCAGAAUCAAACGGUACAAUACAAUCCACGGGCUUCCCAAAUAAAAGGCAGCACGGAGAUCUUGUCCAAGAGAAAAGUUCUUCUAAUUGCAGCAUUAACAUGCAGGAUUCAAUGAACAAGAAUUCAAAUCAAAAUACCUCUCCAAGGAAUCUGAACUCUGAAGUUAUAAAAGGAAAAAAUAGAACCGGUAUUCCACCAGAGAAAGAAGAGAAACCUGUUCAUCUACUACCAGCAGUUCAGAAGGGAAAAGUUACAAAAGUGCAAAAAGUUGAGGUUCCUCAAAAGACUGAUAAACUAGCGAUAAGAAGAAUCGGAAAUCCUCACAACUUGGCAAGGCCACUGAAACAUCAGACUUCCAUAAUGCAACAAACAAAACAGAGAAGAAAUAAAAAACUUGUACAAUCCAAGGAAGAAGAGCGACUGAGACCCAGCAGGUCCAAAGAAGCAGAAUCGUGCAUUAUUAAAUCCAAUAAAUCAGUAUCAAGCAUGCAACAACCAAACAUGUUGGAAGAACUACAAAGUCAAGCUGAAAAGCCUUCCACCUUGUGCUGUCCUCCUACAGAUGAUGAAUGCCAAAACCUAAACGGACCACAAAUCCUAGCUCCAGACGAAAUCGUAAGUUUCCUUGUUGCUGCAGUUAUUUCACAGAAAAUAAACACUGUUUUAGGAACUUAUACAAAUACAAGCUACUUCGGUAAAAAUUAUUACCUCCAAAAUAAUGAGCUAACUCUUUCUGUGUUGCACAGUCAUCAUCAAUGAUAAAAGAUCAACAAGGUCAUGAACCUGACAUUGACAUAGACAAAUGCAUAUCUCACAGCUCUUUAUUGGAUCCACUUAGCAGUAAGUAUAAAGCACAUUUUUUUAGUUUACUUUUCAGUGUAAUGGUUUUCAUGUCUACAGAACUGCUGACUGAUAAAUGAGUUGGCCAUAUGCUCCAAUUCAUUUACCACAUCAAGUUUCCCUACAUAUGAUUGACAAUUUAUUUUAGGCCGAACUUGUAUCAGUAAGCCUUCCAAAAUAAAGGCUUGUAAUGUCAAAGUUUAUUGCUGGAUUCUUGCAGGAACUCAUGAAGAUAGGAAAGAUACAACUUACCCCUCACAACUGGAGAAUCAAAAAGUAUCUGAAUUGGAAACGCAAGAGUUACUAACAGAAAGUGAAGAUCACCUCAAGCAGAUCCUGAUAAAAAGUCCCCUAUUUCUUAACACAGCAGAGGCACUUUUCAAACUCAACAUUCCUCUUGACAUUCGCCAUGCUGGUGGUCAUGAUUAUCAUGAUGAAGAGAGCAAGCUCAUAUUAGACUGUGGAUAUGAAGUAAUGAAAAGGAAAGGGAAAAGGCAAGAGCUCAGUGUUAAUCCUUUCAGGAGGAUUUCUAUCACUUCUCCUAAGGUAAGCUCCUUGGAUGACUUGAUUAAGCAGUUGGAUAAAGAUUUCAAGAAGUUAAAAUAUACAACGGAAUGUGUUGUUGAAGACUACCUCCCAAAAAUGCUUGAGAUUGAUGUCUACAACAGGGAUCUAGACGUGAAUUGUAUGUGGGACUUUGGCUGGCACGAGAUGACGUUCACAUUGCUCGAAAAAGAUGACGUUAUAAGGGACGUGGAGAGGCAUGUACUCAAUGCACUCCUUGAUGAGGUUACUAGAGAUCUGCUAGUAUUUUGAUUAAAUUGAAGAAAUAAUUCCUAGUAUGUUGGAAUUCCAAUGCACAUUGAAACAAGAAUUUUGUGUGGCUUAUUUGGUUUUCAUCCAAGGAACUUCAAUUAUACUCCUUAUGUUUCUCUUAACUGUAAUGCUUACUGUAGAUUAUCUGCUUGUGUAUAAGUGAAGUUCAAUCAUUUUAUUAUCCUUCAAACUAAUUUAUUCAUCUAUUUUUCCACCCAAGUCAAAAGCACAAAUGAUAAAUAAGGUUAUUACCUCCAAAUAUAUAAGAGACAUUCAAUUCAGAUAGUGGUUUACAAUGGAAGCAAGCAAUAUCACUCCACAGAUGUGGAAAAUGAGAUCAACUUGAAUGACAGGUAGGCUUAAAUGAUAUGCCAGGCUUCAAAGAGAUGGACUCCUUUCCGAUACUAAUCAGAAGUUCAAUAAUUAACAUAAGUUCAUGUAUAGUAGAGAGAGUGUAAUACCUUUACCAUAUGGAGAGCUAAUUUAAAUGCAAAAUCAAAACAAAUGAUCAACAACUUUUUUGAGCGAAGCAUACCUGUAAAUCAACAAUUUUUUAGCGCAUCUCUUCAGUACUCACCUGAGGCGUGUUUGAUUGCCAGGAAUUUGCCAGAAAGAAAAUUUAUCAAAAAUAAAAACUAUCGUGCUGUCCGUUGACACGUGCUUUCUAAUCAAACGAUUCACUCAGUUGAUCCAAUCCGAAUAUUGCAUUAUCAUGUUGAGCUCGAAAUUUUGAAAAGAAAGCAAUUACAGGCCUGAAAUUCAGAAUUUUCAUUUCUCCCCGUUUCCCUGAAGUUUUUCUCGCCAGCCAAACAGGUGGAAGCUCAGUUGGGCGGGCAGCGAGGAGAGCAUACUAUCAAUUUGGAUUAUCAAAGGCCUUCAGUCUGGCCCAUGGCUAAAACCUUCCCAGGCCUCGAUAAUUAGUGUGCGACUCUUUUGCUUUCUUUUACUAAGAAACGACGCCGAAUGUUGCGAAAGGACGUACUAUUUUUUUCCUAAAGUUAUGGGACACGGUAAUUUUUCUAAAAAAUUAUAUAAAUAUAACUGUGCAUGUAUUCUUAAUAAUUAAAAUAAUUUCAAAAAAAUAAUAAUUAUAAAUGUAAAUUGUUAAUUGACUGUCUUAUCUAAUUAUAAUUUACACAUAUAUUGAAAAUUAAAUUAAAAUAUUACUAUAUAUAUAUAUAUAUAUAUAUAUUAUGUUUAUACUUCAAGUAAAUUUUACAUCAGAUCAAAUUGACUUAAUUUAAUAUAAUGUUAUUUUCAACUUAGAAUAAAUUAAUAAACUUAUCGUUAUUUUAUAUUAUUAAAAUAUAUUAUAUCAUAUCAUUGUUAAAUAAAAUAUUUAUGAUAUUUUUAAAAAAUAUAUGUUAAUUAAUUAUUUUAUUAAUUUUAUUUAUUAAAUAUUUUAUUUUUCAGUCUAUAUAUAUAAAAAAAUUUAUCGAUUAAAAUUUAUUUUUAUAAAAGUAUUUACUAAUUAAUUAAUUUUUCUAUAUUUAGAGAAUUUUAUUUUAUUUUUUAAUAUUUACUCAUUAAAAUUAAUGAAAAUAUUAAUUAAAAUUUUUUUUUAACACAUCAUAAAUAAAUGUAUUCUUCAAAUCCAAUAAAGUAACUAAUUAAUUUUUUAAUAUGGCUGUAACUAAAUAAUAAUUGAUAAUUUAUAAUACAUACUCUUAUUUAGAUUGCAAUACGUAAAUUUCACUUAGUAUUACCUGACUAAAUAAGAAAUAACUAAACUUUAAGAUGUGCAGGUUUUUAGUCCAUCCGCCUUCAAGACUCCAAAAAAUACUAAAUGAUCUUACCACUAAAGUGUUCAAAAUAAAGAUAAUUAAACUCUUAUUCUUUGUAGAGAUCGUAUAGGAUUUUAGAUGCGCAUAUUUUAACUAUUUUAAUAUGAUGUAUAUUAAUAAUAUUAUUAUUUUAAUCGAUUUAAUAUUAAAUGAGUCCACUGCUACUAUUAAUAAAUUAUGUAAAAAAUAUAUCAAAAGUAUUAUUGUUUACUCUAAAAUAAUGUCACAAGUAUAUAUAUGCGAAUCAGAAUAUAUAUAUACUCAUUUCAGUUUUAAAAAAAAAUUUCACCUUUUUCUUGUCAAAUUUCACAUUACAGCCCUAAAACUUAACACUUUUAAAAAAACCAUCAAGCUAUAUUACUAUCAUCAUUUAUUAAAUUAAAUUUAUUUAUUAUCAUUAACUCAUAACUAAGUCAUGUGUGGUGCAUCUCACUUUAAUCAAUAAUUUUUUAAUAAUAAGAAGAAGAAGAUGAAGGAGAGAUGAGAGUAAUCUCCCAGGAGUAGAUCAGAUGAGAAGCAAACAACUAAGAAAGCUUAAAUGUGAUGUUGAUAAAAGCUUACCUUUUCUUUUUCUUAAUAUUAAAAAAUUUUACUUGUGCGCCAAUCAAACCCACGUUCCUAAAGUAAGUACACCUUUGUGCUUUCCCCCCUCAAUUAUCAAUACCUUACAUCAAUUGAAUAUGUUCUUUUUUCAAAGCUCUUUUGUGCAUUGGAAAUGAAAUGAUUGUCUCUCCAAUUGUCAUUUCUUAACACACAAGUAAAUAUCCAUGUAGCUCUCUUCCGCUGAGGUUAUGCUUUUCCUUCAAAUCCCAACUUAAAAAUGUAAUUCCAUAUUUAUAAAAAAAAUAUAUAUAUAUUAUCCGAUGUAAAAUAUUUAUAUUAUUUAUAUUUUUAAUAUUUAUAUUAUUUAUAUUUUCAAACGGUUAAUUAUUUCAUUAUUUAUAUUUUUAAAUGAUUAAUUAUUUAAUAUAUUAGUCACAUGUAAAAUAUUUAAAUACUCUUAUAAUAAUAAAAAAAAAAACUCUGAUCUAUAGUUAGUUAUUGUAAUUUUCACAAUUGACCGAGUUUUGACAAUUAAUUUCAACUUUUUUUUAAAUAAUUUCAUCUAUUUGAUUAAAUUAAAUUUAUAAUUUAUAAAUCUGACAACCUUCAAAUACAUGGAUUUUAUUUAUUAUAUAUCUUUUCACUGUUAAUAUCUUUAACAUUAUUACUGAUUUAAAAUUCUAUUCGCCAAAUCGUCGGUGUUUUAUUUUUUAUCUAAACCCAAGCCAAUAUAACAUUAAAAAAAAAUAAGUUAAGAAACUUAGUUAAUUUUUUAAUUUUAAAAAAUAUAUUAAAAUAUUUUUAAUAUUUAAAAAGUUUAAUAAUUAAUCAUUUCAUUAAUUUUUAAUUAUUUAAUAUUUUAUUAUUUAAUUCAUUAAAUUUUUAAAAAUUUAUUAAUUAAUUUUUUCAUAUUAAAAAUAUUUUAGUUUUUUUAUAAUAUUUAAUUAUUAAAAUUAAUAAAAAAUUAAUUAAUAUAUUUUUAAAACGUUAUUAAUAUUUUAAUAUAUUUUUUAAAAUUAAACAAUUAAUUAAAAAAAUUUUAUAUGUCUAAUGAAUUAGUAAAAUUCCAAAUAUCCACAUGACUUUUUCUUUUAACCAUAUGUAUGAUUUAAAACUCUAAUGAAAAGCAGAGAUGGAUUUCAAAAUUUUAGGAUCAAUAAAAAUAGAUCAUACAUUAAAGAGGGGGUAUUGGGUAUCCACGUGGCCUUCAAUUGUUUAAAGAAGCAAACAAUUGUUCGUAGCUCCGUACUUGUAAGAGCUUCCAGUUUUAUAGAUUCUAUACGGUAGGAGGGGGUGUUGGGUAUCCACGUGGCAUUCAAUUGUUUAAAGAAGCAAACAAUUGUUCGUAGCUCUGUACGUGUAAGAGCUUCCAGUUUUAUAGAUUCUAUACCGUAGUAUUAUAACCUUUUGAAAAGCAUUUGCCCACCGGAAGUUUUGUUUACGGUUUUGCCCCUGGACGAUCUUCUUCUCUUUGUAUAUUUAUCGCCCAUUUCAACUUCAAAGACCAUCAGAAAACAGAUACAACUUCUCAGUCAUGGCGGUUCUUCAUUGUACUUCUGCUCUGCUCCUCCUUUUUCUUUUACAGGCUAGCAUAGCAAGUAAGUUUGUUCUUUUCUCUUAAGUUCAUCAAUUGAUUUCUGGGAUUUAUUCUUCAGAAAAGCAUUUUUUAUUGUCUUCCUUGCUUCAAGUUUAACUUUCAGAAUUUUUAUUUUUAUUAAAAUGAAAUUUCGUACAUAUUGUAAGAAUUCAUUUAUUUUUUGACAAAAUAAAUUAUCUCAAACGGAGAAGAGACUGAUUUUAAAAUGUAACGGCUAGCCUGGAUUUGAACUCUGUUGAUCCAAAAGAUACCUUUAUUUGGUUGCUGAGAAACGGUAGAAAAUGAACGUUGUAAUAAAAAAUAUAUAUCUAUUUUUAAAUAUUAGGAGUAAUAAUCCAAAAUUAUACCUCACUGCAGACUCGGAACCAUUCAUCGGUGUAAAUUAUGGUCAAGUCGCGAGCAACCUUCCGCCUCCAUCAGCCACCGCAAAGCUGCUUCAGUCGACCUUGAUCGAAAAGGUCAGAUUGUACGGGUCAGACCCGGCUUUAAUCAAAGCCUUAGCCGGUACUGGAAUUGGAAUCACUAUCGGUGCAUCGAAUGCUGAUAUUCCAUCACUAGCCUCAGAUCCCAACUUCGCCAAGAACUGGGUCGACACCAACGUGGUUCCAUUUUAUCCAGCUAGUAAAAUCAUCCUUAUCACUGUUGGUAAUGAGGUGAUGAGCUCCGGCGACAAGAAUCUCAUGACGAAGCUCUUGCCGGCAAUACAAAAUGUCCAAAAUGCUCUGAAUGCAGCGUCUCUUGGGGGCAAGAUUAAGGUAUCUACAGUCCAUUCUAUGGCUGUGCUGAAGCAAUCAGAUCCACCAUCAACCGGAAGCUUCGAUCCCAGUUUCGGCGAUUUGAUGAAGGGUUUAUUGGGGUUUAACAAUGCCACGGGCUCACCUUUUGCAAUCAAUCCGUACCCAUACUUUGCUUACAAGAGCGAUCCGAGGACUGAAACUCUUGCUUUUUGUCUUUUCCAACCGAAUAUGGGGCGUGUUGAUGCGAACACGAAGAUCAAGUACAUGAACAUGUUUGACGCUCAGGUAAGUUUGCGUAAAGCGAAUUGGCCAACCAAAAAGUUGCCGGGCGUGUCUUCAUGUAUGCUCUUAAUCAUUAAUUAUGUCAAAAUCUAUAUAAAACCUAUGUAUAUAGAGGCAAUACUUAACUAGACCUAUAAAUGCACGGUGGUGGGAUGGACAUUUACACACAAAAUUUCUUAUCUAAAUCCGGUUCAUAUGGACCCGCCGUGGAAAACAUGACACUCUGUAUAUAUAUUGACAUCCGGUUUAGAUAAGUUCUCUUUUUUCUUUUUUCUUUUUUUUAUAAAGAUCCGGUCUAGAUAAUUUUUUUUAUACAUAUGCAUAAUGGUUAUGUCUCCUGAGCAUGAUAUUUUUACUGAAGCAACAUUUAUUUACUACUCUCAGCUUGAUGCUGUUCAUUCUGCAUUGGGCUCUAUGGGAUUUAAGAAUGUGGAAAUUGUGGUGGCUGAGACUGGGUGGCCUUACAAGGGAGAUGACAAUGAAGUAGGGACAAGUAUUGAGGAUGCUAAGGCUUACAAUGGCAAUUUGAUUGCACACCUUCGAUCCAUGGUGGGCACCCCAUUAAUGCCAGGGAAAUCAGUAGAUACAUAUAUCUUUGCUCUGUAUGAUGAAGACUUGAAGCCUGGUCCUGGCUCUGAGCGAUCAUUUGGGCUUUUCAAGCCUGAUCUCACCAUGACUUACGAUGCCGGCCUCUCAAAGGGCCAGGUGAGAACCAAUUUAAGAAGCCUUCUGAUUAGGAGGUAGGAUUUCACUUUGCAGUAGUUAUAUGCGUUAAGCUUUAUUAAUACAAGUUAUUACAUUUGAAGACUCCAUCUACGCCAAAAACUCCGGAGACUCCAAAACCGGUGACUCCAACACCAGUGUCUAACAAAGAAACAUGGUGUGUGCCAAAGGCUGGUGUUUCUGACGCACAAUUGCAGUCAAAUCUGGAUUACGCUUGUGGACGAGGGAUUGAUUGUAGUCCAAUCCAACCAGGUGGAGUUUGCUUUGAGCCAAAUACAGUAGCAUCGCAUGCUGCUUAUGCUAUGAAUCUUCUCUAUCAAAAUUCCGAUAGAAGUCCAGGAAACUGUGAUUUCUCGCAGACGGGUACCCUUUCAUCUAAGAAUCCCAGUAAGUUUCUUUCAAGCAUGGUUUUCUGGAAUUUUACAUAUUUUCUAAACUUUUCUUUAGAUGAAUGCUAAAUUAGUAAUGUUCAUUCUUGAUCUCUUUUAUCUUGUAGGCUAUGAUGCUUGCAAUUAUCCUGGCGGAAGUGCCUGAAAACUUGAGAGGGAAGCUGCAAAUAGAUUGGUUGUGUGUAAAAAUAUAUGGAGGAUUCUCUUGCUUUUUCUUCUCCCUAUCAUUGUGUGAUGUUUGUGAAGAAAUUGUAAUAUAUUCCUUAUCAAUGUAUAUUCGAAUUGAUAAUGUACAAGAUUAAUCAGAAAUCUUUGUGAGUUUCAUUGAUGAAUUCUAAUGUGGAUCUACCUGAAAAUCUCCUCUCUCACCAAGUUCAAAUUCUUCCUUGAAAUUCUGAAAUUGAAGAUAAGACAGGGAUUUAACCUACCUCCAAAUUAAAUUGUAACGACCCUAACUUACACGUGCAUUUCUACCUCAAUAAACUUCAUAAAACUUAUUUAAAACAUACAAGAAAGGUAGGAUCUAGGCGUACCUCUUGGAGAUCGAGAGGAAAGACGAUUCUAACUUGAAAAUGGGAGAAAUCUAGUUCAUUGAACCUCCAAGCUCCAAAACUUGCUCUAAACUUUAAAAAUCUUCAAAACCAAGUUAAAACUUGUUAAAACUCGAAAGAUUUGAGGAAGAACACCAAAACCGACCAUGGGAGGGUAUUGACUCACCGUUGGCCGAAAAUAGGGGAGAAAACUCGCCCCUUUUCGGCCAUGGGUCCUUUUAUAGGUGGCAAGCCAUGCCACCUUCGAAAGUCGAAGGCAACUCCGAAACGCAUGCAUGUUCGGCGGCUGAACAUGAGUCAUAUUCGGAAGCCUAACGUACCCCCCUAAACUAUCCCACGUUCGGCAGCCGAACCUGGAAAUGCCUCCAUGGUCUUUUUGAUUCAAAACUCAAUUUCUUUCUUACUUAAAACCUUAAAAUACAUUAAAACAUUUUAUGAAAACAUGAUUUUACUUUUCUAGAGGUUUCCGACAUCCGAGAUUCCACCGGACGGUAGAAAUUCCGAUACCGGAGUCUAGUCGGGUAUUACAUAAAUGGUCAGCACAAAUACUAUAAUUUCUUAUCUAUGAAUUAUAAAUGGUAAGCAAGGAGGCUAACGCAAAAUAAUGUGUUUUUUUUUUUUUAAAUACAAAGGCAUAAAAACUAAGUACAAAUAAUUGGUGUUCUAGAUGGAUAGAUUCGAGUUUAAAACACUCAUUUUUUUGGAUAAAUUUAUUCAUUUUUUUCACUUUAAAUAUAUAGAAAGAUCCCUUAUUGGCACAAAAUAAUGGCUUUAAAAGCUAUAGAAUAGAUUGCUUAAUAUAUUUUUAUCAACUGAAUGAGAAAAUGAAUAUUGUGAACAAAUGUGGUUUAAUUAGGUAACUGUCAAGAAGUUUUGUUCAAUAAUAACAUCUAUAUACCUUCUGUUAAAAGUCUAAAAAACUUCUAUUAGAAGUGAAGAGGAGUGCUUCUCAACGAUAGACACUGUACUUCUGUCCUUCCCAAUUGGUUGAGGUUUUAGUGAUCAAUAGGGGUGUAAAUAAAUCAAAUCGUUCGUGAGCUAUUCGGGAUUCAGUUCGAUAAAAACUCGACGGAACUCGAUUCGAUUUCUAAACGAACCAAGUUCGAACUUAAUUGUUAGUCUCGUUUGGUAAACAAGCCAAGUUUCAGUAUUCGACUCAUGUAGUGUCAUUUUGGCAUCAACUAGUUUACUGGAGUAUAGUUUUACCGUCGAUGAAUCAAGAUUUUUCUUGACUAAGCAUAUUUAGACUUUCUUUAUGGAUGCCUAUUCUAGAGUUAGUGUUCGAUCGGUUCGAUUCAAAAUUAAAUCGAACUGAAUAAAUCGAAAACUGAAAUUUUAGUAUUUAUAAAAAUUAAAUCGAAUCGAUUUUGAUCAAAAACUGAAUCAAAUUGAAUCGUUCUGAUUUAGUUCGAUUCGGUUUGAUUUGAUCGGUUUAAAUUUUUAAUAAAUUUUUUAUUUUUUACACAUUUUAGUAUUUUUUAAUUUUAAUAUGAUCUAAUAUCUCUAUAUUAUUAAAAAUAAUAUAAUAUUAUCACUAAUCAGUUCGGUUUGAUUUUUUUAAUGUUUUUUUAUCAAAAUCGAACCGAAUCGAAAUAACCAAAAUUUUUGAAAUUAAAAACUGAAUCGAAUUGAAAUAAAUAAAAAAUCGAAUAAAAUUCUCAAAUUAAUUCGAUUCGAUCGAUUUUUUCGAUUUGAAUCUAAUACGGCCUACCUAGUUUGUUCUAUGAUUUAAAUUAAUUUUAAUUUUACAAAUUUUGAUAAAAUUGAAUCAAAUUAAAUUAUUUAAUUUAUUUUGAUUUGCAAUAAAUUUGCAUCUAUUCAGUUUUUUCCUCUAAUAGAACUGAACCAGUCUAUGCUUACUUCUAAAAAAUAUAAUGAAUUAUCAGUUUCAAUAUAUUUAUAUAUAUGAAAACACAUUUUAUUAAAAAUAUUUAAAUUCCAAUCUAUAAGAUCAGGUAGAAUUUAACAAAUGAACCUGAUUUGUUUUGUAGCCCCGACUUUGAAGGGCCCAUAGAUAACAUCAGGCUACAAUGCAUCUAGUUAAACUACGUCGUUUGAUCAAAUUGAACUGCCACCUAAUUCCUUUUGCCCCUUCAAAGAGCACAGAAUUCCCGUUGUUUGUUAAGACGUUAACGCAAGAGAACAGAGUGAAGCAGAAGCUUUAGGGAAAAAAAAAACAAGAAAAAAGAAAGAAAAAUCGAAUGUGAAAGAAACUAUGACAACAAGAGAUAUGGAGAUUGAAGGAGAUCUAGAACUGCUUAUACCAGUCUCCGAGAUUCCCCAGAAUUCUAAGUGUAAAACGUCGACGUCUUCAUCUCCCGUUGCCUCCCCUUCCCACCGUCUUUCUGGAGUCGAGGUUGAUUUUCUCCACAUUUAUUUCUGCUGGAUUUAUUAAAUAUCCUCUCAGUUAUGCUUCGUAAACUGUGCGAUUUUGUUAAUGUAGAAAUCAAAUGGAUGUGACAAUAAGAGAUGUUUAUUUGAAUCUGUUUUAUUAUUAUUACACCAUAAUCCAAUUUUCAUAAUAUUUUUUGACAUUUGAAUUUAAGUGAAAAUAAUAUAAAUUUUAUUUUUGAAUGAGAAUAUUGAAAUAUUUGUUAUUUAAUUAUGUGUAUAUUUCAAUUAAUUUUGUACGAAUUUCAUAAAAUAUUUAAGAAGUGGAGCUUAUAUUAAUUACAUCCUCCAAUUUUUUUAAGAAAAUCAAACUUGUUAUUUAUGUUUACGUAACACACUUACUCCGAAUUCAAGCAGGGUAAUGGGUUUCAACCAAUGUGUUUGGUUGCGCGUGCAUGAGGUUUAACUGUGCUCUGUUCCUGGAUAUUUUAUAUUCCCUGGUAGAGAAUGAAGAAAUUCGAGCACAGCUAUUGCUAGAGAAAUUUUUAUUUACUUGACAAAUUGCUAGUUUCUAUGGCUUCUUCUGUAUGUGGUAUUUUUAAGUUUACUCCUUGGUGUUGAUACCAAUAAAGUUUCCUUUUAAAUAGGCAAUAUCAAAAGUAAUACGCAGCUGGACUUCAAAAAAGUUUAUGACAGGAUGGUGAGUUUGUUUACUUUGUGUUUCUUUAUCUUUUGGUUUACUUUAUUAGCAUUAUACAAGUCCCCAUCAGAAUUAAUACCCAUGAUCGCUUUCAUUUGGAAACAAAUUUUUAAUAUGUAAAUUGAAAGUUGAGGAGCUAUUUUUAUGUUUUGCUUGUAACUAUGACCAAACUGAUUGCAUGCUCGUACCAUAGAAUGAAGGACACAUUUUGUAGUUUCUUUUCAUGAUAUACCUUGCAUUAUUGGCAGUGUCAUUCUUCUUCCAAUAGCAGUCACGUUCUACAUUACGUGGGGUUUUAUUCGUUUUGUGGAUGGUUUCUUCUCUCCGGUCUAUGAUCAUCUGGGUAUCAACAUUUUUGGUAAGUAGUGAGACACUAUGGCUUCUUAUAAACGAAAUUUGAUAGCUGAUAUGUGUGAGUUUUUGUUGCAUAACUCCCAUGUAAUUCUCUGAAGUAGAAAACACUGGUAGACAAAGUUGUGAAGUUAGUAUUUUGUUUUCUUUUCCCCUUUUCUUCUCUUCCUAGAGUAAGGAAAGAAGGCUCAAGCUUCAGCAAGAUGGGGAGAAAGUAACUUGUAAUUCCUUUUGAGGACUAUGAUUGAUUUACAAGGGCAACAUCUUGUUGAAGUUUCUAUGCCAAGUUGCAUCAAAAGGAUUUACUUUGUGAUAAACAAAACUAAACUAAGUAUGGUUCAAUGCUGGAUUAUCAUGUAGCAAACUUCGAUUUACGUUAAAGUUUCAACAGCAAAUUAUGUAAAUGGUUUGAAACCCGCAAAUUGUUGGUCAGAAAAUAAUAUUUGAGCUGAACCUUGAAAACCAAACAACUAAUUUUCUUGUCAAUUUGAGGUCUAAGAUGUUAAUUCACGUGAUUAUCCAGCGGUUCUUUUUCAAACUGUUGUAUUAGUCUUCAAGCGGCUUUUGGAUCUUAAACAUUAUAUUUCAUUUUGAGACUGAUGCAGUAAUCUUGCAGGUCUUGGGUUUGCUACAUCCAUCACUUUUAUAUUCUUAGUUGGCAUUUUCAUGUCGUCAUGGUUAGGAGCCUCUGUUCUUACUCUUGGGGAAUGGUUUAUUAAGAAAAUGCCACUUGUAAGCUAUAUAUAUUCUGCCUCGAAGCAAAUUAGUGCUGCAAUAUCUCCAGGUAAGUCUUUAAACAUACCUCGCACUCUUAGCUUCUAGUAUGUGAAACUCAGCCAAAUGAAAUUCACUUUCAGAUCAGACUACUAAUGCCUUCAAAGAAGUGGCCAUUAUAAGACAUCCUCGUAUUGGGGAAUAUGCAUUUGGAUUUAUAACUUCCACAGUAAUUCUUCAGAAGAAUAUGGGUGAAGAAGAACUCUGCUGUGUCUAUGUCCCCACCAAUCACCUAUAUGUUGGAGAUAUUUUUCUCAUAAGUACAAAGGAUAUUAUCAGGCCUAAUUUGUCUGUUCGAGAAGGGAUUGGUAUGAUUUUCCAACUGAGGAUAAGGCAAUUGAAUAUUUUUCAACUGUAAAUGUUCUCACAGAUGAGUUUUGGUUUUCAUUUGGUGCAGAAAUCAUUAUCUCCGGUGGCAUGUCAGUGCCUCAAAUAAUGACCACAAUGGAUGCACAAACUAUUUCUGCAGAACCACUUUGCAAGUACCCUUCAUCAAAAGUAUAAUUGUGGGAGCUUUUCUGAUGUACCUAAGGAAGUAUAACUUUGGGCCUCACAUGAACGAGGUUUCAUUCAUUGUUUUUUGUUGAGAAAUAACUCACAACCAUUAUGUCUUUUGUGUCGUGCACCCACAUGCCCAAUGUGUUUGAUACUUUGAUUUAAUGUUAGUCUGUUCCAUCACAAAAGAGCACCAAUGAAGCAGAGUUCUGUGAAGAAACUAGAUUGAAAACUGAUAGACUAAGACCUGUAAUUAAGAAAUAGAUAUGAAACCAUAAGUGGAGGACAUCUAAAGAGAGAGACAGAGGUGAAAAGGAAUUGAAUGGAGGCUGAAGUUCUUUGGGCUUAUUUUGGAUUCUUCACCUUCUUCCUAUUUGAUUGUGAAAUGUAAAUAUAUUGCUUUUUUUUUUUGAAAAUUUACUAUUUAGUUCAUGACAUUAUCAUUAUUUAUAAAUGUUCUCUCCAUCAACAAAAUAAUCUUUUCAUUUAAUUUCACCCUCUUUUUCCAUUAAAAUUGUGAUAAAUGAAAAUUGAGAAAAUUUUUAAAAUUCUAAACUACCAUUCCUAUAAUAAGAGAAUUCACUCCUCCAAUUCUAUUCAACUCUACCGUUGGAAUAACAUAAACAGUAAAUAUUGAACCAAUAGGAGAGACAAGAUAUCUCAUCCAUCAAACCAUUAUUUAAAAGCAUCAAUUAAAAUCCAAAUAAAAAAAAACUCAAAUAACAUGUAGAAUCAAACAACUACAAUUAAUGAAAAAAUUGAAAUAUAAGAAACUAGUUUAAAAUUUCUUCAAUCAAUUACCAAAUCAAACCCAAAAUCUAAUUUACUUGCUCAUGAAAAGCUGUAUACGGCAGUAAGAAAUGAGAUUGAUCGGAAGUAGAGGAGAGAUUGAUUGCAACCAGAAUCGAUAAACAGCCCCACCCACCACAAAAAGGGAAGAAGAGAGCAAUGGUUGUUCAUGAGUGCAUAACCUCCAAGAUUGCCCAUCAAAACCUCAAUCCAAAGUAAUCCAUGAAGAUACUAAUGUAUAUCCGUCCACAACAUCCACUAUGAGAAUAGGGGAUGCGAUGGACUUCCGUUGACUAAGAUGAAGGCCCUACUGAGGAGAUCGAUGGUGGGAUAAAUCAGAGAAAAAUAAAGGAGAUAUCACAAUUUGGUGUGUAGGUGCUAUUGAUGCAUGGUCCCAGAGAGAAAGAGGCUAUUCGGAGUCGGUUUGCUGGGCGUGCGAUGGACCUCUGUUGGCUAAGAUGAAGGCCCUAUAUCGAGGAGAUGGAUGGUGGGAUAAAUCAGAGAAGAAUAUAGGAGAUAUUACAAUUUGGUGUGUAGGAGCUAUUGACGCAUAGUGCCAGAGAGAAAGAAAGGCUGUCCGGCGUCGGUUUGCUGAUGGGAAGGACUGGAUGGUUGUCAUUCCCAUUAAAUGUGGAGUCGGGUUGCUAGCAUUAAGAAAAUUAUUUGUCGGUGGGAGAAAUGUUUUGGCAAUUUGAAGAAGAAGAAUGAAUUAAUAUGGGUAAUUUGGUUAUUUUUGGUCUGGCGAAAAUGGUAAAAAAUGGAUAAAAGAAUUAAAUCGUCAAUGGAGUCAAAAGUUUAAUGAUAUUUUAUUAAACUUUUUAAAUAUAGAGACUGACGUAAAGUAAUAUUUAGAAAUUAAAUUAUAAUUUUUUCUUUUUUUUUAAUAAUAUUGGGAUUAAACUGUUUACCUUAAUCUUUUUAGUUCAUGUUUGCACAAUAUAGCAUAUCUGAUUAUUUCUCGGAGCAAACGGUGACAUUUGAAAUAAAAAUUAGAAGAUCUACAUCUAAGUGCUUUGGCUUCUUUAAGAAAAAAAUAUACUAUUAAAAAAAUCAUUUUGUAAACAUUAUAUGUCCGCAAGAAAAUAUCAUCUCUCUAGAUUUCCUGGAGAGAGAGUUUUCUCUUAGUGAGUUUGAUUUUUGGAAGUGCUAGUCUACUUCCUUCCGUCACUUAUGGGUUUCUCACAUUCUAUCCAAAAAAGUUAAAAUGUUCUGGUUGAGAGUGAGUUUUCUCUCUAUCUUUGAAUGGUUUUUUUUUAUUACUUUUUCUUAUCUUUUUAUUGCAUGUUUGUGGUUUCAAAAAAGAGUCUUUGAUUUGUGUUGAUUUUUUUUUCUAUUAGUUCUCUGGUAGUAUGUUUGUGAGAUUCCUCUCCAAUCUAGUACAAAAGCAGUGGAGAUAGCUUGGCAAACGGUGUGGCAUGGUGGUGGUUGGCAAAGUAGGAGAAGUGUUUGGGGUGCCUAAGAGUACAACUCCUACAACCUUAGGUGGCACUAAUUGAUCUAUGAGGCUUUUGUUGACUCAAAUGAUGAUGUUCUUGAUGUGGCUUGCUUAAUUUAUGAUGAUUCUGGUGGUUACAUGUGCUUUGUUGAGCUUGGUUCUUCCUUUUUAGAAACUAUAAAUUGUUAAGAUCAUAAUUUUUAUCUCUUUAAAUUUAGAUGAGAGUUUUUAAGAGAUUUUAUGAUUUUUUUAUUGGUAUAGAAAAAUCUUUUUAUUUUGACCUCUAUGGCUUUUAAUUCUUUCGGUGGCUUGUUCAUCCAAAGAGAGGAACAGUACUUCUCUUCUCUAUUGAAUUUUAGCUGGAGAUCAAAGUUGUGGGUUAAGUCUUUAGAAUUUUUUGUAUUUGAGCUUUUAUAGUUUGUUACGGUUAAAGGCUUGUUCCUUGUACGUAGGUUUUAGGAUUUGCACAUUUUUUUAUAAUGAAAUUAUAUCUUUGAUAAAAAAAGAUUUUAAAAAAUAUUUUUUCAUAAUUAUUUUUUUUUUCUUAAUAAGCAGUUAUUUUAUUGCAAACUAUAGUAACAAAUUACAAUUAAAUAAGAAAACAAAACCACAGAACAUUCUAUACACAUAUGAUAUUCUAGACAAAACUCAACUUAGUGUUCUAUUUGUGUCAACCUAUAAAUUUGUAAACAUUACCUAAUUUCAGUUUAAUAAUAAAGAAAAUAUUCUACAAAAUUUUAUUUAUAUAGGGAAUUAUUGCUUAAAAUUAAUAUCAUUUCUCAUCAUCCAAAUAAAAUAAACUGCGAUAUUGAAUGUUAUUCUCUUAUAGACCGUUAACCCUUUAUAAUUAAUUUUGAUAAAUAAAAAUGAUAAUAAUAGUAAUAAUAAUAAUAAUAUUUUCCAUUCCUAAUAAAUUAUAAAAACCUACAAUUGAAAAUAUUUAUAUAUAUGACAAGGCUUACCCUCAUAACGCAAUGAUGAAUUAGAAAUAGAGUGUGUAUUAUUUAGUUAUAAUCGAAUAAUUAAACUGAAUUUAUUUAUUUAUUUUGAUAGAUUAAAUUUAAUUUGAUUUGAUUGUUGAUUAAUAAUUUUUAAAAAAAUUUGAUUGUUGUUUAUCAGUUUUGUUAUUUUAAAUUUUAUAAUUGAAAUAAUUAAAUAAUUAUUAAAUAAUAUAUUUAAUUAUUAUUUUAUUAAUAAAAUAUUAUUUAUAAUGAUUUUAUAAUUUUAUAAUUAUUAUUUUAUUAAAAUAAAUUAUAUUUAUUAUUUUAUAAAUAAAAAUAUAAUUAUAUAUUUUUAUUUAUAUAUUCAAUCAAUUAAUAUUUUAUUAAUAUUUUAUUUUAAUUUUUAUUAUAAUUGACUAAAUAUUAAAUUUAAUUUUAAUUUGGCCGUGAUGGAUUUUGGAGUGGGCAAAGAGAAUGGUUGGGCCGAGAAGGCAAUCUGCGGGUCGAGGCUUUAAAAAAAUUGAGUACUGUGCGUACUGGUACAGGCAGUUGCAGUGGUCACCUUUCAUAUUGCCUAAACCCGUACGCGAGUCGCAAUCAAGCCCGAAAUCCGUGGGCGUUAAAGCGGAACCGACCAGCCCCCUGCAUCUGAUCCGCAUCGAAUACCCUUAAACUCACCUCCAGCCUCGACUCUUACACUUGUCUUUACCUCGCCAUUUCACGUGCUCCAUUCCAGGAAGCUUCUUUGCUUUCCCUUAAAACCACCAGUCGAUCAAUUCUCACUUGAACAUUGAAGCUAACUUCUUCUCAGCAUCAUCCUCUUCUACAUAGCAUAUCCAAUCUAUCUCCAGGUAUCUUCGGCGGCCUCCUUUAGCUUCCUCGAUCGAUUUAAUUGGAUGAUUUGAUCGAUCAUUUGAUUAUUUGUUAGAUUUAAACAUAUUUGACGUUAAUUGCUUGAUGGGAAGUGAAAAUGGAAACAAUGAAUCAGCAAAAUUCUGAGUUUUUUAAUGGCUUUAGAUAAUUUAGGUUCUAUUAAUUGAUUGGUUAAGUACGUUCUGUUGGAUUCUAAAGUUUCCUGUAUUUAAAUUUUAGAUGGCUUCAUCAGCUCUGAUCUCCGACACCCAGCCAUGGAAGGACUUGAAGGUGAAAAAAGAGAAAGAAUCAUUAUUCUGUAUUGUACAAAAUUAUUAUUAUUACCGGUAAUUUGACUGACCUUAAACUUAUCCAUUUGCGUAGGCGCAUGUUGAUGACAUUAAGAAGACUCACUUGCGCGAUUUAUUGAGUGACACUGAUCGAUGCAAGUCUAUGAUGGCGUAUGCUUCUACAUUUUCUUCCUUUUAUAUUUCACAAUUUGAUUUACAGUGAAAUGGUUCUGCAAUUAUCCAAGAGUGAUAAAGGUUUUUCUUUUUUCUAAUGAAUUGUGUUUACGUAGCGAGUUUGAUGGAAUCGUGCUUGACUACUCACGGCAGCAAGCCACUGUUGAUACUGUGAAUAAGCUUUACAACUUGGCAGAGGUAAAGUUGGGGUCUUUCUGUGUUGGAUAUAAGGUGUACUAGUAAUAUAAUUGCUCUUAUGUUAAUGCAGGCAGCGCAUCUCAAGGAAAAGAUUCAUCGUAUGUUUAAUGGGGAACGUGUAAGUCACUUUUUCACCCAAUAUUUGGACUCUCAUACGCACACAUUAUUUUACAUUAUUUGGUUCCAUUAAAAAUUCACUUUCUUUUUCAAAAGUUUGUUAGAGUGGCAAUGCUUCUACAUAUUUUUUAUUUAACUGGGAAAUCAUCAUGUCAUUUAUUUUUGUAAUGUGUUUGAGCAGAUUUAUGUAUUUUGAACUUACUACUCUUAAAAAAUUACAGUUGUUUGAGUGUUUUGUUUUAUGUUUGGGUGGUACUUUCAGAUCAACAGCACAGAGAAUAGGUCAGUGCUUCAUGUAGCUCUUCGUGCUGCAAGGAAUGCGGUUAUAAACAGUGAUGGCAAGAAUGUUGUACCAGAUGUUUGGAAUGUCCUUGACAAGAUCAAGGAGUUCUCUGAGAGGGUUCGCAGUGGUUCGUGGGUAAGCUCUAGUCAUGCUGAGUUUUAAGUAUUCAUAAAGUAUUCUUGAUCGAAUUGUAUGGUAACAGGCUAAUGUUGGUAGGUUGGAGCUACAGGGAAACCACUGACUAAUGUUAUUGCCAUCGGUAUUGGUGGCAGCUUCUUAGGCCCUCUUUUUGUACACACUGCUCUUCAAACAGGUAAUCUGAUUCUUCUUUUAUUAAGGUUGCUGCUCUCUCUUUCUUUUUUUUUUUUCUUUUUUUUGGUGGGUGGGGUGGGGUUCAGUUGUAUUUUUCUAAUAUAAGUUUAUCUUGUUUUAUGGGAAAGCUUGCCUGGAGCAUUAAUUGUUUACUGAUGGCAAUUUACAGACCCAGAGGCUAGCAAAUGUGCAGUAGGUCGCCAGCUGCGAUUGUAAGUACCUAUAUAUCACUAUAACUUUGCAGUUUCUUGCUUUCUUUCUUUAUCUAAGCAUCAAUAGCAUGAUGUGGUUGAGUGAAUAUCUAUUUGUUUUCCAAACUCUUAUCCACACAAAGCGAGACCACAGUGUUCCAGGUUCUUUUUCAAAUUUCCACUUGGCUUUAGUAGUAGUUGUUUUUGUUGUUGUCCACUUGCCUUCAACCUAUGUUACUUGGACUCAGAUACGGAUGUCAUAACCGUGUACAUAUUUUAGUUCUGACUCGUCAACUUUCUAAUAGAAAAUACGGGGAUGUAAAUCUAAAUUUAGAAAAGAGUGCUCAGAUACUUUACUUUAUAUAAAAUAAAGUAUAAUAAAAAAAUAUAAAAUUGUGUAAUAAUAAUUAUAGUUUAAAUAAAGAGUUAAUAGCAAAAAAAAGUCUGUACUUCUAAUUUUGUUGAAUUAUCUUCUAUACUUUUUUUUGCCAAUUAAAACCUGACCUUCUAAAGUUGCUCCAAUUAUACCCUAGUAUUACUUGUGCCGUUAAAAACUAACGUAAUUGCCAUAUCAGCAAAUUUCAAGGUAAAAUUGGUAAUAAUUUAAAAGUUUAGAAUAAAAUUACAACAAAAUUAAAAGUAUAGGUUUUUUGACAAUUAUUUAUUUUAUUAAUUUUUUUAAAACCACUCUAAAUAUUAGUAUAAUUUUAAAAAAAUGAUGGAUUAAUAUUAUACUUGAGAGUUAAAAGAAUAAUUAAAAAAAAUAUCCUAAAAAAUUAUUUUAUUAUUUUUAAUAUUUUCAAACUGAAUCAUGUUAAAUAUUAUUUUAAAUUAUUUUUUAAUAUUUCAUAACUAAUGUAUUUAAUAAAGUUAUUUUCUUAAUGAUAGUUUUAAAAGUAAUGCUAAAUAGUAAGCAUAUUAGAUAGAUUGAAAAAAAAAUCGGUUGAUAAUGAUUUUAGUCAAAAUAAGAUCAGGAUAAAAUAUUAUUAUUAUAAAAUUAUUGAUAAAAAUUAAAUUAAAAUAAAAUUGAAUAAUAAUAAUAGUAAUUUUUAAAUAUAUUUAAUAGUAAAAAAGAGUAACUUACUAAUUUUGUAAGUCUCCAACUAUACAAAUAACGGUAGGGUGCAUUUGGUCAGACAUUAAAAGAACAAAGUUUAAUUGGUAAAAAAUAAAAGUAUGGGGUGGAAUUGCAAUAAAAGUAAAGUACAAGAUUUUUUUACGAUUAAUUCUAAACUUUGUUGACAUGGUGUGGUGAUAUGAUGAUGACGUGGCAAGUAAUGUGGCAAUUCCGUUAGUUUUUUAACAGUACAAGUAGUGAUCCUGGUACAAUUGAAAUAAGUUUUAAUUGGUAGAAAAAAAGUACAGGGUGUAAUUGCCACAAAAUCAAAAGUACAGGUUUUUUUUGCCAUUAACUCUUAAAUAAAUAAUUAAUAUAAUCAAAUAAAUCAUUCAAAAUAUCAUGGAAUAAUUAUUUUCUAUCCAAGUAUAUGCUCUUUAUCUUGAGAGAUCAAAUGUCUGACUGUAUGAAUAUGUACCCGACACAAAUACCAUGUCAUAACCCGUACCCUGUCUUGUCAGCAUGUUUGCAGCAUGGCAAAAUGAAGAGUCGGAAAGGGCCUUCAACAAUAGGAAUACACUUUGCUUUUGCGGUAAACCUAACAACAUUUCAUUAAUAAAUUUAUAAAGGAAGCACUGAAGCUGGAGAUGUCUAAACUCUAAGCUAGGAUUUUGACAAAUAAUUUUGGAGGAUGCUCAGAACUAGUUAAGUGUUUAUGCAUUGCAAGUGAUGAUGAAACAAAUAAGAGAUAGCAAUAUGCAUAUUAUUCUUCCACCCUCUCUCUCUGUCUCUCUUUUGGCUAAGAGUAGGGGUAUUUUAAGAAUAUGUAAAAUGCUAGAUAUGUUCUACCAGUGGUAUUAUUGUACAUUGUUCAUUUACAAGGGUUAAUAUCUAAUAUAUAUGCAAAAACUGCAACAUGGCAUCCUCUCAAAAGAGUUGUAGUUCUUCUAAUGAAUGCAUUUUCAAGUGGAUAUGUCCGUGCUUAAUCUUAUGACCACAUCAAUCCAUUUUGUUCUGUGAUGCAAUGUAAUUUUUGUUUUGUAUUUGGUGCAGUCUUGCAAAUGUUGAUCCUAUUGACGUUGCUAGAAAUAUUGCUGGCCUAAGUCCUGAAACCACGCUUGGUAAAUAAUUAAAUUUUUGUUUAUUUUGUCUCUUUGUAUUUUUUUUUUUCAAGUAGAGCUUUGUUUUCUGGCUGAGUGUAAUUCUUUUUUUUUUUUCUCCUUUUAUUCCUGGUGUUUUGUAGUUGUUGUGGUUUCUAAAACUUUUACUACUGCUGAAACUAUGCUGAAUGCACGGACACUAAGGGCAUGGAUUUCAAAAGAACUUGGGUAAGUGCAUAAACUUACUACACCUUGUUUAACCCUAGAUCACUUAGAACACGGUGCUCAGUAUGGAACAAUUUGGAACUAAAAGAAAAACUGUUAGCAAAUUUAGGAGUGGGGAAAUCAAUACGUGCUAAGUUUAAAUGAGGCAUGUGCCAUUAUAUGGGAGUGCUUGCUGCAUUAUGAUGCAUGUUGAAAUUGUACUAUCAUUUUCUUUUUCAUGAUUUACCAUGUAAGUUGUUUGUAAUUUUUUUUGCAGACCUUCUGCAGUUGCAAAGCAUAUGGUGGCAGUUAGUACAAAUCUUACGGUACUGUCAUCUUUCUUUCUCUUUUUUAUUUUUAUUUUAUUUUUUUCAAUUGUUCAUUUCUAUGUAGCAUAAUUUGGUAGACAUGGUCUUACCAGCUCUCUUACCUAUUAAUAUGUGGAUGAAAUGACGUGCCCAUGAAUAAAGUAGUUCUAAGUGGUCAAGUACAUCAACUAUACAUUAUAUUUAUGAGAACGAUUUGUUAUUUGAAUGUCCAUAUCUUCAACUAUUUCUGUUUAAAAAUGCAGCUUGUAGAAAAGUUUGGUAUUGACCCUAUUAAUGCUUUUGCAUUCUGGGACUGGGUUGGUGGCAGGUAUAGUGGUAAGUUCCUUCACAUUGUCCUGAGAUUACACUGAUGAGUUUGAUGUUUGAAAUUAAUUAGAUUGUUCUUAUAGUUUGCAGUGCUGUUGGUGUAUUGCCUUUGUCUCUCCAAUACGGUUUCUCAAUUGUUGAGAAGUACGGUAACUUGUACUUUCUACUUUUGAAAUUUGAAUUUCUGACAAUUAAGGGCAGCAUGAACUGCAGAUUUAUGAGAAUUUUAACAUUUGUUUAUUUUCAUCUCCUGUCAAUAGUUGAAUAUUGAACGGUACAUAAUAUUUUCUCCAUGGAUUAUUUUUUCCAUUUUGCUCCUUUCCCUCCUGGUUUGGUUGCUAGGAAUGAUUUGAGAUUCUUUAGCCACAUCAUAUUGUAGCCAAUCAUGAUUGGGCAAUUUAUUACUUUAAUUUUCCUUGAUGAUAGGACUAGGAGCAAUGAGAAUUAAGUUGAAAUUAUUCCUCGUGAACAAACUGCAAACUGUCAUAUUUAAUAUUUGUGUCUUUUGAAGCUAAAUUUGGAUGCCUCUCUUGCAACAUUAUUUUGGUGGCUGUUAGCAACAAUGGCAAAAAUGAUGAAAAUUCCUGAUUGACGUGUUGAUGCAUGAUGUACUUAUUCUCCUUUUAUUUCUGUACAUAAAGAGCUAUGAUUUCUAAAUAUACCCCUUCAUGAACUUAACAAUUUAUGACUUCAUUUUCCUAAGAUACUACAAACUUUUUAUUUUCUUGUUUAAAGGUUCUUGAAAGGGGCAUCAAGUAUUGAUCAGCACUUCUCUUCUGCGUCAUUUGAGAAAAACAUUCCAGUAAGGCCCCAGUACUAGGAACCUUGUUAUUUUGGUGGCUGUUAGUGGCAAUAGUUUGGCUUUUAGCUAUCAGUUCUGUUCAUUGCUAUUAAAUUUGGGUGUGCUCUAGGGAGAAUCAAGCAGUUGGUGGUUUGAAUGACAAAAAAUUUUGGUAUUGUUGAAGGCUUAAAGCAUUCAUUCAUCGAGAUUUACUCCAAGUCUCCAAGUCUUUCAUGUUUUGCCUUCAUUGACCCGAUAUAUAUCAUUUGCAAUUAGAUUAAUGUCUACAUUAUCCUUUGGUGGAUUAUCUUGAUGGUCUCUCAGGAUAGGCAUCUUGGGUGUGCUUUAUACAAUUCUUAAUUAGAUGUCAAUUUUAACCUGCAGGUACUUUUAGGUUUGUUGAGUGUAUGGAAUGUUUCAUUUCUUGGUUAUCCUGCAAGAGUGCGUACUUCUGCACUGAACUGUAUUCGAAUUACAACUUGCUUUAUUUUCUCAAAUUUUGUACCUCAUAACUCAUUGGAGUAAUCUUUUAGGCCAUCUUACCUUACUCCCAAGCGUUGGAGAAAUUUGCCCCACACAUUCAACAGGCAAGUUUAUCAGUGCCCCCAAUUCUCUCCCUCUCUCUCUACCUACCUACCUAUUUAUCUAUCUAUAUAAAGAAUGAAAGAAAAUGGAUGAAUUCUGCUUGUUAUAGUCCUUGAAAGCAUUGUUAAAUUACUUAAAUUUAGGUUAGCAUGGAAAGUAAUGGCAAGGGGGUAUCUAUUGAUGGUGUGCCACUUCCCUUUGCAACUGGUGAAAUUGAUUUCGGUGAACCAGGGACAAAUGGUCAGCACAGCUUUUAUCAACUAAUUCACCAGGUGACUUUCAUAUAUCAUAUUUUCUUAGCAACAAACAAGUGCAUGGAGCUUCUGCUUUCAUUUUUUACUUGAGUAUUAAUCCGUUCCCUUGUGGUUCCAAUUUGGGAAGAUUUAACUUCCCGAAUAAUCAUUGGAGCUAUUAAAGUCCUAGUAUUUAGGCUUCAGAUUUUUCUCUGAUUCUAUUGCUUCUGCAUGAGUACUGUCGCUUUUAACUUUACUUUCCUAUUUCAGGUGUAUAAAAUUUGGGAUUAUGGUCCAUAAUUGCAUUCUGCUCUCUAAGUUCAUGAAAGUUAUAUUUUGAACAAGAUUAUUUAAUUGACUACAUGUGCUGUUUUCAUAAAAUUGACUCUGGUCAUUAGAAUCAAUGCAUAAUGCUUUCAUGGCCUCAAACUUUAUUUCCAUAUUCCCAUCACUUUACACAUUUUGUUUGGUAAAAUUGAAAAUCUGUAUACUCAUGACUGCGUUAUUCUGACUUGAAUUGCUUCUUUUGUGGAGCCACAUGGGGUUUCUGUUCCACUGAAUUCAGAUUUAAGCUUUUGUUCAAUUUGAAAUGCAUUACAAGAUGUAUUAAUUCUAUUAUUCUUCAUGAAUCUUCAGGGGCGUGUAAUUCCCUGUGAUUUUAUUGGUGUUGUGAAGAGUCAGCAACCUGUAUACCUUGAAGGUAUUGUUAAUUAUAAAAAUCAGAAACGCAAGUUUUGAAGGAUUUAUAAGUAUGCUUGUUUGACUUGAAAAUAAUUAUUUGACAGGGGAGGUUGUGAAUAACCAUGAUGAACUCAUGUCUAACUUUUUUGCACAGCCAGAUGCCCUUGCUUAUGGCAAGGUAUGUCUGCGCUCUCUUCUAUCAGUGUUAUAGUUAUCACAAUUCAUGUCAAUGGUUCUAUACAUUUCUCUUAAUGGAAAAAAAAAAAAAUUCAAUCUUCAUUGAAAACUUGAGGUUUAUAAUGGACCGAAUCAACUUCUAAUUUAAAGUAUUAUAUUUUAUUCAUACCAUUUCUUGUGAUUUUGCAUUAAUACCUCUAACCAAAAGACUUGAAAGAUAAAAGAGCAAGAUAUAUCUGCAUGCUUUACUACUAGAUGUUUUUCCAUCUCCUCCAUAAUGAAAUUGUUAAUUUGCAUCUGAAUGUUUGACAAAAUUUGAUCUUUUGUAGACAGCAGAGCAGUUGCAAAAAGAGAAUGUAUCGCAACAUCUAAUUCCUCACAAGGUUAAGUCCUAGCAGCUCUCUAUUAAUUUUUGCUUUACUUCCAGAUUAUUACUCUUAGCUUAUGUAUUAUCUUUUUCAGACAUUCUCUGGGAAUAGACCUUCUCUCAGUAUUCUGCUUUCCUCAUUGGAUGCCUACAAAAUUGGACAGGUUUGUGGUUUAUUACUCAUAAGUGGAAUGGUCGAUUCAUAACCUUUUCAAAGUAACCUAGGAGUGGAAGCUUUCUGGUAUGAGUUUGCAUUGUUGUGAUCAAGUUUCCGUUAAUGGUCCAAUGAAAAUGAUGAGUUAGCAUUUAUGUGUAGAUGUUCAUUUACCUUACAAUAUAUCUGCCUAAAUUUGUUUUUUACUAGACUUGUGUUGAAAUCCAGCCAAUAUUUAAUAAUCCAGACAAAAUUCCCAUGCUAAAGCAAAAAAUUUGUGUAAGAACAUGUAAUUCAGACUGGGAACUUGUCAAUUGAAUGCACAUUACCAAUGAUACAGGAGUAGAAGGUCUGUACCCCCAAAGAACCCUUCUUGGUCUUACCAUGUUAUGGGUUCAUCCCUUUUCUGCUUCUUGACUAUGCUUUUCUGCUUACUCAGUUGUCCUGUAUUUUCUAUGUUCAAAUUUCACGUUUUCACAUGCUUAGAUGCUCCAUUUCUCUUUGGGGAAAAAAAAAGAGAUGCUCCGUUUCUCAUAAUUCACUUGGUGCCAUUAUGUAUUCUUUUAUUGCUCUAUGUGUGCUGCCUAGUUGCAAUAAAAUCUGCCUUUCUAUUUCAGUUAUUGGCCAUCUAUGAACAUAGAGUAGCUGUUCAAGGCUUCAUAUGGGGAAUCAAUUCUUUUGACCAGUGGGGAGUUGAGUUAGGGAAGGUAAAUGAGGAUACAUUAUGUGGUUAAUUCUGUGUUAUGCGAGUGUGUUGCUCAGAUUAAUAUGUACUCUACCGUUUAAAUAUACCUAAUCAUAUCUGCCUCUAUUUGUUAAUAGUCAUUGGCUACACAAGUCAGAAAGCAACUUAAUGCAUCUCGUACGAAGGGAGAACCAGUCGAGGGCUUUAACUUCAGCACCACAACAAUGCUAACAAGAUACCUAGAGGUAAGUGGGAGUAUUCACCCUCAAGAAGAUAAAUGAUCAGCAUAUUAUGUUGCGCUGUCAUAUGAAGUUAGUUAAAAAUAAAAUAAUAAUAUUAAGGUUCCAUUUGUUUCACAUUUUUUGAAAAAUAUUUUUCGCGUUUUCUGAUAUUUAGGGCAUUCAGAAAAAUCGAUCAAUAUAAAAUAUUUUCUUGAUCAAAGAAAAAAUUAAACAUUUUAAAAAAAAUUGACUUCCUCUCUUGUAAAAGUAGAAGUUAUCUUCUAGACUUGAAAAAUCUUAUUACUACCACUAAAAUUUAACAUCAUUUAUUUUAUAACAUUACAACCAAAUAAUAGAAAAUAAUUUAUUUUGUGAGAAAAUAUUUUUUCGCACAAUAACAUGUUGGCCAUUAUUGUGGCAUUAUCACUGAAACUGAACUUUACUUGGCAGGAAAGUUCGGAUGUCCCAGCUAAUGCUCAGACUCUUCUACCGAAGAUAUGACUCUGGAUACCUGUAUACUUCAGGUCACUGUUAUCUGAACAACUGGAAGUCAUUUUAUUAGUAUAUUUUAAUAUCACAGACAGGGCAUGUAUCCACUUGCCUCAAGUCUUUUAGAUCCUCCUAAUGUUUUAAGAUCCUUUUUCAACUAGGGCAUGGCCAUCAUGAGGGCAUGCAAAAACUUCAACAAGCACAUCUCUUUUGUGUGAUUUUUGUUCUUGAACACCAAAUAAAAGAUGAUGCAUCCAGUGGUACAUCUCAAACGAGUCCAAUAUAUUUAUUAGUACGCAUUUAAUAGUUUUUGCCAACAUCAUUUCCUUGACCUUAAGAAAAGGAAAAAGGGAAGCAGUGUGUGAGGACAUUAGUCAUCCCUAUAACAGGGGCAAAGACUAAUGAUAUCGGCAGAUGGCUCCCAUAGCUGAGUUCAAAAGUUGCAAAUGACUGCCUGCUAGAAUAAAUAAUCGUAAAGAUUCUGAAUAGAAGACUCAUGAUCAAAAUGACUUUCUUUUAAUCAAAGAAGCCAAGUUGACUUCAAGGCAAUUAAUAGCUGAAUGAACCGGGACUGUGGGAAUCACUUCCGUAAGAGGCAAUUUACAAUGCCGAUAAUAAUAUAUUGGCAUUUUGAUAUGUGCGAUUGAGUGAUCCAUGUGGUGAGUGAAGAUUAAAGGACAAGUAACAUGACUUUUUAAAGUGUUAAGAGGCUUCUCUUCAAGGCAAAAAGCUCAAAUCUUGGCAUAAAAACAUCAGCUGGCAGACAAGACAUUCAGAGCUCUCGGUGUUCUGAUUCCUGUCCAAAAAAGAUGCAUUCUCCUCCUUGUCCUCCUCCUCCCCCGUCUACUCCCCCUUUCCCUUAUGUAGCUUUUUCUGCGCUUGUUUUAAUAUCUGUGGCAAUCUCCUUUCUAAUCAUUGAUUUGAUCGAGCAUAACGAAGACAACAAUGGUAGAACUUUAGAUAGAGAACAGGGCUAUUCAGGCUUGUCGCUCCAAGACGCAGAGGCACUCCCUUGGUUUGCGUAUGAAGCAAACGCCAUGGCCUGCUGUGUUAUAUGCUUGGAUUAUUUUCGGAAAGGGGAAAGAUGCAGGAGCUUCCCAGUUUGCAAACACAACUUUCAUGCACGAUGCAUUGAUUCUUGGUUGGUAAGGAGACUCACUUGUCCUACUUGCCGCUCGCCAUUUAUAUUCCAACGAAGACUGGACAUUGUCUAACUUGAUUCAAUAAAUUGUAUCUAAUUAUCUCACAUAAUACAAUGUUAAUUUUCAUACUAUUUUGAUUCAUAAGCCCUAAUCAUCGCAGCGUAUCUCUCUCGAAGUUUAGAGAGAAAAUUUAUUUCUGUAGUAUCUAACACUAGUCUCUCGAAACUGCCAAACGUUGGAAGUCAUUUUCAAGUUUUUGUUUUUUGGUUAGUUUUGUGGUUCUACCUCUCCGGUGGCGAAUUUAUCCUCUCCACAUUGGCAUGGCGUAUUUUGAGUUUGUGUUUGUGGUUUUAUUUUUUUUUCUGUGGUCAAAAUAUAUGCUUCAAAGGAGAGGGCUUAUAUUGAUGAUCUACUAAUUGAGCUUCCUUAUGGAGGCUCGGUAUGGGUUGUUUAAAAAAUCUACAACUGCCAAAGGAAGGAGCCUUACAUGCAUUAGAUGACGGAAUCUUAGGUAGUCAACACCGCGUCUAGUGACUAGGCUGCCCUAGACUAUAAGAGACGUCAGGAGCCCUUGUUUGUCCCUCUUGAAGAUCGAGUUUCCAUGGUUGUAAUCUUGGUGCUCUCGGCUCACAUUGUCUUCCUUUGUGUUUUUUGAGUUCUUACUCGAGAUCUAUUAUAGAGGAACUUCCUUGGUGCCAUCUCAAUUUUUCCAGCUUCGAUGGUGGUUCCUUAGCUACCACAACGACAUUCUGCUCCCAAGGUUUCUAGGCCUUGUUUAAUGCAUUUUAAUUUGCAUGGUUUAAAAAUAAUAAUAACACUUUGAUUCAGCCCAUUUGCAUCGUUGUAUGCUGCAAAGAAACCAAGUAGUCGAGAAUCAACUCUAUCUUUAGAAUAUGAAAUGUAUGUAUACUAGUGAAUAAUUUUGGGGUAAAAUUAGAUGUAAGAAUUUGUUCAUGACAUUCCAGAUUCAAAUUUACUUGACAACCACUUGCAGAGCAAGGACUUCCCUCCUUUAAUCUUUGAGAAAAUCAUCUGUUCACUAAAAUUACUCAACCAAGCUAUCUAAGAAAACCUUCAUGGGAAAAAACAGCAAGAGAUGUCAUCGAUAAUAGCAUCAACUAAUAAACACACUUAAACGCCUGUUGAGCCGAAACCUCCUUCACCUCUAGCGGUCGCAUCCAAAUCCUCAACUUCAAAAACAUCAGGAGUCAUGAUCUUCUCGAUAAUCAACUGGGCAACACGAUCUCCUGCUUUGACCUCAAAAUCCGCAUCCGAAUGAUUAAACAGUAUAACCCCAACUGGGCCUCUAUAAUCAGCAUCAAUCACACCUGCACCAACGUCAAUCGAAUGCUUCCAUGCUAGUCCCGAUCUCGGCGCUGCAUUGAAUAACAACAACACAUUAAUUUUGGGAAGCAAAAUCCACUCAUCUAUGGAGGAAAAAGCCGAGAGGGCAAGUGAGACGUACCAAUGCGAGCAUAUGUUCCUUCAGGUAUGGCAAUGCUCAAAUCUGUUGGAAUAAGAGUUUUACCUCUAGCAGGCACUUUAGUCCCAGUUGCACUGCAAGCAAACAAAUGAAAACUCCAUAAAAAUUUAAUCCCAAUAAUUCUAGACCUUCUUGAAAAUUUUCGCCAACAUACCUGGAGAGAUCAUAGCCUGCAGAAAGAGCAGAGGCUCUAGCGGGCAAAAUAGCUUUAUCAGAGAGCUUUUUAACCCUAAAUAGAGAGAUGGGAUUUUCUGAGACUUCAUGAGCGCAAUUCUCUUGAAGCUUUGGGAUCUUUGGAGCUGGCUCCUUGAUUUGAUGGCUACUGUUUUGAACCGCUUGAACCAUACUGGAUUCGAAAAACUAGUUAGCAACAAGAUAUGGAAACUAGGAGUGAGUUUUGAGAGUAAGAAUAGAGAUGGAUUUGAGGGUUUAAAUAAAUAAGGGAAAGGCAAAGUUUUUCAAAUUAAUGGCGGGAAGAUUCCCGCCAUCUCAGUUUGGGGCGUUGCACAAAAUAAGCAGGACGUGUAGACGGGCGUGCUCUAAUUUUUGGGCCGUGCUUCAAUUUUUCGGACGUGCGUGCUCAAUGCUAUUUGUAAACAACUUGAAACAGCUUUGAACCAAUUAUAUUCACUAUUGUAUUACAAUCGGUAGCUCUCCUUACUUUGCUCAUUCUCUCAAUACCAAUCAACUAAGGAAUAGGGAUAAGAGUACCAGAAGAAAUUAAUGAAGAUGAAUAGUUGCUAACAACCCCCAGGAAUCAAUUCCCCUGCUUGCAAGCUAGCCCCAGCGCAGUUGCUAUAAUGAAGAAUUUUCCGCCUGCCCUUUGAUAACAUGCUUGUUGCCGCUGCUGCAGAGACUGCUACUCCUGUUUUCUUCUUCCCGGCUUCUGUAUUUGUUCCUAUCGGUUAAUACUAGUGGAAGCACUGUGGGCAGUAUUUCUAGUCAUUCUUGAUUAUAGAGAACCAGCUUGGACAAAUGUGAACGUGGUCCUUUUAGAUAUAGUAGGACACAAUUGCUUGAUGUGCACAAGAUGACUGACAUGAAAUUGUUUAGCAAAAUUUUAGAUGGGUUUGUGCAAGUGCCUUCUCUUACCCAGGAGGAGGUUUUCAAGCCACUGGCACUUGUGCACCUAAUUCUGAGGAGAUGAUAAUUCACGCUUAUGAAUUCUGUUGGUGAAUUCUAUCAAUGUUUGCUGUUUUGAUUUUCAAAGGGAAUUGACAUCAGAACGCUGCAAGUAGCGAGGUGCCUCAGAUAUCCAGAGAUGAAUCUUUGGUACAGAACUCAAUAGGUGUACAAUCAAGACGAGCCAAACUUGGUAUAGUGAUGUCAAAAAUUAUAAGGUGGUGAAUAUGAAAGCCCUGGCAAUUUAAAAAGUGGUUUAUGGAUCCAUUACAGGAUCAGAAGCCAUGCGGGGUCACAGGACAGUUCAUAAUAACGAAAGAAAAGCCUAAGGUAAUUGAAACAUCAGUACUGCAUAUAAUUUCUUUAAGAUGUGGAAUUGGUAUUUGAAAUAUAAGAUGGCUUUGAGGAUGACUUUUCUUGCCUGCAUUUAAUAUUGCUGGAUAAAUGAUUUCUGUAACUGCAGCUUUUCUGUACACAAGCCAUACCCAUACACACACACACACACACAUAUAUAUAUAUGUAUCUGAGCAUGCAGCUGUGUGUGCCCAUUAGAUUGUUCCUGUAGUAUUCUUUAGUUCAGAAAUUAGGAUUUAGACUCUGAUUUUCUGGAGCUUUAAUUUAGUUCGACUGUCUAAUGAUAAAGGAAGCAGAACAGUACCAAUCAUCUGCUCAAGCGAUUUUGAGAACUAAUAGAAGUUUAUCAUAAAUUAUCAAAUGCUUGUUCCAUCUGAUUUGUUCUCUGUACUCUCACUCCAGGCUACUUAUCAAUCUGUGGAAAAGAACAAUCAUGCAUAUCAAUCAGCACAAGUGAAGAAUGGCCCAAACAUUCAAGUUGAAUUAUAAUUCUACAAGUCUAGAGAGUCAAAUAAUGCUACUAUUGUUUCUGUAACCUGAUCAUUACAUAAAGAGUUCAAUUUCCGAAAUGAGGAGACUUGUACAAUCACCUUCAUCAUAUAUAUUAAUUGUUAUACAAGAAAAACGACAGGAAAUGGUGACGUAUUAUGUAACUGAUCUUAUAUCAGUGUAAGAAAGAAAUGAAAUGAUGUAAGACUCCAAUCUGUUGUACCGACCCUUGAAACUUUUGAGUAGGCACAACAAAUUUUAACAUGCUUAACAGACAAAUAAGAACUCCUGUUAUCGGCAAGGCCACUUGCUUUGCUCUUCUAGCAUGGGGUAGUGUCCUGGAUAAACAAGAACCUGUUGUUGGCUAGGCUUCUUGCUUUCCCCUUAUAGCUUGGGAUUACUAUUGCUAGUGUCCUGGAUAAACAAGAACCAUAAAACUUCAUGAUGAGUGUCUACUUGCUUUGAUUCUUUUAUACAACAAAAGAAAUGCAUCUAAAAUGAUAGCCUAAAAGGAGAGUUCUAAUAUCUAAUUGCUAUUUCAGUAUAUAAGUUGUGAUAUUAACUUGAGAAGAGAGUGAUCAACAGAAUCUAGUGAGAGCCUCAAAAUAUCACAGUCAAUACAUAUAAAACACUCUGUUUUUUUUAUUUUGAUUGACCUAUAUAUAGAAAUACUAUGAUUUUAGUUUUAUCUAAAAACCAUUUUACUGGAAAAGGGUUAAAAGGGGGAAAAAGAAAGGGAGAUCUUUAUAAAAGCAUGGCCACUGGUCUGAAUCUUCUUUCCAACGCAGUUGCAAUGUAUUUACAUAUUCAUAUGAACUUUGAAGUUGAACCCCAUAUGCACCCUCCAAUAAAAUCAUGAAUUUGAUUAUCCAAACUCUUAUAUAAAAAUAAAUAAAUAAAUAAGCAAUUGCAAAAUAUCCCAAAAUCAGUAAUUUAAUAAAUAUGCAAGGCAGAGAGAGUUUUGGUGACUAACUGGUGUAGGUUGAACGGGAAACGGGUCAGGAUUGAAGGAACGAAGAGAGAGCUUGGCGAUCUCGGAGACGGCAGCAUCUCUAAUGGCAGCAACAUCACUGGCCAAAGCUUCAUAAGCAGCUUCAAAAGCCUCUUGCCAAAAACGAGGCAGUUUAGUACUAGAGCUGUGGGUGUAGAUAUCCCACAUAUGCCUCACCAAAUGCUCUUUCUCCUCCACUUCCUGAUGUUCCCAAGAAAAAAACCCACAAAUCAAAUCCAUCGAAAUUCAAGUUUUUUCGAAUCUAAGAAAAUUAAGCAUCGAUAAUAACUAACAAGAUCAGUAAAGAAGAGAAGAAAGAGAAGUACAAGGAUGUCGAGAUCAUCAUCACGGAUUGGAGAGUUGAGGUCAUCGUUGAGACGGGAGAGAUUACCGGUGGACCAUUUGAGAGUAACAGAGCCAGUGAACAUGGACCAAAAUGCAAGAAGGAGAAUAGCAGCUAAGACCCAGAACUUGUAUCGAGUUUUACCAAAAAGAGCACCAUCAGAGGUGUCUUUCUUCAGAGUUGUGGCAGUGGCGGUGGUUGUAGGCAUUGAUAUAACUGUCGGCGAGUCAUCGUCCUUCAUAUUCGUACAAAGAAAUUGAGGGUCAGAGAAGCAGCAGUGGCAGUGGAGGUGGUGGUGGUGGUGGGGCGAGCAGAGACAGAGAGCAGAAGAAAGAGAGAAUUAUAUUGGUAAAUGUGCUUGGAGGUGGCUGGUGGUGUGGGGCUCUCUCUCAUAACUCGUAACUAAUAAUUACUGUAGAUUUUUUUGGGUUGAAAGUUGUUGAAUUAAAUGAGAAAAUAAAUAUUAAUUGAUUAAUUAAGCAUUCUUUUGUUUUGUUGGCAUUAAGCCUUCUUAUGCUACCGACGAAAUGGGGCCCGCAAUACGCGCAAUAAAGUCCGCACUUAGAAGAAAUUAUUGACCUUAGUAUGUGUUGAAUGUGGUAGCUGGCCCGUCAUCCCUACUUCCAUAGUUUCUAAGAAUUGGUUCCGGUAGCACAGUUUUUAUAAAAUUCUAAUCGAAUUAAAUAAAUUAAAAAUUAAAAUUUUAAUAUUUAUAAAAAUUAAAUUAAUUUUAAAUAAAAAUUAAAUUUAAUUAAUUUAAUUUAAUUUGAUUUAAUCAAUUUUAAUAUUUAAUAAUUUUUUUAUUUUUUAUAUUUUAUUUUUAUUUUUAAUAUUUUAAAAUUUAAUUAAAAUAUUUUAAUAUUAAUAUAAUUUAAUUUUUUAUAUUAUUAAAAAUACUAUUAUUAUUAUUAUUAAUUGAUUCAAUUUAAUUUUUUAAUAUUUUUUAUCAAAAUUAAAUUAAAUUAAAUUAAUUAAUUUUUUUAAAUUAAAAAUUAAAUUAAAUUAAAAUAAAUAAAAAAAUAAAUAAAAUUUAUAUUUAAUUUAAUUCGAUUAAUUGUUUUAAUUUAAUCUAAAUAAUCCUCACGCUGGUGCUUACACCGUUUGUGGCAAAACAUCUCACUCAAUCUCAAAUUGUUCAGUUUGAACUCUAAAUAUUAAUUUUUAUUAAAGUGAGUAGUAUUUAAAUUAAAUUAAAAUAAUUUAUUUAUUUUUUAUUUAUUUUAAUUUCAUAUUUAUUUUUUAUAAUAAUUUAAUUAUUUUAAUUUUGAUCAAUUAAUUUAGAUGAUGUAUAUAUUUUGAUAAAUCAUAUUUAUAUUUUAAAAUUUUAAUUUUAAUAAUUAAAUCAAAUCUUUAAAAUUUAUCAUGAUUUUAUUUAUAAAUUUAAAUUAAUUUUAAUCAAAAUUUAAUAUUAUCAUUUUGUCAUCUUAUUUAACAUUUUUAUUAUUUUUUAAUUUAUAUUUUUUAUUAAUUAAUAAACUAAUUUAAAAAAUUUUAUGAAUUCACAUUUAUAUUUUAAUAUUUUUAAUUUAUUAAACAAAAUAAUUUAAUUUUUUUACAUUUAUAUUCUAAUGUUUUAAUAUUUAAUAGUUAUAAAAAUAAUUAUUAAGAUAUUUAGAAGAUCAGUAGUUAUAUCUUUAAUUUAAGUACUGACAAAAAAAAUCAAAUUGAUCAAUAUUUUUUUUACAGCUUUAGCAGUGAUUGAGAAAAUAAAAAUUAAGCAAAUGAUAAUGAAAAUAAAAAUAAUGUGUAAGAUUCCCACUCUUCAAACUUUUAAUAUUAUGAUAAUAUGAAUUUAUGAAAAUAUUUGAUUUAUUUUGUCUAAUAAAUAAAAAGAUUAAAAUAUAAAUAUAAAAUUAUAAAAAAUAUAUGAAUUAUUUCAUCAAAAAUUUAAAAAUAUAAUGAAUUAAAAAAUAAAAAAAUAUAUAGGAAGAGGAGUGAUAUUUUUAAAUUAUAUUACGAUUAAAAUUGAUUUAGGCGCAGAGAUAAAAUAAUGAUAAAUUUUAAAAGUUUAAUUAAUUAUUUAAAAUUAAAAAUUUAAGAUAUAAAUAUGAAUUUAUCGAAAUGUUUAGAUUAUUUAAAGGGAAAAUUAUUUUGUAGUCCCUGAGUUUAACGUAAUUAACACUUCUGUCCCUCUAUUUUGGCGACCCAACACUUAAGUCCCUCACUUUCUUUUCUGUCCAACUUCGUAAUCAUUCCGUCCAAAAUAGCCGUUUGGGACACGUAAAUUGACAAAAUUAACCCUCCUCUUCUUCUUCUUCUUCUUCUUCUUCUUCUUCUUCUUCUUCUUCUUCUCUUUUCUGCAACUUCUUCUUCUUCUUCUUCUUCUUCUUCUUCUUUCUUCUUCUUUCUUCUUCUUUCUUCUUCCUACUGUUUCUGCAGCAGCUUCUUCUUCUUCUUCUUCUUCUUCUUCUUCUUCUUCUUCUUCUGGAAUUUCACAUUGAAAUAAGGGUAUUUUUGAAAAAAAUUAUCACAUCUCACAUUUGACUCUUUGACCAAACGGUUUAAAUGGACGGAAGGACUACGAACUUGGAUGGAAGAGAAAGUGAGGGACUUAAGUGUUGGGUCGCCAAAAUAGAGGGAUAGAAGUGUUAAUUACGUUAAAUCUCAGGGACUAAAAAGUAAAUUUCCCUUAUUUAAAUUAAUAGGCUUUUAUAAUUUAUUAUUUAUAGUAAUUUAGUCUUUUAAUUUAAAUUGAUUUUUUUAAUUAAUGGUUAAUUAAUAAAAAAAUUAAAAAAUAUUUUAUUAAUAAAAAAUUAAAAAUAAAAUUAUUUAUUAUUAGAACGAGGUACUGUGUCCCACAACAUGUGUGUAAGCAGAGACACAGACCAUAACCCAUUUAAUAAUUGAAUAAAAUUGGACCAGUUUCAGAGUGUAGCUAUUCACCGACAGACACUAACCCCACUUCGCAGUUGGUAUUAUAUUUCACAAUUAAUUCUCCCUUUCCUUAAGCUUCUUUCUGUUUACAUUCUCACCUUGGCGAUCAGAACUUGCUCUCACAUCACUACUUCUCUCUCUCACCACCGGCCGGGAUUUGCUCACUAGGAUCAUCACUCCUUUGAAAUUUUAAGUUAAUUUAAUUAUACUUAUUUCAUAUAUAAAUAUUAAAUUUUUAAUCUCACUUAAAAAAAUAUUUAAUUACCAAUUUCACCACUCCACGAUAAUAUAGUCUCGAAAUUUGCAUUUCUUUAUAGUGGGAACUCGGCUUAGACCUAUAAAUGUAUAGGUGGGUGCUUUUUUAAAACUAAACAUAUUUUAAUUUAAAUUGAAAAAAUUGAUGAAAUUAAAUUAAUUUAAAAUUUUAAUUUAAUUUUUUAUUUAUUUUGAUUUAAUUUUUAAUUUUAAAAAUUUUUAUUGGUUUUAAUUUUAAUCAGAAAAAAUUAAAAAAUUUAAAUUAUAAUAAUGUAUUAUUUUUAAUAAUAUAGAAAAUUUAGAUUAUAUUAAAAUUAAAAUAUUUUAAUUAAAUUUUAAAAUAUUUAAAAUAAAAUAUAAAAAAUAAAAAUUUAUUAAAAUUUAAAAUCGAUCAAACUGAAUUGAAUUAAAUUGAAUCAGACCGUUUCAGUUUGAUUUAAUUUUUAAUUAAAAUUGAUUCAAUUUAAUUUUCAUAAAUAUUAAAAUUUUAAUUUUUAAUUUAUUAAAUUUAGUUUGAUUUUAAACUACACCAACUGUUAAGAACUAUUGAGUCCACACUUAUACAGCCCAAACUGUUCCUUAAUGGCUUUAACAAGUAGGCCCAAGUUUAAUGAAAGCCCUAUGUCGCCAAAAGGAUUUAAACGUCCUAUUUAUCAACUUAACGUCUUUAAUCUUUUUAAAAUUAUUAUUUAGUUGUUAUAAUACGAAAAAAUUUAUAAAUUAUUUUUUUAUUUUAAAAAAUAAUUAAAAAGCUUCUAAAAUCUUUUAAAGUGUAAUAAUUAGUUUCGGCCAUUAGAUUUUUAAGUUAAAUUACUUAAUAAUAAAAAAUUUUAUAUAUUUACUUAAUAAUACAGUUUUUCAUGAAAUUUUAUAUAUUUACACUUUGCUUCUAUAUAAUUGGUAUGAUCUAGCUAACCAUUGCCCAAAAAUUUUAAAAAGGAAAGAAAAAAAACAGAAAUGGCUCGGUUUUAUUCUUCUCCACCAUCUUGCUCUCUCAUUAGAUCAGCAGGAGGUAGAAAGCAAUCCAUUGACAACCCACAAAUAUUGAAACCAACUUCUUCAAUUCUCCAUGUUUCUUCAAUCUUCCUCUUGUGGUUACGCGACUCUCCAUAUCUGUACAACGUUGCAGUUGUUUUUCCACUGUGUGCUAUGUUCAUGCCUUCAAUAUAUCUAUAAUCUUCAACCAAUGACUCGAUACUUGUCUCCCAGAAGACAGUAUCAUUUCCUCUGGCAGGGUUCAUUUUCACCAGCUUUGUAUCCUCAAACUUCACGAGCAAUCCUGUACGUUGGCUGAAGUAGCCCCACAUUGUAUGGUGAAGGAUUUCUGUGUUGGAAGAAGCUUGAGUUUUCAGGAUGUUUACAUCAGUCUCCAGCUUCAGCACAAAACAGUCUUCAUUAUUCGCCAUAUUCUCUCCUAUGCAUACUGCUUCCAAGAACAAGUUGGCCGUGCACCUGGGAUCCAACCCCUGAUGAGAUCAAACCAUGAAAUAUUAUCCACACAAGUUUUCCUGAUCCAUCCUAAAAUUUUCUAUGCAUUCAAAUUUUAAUUUUCUAGUCAAGAAUUUCGACCAAACUUAAUGGUAGAGAUGAUAUGGCUUUGUGACAUGAAAUAAUAUUUUCUUUCGGAAAUUAAUUGUCCCUGCUAUGGUUGCUGUAUGGCUGUCAAUAUUCUUUCAAGAUUGAUAAAGUCUCAAUAGUAUGCUUAACAAAAAUAAACAUCAUCUUCUAUAUCUCCAAAUCUUCUCAGUUUUGAGCAAAAAAUUUUCGCAUUAUAAACAAAUACCAGUUAAAAUCAAGUGUUUGCCUGACUCCCUUGGUUGGGUUGGCAAAGGCACCUCUUGGCUAUUUCAGGGAUCAAUUCCAAUCAAACCCCCCACCCCCACCCCCCUCCCUCCAAAUUUUUGACAAGAAAACUUGUGUCUUUCCAAUGUGGGAUCACCUUUUUUCUUUUCUAUAACUUAGUUUAAACAAGCUAUUACAACACAUUCAAGGUUGAAACAUCAUGGAACAGACAACUUAACAUGCCUCAAGAAGGUUCUGAUGGACUGAAAGCUAGAGAAUUGAUCGUUUGUAUAUAUAUGAGACGUAAUUGAUAGUGUGGGCUUGUGGUAGGAAGAUGAUAUAUACCUGGAAGAAACGUCUCAAGGGUCGUGGCGGGCCUUUAUUUGAAUGACAAGUUUGACAAGAGGACUGGUUCCAGGCAAGUUUACCAUCACUACCUGCAUUAACCUUGUAACCUGCAACAACUAGUUCUAAGCACCAAAGGUCUGGAUUUUUUUGCCAAACCACGAACCCACCAACCUCAGAUUUGCCUCCUGUCUGCACGCUACCAUCACCCUGUUGCAUCUCAGACCCAGCCAUCUUAACCUGCCCUACUGCAUACAUGCUCGUCACUGAGUUCAGCACCAUUGGUCCCCCUAUUGCUGCAACGUAUUGUUGCACUAUAUAUUUCGCAGUUGAAGCUUCCUGUUCAUUCAUUUAACAAAUACAUUAUUAUGCCAAUAUCCCACAAAUUGAAAAGCAAAAAAACAAAAAAAAAAACAAAAAGAAGAAGAAUCUUACAAUGGAACAAUCUGUGAUAGAUCGAGUGACAGGCUGAUCUGGGUGGACUUGAAAAGGGAUGAGAGGAGAUCCGACAAGCUUGAGCAAUGCAAUAAACUCAUUAUCAGAUUUAGCUUGAAGAUGGGAUGAUUUAUCUGCAGAUUUAGCUCUCAUCAUUAAUGCACGCAUGUUCGCCCAUCUCGAAGAUUUAUUGUUGCCCAUGUUUGAGAACAUCUCUUCUGGAACAGGCACCUCCAAAACGGUGUCGAGCCCAUCUUGCUUGUCUAAAUUUGGACACAGCUUCCUCAUAUCCAUCAUGAAACUAAGAAAGAAAAUGGAGGAAAAGGAGAAAAAGAAAAAGAAAAGAGAGGAUGUGAGGGAGAAAGAGGAAGAUAAGAGAAAGCUCUCUCCCUCUUUCCAUGGAAGUGAAACUGGAUGGAGGAAAUGCAAAUGAGAGGGGUCAAGGGGGUUUGGCCUUUUUUUUUCUUGUUGUUGUUGUUUAAGGUAAUCCUUGAACGUAGCUGUCGUGUUCGUACGGUUUUAGCGGAUUUCUUCUGUUUAAUUACGGAAGCUGUAAUUGGACCAUCCACCCUUACCGAUUUACUUCCUUUUUAACCUCUUGACUAAUUGGACCAUACGUCAUUACGCUCUAGAUGUUUAUCCGAUUGGUUAUUGUGGGAUAAUUUAAUAUAAAAUAAAUAUUAAAUUAACAGUUAAAUAUAAAAUAAUAAUAAAUAAUAUGAAUGAAUAUAUAAAUUUAUAAAAAAUAAAAGGAUAUAAAUGUAAAAAAACUAAAUUACCAACCACUAAAAAGAGUAAUUUAACUAUUAAAUAAUAUUAUAAAAUAGUAAUUACUAAAUAAUAAAUAAUAAAAAUUAGUAUUUUGAGUUGACUUAAACAUUAAAUAUUACUAUUAAAUAUUUUAACUGAAUUUUAAUUUUUUAUCCGCAUAAGAAUGUUUAAGUAAAAGUUAUCCACAUAUAAUGUUACCAAAAAAACAGUUACCCAUAUAUUAUUUUAAGUGUACAUCUAUCAUGAGAUUAGGAUAUAUGGAAUUUUUAAAUUGAAUGAAUGUGUACACGAUGCCGUAUAACCGUUAUCUAUUUUGCUACAGUUGUUAUUAUGUAGAACUGUAUGUAUGGACGCACUUUCCUUUUUAGCGUCAGGCGGCUAUUUAAUUUUUUUUUUGAUAUUUGAUGUACAAGGAUUUGUUCUCUCGUUGACCCGGCGGCUAUUUAAUUUCUUCUGAUGAUGUACAAUAAUUUAUUUUUUCAUUGACCCGUUAAGUAAUUUAAGCUAGAUCCCUUUCUAUUAGACUCAUUCUGUCUGAUCUGUCUAAACGUGAUUUGAGUUGCAUACUAAAUAUUAGAUCUUAAUAAUUUAAAUUUUGAUGAGUUACGGUGGGUUCAACUACAGUCCUGAUAGCAGAGACUCAACGGUCAUCACAUAUAUACAAUUACAUGUAUGGUUUGAGACUUAUAAAAUCAUCAACUUACUCUUUUUUACUAUGAAAUAUAUUAAAAAAUUAUUAUUUAUAUUAUUAUUCAAUAUCUUUUAAAAAAUUUAAUCAGUAAUUUUAUAAUAAUAAUUUUUUUAAUUUUAUUUUAGCUAAAAUUAUUAUUAAUCAAUUUUUUAAUAUAUUUAAUAUGUAUACUAUUUAGUAUUAAUUUUAAAAUUAUAUUUAAUAAAAUAAUUUUAUUAAAUAUAUUAAUUAUAAAAUAUUAAAAAAUAAUUUAAAAUAAUAUUUAACAUAAUACGGUUUAAAAAUAUUAAAAAUAAUAAAAUAAUUUUUUAAAAUACUUUUUAUAAUUAUUCUUUUAACUUUCAAGUUAAAUUAUACUAAUAUUUAGAGUGAAUUUAAAAAAAUUAAUAAUAUAUAAAUUAAAUAGUUGAUUGUCUAAUAUAAUUUGGUUAAGUGUUAAAAAAAUAUGUAAUUAAUUUGAAAUUAUAAAUUCAGUCUCUAUGUCCAUCUCUAAAAAAAAUAUUAAUAAAAUAGAUAAUUAUAAAAAAAAAUAUACUUUUAAUUUUGUUUCAAUUAUAUUCUAAAUUUUUAAAUUAUUAUCAAUUUUAUCUUAAAAUUUAUUGAUAUGGCAUUGAUAUCGUGAGUGACGUGACAAUUUCGUUAGUUUUUAAUAGCACUAAUAACGGUAGAUACAUUUAGAACAAUUUUAAAAUAUUAUAUUUUAAUUGAUAAAAAAAAUAUAGAGGAUAAUUACAAUAAAAUUAAAAAUUUGAUAUUUUUUUCCAUUAACUCUUAUUUUUUCAAACAUUAGUUUCUCAUUAAUUUUCAAUGGAUAGCAGGUAAGUUUGUAGUAAACCAGUAAUGCAUUCAUAAACUUCAAAAUCUAAAUGAAACUAAGUCCAACUAGACCUUGUACUUUAAUGCAAUAAUCAAAUAAAUUUAAUUUUAAAAUUUUGGAUAAAUUCACUCUGAAUUCUAUUAAGAGGCCCAAAUUAGUUCAACCAUUAUUAAGUGUAAGAUACUUUCAAAUGAAUGGAUUCAAAAUAUAAAUGAAAAGAAAUCUAAUUAGACUCUAUACUUUAGUAUAAGGCCCAAAUCAUUUUGAUUUUAAAAUUUCAAGUAAUUACACUUUAAAUUUUACUGAAUGAUUCACAGUCUAACCAGUAUUAAUGUGAGGUGUGUGGAAUAAGUAACGAAAAAUAUAUAAAAGAUUGAUCCGAUUAAUUCAAAUUUAUAUCGUGCAGACUCAUUAAAUAGACAAAUGCUUUUUCAUAAAUUUUCAAUUAAGAUUAGAGGAAUUAAGAUUAGAGGAAUUAUAUGCAUUGAUUUAAGUUAAUUAAUCAAACUGAAAAUAUUUUAAAAUUAAUAAUUGAUUAAAUAAAAUAUUUGAUUAUUUUUUUCAAUUAAAAAGCUAAAAACUACACACCUCUACCUCAUUGUUCCAAACCAAACAGACACGUUCACUCCCCACAAAAUAGAGUACCCAUAACUACCGAACAAGGCCAACAACUCACUCAGCCACUCUCGAAAAGUAAGGCCAACCCGCAAUACUAUCAGCCCUAUUAGUCCUAUAUCGACAACAAUGCUCUCCAUUGAAUCAAAGCCCAGCUGAGACCUUGGUCUCAUCUCCUUCAACUUCAAUGCCUCUUACUAAUUCCAUCAUCAAUCCAAUCAUAGUUAACAAAAAAAAAUGCCAUCAAAGAGCUAGUCCCCCAUGGGAUCUAUUGGAAAAUAAUAUUAAAUAUCACAUGGGCUUUCGAUCGGACACAAUCACACCUUUCUCAAAUUUAUUUUUCAAUUUGAAUAAAAUUAUUUAAAUUUUUAAUUUUUAAUAUGUGAUGAUAAAAUUAAAACUUUAAAAUUAAAAUAUAAAAAUGCAUACAAAAAUAAAAAAUUAAUUAAAAAAUAUUUUUUAUAUGUAUAAAAAAGCAAAAGUGUACAAAUACUGUAGAAGGGAGUGAGUGGGUAUAAUAUAACUAUUUUGCAUACAAGGGUAAAUUCCUUUUCUUUCCUUUUCUUGUGGGUGCUUUCAUGGACUGCAUCAAAUGUAUGAGUGUAUAUGGCUGGAUACAACCAUGUCCUUCUCAGUUUUAGAUUAAACAACACUAAUAAUUAAUUAAUUAAUUAAUAAUUUUAAAUUACAGUACAGGGAGUAAUACUCACUGUUCGAUUUGGACAGCCAUGGCUAAGUCCAGGCCUGGAUUUUCAUUUUUUGGGUUUCCGUGUUAAGGUUUUCAGUUUCAUCUAUUUAAUUUAAAAUUAAAUUUAACUGAAUAAAUUAAAAAUUAAAAUUUUAAUAUUUAUAAAAAUUUUAAUAUUAAUUAGAAAUUAAAUCAAAUUUAACCUGAUUUAAUUUAAUUCAAUUCAUUUUUAAAUUUUAAUAAAUUUUUUAUUUUUUACACUUUAUUUUUAAUAUUUUAAAAUUUAAUUAAAAUAUUUUAACAUUAAUCUAAUAUCUAUAUAUUAUUGAAAAUAAUAUACUAUUAUUUCUAAUCAGUUCGAUUUUUUUUAUUUUUUUCUGAUCAAGAUAGAACUGAAUCAAAAUAAUUAAAAUUUUUAAAAUUAAAAAUCAAACUAAACCGAAAUAAAUAAAAAAUCAAAUUAAACUUUCAAAUUAAUUCAGUUCGAUCGAUUUUUUCUUUGCUCUUAUCCGGUGCAGUCUCGAUCAGAAUAAUAUUAAUUAUUUUUAUUAAUGUACUUCACCUUUUUUUUUAUAAUUUUUAUUUACCAUUUUUUCUGUUAUUAUAAAAUUAUUUUUUUAUUUUUUAUAUUAUAAUAAUAUAUAAUUGAUAAUAUAAUUUUAUAUUAUUUUUAAAAAUUCUCUCAAAAUAAUCAUUGAUAUUUAAUAAAAUUUAAUAUUUUUAGAAUAAUUAUUAUUAAAAAAUUAAUAAAAAUUAUAUUUUUUAAUAUAUAAAAAAAAUAAAAUGAAUAAAAAUUAUUUCAAGAAAGAUAGUUAAUUUACUAUAUCACAUACAAUUACUAAUCUCCAAAUUUGUUGAAUAGCAGGGUUAAUUAAUUAGGUAGCAUAUAUCAAAACCGACUCUUUCACAUAUUAUCCUUUUGUUUUUUCAGUUAGUCCCAUUGCUAUGUGGUUGAGACUUAUUCAACUUAAUUUUUUUAUUAUUAUAAUUAAUAGCCAUAUAUAUAUUUUCAUGAAGUGAAAGAUAAAUUAAUUCAAAAUAUUUAUAGAUAUCUUAGAUAUCAAAUGUAUCCUAAAAUUUACUAAAAAAUUAACUUAAGCGAUAUGAAUCAAACUUUCGUUAUUGAGAUUCAAAACUUAUUCUUGCAAUCCUAUAUAUAUACAGUGAAAUUUGAACUUUUGUAGUGAAGAAAUUUAUAAAAAUUUAAUUAAUCUUUUUUUAAAUUUCCAUAUUUAAAGUGAAAGAAUUUUAUUUUAUUUUUUAAUUUUAAGGAAGUUUUUAUUUUAAAAAAAUUAAACAUUUUCUAUGGUUGUGCAAUGAAUUCAAUUGAGAACAGCAAUUUAUGAAUCCAACAAUCUUAGACAACAUAUAACUCUAUAUAUAUUUUUUAAAAAAAUACUACUUAUGAUAGGGUAAAACUCAAUAAUUAAUCUUUUUAUUUUAAAAAAAUAUAUUAAAACGUUCUUAAUAUUUUAAAAAGUUUACUAAUUAGUCACUCUGUUAAUUUUAGUCAGUAUUUUAUUAUUUAGUUCUUAUAUAUUAUUUUAAAAAAUUUAUUAAUUAAUCUCUCAUAUUUUUAAAAAGUCUACUAAUUAAUCUCUCUGUAUUAAGAGUAUUUUAGAUUUUUUUUUCAAAAUUUAACAGAUAAAAUUAACAGAAAAACUAAUUAGUAGAAUUUUUAAAAUAUUUAAAAAUAUUUUAAUAUAUUUUUUAAAAUAAAAAGAUAAACCAAUAAAUUUUAACUAAAUAAUUAAUUUUUCUAAAAAUUAAGUCGCAUGAAAUAAUAUAAGUACAUCAUAAUAUUUUUUUCAUUAGAGAAACAAUAUAAAUAUAUAUUAUUAAAAACUUUUUUUUCUGAAAAGGAGUAAUUAAUCUUCAAUUUGUAAUCAAAUACUCAAAAUGUUACUUUGAUUUUAUAUUAAAAAAAACUACAAAAAUGGCCAUAUUCACUAAAUUUGGAAAAAUUUGUCAAUAAAAACUUCAAUUGCGUUUAAAAACUUUUCCUUUUCUUCUCAUUUCUAAACAAUAGAAAAUUUGGAAGGAUUAAAAAUCUUACUUUAUAAGAAUUUACUCUUAAAAAAUCCAACUUUACUUUCUACCUAAUAGAAUGAAAUAAGAAAAGACUACAUCAUAUAAUUUCUUCUAAUACGUUUACUCCUAAAUUUUAAAUUUAUUUUAUAAAUAUAAUUCAAUAUCAAGAUCUCUUACUAAGAGAGAAAUGAUAGAUAUUGAUAAAAAAAUUAUUUAAAUUCCGUCAAAAAUUUUAAUUAAUAUCAUUUGGUUAAAACGAUAUAAGAGAAAAGAUAAAAUAAAAAUACGAAAAUUCUUAUUGAAAUUUUUUAAAAAUUAAAAAGUGAAUUUCUAAUAGUAAAUGGAGACUAUUUAAUAGAAAAAAAAACUUUAAUAUAUAAAAUUAUGAAAAUAUCUAAAAAAAUAAUUAAAAUAUAAAAUUGACUCUUAAACUAUAGAAUUUUUAUAUCGAACUUUGUGAUAGAUCUGCGAUCAUCGUCACACUUUUAAAAGUCGUACGUCUCGAAAUUCUGUUUCCAAAAAACUAUCGUGAGUAUAUCGGCAGUAAAAAUUAGAAUCGAUCCAAAUUUAUUAUAAAAUUUAAAAUUAGUUACUCCAUGUCAGAUAUUAUCCCAAAUUUGUUGUUAAUGGUAAUACCAUGCAUAGUUUUUUAAUAACAAUGAGUUAUUUUAUAGUAAUUCCACCAUCUACUUCACACACCUUUUCGAACUGUAUGAUUCACUAAAGAAUUCCAAGCAGCUUUCAGGUAUAAACCCUACAUCAUAACUUGGAUUUGGUCAUUCCUUUAUUAUUUUAUACAACCUUUUCUAAAAAUUUCUCCUUGUCAAGGCCGGCCUUUCUCCUCUCAGUCUUUACUAUAUAUUCAACAGCUGCAGCUUCACCUUUGUCUCGCAUCACACAAGUUUCUUAAAGCUUCUUUUAACUUCUAAUAACAAAAUGGCUAAGCGUAAUUUCAAGCUUAAGCUCUCUCGUGUCGUCCCUUCAUUUCAAAUCUGUCGAUCUAAAAACUCUUCUGAUAAUCCAAUCCCAUCAAUCCACCGUGUAUCACCUCUCAACCGGAAAGUUCUUGAUUUCAAUUACCCUAAAUUCCCUGACCAACCACCGUCAACCCCAGAUUGCAAACGCCGUAUCUCGCCGAAGAAAACAUCCGUCGGCUGCAGGUUCGAGUCAAGAUCACUCGCAGAUUAUCUAACUGAUUAUAGCUUGGAAUCCUUGGAUUUUUCACGGGAGAAAGAUGCUUAUGUGCGGGCUGCUAGAGUUCAACGGUUUAUGCAGAGUUUAUCAUUUUCCGAUGAGAGUAUUGGGAAUAUCUCACCGGUUAAAGUUACUGCAGACCAGAAGAACAAGUGCAACGAACGAAAGAAAGUUUCUAAUAAAGAUGACAUUAGUAUUUCAUCGGAAAAUGGUGGCUGCAGCUUCAGCAACGAGAAUGAAGAAAAUGAAGUGGAAACUGAAACCCUACUCUUUUCUUCAACAAGCUUCUCAUAUGAUUCUUCAUAUGACUUCUGUUAUCCAUCUAUGGACCGGAUAACCAAGAAAACGGACAACAGAAACAAGAAAACAAGUAAAAUGAAAAUUCAGAAACUCAAUCGCCUGGCUUCCAAGAACUGGAAGUCUUCUCCGGAGAUUACAUCUCCGAUGAGGGCAUCGGUUCUGCGGCGGAUGGUGUCGUGCACGGCUGAUGGGAAGGUGAAGGAGAGCGUGGCAGUGGUGAAGAAAUCAGAGGAUCCUUACCAGGAUUUUAAAAGGUCGAUGCUAGAGAUGAUAUUGGAGAAGCAGAUGUUUGAGGAAAAGGAUUUAGAAGAACUUUUGCAGUGUUUCUUGUCCUUGAAUUCCAGGCAAUAUCAUGGAGUUAUUGUAGAAGCCUUCUCGGAGAUUUGGGAGAUCUUGUUCUGUGAUUCUUCUCCAAAGAAUUGAAAUUCCAUGAAAAUUUCUCGACUUAAAGCUUGAAGAAGGUCAAACCGAAAAAAAAUUAAAAAAUAAAAAAAAAAAUCUUUUUUUCUUUUUUUUUUUGUGAAUGUUAGAGUUAUUACAUAAAUAUGAAAGCUUAAUAAUAUUGGUGUAAUAUUAAUAGUUAUCCGCUUUUUUAUGUAAAUAUAUAAUUGAUAAAGGUAAAAAGUAUUUGGAGUUUUUAUUAUGACUUUUUUAAUUAAAAUUUACUAUAUGUUAAAAAAAAGGCUAUAUGCCAAUAAUUAUCCUUAAGUGAAUAACUUCAAUGUGGUCUACAAUUUAGAAAUAGAUUUGAAACUAUUUUUAAAUUGUAAAAAUUAUUUUCUAAUCCUAUGACCUUUUCUCAUUAUCCAAAUUCGGUCGUAACACAUUUCAUUAUUCUUUCUAGAUUCUAAGGAUUUAGGCUUUUAUUAUUCCUCUCAGCUUUCCAUUUUUUAAAAAAUUUUUUUAUAAUUUUUUCAUUAAUUUCUGAGUUAAGAACAUAAAUAGUAAAAGAGAACAACGUACAUUCUUACAAAGGAUGAGUUAUGCGUUUGAAUUUUAGUGGUAAUAAAAUUAGUUCUUAUUACUACAUUAUUAUUUGUCUUAAUUUAUUCAUGCUUAUUAUUUAAUUAUAUAUCUUAAUUAUAUUUUUAAAAAUCUAUUUAUUUAAUGAAUUUUACAAAUUAUUUUUAAAAGAAUCUACACAGUGAUACCAUUACAUUAUGGGCGUUAGCAGGUAUAUAAAUGUCUCCUACAGCCACGAUUAAAUCCAUGGUCUACAUAUGCCUCGACAACCCCAUAGAUUUUAUCCCUCUAUUUUGAGCAUCAACUUGGCACUUGAACACCAUAAUUAAAUGUACAAUUGAACAGCAAGCGGGAUCUCCAUCCCUUGCUUAAUCAAGGGUUGCCAUUUUCUCUGUCGUAGGCUUCAUAAGCGAAGCCAUUGUCAUCCUCAAAAGUCUUGACAUCACAUAGCUUUCCACCAGCCUCAUCAGCAAAAACAAUCUUCCUCUUCUUGCAUAAUCCAUUUUGGGAAGCAGCAGAACCUUUCUCAGCCAAUUUCUGAGAUAGAUUAGUAGACACUCAGUAAGACGUUAUUAUAUUAAGUAAAUUACUGAUUCUCUAUUUUAAUUUAAUAAAAAAGGGCCCAGGAUCCUAGACUGAUUAGAAACAAACCAUGAUUUUACAAAAACGGUUGCAGUCCCUUGCCAUUACAGAAAGAGAUCUUCUUGCACUUUCUUCAACUCUUGUUGCAUUUUGUACGGCUAGUCUCAUCUGAAAAAAAAAAAAAAAACAUUUUCAAUUAUGUAUAUUUGCAAAUAUGCAUAUCUUCAAUUGUAAUAGAUAAUAAUAAUAAAACAACAUUUUCAAUGUCACUUUUCCGUAGCAUGAAGUAUGUGCAUUUAUCAUAUUCUAAUGAAUGCACUAACUAGGAUUUGCAAAAAAAGAACCCCAGGGCGGAAACACAGAUAUUAUGAGGCAAACUGUACAGAACCACUUAUUUAAUAUAGGCUGACUCAUUCAAUGGCAAGCUGGAUCAUAACCAUUUGUGGGGAAAAAAAGUGCACAAAGAAAAAAGUAGAAAGAAAAGAAAGAAGCUCAGUUAACUUCUGUUUCAAAAAAGCCAGGGUCAGUCCUAUAUCCCUCUUUCACAUCAUUAUGGAGCAGCAUUUUGAGUGCGUUAGUGGCACAGGAAAAGAACAGUUUCUUUUGAAAACCAAUGAGAGUACGUCUGCCACAAUGACGAGGGUGUACUAUUUAAUAUGCUGGAAGUUUUUUUGUUACCUCAUCUGCACUAUAUUUCCAGGAUGUAGCAGGAUAGACAUUGGACUGCAAUGUUUCUUCAACUAUGUACUUCAUGAAUUGUAACUCUUUUGCAAGUUUAGUUGCAACAGAUUCAAUGUCUCGCAUCUGUUGCUGUGAGAAUAAAAUGGCACUCUCUGAAGAACUUCGGACAGAGGUGCGCCCAGUGCUAGAACCUUGUACAGCACAAGAUGGAUGAGGAACCUUAAGAAUGUCAUUUUGAUGGAAACCAUUGUUACCUGCCUUUGGUUUCCUAACAACUUUCUUAGGGCUAAUGAUAACUUCAGCUCUCUUGAUUUGACUGGACACUUCAAGUCUACCAUUCUUAUUCUCAUUCUGUUUUCUAUAGCACAGCUUCCUUGCAUAUCCUGAAAAUUGUUACAAUCAAAUAGAAAUAAACCUCAUUGGAUAAGUUUGGGAUGACAAGGAGCUAAGAAAGGAGGAUGAUUUGAAGUACACAAGUGACAAAGAUGUAUAUAACAAGAUCACUAUAUAGAAAAGGAAGGGUUUGGACCAAAUUUAAUUUCUCUUAUCAGUUACCUUAAGAAAAUAAGGUAUUUCAAAUUGUAAAGACAGAAGCAAUUCUUUUUAGAUGGAUGUGAUAAAAGCAAGGACUUUUAUUUGGUCAUCGGUAUGGCUAGAAAUCAAUCCAACAUAGUGCCUAGGAAUUGUCUGCUGUUAUAUAACUGCAACAGGGAACCAAAUACUCUAGUCCUGCUUUCAAAUGAUUCAUUUAUUGGACAAUAUUAAACUCAUUGUGCUCUGUUCUUUAACACGAAACUUUUUACCAAGUAAACCAGUAUGACAUACACAGCUUAUUACCAGAAUUUUUCAUAUGGCAAACGCAGUGUAUUUUCUUGGCUUUUAUGUAAAUUACGGUGCUGUUGUGACGAAUUGUCCAUCUUACUUCUAGAUAAAUAGAUGCACGGGCAUUACGUGGUCCAUAAAUUCUAGUAUAAUGACUCAUGAACUUACUGUAGUAUUGCUCAUCAUCUAAUUCAGUGGACACCAUAGCUUCACGUAGCCUUUUCUGAGAAGUUGGAGAGAUGGCCUGGAGAAAUGGAAGGACCACAAGUUAAUUCAAGAAAGCAUGCAAGUCAAAAAAAAUGUAAUAAAUUUUACACACCAUUCUAGUUGAGAAGAGCCUUUCAGGAGGAUGUUGCAUCUUUGAAUGAUGACAAUCCUCCACCCUUUCGGAUAACACAGGCUCAUCAAUAGAUAAUUGGAUCACUGUAGAACAGCUUCUGCUUGAAUCAACACGAGCGGUUAAUGGUGCUCGCAUUUUCUCGUCUAUAGGAGAAUCAUCAAGGAUAGAAUCUAAACUGCCUUUUGUACUUGAAUGUAAACUUGCAUUCCAAAAUGCACUACAUUCUCUGCCAGGGUUGCUUAUGACACUGGCUCCAACAUGAAGUGUAUCAUCUUUAGUUUCAUCAUGGGGGAGGCAUGAAUCAUUUCUUUUGCUAAGCUCCACGCCUUGAGGGCUAUUAUUAAUGGGGACAUCAAGUACUUGAACCUGGAUGCCACUGCUAAGCUUCCAUGAGCUCUCAUGCACACAAGGUAAAGUUUCAGGGUGCAACACAGGUAUGUAAACCUCACUUAGAGAAACUGUUUCAGGGGAGUCAUUUUUGGGAUGUUGAUCUACGAAAGCAACUUCUUCCUUUGCCUCUGAUAGAGAAAAAUCUGAAAACUUAUUACUGAUCACUUCUGCAGUAUCCUCCAUCAGUAGCUCCCCACCUGAGGAUUUUACAUUGGGAAUUGAUUCAGGAUCCUCAUGCUCCAAAUAUUCAUAGUAUUCUUCAUUAGUAGCACAGUAUUGAGGCUCCCCACCUGAGGAUUUUACAUUGGGAAUUGAUUCAGGAUCCUCAUGCUCCAAAUAUUCAUAGUAUUCUUCAUUAGUACCACAGUAUUGAGGCUCAUUGCUAAAGAAAGUUGGCAUCUGAGUCUCAAAACCACAAGCAUUAGUUGUCAACUCUUCACUGGUUAUCACAGAUAUCCCAGUUUCAGAAACAGAGCCAUUAGCUGUAUCGGGCACUUCACUGGUUCUCAUUGACGAUCCAGCCUCCAGACUAUAAUUAUUAACUGCCUCAUACUCUUCAGUAGGCUCCUCUCCACAACAGGUCUCUGGCUUAUUACAGUUGAAAGAGGAAUUUGCAGCAGUGAUGAUCAUAUCUUUGCAAUUUGAAGUAAGCUCAGAAACCUCAACUUUAACGUCAGUAGGUGCAGGCAAAUUUUCAUUAGAUUGAAAGAUGACUUCAUGACUGGUGAUUUCCUCAUGCUUCACAAUAGAUAUGGCUUUUUGAGAUGAAACAACACUUCUGUUUCUGCCCUUUCUCACGGUCUUCAUCUUGUUUAGAAUUCUGGAUUUCCAACAGCUGAGUGGCUCCAUCAUAUCAUACUCAUCUUCCUCAGACUGUGAGUUAAAAUGGUUCCCUUUUCCAAGGGAACAAGUUUCAGUAGUUUCUUUACUCAAACCAACAUAUCUGGAAGCGUUCCUUCUCUUUUCCUUACAUCUCUCUUUAAUUUGUUUCAGUGUCAUAUUGCCAAAGUUAUGAUCAUCUAUUUCCCUUUCUCCAACAUCGAUACCUUUGAUGUUAGACUCUGAUGUCUCACCAUCAACUUUUAUUGUUCUUUCUCCUGCAAGUGUAUGCAGACUUUCUGCCUCGUCAUAUUCAAACUCAACUUUUGGUCUAAACACUGGCAAUGGAUUAAAGGUUUUUGCAUCCUCAGUUCCAUAUAGAUCUUUGACCUUCUUGAACUUGAGUGCUGGCCUUCCACGGUAGACAUUCAGGGCUUUUGUUGCCAAACCAUCUUUAGCAACCCAGAUAAAAUGUAAAUGAUUACAACUCCGUAACUCCAUUUGAUGAAAGUAGAACAAUUAUUUAUAUCACCGUUGUGAUGUGGACAUUACCGAAGGUGCUUGCCCUGUAGCAAGAGAAAGUUCACUCGAUGAGAUCAGAUAAUAUUAUACAAUAUGCAUAAUUACUACAACAUAACAAAUGAAGUAACAUUCAACUUUCAUCUUGCAUAUGCAGGUGAUAAGUAACUUGUCAUCGAAGCUAAUACACAACCUAUCAAUUAAAACAGGCAAGUAAUGAUCACACAUAGAGGUUAAAGUUUAUAACCUUGAAUUAAUUAGUUUUGGUGUGGUUGAUAUGUUUAGAAAAUUGCAAAAUGCCUAGUUUUAAUCAUAUAAUAGGAUAUAGCAUUCAAUUGCGGAAUAAUCUUUCUAUCCACUUUCCUUUCAGUCAAUCUAACUGAAUAGAAUAUUAAACUGAGCAUUUGCUUGAUUUUUCUAGCAGUUAACAUUACAUAACUACUGCAAAGCGGCCUAUUACAAUGAGGAAAUCAUGUGAAUUUAACGUUUUCAAAGUUAAAUUGAACCCCAAAUUUAUUUGAGAAAGUAAUUUUCCAUAUUAUGGCUACUUAAACUGACUUGUAACGGUUCUGCAAAAAAGAAAAUUUUACUUCAUUAACAAUUUCAUUUCUCAUAAAACAAUAUAGUUGUUAUGACAUCAUCACAAACUAGGCAUAUGUAUUAACAUACAACAGUUUUGCAAAUGAUAUAUUUUGGGUCAUCAAAAUCUAAUAGCCAGAGUGGUCAGCAACCGAAUACAUGCGCUGAAAUGCUUAUAAUCAGUUAUUAACUUCUCCUUUUCAUUUUCAUCAGAUCUGAAAUAUAGAAUUUAUAUAUCCUUAUUCAAGGGAAAACGAAAACCUCCUUCAAAUCCAGAUUCCAGAACUUCCAUUUCCAUAACUAUCACUAACAAAUGCAGGCCAAUUUUAUUUUUCAGUUCAUCACUCUCAGAGUUGCUUAAUCUCAGCUAAAAUCACUGACAUAAUCUAUUUGCUUAUUCGACGAGGUUAAAACGACACCAGAAAACUUUCGAAACUGAAUCAUCAACAUAUUUAUAAAGAACUAAAUGUAGCAAAGAACAGUAGAUCGUAAAAAGCAACUCACCUGAUAAGGAAGAAUUCCAGUCGUCGACUAGAUCUAUUCAAAAGCAGGAGAGAUUGAAGGCUAUAGAGAGAAAGGGAGAGAUUCUGCUGAAGUGAGAUGCAGUGGUAAAGUUCCUGAUAUGUGAAGUAAGAGAAAGUUAGGGAUUGCAAUUGAAAUAAGAGGGAGGAAUGAAUAACGCGCCAAAAAGAUUUUUGGCGCGAAUUGUUACCGUCUAUAUUAGUUAAAAAAGGUAAGGAUAGAAGAGAAAUUCUUGUGUGCUAUCCUUUGUACGGUAUCUCUUAAUCAAUCCAUUUAUUAUGCACCGUCCUCGUCAAUCAAUCUACCGUCUCUCUGGAUGAUGUGCCAUUCCCCUACAAAAUUGGGCCAACACUAGCCCAAUCUCACUCCAAGGCCCAAUGGUUUUGAUCUAUGAAGAAGCUCCCCAAUACAACUAGGUUGGGAUACCGCAAAAAUUAAAAUAUUUGAAUCUGAAUUUGAAUUUUCAUUUAUAUUAACAAUAUUUAAAUUUAUCCUUAACACAAUUAAAAAUUAAUUUAAACUAUUUAAAUUCAUCUCAAAUAAUAUUAUUAUUAUUCAAAUAAAAUCUGAAUUUAUUUAGUUUUAUAUAUUUUAAUUAAUAAUUUAUAUAAAAAAUAUUUUUUAUUUAUAAAAAAAAUAUUUUUUAAAAUAUUUAAUUUUUAAUUUUUAAAUAAAAAUAUAUUAAUUUUUUAUAUUAAAUUAAUUAUUUAUAUAAACAAAUUCGGAUAGUGAAUAACUUAUACAUAAAACUCAAAUACGAUACGAAUCCGUAACGAGUAUUAUUUUUUAAAUUUAAAUCUAUUUUAAAUUUAAUUAUAACUAUUUAAAUUUAUUUUAUUAUGAUUCGAUCGGAUUCAAUAUCAAAAAUACCCGAUCUAUUAUUAUUCUUAACUUUUUCAUUGACCUAACAACAUCGAAAAAGAUAUAUCUUUUGACUUUGAAGACUUUUUUUUUCCUCUUAAUAUAAAUUUAUUAAGCCUUAAAGAAGACAAAGACUAAAAUACUAAGUUGAUUUAAAAUAAUUUAUUACAUUUGAAUGAGUCAUUUAAAAUAAACUUCCUACUUAACUACUCUCUUUUUAUAAAAUAAAAAGAGAUCAAGUGGAAAUAUCUAACUAAAACAUAUAUAUUAUAUAUUGCUCAUGUAUUCAAUCCAAUAAAAGUAUGUGACACAUUUACAGAUGUGUAAUAUUGACUAAGAAGUAAUAUAUUAGUCCUGAAUUAUUUAAAUAGCUGCUAUAAAUUUUUUAGUUUAGUGUGUUUUUUUAUGUAUGUAUAUAUAUAUAGAUAGAGUUAUAAAAUAGAAAGUCACCCAUGUGGUAUAUAAUUCCAAGCUUUUUAUUAAAGAAAACAACAUAAACCUUUAAAGUGUUAAAUUGAAUGCUACUUCUUAUAUUUGUAUUUAGUUUGAAAGAGUGUAAUGUUUAAAAUAUAUGCCAAUUUAGACUAGGAGAUUUGUUUUUUAUUAACCAUGCUCCCAAUAUUAAAAAGAUAAAAAGACAAAAUAACAAGGUAGUGGAAAAGAUGAAGAAUCGAUUUUAAAAUGUCACGUUUUUUAAGAGAUAAAUGGGAACGUUUUAGAAAAUUAGAGAUCUUGUAAAAAGUUGUUUUGGGAUUAGUUUAUUAUUUAUAUUCUUUUACCAUGAUUUAUAGCAUUUAAAUUUGUCAAAUUAUAUUGAAAGACGUGAUAUUUUUUUUGCUUAGAUUUGCUUAAAAAAAAUAUCAUCAAAUAAAGAGAUCAUUUCAAACAGAAAAUUAUGCAAAAUAUGGGCAGUUAGAGUACUAUUACGACGAACCCAUCUAACAGAAAUAUCAGUUAUAGAGUUCAAUAAAAAUUUACAAUCAUUCAAAAAUAAAUUAUUGCAUAAGAUAAUUUGGUAAAAAUACUCCUAAAGUACCUGUUUAAACCCCUGUAUAAGAUAAUUUGGUAAAAAUACUCUUAUUUCUUUCUCAUAUCUCGAAUAUAAAUUGUUAAAAUCUCUCGAACAAAACCACAAAAAAGAGUUUCUACGAGAUAAAACUCGAAUAAAAUUCUAAGAUUGAUGUCGUUGUUACAAUUCUGGAAACCCAUAAUAACUAGUAAAUUUCCAUUGAGUAUUACUUUCUAAAAUAACUGAAUCAAUAAAGUUUGAAGAAAAUGUAACCACAAAAAUAGUCCAAUGACUUUUCCACACGGAAGUCUCAUUCCAAUUCUUAUCUAUUGACUGAUAAAUAACUAUCAAAAUAUAAAAAAUUACAAAAAAAUUCCAUACGAAGACUAAUAGCUUUUGUUUCCAUAAAAAUAAAAUGUCGAGCUUGUAAUUAAGAAUUAAAUCCUUCAGUGCAUUAACUGUCCGAUGAUUGCCGCCAUAAAUCUGCCAAAAAGAUCUGCAUAUUCUGAAAAUUGAUUGAAUUGUAUGUGAGAAACAUUUAUACCAUACAAAAAUUAUAAGUGACGAUCAGAAUAUUUUUAAAAUUUUUAAUAGGGACAACACAUUAUUUUUUUCAUCGAUAAUCAAUUGACGCAGAGUAUCGAGUCAUAAAAAAACUACAGAGAGAAAGUUAAAUUCUAAUAAUUAUAUUCAUUAAAAAUACAAAUCCUAAUUUGAUUGUUUAUAGUUAAAGAAUGAUAUUCUUAGUCAUUAAAUUAAGAAACUGUUGAUGUUUAUAUUAUUUUUUUAUUUAAAUAACUCAUUCAAAAAUUUAAAAUUUAUAAAAAAUUAAAAAUUAUUUUUAUUUAAUUGAUAAUUUUUAUUGAUUUCCCAUAAAGUUCUAACAUGUGAUUUCAAGAAUCAACCAACUGAAAAAUCUGUAGCCCAUGUGACUCACAGCCUCCUUCUUGCCUAAAUGAAAUGGGAUGAAUCAAAUCAAUAAGCUUUUUGAUUGAUUCAGGGUGCAGCAGAGUCAAAUUCAAUCAAGGCAAAUUCAAAUUUAGCUAUACUAAUAGAACAGGUAAAGUUUUCAGAUGAUAUGGACCCUAAGAGAUGAUCGAUAACCUUCAAUUGUUUAGGGGCUGCUUCUGUCCCGUCUGGUGGACGAAAUCUUCUCUCCUAUUAGUUUUAUUUCUCCCAUACACCUUUGCCCUCUUUCACCGGAGAGGAAAGAAAAUCUUUCAAGCAGACAGUCUGAGAGGGGUCACCAAGCAGUCGGAUGAUCUAUUCAACGCUUUUUUCACUAUGUACCCCUCUAUCAUUUGGAGGUGAAAGAUAAUAGGACCCAAAAUGCUAAAUAAAAAGAUAGAGAAAUAAGAAUUGUUGCAGUAAAAAAAAAAAUUACUAUAAAAACCGAUAAUUUUCUCUUUUUAAAUAAUUUGUAUUCUCCGCACUUAAUUAAUAUUUUAUUUUUUUUAACAUAAUUAAAUUAUUUCAUGAAAUGUGUAUUUUUAAAAAAAUAAUAUAUUUGAAUCAAAUAAAAUCUUAAUUUAUUUACAUUAUCAUAUUUAUAUAAAAUUUAUCUCAUAGAAAAAUAUAAAUUUUAUUAAUUUUAAAUUUAUUAUAUUUAGCUCUUCAACUUUCAAAUUAUAAAAUAAUUUAAUUAUUACUAUUGAUAUGAAAUAUUCAUGUGAUAUUACGUUAUAAAUAUUAAAUUAUUUUAUAUUUAAAAAUCGAAGAAUAAUAAGCACCUAUUUUAAUAAUGUGUAAAUUAAAUAAUUUAUCAUUUAAAAAUUAAAUGUGUAAAUGAAAUUACCAUAAAAUUUAAAAAUAAAAACACUUUUAUGAAAAGGCGAGAAAAACAAAUGCUUUAGCCUAAAAAUUAUCAGUAGAGGUUUCAGUUUAUAAUUUAAAAAAAAAAAAAAAAAGAAAAAGAAAACUGCAGCCCACAAAAGCUCGCAGUCCACAAGGCAGAGCCGGCCCCAGACCGCAGACUUUAGACCCACAUAUCCUCGAGACGAAGGGCCUCCAGAAAAAUUACAAUAUAAAAGAAAAAGAACCCUCAACGUCUCCGCUCAAUACUCGUCCUGUCCUUCUCUCGUUUUCACAAAAUGAUGAAGGCAUCUUUGAAGGGCAGGUAUGAAAAUGACAGAAGCGGCGGGGCAGCCACGGUUGCCUUCAACGCCGGCGAUGUCAAGCUCCGGGCUUCUAUGACUGACGCUACCGUCGUCAAUGGCCCCAGCUUAAACGGCUUGGUUUUAGCUGUCGAGAAACCCGGCUUCUUCAUUGUCGAUUACAAUGUUCCCAAACAGGUAAUGAACAAAAUUUUUUUGCUUUGCUUAUACUCAAUUUUUUGUUAUAUUCUGUUUGGUGUUGAGAUUAUGUAGGAACGCUGCAGGAAAGUGGGAUUGAAACAACUCUUAUGUUACUGAAAUGUUUGGCAUUCUUAUGUCUGCGCUACUGAUUGGCCAAUUGAAGAACUUGGCAAUUAGGGUUUUAAUUUGAAUGAAGUCAUAGAUUUUUCAGCUGGUGUACGUUAAGAGAUUUUAAGGAAAAUUGAAUAUAUUGAAUGAUUGUUGGUGAAUUGAUAAUUGGAAUACUUAAAUUUCGUUAUUGCUGAUUUUAUCUGUCACAUAAGGAAGCUACUUUUGUUAUUAAUAUUAGAAGUACAUCUAUAGACUAAGUCACUUACUAAUGGCCGUUCCUUGUUGUACAGGAUUUUCGGUUUCAGUUUAUGAACACGGUUAAGUUUGCUGAUAAGCCCUUGAACCUGACAUACAUUCACAGCAGAGGGGAUAACCGCACUGUAUUAGAUGGAGCUCUUGUGCUUGAUUCAGCUAAUAAGGUGUCUGCAAAUUACAUGCUUGGUACAGGGAAUUGCAAGCUGAAAUAUACUUAUGUGCAUAGAGGGGCGACCACAUUUGAACCGUGCUAUGAUUUGGCAAAGAACUCCUGGGAUUUUGCCGUUUCACGGAAGGUUUAUGCUGAUGAUGUGUUUAGGGCUACAUAUCAAACAUCAAGCAAAGCACUGGGAUUAGAGUGGUCAAGGAAUUCAAAAUUUAAUGGCAAUUUCAAGGUAAAUGCGAGAUUGUGAGUCGCAUGUUUCUGUUAUAAUUGCUGCCUUUCUGCUUUCUCCUAUUCAUUUAUUUUAAUGCAUUUUGUUGAAAUCACAUCUAAAGUUUUGAUAUUAGACACAAGAAUAUUUUAAUUUUAGACUUCAAGCAUGGCAAGUGCAUGUCCAGUGUAGUCCUGGCUUUGUUUAGUGUAGUGCCUUGUGUUAGUUCCUAGAUGCGUGCAUUAAAUAAUCCUGCUGGACAAAGCCAUCUGAUUGUGUUAGCUUUUGAUUGAACUAUAAUAGGACCUGGACAUGGUGAAUAUAGGCUUAUGGUAUUUACUAGUGCAUUUGUCCUCGUAUCAUGGAGAUGAUUUCUUCCAUGUAAUUAUAGUUUAUUCUAGAGCUUCUAUUUGUAAUCAUAAAUCAUUUUCUAUUUCAUUGAAUGAAGGGGACUUAGAUGUAAUUUUGAGAAGGUCCUCAUAAAUCAGUUUCUAUUUGUAAUCAUAGUAGGUUUAACACAGUUCCAUUUCUAAAAGUUUGAUUAGAGAGGGAUUUGAAAGGGCUCAUGUGAAGCUCAAAAAAUAGGAGUAGAAAGCCCAUUGCUCAUGAUCUCUGAAGUGAUUUGAUAAUGGUUCAUUUUAAGUUAAAGAAAACAUUGUAAUGAGAGGAGUAUCCUAUCCUUGAGCAUGGGUCCUAGCUCGCAUAUUGGAUUCUGUUAGAAGGUUUGAAGCAGUAUAAGUCUGAUCUUCUAGUCAGACUUUUAUUAGAUACAAUUGUUUUUCUAUUCAUUUUCCAUGUUUUUGUCUAUAUUUCCUUGAGUGGUUACCAUGCGUUUACCUCUCUGUGGGUCUUAAAUAUUUCCAAGAUUUCUUCUUAUAUAAUUGUAACUCGAAAUGAUAUUGGUAUUGUUUCAUACUUUGUCGUCUCAGAUUUCUGCAUCUGUCAAUUUGGACGAGGAAAAGAAAGUGCCAAAACUAAGUGCUGAGACUACAUGGAACUUUGAGAUGUGAUAUGUUCUUUCUUUGGUAAUAAUUGCAUUUGCUGGAUUGCUAUGCCCCUAAUAGCUUUAAGCUUAUUUUUGUCCUUGAAUAUUGUUUAUAAUUGUGAGUGAGCUAAUUACCUCGCAAGGGGGCAGCCUCGAUGGCAUCAUUUGUCAAACUGCUUAUUUCUGUAUUGAAAUAUGAUACUUAUUUCUGGUGCUCAAAUAUCUUGUAUGUCUACCCAUAUGCUCUUACGUAAAGAGGCAAGAUUUAGUCUUUGAGUUUUGGUGGGUUUUAUGCAAGGUUGUGGAAUGGAUAGUCGGAAAAACAAUUCUCUGUAGUAAGGUUUUGCAGAAGCAGCAUGCAUGUAGUGGGAGUAUCCAGGUGCGUAAUACUGCAAUGCAAUGAGGCCAACCAACGGCACCUUCUCGCGUCUAUCCAUCUGUGUGUGGGUUGGGAUGGCUGGGGAGGAGAGACUUUGCCAGUUUUUCAGUUUGAUUUAAGUUUAACGGUUGAAUAAAGUUAAUGCCCGAUAGCGGAUAACUGAUCGUAAGCGUUUUAUAAAAUAUAUAUAAUUAUUGUUUAUAUUUUGUAAGCGUUUUAUAAAAUAUAUAUAAUUAUUGUUUAUAUGUGAAAUAAUGAAAACAUAUAUACCAUUUUAUUUAGUUAUUACUAAAAUAUACAUAUAAUCUAUAGGUUCCUAUAAUAUAUACUGUAUAAAAAAUAAACAUUAUAAUUAAUAUGAUUAUUAUAUUUAUUUAUUUUAUAUUUAUAAAAAGUUUAUUAAUAUAUUAAAAUUUAUUUGAAUAUAAAAAAUUUAUAAUUAAUAUAUAUUCAAAGGAUAAUAUUAUUUAAAUAAGCUUUUAUAAGCAAAUAUCUAAUAAUAAAAAGUAUAAAAUUAGAGCUAAUUGAAAAUGUAAUUGAUAUGGUAUCUAUUAACUCUCAACUCUUUUUUAAAGAGUUAUAAAAGCUUUUUGAAAGCAUAUCAACUAUUAGAUGGAUGAAAAAAUUAAAUCAAAUACCCUCACAAUUUUAUUCGUGGAGGUCUUUCAAACCAUUGAAAACCAUAGCACUUUUUUUUUUUUUUUCUAAGGCAACCGUAGCACUUAUUUGUUAGAUAAAUAAUUUUUGUGUUUUGCUGGUCGUGGUUGUUUGUUGCUUUUCGGCUUUCCUCUGUUGAAAGAGUUCUUUUAUUUGUUUUAUUCCCACCAACCCAUCUCUGCUAUCCCUCGAGCAUGGUUGGGUUUUGUGAUGGUUUCUUUUAGUUGUUUCUUCAUUUUUGCGAGUUUCUCGGAAGCUUUGGCAAGGGUCUUUUGAACCUGCUUAUUCGAGACAACUUGGAGUUGGCGUUCUAGGGAGGGUUUCAAAUCUAUGAUGCAGGUAUCUCGAGGACCAUACUAAUUCGUCCAGUGACUUUCACUCUCAUAAGCCGUCGAUCGAUCAUUGAGCUCUCUUGCGUCUCUUGUGCCGAUUCGGAGCUAUUUUGAUUGUUUUGUCCGGAGCCUUUCUUUCUCUUUGUGUGUUUGCUUUUAUUCUUUGAUUUUUUUUAGUUUAUUUAUCUGCUGCCUCUCUGUUUUCUGUUUUUUGGAUGGCUGUCGAUGUUCUUAAAAUGCUAUGUUUCCAAUGAGAUGGAUUUGUUGUCGAUGAGGCAUUGUUUGGGAGCUUGCAAAUUUGGUCCGAUUGGUACUAGGGUUUAUAUUUAACUUGUUUGAUAGAUUUUAGUUGUUUUCCUUUUGGUUUGAUUUGGUUUGUGAUUUUAUUUUUUUACCUUGAAUUAAGCUCUCUGUACUCUCUAUGGUUUAACUUACUGGACCAUGAAAAUACAAAUUCAGUUGCAUGUUCCAAAACAAAAAGGAAAUCUUCGUUGCCUUUUCAUAUUAUUGUUUUCUAAUCAUAUAAGAAUACCAAUUUUAGGGACCCUUACCCUCUAUAUGAGAAUAUAGACUUACAAUCAUUUGCAUGCAUGGAUCUCUUAAUACAGUUUGCCCACUCCAGAAUACCAGGUAUGCUAAGUUCACAAAGCAAAAUUUUCCAUUUAAUUGUACUUAAUGAUGUAAUUCAUAAGUUUCGAAAAUCAUUUAAUUAUUCUGUAUAAAUUUUGAUUUUGUCAUAUAUUUUCAUGGCUUCAUAAUUUUGCUGUCAAUGAUAAAUGUUUUCAUCAAUGAGUUUAUCAUCAUUAAUAUAUAUAUUUUUUCUUCAAAUGGAAAUUGAGUGUUUUUUUUUAAAUAAAAAUAGGAGACUGAGUAUAACCUUACACUCCUAAAUUUAUUGAAAUGUAUUUAAUACUGAACUAAAUAUGUGAGUGCCGUAUUUUUACUUCUUAUUAAUUACUUUUGAAUUUAUUGAUUAACAAAAUCAAAUAAAUUAUCUACCUUUUAAAAACACAAGUGAUUGAAUUAUCAAUUUUGAUAUAUUUGUAAGAGGUGAUUAAAUUAAUUUAUAAACUUUAAAAAUAAAUUAAUUUGUUUAUUUUAUGACAUUUUUAAAUUUAUAAGUUUAACGUGUAAUCUAAAAAUAGUAAGCAGUAUGAAUGAACUUAUUAUUUUAAUAUUUAUAAAUAUUAAUUUUUUUUGAACAUUAUAAAUAUUAAAUUUAUAAUCUAGUUUGAUAUAAUAUUUUAAUAUAUUGACUUUAUUUAAUUUUUAAAAUUCUACCACACAUUUUGUUUGAUAUUAUUUUUAAUAAAUUUAAUAAAUGUGUAGUUAUUUUUUUUUACUAACCAUGUAAAGUAUUUAUUAACUAUUUAAAAACAUUUUAAUAAAUAUAUAAUUAUUUAAAAUUUUAAAUAAUUACAAGCUAAUUUUUAUAAAUCUUUGUAAGCACUAAGCUAUUUUUUCAAGCUAUGCUAAACACCAUCCUAAUUGAGAGAUUAAGUCAUUUAUCUUUUCUCUAAUACUACUAGUAACACUAGUUAAACACUCAACCUUUAAAAAUUAAAGUAAUUUAUAGUAUAAUCCUUAAAAUUUAUCAAAAUAUAUAAUUUAAUUUUUAUUUUUUAAAUAGUAAAUAAUUUAGUUUUAAGUUUUUAUUUUAUUAAUAAAAUAAUUAUUUUAUUAAACUUAUUGUUAGUUAACUAAUUCAAAUUAAAGAGAUUAAAUUAUUAUAAAUAUUAAAAAUAAAAAUAUUAAUUUUUCAACAAAUUAUUUAAAUUAAAGAAAUUAAAUUAUUAUAAAAAGUGAAAUUAAAAUAUUAAAUUAUUAUAAUUUAAUAAUAAAUUUUAAUAAAGUGAAAUUUAAAGAUUAAAUUAUUAUAAUUUAAUAAUAAAUUUUAACAGAAUAAUUAUUUUAUAAAUAAAAUAUAAUCUUAAAAAUUAAAUUAUUUAUAUUAAAAUGAUAAAAAUCAUCUAUUCAAUUUUAAAGAUUACAUUAUAAAUUACCCUAAUAAAUUAUCUCGUCUCAUUCUGGCGCCCCUCAUCUGAAGUUGCGCCAUUUCUCAAAAAUUUCAAAACAUUUGGCGCCUAAAAAAAUCUGAUCCGGUUCUUUAGUAUAAGAUUACCUGAUAAAAACCCUGUAAUCGUUCUUGUAGCGACACUGACGAAGAUUUCAACAGAGAUCGGCGGAGAUGGAUAGCGACGAAGAGUUUCUGCCGUUCUCAGAGUCCGAAAAGCAGCCUUCUCCGGUCCCUGAAAGAAGGCUCAAACGUCUAAGAAAAGCUACUGAGAUAUUUCCCAAAGAUCCUAUCUCAAGUCCUUCUGAUGAUGCAGCUUCGAUUCACGACGAGAACACAUCCUUAUUUGGAAACCUAGACAGAGAAGAAAGGAACGAGAAAGAUCUUGAAUUCGAGGAACUAAAUAUGAGAUCUCUGUCUCCAUUUGAGGGUUUUAAAGAGGGGAAUGAUUUGGAUUCUGGCUUUGAUAGCUUGAACGUUGAGGAAGGUGGAUCUGGCUCUAAAAGAGCUUUGGAAUUUGAUUUUUUAGCUGAAGAAUUUGGUGGGGAAGGUGGGGAUCCAAUGGUUACAGAAGAAGAAGUGGAAGUUGAAGGAGAAUUUGGGGAAUUGGGGACGGAGGAGGGGGAGAACAAACGCCAGAAAUUGGAUGAAGAGAAGGAGAAAAAGAAGAAGAAAAGAGUCAAGAGCUCCACUGAUGGUUAUGACGAGCCAUAUUCAGCUGCAUCAACCAAAAGAAGGGGAGACAAGGUAUGUGUAUUUUCUUAUCUGUAAUAAAUUAGUGCUCCUUGUAUUUUUUUAUCGACUCAUAAUUUCUUGUGAUUAAACAGGAAAGAAGAGAUCAUCUAAAGGAACUACGUACUGAAUCUCAGAGAUUAUUGAGAGGUAGCUUCAGUUUUUCCCUCGAAUUUGAUUAUGAAUAGUUACAAUUUGCAUCUGUAUCCAUUAUUGACAUGACAUUUUUCUUUGUCUAGAAACUAGAAAUGCAUCAUUUAAACCUGUUCCUCUUGUUCAAAAGUCUGUAUCUUCCGUUUUGGAGAAGAUCCGGAAAAGAAAGCUUGAGCUUGCAAAAAAGUGAGUCUUCUAUUCGAUUUGUUUUUGAAUGAUUUAUUGUUGGUAUCAUCUAAACUAUUUAUAUCAUCUUUGCAAUUUUGUGGAUGACAGAUCUGUCAUCACAAACAGCAAUUCUUUUGUUGAUGGUAAUGAAAAUAUUUCAAGGGAGGUGUUGGAUUUCGAUUUUGAAAAUUCUGCUGUUAAGGAUGCAGAAGACCAUAAGGCUGCAGAAGCAGACCAUGAGGAAGCAACUACUCGUCCUGUUGAUGUGGAAAGCAGUUUAGGUGAUAGUGCACAAGGAUCUGUGGGGACUUCAAGUGACAUUCACAAAAAUGUAAUUUCUCAGAUGGUGAGUCAAAAGGGGUCGCAUUUCCCAAGUACACAAUGUAUAUCACAAUUAUCAAUUUCAAUGUGCAUGGUAAUGUUAACCUUCCGGUACAUAUAGAUAUAUUUUGCUUCAUCCUAACAUGCAUAACAUGAUGCACCCAUAAGUAUUGACGUUUUGGAGUUUGCUUGUAGGGGGGUUCUUCUAAUUUACUCCCCUAACCAGCGCAAUAAUUGAUACUGUUUGGUGAUAUUGUAGGAUAGCGUAGACUACCUACUUUCCCUUUCAUGUAGAUUGAGUAUGUUUGGAUACAAGGGGAAAUUUUGAGUCAUAAUCGCCCAGAAGUUGGGACAUUCCAUUUGAUCCUUUAUAUGACACUCAGACUAGGUUUCUGCUUUCAGUUACUUGUGCAACUUUAGGAAAGAUGAGGUGCAAAAUAACAUAAUAAUGGUGUCUUUCAAAUUGCAGGCUUCGGAUGAGGAUCUAAAACAAACUUUCCGACCUCCUGUUGAUGAUACUCAGGUUUUAUUUUGAACCUAAGUUUGAAAUUUGUCACUCUUCAGUCUAUUAUAAAUCAGUUAAUAAAUUCUAAUCAAUAUAUAUUUUUAUAGGAUAUUACUUUUGAUUCCCAAACAACUGAAUCUAAAGAUGAGCUGUCAGAUGAGAUGCCCAGCAGUCUGCUAGCAGAUGUUAUGACACCUUCUUUACUGGCAAUGAACUUAAAGUUUGAUUCUGCUCCUCUUGAUGACUCGUAAGUCCUCUAAACAUUUUCUUUUAUGUUUCAUUGUACAUUCAUUUUCGAUGAUUAAAAAUUCGUCUUAGGAAUAAAAUUACAGGUAUGUAGGUAAUAUUUUUUUUUCCUUCUCUAUUCUUGCAUUCUCUUACAAUCAGCUCCCAUUUUAUAUCUAUUAAAAACUGGCCAAGUUUUACAUUCAUAUGUUAUAUGAGCUUGUGCAUUUGUAUUUGCUUUUUAUUCAUAAUUGCUGCCAACAGGAACUACAUGGAGCCAAUUUCAGUUGUAUUAGCUAUGCUGAGCUCUAAUUAUUUUAUAGCUCAAUUUUAAAAAGGUGAAAUGCAUUACUCUUCUCUUUUGUAGUUCUUCUGAUGAAGAGGACAGUAACAAGGAGAACAUUGAUCCACGCCUACAAGGAUCAGCAGACUUACCUUCUUCUCCAAGAGGUGAUCCUGUGAAAGCUUUUGUUGAUGAAGAAGCUGAGGAAGAUGAUAGUGAUAAUGAGUUAUCUCUUUUACAAGAUAAUGAGGAGGAUGAGGAUGGCAUGGAUGCUGAGGAGAUUAAUGAUAUAAUAGCAACUGGAUAUGAAGAAAAGCCAAUUGAUAAUGAAAUGCGUAAUCAGCUUCAUCAGAAGUGGCUUGAGCAGCAGGAUGCUGCUGGAACAGAAAACCUUUUGCAGAGACUGAAAUGCAGUUCGAAACAGAAGGAAAUGAACUUGAUUGAAGAGAGAGAAGAUGAGGAGAGUGAAGAGGCUGAAGAAGAGUUUCUUGAUGAUCCUGCAGAGUAUCUUGUUCCAAGAAAUGCUGUACGAAUGAACUUGAAGAAAGCAAAAGAAAUGAUCCCUCAAAUGUUUACAGAUAAGGAUGAUAUAUAUGUUUCUUCUGAUGAUGAGGAAAUUGAAAAGAGUCUUGUUAAGCAGAGCUUCUCUCAUAAAGCUGUGAGUUAUUUUUUUCCCCUUUCAAAUUGUUAGAAUGAGUUAUCAGAAUUAUGAUAUUCAUCUGUGUUUGGUGAGGAUGUUACAAUGUUUUAUUUCUAGUCCACAGAUUCAUGAUAUUAUGGUUCUCUCUGAACUUUCUAUAAUUUAAGUGCAAGAUAGUGACUGAAAAUUGUGAUUGAAAACAGGAAGAGAAGGCUUCUUUCUUGUCACCUGCAGAGCGUGAAGGCUCCAAAGAAAUCUUUGGUCUUAUAAAGAAGUUGAAUGGUGUGCCAGACACUAGAAGGAAAGCCAAAAUGACAUGUAUGAUCUGUAGUAUGUUUCACAUUGCAGAAUCACAAGAAUGUGCUGCAUAUAUUGCCUCCAAACAAGUGAACUUUAUAUCUACGCUUAUGGCUUCUAAUACUUUUAUUCAUGCUAUUUCCAUUUUGCAGCCUAUUUUCAUAUGCUGUCCAUAGGAGGAAACAAGACUAUGUCAUCGAAGGUAAAUUAGUUUGCUUUAUCAGCUUUAUGGCUUUGAAUCUAUUAGUAGUUUCUUGGGUCAAAAGUAGUGUACUUAAUUUGUUCCCAUCACUCAUGCUUCAUGGAAGGAACACAUUAGAUUACUAGUAUCCAGUCUGCAUUCGCCCCAUUUAAUACUGAUGGUAUGAUAGAUGCCUGUGAUCUUGUCAUUUUAGUUCUUCAUAAUCCUUUCAGCUCAUUUGUAUUCCAAGCACCUACAAUAACAUAAAAAUUAAAUUUAAUGUUCAUAUGUAUCAUGUAUGAGCCUAUAUUUAUCAUAAGCUUCAAUACGUUGAGUUGAACACUGUUGAUGGAGCCUAUAUUUAUAUCACAUGUUGAAUACACUAUAACCUCCAUUUAGCAAAUGUUGCAGUCGUCGUUCAUGAGUCGGGGGUCAAGAAGUUCUCUCCCAGUAUUCCAGAAGCAUGGUUCAAGCACAGUUCGUUCUUUUGUCUUUGAAAGAGAUGACAGCAAUAGCAAGAGUGCAGUCUCAAUGUCGGAGGAUUCUUCAGAUUUGGUAAGCUCUGUUCCUAGAGGCUACAAAGCUUAUCUUAAAUGGAAGUUUCAGGGUUUGUUUUGCAUCGUGAAUAUUUGGUCUUUGUUUCCAUUUAUCUAUUCAGAUAUUAUCAUUUAAUAUUUGAGAAAAUUAUUAAUUAGUCUGUAUGGUAUAGAGAAAUUUGGUCUUUUGAUUUUGAAAAGUGUAUUAAAACGUUUUUUAUAUUUUAAAAAGUCUACUAGUUAUUUUUUCCGUUAGUCUCAACCGUUAAAUAUUAUAAAAAAAUUUAAAAUGCGUUUAAUAUAAAGAGACUAAUUAGUUAACUUUUUAAAAUUUAAACGACUAACUAAUAAAAUUUUUACUUAACGGUAAAAUUAAUGGAGGAGCUUAGUAGAUUUUUUAAAGUGUUAUGUUUUAAUGUAUUUUUUAAAAUUGAAGGACUAAUUAGUAAGUUUUUUUCAUACUAUAGGUAUUAAGUAGUAAUUUUUCCUUAAUAAGUGAAACAAAAUAAUAUUUCUUUGUAGACUCAAGUGUGUUAUGAAUGACAGUCGGAUCUAGUUCUACCAAAGUAAUUACUGUAUGAUUUUGUGAAUUUAAUUCAACAAUGCAAAAUUUUAGGACUACAUUUAUUAAUGUGGAAAAUCUGUUAUUGCUUAUUUAACUUGACACAAACUAUGCCUGGAACCCAUUUUAUAUGGGUUGGCUAUACGAAUAAGUGUUUCCUGCAUUCCACCUUGUUCAGUCCUACAUAUUUACCUAUGCUGAUGCUAAUUGGUUUGGCCCUAACUUGCAGGUUCAGAAAGAGAACAGGCCAAAGAAAACUGCAACAGCCAAGUUCAGUAACUCGCAAGUUAGAUCGAAUGCUCCAAACACACAAUCAACGGCAGAAAAGAAUUCUGGCCCUUCACUGCAUGAGAUAUUGAGGUGUCCGUCACUGCAAUCUAGCCAUUAUAGUCGGGGUAGCAUGGUUGGCCAAGUUGAAGCUAUAUAUGCUGCAUUUAAAUUGGAUCACAAUGUUGUAAAGAAAGAGCCUGGUGUAUCUAUAAGAACAGCCUAGGAUGUUAUGCACGUUCACUGGGUUGAUCCAAAAUGCUUUACUUGAUGUUCUUUUAAUUGAUGCAAUCUGUAAAGCUUUUGUUCAAUAUUUCGGAUGCUGACCAGCGAGGCCUCUGUUUCCAAAUGAAUUUUGCAAUAUUUAGACUGAUGUAUCUAUACUAUGGUGCUAUUAAUGGAUUUUAAGGUAAAAUUUUUGGUAAAAAACGUUAUAAGUUGUCCUCUUUGACUUUUGGCGGAAGCAGAGAGGGGCAACAGAGAAAAAAAGAAGCAAGUCAUGAACAGGAAGUUGCAUCUAGGAGGAAGACGACGUUGUUACACUUUGGACAUGGAUUUAAUACUAAAAUAUGAUGCUUUGGACAAUCUUGGGUUUAGUUUCGGAAAAAAAUUAUUAAAACUCAUUUAGUUAAUUUUUUUUUUAAGAAUAUAUUAAAAUGUUAUUAAAAUUUGUAAAAAAAUUACUAAUUAAUCUAUUUAUUAAUUUUAACAACUAAGUGUUAUAAAAAGUUUAAAAUAUUUCUAAUAAAAUAAUUAAUAGACUAAUAGUAGUAUUUUACUAGACUGAAGACUAACUAAGGAGUUUUAUUAUACUAUAAAAAUUAAUUAAUAAAACAAUUAAAAUCAACAUAAUGAUCAACUACUGAAGUUUUUAAAAUUUUAAAAAUAUUUUAAUAUAUUUUUUAAAAUUAAAGAUUAAUUAAUAUUUUUUCUAUAUAAUAUAUGUAUUAAAUAAUAAUUUUUCUUUAAUUAAAUAUUUUAUUUAUAUAAAAAAAUUAAAUUUUUUUAUUAUUUUAUAAUUUAAUCUAAAAUUUUAAAAAUUAAUAAAAUUGUUUAAAAUUAUAAAUUUUAUUGUAAUUAUAUCUAAAGUUAAAAUUUAAAUCAAGGAGAGUGUGUUUUGCACCUAUAGUACAUGAUAUGAAUUAUUUUGUCACAUAAAUAAAUGAUAUUGAUAUAAAAAUUUUAAAUUUUUUUUUAUUAUUUUGCAAUAUAGUCAAAAUUUUUAAAAAUUAAUAUAAUUUAUUUAAAAAAAAUUACCAUUCACCAAAAAGUUUAUUGCAUUUGGCUGUCAACAGUUACGGAUCUAGAAAUUUUAUUCGAUGGAUGGAUAUUAAUGAAUGAUGAAUAAAAAUAAAAUAAAUAUAUAUUUAAAAAAUUUAUAGAAUAUUAUAAUUAAAUUAAAAUUUAUCUAUUUUUUUAUUAAUUAAAAUAUAUUAAUAAUAAAUUUAUUCUUUUUAUGUUUACAAUUAUAUUUUUCUUGAUAAUCAAUCGAUGGCUCACUCAUUUCUCAUUUUAUUAUGAAAUUAAUUUUUAAUAAUAUUUAUUAUAGAAAAAAUUCUUAUAGCAUAUAAAUCUAUAAAAAGAUAAUACUUUAAUAAUAUUAGAGUAACAUAAUAAUUUAAUAUAAUAUUUAUUAUAAAAUUUAUUUUUUUUGAAAUAGUAUAAAAUUUAUUUUUUGAAAAAUUAAAUUAUCUAACCAUUAAUUAUAAAAACAAUAUUUUCAUUUCAUUUUUCCUCCAUUUAAAUAAUUUAACAUAUUAUCUAUAAAAAUAAUCAUUGAUUUAUAUUUAAAUAUUUUUAAAUUUAAUUAUUUAACUUAUUAUCUAUUAAAUUUAUAUUUUUAAAAUUAAAUUAUUUUUUAAAUUUAAAUAGUUUACAAAACUCAUUUAUUAAUAAAACAUUAUUCAUAAACACUUUUAUUUAUAAAAAUUUAAAAUUUAUUUCUUUAUAUUUAAAUAAUUUAAUAAAUAAUUUCAGUUAUAUAAAUAAAUUAGAAACUAAUUAAGUGAGAUAAUUACUUUUUAAUAAUAAAUAUAACGUAUAAAAUUAAAUUAUGCAAUGAAUGAAUUUUUUUAAAAAAAAAUUUAUAUAUUAGAGUUGAAAGAAAUUUUAAAGAUGAAAAAUAAUUUUUUUAAGUGGAAAAAAUAAAAAAUGAGAGAGAUAAAAUAAAAUAAAUAAUUAAAAUUAAAUGAACUAAAUAAUAUUAAAAGUGGAUAAAAAUUUAUUUAAUAAAAAAUAAAAAAAUUAAUUUUAUAAACUAUAAAAUAUUUUAACGGAGUAAUUUUAGAAUAAAAACUAAUUAAUAAUUUUUUUAUUAUACAUAAAAUUACAUAAAUACUCUUAUAAAAUUUUCAGGAGCUCAUGGCCCCUUGGCAUCUAACGUGGAUCUCUUAAGUUGCCACUCCUUCUCCAACGGCUACUGGUCUUCUCUUUCAAACCACGACUUCGCUUUCCUAUUUUGAUGCAUACGUUUGGCUUAAUUCCAAUCAAGUCUUAUAAGUUUAUGCCAAGAAGAGAAACUGGCAGCCUGACCUAUUUCUCAAGCCAACCAUAAUUGAAGAAGUAUCAAUUGACAAUGAAGACCAAGAAUAACAUCUCUUUUGACUUUGAUGACCUUGAAGAUAAUAAAUAUCAGGUACGGAAAUAGCACUUUUCUUUAAUUUAUUUUUUAAUAAUUUGAAUCUUAAAAUAAAUAAAUUAAGACAUAAGAUUUUUAUUUUUAGCUUUUAUGAAACAAAUCUAAAUAUUUUAUAUUUGUGCUCUAUUACGACAGUUAUCUGAUGUGUCAUAUGCAUGCUGAUUUAAAAAAAAAAAAAUUUAAUUUUAAAUUUAUCCACUUUGUUUUUAAAUAAAUUAUUUUGUAAGAAUAAAAUUUAAAUAUUUUUUUAAAGUUAUGUAUAAUUUUAAUUUAUUUCAAAUAAAAAAUUUAAAUUUUUUAAUUUAAAUUUUUAUUAAAAUAAAAAUAAUUAAAAAAAAAAUUAAAUUGAAUUCUUAUAAAUUUUUUUAAUUUAAAACAGAGAAUUUAGAGGUAUAAAUAAAAGUCAUCAUUUGAUUUCAUAUAUAUAUAUAUAUAUAUAUAUGAAAUGUUAUUGAAUUUGAUAUUUGCUAUCGCACCGUAUGGAUUACAUGAAAUUGAAUCUGAAAUUUCUUGAAUUUACUUACCAUCAGACUAAGUUUGUGAGUGCAUAAAUAUUAAACUUUUAACACUUUAAUUUUUUAAAUAUCUAGAAUGAGCAAACCGAUCACUGUAAUACUCAAUUUUUUAAAUAUAUAGUACAUCAAUGAUUUUAUAAAUAAAUUAAUAAAAAUAUGCAUUUAAAUAAAAAAAAUUCAAACUAAAUACACAAAUCAAUUAUUUUAAAUUUUAUAAAAUAAUUGCUUUUAAUAAUUUUUUAUAAAAAAUUAAAGGUUAUUUAUUUAUCUCUUUGCUAUUAAUUUAAUUUUUUUAUCAUGAAAUUAUAUUUUCAAGAUUUAAAUAAGAUAUAACUAGAAAAGAUUAGAAAUCCAAAUCGACUUAAAAUUCAAAAAAAAAAAAACAAAUCAAUAAAAAUCUAACCAAAAUCCAACCAAGCAUGAUCUCAUAAUACAAUAUCGCGCACAUCUCCAUAAAAAAUUAAAAUCGAAGCUCUCAAAACACAAGUCUUUUCGUCGGUAUUUAACUUAUUAAAACUAUCAUGACCAAAAAAAUAAAUAAUAAAAAUAAGAGUCAGCCUAUUAAUCUACGAUAAGAAAAAUAUAAAAUUUGAGACGGACAACAGCUCUAAAAAUAAAAUUCAUUUUUCCUCAACUUAAAAUUAAAAAAAAGAAAUUAGGAAAAGCAAAGAAACACAAACAAAAUAAAAACGUUUAGAACUAAAACAGUAACCAAACCCUAUAACAGAAGAAAUUCCUUUUCCCUUAUUUGUCUCCCUUUCCUUUCUUUUCUCUAGAUCAUAGAAAUUCCUCUCUUUUUUUUCUCUCUCUGCUAUUAAUUUAUCAUUCACAUUAAAAUUGUUGUUUGUAACUAAAGAGCGGGCGCUCCGACGGACAACAGUCAACCGGGAUAGAGUUCAAAUCUCCACGUAAAUAUCUCAAGAGAGAGAAAGAAAACUGUCACGUGUCAGUAAACUAAUGUAGAGAUCAUUAAUCAGUUGAUAAAAACAACCUCAGAGGAUCAUUUCCUCAUCUCACCGUAGAUGUGGUUUGCCCCACUGAGCAAUUUUCCAGGUUUUUGGGCUGAAAAAUCGAGUUUCUUGCCCUAACAUACGUUCACCGUACACACCCCUGUCAAGAACUUCAAAAAAAGAAAAACAAGACGCUUCUUUUUCUUCUGAUCCAAAAAUCCCUUGUUUUUCUUCCAUCAGAUUCGUCAAAUCUAACAUAGAUUCCAGCUAACUUCUCUGUAAUCUUUGGAUCCAAUCGCCAAAGAUCUGCAAUUUGAUGCCUUUCUAUACAAAGUAUAUGGCUACAACACAGUGACCCUAGCUUCUUCAAUGGCGAACACUCACAAAGGCAAGUAUCUUUCUUUUCUCUAUUUGCUUUUCAUUUUGGCUUCGAUUUCGGUAAACUUCUCUAGCUCAAUCGCAACCGUACUCGAUCACGAUGAACAUCACUCUCCUUAUCAUGAACCUGAGAAGCAGGAAGUUUUAUUGCAUAAACUUGAAGAAUUAGUGAGGAAUCUCAGUGAAGUAGUUGCUAGAUUAGAGACAAAAUUGUCGGAGUCUGCUAAAGUAGUGGUACCUUUAGAGGGUAGUCAGAAUCUUGAACAAGAUAGAGUUAAUCAGAUAAAAUCUGAUGGUAAAAGAUCUGUUGUUAAUGUCAAAGAAGAGGAUAUCGAGGGAAAAACUCGGGAUGGGGACACGGCGAGAGCGGUUUCAGUUACAAAGUAUAGUCCAAUUUGGUCAGAGAGGUUUCAGUUUGUGUCUGCUGUAAAAUUAGAUUCAGAUGCAACUUGUAUUAACGUUUUGCCAUUUCGAGAUUAUGAGGGUCUUAGUAAGUAUGUUGCUGUUGGGGAUGAUCAAGGCAGAGUUUAUGUGUUUUCAAGGAAUGGGGAUGUGUUGAUUGAUUUUCAGACACACAUUGAUUCGCCUGUUACAGCACUAGUAUCAUACUUGUCUGUUUAUAAGAAUGAGUGUAUUGUUGCGACAGGACAUCGGAAUGGUGUGGUUUUGGUGCACAAAGUUCAUGAAAGUCUGAAUGGAGAAGAAUGGGGAUCAUUGUCUAUGGAAAAUGUAGGCAAGUUUAUGCCCGACGAUCAUUUAGAAGGUUUAGCUGUAACUCUAUUGGAAGUGCAUCAUGUUGGGAGAUCGAGGUAUAUCUUGUCGUCGGAUGUUGGUGGGAAGAUUCGUGUUUUUAGAGAAAAUGGGACAGUUCAUGGUUCUGCUAUGCCCACAAGCAGGCCACUUGCAUUCUUGAAGCAAAGGCUUUUGUUCUUGACGGAGAGUGGUGCAGGGUCACUUGAUUUAAGGAGCAUGAAAGUCAGGGAAUCGGAAUGCGAAGGAUUGAAUCAUACUCUUGUUAGGAAUUAUGUUUUUGAUGCUACUGAACGGUCUAAAGCAUAUGGAUUUACAUCGGAGGGUGAUUUGAUUCAUGUAUUAUUGUUAGGAGAUGUAAUGAACUUCAAAUGCAGGGUUAGAUCCAAAAGAAAGUUUGACAUGGAUGAACCCAUUGCAAUGCAAGCUAUUAAGGGGUAUUUGCUUGUUGUCAACGAAGAGAAGAUUUUCGCCUAUAAUGUUUCGACUCAGCAUUAUGUUAGGGUUGGUGGACCUCGGCUUCUGUUUGCUGCUGGUUUGGAUGAGAUCAGAUCGUCAUUUCUAAAUUAUCAAGUGGUGGAUGAAACCAAUGGCAGGAGGUUAAUACCCUUAAUAGCCAGUGACCGUGAAAAACUCGUCGUUAUUGGCCUUGGAAGUGGGUAUGUGGGAAUGUACCGCUCUAAUCUUCCGGUAUUUAAAGGAGAAUUCAAUACAAUGCUAUGGACAAGUCCUGUGUUGUUCUUCAUACUCUUUCUAUUCGUAGCAUGGCACUUCUUUGCUAAGAAGAAGGAAGCACUCACAUCCUGGGGACCGGAUGAUCCUUUUAGCUCGACAUCUACCACAACUGGAGUGCCAUUAGGAUCAAGCACUGGGGAGAGAACAUUUGCCGAUUCUUCUUCGAGAAGAGAUGAACUUAUGGACUUAAGGGCUGGUGGUUUGAGAGGUCCGUCAAUGAGGUACGUUUCACCUUCACGAUAUCCUGCAGGAACAACCGGCUCCUUUAACACGGCCACUGCUGAUACCAACGCUAGACCUACUUCUGUUGAUCCUAAUUAUAGAGCAUCUUCUGAGCUAAAGUAUAGGGGUCCGGCUUUGGAAUCUAAAGUGUUUCCUAUCAGAAGGGAGAAUCUAUAUGCAAACAAUAAGGGUGUUGAUGAAAGCAGUUGAGUUGUUAAAUCAGUUCCUUCUAACUAGAGGUGCUGGAAUUCUUUUCUAGUUUUGUUAUCUUUGGACAAUUAGUUCAUUUGGUAUGAGGGAAGCCCGAUGUAUGAGCUUUCAAUGUUGUUAUCUUGAUUUUCUAGCUGCGUGAAGGAAAAUUAAUAAUGGUUAAUCUUGUUAUCAGGUGCAUUACAAUAGUUGCCACUUCCCAGAUUCACUUCAUCUGCAACCAAACGUUAUUCAAUAACUUUCUCUACCUCUUCUCAAAUAGAGAGUAUGUUACAGAAAUUAAAUAAUUAAUUUUCUUUAUAAUUUAGAAAAUAUUAUUUUCUUUAUAAUUUAGAAAUGAAAGAGAAAAAAAAAAUAUUUUUUUUAACUGAAAUUAUAGGUAAAUCUCGCUGUAGUUGUUUUUAUUAUCAUCGUUAUUAGCAACUAAUUUUCCCUUUGGUCUCAAACAAUGAGCUUUGCAAGAGAAAUAGAAAUUCAAACCUCUCCAUCAAAAUUACUUUUAAUCUAUCUAAAUAAAACUACAGUUUACAAAAAUGCUUCACAAAAAAAAAAAAACUACAAUUUACAAAACUAGGGUGAAAAAUAAUCUCACUCGUUUUAUGCAAGGAAAAUAAGAAUAUUGUUUUUUUUUUAAUUUUCUAAUUAUCUAAGCGAAAAAAGAAUCUAAAUGAUGAAAGAUAAAAAAAUUAUUUUCAUUAUUUUUUUCCUUUUCCAUAAUUUAUCUAAAUUAAUUAAUUAUAUAUAUAUAUAUAUAUUUUAAUGAUUCCCAGGCUUUUACACGUAGGAUAAGGCCGGGUCUAAAAAAAACAUAGGCAUAAAACCUAUUAGACCCUCUUUAGGCGGACCAAUCCAACAUCGCGAGCCCCAAUUCGAAUGCGUGGGUAGGCUGGGUCAAUCAUGAGUACGGACUCAACAGAAGGUAAUCUAGUCCGGUGAUAUGAUGUGAGGAAGAAUAGCUGGUUCAGUCAUUUCACAGUUUUAUCCGCAUGCACACUAAGGAGAAUUAAAUGGCCGAUUGGCGUGAGAGGAAUCUGACACCUCCAUACGUACGGAUCUAAGUGACAAAAAUAGGUGAUACUGUAAAAGAAAAGCGGUUAAACAGACGUGAUUAGUAAACAAAAAGAAAAAAAAUAAAAAGGAAGAACUUCUUUUUCUCUAACUAAUCUCACACAAUCACUUUAAAUCUUAUUUUCUAAAUAUCAGCAUAUCAUAUAUUAUAAAAAAAAUUAUAAUUUAUUAAAGAGUGUUUUAAAUAUUUAUAAAAAAAAUAUUAAAUAGAUACAGAAUUUUAAUUUUUCGUUAAUUAGCUGCUUCAAAUUUUUUAAUAGUUAAAUAUACUUUAUAAUUUAUUUUAUUAUUUAGUUCAAGCAUAAAAUUAUUUGCUUGUUAUUAAAUGAGUAAAAACAAGUUUAAUUGAAUAUUAAUUAUUUAAUUUUUUUAUAUUUACAAAUUAAUAUUUGAUUUGGGUUGUUAUUUGAAAAUUAAAUACAAGCCAAUCAAGUAAUUUUCCAUCACAUCUCUCAAAUGAGAUACUCUUUUUUUUCUUUCAAUUUCUGUUUUGCUCUUCCUUUUCCUUCUAUAGGUACACUAUAAUGUUUUUCUUUUCUUAUUUAUCUUUUAUGCUUAAUUUUAAUUAUAUAUACAAGUUGAAGAUCUCAAUUUUUAUGUAAAUUCUAAAGUUAAUCAACUUUUAUAUAUAUAUAUAUAUAUAUAUAUAUAUAUAUAUAUAUAAUAUUUUCUAUAUUGUGUUAUGGAUAUUUUUCAUAUGCUUUUAGUUCUGCUUUUAUUUUUUAAAAAUAACAAAUCAUAUAAUUAAUUAAAAUUUAAAAUUAUCAAUGAUGUCCUGAGAUGUAAAAGAAAGUAGGAUUUUUCUAUAUGUGAGUGAGGUUCACACCUUCUUCUUUUAUUUUUUUUUUUUUAUUUUCUAGUGACGUAUAACUACCAUCGUAGACAGUAUCACCUAUUGCUAUUAUACAGAACCUACAUACAGACAUAUUUCUUCGACGGCUAUUUAAUUUUCCUUCGGUGCUCGUGCUGAUAGGGUCAUGGUGUAGUUUAGGUCCUUUCCCCUACUGACCCAUCACAUCAGAUGAGCUGAAUUCCUCUUUAAUAAGUUCGAGCCCCAGUCAGCCCAGCCUAUUUAUUUGUGGACUGGAUUGUGUGCUAAUAAAUCAGUCUGCCUAGUAGGUUAUAAUGAAUUCUAGAUUUAACUCUCUUAUAAAGAUACUAGUAGUCCAGCGGUCAUUCAUCAAUAUCCUUUAUCUUGCCAUAUAUGCAGUAUAAUAGUUUAUAAUUUUUCAAUAUUUUUCUAUGUAAUUUCUACUUUGCUUCUAUGAGAAUUCCAUCCUUAUUAAAACAGUUACUUCGCGAUUCACAUUUGAAAAAAUUAUUAGAUUCAACUAUUAUACCGUGUAAAAUUACUUAGGCAAUGUAUCAUGUAAAUGUUGUAUUCCUCGUCUUGACAUUGUUAUGUUAAUCUCAUACUAUUAAAAUUAUGUUUCGAAUAAUUAACUGUUAUACUGUUUUAAUAUAUAGUUGAUAAUCAAUAUUUUUAUGUUUAUUAGAUUUGGAAUGAAGGAAAAAUUAAGAUAAAAAAGAGAAAAAAAAAAACAAAUAGAGCUCAUAACUUAUUUUCUUUUGAAAUUGAGAGAAAAAUAUUCAAAUUAAAAUUUUAUCUUUCAAAAGUUCUAUUUUAUUUGGAAAUAAAAAAUAAAAAAUUAUUAUCUAAAAAAUUAGUCUACAACCUAUGUUCCUUUUCUUAUUUACCAACCUUUUUUCUCAUAACUUCUCAAGGUAGAAAACACUCUUUUGGAGAGGGAAUUACAUGCUCCUUUUUUUUCAAUGUACUUCAAAUUUUGCUAUGGAGCCUCCUCUGCUCGAUUUAUGAGUUUUACCUUCCCAUCAUUAAGGAAACAUUUGCAAAUUGGUAUAAUCUAGUAGCCCUUCGGUGUAUGACGAGGAAUAAGGUAAACUGAUGGCAUUAGCCUAUCCACUUAUUGUUUGAUUGCCGACUCUCAGCCUGCCUUUGUUUGGAUAAGUUUAUAGGGAGGAAGGAAAAUAAAGAGUGGAAAUUAAGAAAGUAAAAUAAAAGAAGGAAGGAAAAUAAGCAGAGAAAGUAAAUUUUUAAAUAGAAAAAUAACUAUUUCACCCUUUAUGAUUAUAAUAAAAAUAAAUAAUUAUAAGGAUAAAAAAGUAAUUAUAUUCAUUUUUCACCUAUUUUCUCUCUAAAUUAGAGAAAGUGAAUAGUAACUUUAAUUUAUUGUUUUUACCUUUAUAUUUCUUAUUCACAUAUGAUACAGAUUCAAUAAGACAAAUUUCAAAAAAUGGUGUAAAGCAAACACAUAUCAUUAUAAUGGGUCUAAAAGGAGUUCAAAUCAUAUGAUCCAAAUAGAAUUUAUCUCACUUUGACUCUGAUACUAAUUGAUGCGAAAUUCAUGACCAACUCGUGAUAAAAAACUCCGAACACAUAACUUGACAAAGAACGAGACUAAGAUAUAUUCCGAUAGUUGCUAUACCACACUCCUAAUCAACUAAUGUGAUUAGAAAUAAAAAUUAUACACCAAUGAUCGAAGGAUUUAGAUAAAAUAUGGCAAACGCCACAAAGAAUAGUUAAUAAGUUGGCCAAUAUUCUUGGUGCAAUUGAUGAAAUCAGUUCCUCGCUCUCACUCAAAACAAUACACGUCAAAUGCAUGAAGAAGAAUUCUAAAAGUUUUGAUUUAAGAGUUUCCUCUUAUAAGUGUCCUUAUCCUUAUAUAGUAAGGAGAAAAUUAAAAAUCUAAGAUAUUCUUCUUAAACUUGGCCGAACCACACAUAAGAUCCAAACCCACUAAAAUGACAUAUGAAACUCAUAAGUAUUAAAACAUAAACCCAAAACAUGACCCAACACUCUAAAACUUAAAAAAUAAAAUAUGGAUAGAAUACAAGCUCAAACAAAACCAAAAUAAAGCAAGUGUUUAAAUAAUAAAACAUAGCUAGACCAUCACGAUAAAACUGAAUUUUCACAAAAACCUUUUUUAAUCUUCACUUUAGGCUUCUUUUUGUAUAGUUUUGGCCCAUAGGCUUAAUUAGACUCUCUAAGCCUAUAAUUGCAAGUGUUGCACCAAAUCUACUCCAUAUGAAUUGAAGGAUGCCCCAAAUUUAUUUGAAUCAUAUGAAUAUAAUUUUGAACUCCUUUUAGACCCAUAUGAAUGAUAUGAGUUUGCUCCAUACUAUUUUUGAAAAUUUAUCCUAUUGGAUCCAUAUUAUUCCCUUAUUCUUUAGAAAAGAUUCGUCCUAAAAUCUUGCUCAUGUUCAUGUCAGGAAGAAAAGUUUUAGGAACUAAUGCAUCUUUAAAAACCUCUUCUUGAAUAUGUGAAAAUAGUAAAAAACUUUCGUCAUGGAUGUUUUCAUCAAUAACCUGCACAUCAAGAAUAAAUGAACUAGGCAUAAUAAUGUUAGUCAUAGAAAGAUUCUAUAGAUGUGACUCAUUCUCCUCUACAGCUUCUAAAACAUCUCCAUUCGCCUCCACCUCAUCAAUCACGUCCUCUCCAUGUCCACCAUCAUUCACAACCUCUUCGAUAAGCUCAUUUAUGGAAUUUUCAAUAGCAAAUACAUUAACUUUAUGCAUUACAACUUCCUCUUCAAUUUCAAUCUCUAUGGAAGUUGAGAUUAAAACUUUAGCCUCUUCUUUCUUCUUUUCUUUCUCCGUCUUUCUUUUUUGCACUAGUCUUGCCAACCUGUUGUCCAAAUCUCUAUAAUAGUGUGAAGGGAUGAAUCUCUGGCGCAUCAACUCUUCAUCUCGGACUUGAGCCCUAUUGGAAUUAAGAGUUCUUUAAGGCAUUCUUGUAGAAGUGGAAGACUAUGAGACUUUCAAACUCUCUAUAGUUUCGGUCAACCUCUCAAGAGUCCUAUAGAGCCUUCUAAACUUACCACCAACUAACCUUUUGAAGAGUUUAUAAUCACUAACCAUGUCCAGUUCACUUUCAUCAUCACUAUCCACCACAUUAUUGUCUUUACUUAUCCUACCUUAAAUCAAUAAAGAACAAAGAGAACUAGCAAAUAUGGUGUUAGAAAUAAAAGCACUUAAGUGUUUGCAACCUUACCACUCUUUUGCUGAUUCUUCAAUUGCACUUCAGAAACUAAGGUCAACGCACCAACGAUAAGGUGCGUUUAAAGAAACAAAUAAGAAAACCUAAAGAAAGAAGGAAGCAUGCAAAAAUUAAAAAGAAGACACUGAAAACUUGGAAAGACAGAUUUGGUACAACACUUGCAAUCAUAGGUUUAGGGAGCCUAAUCAAGCUUAUGGGUCAAAACUAUACAAAGUGAAGCCUAAAGUGAAGAUUAAUAAAGAGUUUUGUAAAGAUUCAAUUUUGUCAUGAUGGGCUAACUAUAUUUUAUUAUUUAAACACUUGUUUUAUUUUAAUUUUGUUUUGACUUGUAUUCUGGUCAUAUUUUAUCUUUUAAGUUUUAGCGUGUUGGGUCAUGUUUUGAACUUAUGCUUUAAUACUUAUGAGUUUCAUGUGUUAUUUUAGUAUAUGAUUGGACUUGGGCCUUGUGUGUGGUUCGAUCAAGUUUAAGAAGAGUGUUUUAGGAUUUUAAUUUUCUCCUUACUAUAUAAGGAUAAAGAAUACUUAUAAGAGUAAACUUUUAAAUCAAAAUUUUCAGAAUUCUUUUUUAUGCCUUUGGUGUGUGUUGCUUUAAGUGAGAGCGACAAUUUGUUUUCAUCAAUUGCACCAAUAAUCUUGGCUAACUUAUCAACUAUUCAUUGUGUCAUUUGUCGGAUUUUUAUCUAAAUUCUUCGAUCAUUAGUGUUUCAGCUUCUCUAAGUGUAGGGUGCCAUAAGAUGUGUGUUUAUCAAAUUUUUUGAUUUUAUAUCUGUUUAUACGUAUGGAUUUGAGACUUGUGUCAUAGAAUUCUACGUUACCAUAUUUUUUCUUCAAUCCAAACAAAAUAGGGGGAAAAAUAUUUUUAUUUUUCUUUUCCUCUUAUUUUACUCUCAUCCAAACAUAGCAUUAAGGUUGAGUAUGACCUUUAAAGAUAAAAAUAUAUAAAGUACCAACAGAACCCAAAUUCGAAUCUAUUUAAUUAAAUAUAUUCUAAUGGUAUUAUUAUUACUGAAAAAAAAUCCACACCCAUUCAAUUUUAUAAAUUUUAAUUUAAUAAUUUAUACAAAAUAUAUUAAGUAGAGUUUUGUUCAAAUCGAAAUAACCCAUUGAAUAAAAUCAAAUUAAAAUUUUAGUUUGAUUUAUUAAAAAAUUCGGUUCGAUUCGAUUUUAUAUUUUUAAAAAAUUCAUUAAAUUAGUUUGGUGUGAUUUUAAAAAUUAAAAAUCAAAUUAAUGGAACCAAAGUGAAUAUGUAUAAUUUAAAUUGACAAUUUGCAAUUAUUAAGCAUGUGGCUUAGCGAUAGUACAAUAUUUAUGACCUUUGAAGAUCUUGUAUUUAAUCUGCAGGUAUGUAUUCUCCCUUUUCCUUCUUCAAUUUUUUUUUUUUUUAUUUUAAGUUUUUGUUUAAUGUGAAUCAAAUUUUAGCCAUCUAUUUUAAUUGAGAAAAUUUGUGCUAUUGAAAAUGAUACUAUAAAUUCAAAACUUUAAGGUAUCAAACCCUAUCUUCUUUGUCUUACUUUUCUCUCAUUCAACUGUUCUUUUUUUUAUUUUCUUUUUUAUUACUAUUGAACACAUAACCGAUUGUUGAUUUCCAAAUCUCGACUCUUACAAUUUCGCUCUCUCUUUUAUUGCUUAUUCUCAUUUGCACUCAUAUCGAUAUCCCUCUCUCUCGCUCAUAGUUAUCGCUCUCUCUCACUAGUUUCAUUCAGCUCUAGUGGUCUCAUUUGAAGACUAUCUACUUUUAAAGGUUCUUACUAAGCUCUCGUUCUCCUAUUCACUUUGAGUUAUGUCUCUAUUCUUGAGUGUUUGAAAUUUUCAAAUAAUCAAGAUUCUUGAAUUGUGUUUUGUGAUUUAUGAAUGUGAGUCACUGUUGGAUUUGUAAUUUCUUUAAUUGUGGAUGUGAUUUGUAAUUAUAUUUUGUAAUUUUUUAGAUUUUUAUGAGAUUAUAACAAAAAUAACAAAUCUUGUAUUUUUUGUUUGUAAAUUAGAUUUUGCAAAUUCUUGAUUUAUUUUGUUGCUAAUGUUAUUUUAUUUUUUUUAAAAAAAUUGUAAAAGAAUAUAUGUGAACCUGUAUAUAUAUAUUUAAUCAGUAAAAAAAAAAGGAAUAACUGAAUAAAUGGAACUAAAAUUUUUUAUUCAUUUUUAUUUAAUUAUUACAUUUAAUUGAACAGAUUUAAUUUUAUAAUUUUAAUAAAUUUAGCUUUUAAUUUUUUUAAUUUAAUUUAAUUUUAGACCGACGAACCAAAUAUUCACCUGUGUUUUUUAUAUAAAAUCUAAAAAUCAAUCUCAUCUCCACUCAAAUAUUAUUUUUGAAAUUUAAAUCCCUCUCCAACUCAAUAUACCAUUUGAAUAUAUAUUAAAUAAUUCUAUGGAGUUGAAUAUCGCAAAACCCGACCCACAGCCAUUCCAACGGCUAACUGCUGAUGGUGGCUGGCUGCUACCACCGUGGAAUAUAACCAGUCAAAUGGCUUCGUUCAAAAGUUGAAAAUUUCUAAUCAGUCGCUUUCGGUGGUGCAGAGCGUGCAGAUUUUUAAAAAGGAAAAAAAAAAAAAAAAAAUCAAAGCACCACAUAGAAAAAUGAAAGCUACUGCUAACUUCAUACAAAAGUCAAACUUUGCUAAUUAAUUAUUUAUAAAUCGUAAAUAAAUAUUAAUCUAUAAUUUAUUAAAAUUAAUUUAUUUCAUUCAUCUUUUUAUGAAAUUUAUUAAUUAACACCAUUCAUCUAUUUAAUUCCUUAUGUAAACUAUAAAAACUGAAUAGUGUUAAUUAUAAAAUUAUAAGAACUGUAAUUUUAAAAUUAAAUUUAAAAUUAUAAAAAAUCAAAUAAUUAUAGUGAUUGAUUAAGAAUAAACAUAAUAAGAAUAAAUGUAUUUUAAUAAUUUCUCAAGAGUAUAUUAUCAACUGUGCUUUUAUCUGUUUAUUUAGGAAUGAUAAUUUAAAGUGAAUUUAGAUUAAAUUUAAUAUUUUUAUUUAUAUUAUUUUUCAGACAUAAAUUUAACCUAAUAAAAAAAUUAUAAUCGGCCCUCAUAAAUUUAAUUUGAUAAUAAGUAUAUUUAGUAAAUCUGAGAUUUUAGAAUUUAAUUUCUAUCUUUUAAUUCCAUUUUAAAAAAAAAAUAUAAUCAAUUGAGUACAAUAAUAAAUUUUAAUAGUUAAAAAUUUAAUUUAUUUUUAAAUAAUAUAAUUUUGGGUUUAAAAUUAUAUCGUCGUAUGUUAUAUUUUAUAUAAUUUAUUUAAUAUUAUUUAAACAUAUUUAGUUUUUUAAUAAUAAUUAGAUAAUAAAUUUAAAUUAAAAAAUAAAAUUUAAUAUUUUUAAUUAUAAUUUAAUUUUUAUGUUAGGGAAAAUUCAAUAGUUUUUUUAGUUUUUAAAAAUAUAUUAAAAUUUUUAUUUUUUAAAAUAUGAGAGAUGAAUUAAUAAAUUUUUAAAAUAAUAAAAAUUAUAUAAUAAAAUAUUUAAGAAUGAAAAUUAAAAUAAAGAUUAAUUAAUAAAUUUCUAAAAUAUUAAAAAUAUUUUAAUAUGUUUUUUAAAAUUAGAUAUCAACUCAUGAAUUUUUAGUAGUAAUUUUCACAUAAGGGGAUAUUCUGAGUGUUGUUUUUAUCGAACUUCUUCGCAUACCAACUUAGCUUAUUCUCAACUAACCACUGCAGAAACUCAUUCUUCUAACAAAGAGCCAAAGAACUCUUUAACGGCUGCCAGAUAUCGUUUCGUUUCGCUUCUCAAUUCCCUUUUAUCUUUCCUUUUUCGGCCCUUUCUUGCUAUUUUCAACUAAUUUCCGUCAUGGAUGAAACCGGUGGAAAAUUCUCUUCGCCGCCUGAUAUUCCGUCCGGUUUGAAUCGGAUUAAGACUCGCCCAGUCCCUUCCAAGGACCAGCUCAGUUCAAAAUCCGAUGACUUGACUAAGUCCAAUACUUAUGUAGCUUCUAGGCCUCCUGUGAAAGGGAAGCAGAGGCAGAAGCAGAAGCAGAAGAGCAUAUUUCAGGGACGUGCAAAAGUUAAUUCUUCCAGAGGAGGUUCGGUUUCUGUUUAACUUUGCUUUGCCGUUUAUUUUGUUUUAUUUAGAUCCUCUUUUUCUGUUGUGGCAUUUGCUAAUUUAUUCCCGUGAUUUUUGCUGAUAAUAUUUUUAUUUUUAGCAUAUCGAGAUAGCAGUCAGGAUAGAAUCGAUUUUGAAAAUCUAGUUUUUUUUUCUUGCUUUUAGAAAGUUUGUUCUGUUAAACCGUUCGACAAGGGUUUUAACCUGUGAGAUAAUGAAAAUAGAAAUCUAUUUGGUGGACUGUGUAAAAGUAAUUGCUGAAGAAGAGUUUUUAUAAAGGGAGAGAGUUAACAAAAUUUUAAGUUGCACCAGGAUUUUCAGGAUUAAUUAAUUUAGCCAUUUGAUCCUUUGUUUCUGUAAAGGGAUUUCGUGUAUCUACUCAACAUUUAAAGCUUUUCUUCAUCCAGAAUCUGGUUUGUAAGCAUCAAACUUGGGAAACGUUAUAUUAAAACGAAACCUGCGCCAAAGACUUUUGGGUCAAAGAGUCUGUCAUUAUUAUUGAAGUGGGCAGAAGCAGUGAAUUGCUUGUGGGAGUUUUCUAGUAGUUAAGUUGUAUGCUAUCCAUUGGUCUAUAAUCUGAAUCCUGUGCUCUGAAAUUUUGGAUUGGCAUGCCAUUUGGUGACAGGAUAGUAUGAUUAUGCAACCAUCAGUUCAUGAAAAUAAAUGAUGUGAACCCACAUCAGGAAAAAAUGGGGAGGAAACAUUAAAGGCAUUGGUGGAAACUGUUGCCAUGGAUAUGUGGUCACCAGCUAAAAACUUGUAAGGGUAUUGGUGCAAAAUCUUUUGCCUGUACUGGUUUAGAGAAUUGCAUUUAUAGACCACAUGGGCAUGUGCUUGUUUUAAUGGUUAAGUAUAUUAAGAAGUUAUGUUAAGGUCAUCCAUUGUCAAAAAUGGAAGUGAUGGCACUUGGCUAUGACAAAAUUGAAAUCGUUUAAGAAAGCUAUCAUAUGGUUAAGUUUUUAUUCUGCAAGAUAUGAUUCCGCAUCAAGAUACCUUGGCAUUUUGAUGAUUGAUUAUAACAGUUAGUCAUAACAUAGAUGUUUAUAGCUUCAAAAAUUAAGAAAUGCAAACUUAAGCUUGAACUGAAAUCUUGUCUUACUUUUUUUUUUGUGAAUUUAUUUUCUGAAUUAUAGAGGUUUAGUAGUGUGAUUCUACUAAAUAAUUGAAGAAUUUAUAUAGGAAAGAACAAUGAUGUGGCUUCUUUUUGGCCUCUAUUAUUUACAAAAUAUGGAUAUUUCCUUUGGGAAGUUGGUGAUUGGAACUAUCAUUCCCUCUUUUGUUCCUUUAGGAGUUAAUUCUUAGGGAUUAUCUCUCAUUCUGUUUUAUGAGACGUUUGGUUUCUAAAGUUCUUUUUCCUCCUCUUGGGAUCUCAUAGUUAUAAUUCGAGGGUUUUUCAAUUUGUAGGCAAAUAAUGAAAUUGUUGCUAUAUGUUGUUUCUGCUAUAAUGGGACCAUUUGGUGAGGAUUACACUCCAAGUUUUAGUUAAUUAAAGUGUGAUAUUGCAAGCAUGCCAUUUUGAAAAUAAACUAUCUUAUCUGUGUUUUUCUUGUCUUUUGAUGGGUAAUUUAUAUUUAUAUAAUAAAAUGAAUAGAUAAUUGAUGCAUUUUGCUUUCACAUUUGUAGAAGAACUCUAUAAAGGAAAGAAGAUAACUCGAUGGUUCUCAUCAUAUUUUUCCAAGGAUGCUGGCCAAGUUAUGAGUGAUGUUUCUACGAAUAUUGAGGUGAGGUUUGCUUAAUCAUGCUCUGGAGACACGUUUUUAGUUACUCUGAUGUGUGAACAUAUUUUGUACUGCACCAAAUAGUAUUAAAUAAGCCAUGCUACUACUUUGACAGGAGAGUAGCUUAGAAGCUAAGACACUUGACAAAAAGGAACAAGCAGGAAGCAAAAUUUCCAAUGGGGGGAAUUAUCAAAAUGGAAAACAAUCUUCUUUGGAGAGUUUAAGCCGGAGUAAAAUGACAAAGGGAUUAAAAAGUUUUUCACAUGAAUUGGGAACAAAAGGCAGCAUUACACCUGUCUUCCCUCGGGCUCAUAGCUACAGUGAUUUGGAGGUACUCUUUAAUAAUUUGCUCAAGAAAAUUUUGAUUUUGAAUUGUGCCUUUUCAUUUUCAUAGGCAAUAGUUAACAGGACCAACAAAAUGAGUAUGAUUGUCCUUUUUAUUGGUGAGUCUACUUUCUUAUUGGUCCAUACAUUUCUUAGUCCUCCACUCUAGUCUGGUGUUCAUUGGAUACUAACCUCCUGCUUUCAGUGGUUUAUGUACAAUUGAUGGCAUAUAGUUUUAUAAGUUGUAUUCUAACUUAUAGUUUAGAGGGAGGCCAAUUAUUUUGCAGCUGAUCCUAUUGGUGUAACAUAGACUAAAUGAAUACUCAUUGAUAAGACUUCUGAUACCUUAUAGCAUGAGAUAUGCAAAUUGCCAAAUCUUUUGGCAUCUAUUUGCACAGAAGAAAAAUAAUUUACACUUUAUCAAACUUCAUGAUGUAAGAAAAACUUAUUAUCAUUUGCUUUUUCUUUUUGUUUCCUUGAGUUGCCAUUAGGAAAUUCUUGGUUCAUUGCAUUCAAGAUUUGAUGCUGCUAAAGAAGUGGUGAAUGUAGAACUGGCUAGUUUUGCAGGGGAAGUCGUGGAUGUCCUUGAGAAAAUUGACUCUUCAUUGCAAGAAGACUUGAAAAUGGGAGAAGAUCUUCUAACUCUGGCUCAAUUAUGCAUGGAGAUGAACUGUGCUCAGUUUCGCAUCAAGUGUGAAAUAAUUGUUCAAGAUCUGACUAAGAAAAGACAACAGUGUCAAACAGGACUACUGAAGUGGCUAUUUACUCGUAUGCUUUUCAUAUUGACACGCUGCACUAGACUUUUGCAGUUUCAGAAGGACACUGAACCUAUUGAUGAGAAAUCACUUCAUAAGUUCAAAAAAUGUCUAGAAAGUGUUCCUUCUGUUGAAAUGAGUUGGGCUGCCAAUCAUGGGAUUGGUGAUUCUGAUAUUGGUUGUGCUCUAAAUCAGAAAGGUGACAUCAAACAAAAGUUGCUGGGACAGAAUAAUUUAUCUUCUCUUCCUGAGGCAAUGUGCUGUGGUUCUCAAGAGCUGGAUGAUUUGAGUGGCAUAACUUCCAGAAAGGACUCUCUGGAACAAAAGUUGCCAUCUCUAAAUUCCAACAAGGAUACCCUUUCACAACUUCAACAAUUUUCUGAAACUGAUAAAAGUUCCUUGAGGAAUUCAUUAAAUAAUUCCAGUCGUUCGCUUCAUGGUCAGGGACAAUUGUUAGAUGACUCUCUUCAUGAACAGGAGCAAAUUUUAGAUGGAUCUGAUUCAGUGAUCUGUAGGAUUUGUGAAGAAAUUGUGCCUAUUUCUCAUCUAGAAUCUCAUUCUUAUAUAUGUGCAUAUGCAGAUAAGUGUGACUUAAAUUGUCUAGAUGUAGAUGAACGCCUUUCAAACCUUGCAGAGAUAUUGGAACAGAUUGUAGAGUCACGUAAUUUGAAUGUUCAUCCAUCAUACAGCCCUGAAAAUUCAAAAGCACAAACUGUAAAUGCUGUUACAGCUGAAGUUUGCUCUCCCAAGAUAAGUGAAUGGCGAAAUAAAGGUGUUGAAGGAAUGUUUGAAGAUAUACAUGAGAUGGAUACUGCCUUUAUAGAUGAUUCUCAUCUACUCCCUGCUAACUUAAAAGGUCAUUUUGGUAUAAAGUUAUGCAAUUAUGGAGCAACCUCCUCAACUGGAAGCAUGACAUCAGUUUCCUCCACUACAACCCCCAGAGCUGGCCAUUUUGAUUCCUUCUGGUUAGAACAUAAUAAUCCUUCAGAGUCGGAGGACAUCCAACAGGUUAGUAAUUUCUGUGAUGGAUCUUUAUUUUCUGAACAUCCAGUGUUUUAUACUGGUACUUUUCCCCUUCUUAUUGCAGUAAAACUUAAAACAAUGAAAUUAUGAUAGAAAAUUUUCAUAAUCUAUUUCAGCAGCUAUAUUAUACAUUGGAAUGACCUUUACAUUCAUUUGGGAGUUUUCUAGUGCCUUGCUGACAAUAUGUUGAUGCAACUGCACAAGCUAGCUGUGCCCUUUUUUUUUUUCUUUUUUUUUUUUUCUGGUGAGAUGAGAUGGUGUAGAAGUACUUGAAUCACCUUGAGGUUGGGUAAAAUCCUAGCCAACCUAAAGUUCUACCUAGAGCUAGGAGCAACUGAAUUUCGUACAUAACAAAUUCAAAGCUAUUGUUUAGGACUUCUACCAUCUCCAAUAUUUUCCUAAGAGUGUUAAUUAACCUUUGACCAAGCUGCUGUUACAUAAAUUUGUCUAUAGCAGGAAUGUGAAAUUAUUGCUUAGAAGUAGAUUUACUGUGGGUUUAUUACUUGUCUCUCCACUAUUAUAGAUUCCUCUCAAUUGGUAGCCAUUCAGGCUUAUCAUUGCCAUUCUGGAUCCAGUAAUAUAUGUUAUUAUGGUAGAACUUCAUCUUUGCAUCUCUCCUAAAUUAUUUACUUUUUACACAUAGCUUUUAAUAAUAUUAUGAUGUUGAAUAUGGAGCUUUUCUUUUUCCUGAACAGAUGAUUGACCUUGCAGACAUAGCCCGCUGUGUAGCUGGCACAGAUCUCUCAAAGGAAGGGUCAUAUGAAUUUUUGCUUGCUUGUAUGCAAGAUCUACAGGAUGUUUUACAGAAUAGCAAGCUCAGAGCUCUUGUAAUAGACACUUUUGGGGGUCGGAUAGAGAAACUUCUGCGGUAAAUUCAUUUUUAAAAGUUCCUGUACAAAACAACUAGCCAAAUCCUUGAAUUUUUUUUAUCUCCUCUUUCGGUAUUUUAUCUGCAGGGAAAAAUAUAUACUUGCUUGUGACGUAAUGGAUACUAAAACUCCUACAAGUGAUGGAAAACUUAAGGAAAAUUCUAGACUUCUAUUCGAUAAUGCUUCUCAAAGUAGUCCAAUGUCAACUCCUGUACAUUCAUCACAUAAAGAGAGGACAAGCAUUGAUGAUUUUGAAAUCAUCAAACCAAUAAGUAGAGGUGCCUUUGGGAAAGUCUUUCUUGCACGCAAACGGAUAACAGGAGAUUUAUUUGCAAUUAAGGUAAAUAAUCAUCUCGCCAAUUUGCAGCUUAGUAAAACAAAACUAAAUAUUAAACGUUCUGGAUUUGGAUUUUCUCUAUUAAUACCCGUAAUCACUCCAAGUGUUCCUAAAUAUUUGCAAGAAGCAUGGCUAUAUUGACAGCUUUAGAUGGAAGAGGAGAAGUACAGGUAGUUAUAUCACAAAUGCAUAUUAGCUAAAUGUGGGACUGAUCUAAGUAUUUUAAGAUGCUAGGUCAUUUCUUAGAGUUAUUAUUUAAUAAUUAUAGCAGCAAGUUCAGCUUGAAGGUCCUAAGAGUGGUGGGAUUGCAGCAAGUCGGUUAGGUUAUGUAGAAAUUGUAUUUGCUAUCUGUUAAUCAAGCUUAGGUCUAUGUCUCGUAAAUGUGAACUUGAUGUUUGCAUUUUAAAAUUUUAUUCAUAUUUCUACAAGUUUAAACGAGUUAUCAGUUUUCAGCUAAAUAAUUCUUAAGCUGAGCAACUUGAUUCUUUUUGUGGCCUUAAUAGUUUCUAAAGAAGGUUAUUAUGCCUAUGAUCAUGAAGUUUCCUUGAUUUUUUUGUUCACCUGUGGUGAGUAUUGUGUGUGUGAGACGUGUAUUGAUAUCCAUCUAUAAAUAACAAAUGUUGGUCUUAUUUUCAUCCUUUUUUUUUUCACUGGCAUCAAGGAUCUGGAUUAAAAUUUUAAUGCCACUGGACACUCAUAGCCAUUUUUGUGAGAAUAAACAAGGAAUAGUAAAAGUAAAAUAGGAAAAAUUAAGGGAUAGCCAGGGAAAUCAUUACUCUCCAGAAAAGAGACCUGUUAUCUGAUUAUUUUUUGAACUUAUUUCUUUGAUUCAGUUUUGUUCUAGUGGAAGUACAUGCAGUUAAUUUUUUGCUUUUCUUUCCUGUUAUUCAACAGGGAAAUAACUGUUUGUAUAUAUUACUAAUACAAUGCUAUCUUUUGCUUAUGUAGGUUCUCAAGAAACUGGACAUGCUGUGCAAGAAUGAUGUUCAGCGCAUAUUAGCAGAGCGUAACAUCCUAAUAACAGUUCGAAACCCAUUUGUGGUAAUAUUCAAAUUUAGUUUGCUUUGGACUAUGAGAUAAUAUGAUUUAAGCACAAUAUGUAAAAACACACAUCUUCAAUAUUAUAUAUUAUAUAUUAGAUAUAUAUAUAUAUAUACCUAUACCGGCUAUAUUCAUGACAAAUUUGUCUAGCAUUUGCUUGAGCCUCCAAUUCUUGCAUUUAUUGACCAUUAUAUUUCUCCUUGAAUUAGCAUUUCAUUUUUUAGUGGCCCUUUGAAAUGAUGGCUGAUGUUUUCUUACCAGAAAUUUGAAGCUAUGAAUUUGAAUAAUUGGAUACAAAUUGUGGUCUUUUCAUUACAGGUUCGAUUUUUUUAUUCGUUCACCUGUAGAGAUAACCUCUAUUUGGUUAUGGAAUAUCUCAAUGGAGGUGAUCUAUUUUCUUUGCUUAGAAAAGUUGGUUGCCUUGAGGAAGAUGUAGCUCGUAUAUAUAUUGCAGAACUGGUUUGUUAGAACAGAGCCCUGUGUGUCCAUAUAUCUUUAUGUAGUUUUUUCUUUUUUACUUCAACUUAAGUAGGUUCUACCUGUUACAGGUUCUUGCUUUAGAGUAUCUCCACUCUUUGGGAAUUGUGCAUCGCGAUCUGAAACCAGACAACAUACUGAUUGCACAUGAUGGGCACAUUAAGGUCCGGAUAAUUAUUCAGAAGGAAUGUGUGUCGACAUACUGAUUCUGGGGUUUGAAUUGAAUGGUUAUGUCAAUUCUUAUAAUAUAAAAUAAUUAUUCAGAAGGAAUAUGUGUGUUUGUGCAUUAAAACACAAGUUCAUACAUAAGAUUGUCCAAAGCUGCUUCUGAAGCUAGAUGUUAGUCUACUUUCAUAUCACUGUUUCCUGCAAAAUUCUUGCUAAAUUAUUCUUCUCAAUAAAUAUUUUGGGGGCUAAUUUAAUCAAUUGAUGCAUUGGCUAUAGAAUUUUGAUUUAUCUACUUUCAUCUCCUCAUUAUUUAUGGGGAUUGGUAUACUAAUGAUCGCUUAUCUUGCCAGCUCACAGAUUUUGGGCUAUCAAAAAUUGGCCUUAUAAACAGCACCAUUGAACUCUCAGGACCUGAGAUGGAUGGAAAUAAAGUUUCAGGUGUUCAUAGUCCACACACCCGACAAUCAGAAGAUAGAAGUCAGCACUCAGCUGUUGGAACACCCGACUAUCUGGCACCUGAAAUUCUUCUUGGGACUGAUCAUGGUCUGUUGGCAACCUGAAUUUAUAUUUAUCUGAGUUUCUCAAGGAGAUGUAUUUACCUCCUUUUCAUUCACAUGCAGGUUAUGCUGCAGACUGGUGGUCUGUGGGAAUAAUUUUAUUUGAACUUAUAACUGGAAUACCACCCUUCAAUGCUGAAUCUCCUGAGGUAUCUUUCAUACUCAGAACUCUUUUGCUUGAUGGUCCUAACUCACAGUGGUUGGGAUGGCAGCAUUUUUGUAAGUGUAUUAACAUAAUCAUUUUGAUUAGCUGUUUAUAUCUGUUGAUUGUUGAAGCAGCAUCAUGGACUCAAGUGUUGGUUUUCUCGAUCCCAUGCCUGAUACAGUUGCAUGGAAUUCCAUAUGCUGCUACUUACUGUCUGCAAUGUCUGAAAAUCAUCUCAAUAUUCUAUAUGAUAUGUCCCUUGGAUGUUCAUGUUAAAAUGGAUAUCUUUCUUGAAGUUAGUUGUGUUCAAUUUUGGGCUGUAUUUUCUCCUUGAUAGUGUGAUCAUUAAGCCCCUUGGAUAUGGAUCGCAUCACAUGUCUAUUAACCGUAAAUUCAAUGUCCAAGGCUGAAGCCUUUAAUUUGCCAUGAUUCUUGCCUCACCCAAUUGUUGCUGCUAUGAGCCUAGUGAAGGGAGGUCUAACCUUGAACCUGUUGGAGAAAAGAGAGUUCAGAUCUCAAUUAGGAUAAAAAUAUUUCUGCUUGUUUUAUUUCAUAAUUGACUACUCCUGUAAAUAGAUGGAUACAAGCACUAAUUAAGGUAAUCCUAUUAGAGAUGGAAGUCCCACCAUACUAGGAUGACUAAAAAAAGCAGGAAAUUAACAAGUAGAAUUCAAAUAGAAUAUUAGCUGCAGAAUUCAAAUCUGCUGCACUCCUGCAGCUUGCCCGAUUAAUUUUGGGCCUGGGUCCCACAUCGAUUGUAAGCUCUACCCACAAAUGCGUUCACAACAGUGAUUGACUUGAAAAUGAUGCUAAUGAAUUUGGAAUAUGAAGGUGAUAAUGGAAAAAUGAGGCUUCGUAAGAAAGAUCCCCUGGCCAUUUUUGUAUAAUAUAACUCUCUCCCCGUUUCUGUAUUGGGCAGAGUUGUACUGUUGUGAAAUUAAGAAUUAUCCACCAAAGUUGAUGGAGGAAAUGAGAAAUAUACUUUGCCAUUUUAAUGUUUGAAAUGGCUGCUGGGAUGUUUCUCUUCAAUUGACUAUAAAAAAAUAUUUGUGACCCUGUAAUUGCAAUUUAUGUAUGCCCGCCAUGGUUACUUCUCUCUUUGCCUGGCCUAACCCUUUUUUUUGGUACAAUCCUUUUUCCCUUGAAAUAGAUUACUUAAGUUGACAAUUAAUUCUUUCUAGCUGUUUUUUCUUUCUGAUGCAGAUAAUCUUUUAUAACAUUCUUAAUAGAAAAAUCCCCUGGCCUCCUAUACCUGACAGCAUGUCUUAUGAGGCCCAAGACUUCAUUAACAGGUUGAAGAACUUGUUUGCAUAUUUUAUUUUCUGGAUCUUCUGAUGCUUAAAUCAUCUUUUGAAGUGUGGACAUACAGAUGGUCCUCAGAUUUAAAGAAAGGCUUUGACUUACUAUGACUAUUAAAUAAUUAAAACUGCCAAUUAUUUGAUAAUAUCUACCAUAAAUUGCAGGACAAUCUUUUCUAUUUCAAAUCUUAUGCCUAGAGGUUCUAGACACUUCCAGAAGUGAAAAAUUGAACAUUUAACAAGUAAAUUUAGGUCCUUAAUGUACGCAUUUCUCAAAAAAUGAUAAAACAAAAUUGUUAAGUUGCAUGCAUUCAAAUGAAUAAUCCUAGUAAAGAACUUUUUAUGUAAUUAUAUCACAUAUAAGUUUGUUUCCAAAGUUGAUGUCUUUGCAUGAUCAAUAUUUUCACUUCUCAGUUCUCAUACUCUGUCCAAUAACGAGUCUACCUUCAUCCAUAGUCACAUAUUAUCUACAAUACAAUCAUGCCUAUGUCAUUUUUUACUUUAUUUUCACUAUGUUUUCCACUGUAUACCUUCUUGGAUAACUAACAUGUGUAUUACCAUUUUGGUCAUUUGGUGUAACAAGUUACACGCACAAAAAAAGAAAAAAAAAAUCACAUUUAAUAUGAAGCAAUAAAAUUUCUAUUUGUCCAUGCGAUGUAUGUUUUUUAAUGUAUGUCAAAGCAUUACUCAAUUCCUAUUCUUUCUUUAUAGGUUAAUUACUCAUGAUCCAAAUCAACGCUUAGGAGCGAAAGGAUCAACAGAGGUUGUAUUUCAUUGUAAACCUUUUUUUUAUUGACCAAGAUGAUUAACCGAAAAUUUUCACAUUGGUUUUGAUGACUUGCAUUGAUUAUCUUAUAGGUCAAAUCACAUCCGUUUUUCAGAGGAGUGGAUUGGGACAACCUUGCAUUGCAAAAGGUACUAAUACAUGCUGCUUGGUGGAAUUCAGAUUCAUAAUUCUCAAGUGGUAUCCUUUGUGCCCAGCAAAUUCUUUAUGUCAGUCUUCUGAAUGACAAAAGUAUAAAUUGGUAGAGUAGGUCAACCUGUAGAUAUUGUUGCUUCGUGGGCGUAAUGCUCCUCAAGUGCAAGAUAUGAAGAAACAAUGCUUCAGUCGGCUUCUUUUCUCAGAUUGACUUUUUUGCAUGAUAUUGUUUAUAAUAGUCUUGCAGUGCCAACAUUUGAUUCCUUUUUCCAAGGAUAACAAGCCUUUAACUUAACAAGUCUUUUAUGUGCUUGGUUGAGGCCUUGCAAUAAACUUAGGUUGCCUUGUCAUCUUUUUCCUUUGUCCAUGUGUUUAAAAUGUGUAUAUAUUUCCACUAGUUAUGUGUUAGUUCUUUCCCUUUUUGGAUUUCCAGUAAAUAUUGUUAACUUGGCCUUGAUUUUGUUGAUAGGCCGUCUUUGUACCUAGCCCUGACAGUGCAGAUGACACGAGCUACUUUAUAUCACGAUUUUCUCAAAUAUCUAGCGGAAUGCCUAAUGGUCGAACUAGUAGCUGUUCUGAUAUUGAGGGUUACGACUCAUCCUCAAAUUCUGGAGUUGAGGUAUAUAUAAUGAAUUCCUAAAGUAGACUGCUUAUGCCUCUGAUCAUAUUCAGGGAUUACAGCAUAAAAUGUUAUAUGUGAAGCUUGCAGAAGUUUCUGGUGAUCUUUCUGUAUAUUAAGCCUAUAGAUAUUGUGGAAAUGAUGACAGUUACUCCUGACAUAGUUUUUGCUUUUAGGCACCUUUAUUCGGCAGACCUAUAGAUGAGGUCUCUAAAUCAUAGCUUUCUAGCUAAAAACCCUAUCUUCCUGCGUCUAAAAAGUGCCGUUGAAUAAAACCAUAAGGGAUGAUGAAUUUUCUGUACCAUGAUGAGAAGACUGAUUUUUAACAGUACGCUUCCUUUUUUGUUAUGGUGGGGGAGAGUGAAAGAGGUGGUGAAUGGAAUACGAAUGGGAUUAAGAUUUUAGCUAUUUUGACCAUUUAUUCCCGUUUUAUAAGUUUCUGAAUUGACCAUUGAUAUGUGAUUAUCAUUCUAAACGUCUUCUUUUCAGAUGGAUGAAUAUGGUGACCUGGCAGAGUUUGAUUCUUCUCCACUCUCCUUGAUCAAUUUUUCUUUCAAGGUAAGGGUUGCUAGCCUCUUAACAGAUGUUUCCGUUCUUUACUUGGGAACAAAAUAUAACUUACAGGUUACCAACUAAGCUCAACUUUGAAAUCAAUAUGGCUUUGUGCUAUGAAUACCCUCACAUUCUGGACUAGGGUUUAUGCUUUUGGCUCAAUUAGCCACAUCCUUGGAAUUUCUCUAUUUGCAGUUUAUUAAUAAGGAUUUUUUACUUUUGCAGAAUCUGUCUCAAUUGGCGUCUAUUAAUCACGACUUGCUCUUACAAACCGGGAGGGAUUCUGCAAAGCAUUCCCCCUCUAGAGCUCCAGACACAUAGAAUCUUUCAGUAGUUAACGGAUUUAAUAGGUAAUUUGUUUACACUGAUUACGUGCUAGGAAAAUUAUAGGGAAAUAAAAGCUCAGCUUUUAUCAUGUAAAUAAAACGAUAGAAUAAUUUUCUUUGUACAGAAAACCAAUAAAGUCGAAGAAAGUCUUAUAAAAAAAAAUUAUUCCUUUUUUCAUUGUAUUAUCCAUUUUUUCUUCCAUUUGUCCAUCAGAACAAUGCUCUCGUUGUGAUGAAUUAAACAUGCCAGAUAACCGAAUUUUCCACCCGAGAGAAAAGCAUGCACGUGGAAAAAUAAAUUUAAGAAAAAUAACAAACAAUGGUGGUUAUGUAACCAAAAGCAAAUCCUAUUGAUUAUGCUCAACACUACCAAAACAAAAGGUAACAAAAACUACAAUCGACGACAAUAUAAUGACGGAACCAUAGACUAGUUUAUGCGAGAAAAUUCAUUUGCACUAGACGAGAGGGAGAGAGAUAUCAGACAGGGAUUGAUAAGCCCCUCUUUGCCAUGCUAUCCAGGACAUCAUUCAAGGCCUGACACAAGCCAACAAUCUGCAUAGUAACAAUUAAUUAAUACAAAAAGAGGGAAAGUGCGUGUACUAGCCAAGAAGCAAGUUUUGAUAAUGACCUGUUGAUCCCAUUGCUGCAGCUCUUCAGUAUCAUCCUCAAAGUGAAUCACAGCUUCUACCUGACGUAUUAAGAAAUUUCAGACAGAUGCAUUAUAUUAUAUUAUAUUAUAUAAUAUUUUUACUAGAGAACUACACCGUUAUUCUUCGCUUGUCAGUCAAACAGACAAUGACCAACACAUCACCAGAGACGAGGAGAUCCAAGGCCAUAUAACCCUUUUGAGUUGGGACGUUUGUUAUAGUGGAAACAACUUCAAGGCAAAAAUCAUGCAAGCAAAGCAGAAACCAGUUGUCCAAUACCCAGCUCCAUAUUACAAAUUGCACAAGUACAUCAUCAAGUUUUGCAAAUAUUAAGCUUGGUCCCGUUGGCAAAAUUAUAAUCUGACCAAUAAAAAUCCUUGCUAGAUUGAAGAAAUGACAUCUAGCAUGCUAGAUGAGUCUUUAGAAUUUAAAACCUGAUCAAUUGAUCCCCUCAUUCUAUCCUCGUAUAUCAUUCUUGAUGCUAUCUUUUCCGCCUGCAACCAAAAGAAGCAAUUCAUCUGUUUUUUUUACCCAAAAUAAACUGAAGCAUUAGUAUAUUUUUCGUGUGUGAACAUGCGUGACAGAAACUGAGACAAUGGGACAGGAAUGCCUCAAGAUCAAAAUAAACAGAUACCCACACAGGCAGAACAUUUACAGAAGCAUUGAAGAUAUAGUAAAUGUAGAUCGUUAGAAUUUGAAGUCCUAAACAGACAUUUUAUUGUCUGAGAUGCACUAGUGAAGUUGCAUAUAGAACGUUUAGGAAUAAGGGAAUGAGUAGGGAAAGUCGUCGUGUAAUUGAGUGGGGAGGAAAAGGAUUAGAAGAUACAACGUAAACAAAGUUGGGGAUGCAAAAUAAGCAACAGCAAAGUGUACAUGAAAAACAAGUUCCAAUCAAAUUGUAAAAUAUUAUACCAGAGGAGGAAAUGUCUUGAACUCAUGAUCAACUUUCGUUCUUUUAUAAGCCAAUGAAAUAUGCUAAAAAAAUGAUAGAGCUAUUAAUUUUCAGAACUCUGGAAAUUAGGAUAGAAACGCACCUUAUUUGGAGGAAUUCCCAGCAAGGUGCCCAACUCAUCAAAACUAUUGCAACAAAGUGGAAAACAAAACAAAUUAUUUAACCUAUUGUACAAAAUCACAGUCUAUGAAACUAAAAAUGAAGUCUAAAAGCAAAAUAUCUCAAACCUUAUAUUUGAGUAGAGUUUACUUGCACUAAGAAGAUUGUGCUCAAUCAUAGCACGAUCCAGAACAGUAAAAUUGUCUGGCAGAAGGGCUAGCUGUUGUGCCACCAAAAAAGAGACAUUAAUUGUAGUUUACAAGGUUAAUCAUCCAUUUGACAUGAUUCAUUUUGUAAGAAAAAAAUUAAAAUGAAUUCCAACAAAAUCAUACAUGAUUUUAUUUUUAAAAAAAUAAAAUAAAAUAUUUUAAGCUAAAAAGAAAUGAAUUCUUCCAUUCCAAACAGGAAAUUAGAUAAGAAAAUAAAUGAAUUAAAUUGAAUUCUUCUAAAAUCCUUGAUUCCAAACAAGGGGUAAAUGAAUGUAUAUCCCUAAAUAUAGUAGAAAAGAUUUUUACAACCUGAUGUGUCUUUAGUUCUUCAGCAAAUGCAUCAAUUUCAGGUUUUCUCAGAAUUCUCUCUAAAUAGACCUGGUCAAUUUUGAGUGAGAUUUCCAUCAGUAGAAACUAUAAGAUAUUGGGGAAAUAACAAAAACGAAAACUGCCGAACAUUGGUGCAGAUGUACUGCACCCUUGCAAGUGUGUAAGCAUGCAUGCAUAAGAGGAAGAGGGAGAGAGAGAGAGAGAGAGAGAGAGAAGGAACCUUUUGCAAAAUAGGAUAAACUCUAAGCUUUGAGCAUCGUUCAUCCUGCACCAAAUCUCACUGCAUCAGUACUGUUCAACAGUGUAAUGCAAAUUACAUUUGCAUAUUAACUUUUUAAUCAAGCAAGUAUAUUUACCUUAUACAAAGUGGCGAGGACACGAGAACGUUGAGGACCUGCAGCAGCCAAGAUUGUACAUGUCACAGCAGCAGAGAGAGCUUGUUGCAGAGCUUCCUCAUCAAUGGUUCUUCAAUGAAAACAACAGAAAUUGAGAAAAACUUCAUUCUAAGUGCUUCAGCUUUCAGAAUAAUAAAAUAAAAAGAAGUUAGCAAACAACAUUCAGUUUUACAUACUCAUCUCCUAUCUGUCUCUUCUCAAUUUGGGAUAUAUCAUAAUAACGCAGUGCAGCUUCCAAAAACUUCCUCUUGAUGUCCAAAACCCUGGCAUAACAAAUCUAACAAAAUAGAAGAAAGCAACCUCAACAAAACAAUAAAGCUUUGUUCAUUUACUAAAUUGCCUAAAGAGAUUAUAGAAUGAUGCUCAACCUUGUAUUGUAAGUUCAAUACUUCGUGCUGGCUGUUGCUAACCAAAAACGAAGCUUUAUUGAUGAAAGCCUCUGCAUUAACUGCAUCAUCAUCCUGCAAAAGUAAGCAGCCACGGAAAAUAUUAGUCAUUGUAGAAGCUUUUAAGAACUAUGAAGAAAAUAAUAAAAAGACCACUAAUGGAUGCAUAGUGUUGGAACCAAAGGAACCAGUUUCAGCCCUUAAUAAAAUCCUACAAUACAAAGACAUGCUCAUGGUACUAAGUUAUCAAUCUACAACAAUCUAAAUUCUAAAAUACAAUUUAAAAUAUCUUCAGUAUUAACAGCUGGGUUAGUUAUGCAGCAACUGGUGAUAUGACAGCGCUUUAAGUGUUCAGAGCAGCUAGGUUAGCACAGCAGAUGAGUGCAGGCAUAUAAUAGCUCAACCCAGAAUAAUGCCAAGAUCUAGGCAAAAUAAUCCAUCAGGUCACUGAUAGCUCUACUACACAACCAAUGAAAGCCAUUUUGAUGAAAUCCGUUCACCUAAAUUCCGACAUUUUGGCUUGAAAUACAGCUUCACCAACUCUCAAAUGGUAUGUAAAGACAAGCAUGUUAUUACAGUUAUUGCCAAUUAAGAUAACAUUAUUAUAGUGCUUUAUUAUGCUCUACUACAUUAAAUUAUAUAACAAAACAAUAUCCAGGAUCAGGCCCCACAGCACAAUGACUUCAAAUUAAUCAUUCACCCUUUAAGUUAAUCUUUGGAUGAAGAAGUCAAUACCUCAAGAUAUAAGCGAGCAAUUUGGACACAUUUAGAUAACCUAAAUGUAUCAUCAAUGACCCUGAUGAAGAUAUAAAAGGAAUACAUGUUUUGUCAAAUAAACAUCAUUAAAAUAAAAAAUAAAAAAAAACAAACAGAAAUAUACCAUUUCCAUGAACAAAUAUAUAAAAGAUCUUACUCUCAGACCUCAUUCCAGAGUCUAGAUCAAUGCCACUGAGCAUCUGAGCUGCUUUUGACCAUUCUUGCUCUGACUCAUAUAGAUCUGCGAGUUUCUCUCUAAUUAUUAAAACCUGCAAUUCAAAAAUCAACCGGUUACUUAUCAGUUCAAAAAAACAAAUACUUAAAAUUACUAAUUUUACCACAAAAAACUGCUGUUCACUAAUGGAAUAGAAUAGUUUUUGUCAACUACAAAAGCCAUAUAAAUAUCACACAAAAAGGAAAACCAAUGGAAGUUCCAACAUGUUUUCACAAUAACAUGAAAAUAGUGUUAGGUUAAACUCAAUUUCAAUCCUAUAAUUUGUUUGAAAACGAAGUCCACUAACUUAGAUGAUAAAAUUCAAUUGAAUUCCAUAUGAUUCAGAUUUAAUAUAAUUUCAAAAUUGAAAUCCAUUUAUCCACACUUCUUAAAUUACCCCAGGAAUAAAAGAAAUCUUGUAUUUUCCCUCUUAUCAAAAUCUAAUAAAUUUAUAACUAGCAAACAUAUAAGUCAGUUAUAUAUAUGGGAGGUCCAUUGGACAACAUUAAAAGUAUCAUCACUUAAGUCCAUAAUGAUAGAGAAAAGUAACAGAAGAGAGGGGGAGAGGAAGGUAAGAGAGGAGUGGAAAAGAGAGAAAGGAGAGAGGGCGUGUGCUUGUGAGCAACACAUUGGCUUUGUAGUCCAAAAAUUGUUGGCAUGUUGGUUGUGUAAUUCUUCAAACUUUAUUAAAUCUGAUAUCAAAGUCUGAAAAUAUCAUUACAGACUUGUGUCAAACAGAAGUGAACAGCGACAAAAUGAUCCAUAUAACAAACCCCAUUUAGUUUGGGAUUAAGGCUUAGCUCUUAUGGGAACGAAUUGAUUAUAACAAUAAAAGAAAAUUCCAUGAAACUGAAUUCUUAAUCCAAUCUUUUUUUGAACCAAGCAUACAAACAUGGAAUUCAGUUGAAAUUCAUUUGAGCCAAGCAUAAACUGAAAUCAUUCCGAUUUGGGCAAAAAGCACUUGAGCAGGACAAUGUCUCAUUUGGAGACCCAUUCUAGAGAAAGCAACGAAAGAAGCUCCUGUUUUUAUAAAGCCUAUAAACCAAUGAAUGACCUAAAACUAACCUGUUCUUCGAAAGAAACAACCCGAGGCUGAAUCUGGGCAAGAGUAUAAUGGGCAAUCUCCUUUUGCGUCUCUGGCUCCAAUCUCUCCAGUGCCAGUGCAAAAGUCUGUAAUAGCUGCCUCGAAACCACCAAUGGCACAUCAUCCGACAAAACUGCAAUUCGUUUUGACAUUUUCGAACUAUUAGCUAAAAAAAAAAGCCCUAGGUGAAUAGCAAAACAAGAGUGCGAGAGAGGAAGUACCAUGAUCGAUAAACUUCUUAGCCUGAAUGACGUCGUCUGAUAAGAGGACGGAAGCGAGAAUGUGCCUGUACUGUUCGAUCUUUUGUCUCUGGUCCGUGAUUGCAGAGGCGCUCGCAAAGGCACUCUCCAUGACUGUUACAGUUUUCCUUUUCCUCCUCCAAUUUCGACGAACCCUAAACCCUUUCAAUCUCCUUAUUGGAGAAUUCUCAGCUUCCNNNNNNNNNNNNNNNNNNNNNNNNNNNNNNNNNNNNNNNNNNNNNNNNNNNNNNNNNNNNNNNNNNNNNNNNNNNNNNNNNNNNNNNNNNNNNNNNNNNNNNNNNNNNNNNNNNNNNNNNNNNNNNNNNNNNNNNNNNNNNNNNNNNNNNNNNNNNNNNNNNNNNNNNNNNNNNNNNNNNNNNNNNNNNNNNNNNNNNNNNNNNNNNNNNNNNNNNNNNNNNNNNNNNNNNNNNNNNNNNNNNNNNNNNNNNNNNNNNNNNNNNNNNNNNNNNNNNNNNNNNNNNNNNNNNNNNNNNNNNNNNNNNNNNNNNNNNNNNNNNNNNNNNNNNNNNNNNNNNNNNNNNNNNNNNNNNNNNNNNNNNNNNNNNNNNNNNNNNNNNNNNNNNNNNNNNNNNNNNNNNNNNNNNNNNNNNNNNNNNNNNNNNNNNNNNNNNNNNNNNNNNNNNNNNNNNNNNNNNNNNNNNNNNNNNNNNNNNNNNNNNNNNNNNNNNNNNNNNNNNNNNNNNNNNNNNNNNNNNNNNNNNCUUAUAAAAUUGUCCAUAUGAGAUAAGAUUGUCUCGUAACUUUAAUUUUUUAUUUGUUUUUUCUAUUUUCUGUAUUAUUUUCUUGAGUUUUGACUUUUUCUUUCCUUUAUUUUUAUAUUUUAUUAUUUUAUUGGUGUGGAUGAAGCUAUUAGAGCGAUGGUGUUUCUAGAAGUUGCUGGUCAACUUUUGAAUUGGGUUUGGCCUUGACUUGGAUUUUGGUAUAGAUUGGUAGUGUUAUUUGGUGGUUGGACUUGAUACAUAUAUCUAGCUGCACUUUAAGCUUUUAACACAAUCUUGUAUGAUAAAAAGAAAAUUAUGAGAUCCUAAAGGACUAAUCCAUAGUUAAUAAGUUAAUUUGAUAUUAUUAGUACUUUUAAAUUUUAAAUUGUUAGGCAUUUCGUAUGUGUUUAUUAGUGAUAUAUAAAAGCUAAUGUAUUUAAUUAAAAAUAACUUAUAAAUAUAUAAAAAAAUUAUUUCGUAAUUUCUAAAAUACAUAGAAACUCAUUAGUCGAUUUAUCGAUUUUAAAAAAUAUAUAAAAAUAUUAUUAAUAUUAAUUUACUAGUUAGUCUUUCUGUUAGUUUUAACGGUUAAAUAUUAUAAAAAAAUCUAAAAUAUUUUUAAUAUAGAGAAAUUAAUUAGUUAAAUUUUUAAAAAUUUAAGAGAUCAAUUAAUAAAAUUUUUAAAAUUAUAGAGAUUAAAUAAUAAAAUAUUUAAUAAAAAAUUAAUAAAAAAUUAAAUAGUAAAUUUUUUAAAAUGUUAAAAAUAUUUUAAUAUAUUUUUUAAAAUUGAAAAAUUAAUCAGAAAGUUUUUUAUAUUAUAAAAACUAAACAAUAUUUUUUUUAAAUAUAUUUAUUAUAAAAAUUACUAAAAAAAUAUAAAUUAUUUUUUCAUAAAAAUAUGUGUUAUAAUUUAAAUUUUUAAUGAAAAUAUUACAGUAUUUUAUUUGGUCAAACUAGCUUAUAAGUAUUAAAAUAAAAAAUUGCAGACCCACUUUUUGUUUUUAUACUUUUGACAAAUCUGUAAAAUAGGUUGGAUAAGACUGAACUACCGCUAAAGAACUAGUUUCAUAAUAUAGAAAGUUUUGACUAAUAUACAGUCAACUUUUUGAUAAUAAAUUAUUCUCUAUUUUAAAUAGUAACUUAAUUCUCAAAUUUUACGAUUCUAAUUAUUAAUUUUUUUUAAUUUGAAAUAAUUUAAUUAAUAAAUUUUAUUUUAUUAAUAAAAUAAAUAAUUAUUGAUGUUAUGCAUUAUCACUUAAAAAAAAUUAUAAGUUAUCACUCUAAUUCGGACAUCGGUCCUACUAAUAGGGAUGGCAACGGAUCGGGUAUUUUCGGGUACCCGAUCCGACCGAAUCCUAAUAGAAUGGAUUUUGAUAGUUAUAAUCGGGUUUGGAAUGGGUUCGAGUUUUAAAAAUAAUACCCAUUACGGGUUCGGAUCGGAUUCGGGUUUUAUAUACAGGAUACCCACUACCCGAACCCGUUUAUAUAAAUAAUUAAUUUAAUAUAAAAAAUAUAUUUUACAAUAAUAUUUAUAAAUUUUUUUAUAUAUUUAUAUUUAAAAAUUUAAAUUUAAAUAUUCUUUAAAAAUAUUAAAUUUUUUAAAUGAAAAUUAUUAAUGAAAAAUAUCUUUUAUAUAAAUUAUUAAUUAAAAUAUAUAAGAUUAAACGGGUUCGGGUUUUAUUCGGAUAAUAAUAAUCGGAUUUGGGAUGGAUUCGGAUAGUUUAAAUUAAUUUUUAAUGGGGUUCGGAACGGGUUCGGAUAUUACUAAUAUAAAUCGGGUUCGGGUUUGAGUAGUUUAAUUUUCGCGGGUACCCUACCCGUUUACAUCCCUACCUACUAAUCAAGACUAUAAAGCGAAUUUUAGUUCCGCUAUACCAUAAUUUGAGCGUCGAUCACAUUAAUUAAUGCCAUAAGACGGAGUCUGCAAAAAAAAGACAUUAAUCCUACUAAAUAAAGUAUUUCAUACCUAAACUAUAAAGCGAAUAUUAGUCGGAAAAUAUGACUAGACAUUAGUCCCGACAUACAAAGCAUUCUAAGAACCAUUAAUUAAUACACCCAUAUCAGAUCACGAGACAGAUUUUUGCUGAUCCAUAACUAUCCACACCCCUAAAGCGCCUUAGAAACCAGUUGACGGUUAAAAAAUUCAAUUUUAGGUAUUUUGACCGGAUUUUUUGCAGAUAUCUUUAGAAAAAUGUAAUAUAAUCUUACAAAAACUUUGAAAAUUUUUUAUCAAGUUUAGAUAUUAUUUUUUUAUUUCUUAAGUGUUAAAAAUUUAAAAAAUCAUAAAAAAUAGAAAACUUGUCAGAAAAUCACUAAAUUUUUUAUGGAACCUUAGAAAAAUAUUACAAAUUUAUUUGAAUUGUCAUUUGGUUAUUUUUUUUUAAAUUUUGCACGGAAACAUGAUAAUGCCUGAGGUGACAUGACAAUAUUUGAGGUGACAUGAUAACGUCUAAGGUGACAUGAUAACGUCUAAGGUGACAUGACAAUAAUUACAGUGACAUACUUCUAAAAAAAUUCAAUUUUAGGUAUUUUAACAUGAUUUUUUGCAGAUAUCUUUAGAAGAAUGUAAUCUAAUUUUACAAAAAUUUUGAAAUUUUUUUAUCAAGUCUAGGUAUUUUUUUUAUUUUUUAAGUGUCAAAAAUUUGAAAAAUCAUAAAAAAUAGAAAACUUGUCAGAAAAUCACCAAAUUUUGUGUGGCACCUUAGAAAAAUAUUACAAAUUUAUUUGAGUUGUCAUUUGGUGAUUUUUUAAAAUUUUGCAAAGAGAAUUGACUUGUGUCACAGUUUUUGCCAAUUUUAGGCAUGCAUGGUGGCUGUAGGAAAAAUAAAUGGAGGAGGUAGUACUCUUGAUUUCACAACAUAUUAUUUCGUGUCCUUUUUGUAAUGUGAGAUAAAACUGAUAAAAACUCAUAGAUGUCACAAUCAUUGGUUCAUAGUCUUAGUGAAUAAGAGAGAAUCACUCCAUAGAAUUUGUAUUGCCUAUGCUAUGAUGGCAAGUGUGCGUCCAAGCAUGUGAGCCAACAAUUGCAAAAUGUACAAUUAAUUGACUGAGUGAACCUCAUGCGGCCUGGUGGUUGGCCAAUGGGACAUAUUUUAACACCAAUGCUAACUUCAUUUUGCAAAAUAUGUGCAAAUAGCAUCAACCCCAAUUGCACCACCAGCUCGUUGGGGAGCAAUGGGCACAGCAAGAGAGAGCCACGGGCCAAUUGGUUGCCACUGGGCGUGGGCCCAUAGGCGCCUUCCUGAGCACAGUAUCCCCGUUUAGCAGCAAGGUGCCACGGGCCCGUUGGCGAGGAGCAGCGCACAGGAGCAAUGUCAUAAGGCUCGCAGGCGAGGCAGAAAGGCCAACUUGGGAGGCGCAGGCCAGGGCGCUCGGCGGAGAUAGAUGAAUGAAUGAUAUUUGAGGAUGUUACUUAUUUCGGUUCAAUUAGAUAAAAAUAACAAUAAAAUCGAAUCAAACCAAUUAGUGAUAAUAGUAUAUUAUUAUUUUUAAAUAAUAUAGAGAGAUUAAACCAUAAUUAAAGUCGAAACAUUUUAAUUAAAUUUUAGAAUAUUAAAAAUAAGGUGUAAAAAAUUAAAAAAUUCAUUAAAAAGCCCAACCAAACGAACUGAAUCAGAUCGGUUUGAUUGAAAUCUGUCUGAAUCGAAUCGAACUGAUUCGAUUCCAUGUCAAAUCGAGAGGUAGAGGGGGAGAGGGGGCUAAUAAGCUUAUUUUGCAGGCUAUACCGAUGCUCAUGUAUGGCCUAGCGCAUGCCCAGACCCUAGCCUCCCAGGGGUGACUACCCACAUCCCCUUAAAGAGCCUUAGGAACAAGUUGAGUGUGGCAAGAGGAGACAUCACAAUGUGUGACACACCCUCCUAAAAGAUUCAAUUUUAGGUAUUUUAACAUGAUUUUUUUGCAGAUAUUUUUAGAAAAAUAUAAUCUAAUUUCACAAAGAUUUUGAAAAUUUUUUUUAUCAAGUCUAGGUAUUUUUUAAUUUUCUAAAUGUUAAAAAUUUAAAAAUUCAUAAAAAAUAGAAAACUCGCCAGAAAAUCACCAAAUUUUUUUUGGCACCUUAGAAAAAUAUUACAAACUUAUUUGAGUUGUCAUUUGUUGAUUUUUUUUUUAAACUUUGCAUGUAGAAUUGAGCUAUGUCACAGUUGUUGCCAAAUUUGGGCAUGCAUGGUGUGGCUACAGGAAAAGCGGAUGGGAGGAGGCAGUGCUCUUGAUCUCACGGCAUAUUUUGCAAUGUGAGAUACAACAAAUAAAAACCCUCUAUAGAGGUCACAAUCAUUAGAUCAUAGUCUUGGUGAGCAAGAGAGAAUCACCCCAUAGGACUGCAUUGCCUGUGCAAUAAUAGCAAGUGUACGUCCAAGCCCGUGAGCCAACCAUCACAAGUUGUUGGUCGAUGUUUUUCUCAUGUAUUGAAAGAAAUAUGUUGCCAUUGUAUAAGUACUCAAGAUGUUAUCUGGCUCAACUAUCGGGUGUUAGCCCCAUACAAAAUUUUUGAGGCACUUGAGACCCAACCCAUAAGACGGGUGUUCAUGGACAAGUACUAGUCUUAAGAUUAUAAGAAAUCCUAUAAGGUAUCUCAGGCCCAAGGCAGGUAUCUGCCAGACCAUAUGUUCAGGUGUUAACCCCACUUCAAAAGUUUUUAAGUUAUUUAUUUUAUCACUAUUAUGAUGGUCAGGUGUUAGUCCCUUAGUAGUCUUUUAAAAAUAAAUCAUUUAAGUCUUGAGUAGACAAGAUUUAUGGCUGGAUACUGAUCAUACAAAACUGUCAAAAUAAAAUAUUUUUCAUUCAAAUAAAGACUUAUUAUAGGGAAUGUAAUACCCGGCUAGACUCCGGCAUCGGAAUUCCUGCUCUGCGGCAAAACUUCAGAUGUCGGAACUCUCUAGUAGGGUAAAAUAUGUUUUUAUAAAAUGUUUUUCAUGUUUUUGAUGGGUAAUUUUGAGUUAAAGUUUUACAGUAAAGAAAAGAAAGAGAAUGAAGGAAGAGCCCAAGUUCGGCCGCCGAACAUGGGAUGCAUGCGGAGGCACGUUAGGCCCCCGAAAGUGGCCUGGCCAGCCAUCUAUAAAGGGGUCCCCUGUCCGAAAUGGGCGAGUUUUCCUCUUCCCAUUUCCAGCCAAGGUGAGUCUCCGUCCUCCCUUCUCGAUCUUGAGUCCUUCCUUCAAGUCUCUUAUGUUUUUACAAGUUAUUUAACUUGGUUUUGAAGAUUUUUGGAGCUAAGAUCAAGAUUUGAAGCUUGGAGACCCCGGAGCUCUCUUCCUCCAUUUCUCCAAGUUCAGGUCGCCUCCCUUCUCGAUCUUCAAGAGGUAAGAGUAGAUCUUUAGUUUAUCCCAUGUUUUAAACAAGUUUUAUGACGGGUGAUGGGGUAGCAAUGCAUGUUUAAAUUAGUUGAUUGUUGUUAGGGUUAAUGUUGAGUUUAUGGAUAAUGUAUGUUGUAUGAGUUGUUAUAUGUGUUUGUAUUGGGGUUUAGGUUAGUUUGAGACCCCUAUAUGCUUAUGUAUGUGUGUAUGCAUGUUGUAGAAUAGCUAAAUGCAUGUUUGGAAGGUUUGGGAGGCAAAAUAUGCAUGAAGAGACUGAGUUCUGCCACUUUGGAAGAACUCAAGUUCGACAGCUGAAGGCACUUUCGGCCGCCGAACCUGCCUAUGGUGGCAUGUUUUGGCUGCCGAACCCUGCCCUCGAAAGUUGGACUUUUGGCUCUGGAAGGGAGUUUCGGCCGCCGAAGGUGCCGCCUAACAUGCAUGAGUUUCGGCUUUGGAACCACAUUCGGCCGCUGAAGGUGCCGCCGAAAGUGGCUGAGUUUCGGCUCUGGAGGGGCUUUCGGCCGCCGAACCUGCCGCCGAAAGUGCCCUGUUCAGCCUUCCUUUGCAUGUUUUCUAUGAUUAUUUUAGGAUGUUUUAGGGAGAUUUUGGGGAGUUGUUUAGAGUCAUUUUAGUGUAUGUUUGGUCCCUUAUUUGAGUCCACCUGUGUAGGUUCGGACCCGAGGAACCGAGGACCCCAGCAGUGAGAUAGCUGCUUCAGAGUCUGUUCAGAGUCAGCCAGAGGUGAGUAGAACUUGUAAUACCCGGCUAGAUUCCGGCAUUGGAAUCCCUACCUUCCAGCGGAAUCUCCAUUGAAAUCUAGAAUUCUGAAGAUGCCAGAGGCUUCUACAGGGGUAAAAUGUGUUUCUAAAAUGUUUUCACAUGAUUUUAUGGUUUUAAAUGGAAAAGAAUUGAGUUUUGAAAAGAAAAGACCAAGGAGGCAUUUGCCAGGUUCGGCCGCCGAAAGUGAGGUUCGGCCGCCGAACAUGGAAAGGUUUUGGGAGCGCUUUUGGCCUCCGAAAGCUUUGUUUGAGCGAACCAAGGUUCGGCCGCCGAACCUCAAGUUCGGCCGCCGAGCAUGCAUGAGUUUAGGGGGCACGUUAGGCUGCCGAAGGUCUUUGACCAGGCCACCUAUAAAGAGCCCUCAGAUCAGAAAUGGGCGAGUUUUCUCCCCAUUCUCGAGCUCAGGUGAGUUUAUGCCCUCCUUUGGUCGUUUUCAUGCUUUCUCUACCCAUCCCUCAAGUUUUUCAUGAGUUCUAACCUUGUUUUGAAGUUUUGAAGCUUAAAUAGGAGUUUUGGGAGCUUGGAGGCUUUUGGAGCUUGGAUCCUCCACACCUCCGAGUUAGGGAUCGCACCACCCCUCGAUCUUCAAGAGGUAAGUGUAGAUCCUUGCUUUCCUUGUGUUUUAAUGAAGUUUUAAGUAAGUUUAAUGGAGUUUUAAUGGUUGAGUAUGGGUAGAUAUGCAUGUUAGGGUUUAUGUGGGUUUUAUGCCCAAUGUAUGCUUAUGCCUGUCUAUGUAUGUUUAUGUGAUGUUAUGUUGAAGGUUUAAGCUAGUUUAUGCAUGUGGGAGAGUGUAUGCAUGAUUGGGAAAGAGCAAGUGAGGUUUUGAGUAGUUUGAGGGUUUUGGCUUAUGUGGGUCAUGAGCUAUUUAUGUAUGUUUAUAUGAUGUUCUUUGUUGGAGUUUAAGCUUGUUUAAGCUCCUUUGUGCAUGGUUAAGGGUUUAUGCAUGUUUUUGAGAGGUUGGGUGCUUGUUUUGGGGUGUUUGGAAGGCUUCUGAGGCUUGUAUGCAUAAGAGGCUGAGUUCUGGAUGAACUCAGGUUCGGCCGCCGAAGGUAGUUUCGGCCGCCGAACCUGCCUAUGGAUGCAUGGAUUGGCCGCCAAACCUUGCUCCCGAAAGUUGUGUUUCGGAUCUGGAGCAGAUUUUUGGCCGCCGAAGGUGAUGUUCGGCCGCCGAAAGUGCCUGACUUUCGGAUCUGGAGUGAGGUUUCGGCCACCGAACCUGCCGCCGAACCUGCAUGACUUUCGUCUCUGGAAGGGACCUUCGACCGCAGAAGGUGCCGCCGAAAGUGCCCUGUCCAGCCCUUUCAAGGUUGUUUUCUAUGCAUGAUUAAGUGAUGUUUAGGGGGGGUUUUUGGGUAGUUGUUUAUGAGUUGUUUAGAGUGUGUUUGGCACCUCAUUCGAGUCCACCUGUGUAGGAUCGAACCCGAGGGACCGAGGAGGCCAUCAGUGUUAGCAGUUGCAGAGUCAGUUCAGCGUCUGCCAGAGGUGAGUAGAACUAAACUUAAUCUUUAUCUUAUGAAAUCAAAUGCCUAAAGCAUGUUCAUGCAUCAUGUUUAUAUGUAAUAGGUUGAUUGCACUAGUUACACGAAUAUGACGCAUUGCAUUCUUUAUUGUUGAUGUGGAUGGACCAAGGCGACCCCAAUGGCCCACAAGUCUGUCACGACAAGAGAAGUCCUGUGGAGCUCCUUUGAGGGCCGGGCACCAUGUUAUGUAAUGAAAGUCCUGUGAGCUCCUUUGAGGGCCAGGCAUCAUGUUAUGUAAUGAAAGUCCUAUGUGAGCUCCUUUGGGGGCCAGGCAUUGACAGAGGGAGCUUUGGAGGUCAUGUCUAAUCCGUGAUGUGAAUUGUUUGUGCUGUGGCACAUUUCAUGAAAGCAUGUAAUUAAUGAACUGUUUUCUUUGUUUCUACUCACUGGGCUUUUUAGUUCACCCCUCUCCCCUAACCCUAGUGUUGCAGGUAUGAGGUCGAUCGGGAAGUCUCAAGAGUUAAGGUUGUGCUUAUGUAAUAGCUUAGUAUGUUAGUGUGGACAUGUAUUGUAAACUGAGAUAAUGAAUUGUAAGAGAAUGUAAUGUAAAGUAAAGUAGAGUUAUGUUAUGGAUUAAUACUUUGCUUGGCCCUAAGACUUGGUUAGUCCUUGUUUAGUACAUGAUGUAUGUUAUAGUUUAAUGUUGAGUUGUGUUUGAACUAAACUUGUGGCAUGUGUUGUUUACCACGCUAGAGUUUGAUGAGGACUCUAAUGGAGGUUUUAUGUUUGUGGUCUAAUACAUGCACAGGUUAGGUUCUAGUUCUUUGGAUGUGACUCCGGCUUGAUGUAUGUUAUGUUGACCCAGCUAGAGUUUUGAUGAUGGCUCUAGUAGGGGGUUCUUUAUGUUUUCAGUAUGUCGCAUACAGGUCAAGCUCGGUAUUUACAUCAUAUGUUUAAGUUUUUUUAUGUUUAUGUUUUGAUCAUGUAUGGGAUUUGACCAGGUGAUAGGAGGUAUGUUUGGCUUGCUACGGGUCUCGGCGGCCUUAAGCCGAUCUGGAUCCUAGCGCCGGUAGCGGUUCGGGCCGUUAUAGAGGGGUAUCGGUUUCCGGGUCGUUACAGAACUGAACUAUGUUUUAAAAUAAUGAAGUUUUGAGCAUGUUCAUGCAUCAUGAAUGCCAUGAUAUAUUUCAGGUUGUUGCAUUAGAAUCUCACGAAUAUGCUGCAUUGCAUUCUAUGUUGUUGAUGUGGAUGGAUGUUGGAUGAUCCAUUAGCCCUCAAUAUGAUAUGAUGAUUAAUGAAAGUCCAAGGCUGCCCAUGUCCACGCAUCCUGGCAUUUAUUAUGUAUGAUUUAUGAAAGUCCAGGGCUGCCCAUGUCCACGCGUCUUGGCAUUGUGUGAUGUUUAAGAGGAAGUCCUGCAGAGCUCCGUCGAGGGCCGGGCACAUUGGAUAUGUAGAGGGUUAUUAGUGACAAGUCCAUCCGUGAUGUGAAUUGUAUGUGUUGUGAUGCGAAUUGUAUGUGUUGUGAUGCAUUCCAUAUAAGCAUAAUUUAUGAACAUGUUAUUUUAUUCUGCUCAUUGGGCUUUUUAGCUCACCCCCCUUUUCCUUAACCCCCAGGCUUGCAGGUUCAGGAUAGAUCGGGGAGUCUUCAAGGUUGAAGUCAAGUUAAGUGUAAUAGUUAGAGUGGACAUGUAUUGUAAAAUGAUUUUAUGCAAUGUAAUGUAGAGAAUAUUUUAUGGUUUAGUAUUGUGCUUGGCCCAAAUAGUAAUGUUAAUUCCCUUCUACAUGAUCUUUUAAUGAAAUGUUUUUAUGAUGCAAAAUGAUAGUCCAAGCUUGAUGUAUGUUAUGAUAACCCACUAGAGCAUUUGAUGAGGGCUCUAGUCGGGGUUUUAUGUUUAUGAUUUUAGUGCAUGCACAGGUCAAGCUUGGAAUAUGGAAAGUUUUUAAAUUUUUAUGAAAAUGUAUGAUCAUGUAUGGGAUGUUAGCAGGUAUAUAGCAGGUACAGAAGGCUUGCUACGGGUCCCGGCGGCCUUAAGCCGAUCUGGGUCCUAGCGCCGGUAACGGUCUGAUUUUUGGGUCGUUACAGGGAAGGAGGGACAUGAUCAGUCACCUCCAUCGGAGCUUCUGUUACAUGAUCAUCAUUGGCUAUUGCACUAGAAGUCAGGUCAUGAGGGUUGUCUUCAAUUAGCCCUUCCUCGUUCUGCCCAUCCUCAUCCUCAUUCUCCCCAUCAGGGAAGAUAUUGUCGAUCUAGGAGAAGUCUUCUACAGGGAAAUGCCUGAGAAGCUCCUUCUUGACAGAGUCUUGGCUUUGUACAAACAUCUCCCCAUCUUGGGUCACCGUCUCCUAAAGUUUUGCUUCAAACUCGGUGAUAUUGGUAAAAGCAACUCGGGCCUCCUCAACCUGAGACUGCAGCUCCUGCACUUGGCGCUGAAGCAUAGCCAUUUAAUACUCAGCACUUUUAACCCGAUUCGUAAGGGCAAGACGGGAAGCGUUGGCCUCACCCAAGUCAUCCUGGAAUUUGUCUACUGCCUCCAAUAUGUCUUUCAUAGUGCCUUUCACUUCGUCGACUCGAGACUUUAGCCUCGAGCAUUCCUCUACUAAGAGCCUCAUGUCCAUUUCUUGAGCACCAAACUCCCACCUCAAGACUUUAUUGCGCUCUUUGACCACGUAGGCAUAGAGGACACUCUCUAGGGCAAAGUGCAUGAUAUUGUCAAAAAGCUCGUCCAUCUUGAGCUCAUUCAAACGACAACGAUUCUCGAGCCUUAGGGCAUUCUUGGUUAACAGGACGAUCAGGUUAGGAUCCUUAAGGAGAGAGGGCAUUUGGGUUAGUUGCAAUGCCAGGAACUGGAUGCUAGGAGGUCAAGAGGAAUCAACCCCCACGUUCGCAGAAACGGGCUCAGCAGGAGUGGGGAUUGCAGCAGAAGGCUUGGGAACUGGGACAGAUGCAGAGGUACCCAUUACAAAAGACUCAAGUUGCGAAGGAGCCUACUCUUCUAUUGUAGGUUGAGGAGGAGGAGGAGGAGGAAGCAUGAUCACUUAUUCUGCCUAGCAAGCAUGCUUGGGAAGGGGACCGGUCAACAACAACCUUGUCUUUGUGGGCGGCAUGCCCCACUUCAGUAAAUUUGCUUCUUGACCCAACCAUAUUUGUGUAAAAUUAAAAAGGAAGUAAGUAAAGCAGUUUGAAAUCUAAAAGAAGAUAAAAAAAAAAUAUCAUGAUCUCUAGCUAGGAAAGUGCUCUCCCCAAGGCUGGGAAGGCUGGGUAGAUGAGGACCCUGAGUCUGGUUCGCUUGGAGACGACUUUGCCAAGGCAAAUCGGUGUUCCUUACUGCCUGGAUGAUGUUCAUUUUCUUUGGGGACUUAACUACCGUCAAAAGAAAGUUCAGAGCCUCAUCCUCAUCUCUUCGUGGCUAGACCCCAUCCUUUCUCAGCUCCACUCGCAGGUUCCAACUCGUUUGAAGGUGCUCGAAACCCCCAGAUGUCGGAUGGCGGAGGACAAAAAACUUAUUUUUUUCAUUAUUUUAAUGAAAAAGGGAUCCAAUAAAAAAUCGCCUGGCAUUUCCAAUUGCUAAAAAAUCAGAACUUUUUAUUUUUGCGAGUAUCCAGCUAGUACAGUUAGGAGAAAAGGGCCACACUCAGUUCAAUGUUAUUAUUAAGACAAAUAAACUGAAAAGCCACCAAGAUCCUCCAACUAUUGGGAUGUAACCGAAAGCUUAUGGAACAAAAGGAUAUCAGCAAAAAACGGAUCCAUGGAGAACCGAAGACCCACCUUCAGCUGCUCCUUAAAAAAUAUAUUAUAGUAUCAUCUGCAGGAAUUAGGUCGUGUAUGCGAACGUUCGAGGAAGGAGCAAAAACAUGAAAAGUCUAUCGAGGAAUUUGAUAUUUAUCGUGAAGUCGAUCUACAUUCCACUCUGAUAGGAUAGAUGGGGUGUCACCAAUCAGGCUACCUUCGCCUUCUUGAGCCACCCCUAGUGGGAUAAUAGGAGCUGGGGCAUGGAUGGGACCGUCAAAAGAUGAGCUUGAGGUGGAGCUUUUACCAGGAGUAAGAGAAAAAGAUGAAGUAUUCCUAUUCAUUUUAAAAGAAAAAAAAAAAGAAAUUAUCGUGAAAGUAAGGGAGUGUAAUCGAGAAAGAAGGAAUGACCAAGUCUUUCUGAAAGCAAAGAUUACAGAGGAGAGUAAAAGUAAUAUUUUGAAAAGAAGAAAGUUUCUUAUAAGAUGGUUUCGACGGCAGACUUUAAAUGCAGCUUGAGAAAUGGGGCAGCCAUUAUUGAAAGGCUAGGUAGGAAAAACGGCACGAGCAGGGGAAGAUCAAUCUCGAAAGGCCACGUACCCAAGAUUGUGAAUGCAACUGUCACCUUUGAAUCUGAAUAAUCGAAAAUCAGCAGGGGACCUCUAAUAUUACACAACAAUCGCCUAAAAAAGCCAUGAGUUGUCACCACAAAGUAGGGUUACGUGACAAGGAUUUGAUAAAUGAACAACACGGUCCCACCUGAGAAAAGGAAGACUCGGACAUCUUAACACCUGAUUCAUCAUCAAGACUCGUCCUAUCCUGGAUAGAAGGAGUCUCGGUAUAAAGUUACUGUUAUUAGACACAGUCCAUCAUAUCUCUAUUACGCCUGUAAUCAUGAGUCACUGACCUAUUAGCUGGCGAGAUCCUUUAUCAAGCAACCGGCCGUACAUCAUCAUCAGAUUAUCAGAAAAUAAUAUAUUUAUCUUCAUUUUCUUACAAUAUAAAAAGAGAACAAUUACAAAAGUAAAGGUACGUAAUUCUUAAACAAUUACAUGUGAGUUCUAAACAAUUCAUUAUAUUCACUCACCUCAGUUUUCUUUCUCACAAACACCGAUUCUUUUCGGCCGCAUCAAUUAUAUUUAAUUUUUAUAUUUAAAUAAAUAUGUAUUUUAUAACAUAUUAACUACAUGCUAAUGUGUCUUUAAAAUGUUAGUUUAAAUGAAAUUUUAGUUUACAAUAUUAUUUUGAAAAUAUCUUAAACUUCUAAAUAAACAACAGUUCUGAAUAAUAUGUAUCAAAAUAAAUUGUACUAUAUCAUAAAGACAAACUUUUUUUGUGUAAUUUUAUCUUAAAUUUAUGUUAAAAGAAAUUUUAUAAUAUUCAUUUAUAGCAAAGAUAAUUUUUUUUAUAUAAAUAUAUCAUAAUAUAAAAAAAUUAAAUCUACUGAUUAUUUUUUAAUAAAAUACCCUUUAGGGAUAAAAAUAUUUUUAACUAAAAUGCCUUUAAAAGAGUUAACAGUCAAUUUAGAUGGUGGGAUUAAUCAUCAAUAUAUCAAAAGAAACAAAGUUGAAUAAACUUAAAAUAGAGUUUAAUAUGUUAAAUUAAAAAAAAUCUUAUUAAUUUUUUGUAUUUAUAUUAUUAACAAAUUUUCAAUGUAUUUGAAUUAAAAAUUUUAUGAGAUCAAUAGUCUAUAACUAAAAAGGUAGAGAAUUUAAGACGUUGUUUACUUGAUGAAAAAAGUUUUGAAUUAUUUUAGAAAUCUCCUAAUAUAUAAAUUAAUGAAUAACUUUAAAAUAAUAAAUUAUACAAGUUAUAUAUUCAUAGUAAAAUAAUUUUAAAAUACUAUUAUUAUAUUUUUCUAUUUAAAUCUAAAAAUAUUUAAAUAAAAGGUGGCAAGUUAAUUUUUAUAUAAUAAAAUCUAGAAUGAAUUAUUUUUUACGUUCAUAAAUUAUAUUAAAAUUAAUAUAUAUAUCUUCUUAUUUUUAAAAUUUAAUAAUUUAGUUCAUGUAUUUUAAUUUCAUCAAAUUAGAGGUUUCAUCUAAUUUUUUGUUAAUUAUUUUUAAAAUAACCAAAACACUUUCAAAUAUAUAUAAUAUUAUUUAAUAAUUAAAUUAUAUCAAAAUUAAUAUUAUAUUCUUAAAUAAUAAAUAGUUUAAUUCCUAUAUUUUAACUUUCUCAAAUCAGGAAAAAAAUAUUAUUUUAAUAAAGAGAUUUCAAUUUAAUUUAUUUUUAACUAUUACACGAUUUUUUUUUUCUCAUAAGGUAAGGGAUAGAGGUGGAGGAGUUGAAUACUCCGCUUUAUGCAUUGUCACUUAAGAUUUCUACGAGUUUAUUUUAAUAUCAAUUGGAUAAACUUUUUAAAUUUUAGAUAAAUCAAGAAAUUGAAAUAUGAAAGAAAAUAAUUGAAAAUUUUAAUUUUUCAUGUUAAAAUGAGGUUAAAUUGAAUAUUUUAAUUAUUUUGAUAAAAAAAAAUAAAAGUCAACCGUGUUGUUUUUUUCAUAUCAAUACAUAGAUUGAGUUUUAAAUCGAAUUAAAUCAAAAAAAUUAAAAUUUAAAAUUUAAAAGUAUUAAAAAUUGAACUAAAUCAAUUAUUAAAAUAUAAUUAAAUUGAAUCAAAUCGAUAAAAAUUGAUUUGAUUUGAUUAUAUCAAAAUUGAAAUUUAUAAAUUUAAAUAUUGAGAUUUGGGUGCUGAUUGAGUUGAGUCAAAAAAAGGGAGGAAAGAGGUUGGCCUUGGAUUGAAUAAAGAAUGAGAGGAAAGAGGUUCACUUAUGAGCUGCUGACUUAAUUGAGUAAAAAUUAAUAUGAUAGUAUAUAAUAUCAAUUAAUUCAGUUAAUCGAUUAUUUAAUAUAUUUAAAUUGAAUUAAAUUAAAAAUUAAAUAAUUUAAAAAAUAUUAAUUAAAUUAAAUCAAAUAUUUUAACUAUUUAAACUAUUAUAUCAAAAUCGAUCCACUCAGUUUAGUUUCUUAAUUUAAAAUGAGAUAUGCUCCCUCCGUAAUUGUUCUUGUAUUAUAAUUCGGUCAAGUUGAAAGGGUCCCUCAAUUUAUAUUAAAAAACAGUUUAUUAUAUUAAGACUGAUAAAGUUAAAAUGCAAAUCUUAGAAGACUUAUGUUAAAAAAAAUUAAGGGAUGUAAGGGUUACUUUUAAUAUAAUAUCAUAUAAAUAAAUAAAAUUAUAUGUAAAAAUAUUUAAUUUGAUAAAAUAAAAGAUAUUAAAAUUAAACCGUUGAGUUUUAAAAAAAAGAUAUGCAUUAAAUUUGACAUAAAUUAAAUAUGAAAAAUUAAAUGGAUAAAUCCAAUAUUCAAAUACCAUGUGAAAUUGAAAGUAAAAGCCAAAAAAAAAAAUAGUGGAAAGAAAGUAGUGAGAGAAAGUGUGAGUUUGCAAUAGGGGAUAGUGAAAUUGACAGUCUUCGAAGAAGGUUGCUUGAUCGGCUUUGUAUUUUCUUUUCUAUGAUGCUUCUCUGCCAUUUGCAACAUAGAUUACCUUGUCUCAUAUCGUUUGUUUUAUAGUAAGGUUCGGCUAGCAAUUCGUUCGUGAUUUGCAUGUGAAGCAGCUACUGCCUGAAGGUUCUGCCUUCAUAGUCAACUGUCGGAAUUUUGGAAGGAGUGAUGGAAUAGGCAUCGUAGUGCCAAUUUGCUUUUGAAUAGUCCCAUCGUAGCUAUAUAAGAAUGAAAUUGUCGCGACGCAAUUUUCUUCCUCUACUGGCUUCUACUGAUGUUUAUGUGUGUGUGUUUUGGAUUCUCUCCUACAUAUCAUCCUAAUGGAUUUGGCUGUCGAUGAUGGAGACAGUGUUAGGUUGGUCCUAGAGUUUUAUGGAUUUAUCACAUGGGUGUGUUUUAUUUUUUGGAAAUGGGCUGAAUUUCUGGUAAGGCAUAUAUAUUUGACUAAUGAGUUGUGAUAAACUUUUCUGUACGGCUACUCUACGAGUCCUGUCAAAAUGCAAUUUACUAUAAAUGGGUUAAAAAAAUCAUGUGCAAUUUGAAAGUUUGAUCUUUUUGUUAAUUGUCAUCUCUAAUCAUGUGUCAUUAGGGUGUAAAUAAAACAAAGGAUUUGUAUGUUGCUUAAGGUUUGAUAUGGUAAAAAUUCGAUCGAUUUUGAUUCGAUUUCUAAAUGAGUUCAUACUUAAUUUUAAGUUUUAUAAUAUUCGGUUUAUUAAAUCUCAUGAGUUUGACUUAUUUUUAAAUUUAUGAACAUACUUUCAAAUAGAAUUUGUAGACAUUUUCGUGAAUAGUCUAAUUAAAUAUAUUGAAAUUAAUAUUAUAAGAGAAAUAGACUCAAAUUAUACUUUUAAAAUUAUAAAUAUUUAUAUAGUUAAAAUUUAAAAAUUUAUUAUUUAUAAAUUUGUGAAAUUAUAUAUAUAUUUAUUUAAUUAAAAUUAUUUAAUUUUAAAUUAAAACUUAUUAUAUAUAAAUAAAUUAACAAGUAAAUAAAUUAAACCGUUAGUAAAUUAUUUAAUAUUAAAAUUAAUAAAAGUUUAAUCCGUCUAAAUUUAAAUUUGAAUUUAUUAAUAUUCUAUUAAAAUUUAAUACGAAUAAAAUUUAAAUUUAAUUUGAAAUAAAAAAAAUUUAAUAAAUCAAAUUUAAACUCUUUAAAAAUUUAAACCUAACUGCACUCAUGAAUUUAGUCUGCGCUUAUAGAUUUAAUAUGAUAAUAAAUAGAAUUGAGUAAAUUUUACUUCCCAAUUCCGAUCCUCAUUCUAAAAAAAAAAUUUAACCCUUUAUCACACAAUUAUUUGCCAAACCCAUCGACCCGACUCGAAAAUAAAACCCAAUUCACCGGAUCCAGUUGAAAACCGACAAUAGACACUGCCUGCCCGUAAGGCCGUAAACACCAGCGAAGGAUUUUAAGCCAAUCGAUUUUUUCUUUUCAUCGUCUUCCUCGUUUCGGAGACUGCAGUCAACUCUGUCCAGGUUAACUACGUAAAUUAUCAGCUAUCGCUGCUUCGAUUGGAUCUUUCCAUGAGUAUAUUUCCUUGAUUCUAACUCUUAUGUAUGUGACCCGUUGUUCACAGGUUUGAGAGCCAUGAACUGGGUUCAGCGCAAGAUCUAUCUGUAUAAUGUCACUUUUGGUCUCUACAUGUUGGAUUGGUGGGAGCGUUGCCUUUUCAGUAUCCUUUCUUCCUUAUUUUCACUUGAUUCUGAUUCUGGAUUUGACUUGUCUUCUCCAUGCGAUUUGUUUUGAAGUUUAGUUCUUUAAUUGAAUGGGAGUUUUGUUAACAAUUUCUUGUGGAUUUUUGGGAUUCUUUUCCCUUUCUCUGUUAACUGUCUCGAUUACAUAUUUGCACUUUUGAGUUUCUGAACUUUGUCAGAUACUCUGGUGGUGGUGCUGAUGUGGUUCAUUUUCUACAAUGGAUCGCGAUUUGUGACCGAGUUCUGUAAGAGGUACUGGGAUGCAUCUAUCUCGUAAUUUUCUAAUUGAUUUGAGUUAUUCUAUUACAAUGGGCAUAACUGAGCUUUUGGAGCUGGUAAUUGAAACUUUGUUGCUGAGCAUGUAUUUUGUGCUCCAUAAGACUUGAGUAACAUGGCUUUUUUACAUGUUUUUUUUUGCUAGUUUUCUUUUUUUGUCCUUCUUUAGAAUGGAUGUUAGAAAAGAGCGGAAUGAUAAAACCAUCCUUGACUAGCAUGUUGGAAAUUAAAUACUAGAAGGGUAGAAAUUCACCUAUACUGUUGUAUACCGAAAUGAGGUUUUAUAAAGUAAGGGAAAUUAAAGUCAUGGAUAAUAAAGUAAUAAAAUCCCCCCAAUCCUCCAAUUUGAUGGAUUGAAAAAGUGAGAUUGAAACUUCCAAAAACUUUACCUUGCUUUAAAAACCUUCAUCUCAAGCACGAAUAUUACUUUAAAAAUCUUUGUCUUAUGUCCAAAAAGUUCCUCCCAAAUAUAGUUUUAGAGGUUAAAGCUUGCCUUUCCUUUACUUGGUUCAAACAUUUACCUUUCUCAUAAAUGCUAGUGGCCUUAAUUGAGGUAAUAGAAAUUCACAGUAAAACCAAGUAUUUCAGUCAAUAUCUCAUGCCCUGAAUUGAAAGCAACUUCUACAUUUGACUCACUUGAUUGGUUAAGCAUUCUAUGCAACAGUCUUUCAGUGCUAGAAUAUGGCUUUAGUCAUUUUAGCAGGGUAACAUUAAUCUGUUUGCUCAGGGAGAUGGGCUAUAACUCGUUCAUGUUAUUAAGCAUGAUAAGAGUUACUAGGAUUAAUGGAAUGCAUUUCUUCUCACAAACAGGUUUAAUUGGAUCUUCAUGAGCAAGCAGUGGCUCCCAUAAUAUCUCUGGUUAGUAUGAAGGUUAACUGGCCAUCAUUAUUAGCUGUUUCCCUUCUGAUUCCAGAACCAUGCGCCUUCUUCCUUUUAUUUUUUCGCUCUUGAAGGCUUCAUUCUCUUUCCUUUUUGAUCUGAUCUAAGCAAGCAACUCUUCCGUAAUCUUUGAUCCUUAUCUGAUUCUUGGGAAAAAUGGGUUCCUUCCUUCUAUUUAAUCUAAAAAUGGAUCUUCUUCAUUAUCGCUUCCAAUUCUGAAACCACUAGCUUCCACGCAAACAGCCCAUGUACCUCCAUUUUCCCUAGGCUUGUCCUGCAUCAGGAGUUGCAGAGCAUCCACUAGGAUGCAUAUUUUGUAUUCUCUGUACACUUUGCAUGUUGACUUAUUUUGAGUAUUGAGCUGAAUUCAUGUUCUAGCUUUUAAUUGUUUAUGUUGCUCAUCAUGGCGCUUGGGUGCAGCAAAAUAUUUGCAUGCCAGUUCUCCAAAACCAAGUUGGCUUUGGCUGUACUGAAUCUUUCAUUGGUAAUAAUACAGUAUGCCAUUUUGCUGUUCAAUUAGAUGAGGCUGGAGCUAUGCAUCGCCAAUUUGAUCUCCCUUAAAGCAUUGAGAUUGUGACAGACUGACAACACUACUGGAUGUCCUAGAGAAUAGUUGACAACGCAUGAUUUGUGAAAAAAAUGAGAAUAAAAAUGUGGCCUGAUCAAAUUUUUAUUUUUAUUUUUCAGGCAUCUCUGGUGAAGCUCAAGCUCAGAUGUCAAUUUGGAUGGUCAAAUUGUACUGGUCGUGUAGAAUGUUCGAGUGUUGUUGCCAUGUCUAAUUAAUUCACUUGAAAAGUUCCGUUGUGGUUCUUUAUAUACUAUACUGUACACAUUGUAAUGAUCAUUUAUAUCCUUCUCUUGAGGAUUUGAGACUUUCACUUUGUAUGUUAGUAUUCUAAUUUUUCUUCUCAUUUGCAAUUUGCUAAAUUUUGACAUUCCACUUAACACUGCAAACUUAAUGGGUUUUAUGUUGUCAAUUCUACUCAACUCACCAUGAAUAUAUAAUCGCUAGUUUCCCAUUGAGUUUCCUUUGUAGUUUACCAGUUAUGCUUUGUUCUUGGGAACAGGAACUUUUUGAACUCAAAUAGUUGGACAAAACUGUAUUAUUCAAUACUCGACACGUUGUCUGGCAGAUGUCAUGUAGAAGUUCUUUAGUGGAUUCUUGGUGUUCUGGUGCACAACGUCUUUGUGCUCAAAUCGAGGGAUUUCCACGUGAGAAUGCCUUUGAAUCAAACUAGUACAGCUGGGGCUUUUCGCAACGAAACACGUUCACCUUCUAUCCCCUUUCUCAGUUAUUACAAAUGCGGUUGUUUUGUUGCGUCUUGCAGUAGCAUACGAGACUAUCUGCAAGUCAUGUUGGACUUGAACACCUUUUGCUGUUAAUGUUGAUGAAAAGUUCCCGAGGUUCACCCAUCAAUAUGCACAAGUAGUUGGGCCUAGCCUAGCGCGGGUCGAUCUGAUUUGCGGAGCAAAUCCGAAUUGGUUUGAUUUUUAAUGGUUUUAAUUUUUUUGAUAGUUUCGCUAUGUUUUCAGUUUGAUUUUAAAGCAGUUACAGUUUUUUACUGUUUUAAUUAAGUCUAAAUUCUAAACGAUCAAUUUGAUCCCGAUUUAAAAAAAAAUUGCAAAUAAAAAUUUAGAUAAAAUAAAGAAAUGAAGUUAAAUGUUAAAUAUUAUGGAAUUGAUAAUUAAUUAAAUAAGUAAAAUCGUAGAAAAUGUGUACAUUUGUAUAAUAUAAAAGAACUAUUAUAUUUAAAUAAAAAUAAUAUUUUUUUACUGAUAAAAGAAAAUAAUUAAUUUAAAAUUACUUAUUUAAUAAUUAACUUAUCCAUAUAUCAAUUAAUUAUAUUGAAUUGUUAUGUUAAUUUUGAUUUUAGCUAAAAAAAGAGCUUUCUUUUGAUUUUAGUUAAUUAUAAUGUUUUAAUUCGUUUCAAAAACUGAAUCGAUAAAUUCAAAAUUUGAUUGGUUUGAUUCACAGUUUGAAGCAAACCGUGGUCAAGCCUACCAGAAGUAGUUGUAGUGGUAGGCAUUGACCCCUGCAAACAAAGGCGAAAGGCAGCAUCUGGACCCUACAUUCUACAUCAUAUCAUAAUUACAAGAUUGGCUCUUAAGGAAAUGCUCCCUUUGUAAAGGAGAAAAAGGCCUAGAGAGCAGCAAUUCAAGAUUCGAGGUGCCUAACCAGAAAAGGAAAACUCUUAUAAAAAGAUAAUCAAAUUGAUGAUCAUUGCUUUGGCCUUCGGUACCUUUCACUCCUUUUCAUCUUUUUUACAUCUGUGUUUUUUCUUUUGGUUGUCUUGACUCUUGUAAUUUUCAUUCAACUUUUUGAAAUUUGUUACCUCACAUAAUUUAUUUUUAAAAAAUAAAAUAAAAUCAUAUAAAAUUUCAACUUAUUUAAAUUAAAAAUAAUUAAUUUUUUUAUUCAAAAUAAUAUUAUUAAAAAAAUUAAUUAUUUUAAAUUAAAGAGAAUUAAAAUAGUUCUGCUUUAAAAUUAAAUUGGUUUGACGCUUUAUUUAAUAACUAUAUUCAUUAGAUGUUUAACUUAGGCAAAAAUUUUGAAAUUAAUUUAGUCAGCUGAUCUAGAAUAGUUCAAUGCUUAAGGCAUCAAAUUUAAUCUUACAGAGUUAGAUCUGAAAUGCAGAAAUUAAUUUAGACUUUGAAUUAAUUAAAAUAUUUUUUUUCUAAAAAUAAAAAUUUAAUUUAAUUAACUCAUGUUAAUCGAAUUAAAAAUUAAAAUCAGANNNNNNNNNNNNNNNNNNNNNNNNNNNNNNNNNNNNNNNNNNNNNNNNNNNNNNNNNNNNNNNNNNNNNNNNNNNNNNNNNNNNNNNNNNNNNNNNNNNNNNNNNNNNNNNNNNNNNNNNNNNNNNNNNNNNNNNNNNNNNNNNNNNNNNNNNNNNNNNNNNNNNNNNNNNNNNNNNNNNNNNNNNNNNNNNNNNNNNNNNNNNNNNNNNNNNNNNNNNNNNNNNNNNNNNNNNNNNNNNNNNNNNNNNNNNNNNNNNNNNNNNNNNNNNNNNNNNNNNNNNNNNNNNNNNNNNNNNNNNNNNNNNNNNNNNNNNNNNNNNNNNNNNNNNNNNNNNNNNNNNNNNNNNNNNNNNNNNNNNNNNNNNNNNNNNNNNNNNNNNNNNNNNNNNNNNNNNNNNNNNNNNNNNNNNNNNNNNNNNNNNNNNNNNNNNNNNNNNNNNNNNNNNNNNNNNNNNNNNNNNNNNNNNNNNNNNNNNNNNNNNNNNNNNNNNNNNNNNNNNNNNNNNNNNNNNNNNNNNNNNNNNNNNNNNNNNNNNNNNNNNNNNNNNNNNNNNNNNNNNNNNNNNNNNNNNNNNNNNNNNNNNNNNNNNNNNNNNNNNNNNNNNNNNNNNNNNNNNNNNNNNNNNNNNNNNNNNNNNNNNNNNNNNNNNNNNNNNNNNNNNNNNNNNNNNNNNNNNNNNNNNNNNNNNNNNNNNNNNNNNNNNNNNNNNNNNNNNNNNNNNNNNNNNNNNNNNNNNNNNNNNNNNNNNNNNNNNNNNNNNNNNNNNNNNNNNNNNNNNNNNNNNNNNNNNNNNNNNNNNNNNNNNNNNNNNNNNNNNNNNNNNNNNNNNNNNNNNNNNNNNNNNNNNNNNNNNNNNNNNNNNNNNNNNNNNNNNNNNNNNNNNNNNNNNNNNNNNNNNNNNNNNNNNNNNNNNNNNNNNNNNNNNNNNNNNNNNNNNNNNNNNNNNNNNNNNNNNNNNNNNNNNNNNNNNNNNNNNNNNNNNNNNNNNNNNNNNNNNNNNNNNNNNNNNNNNNNNNNNNNNNNNNNNNNNNNNNNNNNNNNNNNNNNNNNNNNNNNNNNNNNNNNNNNNNNNNNNNNNNNNNNNNNNNNNNNNNNNNNNNNNNNNNNNNNNNNNNNNNNNNNNNNNNNNNNNNNNNNNNNNNNNNNNNNNNNNNNNNNNNNNNNNNNNNNNNNNNNNNNNNNNNNNNNNNNNNNNNNNNNNNNNNNNNNNNNNNNNNNNNNNNNNNNNNNNNNNNNNNNNNNNNNNNNNNNNNNNNNNNNNNNNNNNNNNNNNNNNNNNNNNNNNNNNNNNNNNNNNNNNNNNNNNNNNNNNNNNNNNNNNNNNNNNNNNNNNNNNNNNNNNNNNNNNNNNNNNNNNNNNNNNNNNNNNNNNNNNNNNNNNNNNNNNNNNNNNNNNNNNNNNNNNNNNNNNNNNNNNNNNNNNNNNNNNNNNNNNNNNNNNNNNNNNNNNNNNNNNNNNNNNNNNNNNNNNNNNNNNNNNNNNNNNNNNNNNNNNNNNNNNNNNNNNNNNNNNNNNNNNNNNNNNNNNNNNNNNNNNNNNNNNNNNNNNNNNNNNNNNNNNNNNNNNNNNNNNNNNNNNNNNNNNNNNNNNNNNNNNNNNNNNNNNNNNNNNNNNNNNNNNNNNNNNNNNNNNNNNNNNNNNNNNNNNNNNNNNNNNNNNNNNNNNNNNNNNNNNNNNNNNNNNNNNNNNNNNNNNNNNNNNNNNNNNNNNNNNNNNNNNNNNNNNNNNNNNNNNNNNNNNNNNNNNNNNNNNNNNNNNNNNNNNNNNNNNNNNNNNNNNNNNNNNNNNNNNNNNNNNNNNNNNNNNNNNNNNNNNNNNNNNNNNNNNNNNNNNNNNNNNNNNNNNNNNNNNNNNNNNNNNNNNNNNNNNNNNNNNNNNNNNNNNNNNNNNNNNNNNNNNNNNNNNNNNNNNNNNNNNNNNNNNNNNNNNNNNNNNNNNNNNNNNNNNNNNNNNNNNNNNNNNNNNNNNNNNNNNNNNNNNNNNNNNNNNNNNNNNNNNNNNNNNNNNNNNNNNNNNNNNNNNNNNNNNNNNNNNNNNNNNNNNNNNNNNNNNNNNNNNNNNNNNNNNNNNNNNNNNNNNNNNNNNNNNNNNNNNNNNNNNNNNNNNNNNNNNNNNNNNNNNNNNNNNNNNNNNNNNNNNNNNNNNNNNNNNNNNNNNNNNNNNNNNNNNNNNNNNNNNNNNNNNNNNNNNNNNNNNNNNNNNNNNNNNNNNNNNNNNNNNNNNNNNNNNNNNNNNNNNNNNNNNNNNNNNNNNNNNNNNNNNNNNNNNNNNNNNNNNNNNNNNNNNNNNNNNNNNNNNNNNNNNNNUGCCUUGCAUGUGCUAGUUGAGGAACAUUCGGGGACGAAUGUUCUUAAGGGGGGGAGAAUGUAAUACCCGGCUAGACUCCGGUAUCGGAAUUCCUACCGUCCGGUGGAAUCUCGGAUGUCGGAAGCCUCUAGUAGGGUAAAACCAUAUUUUUAUGAAAUGUUUUAAUGUGUUUUAUGUUUUAAGCAUGAAAGAAAAUGAGUUUUUGCAUGAAAAUAGCAUUGGAGGAAACCUCAGGUUCGGCCGCCGAACCUCAAGUUUGGCCGCCGAACAUGCAUGCGUUGCGGGUAUGCUUUAGGCCCCCAAAAGCAUAAGUGAGGGAAGUCCAGGUUCGGCCGCCGAACCCCAAGUUUGGCCGCCGAACAUGGCAUGCAUGCGGAGGCACAUUCGGCCCCCGAACGUGGUCUGGCCAGCCACUAUAAAAGGGUCCCUUAAUCGAAAACGGGCCCCUUAAUCGAAAACGGGCGAGCUUUUUCCCCAUUUUCGGCCAAGGUGAGCUCUUCGCCGUCCCUCACCCAUCUUUGAUGUUUUUCCUCUAAAUCUUUCAAGAUUUUCAUUUGUUUUAACUUUGUUUUGAAGAUUAAAGCUUUUGAGCAAAGUUUUGGAGCUUGGAGGUUCAAGAACCCAAUCUCUCCCAACUUCGAGUUUAGGUCGUCUCUCUCUCGAUCUUCAAGAGGUAAGAGCCGAUCUUAAGCUCAUUGCAUGUUUUAAGUAAGUUUUAAGUAGAUCUAUGGGUUAGAAUGCAUGUUUAGGUUAUGGUUAUGUUUAUGGGUAUAAAUGUGUGCUCUUGAACAAUGUGGAUGUUUGAUGUGUUGUAGAUGGGGUUUAUGUUGGUUUGAGGCCCCUAGGAACAUGUAUGCUUGUGUUUGUGUGUUGUAGAAUAGGUUUGAUGCAUGUUUGAUAAGUUUGGAGGCGAAAUGUGCAAAGGGAGCCAAGUUUCUACCCUUUGGCAGAAACCAGGUUCGGCAGCCGAAGGAUUUUCGGCCGCCGAACAUGGCUGGGGAGGCAGCCUUUCGGCUGCCGAAGCUUGCCCCCGAAAGGGAGACUUUCGUCUCUGUCUGGCAGUUUCGGCCGCCGAAAGUGCCGCCGAACAUGCAUGAGUUUCGUCUCUGUCUGGGAGUUUCGGCCGCCGAAGGUGCCGCCGAACCUGCCUGACUUUCGGCUCUGGAAGGACUUUCGGCCGCCGAACCUGCCGCCGAAAGUGCCCCGUCCAGGCCUCCUUUGCAUGAUUUUAUAUGGUUGUUUCAUGAUGUUUUAGGGGGUUUUUGGGGAGUAGUUUAUAGUUAUGUUCAGGUGUGUUUGGUCCCUCAUUUGAGUCCACCUGUGUAGGUUCGGAUCCGAGGAACCGAGGACCCCAGCAGUGAGUUCAGCUGCUUCGGUGUUGUCAGAGUCAGCCAGAGGUGAGUGGAACUAAACUUAAUCUUUUAAAUUAAAUGUUUUAUCAUGUUCCAUGCAUCAUGAUUAUGAAAUAGGAUGAUUGCAUUAGUUUCACGAAUAUGCCGCAUUGCAUCGAUUGUUGUUGAUGUGGGUGAAUGUUGGAUGACCCAAUUAGUCCAUGACAGGAAGACCAGGACCCCAUUCUACGGCCUAGCACAGAGUAAGGAAAGACCAGGACCCCAUGCUACGGCCUGUCACGGUAAUGGGACUCGAAGACCAGGAGCCCAGAGGAGGCCCUGGGAUAAUGGUAAGUAAUGUAUGUAUGACAGGAAGACCAGGACCCCAUGCUACGGCCUGGCACAGAGUUAGCUUGGACUAAUUGGUGACAAGUUCACCCAACCCUUAUGUGAAUUGUCUGUGUUAUGAUGCAUUUCAUUGGANNNNNNNNNNNNNNNNNNNNNNNNNNNNNNNNNNNNNNNNNNNNNNNNNNNNNNNNNNNNNNNNNNNNNNNNNNNNNNNNNNNNNNNNNNNNNNNNNNNNNNNNNNNNNNNNNNNNNNNNNNNNNNNNNNNNNNNNNNNNNNNNNNNNNNNNNNNNNNNNNNNNNNNNNNNNNNNNNNNNNNNNNNNNNNNNNNNNNNNNNNNNNNNNNNNNNNNNNNNNNNNNNNNNNNNNNNNNNNNNNNNNNNNNNNNNNNNNNNNNNNNNNNNNNNNNNNNUAUGUAAUGAUGUUUAUGGAUUAUUAGAGGUGUGCUUGACCAUAGAAUGUUGUUAUCCCUUUUAAUACAUGAUCUUGGUUAUUUUAUGUCAUUUAUGCAAACCAACUCAACAUAUGUUAUGUCACCCAUUUGGGGGCACUGAUGAGAUCCCACAGAGGGAUCAAUGUUUAUGAUUUAUGUUAUAUACAGUGCAUGCACAGAUUGAGUAUGGUUGAUGUAUAUGGAAAGAAAAGUUUUAAAAUUUUAUGUAUGUUGUUGAUCAUGUAUGGGAUUAUACAGGUUUUCAGGUUAGAUGUCAGGCUUGCUACGGGUCCCGGCGGCCUUAAGCCGAUCUGGAUCCUAGCGCCGGUAGCGGUCCGAUUUUCGGGUCGUUAUAGAUACAAUAUAUUAAUAUGAUGUAAGUUCUUAUCUACGUCGACUUCCAUUAGAGCAAUACCAACUUUAUAAUUCAUUUCUACCAUUAACCAUUUGAUCCCUAUAUUCCAUAUUAUUCGGAGACCAAAUAAUACAACAUGUAACUCCGUAUCCAUCGAGAAACAAAUAUCCAAACGAAUGCAAUAACCUUCAAUCAUGCUCUACACAAUUGUGCAAGACCCCCUACACCUCCCCUUCAUGGAUUUCCUUUAUCCGCCCCAUUUGUAUUUAAUUUAACCCAAUUAAGUAAGGGAGAUUGUCAAAUAAUAUUUACCAACAUUCGGGUAUGAUUUGGAACCCUAUUACUCUGUGAACACCAAGCUCGGAGAUUCUGUGCUGGCUGCAACUUAAAACAAUUGAUUUGUUGUCUUAAAAAGCAGCAAAUGCUACGAAACACAUUUUCAUUCAUUCAUUUUCAUAACCACCACAAACCUAAAAAUAGAACCUGUGUAAAAGAUAAAUUAAAACAUAAUAUACAUUCAAACUUUUAUAACCGAGAGAACCAAAUAAUAAUAUCUAUAGAUAAGAAAACACAAAGAGAAUCAGGUCUCUAAAUAUGAGAUCAAAUUUGUUAAGCCCUUGAACAAUCUCAAAAAAUACGAGAAAUUUCCUCUACCAUUGCACCACAUAAAGCACAACUCAUGUCUUGUGAAAAGCCCCGAUUCCAUCUUUCCAUAUUAGUCAUAAGUUUUUCAGGAAUUAAAAUCCAAAUAAAAGAGAAACCGGAACACUUCAAAUUAUCUUCCAAACCGAAUUGGCAGCAAAGGAGGAUUCAUAGUACAACAAAACAUAUAUCAUUUUAACAGUGAAGUGACCAUUAUGCGUGAUCUUCCAUGCUGUUUGAUCUAUAACACAAACAUCAGCUAUUAAAAACUUACCUUCCACCAACUUACAUCCCUCAUCAGACAUAUAUGGUGUAAUAACAUUCCAAUUUCAAUCAUCAUUCUUCUAGUACUGAGCGACCACAACUUAUUCACAUGAACUUAGAAGGGACUUGAUUAAAAAAUCACAAAGAGGGUCCUUCCCAAUUCUGGUAUCAUUCCAAGGAUGUACUUAUUUCGUUGCCUACAACUAGACAUAAGUCUUUUUGCAAUAAUGGAAAGUUGUUAACAACACCUCUCCAAACAAAAGAGCUAAUAAGUUUAAAUACAAAUACCUUCAAAUUAGAAGGUGAGCAAAAGUACUUACCUUUUAGCACUUGCACCCAUACUGCACGAUCUUUUUUCAAAAUCUUUCAUCCCAUCUUGGUCAGAAAUGCUGAAUUCAUUGAUCACUUGAUCUUAACUCCAAACCACCCUUAUCCAUUACUAGAUAAAGCUGAUUCUAGUUUACAAGAUGAAUUCUUUGCGCACCAUGUAUAUCUUUCUAAACAAAACUUCUAAUCAUUUUAUCAAAUUCAUCACACAUCGAUUUUGAAAUAUAAACUGAUAACAUCAAAUGGUUAGGUACCAUAGAAAUGAUAAGUUUGGCUAAUAUUACCCAAUCAACAAAAGAAAUCACUCUCGUUUUUCAACCUGCUAAAUAAUUGUCCAUUUUUACUAACAAAUCAUCAAAAUGAUGUAUUUUAAUACGUCAUUAAACCAUUGGAAUUCCUAGAUAUUUACCAAUAGAUUCAGCUUCUGAUAUUUCAUCAACAGAUCAUAUAGCUUGUCUUUUAAUAUCAUCUACAUUAAUUGAAAAAUAAAUUUUUGAUUUUUCAAAAAUUCACCCUUUAUUUUUAUAAAUUUAAAUAUUCAAUAAAUUAUAAUUUUAAUUCAAAUAUUUAAUGAAAUAAUAUAAAAUAGUAUAAUAGUAUAUCUCCUAUCUUUUCUCUCAUCUCACUUUUUACUUUUACAACAACAAUAAAUUUAUUAUAACAUUUUUUCAAUAGAUGAGGACAUUAUAACUUCAUUUUAUUAUAAAAAAUAGUUUAAACAAUAGGACAAAAUGUACAUUAAACCUAAAAAUGUAUUAAAUAUAAAUUCAUAUAAAAUGUAAUUAUUAAAUUAUGUUACAUUAAUCGAUAGUGAAUUUAAAAUUUUUUUAUAUUAAUAAUUAAUAUAUAUACCAAAUAUAAAUUUACACAAUUAUCUUAUUUGAUAUUGAUGCAUUACACAACUGAACUAAAAUUAAUUAUAACCUAUUAAAUAACUUACUUACAAAAUUAUAAUAAUUAAAUAUAAAUUUAUUAUGUUAUUUGAUGCUAUAUAAAAAAAUAAGAAAUAGUCUCAUUUAUUACUUAUUAUAUUUAAAUUUUUUAUAAAAUACUUUAUUAAUAUAUACAAUUUAGAAUAUAUAGUCAAUAAUAUUUAGAAUACAUAGGAACUGUGUGAAAUUUUAGGUAUUGAAUAAUUCAAUUUCUAAAAUAAAAAGGAUAAAAUUGCGAAAAUUAGUAAAAGGAUUCACAAAUGGAAGUAGUGAAUUUCGCAUGCAAUAAUAGAAUUUAGCAUUAGCGAUACCAUCAAGAGUGUAACGCACAAGCACACAUAGGAUCGUCCCUUUACUUUCUUCCAACCAACACUACGUUUUAUGGAGGGAAAAUAUGAGAAAAAUAAAAAUUAGAAAGGAAAAUGAGAAGGAAAUCAAUUUUUAAUAGAAAAAUAUAAUAUGGCUAGGUUAGUUCAUAAGACAGGUUAUACUAGAUAAUUUGAGCGUUGGUUCCACUAAAUAAGAUCAUAAGGCGGGUUUUAUCAAAUCAUUCGAUCGUUGGUCUCAUUAAAUAAGACUAUAAGACAGUUUCUAUCAGGCUAGAUCAUAAAGCGAGUUUUGCCAGACCAUUCGAGCGUUGGUUUCAUUAAAUAAGACUAUAAGGUGGGUUUCAUCAAGUAAGGUCACAAUGCGGUUUUCAUCAAAUCAUUCAGGCACACGUACCAUUAAAUAAAGCCAUAAGAUGGAUUCCACCAGACCAUAAUAUGGGCGUUGGUCCCUACAAACAGGUCAUCCAUGCCAGGCAGUAACGAGGCGAACCUAACAAUCCCUAAAAGAUGAAAGUGUCAACUAAAGAUUAAUGAGACGAGUCUUAUGAUCAAGAAUCAAGAUGAAUAACUGGGUAAAAGCCCUUUAUUACAAAAGCGUCCAGGGUGUCUUAUGGUGCAAAGUCGGGAGUCUGCCAAGUUAUAGGCCUAGGCAUUAAUCCUAUUUUGCAAAUUAUAUUUGUUAGACUCGACUUUAAACUUGCAGGAUGAAUAUGUUUUAACCUCCUGUUUAAAUCAUUGGUAACAAAAAACUCAAGAAUAGAGAUGCAAAAUAUGCAUUUUCAUUAUAAAAUAUUACAAAGGGAUAAGAGAGACUUGGACAAGUCUCUAGUACAUCAUAAUCUCUUAAAAUUUUAUUAGCAGAGACCCAAGUGACAAGGCUCCAACUAUCUUCCUGGUCUGACCUUCAGAAUCAGUUUUACACAAUCCAAUCCCUCUGUCCGGGGUCGUAAUGCUGAAAAGGCAUUAUAGUCGGGCUGGUUGCAAUUCCCAAAGCUAAGCAUCAUACUUGCACCUUCAUGAAUACCCGCCUUCAACUGCUCUUUGUAGAUCAUGAUGAUAUUCUCAACACAAAUCUGGUUAUUCUCAAGAAAAGAAUGGAGAGUACCCCAUUCAUGACUCCGCAGACGACAUCCGUAAAUAAAAAAGAAUAGAAAGAUGCAUUCUUAUAUAGCGAAAUAGCCAGCAAAACUGUAAAUAUGGCUCGAAAAAUAAGACAACCAUCGUGACCAAGGAUAAACGAGAUAAAGCAUGCCACAUAACUAAAAAGACAAAUCAUCACCUUCGAAUCUGAAGUAUUAAAGACCAGUGGGGAACUUCUGAUACUACAUAACAAUCAACCAAAAUAAGCCAUGAGCUGUCACCACAAGAACAGGACCAUGCGACAAGGAUAUGAUAAGUAGGAAAUGCAGUCAGCCCAAGAAAAGGAAGACUUGGACACCUUAAUAUCGAGUUCAUCCUCGAAGACCCAUCCUUCCCUUGACAGGGCGAGUCUCAGCACGAAAUUACCAUUAUUAAGUAUAACCCCGCAUAUCUCUAUUACGCAUGUAAUCAUGGGAGUACCAACCUGUUAUCUGGCAAUGUCUUUUAUCAAGCAACCAGUCACAGAUUACCGAAAAAUACUAUAUUUAUAUCUAUUUUCUUAUAGUAUAAAAGGAGAAAAAACACAGAAAUAAAAAUACGAUAUUUUCUUAUACCAUUCAAAUUCUAAUUAGUAUAUUAACUUAAGUGUUGGAGUAGCUGUUAUGAGCAUCCACCACAUUACGUUCUCUUUUCUUACAGGUCUAAAAAUUAUGACAUAAUUUUCUUUCGGUCAUGUCAUCAAUCUAAUUUCUGCAACAUCACUUUCCAAUCACUUUUUUUUUUAUUUUUCUUUCGUAAUAUUUGAUCCUGAACAUAAUGUAAAGAUACUUCUUUGGAAAAAAAAACAAAGAAAAAGAAAAAUACUAAGUCCAAACACAAUAUAAAGGUUUCUUUGGAAAAAAGAAAGAAAAAAAAAAAAACUAAGGGGACUUGGAAGCGCACGAGGAGUUGGGGCCAUUUGACAUCAGCAUACUACUGUAACGUAAACGGGUACGCCGACAAAAACAAUAGAAAUUUUAAAAUGGAAUGGCAAUACAAUCCUACCUGUAAUGUUAAUUUAUUAAAAUUUAAAUAUAUAAAUGAAAUAUAAUUUAAAAAUAAAAAGUAAUCCUAUAAAGAUAAUUAUUGGACAAUUUUUUAUAAUAAAUAUAUUUACUUAUAAAUUAUUUUUAUAUAAUAAAAUUUUUAAUAAAUAAUUUAUUUGAAUCAAAUAAGAUUUAUCAAUUAUUCUUAUGAUCCAAUUCUGCUGAUUUGCUCAAUAGAAAGUUCAUCGAGAAUUGCUUUUUUCGUUGUUUUUUUUUUCUCAUAUGAAUUUCGUGUUCCUGUCAUUUUAAUGGCUUUUAAUAUAAUAUCAACUAUUGUUUGAAAAAAAACAAAGAAUAGAGACAAGUAUUUUUUACGUGUCGAAAAUGCCCUUAAAACCACAUUCUUAUCACGGAAUUGCCGCUUAACUAUCGAAAUUGCGUCGUCUUCCUCACCUUUGCUUGCACUCGAAGAUAUGAGUCUGAAUCCGAUUCAGCAAACAGGCACACAAAUAUUGACAACAGUAAAAAAACAAAAACAAAAAAGAACACACACACGUGUUUAACAAGCGCGCUAAUCCUCGUACUUUGUUGACAUUGUCGGAAGCUCUAGUAUAAACUCGGUAACUAAAAUUAAAUUAUUACAAGCUGUUUCAGUAUUUGGCAAUACAUGGAUGCUUAAUUAACGUGCAAAACAGCGGAUGUAUAACUAGAAAUGAACAUUUAAUCAAUUUAAUUUUAUAUAUUUGAACUUAAUUCUUUAUAUUAUUAAAAUAAUAAAAUAUUAUAAAUUAAUCACUUUCAAUUUCAUCAAUUUUUUUAAAUUAAAUUAAAGUUAUUAAAAUUUUCAAAUUAAAAUCGAAUAAAAAAUAUAAAACAAAAUCGAAUGCUUAAAUUAAUUUAGUUUACUUCGAAUACCGUUAGUCCUCCGGCCAGUCCAGCUACAUAUGAGCCAAAAAGGUUCCUUGAAAAUUUUCAAGUUAUCUAGGUUUAUUUAUAUAAUUUUUUUUAAUUUUUAAAUAAAUAAAAAAAUUGCUGUUAAGUCUUUUAAUUUUUUUUAAAAAUUAUUAAUUUAUUUUUAUUUAAAAAUUACUCAAUUAAAAAGCCUUUUUAUUAUAUAAAAUUAAAUUUUUUAUUUUUUUUAAAAAUUCAUCAAUGUGUCAAAUCUCUUAAUUUUUAAAAAUUAAUAUAUUUCUAUUUAAAAAUUAUCUAAUUAAAAAGUUUUUGUAUCUUAUAAGAUUAAAAUUUUAAUUUCUUUUAUAAAACAAUUCAUUAAUUUAUCUUAAAAUUUUAAUUUAUUUAAUUUAUAUAAUUUUAAUUAUAUUUAUUAUAUAGUCUUUAUAAUUUUAAAUAUUCAUAUUUUAAUCUAUUCAAUUAAAAUUAAAAUAAAUUAGACUAAUUAUUUGUUUACAUCUAAACUAAAUAAUUUAUUUUUAUAAAAAAUAAAAUAUUUUAAUAGAGUAAUUUUAAUAUAAAAAUAAAUUAAUAAAUGUAGAUAUUUUUAAUAAUUCUCUCAUAAUACAAUGGCUAACUCCUAAUCCUAUUUUUAUAGUAACUACUUUCCCACAAUUUUUUUUUAUAAUUUAAAAUUUUUAUUUUAAAUUUUUAAGAUUGGAGCUCUAAAUAUUUUACUUAAUUUUUUUCUUUUUAAAAUAUUUAUAAAAUAAAUUAUUUCAUUAUUAUUUAAUUUAUUUUUAUAUCUUACUUUUUAUUAUUAGAAAGUAAAUUUUAUUUUCAAUUGCUCUAUUUAAAUUUAAAUAUUAAUUUAAAAAUUUUAUUUUUAAUAUAUAUUUAAAUAAAAAUUUUACAAAAUAAAUAAAAUUAAAAAUAUCGCUAUAAAAUAAAAUUAAGUCAUCUUCACUUAAAUUUCUUGAUCUGCCCUGUCUCCAGACUUAGAAAAAAGGUCCUAAAAUUCAGAAGUAAAUAGAACCACACAGAUUGCAGUACUCAGAACCAGAACACCAAAACCUGCACAACUUACAGAGAUGAUGCAGUAAAACUCAUGGCUGAUAGCCUUUGGGUGUGGAAAUCACCGGCCGUCGCGGUGAUUAUCCUCGGGUUGCUAGCAUCGACGCAUGCACAGCCUCCCUUCAAGCAUAAAGUUGAAAUAUUUAGUUUUGGUUUUAGUUUUUUUCUCAUUACUGACGUUGUGUUCUUUACAAAAAGUCCUUCUUGUCCCGCCUUUUUAAUGGUGGAAGCGGCUGCAAGUCAUGGGCUAUACUGUCUUUUUCUAUUAGUGUUUCAAAAAGGUCAAAAAAAUUAACAAUAAUUAAAUAAAAGUUGAAGUCCCUAGUCGUUUUCUCCGCUAUAUGACAAGCACCGCCUAGUCCGACUUCUUCCGACAAGUGUCAGCAACUACCAUAUUAUGACACGUGGAUGGUCAGAUUGGAUUGAGCAGCCAGAUGAUGAUAUGAGAGUCGUAUCUCAGUCAUAAGCUCUUAACCAUGGUUACAUACAAGGGGUUUCAAGCUUCAACCAUAGUUAAUUACCGCCGCUUUAACCUUUUUUUUUUUGUUUAAAAAAAAUAUUUUCUCCACUUCAAUUCAAAUCCUCUCUUUUCUCUCGUUCUAUUUAAAUGCUACUGCUUCUCUGUCUCCGUCUCUGUCUCUGUCUCUGCCCGUCUCUCUCUCUCUCUCUGCACAGAGAUGAGGAUGAAGUGGAGCAGCCGCCUUUUGUGACCGUGAAGCACCGGUCACCGACAGAGUUGAAUCGUUUCACUUCAUUGCGAGCGAGUUCAGCGAGUGGAAUCUGGUAGAAGUAGGUCCUUUUCUUUUUCCUCUAUAAUGGUCUAAUUUCAGAGAAAUAUUCAGAAUUCUCUUUAGCUAGUUUAGUUGGGUUCGCCAUUAUCAUCGCUAGUUGAACUUUCCAACCGAAACCCCAUAACCUUUACAUUUACGCUUCGAUACUGAGAGUGAGAGAACUGGAAGGGUUCAGUGGACUUCAGGUUGAUUUAGCUUUGACGGAAAUAGAAUGGUGGAGGUUGAGAAUUCCUCACAAAUGACAUUUUCCAUUGCUUCUGGAGAAGCCAAUAAUGUAUCUAAUUUUGGUAAUCAAGCGCCGCCUCUCUCAGCGCCGCUACCAAAGAAGAAGAGAAACCUUCCCGGAAUGCCAGGUAAAUUAUAUUUUACCAAACCCCAAAAACUCUCUCAUCUUUUUUUCUACUUUUACCAGCAUGAUAAUCUCCUUGCUUUUGAUUCUGUGCGUUUCAGAUCCAGAUGCUGAAGUGGUGGCGUUAUCGCCAAAGACCUUAUUGGCCUCAAACCGUUUUGUGUGCGAAAUCUGCAACAAAGGCUUCCAACGCGACCAAAACCUCCAGCUUCACCGCCGCGGCCAUAACUUACCGUGGAAACUAAAGCAACGAACCAGUAGGGAACCACGCAAGCAGGUAUACGUGUGCCCAGAACCAGCUUGUGUUCACCACAAUCCAGCUAGAGCUCUGGGAGAUCUCACCGGUAUAAAGAAGCAUUUCUGCAGAAAGCACGGUGAGAAGAAGUGGAAGUGCGAACGCUGCUCCAAGAACUAUGCAGUUCAGUCGGAUUGGAAGGCCCACAUGAAGAUUUGUGGCUCUCGAGAGUAUAAAUGCGAUUGUGGGUCUUUGUUCUCCAGGUUCUUAGUCCUUUUUAUCUCUGAUUCUGCUUUACACUUCCUCUCUGUGUCUGUCUUGAUUGUUACUAAUAUUUCUCUGUGUGUUUUUUUUUUGUUUUGCUUUGGUAAUCAAGGAGGGAUAGUUUCAUAACGCAUAGGGCGUUCUGUGAUGUCUUGGCGGAGGAGAGUGCGAGGGCAAAAACCCUAACGAUUAUGGAUAAGGAGAGGAAUACGAAUCUAAAGAAUGUGAUUGCUUCACCGCCAUCUCCACCUCUUACGCCAUCAACCACUGUAGUUUCUUCGGGUGUCUUAGUUCAAAGCUCAGGUAGGUCUUAGUGCUAUAUUUUCCUACCUUGUGGCUGAGAGGCGGUGGCUUUAUGCUUUACAUAUGUACUGGGUUUGGUACAUUGUGGGUGAUUUGUCCUUAAGUUGAUGUCGUUCUCGCAUGGACUUUAGGCUCAGAGAAUAUAACAAAUGUAUACGUGUGUGCGUGUGAGAGAGAGAGAGAGAGAGGAGAGGAGAGGAGAGGAGAGGAGAGGAGGAGGGGGGAGACUAGAGGUUUUGCUGUAAAAUCACGGGCACACACUGCUCAAAGAUCGAAAAGCCAAUAGAGGGGAUUGACGUUUGAGAGGAGCAUCCCGGCAAAAUUUGCUUAGUCUGGAUUUAUACGGGUCUAUAGACUAUAUGUACAGUAUUUCAUGUGGGUCUUACACUUACCUCAUCUAAAUAGAGUUUUAUUAUCCAAAAAUACCAUCUUUUACUCGAAUGAUUUAGGUUACCCCAUUAUCUAUUUCUAAGUGUAAUUUUUUUCUGCCUUUUUUUGUUUUUUUUUUUAAAUCUUUUUUCUUCUCUCUCACUCCACUCCACUUCUGUUCAUAGAAUUAGCAGAAAAUCCAGUUGGACAUUCAGUGUCAACGCCGGCAACUGCAUGCUUGAAUGCCACUAUUCCGAGUUCCAGAUCCAGCAGCUCUAUUAGCAAUGUAUUUGCCAGUGUAUUUGCUUCAUCAGCAAUGGCAGCGGUUAUCUCACAAGCAUCAUCUACCUCACUUUCCAAUUUUCUUUGCGCGUUACCUCACUCUGAUUGCCCCACUACAAUACAAACACAUAGAGCCGCAGAGCCUCCGUCGCUUUCACUUUCCUCUUCUUUCUAUCUCUCCAACAAUGCCUCCUUUUUCCCAGACCAAGACCAUCGACACUAUACUUUAUCUCCCCAACCUGCCAUGUCCGCUACUGCAUUGCUUCAAAAAGCAGCACAAAUGGGUGCAACAUCAUCAAACUCAUCAUUUCUCCGUGGCUUGGGUUUGCCAGUAUCAUCUUCCUGUAGCCAAGAUAUCAACGGCAAUCAACGAGACAUGAAGCAAGACGCUAAUGCUGUGGCAGCUGGGCUCGGAAUCGGACUCCCUUCCGGAGAUGUUAUGAUGGGUUCGUCUCCUUUGUUUGGGAACAAGCCAACCACGCUUGAUCUUCUUGGGCUGGGCAUAGGUGCUGGCUCUGCUUUGCUAAAUUCCUAUGGUGGCAGCUUCAAUGUAGGAGCAGCUGCAGUUUCUGCUGUAGCAACUCCAUACGGAGGAGGGAGCUCUAAAGAAACAUGGGAUGCUGCAGCCGAGAAAAAGCCAAGUGGUUCAGCCUUGUAUUAGAGAGCUUCACUUUUUCCAUGUAUUUUUGUCAACGGUGAAAAAGUUGAGCUCUUACAUCUCUCUUGCUUUCCAAUGGCUGAUACCCUUUUGUUUCUCAAAAAUAAAGGCCAGAGAAGGUCCAUGGAAUAGUUUUAGUUAGUAUUCAAAUAUAUGUACAUACUAAUUUUUGGUCCCUUUGGUGCUUUAAUUUAAUUAAAAUAUGGAGAAACUGGCAUGGGAGGUAAAGUUAUUUUGCUUUGAUUGGAAACAAUGCAAGUCAUGGCCAACAUGGGUAUAACCUACUUUUUGCUAUUAACUAAAAAACAAAGAGUUAAAAAAUGGUUCAAACUUGAGAGCUAAGAGCCUAAUCCAUUCAUUUGUUAGUCCAAAAACGUUAGUGUCUGAAAGUGACACGGCGGGUUGGAUGACAGUGAUGUCUUACUUGGAGGGUAGCUGUGGGGAGAAAACAAGUAAUAUUAUCUCAACAAAUUAUGAUGAUGCACUUGCUAAAAUAUAUGAAGACAUUUAUUAAGAAGUAAAAAAAAUAGUAAAUUUCUUUUCUUUUAUUUUUUAAAUAAGUUAUAAACAUUUUAAUGAUUUUGUAGAUUAUGAUAAUUAUUUAGAUUAUAAGUGUUUUAUAGUAUUUACAUUAAUUAGCGUACUAUUUUAGCUUGAUGGGAGAGCAUGUAAUAAUAUUGAAUAGAUAAUGUUUGAUUAGACUAUAUUUAUAUUGAUGAUCGCUGGCUUUCUGAUAUUCGGAUUGGAUUCUAAAAAAGAAAGUAAGCUCAAAACUCAAUAGAAUUCAUUAAGCAGGUGCGUCAUCCGAUAUGCGAUUAAAGCAGGCCAAAUUAAUCCAAGACUUGAAUCUAUUAAAGGAGAGUUCAACGUGUGUGACGUGAUGGGAGGUAGGAAAGCAGAUCGACUACGCCAUAGUCCUAUCAAUAUCCACACCGAACAAGAAUUAAAUGGCCGCUAGACGAUAAUAGUCAAAUAGAUAUAUCUAUAUGUACGAAUCCACAUGAUAGGGACAAAUAGCAAUUAUGCGCUACUAAAAAAUAAAUGAAAUGAAUAAAGGGAAAUACGUGACCUUUUCAGACUAAACUUAUACUCACACUUAUAAAUUCUAUUUUCUCAAAAUCUCAGAAUAAUAUGCGGUAAAUGUAUAUAAUUUUAUAUAAUUUAUUAUUAUUUUACAUUAUAAAUUUAUGUAUACCGACCUAGAUAAGUUUAUAUUAUAGUUUAAAAUAUUAAAUUUAUUUUUUAUUUGAAUUUACCUUUUAAAUUAUCGUUUAAAUGUUAAAUAAAACUAUUAUUAUUUAUAAAAAUUUAUUAAGAGUGCGAGUUAUAUUUUUUUAAUUUAUUUGAUUUCAUUUGAAUUUAUUUAAUAUUUUAAUAAUAAGUUAAAAAUAAAUUUAAAACUAAUAAUGAAAUUUGACAAAUUUGAAAUGGAUAGUGAAAUUUCAGAAUUUUAACUUGUUGAAUAGUUUAAGGGCGAUUUUGGUAUUUUAUCUUUUUAUUAUUCGGAUGUAGGUGAGCAUAAUUUUGGUCAAAGUGGAUGGGUCCAACAGCCACAUGUAGUAACUGAUUGUGAGCUCAUGGUCAGACCCGUGCCGUCAGCCGUGUAUUCAAUAGGCUGUGAAUUGGCAACGGCCUCUGUGUGAUGACGUGUGGGUCCGUUCGCCAUUAUGUUGGUGGGCUCUUUUUUCCCGUUUUCUGCAUUUAGCGAUGGGAAAAUUAUAAGGGAAAUUUAUUAUUUAAUUUUUAUAUUAUGAUAAAAUUUAUUAAUAGAUUUUUUUUAUUUUAAAAAAUAAAUUAUAAUAUCAUUGAUAUUUAAAAUAUAUUAAUGAAUUUUUUUAUUAAUUUAAUUGUUAAAUAUUAUAAAAAAAUUAAAAUAUCUAUGAUAUUAAAGGAUUAAUUUUCAGAUUUUGAGUUUUUUAAAACUAUAAUAAUUAAAUUUUUUAAGAAAAUUAUAGUAAUUAAAUAUUUAAUAAUUAAAAUUAAUAAAAAAUUAACUAAUAAAAUUUUAAAAUAUUAAAAAUAUUUUAAUAUAUUUUUUUAAAAUAAAACAACCAACUAAUAAAUUUUUUAUAUUAUAAAAUAUUAAAUAAUAAAAUUUUCAAACUCUGAGAUUUCCGCGAGAAAUAUUAUGUGCUUCAUGAAUCCUAAACAAACGUCUUUCACUUGGGGAAAUCAGAGUCCAUUUAGCAUGAAAUUAAUGAGUCACUGUUUUUCUCUUAAACAAAAAAACAAUUUGAUAUUCCAUAUUAUCACUUUCAAUUUCUUAAUUAUAGAAUUAAAUUUAAUAUAUUUUAAUUACAGUUAUGACAUAAUAUUUAGACAAAAUAUAUUAUGAACCGUCAAUACAUGAUAGAGUCACGUGAUAAGAUUCUAAUAAACUAUGACACUCGAUUAUGGAAAUCUCAUCUAUAAAAAAUAAGACUCCAGCAUCAUAAUAAUCGAUAUUCGAAACUUUUUCAUGAAUCGGUCGAACCUUUCACGAUAAGUUAUCAUUAAAAGAUAGUAUCUAGCAGAUACAUAUUACUUCUAUAAUCGCGUGAUCCCUUAUCCACUAAUUGGUACCAGUCAAAUUUCUAAAAAAUUCACUAACUAAUUCCAUAUUUUUACAGUAUAAAAUCAAAGUAUGUACAUAGUUCAAGGUAUGUAUUUUUAUACACUCUUCCUAAAUUCAAACUACUUACACUCGGCCCUUUGCAAUAAAUUACUAACUUGAGUGUCAAAGUGGCUGCUCAUAGAUAUCAACUACCUCGCAUUCUUUCUUUUGCAGAUUAACCAAUUAUUUUUUAGUUUAUUUUUUAUUACAUCAUUUAAUUCCAUUGCUGAGUUAGUUGGGUGGUAAGGAAGGAGUGACUCUGGUGAAAGACUCGGGUUGUGUGACAGUUCGCUCAUUUGUUGUUGGAGGCGGAGGUAGAGGAGGAAGAACGAUGACCUCUUCAGCACGGCAAGUUCGUUUUGUUGGGGAAGCCAUGACAUCCACGAUAACUUUUCCUUUUCGAGCAGCACAAACCGCCUUUAUGAAUUUAUUCUUUCCUUUGCCAACCAUACCUACAUAGAGUAAAAAGUAAGCAAGUAAAGUAGUUUAAAAGCAAUAAAGUUUGGAAAGAAAUCUGCAGUAUAGGGUAUGAUUUCCCGAUAGUCUUGGAGACUAAGUGGUUGAGGGAACUGAGGUUGUUCUGCCUAGUAAUGACUUUACCAUGACAAGGUGAUGUUCCUCAUCCGCACGUUAAUGUCCAUUCUUUGGGUUGAGGCCAUCUUCUGGAGGAAGUUUAAAGCCUCUUUCUCAUCCCUUCAUGGUUGGACCCCAUCCUUUCUAAACUCUAUGUAUAUAUUCCAAUUAGUUUGGAGCUGUCCAAAAUCUCUAGACACCCUGUUACAGAGGAUGAAAAACUUAUUUUUCUAACGCUUCAAGGAGGAAGGUAUCCGAUCGAAGAGAGUCUGACGUUUUUUCUCGUUGAAAAGCCAAAAUUCUUUGUUUUUUCAGGUACCCAGCUGGUACAACAGAGUGAAAUGCUCGGCUCGAUAUUACUGUUGAAGUAGACGAAGCGGAAAGCUACCAAAAUUCUUCAGCUAUCUGGGUGCAGUUGGGUGACUAACAACUUAUGAAAUUAAAAGACUUCAAUAAAUAAUGGGUCCAUUAGAAACUAAAGACCUACUUUCAAUUGUUCUUCAUAUAUCAUGAUUGUAUCCUCAGCAGGGAUCUGAUCGUCUACAGGAACAUUCGAGUGUGGAGCAUAAACCUUAAAAAUCUUUCGAGAGAUCUGGUAAUGGUCAUGCAAGCGGUCUACGUCCCUCUCAGUUAGUAUGGACAGGAUGUCAUUCACCAGGAGGUUGUCAUUAUCGUGGAUCGCUUUCAAUGGAAUGAUUGGAGCUAGAGCAUCAAGGUUGAACUUCUGCCAAAAGAAGAGGAAGAAGAUCUAUUCAUCUUUGAAAAAGAAUAGAGACAGGAUUUACCUUUAGAAAAUGAGAAAAUAAGAAACCGAGUGGUCGAGUCUUUUAUAAGCAUAAAGCAAUUGAGAGCAAAAGAGGUGAUUAAAGGAGAAAGGGAGAUUUUAUACUGUGAUUUCGAUGGUUGGUUUAAAUGCGUCUCAAGAAGUAAGGCAAUCAGUAUUUAUGUUCAAAACAGAUGAAGAGACGUGUGUAUGAAGAGUCAAUUCAUACAUGCCACGUAUCCAAUAACUGUAAUCUUCGAAUAUGAAUAGUUAAAAACCGAUGGAGGGAUCUCUAAUAUGACAUAAUAUUUGCCUAAAGUAUGUUAUGAACUGUCACCAUAUGAUAAAGUUACAUGGUAAGGCCUUAGUAAACUAUGACACUCGGUCACGAGAGUAUUAUCCAUAAGAAAGAAGACAUGUGCAUCAUAAUGGUCGAUACUCGAAACGACAAAAGAUACGCCCUCUCAUGAACUGGUCAAGCCUUUCACCAUAAGUUACUAUUAAAAGAUAGUAUUCAACAGAUACUUAUUACUCCUAUAAUCACGAGAUAUAUAAGUUGGAUUUCUAAGAGAUUUAAUAAAUAACUCUAUCUUUUUAUAGUAUAAAAGUAAAAUAUACACAGAAUUUAAGAUACGCAUUCUUACACUCUUUCUAUAUUCAAGCUAUUUACUUACACUCAUCCUUUGUGAUAAAUCACUAAUUUAAGCAUUAGAGUGACUGCUCAUAAACGCCAACCAUCUUGCCUUUUUUACUUUUAUAGAUUGAUCAAUCAUUUUUCACCUCAUUUUUUAGCAUAUCAAUUAUAAAAUAAGUCAACAUUUGAUAUUAGAGUAAGUAGAAAAUUUUACAUGUGUACAUCAACUUUGGACAUCAUUACAUUUUAAAAAUACUUGCGACGAUCACUUUUUUAAAUGGUGGUCUAAUAUUAUAUCUUUUAUUGAAUAUAUAAUAUUUAUUUUAUUAAUUAUUAUUUUCUUUCCUUAAUUAUUUAUUAAUUAUUUUAUAUUUUCAUCAAUAAAAUAAAAAAUAUUAAACAAUUACUUAAAAAAGUCAUUGUUACUCUUAUUUCUCUUUAAUUUUUAAUUUUUGAUUUGUUGACAUAAAAUUUCUCAUUUUAAAAAACAUUACAUUAAAAUUCUUCAACCAUUUUGUAUUAAUUUCUCAUAUUUAUAAUAUUAUUCUCUUUUUGGCAUGAUUUAUUUUAAAACAUGUAAUCAAAUGAUUGUAAAAUCAUGUAAGAUUGAAAUGGUAAAUUAUUGAAAAAAAUUAAUUAAAUUAAAUAUUUAUAAAUUUUUUAUUUUAAAUGGAUGGUAUAUCUCUUCAAUACAAGUCCGCAAAGAAUAAUAAUUUGUGAGGAGAGAGAUAUUAAUAUUUGAGAUAACAUUUGUUUUUAAUUUCUUAAUUUUUACCCUAUGAUAUUAGAGUACAUUAGUUUUAUAGUACAAAUGCAUGAAAAUUUGUGAUUUUUAUUGAAAAAAAAUUCAAUUAAAUUUAUAUAUUUUUAUUUAGAGAUUAAAUAAAUUUAAAUAAUUUUUUUUAUCAAAUAAACUCAUAAAUUUUACAUUUAAAAUUAAAUAAGUUCAACCCUAAUGAAAUAUAAAAAUUAUUUAUCAUCUUUUAAUUUUUAUAUUAAUUAAAAUUUUAAAAUUUGAUAUAUUUAAAUUUAAAAAAUAAUAUUUUAUUAUUAAAAAAUAAUCUAUAUUAAAUUAUGGCUUAUUUGGUCUUAAAAUAAAAGUUUAGGAGCUAUUUGACAAAAACAAAUUAAAUUUAAUUUAAUUGGCUUUAAGGUUAUAAUCAAAAUGAACGAGUCGAGUUUUAAUAAGUUCAGACUCGAUUAGAAAAUAAAUUUAAAAAUUCGAGUUCGAAUUCGAACUCGACUCGAAUUUUAUUUAUAAGUUCGCUCUUGAUUCAUAAAAUAAAUAUUAAAUUAGAGUUCGAUUCUAACUCGAUUUGCAAUAAACUCAUUUAUUAUAUUAACAAAUCAAUUCAAACUCCAUUUAAAAAAUUUGAGUUUCAGUUCAUUUAUAUUUGGAUUUGAGUUUGAUUAUAUUAUAAAUAAUUUUAAUAUAAUUUAAAUUUAUUUAAAUUAAAAAUAAAAUUUAAAUUAUAAGAAUAUUAAAAAAAUUUUAAAUUAAAAUUUUUUAUUUAAUUAAAAUUUUUUAAAUUUAAAAUUAAUAAAAAAAUAUAAAAAAAAUUAUAUUUUUAUAGAGAAAUUAUAAUUUUUGAUUUUCCUUUCGACUUUCGAUAUAAAACUCAAAUUCAACUCAUUUAUUAAACGAGCUUAAAAAAUAAAUUUAAAUUCAAUUUAUUUAAAAAACGAGUCCAACCCUAUUAAAUUUUAUCAAAUUCAAGUCUCUAAGUAGUUCUAGUACUAAUUUAAUUCGUUUGCCCCCUAACAGUCUCGUAGUAAAAGCACAAAGAAUUUAUUUUUAUUAUUUACCAUCCAUAAUUGAAGCUCGAAGGCGUAGUCCAUGACCUCAAGUUGGCAAGAAGAUCGUCAGCAGCAAAAAUAAAAUAAAUCCAAUCUCAAGAAAUCCCAUAAACAAAUCAAUCCACCACCUUGUAAAAUAAUGAUAUUAUAUGUAACUUUUAAUUAUAAACUGUUUCUGCCAUCCAGAAUGAUCCAUCUUUCUCACCAUGCCUCCUCUGCUGCUCCUGCUUCUUCAAAUCCUCACCCUGUUACUGCUCCUCAGUUUCCUCAAAUUCAUAUACUCCAUCAUAUGGAUCCCCUUAAGAAUCCAACAUCACUUCAAGAAGCAAGGCAUAGUUGGUCCUAACUACCGUCCGAUCACUGGUAACACGGCUGAGAUCCGCCGUUUAUAUGCUGAGGCUCAGUCAAAAUCAAUGUCGUCUUUGAACCACGAUGUGCUUCACCGUGUGUCUCCAUUUCACUACCAUUGGUCGCGGUUGUAUGGAAAGACUUAUGUAUACUGGUUCGGGUCGAGAGCCAGGUUGGUUAUAUCUGAUCUGGAUAUGAUUAAAGAGGUUCUGAUGAACACUGGCGGUGGGUCUUUCAAGAAGGUGGCGCAAAACCCUCAGGCUAAUCAGCUAUUUGGGGAAGGACUUGUUGUGCUCGAAGGCGAGAAAUGGGCUUUUCAUAGACGGAUCACAAACCAGGCUUUUAACAUGGAGCGAGUCAAGGUAAUUUAAUAUAAAAAAAUAAAUUUAUUAUUCAAAUUGUUAUAUUUACAAAUUAAAAUUUAAUAAGUAUUUUACUUUAAAAUUAAAUACAAGAUAAUUUAAUAACUUGCUGUUAAGUGCAUAUCAGUAAAUUGAGAGGUCUUGAGUUCUAAUGUUUCAAGAUUUGUAGUGUGAGGAAGUUCUUGCUAGAGCCCAUGUUGAUAAUGUUUUUACAGGGAUGGGUAUCAGAAAUUGUGGCUAGCACUGGGAAGAUGCUAAACAAGUGGGAGGAAAUACGAGGAGGGAGAGAUGAGUUCGAGAUGGAAGUGAACAAAGAACUUCAUGAACUUUCAGCAGAUGUUAUAUCUAGAACAGCUUUUGGAAGCUGUUUUGAAGAAGGGAAGCGAAUAUUUGCCUUACAGGAACAGCAAAUGCACCUCGUCUCUCAGGCCAUAAGGAGCGUCUACAUCCCAGGCUUCAGGUCAUCUCUUUGUUCCUCUCCAUUUUCUUUCCAAAAAUUUAUCAAUCCACCAUUGAAGGAUAUUCCGAGGUUCAUGUAAAUUAGUCUUGCAAUUCAUUUUGCAAGAAAAGAAAUGAAUUUAUAAUCAUGCAUGAUGAAAAAGAAAAAGAAUUCUUAUAUUCUAAACAAUAAAAUUGAUAGAAAAGAGUUGAAUUGAAUUAUUAAAAAUCUUUGAUGCCAAACGAGGGAAUGUGAAUUCAUGUUGCAGGUUUUUGCCUACCAAGAAGAACAAAGAGAGGUGGAGACUAGACAAGGAAACACGUGAAUCAAUAAGAACAUUGAUCAAGACUAAUAGCAGAGCCAGAGAAAAUUCAAGAAAUCUACUUAGUUUACUAAUAUCUUCAUAUAAAAAUCAGGAUGGAGAAGAAGAGACCUUAACAGAAGAGGAGAUUGUCGAUGAGUGCAAGACUUUUUACUUUGCAGGAAAGGAAACUACUGCCAAUCUUUUGACAUGGGCACUUGUUCUUUUAGCAUCACAUCAAGAAUGGCAACACAAGGCAAGAGAAGAAGUGUUUCGAAUCUGUGGUAAUGAGCUUCCAGUUGCAGAAAAUUUGAAUGACCUUAAGACUGUAAGUUAUAUUCCUUGCUUCUGCUUCCCCAGUUGCAGGCUUGCUUCUCUUCAUAAAAGAUUUUCAUUCUUGGCAAUUUCUAAUAGGUGAGCUUGAUAAUUAAUGAGACUCUGCGACUCUACCCACCAGCUGUGACGCUAAUUAGGGAAGCAUCUAAGAGCGUUAAGCUCGGGAACAUUGAUGUUCCUGCAGGCACACAACUGUAUUUGCCGCUGACUGCUGUCCACCAUGAUCCUGAUAUAUGGGGAGAAGAUGUAAAUGAGUUCAAUCCCUUGAGAUUUGCUGAGUCUAGAAAUCAUUUGGCUUCAUUUUUCCCAUUUGGAAUAGGCCCCAGAAUCUGUGUUGGACAAAAUUUAGCAAUCGUUGAAGCAAAAAUUGUCCUGGCGAUGAUCAUCAGAGGUUUCUCUUUUGUACUGUCGCCAACUUAUGCUCAUGCUCCAAUGCUUUUAAUGACCCUGAUGCCCCAAUAUGGUGCGCAGAUCAUCUUUAGCAGAAUUUCAAGUAUUUGAUUUCAUUGUCUGUAAAAGCAUUGAAAAACCAGAAUGAUUGUGCACCAAAUUUCACUGUAUUAACUCAUCAAAUUCAGGACCCAUUUGCGAGAAUCCUUCUGUCUCCUCCUUAAGUGGCCAGCUUAGUUUUAGAAUACUGUUACAGUUGCUGCCCCACCAAGUUGUGCCAAUUCAGCUAAAUUGCUGCAGCAGGAGACCGUGCUCCAAUCUCCCGGCCCUGCUAAUUACAACAAAUCCCAACGCUGAGCUACGCUUGAUGGUUCUAUCUCAACAACUUUAGGCUGACAAGUUAAUUAAUCAUAGACAAUCGAGAGAUAAUUGUUAAACAAUGUUUCAAGUAAAGAAAAAAAGCAUAUUCUUCUUAAAAAAAAUUGUACACAAGCUCAACUGCUCAUAACCUGCAAGUACCAUUAUACAGUUUUUUAAAGCAGCGACAGCAAGUAGGCCUGCACUGGUGUUUCUGUAUAAUAUUAUUCCCUCCUUCAUGAUGCACGCCUUACCCAAAAUCCUCUUUAGCCUAUAAAUAAAUUCAUGAUCUUUGCCUCUGACACCUCAGGGGAUCAUCAUGUAUCUCACAUUUCUUGUGAUCUUACUGUUGCUUCUUGCUGUAUCUCUUGUGAAAUUUGCUUACUCAGUAUUAUGGGUGCCGUACAAAAUUCAAGCCCACUUCAUGAAACAAGGAAUAAGGGGCCCUGGCUACCGGCCGAUGUUCGGGAAUAUGGCAGAGAAGCGUAGGCUGACGGCGGAGGCUCAGUCAAGGCGGAUGUCAUUAUUUGAUCACGACAUACUCCAGCGAGUGGUGCCAUUUUACCACGAGUGGUCAUGCGAGUAUGGAGAGACUUUACUGUACUGGUCAGGGACAAGACCAGAAUUGGUCAUAGCUGAGGCAGGGUUGAUUAAGGAGAUUCUUAUGGAUACGAGUGGGUUAUUUGAGAAGGCUCGUGUUGAACCCUUUGUCAAGCAGCUGUUGGGAAACGGACUCCCUGCGCUCACGGCUGAGAAAUGGGCUCUUCACAAGAGAAUCACUAGUCUCGCCUUGAACAUGAAGCAAGUUAAGGUUAGUAAUCUAAAGUUUUUUUUCUUAAAAAUAUUUUUCAUAGAAAAUAUAACGAAAAUAUUUUCUAUAUUACAAAUUAUUUUCAUAGACAAACGGAGUUCGUCUGAUAUGAUUUUAUUUAAUUGAAAGGGAUGGGUGCCAAAAAUAGUAGCUAGUACAGUGAAAAUGCUGGAUGAGUGGGAAGAAAAAAGGCAAGGGAAAAAUGAAUUUGAAGUGGAUGUGCACAAAGAACUCCAUAAUCUGUCAGCAGAUAUUAUUUCCAGAACAAUUUUUGGAAGCAGUUAUGAAGAGGGAAAGCUGAUAUUCAAUUUACAAGAAAAGCAACUACGCCUUAUCUCUCAGGCUCAUCAAGCUCUCUACAUUCCAGGAUUCAGGUACCCAACUCUCAAAUCAAUAUGGUUGUAGUAAUCCUAGUAGUAAUUUCCUUUUUGGUAUGAUUGCCUUCAACUGCGAUUCGAACUCGAGACAUAAUACCAAUGAAUUAAAACCAUUGGUAGUAAUCCUAGUAGUAUAUUGAUAAAGCUCUACAAUUCUUUAUUACUGUCACAGGUUCUUGCCUACCAAGAUGAACAUAGAGAGGUGGAGAGUAGAGAAGAAAAUCCGGGCUUCAAUUCGAGCAACGAUCGACACUAAUAGCAGAAGAGAAGAGAGCUCAAGAAAUUUGCUUAGCUUGUUAAUGUGUCCUUAUAAGAAUCGUGAUGGUAAAGAUGAGAGAUUAGAUGUUGAGGAGGUUAUUGAUGAAUGCAAAACGUUUUACUUUGCAGGAAAAGAAACAACUGCUAAUACAUUGACUUGGGCACUUCUCCUUUUAUCAAUGCAUCAAGAAUGGCAAAUCAAAGCCAGAGAAGAAGUUGUUCUAGUUUGCAGAGAUAAAGAGCUUCCCACUGCAGAAAUGCUUGGUGAAUUUAAGAUUGUAAGUUCAUGUCAAGCUAAGAAAAUCUCCAACGCCUUCUUACACAGCUCAUUUCUUACAUCUCUGUCUUAAUUCUAACAGAUAACAAUGAUACUGAAUGAAACACUCCGUCUCUACACUCCAGUUGUUGCGUUGAUCAAGCAAGCAAAAAAAGACGUUAAGCUGGGGGACAUAGAAAUUCCAGCCAAAACAGAACUUGUUUUGGCCUUUAGUAAAGCUCAUCGAGACACUGGGAUAUGGGGUGUAGAUGCUAACAAGUUCAAUCCUGAGAGAUUCAUGGAAGCUCGAAAUCUAUCGGCCGUGUUUUUCCCAUGGAGUUUAGGCCCUAGAAUAUGUGUGGGACGGAGUUUAGCCAUGGCUGAGAUGAAAAUUGUUCUAGCUAUGAUCAUUCGCCGAUUCUCUUUUGUGGUGUCUCCAACAUAUGUUCAUGCUCCGAUUAAUUUCCUGACAGUACAGCCUCAAUAUGGCGCACAAAUUCUCUUCAGGAAAGUCUCUAAAUGAUUGUUUGCUGAGUUUUGUUUGGAACCCUCUGUUCGAAAAUUUUAGUCAAUGCAAUUGUUGAUACAUGAAACUCAUCAUUGUGAUAAUUAUAAUAAACUGUUGUAUAUAGUUCUUCUACUUAUUUAAUAUGCUUGUAGUAGCUAAAUGUUUGAAGACAUCAAAGAAAUAAUUUUUUAGAGCAUGGUUCACUAAGCUUGUCCAGCAUAAAGCAAACAAUAAAAUUUUUAAACUAUUAUAUGUUUGGAUAAAUAAAACACAGCUAAAAGAUUAAAAUUAUCUAUAAAAUAUCAAAUUUUAUUUUUUAAUUUAAAUUAAGUAAAAUUUUAUUUAAACUUUUUAAUGAUAUAAAAUAAAAAAUAUAUUUAGAGUAAAAGAUAAAAAUUGAUUUUUUUAAUCUCGCUUUUCUGGUUGACAAAUUUAACCUUUUUGGCAUUAAAAUAUAUAGAAAGUAUUCUACGUGAAAUAACUUCAUUAGCAUGUAAUUUCUAUUUGCAUGCUUUGCCAAUUCAGCUCCUACUAAUUAGGAAUUUCAGUUAGAAUUGGAUAAAGGCGGGAAGCAUACUGACUUGGCUGUUUGCUAUAUUCUUUAAACUGAAUGACCAAAUUACCCCUAACUGAAUCACAACAAUGACGCUACUUGCAGUAAAUAACGUGCCAUCAACAGUGUCAAACUAGUCCAAACAACAUUAUUUAUAUUUUCCCCCUAUGGGUACCUGUCCGAACUGAAACCAAAAGGUUGUAACUUUCUCCGGGGUUAGGGUUUCAGAUUUCCCCCAGAAUUCUGGGCUAGCAAACUUUCUGGAUUCGGUCUUUUACUAUAGUUAUGGCGAUCGUGAGAGGCGAUGAGUUAGAAGGAGAUGAAAAAGGAAGUGGAGGAAUUGUGGACUCGUAUAUGUGAGAAGAGGAGAAGGUAAAGAUUCGAUGAUUUCUACUUCUGGUUCUUUUCCAUGAAAAUGUGUGACCUUGUUUUCUAUAUUUAACAUUUAAAUAAAGAAAAGUUUCUGGAAAUUUAUCUGUGGAGGGAAUCAUAUAUUUAUUUUGUUUGUAUUUUUCUUUGUUUCCGUUCUUUUGGAUAUUUUAAUUAAUGAUUAACAUGAAUCAAUCGUGUAAUUAAUGGUAUGAGGCUCGAUUGAUGGGAUUGAAAUGUGUUGAUUUGCAAGUAAAAAUCAAAUGUAUAAGAAAACAGAUUUGAAUUGAAAUAUCUUAACCCGAUAUUUGUUUGGAACUCAAGAAAACAGCAUAUAGAGAAUUGGUGGUUGCGAGAAAAGGAAUUAGAUAGAACACUGUUAUUCCGUCAUGAUUUAAACCACCCAACAUAGAACUAAUGAAUUCUUAAUUAUGUUAGCUAUUUCAGCUCAUCUAACUGCUUGUAACAACCUGUUCUUCACAAAUUAACGGAACCACCACUUCCUCUGGAUAUCAGUCAUGCGUAAAGAGUAGUUUUAUACCUGUUAUAGCAUAGGUCACAUUGCCUGGUAUUUUUUUUCUUAGUUUUUUUAACGGAAUCAGUCCGUUAAUAUGCUUAUAAUUGGUUUGCUUCUCUUUGGUCAUGCAGGUUUAUGAGGCAACAGGAUUCAUGUGAUAGUAAUUUAAUGCAUAGAUGUGCUGAUAGUUAUGAGAUUAUAUUUUGUAUAUGGUGGUAUCAGUUGUGUUCUUUAUAUUAGACGGGUUUGAGCAAAAUUAUUUUGCUUAAAAGGUUAAGAUGCUAUCUAUAUAUUUUUCAAGACUAAGAACUGCAGUACAGAAUGAAAUUCAGCGGUCGAUCUUACACAAAAAGGGUGGGCUCGAAGAUUUAACUGAAGUUCUAGUAGGCCAAGUGAAGAGUCGGUUUUACAGUUAUAGAUUAUUUCAUUAUGUACGAAUUGCGUCUCAUGUAGACGUUCAUGCACUUGUGAGGCCUUGUACAGUUUUUGCUGCACGUUCUGAUUCCCUAUUAGUUAAUCAUGGAAGCAAUAUCUCUGUUUUUGGAGCCCCUUCUCACACAUUUUCUGUAUCAUCUGUGUCAGGCCCAUCACUUCAAGUUUGUAGGUAUCAUACUGAUUGUGCCCUUUGUGAUACUAGUCAAAUAUCAGACAGUGGGAAGUUUCUGAAUAAGCAAAUGGCUGCUUGUACAUCCAGAGCUGAAAUUGUUGAAUGUUUCUGGGAGAAUCUAACUUCACGGGUUGGGCAUUCUCCAUUUUCAACCAACAGUGCCAGCAUCUCUUUUGGCCGUAGAAGUUCCCGGAGUUACAGAAAUGUCAUUAUGAGUUUGAAUAACAGAAAGCAACCCACCAACUCUCCUAUUUAUGGAUAUUUUAUCUAUAAUGUCAUGAAGAAAUGGUUUCCAUACAUAGAGACAGGAUCUAGAUAUUUCCAUAGCUCGUCCCCUUCAUAUUUGUCAGCUGGAACUGCCCCUGAUGUAACCUUUGAGAAUUCUGCCUGUGAGGAGCGACUUGAAAAUUCUUCUGUUUCCUCAGAACAGUAUGUUCUUCAUGUCCCCGUCAUUCCUUUAAUGAAUAUGCUUGGCUUAGAAAUAUGAAUUAUUGAAUUAUAUUUCACUUGUUCGAAGAACAGCUUCCUUUUUUUUUUCUUCUUUAAAAUCCAAUUGUACCGUAUGUGUGUAAGAUGGCUGGAUGCAACAUUAGAACUUCUAAAACUUAUCCUUGUUGUGCUGCCUGAAAUUGACUUCAGGAGGCAUUCUGCUGGCAAAAUGCUGAAGCUAAUAUCAGGAUCUUGCUACCUGCCCCAUCCUGAUAAAGAAGCAACUGGGGGAGAAGAUGCACAUUUUAUUUGUUCAGAUGAGCAAGCAAUUGGUUUGGCUGAUGGUGUUGGUGGUUGGGCUGAUCUUGGCAUUGAUGCAGGCCAGUAUUCUCGUGAACUCAUGUCAAAUUCAGUAACUGCCAUUCAAGAGGAACCCAAAGGUUUUGUUGACCCAGCUAGGGUCCUGGAGAAAGCUUACUCUAGCACGAAAGCCAAGGGUUCCUCGACAGCAUGUAUCAUAGCACUCACAGCAGAGGUAUGGCAUUUUAAUUUCGGUAUCUUUUUUUUUUCUUCUUUUUUCUUUUCCCUUUCUUUUUUUUUUUCUGUAUCUAGCAAAUGCUACAUUGCCAGUUGUUAGGAUGAAUAGCUUUUUAACUGUAUGCGACUCUCAAUUAUUUUCACAUUUCACAGACAGGCUUACCUCUAAAUUUACCAUAAUGGAUAUGGGUUGAGGUGUCCUGAUGAACUUGAUAGGAAACUUGAUUACUUCCUGCCUUGUUGAUAUUUUAACUUUCUUCUUUUGAGUGGAUCUCACUUUCAAUUUCAUUUGUCUACUUAUGGCGACUGCCACUUCAUACUUCCACAUAGAGGCUUUUGGUUUCAAUUUCUUGAAACAAGAUAUUAUUACUGACUUAUUGCAAAAAAUAUUUGAUGGUUUCUUAGGGUCUUCAUGCAAUCAAUUUAGGGGACAGUGGUUUUUUAAUAAUUCGAGAUGGAUGCACUGUAUUACGCUCUCCUGUGCAGCAGCAUGAUUUUAAUUUCACUUAUCAACUUGGGAGCAGAAACGAUGGCGAUCUACCUAGCUCUGGUCAGGUUAGUUUGUGCAUGUUCUUGUUGUGCUCUCCUCAAUGCUCUAUAUAUAGGAAAUUUUUGCCUAGAGCAUGUCUUCGUGAAACCGUGGUGUGAGAGUGAGAUCCAUAUGAAACUUUAUACAUUUACACAAAGGGUCCAUGUAGACCCGGUCUAUGCUUUGAAACAGAGGUAGUCAAAUGCAAGCACAAGAUUUGGGAUUCUUCAUUAUAAUGACUUCAAUUUUAUGGAAUGAUUAAAUAAGUGAAGCCGUUUGUUUCAGGUUUUCACAAUUCCUGUUGCUCCUGGAGAUGUUAUAGUUGCUGGAACAGAUGGUUUGUUUGACAACUUGUACAACAACGAAAUUACUGCAGUGGUGGUUCACGCCACAAGAACUGGCUUAGGGCCUCAAGUGACAGCUCAGAAAAUAGCUGCAUUGGCACGCCAACGGGCACAAGAUAAAGACAGGCAGACCCCGUUCUCUACAGCUGCCCAAGAUGCUGGAUUUCGCUAUUAUGGUGGCAAGCUUGAUGACAUUACUGUUGUUGUUUCGUAUAUUACCAGCUCUGACGAGAGAUGACGACUCCUCUCACACAUGUAUAAACUUGCUAUUCUUUAAAAUUUACUGUUUUUCCUUUCCUGAAUGCAACUCUAAUUUUCUUUGUCGGCAUUAUAGCUCAAGAUUAACGGCUUAGCGUCGUUGGCAAUUAGCUGUCAGAGAAAUAUGUACAGCAUAUGAUCCUAUUCACUUAAAAUUCAAUGUUGUAAGUUCAUUAUUAUCCAUCACUCCCAUCUACAAAAGACUUGCUUUGUUUGUUUGUAUAUAUUAGUAACUGCCAAAUGCAUUCUGUGUUAUGACAUUUUCUCAAAAAGUCAUUUUUUUCAUUCACAUGAUACACAAAAAGAGCAUAACAACGAGAUAUAACCUUCUCCUUUAUAAUCAUAAAAUAGCUUUCUCUAGAUAAAUGCUUCACUCACUUUCUAUCCCUCAAAAAUAGAAUUAUCUUCAGAUUGGCUCUUAAAAUAUCAAUUCAUAUCUUUAAUUUUAAGUUUUAUUCACUCUUUAUAUUUUAAAUUAUGUAAUUUAAUCUUUUAAAAUUUAAAUUAGUUAUAUCCAUAGUUGAAUAUUUAUUGGGCGAGUGAAAUUCAUUAAAUAUAUUUGAUUUGAGAGAAAAAAAUAUUCAAUUGAUCUUUCUUUGGUAUUUUUCCUCUUUUCUAAGGAUUUUAAUUUUUAUGGAAAACAACUAGAAAAUUAUUCACUAGUGCAUCAUAUUUCGUCACUCAGCAGUUUAUAAGUUUUAGAUGCAAAUCUGUAAAUUAAUUUUUGGCAAAAAAAAAAUUAAAAAAUUAAAUGAAUAAAAUGACUUGAGAUAAAGUAUCUCCAUUGUCUAUUAGUAAUAUUAAUGAUGCUACUUCUGUCCUUAGUAACAUGGAUGUCUUUUAUGAUGCUUCGUCUUGUGAAUGUUAAUAUUAUUCCGCUAGAAAUUAUGCAGGAACACCAUGGUGUGGCAUCGUAGUUCUUUGAGCUUAAAGUUCCGUCUACGGGUUGUUGCCUUUUUUACAAUCAAAGCACAGCUGAUGUAAAUAUUAUUCCCACGCAGCUAACCACUAAAAUAACUACUUUAUUCAACCACGCAAGUCUCUCGUGAGCUUGUGUUGCUAUGAAGCUCUAGAAAGAAUAAUAUUUUCACUAAAAAUUUUUAGAUGAUUCUAAUUUAUAUAUAUUUAAAAAAUAUUAAAGUUAGUUUUAUUUAUUUUUUUAUAAAAAAAACUCAUUUGUCCACAUAAAUAUUUUUAAAUUUUGAUUUUUUUUAGGUGAAAGACUCUAUUUCGACUUUUGAUCUUGCAUUUAAUUUACGUGAACAGCGUUCGUCGCGUCACUUCGAAAACUGUCACGGGGCCGUGCAGCCCUUUCACGGCAAUUACAGACUGUCAUCUUAACCGAUGACUGUCUACCAACGGACCCAAAGCGACGUUGCAUCACCAAAUAUCCGAGUUAACGGGUCGCCAAGUCAUUUGAUUCUUAGAUCCUCUUCCAGCCAAAAUUUUAGCCAAAGCGCCUAACUAAUUUCUUUUGGAAUUUCAUUCAUUUACCUUAUCCAAUAUCCAAACGCACAUUCACAGAUCUCUUUCAGACUCUCACUCGACCACAUCAGCCUUAGGGGGCCUUCUGUAUUUCCCCUUUCAAAAUCUUCUCCAUUGUUUGUUUGCACUCUUCUUCACCUCCUCAACUCUCCAAUUUUCAACUUUUCAGAUGCUCAAAUCUCAAAAUCUCUGCUAGUUUGGCUUCAACAACCAAUACCCAUUCCCCUUUUCUGCAGUUCCAAGCUCACUCAUCUAUGGUGAGUUUUCCCGCCAAUUUUCCCUUUUGAAUUGGUCUCCUCAAAGGCAUUGGUGGCUUGUAACAUCGAAGAGGUUCUCUAAAGAAAGAUUCUUCUUAGGUAUGAAUAGUCCUUGUAGAAACUCAUCGGAUGUUGAUUUCAACGAUGUGUUUGGUGGCCCUCCAAGGCGGCUAUCAAUUCAGGAGGUGCGGCGCAGUUGUGGUGAAAGUGGAGAUUCGUAUGCGUUAAGAAGUGAUGAGGAAACAAGCUUAUCUCGUUCUGGGUGGUCAGGUCUGAGUGAGAAGCCGGUGUUUGGAGAGGGAGGAGUUAGUAGAAGGCGAUAUCCAAAUGAUGAUUUCUUUGAUGAUAUUUUUACAGCUUAUUCUCCGACUAAGAGCAGUCGAGAUCCAUUUUCUUCUGCUCCAGGUUCGAGAGUUUUAAGCCCUGUUCAUCCCCUGCCACUAACUGCUGAGCACUCUGCGAGUUCAUCACAGGCAACACAAUUCAGGUUUUGGGUUUAAUUCUACAUAUUUUUUGCUUAUUACUACAGCUUAGAGCUUGCAGCUUAAUUUACCAGAUUGUUCCAAUCAUUUGGCUAGCUGUUCACUGGGGAAUAUACAAUACACAUCAAGAAUGUUUCUGUUUUCUACAUGCUGUCUGGUGUUGUUCUUUGGUAAUCGCCGAAUUAUUUGGCAACUGAAAAUGUCCUAACUUUCCUUGAUUACUAAAUGUUCUAAUUACUUUCCAUAUUAUUAUGGAUCAAUUCAGCGGAUUUUUGCAUGAAUUCGCAAAGGCUUAUAUCAACCUUUUUGCUAAUUUUUGCAGCCUCCCUGCCAAAGGGACUGACUUGCCAACUUUUGGGUCCUGUUCCCGUAAUUAUCACAGAAAUAAGGAUGCUACUUCAACUGGUAUAAGCUUUCGUUCAUAUUCUACCCUAUCUAGACUUUCAAGCAAAGCAAAUCAAGCUCAGGGGGAGUCGGGAAAUGAUGUUUAUUUUCAGAGCUCUUUAUUGCAGGAACAAUCUCUUAGCAAGGAAGAGUCAUCAAACAUUGUGAAACCUAAUGAAAUGGCCAAAGGCAAUGAUUUUAAAAUGGAUUCAAAGAGUUCUGAAGGUCCAAAUAUUAGCAACCAGUUUCACUUCUCAAUUUACAAAUGGGCAAGCAAAGGGAUACCCCUACCAUUGCCUCUUGCAGGAGGAAAUAGUUCAAAAUGGAAAGAGAAGUUUAAAUUUGAGAGGAGCUCAAGUGCUUCUGGACGGAUAGCAUGUGAAGGUAUGGCAACGGAAUCACCGACAGUGAUCGCGGAGGAUACUGGUUGCCCCUCAUUCAAUAUUAGCAUAUCGUCAGAUGCUAAGUCCUCUGAGGUUGAACUUGAUCAAAAUGAAAAUGGCUCCCUUUUCAAUAGAAGCACUAAUAGAAAAUUAGGAGGGCUGAAUUCUGACAAGGCAAUUCCGACCGAGUCUGAAAUCCCAUGCACUCAUCAAGAAGAUGGCCCUGAUAAUAUUAUCUUUCAGAAUUCAUAUAAAGAAACAAAACCUCAUUUUGUUCUUGGUACAGGCUUCUCUGGAAAAGUAGAGAAGAAAAAUUCUGUGGCCACACAAGAAGCACUGCGUUCCCCGUUGAUAGGUAAUGAUUAUGAAAGACGCCAAUUGGGUUGUAGAUCAGGAGCAUUGCUUCCCAUUUAGACUCUCAAUGGUACAUUAAUUACUUGUGCAGGAACCGAUGAGAUUACUACCCAAAAUGAAUUGAAGGAAGACGAGGUGAAAAGCAUCAAAAGAUUAGUAGCAUUAUUUGAUUUUAGUGAAAAAAUAGAGAAAAAAGAUGGAAAUGUAUUGCAUAGUGAAAAAAUGGAUAAAACAAACUUGCGAGGUUCACCCACAAAUUCUCUUGCAAAGAGUAGAGGUAAGGGAAAGGUCAGGGAAUUUGUUAAAAUUUUUAACCAGGCAGCUUCAAACAACUCCAAAUUCUGUGUGGAUUCUCAAUCUCAGAGCUCUAGAUGGAAUGACAGAGGCAAAUUUAAGACAGAAGAUGAUGUAGAUUUUACCUCAACUCGACUAAAAGAGAAAAUGCACUUGCCUAAUGUGAACAAGAACAAUACACUCGAUCCCUGCAUUGUGGUACUCGGCUUAAGUUGACUUCAGUUUGGCUUGCUCUUGCAUUGACAAUUCAUACAAAAGAUAAUGUUCUGAAUGCCAAAAAAUUCAAGGAAGUUCUGAAUGAAUUAUAUGCUUCAGGUAGAUGAGUUUCUUAUGCGGUUAGAGAAACAACAUUCUGAGACGAGGAACAGCAACCAUAAGUCCACCGCGAUCUCUCCUGGACUUAAGGAUAGGUCAGCAUCAACUGCAGGUAUGUUGAACUUAAUUUUAAAUGGUGUUAUGACAAACGCACAAGGAGCACCGAUGCACUCAAUCACAAUAAUAGAGAAAGAGACACGAGAAAUCUAAUGUGAUUUGACUGUAAGGUUUACCGGAGAUAAAGUCCCAAUCCAAAAAGAGUAUACAAUCUCUUAGAACUCUCAAUACCCUAGUAUAUUUUCCCAAAUCUCACAUAAUACAUGAAAAGUAAGUGAUACAAUCUUUUGGACCUAUCAGCCAUUGCCCUCAGAUUCCUCAUAUUACCGAUAUAUAUAGAUAAAAAUCACAUCUCAUUUUUUCAUACAGUAUCAUAUACUGUUCAAGUCUUUUCUGCAUGUGGCUGUUCAGAUAUAUUUUUAUGUAAUAGAUUGAAGUGUUGUUCUCAGGACCAAUCCCUGAUGGCUCGGAAGCAAUAGCUGGAGAUCCAGAUGAUUCCUUCCAAGGAAAUAUCCUGGUACACAAUCAUAUCUAGUUUCACUUUUCAAUUGCAUAUUAACUUGAAGGAUUUUUCUUUUUGACAUCUCAAAUUCUCAACUUAAAUGUUCCAAAUAUAAAUAACUAAAACAUGUGAUUUUCCUGCUAAUGAGGUAUGUAUUCUGUUAACUCCUUUAGAUAGGUUGCAGCUUCUAACAAACAAGUUUAAACUUUUCUUAUGAGCAGAUUAAAGAAUUAUCUCAGGGUGAAGAUGAACUGCCACAAGCUGGUGAUAUCCAAGUAAUGUGGAGUAUUCUCUAAUGCAUGCUUAUCAAUUCUUUGGUUACAGUAGGAAAUGCUAACGGAUCUCAUUUAUUGAAGUUCAUUAAUGAUAAAAUUUGGAAAUGGUCAAAUGGAAGGGAAGGGAACAUCCGCUCCCUGCUCUCAACUUUACAAUAUGUGAGUUUAGCAUCCAACCCUAUCCAUUUGAAUGACAAAUUUCAAUACACAAGUGCAUAUUUCUUUUCAUCUUCAGUAUUUUACAUUGAAUUUACUGUUUUCAAAUAGAUUAGUUUUUUCCUACUCUAUGUUUUAAGCCAUAUUUUUCAGGCUCCGACCAAUUUAAUGAAUUUUAAAAUUGACGUUGAGAUUGAUUACACCAGAUUCUUUGGCCUGAAAGUGGGUGGAAGCCUGUGCCUCUUGUUGAUAUAAUUGAAGGAAAUGCAGUGAAGAGAUCAUAUCAGAAGGCCUUACUCUUUUUACACCCAGAUAAACUACAGCAGAAAGGUGCCACAUCACAUCAAAAAUACAUAGCAGAGAAAGUUUUUGAUAUUCUGCAGGUAAUUCUUUUUUUCCUCCAGGAAUUCAAACACUAAUAUACUAUUUAGACAAUGUAGUACUUACAAAAUCCCCUACGUUUUUUGGAGAAAUUUUAUAAUACAAUAAUUGUAGUAGAAUUAACAAAGGCUCGCUCUUGCACAGGAAGCAUGGACCCAUUUCAACUCACUUGGUUCAGUGUGAGCAAUGAAUUCUCAAGUAUGAAUCAAUAGGGUUCACAUGAUACGCUAAUAUGGUAGCGAGAAAACUACGUUUUGGACUGUACGUAGGUAGUUUGUGUGGUAUGCUGCUAUGUAUUGGACAUACCUGCUUGGUUCCUAUAGCGCAUUGAAUGUUGCCAAGCUCCAAUUUAGAUUUUCUUUUUUAAAUAUGUACAUAUUUUUUAUUUUUACUUGAAAAGUCACUUCAAAUUCUUAUUUUAGUCUCUAUACUGUGGUUGGUAUUUUGAUUUUAAAAAAUAUAUUAAAAAUAUUAUUAAUAUUUUAAAAAAAAAAUUAAUUCCCCGACGCCCUAAAAAAGAAAUAGAAAUAAGGAAGAGAAAAUCUUCCAUCAUCUCCAUCUUUUUACUUUUUAAUAGGCAUUCUUAGCCACAUGGGAUGCCUUUGAACUUCCACCUUCUAUGUUCCUGAGGGUGAAUUCUUUAUAGGUCCAAUCUCAUUCUCUGAUCCUUGUUACAACAACCAGUCCCUGGAAGUGAAGAUUGAAGGGACUUUGAUAGCUCUAAGUAGCUUGAACGACUUUCCUCAUUCUAAUUGGAUCGAUUUCAAACAAUUGAAUGGAAUCGUUCUCUACGGCGACAAUGGAGUGGCAAAUUUCGAUGCGCAGGGAGCUGUUCAAUGGGAUGCAAAAAACUGAUUACAGUGAGUUGUAAUUUCUUCAUGCUCCAUUAUCAAAAUUAUUUAUUAUUAAAAAAAAUAUUUUUGUUUUUCAAAUAGAAAUGGAAUUAGAGUGAAGAACGGGAGAUCUUAAAAAUUUAUUCAAAUAUAUUUAUCAUGAAAUUAAAUAUAUGAAUAUAAAAAAAUAAUAUAUUAUUAAAUAUACAUUUAUAUCUAAAUUUGUGAUUUUUUAUAUUUUUUAGUUAAAAUUUCAUCAAUCCAAAAAUAAAUAUGGUAAAUUAUUAAAUUCUUUUUAUUAGAAUUUGAGAAUUACUAAUUACAAUAAACUAUUAACUUAAAUUAAAUAUUUACAUCAAAAUCCAUGUCAAAAUUAAUUAAAAUGUGUACGUAAUUGAAAUAAUAAGCAACAAAUUUCAACGCAAUAAUAAUUUAUUUACAAAUUAUUAGAUUCUUAUAAAAGCUUGAGCUUACUAUAAUUACACAUAUAAAAUUAAUUAUUUACAUUUCAAACUAUAAAUCUUAAUUAUUAAUUAUAACAAACUAAAAAAUUAAAUAAUAAUUUUUAAAAUGAUUUUAUUUAGAUUUUUUUUUAAGAAAUUAAAGGGUUUAUAUGUUUUUAUUUGCUCCAUUUAAAAAAAAAUUAUAAUUUUUAUUUUGAUUUAUUUUAAUAAUUGAAGGUUUUAUUUAGAUUAAAAUAAAAACUUUAAAGACUUAUAUAAUUAUUAGGUUAAAAUAUAAAUAAAAUUAAAUUGAAUCAAACCCAUUAAUUUGGUUCGGUUUGAUUUGAUUUGUAUACUUUUUCUUUGUGGGCGAAAUCACAUCUAGCAUGGCAGAGGAUGCCUUCCCCUGAGGUAAAGCAGUCCCAAAAGCUAGAAACUAGUGUUACAGCCACACACACUCGCAGGGAAUUUCAAUUUCCUCUCGGGAUUCUCCUUUCAAAAAUUUUCUUCUUUGUUCUUUUCUGCCAGAGAUGAGUGAGUGUUUCAGAAUCAACUAGGCCCUCUUUGUUCCUUUUUUCUUUUAGCUCCCAUUAUUGCUUUCAACUUGGUUUCUGUUUUAAUAUUGCUCCAUGGGCUCUAAUGGCUGCUGUUCCCUCUAAAUCUGUGAGUUCUUCUACUCUGCUUUUCUUUUCUUUUUGUUCUUUAAGUCCUCUCUUUUGUGCUCUCUGAUUUCCUUUUUUUGUUUGCAUUCAGCACUUUAUCCAUUUUUUAGUUUCAUUAGCUUGAAAAUAGUAUGUUUGGCUCCUGGGAAAUUGCAAGCGAAAGUAAAAAGCCAAAACUGACUUCUUCUUCUUUUUCCUACUGGUUCCCUUUUCAUUAUCUCUUUUGGGUUCUUGUGAUUUUCAACUUUUCAGCUAAAAUGAACAAUUCUUUAGUGUUGUCUUUCUCACAAUUACUGGCUAGCACCUACUUGAUCUAUUACAUUUUUUUGGCGUUUCACUCCAAUGGUUUCGGCUAGAUCUGAGGUCAUUCUGGUCAUAUUAUAAAUCUAGAGUUGCUACUGUUUUUCUCAACUUCCCAAUGAGAGUUUUCCUUGGGAUUUUGAAGGCAACGUGCAAUCCAGAUUAUCUGAGGAUUAAUAUUCUUGCAUAUAGUAUUUAAAUGGAAAAUGCAAAACUUUAUUGUCGAAGUUUUGGUGUUAAAGCAACUGAAUUUCAUUAAUUUUCCUUCUUCAGCGGCUCCUAAAUUAAGAAGACUGGAUAAUUAUGGAACAUUAAUGCUUAGAAUAUUUAGAUGUAUUUAUAAUACUCUGUUCUAUCACUUGGGAUGACUCAUCGGUUAGUUUUAUGCUCUAUUAGUUUCUGUUGAACCUUAGAGUUCAUCAGAAUUUCCCACCAAAAUACUUUAAUUUUAAGGUUUUGUUUUUAUUUUGGCUUGUCAUUCUUUGCUUGUUUGCCAACUCCCAACUAGUUGGAAUAAGAAUUUGUUAAAGUUUUGACUUGACUCUUUCAUAUCUCUCUCUACCCAGCUGACGUAAUUGGCCUUUAACUAGUUUUCUCUAAUUAUUUAGAAUACAUUUGAGUGCUAUUAUUAAUGGUUUGUAACGUGUUCACAAGUAUGCAGAUUCUCCUUUUUAUUUAAAUUUUAUUAUAUGAGAAAAACAAAAAGCCGUGGAACACCCUACUUGAAGAUGUGAAGUUCAUUGUGGUUUUGUGGGCUCUUCCUGAUGAUAUCCUCGCCCUUAUAUCAUUGUGCUUGAAUUAGACUAUCUGUGUAUUGGGAUCAUGCACUUAAGUAGAUGGGUAGAAAGAUGCUGGAUGUUCAAGGAGAUACAGAAGACAUAUUUGCUUAAUAGAAAAAAUAAUUUCCUGAGUGGGAUAUGGUGUUCCGAUGAUAUAUAUAUACAGUACAAUGAUAGGAUUUGAUUCCAAGGUUCUUUGCUUACUCUAUGGUAACCCAUACUUCACAUGAAUUAGGUUGAUGUUCACUUGGAAACUGGAAUUUAUGCAGACAAACCUUUAAAGCAGCAGCAUCAUGCCAAGAGGUGGACACUACUUUAGGCACAAUCAUUUGAGGAGAAAUUUUGUAGAUUGAUUGCUAGUUGGUAAGAGCAUGUUUCACUGGCUUAUCUAGCAAAAAAAAUCAUAUUAUAUGCGAGUCCCUUGUCUUGAAUGCUUCUCCUGGAUAGCAUGCUCUGAGGUCUUCACUAAAGCCUGACGAUCAUUUGUUCAUUUUCAUUCUUCUCUUUGAACACAAGCUAUUAGAUUAUCCGGAAAAAAAAUUCACUUGUUUCAAUUGCAAAAUUCUCCUACGAAGCUAGCCAUCAUCUUCUUGCUGUAGGUUUGCCUUCAUGUCUGCAGUUUCUCCUAUCCCAUCUCUUCUUUUUUUUCUUUUUCGGUAUAAUCUCACCUCUGCUUGUUUCUACAUUUUUCCAUUCUUCUAAUUCAGUAUUUUAUUUCAAGAAAAUUUUGACAUUUUGGUUUGAACCUCUAUAUCUUAUACAAUUUUCUUUCAAGAGAAAUUUGUUGUAUGGACUCCAUAGUUGCAACUGUAGUUUUCUACAUGUUGGAACAAUGAACUUCCAUAUCAAGAUUCCAAUCAUUUAGCUAAGUAACUUAAUGAAUUUUGUCAUGAAUCACUCAUUUAACAAAAGAAAUCUUAUGUGAUAAAAAUUUGUUGAAUUAUGAAACCUUUCAAAUUCCAUGACAAUUGCUAUUGCAUGUGGUCAAUAAUGAUAUGUUUCUAAGCCUUUUUCCUUUUUUCUUUUCCUUUUUUAAAAAAAAAAAAAAUCCCAAGUAUUUCAUGCUUUAAUGGGCUAGUUCUUUAUAUUUUACCACAGGUUGAGGAAAGGCUUUAAUUGAAUUCUGACCUUCCCCUAAAGGAAAUAUGAAAUUUGGUUCCAUUGUGCCCUCUCGUUUGAAAGGGAAAUCAGCCACCCGCUUCUCUUUGUUUCCCAAACCACGGUCAACUAGCUAUGGUCCAGGAAGUGCACCAGUUUAUCUCAAUGUGUAUGACUUGACACCCAUGAAUGGCUACGUCUAUUGGGCAGGCCUUGGUAUCUUUCAUUCUGGUGUGGAAGGUAAUAUUUGCACACUAUUAUUUCCAUGCAUGCACUGUAAUUGUGUGCCUCAGAUAUGAGCUAAUUUGGAGCAACAGUAUAUUAAUAAUGAAUAGAAAGGGUUAAUAAAAAGGAAAGCGGGCAGUGGGAAGGUAGGAAAAAGAAAAGUCUUCAACAAUAUGCUUCAAAAGAGGAAUUAAAAAAAUUAAAAGGAAAAAAAACAUGAUUGAAAAUGAGAGGUAAGAUGCAGAAAUGGCAUCUAGAAAAUGAUUUAGCAGCUCUAAGGCUUUCUAUAAUAGGUGUUGUCUUGAACCAAUUAAAGUGGAUGAAAAUGAUCCAAAUAGCUGAGUUCAACUGUAUUGUGACCAUUAGUUUGAGUAAACUAAUGUGAUAAACAUCAGUGUUUGUGACUUUUGUUGCAAAAUUUUUCACUUUUCUCUAUAUUGAUAACAGUAUAUGGAUAACUAGAAAUGCAUCUCCAUAUUUUUCUUUCUUCUUUUUCUUUUUUUUGCUUUACAGUAGGAAAAACAUUUUCUCUGCUACUAUUCCCUCUUAUGAAAGCAUGCUAAAAGUAAAAUGAAUAGGUAGAUCUUCUCCCACUCCUUUCCUCAUACCUUUUCUAUCCAGAAUCUGUAUCAGGCCAAGUCCAAAUACAAUAAAUGGGACGUUUAAAUUUAUUUGAUGGUUUCCUAAAUCCUAAUACAUUCAUUAAAUCACACAAAUAGUAUUCCAAAAAUGGAGGGUUGAUAACCUUGUUAAUUUUCGUGUUUAUUUGGCUCACUUUUAAGUCGAGUUCAGACUUUCUGAUUGCCUAACCUCUACCAUGCAGUUCAUGGUGUAGAAUAUGCAUUUGGAGCACAUGACUACCCGACAAGUGGUGUUUUUGAGGUGGAACCUCGUCAAUGUCCAGGCUUCAAGUUCAGGAAAUCAAUAUUCAUUGGGACCACAUGCUUGGAUCCAAUUCAGGUCCGAGAUGUCAUGGAACGGCUUGCUGCCAGCUACCAUGGUGAUACAUAUCACUUGAUUGUUAAAAAUUGCAACCAUUUCUGCAAAGACAUCUGUUACAAGUUAACAGGGAAACCAAUUCCAAAAUGGGUAAAUCGUCUAGCAAAAAUAGGUACUUAUCAUAUAACCCAUUGUCCAAGUUUUGACAAUAUUUGAAACAUUGUUUGCACAAUAGGAAGUUUUCUUGCUAUAAUAUUUGGAUUCACCUCAUGCUUCUUUGGAUUUUCAUUAUUACGAGGGAAUUACCGCAGCAUCCCUAGUUCACAACUUAAGGGUAUUCUUAUUAUAGAGCGUUCAUUUUGUGGUCUCCGCUCUCCAAUGAGCUGGAGUAUCCAAAUUUGUACAAUUUGUUGUCUUGCUCAUGUAUGAAUUGGUCCCACUAGCAAGUUCAGAAAAUAAAAAGGAAAAUUGCUAUUUAGUCCCUAGGUAUGGGAAACUCACUAGUGUUGGUCUUUGGUUUUGAAAAAUGUAUCGAAACAUUCUUGACAUUUUAAAAAGUUUACUAGUUAGUCUCUCUGUUAAUUUUAUCGUUAAUUAUUUUACUAUUAAGUUCCUAUGAUUUUGAAAAUUUUAUUAGUUAGUCUCUUAGAUUUUUUAAAAAAGAUAGAUUUACAAUUUAGUCUCUAGGUAUUACCAUUAUUAACAAGUCAGUCCCUGUAUUUUUAGAAACCUAUUAAAACGUCCUUAUGUUUUCUUUCCAUCAACAAAAUAGUCCUUCCGUCCUCUUUUCCGUUAAAAUUAGAUAAAAGAGGAGAGAGAAAAUUUUCAAAAUCCAAUUUUACCCUCAAAUAAAAUCAUUUAUUUAGUCCUUGGAUAUUGUUAUUAUUAACAAGUUAGUCCUUACAUUUUCAAAAAUCUAUUAAAACAUUUUUAUCUUUUUUCAUAUCUAUUAAAAUGUCCUUAUCGUUUCUUUCCGUCAAUAAAAUAGUCCCUAUCUUUUCUUAUAUAUAUCAAAAAGUCCUUAUCGUUUCUUUCCGUCAACGAAAUAGUCCUUCCUCAUCGUUUCUUUCAUUCAACGAAAUCCUCCCUCCCUAUAUUUUUAGAAAUCUAUUAAAACGUCCUUACCAUUUCUUUUUGUCAACAAAAUAGUUCCUAUCUUUUCUCACAUCUAUUAAAACGUCCUUAUCGUUUCUUUUUGUCAACAAAAUAGUCCCUAUCUUUUCUUUCCUCCUCCUCCUCCUCCUCCUCCUCCUCCUCCAAAAAAGAAGAAGAAGAAGAAGAAGAAGGAGAAGAAGAANNNNNNNNNNNNNNNNNNNNNNNNNNNNNNNNNNNNNNNNNNNNNNNNNNNNNNNNNNNNNNNNNNNNNNNNNNNNNNNNNNNNNNNNNNNNNNNNNNNNNNNNNNNNNNNNNNNNNNNNNNNNNNNNNNNNNNNNNNNNGAAGAAAAAAAAAAAAGAAGAAAAAGAAGAAGAAGAAGAAGGAGAAGAAGAAGAAGAAGAAAAAGAAGCAAAAGAAGCAGAAGGAGGAGAAGAAGCAGAAGAAGAAGAAGAAGAAGAAGAAGAAGAAGAAGAAGAAGCAGAAGCAAAAGAAGAAGCAGAAGUAGGAGGAAGAAUUGAUGAAGAAGAAAAGGAAGGAGGAAGAGGAGGAGGAGGAGAAAAAUAAUGGAGGGUAAUUUAGUCUUUUACUGUAUUUUUAACGGCAAAAAUAGACGGAAUGACUAUUUUGUUGACGGAGAGAAAAGAUAAGGACGUUUUAAUAGGUUUCUAAAAAUACAGGGACUGACUUGUUAAUAAUGGUAAUACUCAGGGACUAAAUUGUAAACCCUUUAAAAAAUUUACUAAUUAGUCCCUCUGUAUUAGGAAUAUUUUAGAUUUUUUUGCAAUGCUUAACGGAGGGACUAAUUAGUAGACUUUUUAAAACAUCAGAAAUGUUUUAAUGUAUUUUUCAAAAUCGAUAGACUAAUUAGUGAGUUUUUCCAUGUCAUAAAGAUUAAAUAUUAAUUUUUCCAAAAUAAAAUUUUUAGAAUCUCACUAUUCAUCUGUUAUCCUUCCCAAUAACUUCUAAUGUAGCGGCUGGCAGCUACUUCCCUUUCGUAGAUCAUAUGUCAAUCCAUGUUUACGCCUCUUAAAUGUUCAUGAUACUUGUGUUGAUUAUUUUUUUCCCCAUAUCUUUAAUCGCCUUGUCAAUUGUCAUAGGCUCAAUAUGCAACUGUAUACUUCCUGAAUCUCUCAAGAUAUCUGCUGUGCGGCAUGAUCCUGAUGGCCAAUCUUACAAUAAUGGAAGGAAAAGGUUGAGAAGUGCUUUCAGCUUCCUGUCUUCAAUCUCGAUGCGACAAAAGCAGCUGUCAACUUCUUCAAUGUUUCUACAAUCACCCUUGAAAGGCUGCUUACCAUGGGAGCUGAGAAGGUCCAUCAAUGGUUCCUUCAAAGAAAGAUGAAAGAAUGUGUGGAGAGUUUCAUGAGGGCAGUGGCUGAAAUGAUGGUUUUUGUAUCUCAUGAUUGUGUUACUAGUCUGGUGUGAAAAUGAUUGAGAUGCUAAUCAAGUUCUUCUUAUGCAGUGAAGAAGCUUGCCAGAUGAAGCCAGCGCCCUCAUUUGAGUGUUAAAAAGCUGUGCUGGAUAUUAUUAUUAGUUAAUGUUUUGACAUAUUUGUCUGUAGAAAUCCGUUGGCUCAUUCAUGCUGGUGUGACUGAUCAUUUGUUUGUAGAUAUAACUGCAUUUUAUGCUUGUUUAAAGAGAGAAUUCUUGAGAUUGAAAGUCAAUUUUCAUUUCUACGAUCAUUCCAUGAAACCACUAGGGCCAUAUCGCACUUGAUUUGUUGCUAUGGUGAGGGUUUUUUUCCCCUCAAAGUCAAAAUUGCUAUGGCAAGUAACUAAUCGGUAAAUUACUAUUUAAUCUUUAAUUUUUUUAUUAUUAACAUUUAGACCUUAAUUUUAGAUUUACUAUAUGGAUUGUUAGGAUUUAAAAGUAAACUACAGUUUCAUCCUUAAAAAGUGCAACUAUUUAUUAUUUUAUCCUUCGAUUUUGCAAUCAAUUACAAUUUCAUUCCUUGGCUUCAUCUAUAUUAUUUUCCUCUCUUUCUCUCUCUCUCUCUCUCUGCCUUUUUUUCUCAUUUAAGAGGAAAUAGAGGUCAUAAGAAAAACUAUGAAUGAAAUUGUGGAUAAUUGUAAAACUAAAUAUGAAGUUGUAAAUGAUUAUAAUGUUUAUAGAGCAAGUCUUGUUUUUUUCUUCAGGAAAUAGCUUGCGUAGAAAAUAUUUUCAUGAUGGAAAGGUAUCUUUAGGGAAAUAAUUACUGUGAAAAUUAUUCUCAACCAAUGUUUAGUUGCAUGUUUAAAAAAUAAACAAUUUUAAUAAAUCUAUAUAUAAAAAGUAUGUUGAUAUUAAUAAAAUUCUCAAAAAUCUAAAAAUAAUUUCUUCUUUUAAAAUAAAAAGUUAUUAAAAAUAACUAAUUUUUUAUUAUAUCAAGAAUAUAUUUUUAUUGACUAUUUUUUCUGCAAACGUCAAAAAUAUAUAUAAAAAGUAUUCAUAAAAAAAUAGAACAUUAGUAAUUUAUAUACUAACGGCAACAUGAAUAAAAGGUUUAAAAUAGCUGGCAAAAGCAAAAUUAAAAGCAACAUGUAGCCUAAAAUAGUUUAAAUUCAGAUGACAAAACAUGUGGACUAAAUAAUAAUUUUCCAUGCAUGAAGAACUCAUUCUCUGGAACUUGAAUCCCAAAUAGUCUUCGAACCCACACCAUUUACCAUUUAAAAAAAAUUGAGGAUUAGAGAAAUUAUAAAUCUUGAAUCGUAGAAGUUGAGUUUUGGGGUGUGACGCAUCUAGACGUAGCCAACAGAGAGCACAAACUAAAAAUGUUGGCCUCCAUAUGAAAAUUCAUUUAACAGUGCCUACUAAAUUUGCUGAAUCAUUUGAAAAAAANNNNNNNNNNNNNNNNNNNNNNNNNNNNNNNNNNNNNNNNNNNNNNNNNNNNNNNNNNNNNNNNNNNNNNNNNNNNNNNNNNNNNNNNNNNNNNNNNNNNNNNNNNNNNNNNNNNNNNNNNNNNNNNNNNNNNNNNNNNNNNNNNNNNNNNNNNNNNNNNNNNNNNNNNNNNNNNNNNNNNNNNNNNNNNNNNNNNNNNNNNNNNNNNNNNNNNNNNNNNNNNNNNNNNNNNNNNNNNNNNNNNNNNNNNNNNNNNNNNNNNNNNNNNNNNNNNNNNNNNNNNNNNNNNNNNNNNNNNNNNNNNNNNNNNNNNNNNNNNNNNNNNNNNNNNNNNNNNNNNNNNNNNNNNNNNNNNNNNNNNNNCUUUUAAAAUGAUUUAAAAAAAAAAAAAGUUAAAAGAAAUAGAAUUCUUGUUUGUAUUCUAAUUAAGAUAAUUGAUAAAAAAAAAAAUUCAAUUGAAUUGAAUUUUUGUAAAAUUUUUUAUUCCAAAUAAGGAGAUAAAAUCCCGAGCAACUCUUAAAUCUGAUGCUCAAGAAAGAUCCACCAUCACAUUUAAGAAAUGUACUCAAUGGCCACAACUCCCAUUCUGGGAAUUUACAAGACAAUAAUGGCAUAUCAUCAUCAUUUGUUAGCAACAUGGGUAGAGAACCACCCCACGUUUUGGCUAUCAUUUUAUGGAAAUACCCAAAGAAACUAAGAAGCUCAACUGAGACUAGAUAUCAUUUGGAAGCAAGUCCAUGAAAUUAUCAAUCGUCUUUCUGAUGCAAAAUACUAGGCAGGCUAUUAUUACCAUUCAGAGCAGCAUGAUAUACUCGCUUCUCAGCUAGUCCAAUAUCUGACAUUACUAAAUCACCCUGCAGAGAAGACAAAAGGGAAACUAGUGUUGUUAUAAAUGCCAAUUUCUAGAUAAAAUUAUCAAAUUCAAAUUAUGGUUCAGAAUCAGCAUAAAGAUGCCCAGUAUAAAUUUCAGAUAUUCUCCUGGUUGCUAUGGUUUAAAUGAUACAGCAAAAUUAUAUUGACAAUAAUAUCUUACAAGAUUAUGUCUUAAACAGGCAAGUUAGAACUGUAUAGAACUCUCUCUCAUUGUUGACAAGAAUACUGUGGAAUGUGUGAACAUAUCAAUACCAUUUGGGCAGGAUUUCUUUUAGAUAUAGAUGCAAAAGUUCCAAAUAACAAAACUUGGCAUUGCAUAUAAUAUACAAUGACAAAAUAAAACUUUGACUUUAGUUGUAGACCAUGCAUCUCAUCACAUGCAUUUUAAUGACCAUCUUUAGAUGGUACCUCAACUGAAGGGAAUUAACCAUUACUCAUUAUGCCAUGCCGCAGGCUUCAGUGCAAAGUUCUUAAAAUAUAGCCAUUAGCUAUAAUAUUUUGGUUUCACUGUUGAGUUCAUAUGGUGCAAGGCCUUCUGAGUUUUGUAUAUAUCUAGAAAUUGGCAAGGUGAUCCAGCUUGUAGGAUGGUUUAAUAUUAACAGUUGUAAGAAGAUAGUUUUAUUCAUGUCACAGCCUACUACUAACCCUCCUGACCUUAAGUGGGAAGUAUAUGCUCUAAAUUUAUGAAUUCAUUUCAGAAAUCCUACUGUCAGAUAUCAAUUGGAAAAGCAUACCUCACGAGCCAUUAACCAUCGGACAUUAGAAGCAUAUAGCUUUGGGUUGUCCUUCUCUUCCUGUGAUGGAUAGUAAACAGGUAACCUUUUCACUUCUAUGUAAUUUAUGAAUUGACAGAGGAGAAAAAUCACAUGGCGCACCUGCAAAGGGAAAUAUGUAGUGAAACUAAGAUCACAACUAAAAGGAUGUAUUGAAAAACACAUCUUCUCCUUGCAAAGGGAAAUAUGUAUUGAAACUAAGACCAAAACUGAAACAGUGUCAUGGAAAUCGCAGCAUCUUCUCCCUGCAUAACAGUUAUAUAAGAAGAGUCAAAACUAAUGCAAAUUGACGAAUUUGCAUUGGUUUCACAUCACCAUGAGAACCAUUUCCUUAAUUAUAAUAUAUGAAAAGUAGAUAUAAACCCGAUCAGAAAGAAUAAAGAUUCCAGGGAAACUUCAAUCCCCGUAUAUACAUGCCCCAAUGCCAUAGAAACCAGAUUCCUAAUUACUUUCUAGUGAAACUGUGGUUUAACGUAGACUCCACCUCAAUUGUUUGCAAGCUAAUAAUUUUUCUGUAAUAUUAAAUGAUUUCCCAUAUCACUUCUGAAGUGAAGGCCUUUGCCAUCAUUACCUAGAGUGCCUAGAUAUGUAGACAAGUUCAUUACGCAUAAACUUUUACAUAAUUUCCAAAACAAAAACCAAUACCUCAAAAACAGAACUUUGUUAUUUGAUUGUGUGGGACAAUGUAUUAAAAAAACUAAUUAGAUUGGGGAAUUAAUGAAAUAAUAUCAUCUAAGCUUUUGCUUGCAUAAGAAAACUCACCCCAGAAAUUGAAUCCCAAGCAGGACUGAAUCUCUGGUAAGGAUAUCUCAGUAUCACUGGAAGCACAGGAGUACCAGCUAAGAAUGCUCCUGUCUUGAACGGAAGAAGGAAAUCUCCAUUGGUUGUGGUGCCUUCUGUAGCACAAUUGAAGAUAAAUUUAACUGAAUGAGUUGGCAUGUUUUAUAUAGCGAUUUAACAAUUAUUCAACUAUUUGACUCCUCUAAUAGGGGGCGAAGGUUCUUUUAUUUCAUUUUCUCUGCUUCAUGACAUCCCAUCAAACAAUUCAGUUACACUUCAGAUAUAUUAUUUUUGUUUUUUUCUUUUUUAAAUUAGGUUCUAAAGUAGAAAGUUGUUUUCAUUUUCCAUAAUUUUGGCCAUGCAAUGAAGUUCAGAAAUGCCAGCAAUGAAGUUCAGAAAUGCCAACUAGACCCAAAAUUAGACAGCUGUUACUUCUUCACACAUCAGGGAGACAUGCAUUUCAAUAUUUCUUUUUCCUCUUUGCAACCUUUGUAUGGUCCAGCAGAGCAGGUAUCUGGGGUUUACAGAAGAAAAUUUAGCUUACUUUUGCCAUGGGACCAAAAGAGAACCUGGAAAUCUUAUUUUAUGGAUUCACUUACACAAACCAUGGAAUUUUGCAUGAAUUAAGUACCAUUCGAUUUCUUUGAUUCCCCCAGUAAAUAAAUUCUCCUUUCUAAUAUUUCCUUGGAAAUGAAAAUCCAAUAAAUUCUUAAUAUCAAAAAGAUUUACAAAAUUUAAUUGUCAUAAAGCAAUCUAAUAUUAGACUGCUGGCAUUUGGAGAGAGAAAGAUAGAGAAAAAAAAAAAAGAACAAAAAAACAGCAACAACAGCUAACGGGACCAAUUACAUCAAAGCAAGUAGUGGUAUUUCCUACUUUUAUUGCGAGGACCCAAACACAUGAUACAGCUUGGAACUAUUGAGAGAUGAAACUCCACGUAUUGCUCUUUCCCAUUGAUGAACCAUCGCAGCAAAACAAGUGCUGAAUUGCUACCUUACAUAUCCAUUAUGAUCCUUACAUCACUUAAUCAUUAUUAUUUACAUGUUACUAAAAAAUGAAUGCAGCUUACUUAAAUAACACAAAUGUGCUGUCAAUUUAAAUAAAAAUAAAUAAAUGAAGAGAAUAGAAAAUGUAAAAAUAGCAGAGCAUUUCAUUAAACACGCACCAAAAAAAAUGAGGAUGCACUAUGCAAAAGUAUAUCACCACUAACCAGGGAAAAGUAUCAUUAUAGGAGCAGACUCAUUCUGAUGAGCUUCUCCAACUCUUUUAGUCACAGCACCUACAAAGCUCACUAUAGUAACUAAUAAAAUAUUACUUCAGCCAAAACAGAGCAUAUAAUAAACUAAACAGCUUGAGAAAAAAAAAAUCAUUUUUGAGAAUUGGCAUGCAUAUAUCCCACGAUUAUGUUAGUUACCAUGCAACAUGUAAUCCUGAACUAGUGCUACUCUAUUCCUGAUGCAGACCUAAUGCAAGUAUUGGUCUCCACUUUCUCAUACAUUUAAAGAAAAAACAUUAACAAUCUAUCUUACCUGCAACGCCUUUGAAGUCAGAUGAUUUUGACUCUCUUUGAACAUAGACACAACCGAGGCACUUGCUGCCAAAAAAAGCCAGCAAAAGAAUUAAAAGGCUUGAUUGCACAAGAAAAGAUUUAUAGACGAUUAGAUAAGGUUCAUAUAUUAGAUAAGGUUCAUAUACAGUGAACUAACCUGAUGAGACCAAGAAGAGGCAAUUUGCCCACUGAUCUCUUCAGCAAUAAAAUACCAUGUCAAAAUCAACAAGAUUAAAAGAGAUAUGCGUCAGCGAACCAGAAAAGUCUAUAAAUAUAGUUACCACUUUAAACUCCAAUAUUAGGUAAAUUAUUGAUGCUAACGAACAAACCUUGGCAACAAAACUUGGAAAAGAAGAAGACAUGUGGUACAAAAUAUCCAAAUACGAAACAUGAUUAGAAAUUAUUGCCCCAGGUCUUUCAGGUACUCCAGAUUGAUCUUUGCCCUCAUUCUGUUCAAAAAGGAAGAAACAGAAAAUGAAAUGGGGAAAAGAAUCAAUUCAGAACUCUGACAAAAGCAUAGACUUUUUGUUCUUUUUCCAGCCGUGGUUUCUUUGAAUGCGAUGGAUACAGAAUCCAUAACCAGAGAAUAAGUCCCAGCAGUAAAAAUUGCAUUUUAUAGAAUGAUUCGCACAAGAUUACAAACAUAUCCUCUUAUUUGGAAUCAUAGAUUUCACAAGAAUUUAAUUCAAUUCAAUUCAAUUCUUUUCUAUCAAUUUUCUUCUUUGGAAUGAAAGAAUUCAUUUCUUUUUCCCUCAGUUUACUAUCAAGAAUUAUGCAAGAAUUCAAAUCAAUCAAUUUUCUUUCCGCCGCGUCCCUAGAACAUAAAGUAGAUGACAAAAUUGUGAAAAUUACCUGAGUAAAAGACUUGUUCUGAGGUUGCUCUAGAAUCCUAUAGCUUUCCCUAAUCCAAUAAAACCCAAACAAGAAAAGCAUAACUCUGGAAACAAAGCUCCCGCACCUCACAAUCACGGCCCUGCUCCACCCUCCCAUGUGCGCGAAAUCCUCCUGCUCCUCCUCCACGUCCCGGUUCGGGGCCGAGAAAAGCGUGCAAAUCCUACAAACUGAGUAAUAAAAGAACAAUAUUAUCAUCGCGAGCAUGACUCGAAUCGGCAAGAGAGUCACCAACGCGAAGCCUAGCAAGGCCUUCUCGGCCAACGGCAGUUCUCCACGUCCCAUGGUCCCGUAGACGUCAUUACGCACGAAUGCAGCGAAUUUCUUCUCAAGAUCUUCGAUAUUGGCCGUCGACAUCCCUUUGGAAUCGGAUUUGAGGAGAGGACGAUCAUCCCUGUUGGAGGCAUUGUCAUUGGCUGUUUCCGGUUGAGGUUCUGGUUGGCGGGGCUUGGAAGGCUCCGGAUUUACAUCUUUAAGCUCAUUCUCCAUUGUUUUAUUGAAGAAUUGAGGGAAAUGGUGAUGAUUUUGGUAUUGAUUUUUGGGUCAUAGAAGGUUAAAUUUGAUAGCCAUUUUUUAUGGCUGCUUCGUGAAGUUGGCGUAGCUAUGGAAAUGAGUAUUGGCAUCGAAUAUCUGGCAAAUAUCUAUCUCUGUUUCUUCUCCCGCGAAGCCUGCGGGAUGGCUGAGCGUGAAAAGUCCAUGAUUAAAGUAACGUCCACCAGACGAGCUGCGAUUCCAGAUAGUUACGUGCAAAGUACCUUGGAUUGGAUUCACUGAUGUAUAGCCGUUGGAUUUAAUCGAAUGGACGAUCGAGGUUUGUAGCCGAGAAACUUAGGAUAAUGGAGCCCAGUAAUAUCCGAACAGGUUUAGGGCGAAUAGAAAAAACUAAUAAAAUUAUAACAAAUUUAUUACUCCAUUUCUAUAAUUUUUCGCACACGUUAAAAAAAUAAUUUUUUAUUACUUUUUUAAUUAUAUUCAUUUUAAAAAUAUUAAAUUUUAUUUAAUAAUUAAAAUAUUUUUUAAAAAUAAAAUUAUAAUAGUUAAUUUAUAUAUUAUUAUAUUAUAAAAAAUAAUAAUAAUAAUUUUUAAAAAAUCAUAAAAAAUUAUGAAAUAAAAAAAUAUCUAAUUAGUUCAGUGAAAUUAAUUAUUUAUUCUUUUCAUUUUAUAAAAAACACAUUAAAAAAUUUAUGUUUCAAAUUAUUUACUAUUUAGUUAUUUGAUUUAUUUAGUAUUUUUAAAAUAAUUGAAAUGUUUAUAUAUCUAUUUAAUACAUAUAAUUUUAAAAUCAUAAUUAUUUAGUUUGUAUGUAUUCAAAAUAAUAUUGAAAACUUCUCUCCUCCCGUUUUUUUUUUUUUUUUCCGUCUAGUCUUAAGGUUUUUUCCUCUGUGGUUUUUUGCUGCCCUUCCGGACUGAGGAGAGUCUUUCCUUGCUCGGUCGUGGGUUCUCCAAUGGUGGGAUGUAGAUUUUUUUUUGUUUAGAUUUUUGUUGUUGUUUUGCAGCGGUUGUUUAAGAGAGGGGUUUUGUUUGGUUGCAUGUUCUCACUUUCUUUUUUCUAGUUGUUUGUUGGUUUUUCAAGACUAUGAACUCCUUAAAUCUGUUCGUUUUGAGGCUGGAUUCCUGGAAAGAAGACAGUAAUGGUGGCUCGCAGUCUGGAACUCAAAGACAAGAAGGAGUCGCCAGGAGCACACCUCCUCUCUCGCUGGUGCUAUCUUUUCUGAGGAUGUUCUCUUUUGCUCCAGGCAUUUGCAAACUCGAUAUGGAUAAGAAAGUUUCUUUUUUCUGUCUCCCAACCCGUCUCUGCGUUGCAUGCAAUUAAAUUUUUUUUAUAAAAUUUUGUUUAAAAUAAGGAAAUUUAAAAUUAUUUAACUUUGAAAAAUUUUUUAUUAUAUAUAAAAAUGAAAUCAUUAAUGAUUUUAUAAAAAUUUAUUUAAAUUCUUUUCUUACAAAAUCAUUCGAGGAAGAUAAAGAAUUCACAAUUUUACUAAAACAGUUGUGGUUUGGAGUUUCUCUGUCCCUUCAUAGCAGGGGAAGCUCAUUUUUCUUGCUAGAUGGAUGGUAUGCUCUCCCUCAACAUCUUUUCAUCCAUCUAUAGUGUUGUUUUCAUUUUUGGCUGAUCUAACAUAUUGAUUGGGUUGAGAAACUUUUUCUAAGAAAUUCUACAGUGGUUGAUUCAUCUAUUAUAAUUUUUUCAUUACCUUUAUAUAAAGAAUAUCCCUCUCGCCUUUUCACUUCCCUUUGAGAUUGUGUUGUUUCUGAAGAUUUGAAAGCUAAAUCUUUGCAUCCUGCCUAUAGCAAAGGGUUACCCCAUGGAAAACAAAGGAUGGCGUCUAAACUAAAUGUCAGAAUGCACGCUACUCUAUAGCUUAUGCUAAAUCCUAAAUUAGUUUGCAAUAGGGUUUAUGUGUCCAUAUAAGAGAUUUAGACAAUCUUCUCAUUUAAGUUAGUUGUUGGGUGAAUUAAUUUUUUGCUAAAAUUUAAUAUGGUAUUAGAGUUUCUCACCGAUAUUGCACCUCUUUUAAAUAUUUCAUACUUCAGUAAAAUUUUGAAUUUGAGUAUUGAAUCUCACACUUAUUUGAGAUAGAGACAAUAUUAUCCUUUGUAAGGGUUUUAGACAUUUCUUUUUAUUUGAAAUAGUGUUUAGAAUGAGUUAAAUCUAAUCUAAAUUUAAUAAUUUAGAUGAAAUAGAGAUUGUUGUGAGCCUCCCUUUCUAUCCCCUUUUGAAGCGGAAGAGAGAUUCAAAGCUGCUUUAAAGGUUUCCAAGCUUUUAUAUUCUGUUUCUUUUGGAGUUGGAUUUGCAGUGUUUCAGUAAGCUUAACUCCAAAAGGAAGAGUUAUAGAUGUUUUCUUUGGCAAUACUGAUUGACGCUUAGAGGUGCUGGUUAUGUUCAUCCCUUCUCCUACUUGCGUGCUUAAUGUUUUUGUAAGGAUGUUGGCUUUGGUUCUUAGAGUACCUGAUGAGUUCAAUUGAGUUUGGUUCUGAGUUUUAACAAUGAAUCAAUUUUUAUAUUUUUAAAAUUAAAUAUUUUUUUAUAUUUUUAAAAUUAAAUAUUUAAAUUCUUUUAUAAUCGGUGUAUUAAAAAAAAAUCUUUUCAUCCAUAAUUCCAUUAAUCAAUUGGUUAAAUGGAGAAUAAAUAUUUUAAAUAUCUAAAAUAUCCUUAUGAACACUUAAAUCCUUAUCAACAUGCCUGAAAUAUUUUAUAUUGCUUAAACUACACUUUAAUCCCUAAAUUUUACGUAAUUAACAUAUUAGUUUUUAUAUUUUUAAAAUUGAAUCCUUAAAUCUCUGUAUAUUCAAUCCAUCUACAAUUAUAAUUUUUUUAUCCAUUAUAAACAUUAGUUUAAAGUCAGUGAGUGGUCAAACUUUUCACAAUAUAAUUUCUUUUUAAAAUACUUUUUAUAAAAAUCUAUAAUCUAUUUAAAAAUUAUUUAAUAUCAAUUAAAAAUGGUUGAAAUUGUAAGUAUUUUUUAAAAGUUUUAAAAUUAUCAAGUAUUGAAAUAUUUUAAUAAAUAAAAAUUGAAUAGAAAAAAGUGUUAAAUUUUAGUUGAAUAUAAUAAUCUGGAUAUAAGUUAAUGAGGAUUUAAGUGUUUUUUCAAGUGAAAAAUAAAUUAUCAUAUCAAAAUGUUUAAAUUUUAAUAGAUGAGGGAAAAUAAAUGAAAUUCUAACUCCUUAAUUUUUUUUAAUUUAAAAAAAGAGAAUAAAGAUAUUUUCAUAUUUUUAAUUGCAAGAAAUUAAAAAAAAAAGAUUGGGAUCUAAAUUAACCGAUUAUAAAGAAAUUUAAGUAUUCACUUUUAAAAAUAUAGAAACUGAUAUGUUAAUUAUACUAAAACUUAAUAGCCACGUGUAGUUUACCUAUUUAAAAGGGUAAUAAAGACAUUUUCACACUUUUAAUAGCAAUUGAAGGAUUUUCUAUUCGGAUAGAUUGAUUAUAGAAGAAUUUAAGUAUUCGGUUUAAAAAAUAUAAGUAUCGAUUCGUUAAUUAUACUAAAAUUUAAGGAACAAAAUAUAAUUUAUCUAAAAAAAUUAUUCAUACAUUUUUUAUUUUAAUAAAAAAGUUUAGUUUUAAAUUUACUGUCCCAAAUUUUUUAAUUGAAUGCAAUUAUAGCCUCUAUAUAAAAUCAUGAUUUGAAAUUAAAAUUUUAAACAUAUUACUUGCUAUAUAAUAUUGAAUUUAAAAUUUUGUAUUCUUACAUAUUUUUCUUACUUCAAAAUUAAAAGAUGUGUAAUUAUUUCUUAUACCUUAAAUCUCUUAAGAUCUUAAAUUGUCAUGUCACGUGCAUAAAAUUUUAAUUUCGGGUAUUGAACAGCAUUAAUGUGUAAAAUUUUAGUUGCUAUGUGCAUAAAAUUUAUUUAUAAUAGCAUGAUGUGAACAAAAUCGUGAUUAUAAAUUAAUUAAAUAUAAAAAUACGUAAAAAUAUUGAAUAUUUUUAUCUAUGUAACCCAAAAAAAAAACUAACUAACCAGAUUGAUCUUAAAAGAAUGAGUUAGCUCAAAAAAAAAGUGCUUGAAGUUUUAUACCUCCCUUCUUUUCUUUAACUCCUCCAUCUCGUCUAGAUUGCUAUGGUUUAUGAUUCUUAGGCUCCAUUCAGAUUGAGAUGUAAGUUGAGAACUUGAGAUGUAAAUUUACUGUGGAAUUGAUUUGAGCCUCUAAAAAUGGGAGAUCAUUGAUCCCAUUAAGUUCCCUAUCAUUCACUGCAGCACCUGGAAUUACUGAACUCUGCACUAGGCUAUAGGAGUUUAACUUUCAGAAGGAAGUUGAUUUUCAUCUUAAAUGAUCUAUGGAAAUCAAGGCCAAUGUAUGCCCUGAUGAAUCCGCAGGCUUGGCCGUAUCUGGGACCAGUUGGCCAACUUGGCCUAACAGCUAAAUUGUGAAGAAUUCCAAACCUUAACCUUCUUCAUUGGGACACAAGUAAUUGUUCAUUGGGCUACUAGGCUAAUUAUAUCUCGAGGACACUCGCUUUCUUAUCAAUAUGCCAAGAUGAAACAACUAAAACAUAGCCAACGUAAGUUUCCCAUUUGACUGCCAAAGUUCUAUCCCACAAGUCUCAUCUGCAGUAUUAACUCAGAUGUUGCAAGUUUUGAGUGUGGUUUUUGAGCUUCCAUGAAAAGUUUUGAUAGAAGUACAGAAAACGAGCUCAACUUCAGAACCAAAAUAGAAGAAAGGAGAUGAUGAUAAUGGUAUUGAGAUGAGUAGAUUAUAUAGCGUGUUCACUCAAUCACUCAAUCUUCAAAUACCAGACUCAAAAGAAUCAAGAUUUUAGCACAAAACAGUAAUGGAGAAACACUAUGCCACUAUUAAGCCAGACUAGAUUUAAUGGAUCAGCUCAAACUCUAUUAAGUAUAAGGACUGAGCAAAAUAAUGAUAUAGCACAGGCAACAAACUGAAGGAACCAAGUAAUUUCCUAUAAGCCAGACUUCAAAUCUUUAAUAUAGUUGGAAUUGUACUUAUCUUUCACAGAACUAUCACUUAAACAAUGGAUUUCUCCAGAGAAGAAACCAAACUUUUGCAUUUCUGUUCAUGAAUGAUAUAAACAUUAAACAUGAUCCAUAUUGAUCCUCUGUGACUGUAUGAAUUUAUUAUUAUGAAAAAGAAAGAAGCUUAGAAACAAGAGAGUUCCAGUGCUUCAGUGGAGAACAUGUUUUAUUUCCUAUCCCAACAGCAAAAGAGUUUUCUCACCCUUUCCUUUAUCUCAAUUAUGCAGCUGCUAACAAUAAACCUUAAUUCCACAAACUAAAUAAAUGUAAAAGAAGCCUAAUUCUUCAACAGUCGUACCUUUUGAAAUUAUUCCAAACUCAGCAAGAGACCCAGUUCUUGUGAGUACUAAUCAAGGCAGACACGAGUCCUGCAAACGACACCAAGACCGGCGCCGAGAGCUGCCCCUUCCCGUCUCGAAUAUCUGCUAACGCCAUUAACCCAUCAGCGAAGUCCUGUAUAAUCGAAAGUUUCUUCAUCAACUUCUUCUCUCUCAGCUUCCUCAUCUUCUCUUCUUCUGCUUGAUACCCAUUCCCUCUCAAAACGGCAACCUCAAUGGAAGAUUCCAAACAGAUCUCAUCUUCAUUUAAUUUCUUCAAAUCCCUAAAUUUGAGAGAAAUACUGCCUGUGUAUCCAAUAAAUUCAAACCAGGCACUGAUUUUUCCCAAUUUUUUCGAGUGUUUGCUAUCGAUCAAGCCUGCUUUAGCCAGCCAAACGAACUGUUCAACAAAAUAAUACAAGCCUUCGCCUCCAUAAGCAAUGAUGGAGAGGACAAUUUCUUGUUUUGAGUCGAAACUAGAGUUUCUCAGAGUGUUGACGUCCUGCACAAAUUUCCCAAGUCGAAAGGCUUUGCGACUGAGUCCUACGCUAGACUCGAAGCUCUUCAAACGCUGAGUUAGAAUUAGCGAUUCAGGAAGAGCUGAGGAAGCCAAAAUGAUCUUGGAGGCGUAGCGAGAGAUCUUAAGGAGCUUAUCCACGCCAUCUCGCUUAGCUAGGUAAACUUCAAGGUGGUUGAGGAAGUCUCUGUCUUUGGUUGUGGUAGGUCGCGCUAGGUUUUUAGGGAUUGGUGCCGGAGUGAUCACCGGUUUCUGAGUUGAAGUCUCUGAAUCCAUGGAACCGCAGCAGCAGAGAGAGAGAGAGAGAACUGGGAAAGCGCCCGAGAACGAGGAAGGAAAAUUUUCAGAAGAAAACUGAGACGACGCCGUUGGAUGAUAUUCUUCCCCUGAGUUAUGAGCAAGCAAAACGGCAGCGUUGAGCUGUAAAAAUGGGUUUCGAUUGGAGCUUGUCGCGUCUGCUUUUCAUUGUGGUGUGUGCCAUACGCGUUAAUGAUUAGCGACAGAAGUUUAUCCGUCUAAAUUAAUCGAGCCCAUAUAAAAACCUAUUUGACGAGCCGGGUACGUCCGAAAUCGAACCGGGUCAAGUACAGUAUCGCACAAUUCAAGUUUGAUUUAUUUGAAAUUUUUGGAAAUUAAAGACAAAUUCAAAUAUUAGUUCUAAUUUUAAAAUUUUAGUGUUUAUUUAUUAACUUUUUGUAAUUAUUUUGAAAUUCACCCAACAAUUGAGUAAAAUUAAUUUUUUAUACAGUUUUCUUGAUUUGAGAGCUUAGCGAGCUUAAUAUCAGAGAUAUGUGCGCCAUUCCUGGACUAAACAGGGAUAAAUUUAUUCCGGAAAAAAGAAAAACCAGGGAUACAUUUUAAGGGAAAUUAUGGAUUUUUAUAAAAUUAAUUAGUUGGUUUUUAUUUUAAAAUUAUUUAAUUAAAAUAUUUUCAUAUUUUAUAAAAUUUAAUUUUUUAUUAAAAAAUUAAAAAAUAUUUUAAAUUAUAUACUAUUUAGUCUUUAUAAUUUAUUUACAUAUAUUAUUUAAAUUUUUAUAAAUUUAAAUAUUUAUAUUAUUUAAUUUUUUUACUAAUGUUAAAAUAAGUUGAUUAAUUUAUAUUAAAAAAUUUAAUUUUAUAAAAUAUAAUAUAUUUUAGACUAUAUUUUUUUAUAAAAAAUAAUUUGUAUUUAAUUUAAAAAAUAAAAUUUAUUACUAAAUUUAUAUAUAAAGCUCUUAAUAAAAAUUUUAAGAGUUAGAAAAUAAUUUUUUUUCAAAGAAUAAGUCACAGAAAAAUAUUUUUUAUUAAUUGAAUUUUCUAUAUUUGUUAAAUGUCAGAAAAUAUAUUUUCUAUGAAACAAAUAUAAUCUUAAUUGAAUAAUUUUAAAAUAUGAAUAAAUUAGUGAAUUUUUUAAAAAUUUAAAAAUCUGAUAAUAAUUCUUUCUAAAUUUUACCAUAUAUUAAUUUUCACAAUCAAUUAUCAUAAUCGGUCUAUAUAAGUCAUACCAUAAUCAAUAAUUAAUAUUUAAUCGUUAUACAUUAAUAGUAUGUGAUAUGAUAUAAUAUUUAUUUAAAAUUUGCCAUAAUCAAAUAAUAGAGUCACGUGAUAAAAUCUUAAUAAAACAUAACAUUUGAUUAUGAAAAUCUUAUUUAUAAAAAAAAAUUUAGAAAUUAUAAUUAUCGAUUUUAAAAAACAAAAAAUAAUAAUAUAAACAAAAUAAUAAUAUCAAAAAAUUAUGCUGGUAAUUAUGAUAAAUUAAAUGGAAAAUUUUUGCUUCGUCUUUAGCAUCUUGUAUUGCAAUAUUUAAUGUUAAAAGGAAAAAAAUAUUACUUAAUUUUUAUGAUAUGAAAAAAUUUAUUAAUUAAUUUUCUAAUUCUGAAUCUAUUAUAAAAUUUAAAUAUUGUACUAUUUAACUUUUAUAAUUUUAAAAUAAUUAUUAGUUAGUCUUUUAACUUUUUAAGAAGUUUAUUAAUUAAUUAUUUUAUAUUAGAGACAUUUUAAAUUUUUUUAUAAUAUUUAACUAUUGAUUUGAAUAACUAGUAAAUUUUUUAAAAUAUUAAAAAUAUUUUAAUAUAUUUUUUAAAAUGAAGAGAUAAAAUAGUAAGUUUUAUAAUGAAAGCAAGUUAUAAUUCAAUUUAUUUUUAUAGUUUUUAAUUAAAAUUAUUAUUUCUAAUUAAAACGUGAAGACUGUAUUAAUAGUUUUAAAAUUUAAGAGAUUUUUUAAAUAAUUAAUUGGCUUGUUUGAAUUCUGAAAACAAAAUUAAAAACUUAAAUAAUUAUUAAAUUUGCCUUUUUAAAUACCAAAAUUGACGUUUUGCUUUCUUAAAAAUUGUUAUCAAGAAUGCCAAGGUCUAAAGCGUACAGGCACAGCAAGUACAGCCCAUACAAGAAAUAUGGGACAAUAAAGAAAGAAGAGGUGGUUUAAAACCCGCAGUGGCUUGAAAUCAAAACAAACUUCAAUUUUAAUCAUGUAUUAGCCGGGUCAAAUCGAAUUUAGAUCGAUUAAGUAGAUUUGAUUUACGAAUUGAAUUAAAACUAUUUAUUAAGAGUCACCCGUUUUAAUUUUAUAUUUUUAAAAGGAUUUUUUAUUUUAAUUUUAAAAAAUAUAUCCGAAUAAAUUUAAGAAUUUUUAAAUUUUGUUUUUUAAUUUUCAAUAAUGACUCGUGAAAAUAAAGAUAGCCGUUGGUUACCCACCAUCUUCUCUUUAUUAUUAUUCUUCUUCCGUUUAUUUAUUUGGGUAAGGUUUUUUCUCUUUGGAUUCUUUUUCUUAACGGUAAGGAAUUUGCCCACCAAAAGCACAGUUUGUAUUUUACCAACCGAAUGCGACGCUUAGCCUAAGCCCCAUUGUUUCCUUCUUCUCCUUUCCCAAUCGACGCCUUCCAGUUUCAUCUUCUGCGCCCAAUUACCAGUUUACCCUCCUGCUAUACUCAUUACCCCUUAAAUUCAUUUUUUCCUUUAGCACUCAUUUUGCAAUUGAUGUUUUUUUCCUUUUGCCCAAAUCUUGCUUUUUGGAUUUUCGAAAUCACUGCCUUUUAUUGAGUACUUUUUAAUAGAAAAAGGGUAAAUUGCAUUAUGAUUAGCCUAAUUAUUCACCAUCAAUGAAAUAAAAAUCUAUCAUUAUUACGUUAAUGAUUGUUUUCUUUAUUGAAGAAUAUUAUUAUUUUAAAUAAUUUAAUUAUAAUAAUAAUAUAAAAAUAAAAAAUAAAAGAUUCAAUUGAGAUUACAUAAAACAUAGGUCAUUCUAAUCGAUGAUCGAAAAUAAAUACAUUGAUAUAGAACUAAUUAGAUUUCAUCAGAAAUUUUAACUGAUAACGAUUAGUUGAAACAAAAUAAUAGAAAUAAAGGCUUAAAAAUCAAAAAUUUUUAUUGAAAUUCUUGAAAAAUUAAAAAGUAUUUUAAAAUAAUUUAAAAAAAUAUUUAUAAUAGAAAAGCUCUAAAAUAAAAAAAAUUUUUAAAAAAUCAAAAUGUGAAAUAAAAAAAUUAUCGUAAAUUUUUAUUAGAUAUCAACAGUAAAAAUUAAAUUCGAUUCAAAUUUAUCAUAAAAUCUAAAGUUAAUUACUUUGUAUGAUAUGUAUUUUUCUUAAAUAUUAUUAAAAUAUUAUAUUCACUUAGUAAUUUUUAUAUAAAAAUUUAUUUAUAUGUAUUAAAAAGAUUAUAUGCACGUGAAAAUAAAAGAAUAAAGAUGAUUAAUAAGAAAAAAAAAUGUAUAAAUGCAAGGAGAAGACCAGCCGAGGGCAAAUGUGGAAUUUCGGUGCAAAUUAUAGUUCCUUCCAAACCCGAAAACGAACAAGCAAUAUUGACACGUGGCAAUAUAACCGGCAAUAACCGGUAACCUACGCAGUUAAAUACCUCCAAAAACCCGUUUGUUUUUUUGUCCCUUCUUCUCCACUCCACUGUUCUCUGACUUCUCUCCACUCCGCCUUCUCUGUUUUUUUCUCUCUUUUCUGCUCCUCAAACCCUAAAUUCUCACAAGAUUCCGUUUAGGAGCCCUUAAUUUCAUCUUUAGAUCCCUUUAACUUCAAAAUCAGUACUUGCAUUACAGAAUUGAAGCUGGAUACACUCCAUUUUCUAGCUGGAAUCAGAGCCAAGGAGCUUACAUUGUGAAGAACCAUAGUGUCUAUAGCAAUGUCUGGCUCUGUUAAGCUUCAAUCUUCGGCCAAACGGGUAUCUCAGCAACGAGCCAUUCUCGUUCCCACUGGGAAUAGAAUUACGGUUUCGGAAGAGUCCAGACGGAAAAGCGAGAUUUUGAAGAAGGCACAACAAAGACCAAAGAAGCCAGCAGUGAAGGAUGUGGUUUCGGAGAUGCAGAAAGCUGUAGUUAAGCACAAUUUAUCGGUAGACAGCUCUUGCUCUUUGGAUUCUAAUUUUUCUUCUUCUUCUUUUUCUUCGAGUGGGUCUUCAGCGAAGGUAGCAAGUCCGAGAAGGACUGUGAAGCACACUGGAUUACGAGCUGUCAAGAUUGUACCUGACGCUAGUCAAUUUGAUGAGAUUUCGCUAAAGAAAAACUUGUCGGUGAAGAGCUGUGACUGGAUAACACCUCACUCUGGUAAGUCACACGUGAGUUAAGCUAUUACGCAACAAUCUCCCAUUUUUAUCUGUUUGGUUCAGUUGCGUUGAGGUUUUCUUUUAGAGAGAUAUGGUAGAAUUUGGAAACUAAGAUAAUGAUAUAUAGGUUUAUGUAAUUUAAGCCAUCCAUCUAAGUUAUUGAAAUUUGUAAAGUUGUUGCCAAGUCUUUAUUUCCAUAACCCAUUAACGUGAACAACUAGGAAUGCCUGAAAUUAAAGAAUAGCCACAAUUUUGUUCAUUACAUUUGGGUAUAUCAUCACUUGACAUGCUUCUAGAAAAUUUCUUCCAUUACCAUAAAUAAAUGUUUUUUCGGAGCAUUAUCUUACAUGCUAGUAUCAGUGUUUCUUUGACCUAGAAUAGGAUCCCCUUGCUUGCACUGAUAGAGAUGAAAGUCUACCCUACCCAAGUUGAGUCGAAAUGUAAUUUGCACGUUAGCAAUGGGUGAAUUUCGAAAGUGAAAUUGAUGUGCUACCUGGAAGGUGCUAGAUAUUGCCUCAAGUUGUGUUGAUUGUAUUGAGAACGUAGAGUUUAAACUGGACAUUCAAAACAGAAAUCAGUUUCAUAAUAAUAUGCAUGUGUGAUUAGGCAAGUCCCUUCGCUGUGCCUACCUAGCUAUAUGAACAAUAUGUGGGACAAUUAUAACUAACAUUUUCUGGUUUUAAUGCUUUGGCUUCGGUAGCAUUACUGCAAAACUUUAAUUGCCAUGACUGGCCAUUGACAUGGCAGACUAGUGCAAACAAUUUUACUGAGGAUAUCACAAGCUGGCUAAGUUCGCUUCUGGUCCAUAUAUCUAAUUAAAUAAGAACUUUUAUUGUGUCUUGGCUUGACACGACAUUAUUUAUUUUUAUGUGAACAUAUGGGCGUAUACACCUAUCCAAUUGAAACACGGCACAUCAUAAAAAAAUAGUUCUCAUACUGGUAGGGCCUACAUAUAAAUAUAAUAUUUUAGUUUUUAAAUAGUAGGAUGAAUAAAUUAAGUUGUACACCCAGAUGUAUACAAUAAUUUUCCUAUCAUAUUUAAUUUCCUAAGGUAUUCUGCCAUACUCUAGGAGGCAUGAUAUUUCCACAUCAAAACAAAUUCUUACAACUCUUCUUCUCAUUUUAUUUGAAUCUACUUUGAUCUUACCACUUUUUUCUUGUCCCUUGGAAUCUGUUAAAUGUAGGAUUCUUCUUUAAAAUCUCAACAAAUGAACUUAAUCUUGUGUUAUUUUCCGGUUUUUCCUCUAUUUAAUUUCUUCAUAUGCCUCAAGUGUCAACUUAUCUGACUGGAAAUCAAUUAGCAAAUGUUUUAUGGAUAACUUUUGUAUACUUUUCACUUCAAUCAAAAAAAUUCAUUUGCAAGAAAAGAAUUCAAAUGAAUAUUUAUACAAUUAUAAAUUAUUUUUAUUUCUUUUAGAAUGAAUUUUUUUAAGUUAAAAGGAACUAAUUUCUUUGCUUUGAAAUACGAGAAUUGACGAAAAAGAAUUCAAUUGUAUUAUUACAAAAUUCUUAAUUUCAAGCAGGAUUAUAUGUCUUUCCACCAUGUAGCUAACUCUAUGGCUUUUUGGUGAUUUUCACUGUAGAUCCACUUUAUGUGUCUUUCCAUGAUGAAGAAUGGGGAAUUCCAGUUCAUGAUGAUAGGAAGCUGUUUGAGUUGCUUGUACUUUCGCAAGCAUUAGCAGAAAUGAGCUGGCCAGCAAUUCUUCAUAUGAGGGACACUUUCAGGUAUGCAAUUUUCACUUUCCGUUAUUAGCGUCAAUUAAAAAAAUGUCAGCAUGCAUUUUGCCUGAUUUUUAUUGUUGGAUCCAUGUGUCAGGAAACUUUUUGACAACUUCGAUCCAUCGUCUGUUGCACAGUUUACAGAGAAGAAGCUGCUAUCGCUGAAAGUGAAUGGCAAUCUUUUGCUAUCUGAACCAAAGCUUCGUGCAAUAGUAGAGAAUGCUAAACUGCUGCUUAAGGUAAUUCUGUAGGCCUGGCAUCAAUCUUAGGGACUUCAUGGAUGCAUAUUUUCUUAUUGGGGAAGAACUGAAGAAGAGAUGCUAGAAGAUAUUUGAAACAUAUUGAUUGAGAACCCUCCUGUCCCUAGAACUUAACACCACCACCUUGGUUCUCAACAUUGCAAUACACUUGUACAAGUCUUCAUAGUACGGAACUGUUCCAAUAAAAGAACAUUGGCAUCCAUUCAUUUGAAGAUAAAAACUUAAUUGGCAUCCACUUGUUGCUCAUUUUGCAGGUUCAAAAGGAGUUUGGUUCCUUCAGCAACUACUGCUGGCGUUUUGUGAACAAUAAGCAACUAAGAAAUGCAUACCGUUAUGCACGUCAAGUACCUGUCAAGACGCCAAAAGCAGAAGUUAUAAGCAAGGAUCUAAUGAAGCGAGGCUUUCAUUGUGUUGGUCCUACUGUUGUUUAUUCAUUCAUGCAGGUGGCUGGGAUUGUCAAUGAUCAUCUUGUAACAUGCUUCAGAUACCAAGAGUGCAAUAUAGAUCUCAAAAAGAAUUCCAACAAACCCCAGACUGAAGAGACACAGAUGGUAACUGAAGUAUUGGAGAAAACAUGCUUAUCUCAAUAACCUUGUGGCCUUAACUGCAACUUCUGAUAAAUCACACUAGUAUGACUAGCAAUAUGAGGGCUUAUGUUCUCAAGUAAUGAUUUAGGAUUCCUAUCUUCUGUAUGUUUUACUCGCAUAAUCUAUUCUUCCACCACUUGUGUAUCCUUGACCUAAACUAGAUAUUACUAUAAUUAAACUUUCUUGUGACUCCACGCAUUCUCUGUUCAUCUUGGAUUGAGGAAGCUUCUAAGGAGGUUCCUGUCAGAUUCACUGUUGUUUUGUGUAUUUUCCAUCGUCAACUUUGAACAAUAUCUUUUUUUUUUUUUUAAAAAAAGGUGGUAGGUCCAUCCUCAAUAUGGUGCUAUAUGGCAACGCGUCAGAGGUAUUUAGGAAGGGAAAAAAAAAAUCAUUUCAUGCAACUUAUAGACAGCAAGAUGAGCAAAGCCACGUGUGGUGAAUGAUAUAGAGAAUAGAAAUCACAAAUGAAGAGAUACCAGACCCCUCCAUUCAGACAGAAGGCGACUUCCCUGCACCACCACCAUUUAUAUAAAUAUAUAAAUCUCCUAUUAUUUGCUUUCCUGUUGUACAUUCUCUUGUUUUAUAUUGAAUGUCUCCAUGAGCGAACGUGGGGCUUGUCAGGCAAUGCAAGUCCAGGGCCAGCCUUGAUUCAUGCGCUAUGGAGCCAUAUAUGAUUUACUUGGAAUAUCAUAAGCACCAAAGAAAUUUACCAUCCAACAACUAUUUAGAGAUAGAAGCACUUUCAAAUACUCCCAGUUUCCACAUACACAAGGCUACAAAGUAAACUAUCAACACGAAAAUAGUAAUGUAACAAAAAGCAAGAUGGGUCAUUCGUAAGAAGUACAUCCAUUAAUAUUGGUAAACGAACAAAUAAUUUCAUUUUAUCAGGUCUCAUCUAAGUCUUCAAGGAAGAAAGGAACUCCUCAAUCCCAGAAUAUCCCACGCUAUCUACAUGUAAUGCUUGUGAAAAACGUUCCAAACAAAUCAACUGGCAAAUGUGACUGUUCAAUGAAUAAAAGAGAAUAUAACUAAAAACAUUAAAUUAGACAUGAAAAUUUAAUUCCUUCUAUGAGACAAGAUUUGUUCAUCGUAAGCACUUCCCAACAAAUCAAUAGAGCCAUGGAUUGCUAAUAUUUUUCCAAACCAAUGCUUACCACAAACUAGAGUAAGAAUACUUUUUCUGGAACAUCUACCGCAUCUUCUCUUUGGUUCCAGCAUUCCCUCACCAUGAUUUUCAACUGGCCGUAUCAGCCCAACCUAACUCCGAGCCUUCCCAUUUCCGAGUGUGAGCUCUAGAUCAUCCAAUCCUACCUCAUGAAUCCUCUCUCCUUCCCAUGGCUUCACCUGUCCAUUCCCAAACUCAAAUUCCAUACUCCUCCCAUUCUCUUUCAUCACAUUGCUGGACAAAAUUUGCUCAGCAACAGGUUUCACAAGAUUAUAGGUUGGUGAGGUUGGCAUUGCAGCCACAGAGGGCGGGAAUUUUUGAAAGCUUAUCCAUUGACCAGACUCAACAGUGGAUGUAUCAGACUCAUCACAUUCAGGUAUGGUUGCUGGAGCAUGAAAUUGACGGUGAGUUGGGCUAGCUGGGGCAGACACAGCAUAAAAAGGGUAAUUUAAAGAGGUCAUGGAUUCUUUGGCAAUUAACUCCCAGUUGGGAAUUGGCUUCGGAUUUUUUGCAGUCGGGGAUGAAAGAGGUGGUGUUACAGGUGCACUGUUGGAGAUUCGGAGAGGAGGGAGAGACAAGGGAAUGGCAUUUUGGAGGAAGGGAAGGAGAUUAGAAGGAGCAUUAUUUUCAAAUCGAGAUGGGCUAGGGAAUGAAGAGGAAGAGGGACUAACUUGGUACGACGGAAUUGGGCUAGGAAAUGAUGAGGACAAUGGACUUGGAUUUUGUGAAGAGUAUGGAGUAAUUCUUGCAGAGGUGCCCACAAUAUCAAUUGGGGGUGGCUUACAUCCCUGGAUCAACAAACCAAACAUGGUGGCACCAUAUCAGAUUAUGAUUACCAUUAAUACGAAAGGGGUAUCAAAAAUUGUGGUGGAAGAAGUUAAGAGUUUCCACACAACACCUGCAGAGCAAUUAAAGUUUCAAAACCAUGGGUUUUUAAAUUCUUCAAAGAAAGAAAGAUUAACAAUUAGAGCUUCUUUGCUCGAUCAAAAGCUAAUCGAUCAUUCAUUAAAUCUUUCAAGUUCUGAAAUUAAAAUCCCCGCGAAUGGACCACCUCUAAAUUAGCAUACAAUUCCAAUGCAAUCUCUUCUUCAAGAGAAAGGAAUUAGAAUAGAGCAUGAAUAGAACAGCAGACAUAAGACAACUAUAACUACAAGCCCAUCCAGUUCAUUUGGCCUAACAGAGACUAAAAUCAGACAAGAAAUAGAGAUAGAACGCAAUAAAGCAAAAAACAAAGACCCAGGCCAAUUUUUUUAGAGAAAAAUCCAAAAAUUUCAGGGGAAAUCACUAAUCUAAAAGCAUGUCAAGCACAUAAAGAAGCUCGAUCCAACUACAAAUACCCAUUUCCUUCCCAAAUCAAUAGCAGAAAAUAGCUAGAACAUCGUAAAUCUAAAUCAACAAUAGUAGAUCGAACUAAAAAGAAGAUAAAGAGUACCUUACGGUAAGUAGUGCCAUCAUCUUCAACGACCCAACCAGCCUCGAUACAAAGAGCCUUCAAUACUUCAUUAUUAUCACAGUGUUUGGGCAAAUUGUAAUUCCCUUGAGCCCUUAACCCUGUAAAAAUCUUAGCAGCUAUAGCUCUUCUCCUCCUCUCCCUCCUCCUAUUAUUCUCCCGCUCUCGCCAGGACGGCUUCCUCCUCGGAGGCGCUAUCGUCGAAGUUGCCCCAUCCGACGUCAUUUUCCUGCAAAGAAUCGUUCCUGAAUCUCCGGCGAGGUGGGUGGAUCGCGUAGCUUAGGAUUUAAACCCCAGGAAGGAGAGGGAAAGGAAAUGAAAAGAAAGAGUCACGAGGAAUACGCUUUCCUUCGCUGGAAGUAAAAGAAGAAGAAUCUCUCCUUUUGUGUGUGAAGAGGACUGAGGGACUCGCAGAGUUAUUUGAAAAAGAAAGGCUUGGUUUCUAGAAAUGAUAAGGUGUGUGCAGGUACAGGAAAAGAGUUGAGAUCAGACUGCCUUAUCGAUGCCACGUAGGUUUCUUUUUAGAUCAUAAAUAGAAAUUAAUGAUGUGAGGACAAGUAUGAGGACGUGUUUGUAGAGUUUCUAUCAUUGGUUUCUUUUUCCUUUAUAAAAAGGAAUUUUACUUUUGUAAAAAAGAAAAAUAUUUGUAAGAUUAAUAAAUUUUAAAAAUUGAAAUAUUAAAAAGGAGAAAGAAAAUAAUAAAUAAUUAUACUUGAUAAGUAACUUUGUUUUCAGUUAAAAUAUUAGAUUAUUUAAGUAUUGAAAGUUUAUUAAUCUUAAAAAUUAAUAUAAUGAUAUGAUUUUUUUAAUAGAGUAAUAUGAAUACAAUACAUAUUAAAAAUUAAAAAAAUGGAAAAUAGAAAAUUAUUUUUAAUUAUAUGUUAAUUAAUUUUAAAAAAUUAAUAUAAUUAUAUUUUUAAUUAUAUAUAUAUAUAUAUAUGGGAGGAGUGGGGAAGAGGGGGUUAACUAAUCACGUGUAAGUUUAUGCGAAAUGCGCCUGUCUUGUAAUGACUAAAUAAUGUGAAAGGAGAUGGGUCCCAAUCGAUGAGUGUAGGGACCCACCCAAGUAAAAUGAGCUAUUUUGUUAGACAUGGCCCAUGCAAUGUUUUCUUGUAAUUUGUUAUGUGACCCCUUCAUCCAUCCACGUGGAUAUUACUCUCUUAUAGAAAAUUUUGGCAGAAUUAUUAUUUCAUUUUUGUGAUGAAAAAAUUUUUUAAUUUUAAAAAAUAUAUUAAAAUAUUUUUAAUAUUUUAAAAAAUUUAUUAAUUAAUUUCUCAAUUUUAAAAAUUAAAUAUUAUAACAAAGUUUAAAAUAUUUUUAUCAUGAAGAAAUUAAAUAAUAAAUUUUUUAAAAUCAUAGAGAUUAAAUAAUAAAAUAUUUAAUAGUUAAAAUUAAUUAAUUAAUUUUUAAAAUAUUAAUAAUAUUUUUAAUAUAUUUUUUAAAAUUAAUAGGUAAAUAAAUGAAUUUUUUUAUAUUAUAGAAAUUAAAUAAUAAUUUUUAAAAUAAUAAUAUUAUUAUUAUUAGUUAAUAACAAUAUUUAAAUAAUUAUUAUAUUAUAAAACUGGAAAUUUUCGCAUUAAAAAAAAAAAAGGAAACAUUGAUAUUACUUGGUAAGUUACUGAUGAAAAUAUGAAUUAUUUAAAAAAAAUUAUAUGUAAUAAAAUAUUUACUAUUAAAUAAUUAGUUAAAAUAAGUUAACAUAAUUUAAAAAUAACCGAUUAAAAUCUAUAUUUUAAAUAUUUAAUAAUUAUAUUUUACUGUCUAUUAUAAAUAUUUCCUUUAUAAAUAAUAAAAAGUUAUUAAAAUUUAAAUAUUAUAAAACAACGUACUUUAUAAAAUGAUAUUCUAUAAAUCUUAUUUUACUCUGUCUUCUUCGAAUUAAAGUUUAAAAUUUAAUUCCACGAGUCUUUUAUUUUUUUUAUCACACUUAAUAUAUUUAUUUAAAAUAAAAUUAAAAAAUAUUCUAUUUGGAUUGUGUAUCAAUUUUAAUUAUUAACUACAGUCACGAUCCUAUUUCACAAUAUUAAUAGUUAUUAAUUAUCAUAAUAAUAAAUAAUUAUUUAAAUAAUAUUUAAUUAAACGUUUUAAAAAAUAAAUUUUUAUAAAUUAUUUUUAAACGAUUAAAACACAAUAUUAAGCAGAGUCCACACAAUAAAUAAUAGUGUAAAAGAAUUUCAAAAAAAAUAAUACAACAGACUUUAAAAAUUUUAAGUUAAACUAAUAUAAAAUAAAUAAAAUACUUUUACAAAAUAGUAUAAUUUUAAAGCAAUAUAAUUUUAUUAAUUAAUUCGUUAUAUCGACAGUCUAAUGCUGCAUUGAUAAUUAAAUUAUUCCAUUGUCUAGUCAUCGGUCUGAUUUGAUAAUAAUAAAAUUAUUAAAUUAUUUAAUUAUCUGGUUAUCGUACGGUGACAUUAGAUCGGUCAUUAAAAUUAAUUGCAAAUACAUCAAAUUUAUUAUUAAAUCAUAUAUGAUGACCGCUGAAUUUCCUCACUCCGGUCUGGGGCCAGAUCCACGACACCAGCCCAUCAUCUAGAGGCCCUCAAACCUCAUCACAUGCAUCAAGUUCGGUAUACUCAGUCUGAAAAUUGGACUUCUAUCAAUCUCCUCAAUCAGGCCGAUCUAGUUCUUUGGGCCCGAUGAAUAAAAUCCUCUCUGGGUUCAGCUCAUAUCAUAUCAUCCGGUCCGACCCAGAAUCAGGAUGAAGACCUACUCAUCCUUCACUUGGGACCACCCGUACGCGCGUCCGAGAGAUUCAGGGGUCGUUACGCAUGGAGCAGCGAUCUGAUUUUCUGAUACGUCCAUAUCAACGUGACAGGGACAGGUGGCCCAAUAACAUACAUUCUCUUACACGUCACUAGAGGACAAAAUAAAAUAUAUAAAAGGAGAAAUACUCUCCUUGUAAAACCUUAUUUUCUGGAUCUCAGAUCAUCAAUAUCAUUUUGUGUCAUUUAAUCAUAUCCUUUUAUAUCUUAUCUCGUCAUUUGAUUAUUCGCCGAAUCAUUUAGUCAUUUUAUCUAAUCGUCUAAUUAUAUUUUUUCAUAAUAACUAUUUAUUUUUAAAAAAAUUCAAAUAAAAUAUUACACAGUUUUGCAUGAUUUUUAUAUUUAUUGAAAUAAAAAAACUUUAAUUAAAAAUGGAGUAAAAUACUAUCAAUUACAUGAGUUUUUAUAAAAUGUAUCUAAUUUGUUCAUAUUUUAAAACUAUUUAUAUAUUUUGUAAAAUAUAAUUUUUUUAAUUUUUUUAAUUUAUUAAUUAUCUUAAAUUAUUUAUAUUAUUUAAUUUUUAUAAUUUUAAAUAUUUAUACUAUUUAAUCAAUCUAAUUAAUAUUAAAAUAGAUAAUUGAUUAAUAAUUUAUUUAAUAAAAAAUUAAAAUUUUUGAUUUUAUAUAAUAUAUAUCGUUUUGGUUAAGUGAUUUUAAAAUAAAGAUAAAUUAAUGAAUUAGAGAUUUAAUAGUAAUUUUUUAAAAAAAUAUAAUUUAAUGUUUUUAUUUUAAAUAAAAUAAUUGAUAAAGGAGAAUUUAAUUAUUUUUUAAUAAAAUCUUAAAUUUUAAAUGAAUAGUUAUAAAUUUGAAUAAAAUUAAACAUUUUCCGUAAUAAAAUUAAAGUUUUAAAAAAUAAAAUCGCAAUUUCAACAAGGAUUGAGAAAACCAUAUCUUUGUAAAUUGAAAAAAAAAAAGAGUCUAAUCAUAUUAAAAUUCCAAAAUUCGCUCGUGCACGCAUGUCUUAAUUUGUAUAAAAUGCAUGUGUAAACGUGCAUGAAGAAUUUGAGCAUGGAAAAGCAGCUAGUUUCGUACUGAGAUGCAAGCCUGCGUUCAUCCAAAAAAUAAUUUUUAUUUAUUUUAUUUUUAUAUAUAUUUAAAAAAAAUUAAUUAAUUUUUUAAUUAUAUUUAUUUUAAAAUUUUUAAAAUAAAAUUAAAUAGAAUUAUAAUAGUUAAUUUUCUAUAUUAUAAAAAAGAAAAGUGGAUAAUAAUUUUAAAAUAAUUGAAAAAGUAAAUAAAAAUUAUGAAAGGAGAGAAAUAAUUAAUUUAUAUAUAAUUUUAUUUUGUUUAAAUAAUUAUUUUAAAUAAAAUUUUUAAAAUUAAAAUAAUAAUAUUCUCUUAUUAUAAUCAAGAAAAUUAAUAAAAAAUAAAAUAAAUUAAAUUAUUUAAACUAUUAGUUUAAUAUUUUUAUAUUAUUAUGAUUAAAAUAUAUUAAAUAAAUAAAUUAAAUUUUUUAAUAAACUAUAAUUAACAUAUUUAAAUGUGUUUUUCAAUAACAACUUCAACACCCACAACUUAUUAGGAUUGCUCUCUAAUAUACAAGGAAACCUGUCCAAUUCUCUAACAUUUGCUUACAAGUGAAAUUGAAAUUUUACUAAACCUAUCUUAAAUUGGAUUGAAAUUGAAUCCAAUUAAUUUUGAUUGGUUCAAUCAAAUUUCAAAUGAAAAUAAAAAUAUUAACCCUAAAUUUAAUUAAAUCAAAUUAAAUGGAGGGAAAAUUAAACUAAAUAAAAUUAAAUCGAAAUUGAGAGCAAAAUAUAAGAGGACCCCUUUUAUUUGAUUCGGAGCCUCUAAAAAGCUUCGGUUGCGGUGGUCCAUGCUGCAGAUCGCAAACUAGAAUCCUUUGUAGGCUGCGACCCGCUGGCGAGGCAAAUGAAAAAUUUUAUAUCGCCGUUGCCGGGGAUCGAACCCGGGUCACCCGCGUGACAGGCGGGAAUACUUACCACUAUACUACAACGACUUACAUGUAAACUUUCAAUGACAUAUCUCUCAAAUAACAUGAUGGCCAGACAGUGAAUAUUAAAUUCACAUACUCGUGCAUUGAACUCGCGUAAAUUCCCAAAAAGAGAAUCUCACGUGCGGAUGAGGAGUUUAUCCACAUUUAUAUAGAUGACGAUGUGUCUUGACUCUAUCCAAUGAGGCAUAAGAUAUAGUAAUAUAAUGACCGUAAAUAAAAAUUAAAUAGAACUCUAUUUAUUUGUGCCUUUUGAGUUUAUCAAUAACAUGAAAAUUAAAUGGAUUAGACACCGAAUACGGACAAAGCUGCCUCCACAAUUAAUCAAGCAUAUUACCCCAUCCGCCAUAAAAAGAUUUACAUCUCAUGGAUUCAAUACUGGCUUAUGUAGUUGAACCACAGAAGUGGCUUUCAACCAUCUUAUGUAAUGAUCAAGCUUUUUAUGAAAAACCACUGUAAAAUAAAAUGCCAACAGCAGGACGACUCAAAUUCAAUUACAUUGUUUGCCCAUUCAUAAUUUUAAGUUAAGCAAUAAGCUGACACAAUGCGAUAAAUAAUUGAGCAUUCAUGGGUUAUUAAAAUGUGGGGCUUGAAUAGGACUCUAUUAACAAAUAUGCCUCAACAGCCUGCACUGCCUACCAAAAUGAUAGAACAGAUCCAUUUGUUUUCUACCCUCUCUUCUAAACAUCACUUUCAUGGCCUCCCCAAUUUUGUCCUCAAUAUAAGCCACAUGAUAUGUUGUGUCCAAUAAUUAUCUGAUCUUGAAAAUCACAGUUCCCACAUCCACAGCCGCAGGUUUUUUGCCAUGGUCAGUUGGUCGUCGACUAGUCUGUCUUUGUUCCUCACGUCGAAAUUGCCCUGUGACAUGAAAAGAAAGUGUAGUCAAGUAUUUGCACAAGGCAAAUGAAUGCAUUAUAAGUGGAAUGAAAUAUUUGCCUCAUUUUAUCACAACAUUAACAUUUCAACAAGAACAGGAUUAACAACUUACACAAAGCAGGUCAUGGAAAAAAUGAAAGCCACAAAUUCCAGAUCCCCUUUUGUAGCUAAAGCAAGAAUAUCUUCAUCUGGAUGUGCUGUCUCUAUCUUUCUACAAAAUAGCUUGACUUCUGAAAAUGAAGAGGUUCAUUUCCCCAAGAAGUCCACCCACCUAUCAUCUCUCUAGCAAACAGUUCAAUACACCUAGCAUGUUUAGGGCCUGGAACAUGCUCCAACAGCAACUCUAAAAGUCACAGAAUAAGAACUUUCAAAUUUCACUAAUUUUGUUGCAUUGAUCACAGUAGUUUGUAUAAACAACUUCAAAUUUUAUGCUUCUUUUUAAAUUAUGCAUUUUCUCCUAGCAUGUGCACAAGCAGGAAAAACCAAAUUCCAUGUCAACACUAGAUUACCUCCAAUUGGGGGCUUCCUUGAGUAAUCUCCAGGGAUACUUAUGAUGACUUUGUCACUCCAGCUUGACAUGUGUUCAGAAUUCCGGCCCUGAGGAAGUCAUGAGGAUAAGCAACUUACAGGUCACAAAGCUGUAGGAUCACGGUUUUAAGCCAAAUCCACCUUGUCUGUACUCUUACCUUCCCAUGACAGUACCCCAAAAGAAGGCAUUCAUAGGGCCUAUGGUGAAAGAGGUCUAAAUCACUAAUCAAUGAGCCAUCUGCUUUCACCUAUAUGACUUGAGUAUGACUAUAUCAGUGACAUGAUAUCUGUAAAGCAGCCUUCAAACAGAGUGCACACGUGUGUGUAAGAUAGAGAGGUCACCUUCAGCCAAUAAAAAGUAGCUGCAUAAUGGGCUCCCCAUGAGGGGAAUAGUUCUUUCUCAACAAAAUUACGCAAUUUCUCCCUAUUUGUCACCCAUAAGGCUAUAAGUGCUCCAUCUAUAUGAGCAAGUUGCUUAAUUGGAAGGGAUAAGAAAUAUCGAUUUGGCAAUGUAGGGUACCUGUAAUGUUUAGGGGAACAACAAAGUUGGUAGCUAUUAUAGACUAUAGCUAAUAGAAAAUUAGUUAAUUCUUUUGGUGAAAAAGAAAGGCAGUCGUGACCCAUACUGAAUACAAUAACUGCAGCUUAAAACUUGUUCCAGUGCAUAAUAUUAAGACUUUGCAACAGAUAGAUGCCACAGUUAAUUCUUUUUCAUGGGUAGCUUAAAACUUGUUCCAGUGCAUAAUAUUAAGACUUUGCAACAGAUAGAUGCCACAGUUAAUUCUUUUUCAUGGGUCGGAGAAGCGAAUUCUUUUUCCUCAUUCAUUUGCAACUCCACUCAUACUCACAUGCACACACACACACAAAAGAAAAAAGAGAAAAUAAAAUAAAAUCUGUUAAAAUCUAUAAAUAACUUGCCAAUAAACAACAGUAACAUCCAUUUGAGAAAAUUAUCAGGCAGCAACUGUCUUACCAGCUUAAUGAAAUUGUCAAGGUUAGUUACUGCUCUAACAUAUUAAUAGACCUGCCUUAUUUACAGAAGUUCUAUACAAAAAUGAAUUCAUAGAAUAUGUACACGAGUUAUCAGCAUAAACUUUACCAUUAUGAUGAGCCAGAAAAGCAUUUCAAUUUUCAAUUAUCACAAGAAAAAAUUACAUACAGGAGUUUCUGAGAAGCACUUGCAUUUUCCCAUGGCGGAUCAACCACUAUUAGAUUGAAGCCACAAUCAGAUUCAGCUGCAUUAAACCCAUGUGAGCAUCCCAUCAUUUGUAGAAUACAACUAGCAAAAGAUUUUAUGCAUAACCUAACAUUUUCAGUAGCAGCAAAUUAAUUUUCCCAGCAUCACAUAAAAUAGACAAAUACUAUAAAGAAUGGGGGCAAUGGUGGUGCAAUUAAUAAGAUCAUAGUGGCCCAGCUAAAAAUAGCAUACGUUUUCCAUGAGAAACAUAAUAGAUACUAUUCCUCAGCAGAAUGGAUAAACUUCAGCAUCUUAUAUUGUAUUGGUAUCCACCAAAACUCUUGGCAUUUUCUUUUCUUGCCACAAAGAGGUGAUAUCUAGGGUAACGACAAACUAAAACAUAUAAUUUAUAUGCGUGAAAAGCCAGGAUAGUAAUAUGAUGUCACAUUUCCAUGAAUACUAACAUGUUCACCAUUUGAGUCACUGAUCAACUGCACUCGUAAAGUUGAGACCUUAAAAUUUUUCAGCUUGAGAAAACAAAAUGAUUGCAAUUCAAGACUUAAGAAAGUGCAUCCAGUAGUAUAUCCAAUAAUUACCAGGAAUAAGGUUGUGAAUCUGCUCCAGGUCAGACUUCGACAUUAUCGAAAGAUAAGACAUGAAAGAAUAUGGAAGAAAACAACUUUAACAAUAUAGUUAAGUAGUUGGGCAUAAAAUAUGAAGCAUAUAAAACUAAACACUUAACAGUAUCAUGAUAUAUGAAAUGUAAAGGAGCAAGACAAACAAUAAAAUUUAUUUGCGUGAAAAGCCAGGAUAGAGAUAUGAUGUUACAUUUCCAUGAAUACUAACAUGUUCACCAUUUAAGUCACUGAUCAACUGCACUCGUAAAGUUGAGACCUUAAAAUUUUUCAGCUUGAGAAAACAAAAUGAUUGCAAUUCAAGACUUAAGAAAGUGCAUCCAGUAGUAUAUCCAAUAAUUACCAGGAAUAAGGUUGUGAACCUGCUCCAGGUCAGACUUCGACAUUAUAGAAGAUAAGACAUGAAAGAAUAUGCAAGAAAACAACUUUAACAAUAUAGUUAAGUAGUUUGGCAUAAAAUAUGAAGCAUAUAAAACUAAACACUUAACAGUAUCAUGAUAUAUGAAAUGUAAAGGAUCAAGACAAGCAAUAAAAUUUAUUUGGCUUCUCUUUUUAAAGGGGAAAAAUAAUUUAAAAGCCAGACAUACCAUGUAAAAGCAACUCUCUCUGGGUAAUAUAUAUUUCUCGUUUAAAAACUCUGCAUCUACAUCACUGAUGGUCUCAUUAACAACCAAAUUAUUAAAAACUGGAAUAAUUCUCUGGCCAUUGCAUUGAUCAAUUGGGGAACCUGAGAAACCAAUUAAAAAGGCACAUGGAAACCCAUACUGUGACUUUAGCCCAAUAUGUUUAGCAAAAAGGUUCGACAAGCAGCACUAAGAACUACUUCAGAUAUUAAAAUCUUAAAAAUAUGUAAGAUUUCUAGUACAAAACCCACCUACAUCUUUGCUUGGCUCGUGAUGUUUAGGAAAAUUAAGGGUAAUUUCGUAUAGAGGUGCUUGCCAAACGCGGCAAAGUUCCGUAAGCGCGUGCUCAUUGUGAUGUAGUGGUGCUUCUCUGCAUUCGAAGGGACAAGAUUCACUCCUUAAAUUUCUCAUAAUAGCUAAAAGAUCAGUAGCCGUCAGUAAGCAUUCCAAUGCCUUCAACAACAUAGGCCUCGCUUGCUGCCAUGGACACCAUUAUCAGAAUCAAACUAUAAUAAGCCCUAAUCCUAUGUCGAUUUGAAUCCAAUAAUAAAAAAAAUAGUUGAAAAUGCUUGCCCGGUGGCGCUGAUCAGCAGCUCGUUCUCUUUCGUUCAAGGAGUGAGGUUUCUUCUCUCUUCGCUUACGCUUCUUUGAACUGGAGGAGAGCUUAGUUUCAUGGCGGUCUUGACCAGAGCACUUGGAAUGGAAGAAACGAGAGUAGUAGGCAGUUGGAGAAACCCUAUGGCGGUUAUACGACAGAUUUAGCACCCGAACCGGGUCAAUAAAAACCACAUUUGAAUUUUCAAAUCGGUAUAUCCCUGAAUCCAAAAAUACAGAUAGCCUAUCGCUCGUUUUCGAUUCCUCCAUCGUCGAAAUCUCUCCUCUGUUUUCAGACAAAAUGGGAUGGAAAGGUUUCCGCCGUAUCAGGGAUGGAAGUGGUGCGGCGGCAGUUAAAAAGGGAUUGCGGAUGGCCUUGUUUCGGAGAAAAAACCAUACGACUGUCGUUAACACAGAAGCAUAUAAGAAAAGAAAAAAUUACUAAUAUGCCCUUAAUUUUUAAGAAAUUUAUUAAUUUUUUCUUUAAUAUCAACUUUAUAUCCGAACAAAUUGAUAAAUAAUUUUUUUAAAUGGCUCAAAAUAUGAAUUUUUUGGGUUUAUUAUUUUCAUUACAGUUUUUUUUCUUAUUUAAUUUAUCGUGGGAAUUAUGAUGUUACAAUAUUUUAUUUAAAUUAAAAAAAUUGAUUGAAAUUAAUUAAUUAAAAAUUUUAAUUUAAUUUUUAUUUAUUUUGAUCUGAUUUUUAAUUUAAAAAAUUUUGAUUAUUUUAAUUCAAUUUAAUUUUAAUAAAAAAAUUAAAAAAUCGAACUCAACCCAUUAAUGAUAAUAGUAUAUUAAAUAUUUAAAAUUAUUAAAUAUAAAUAUUAAAUUAUAUUAAAUUUAAAAUAUUUUAAUUAAAUUUUAAAAUAUUAAAAAUAAAAUAUAAAAAAUAAAAAAAUUAUUAAAAAUUUAAAUUGAUAAAAUUAAAUCGAAUCGAAUUGAAUCAGACCAAUUCGAUUUGAUUCAAUUUCUAAUCAAAAUCAAUUUGUUUAGAUUUUUAUAAAUAUUAAAAUUUUAAUUUUUAAUUUAUUUAGUUUCAAACCAAUUGAAUGAUCACUUUUAAUAUAAUGUAGAGCAAGAAAGUGUAAAUAUAAUAAAAUAAAAUAAAAUAAAAUAAAUAAAAUAGUUUAAUACUAUUUAAUUUAAUUUUACGUAUUUUUUUAUAAUUUAAUUUCCAUGAUUUUAAUAUUUAGAAUUAAGAAUUGUACACAAUGAGUAUGUAAAUUUAAUUUAAUAGUAGUUAUUUAAUUUUUUUUAUUUAUGUAAAUUUGAGCUCAUAUAUUAAUUAACCAUUUAAUCUUUUCAAUGUUAAAAAUAAAUUAAUGGUAUUUAAUGGAGCUUGCACAAUUUAUCCAAGUGAACAUAUAAAUUGGUGGUUUAAUUAUUGAAAUUCAAAUGUUAUAAAGAAUUUAAUAUUGAAUAGCUUAAAUUUAGGGAUUUGAACUCCAAAUUUUGAUCAUUACAAGUUUGUCAAAAUCUUGUUGAUUAAGAUUUUGCUUAUGCGCAUCGUAUCUUGACCGAGCGCAGCUAUCAAGUUAGAUUUUUGGAGCGAUUAUUUAUUUAUUUAUGAAAAAAAUAAAAAAAUAAUUUUAUUAUUUUUACUAUAUGUGAUUAAUUUAAAAAUUGCUGAUAUUUAGUAAAUACAUAAAUACCAUAAAAUAUUAUUUUAUAAUAAAAUAGAAUUAAGUCACAUAUUUUAAAAAGAAAAAUCAAUAAAAAUUAUAUUUUUAACAUAAAAAAAAAUAAUUAAGUUAUUAUUAAUUUUAAAUUCUAUGGAGAGUAACUUAAAGUUUUAUUAAAUGACAAAGUUAGGUUAAAGACGAAAAGAUCUGUUUAUGAAAAUUUUGAUCACAAUCAGUGAAAUUUAGAGGUUAGUAAAUAUGGAAAAUUAUUUUAUUUUUGUAAUAAAAAAAUUGUUGUAAUUUUAUAAAUUUAAAUUUUAAUGGAUUAAUAUAAAUCAGUAGCAAAUAUAAUUAUGUAUACAGCUUUAUAAAUCAAACCAAAUCUUUUUCCUUUUUUUCUUCAGGUUUUCCCAAGAAAAAAAAAGUAAAAAAAAUCCUCAAAAAUCUAUUUUUUUUUUCAAAAUAAGCUAAAUUUCUUUGUCUGGAAUAAUAAUUUUACAAAAAUUUAAAUUAAUUUAAAUUAAAGAACUAAAAUUUUUUAAUGAAAAAAAUUAUAUAAUUUAUAAUAAUUUUAAAUAAGUCAAAAUUUCAACUGCAAUUGUCUGAGAAUUUGGAGAUUCUGCCCAUUGCACGUAACUGAUCCUAUAAAAUCUUUGCUGAUCAAUCAAGAAAAAUUUCCUAUUGUGAACUAAUUAAAGAUAGAAAUUUCUAAGAAAGUACGAGCCCAUUUGCAGUGGGGUCUCUGAUGAUCUCAGCCAAUGAUGAAAUACCACGUAGUGAUGUUUUAGUGGUAUGAUGACGCAGCCGGCCAGAGCAUGAAGCCCCACCAAAAUUCUUACCGCACGUAAAUCUAUAAACACAAAUAUGUAAUUAAUGUAUUUUUAUAACAAUAAAUAAGUCGUCAACUUAUUUUUAUAAGUGAGUUUAUUAUGAUUUUAAUCAAUAUAUUUUUAUAUAAAAAAUAUUUUAUAAUUUUAUUAAUUUUUUAUUUAAUUUUAUAUUUAAAAAAUAUCUAUUAGCAUCAUAUCAUUUAUAAAUAAUAAUAAUUUCCAGAUUUAUGUUAAUAUGAAAUUUAUAUUUUAUUAUUUUGAUAUAAAAUAUAUCAUUUAUAAAUAAUAAUAAUUUUUAAAUUUAUAUUAAUAUAAAAUUUAUAUUUUAUUAUUUUAAUAUAAAUUAAAUCACAAAUCUAAUAAUAAAUUAUAUAUAUAUAAUAAAUUUAUAAAAAAAAAUUUAUUAUGCUUUCCUUUAUUUUAAAUUAAAAAUUAAAAAUAAAAGUUGAAUACGAGAUCUCUCAAUUUUUAUAAAUAAAUAUAUAUAUAUUUUGGUUGAUGAAUGUAUAUACAAACAAAUUUCCAUGGCUACAAUUGCUAACUGUGUGCUUAACCAUGGUUAACCAACAGUGGCACUUGCUUCACUCGCUCUAUAAAUACUCGGCCAUUUGAGUGAGGAUGAAGUAACGAGGAAGUGAUUAGCUGCUUCAGUUUGGGUUGCUUUUAGAAGGUGAGAGCUUGAGCUUAUCAUUAGUUGAUCGUUACCCUUAUGCAGGUUUCAUUGAAUAUUAUUGUAUAUUCUGGGUAUUCUUGUUCUUUUACUUUAUUUGAUGCAAAUCUAGGUAAAGGUGAUAAUUGUUUUGUUUGGUUGAUGGGAAAAUAAAGGAAAAAGAGAAUUUACAAUGAAGUUCAGUGGAAAAAGGGCAAAAGAAUAUUCCGACUAGGCCAGUGUUUGGUGAAAGUUUUGGGUUCUUUUGGGUCCCAGGAGGAAGGAACUAUGGAAGUUUCAUUUUGUGCUUUAUAGUAGUUUCUUUAUCUUUUCGUUUUCUUUUCCUUCAGAAACCAAACGAAAAUUGGUCCUCAUUGAGCUUGAUUGUGUGUCUAGAAUUGUUUUUUCUUUGAUCUUGAUUGUUGGGUUUUGAUUUUGCGCAACAGAUACAGAAUUUGCAGCUUCAACGAGUCUACCAGGUAACCUGCGAAGCCUUUUUCAUAUUAAUUAGUGUAAGGUACAGAAAAGAAGUUUUGAUGGUAAUGGUCGGCUGAGAUUUAUGAUUUCAUUCCCGUCAUAGACGGAUUUUUAAGAUUUUUUUUUUCAUUCGCUGAUGUCCUUCAUUUUCUCAUAGAUCAAGUGGUAAAUUGCUCACAGUUGGCUGUGCUUAUUUGAACUUGACUAUUAGGAUUUGGAUUCCUGGGAAGUGAUUGAAUACUUCCAUGUCAUGUAACUUUUAUCGUGAAAAUUUUACAGAUAUUUGUCCUCAUUCUUCUGAUUGGAAUUUUGAGUCAUAAACUCCUUAAUCAAUUCACAGUUAUCUGAUCAAAUUGGGUGUAGAAACACUACUUAUCCUUGAAAUUGAGCCAUUUUUAGGUAUCUCUAAUAAGAUAUUGCUGUCUUUUUCUGGAAAUUUCAGCAAUUGAAUUUCCAUCUCAGCCUCAGAUAGGGGGUGCUUGUAUGAGUUUUCUUCAGUGGGCUGAGAUCAAUGGUUAUGAAAUCAUGACUAUGCAACUAGCUAUUAUACAUUAAUUAAAACAUCAAUCUCACUCUUCCAAUAGAAUACAAUGGAUUGAAAUCUUUGUUAUAUUUGGAUCUUGAGAGUGCUAGCUACCCUGGCUUUCAAAAUUUUAGCUUUCAUAUUCCAGUCAAUCCUUGUAUUAAAGUGAAUUUAUUUUAUUUAUUCCUUUUGUUUUUUGCUUCUCUUUAUCUAUCUAUACAUUUUCAUUGCAGUGAAUGCUGAUAACUGAAUAGAAAUGUUACUUUGUUAGGAAUUGAUGCACUUGCGCUUUCAUGAAUGAAUUCUACCCAUGUGUUGAAACUACUAAUGCAUAGUUCCUUGACUGUAUAAUUUAUAUUUUUCAUAUGUUUUCUAUGAGUGGUAAACUAUUUGAUAGUAGAUGAUUUGGCAUCUCAUUUUCUUAUUUGGCUUUUACCACUUUGCUGAUUUCCUCUUUGCAAUUGGCAUAGGAGGAGAUUCAUAAUGCGUCCUUCAAUUGCUUCUCUUCCUGAAAUUGAUUUUGAUUGUGCUGAUGAGGAGAUCUUUAUCUUUUUGGAGAAAAUGGCGGGUGGAUACCCUCUUCCAGGAAAUGUGAUUACUGAUGUCAACCCAUACAACUAUCCACCAUCAAAUUUACCAGGUAAGACUAAAUUUUCUUUCAAAUGAGAUGAUUGCAGUCGGAUAAUUUAAAGCAUUCAACAAUAUAGUGCAAUUUACAUUUUUUAUUGUGAUCUUAAUAAUCAAGCAUAUUUAACCUCCUUCUGCUUGGAAAUUGUCAAUUAACACCAUAUAGCUUGGACAUAUUUUCUUGAUUCCCAAGUGAUUAAGUGAAUCAGUUGAAUUGAUCCUAAUCUAGUAUGCAAGAAGCCAUAUGAAGCAAAAGCCUUAGUCACUGUACUUCAUUGUCUAAGUUCAUCAAAUUUCUCCUUACACUGGCCUUCCUGGGUUUUUCCUUUGGAUAGUCAACCAAGUACGAAUAAUGACAAGCUAGAUUGCCAACAAAAAAGAAAAAGCUGACAUCUGUUAUUUAGCUUGACAUUACAAUACCAAAACCAAUAAGUAUGCUUGUUUUUGCAGAUGGAAUUUGGUACUUGAUUCACUCCAAGGAGAAUGGGGCUAUGGAAUUUGGAUGCUGGAAGGUUAAAGGGGAAGCCUGUAAGCUAUUUUCGAACUCUGACAUCACUGGUUGGAGGACAACUCUUGAAUUUUUUGAGCGUCAAGUGCACCACGAGUGUAAAACUGAUUGGGUGAUGCAAGAGUACUGGAUCACUCAGAAGGGGCCAGGUGAAAACAGCAAGUUGAAGGUACUUAAUGGAAUGUGCUGGCUCUCUAUGCUUUAGAUGACUUUUUUUUUUUUUAUUUUCCUUCUCCUCCCAACCUGCCAGUCAACUGCCAGUUUGGUUGGACAUUUUGCAGGAAGCCAGUUCACUAUGCAGGGUCUUUCUUGGCGGUGAACAAGGUCUAGAUCAUAAAAAGCAGCAGAAAGUGUCUAGCCUCCAUAAUGCAUGUGAAAACCUCGUUCACUCAACAAAAGCAACUGUUCCAAAGGCUCGUGAUGAUGCUAGCAAUGGUUCCACAAGCAAACCUGAGGUUUGUCAGCUGUAAUUAUGGGCUUUAUAUUUGGGUGAUCGAGUUGUAUACUGCACCAUUUCCUUGCCAGUAGAUUUUGUUUAUAUUCCCUUAAUAUCAGUCGGUACACCGAAUUUGCACCGGCUUUUCUCAGGUCAUUACGUUUUUUGGAAUGACAGAGUUAUAACCUUUGACUUCUUGUUUUCACAAGAGAAUUACUCCACUUAAAACAUAGUGAUGACGUUGUUUUAUUAUUGGGCAGGAAGGGAAGUUUUUUAGAGUUUCAAGUCCUAUGAAUGAAUACAUUUUGGAGAUGAACAACUUUUCACAUAAGUUUUCACCAAAAAAUUCAUACUGACUACUUCAUUUUCACAAGGGAAUUACUCCACUUACAACAUAAUGAUGGUGUUAAUUUAAUUAUUGGGCAGUAAGGGAAGGUUUUUAGCAUUGCAAGUCCUAUGAGUGAUUACAUUUUAGAGCUGAACAAUUUUGCACAUCCCAACCUAAAAUUUUAUGUCAUCAGUAUUCCAAGUGCUUGAAUAUAGCUGGGACAUUAAAAUUGUUGUUGCAGCAGUCACUCUUUAUAGCUCAAGUUAUUCCAUGAUAGGAAAUAUUGGUUAACUAAUGCAUUAAAAGUUAUUGCAGAAUCAAAAUUCAGAAAAAUCUUUAUUUUUUUCUGCUACGAAGUGAGAUGUCAUUAGUACUAAUAUGAAUUUCAUAAUUCAAUACACAGCUAAAAGACUUGACUAACAAAAAUCUCAAGGAGUUAAAUGCAAGUACAAAACAUAUAGAGACAGCUUAUCUGUCAUGAAGUACAACCAAAGAAAAUAUAAAUUGAUGAAAAGUUUUUAUAACAAAAAAAGCAUAGCAACCUUUUUUGAAGAAGUUCCAGAGAGUAAGGGUUAUAAACACAAAGCAGAAGGAUUGACAGCCUAGCCUAGCGUUUUGAGCAUGAAGAAGAAUAUAUAGGAUAAAAAUUUCUGGCUUUCAACCGUGUAGGGAAAAAACAUUGCUUGGAUCAUACCUGUAACAAGGUCCCUUAUUUCACUCUGUUUUACUAGUCUAUAGUUGCUCUGCAACAUCAAAAUUUUGUUUUUAUAUCAUGCCUCUCGUGAGUUGAAGGUAGUAGUGUUAUUGUAGGUGGAUGGAGAUGCUGAAACAGGAAACUUGGCUGUGGCAGGAGAACCUCCAUUUUAUCUGGUAGGAAACCCACCAGAAAUUGACUAUAUUUCCAGAGGAGACUUCUUGGAACUGCUAGAUCUUGAUAAUCCAGCAUCGCCUUCUUCAAGUUCGGAUGAUUCAAGUUGUUUGACCUCAUCAUCAGAUGAAUGUUUUGACUCGUUGGCUUUGCUGCAAGAACUAGAUUCUGAAAUUAACUGGCACUCUGCACAGAAGAAUGAAAGUUGCAAGUUCAGUGUCUCUGCAUCCUUCAGACCAAAUGAGGUGGUUAUGGCUCCAAUAUCUCCAGGUUUGUCAAAUAUUUUUUUCAUCUCUUGUUAUUAUAAGUGUUUUCUUGAUCUGUAUUUUCUUCCAGUAUUCCAAAUUUUACUGAAAAUCCUAAUUGAUAGUUGAUAGUGAUACUGGAAACUUUAUAGUCGUGCUGAACACAAGUGAUUUAAAUAUAUGUAAUAGCUGAUUUCUCCGGCCAGUGCAAUCAAUUUGUGGAAUUGUUGCAUAGCCUAACACUGUCUGAAACAUGUAGCAAUACCAUAUAUUUGACUGAUAUCCAGCAACACUUUGUUUUUUCAGAGGACUUGAGUGAUUGAAUGAUAUAUAUUAGAAUCUUCAUUCCCAGUGAGUCAGUAGUUAUCUCAUUUUCCUCUUUGGUAGCUAAAAGAAACCACGAGACACGGUGAGAUUAAAUGCCAAUGAUAAUAAAUAGAUAUAAAUAUUAUCAUGUAAUUGAAAUUAUCCUUCUGUAUAGCCAUGGUGAGUGUUAGUGCCAGUUACAGAGAGAUCUAAAUAUUAUUAUAUAGUUGAAACUGUCCUUAUAAAGGUGCUUUAUGUGUUUUCUUUUCAAUUAUGUAUGUUGUGCUCUCAUGGAGUUGAUGUUUCUGUCUUGGAUUGAGUUUCUCGUUUAUGCUUUAACUGGGAAAAUGAAGUCACGUUUUCACACAGAUAAUUUCAUUUCACUAAAACCCCUUUUUUCUUUUCUCGGUCCAAGAGCGAUGAGCCCUUCAGCUACUCUGCAGGAGGUAGCUCUCCCGCAGUCAUAAAUCCCCUCUCUUCUUAUUCUAAUGAUUCAAACCUGGGCUUCAAAUCGCAACUCCAAGUUUUGACCAUUGGACUGUCGUUUAGGAACCAGAAAAUAUUUGCAUACAAGAAGCCAAUUAAGAGUGUUUUUAUUUCUUUGCAACAGGAACUUCUUUUAGCAUUGAAGAAAGCAAGCCACCUACUGAAGAACUUGUUGGAACUAAUCCAUCCGUACUACCCACUUUGGCUAAUGACUCUAAUGAUCUAGAUAAUAGAGUUUUACAGCAUACAGUCAGAAACCACAAUGCAGAUAACACGGCCGGAGGUCCAUCAAAUUCUAGUGAUGUAGGCACAUCAUCCAGUUGCCAGCUUCCGUCUCGAGAUGGAAAAAGGAAAGUUUCCAAGUUGAGGACGAAGAAACACAAGAAGUAUCUGUGCUUCAUCCCAUUUUCCUUCCUCUUCUAAUAUCACAAUGAUAGCUUCAUAGCUUAUGUACGUUAAGUAAAUAAUUUUAUCAUUAUUAUCAGGUGGGUUAGUGUUAUUCUGUGCUUACUUUAGUAUAUCCCAAAAGUGAAAGGUUAGGGACAGAAGACUAUAUAUAGGGAGGUCAUUAUGGUUUACUUUCUUUUCAGCUGACUAAUGAAUUUCAGAUAGGACGCUGAAGCAGCAAUAGCAUUCUGAUAUUGAAGAAAGAGAUUGGAUAUUGAUUGUUAUUUGUAAGGAUAAAUGCAUCCUUUGCAUUAUACUCUUAUAAGUUGUAAGCUUUCUGUUCAUGUAUUGAAGGCAACAUUUGUAAUAGAACAUAACUACUAUUUUGUUUAGCUUUGAGUGUAUUGUUUGCUGCUUUCUCAUUUUAUUGGCAAUGAUCCAUCUCAGCCUGUGGGCUAUGGCCUCAUGAGGAAUUUAACACUUCUUGAUAAUGGGCCUGGCCUUUUAGCUAAACCUUUUCACAUUAUUCAUUGAGCUGAUCUAGACAGAUAUAGAAAUUCGCAUAUCAUGUGAUUUCAAGAGAGAGGAUAUAAUAUCCUCUUAUAAAAAAACUAUGCUUUCAAAAUCUAUAGAGCAGGGCGUUAGAAGCUUGGAUUGACAAAUAGGAUUUUUUUUCUUCUUCUUUUUUGGCCAAUGAUGAAUAUUAUUGACAACAAUAAUGGGAGCAGUCAGUCCUUCUCAUGAUAUUGCCUCUACAAAUCUUUUCCCUAAUUAAAACCAACCAACUUCACCUAACAAAAAAAUAUAUAAAAUUUCAGGAAUCAAACUGUGCGACACAAAUGAAAGAAACAAAAGGGACCCUUCACCUACUUCAUCUUCAUGCACAUCUCCAUUUAAUCUAAAGCUUCAUUUUAGUUUUUGGGGUUAAAAGUCAAAUCUCCCCUGCUAUGGAGCAUUAACAUGUUCAUCUAGCUUCAUACUCUCUCUUGUUGAGAUAUGAUACCUAUUAUAAACUGUACACUAUACUCCACGGCCGUGAUUUAUACUGAAUUGGUCGAAAUGUUGGAAAAAGGUCGGGAUGUAGGACUUUUUCCACGCUGAAUUGAUCGGCAUGUGAAAUAAAUUGUUUUAGAAUUAUUUUAUCUUUUUAUAUUUUUUUAAUAUAUAAAUAUAUAAUAUUCUCUAAUGUCNNNNNNNNNNNNNNNNNNNNNNNNNNNNNNNNNNNNNNNNNNNNNNNNNNNNNNNNNNNNNNNNNNNNNNNNNNNNNNNNNNNNNNNNNNNNNNNNNNNNNNNNNNNNNNNNNNNNNNNNNNNNNNNNNNNNNNNNNNNNNNNNNNNNNNNNNNNNNNNNNNNNNNNNNNNNNNNNNNNNNNNNNNNNNNNNNNNNNNNNNNNNNNNNNNNNNNNNNNNNNNNNNNNNNNNNNNNNNNNNNNNNNNNNNNNNNNNNNNNNNNNNNNNNNNNNNNNNNNNNNNNNNNNNNNNNNNNNNNNNNNNNNNNNNNNNNNNNNNNNNNNNNNNNNNNNNNNNNNNNNNNNNNNNNNNNNNNNNNNNNNNNNNNNNNNNNNNNNNNNNNNNNNNNNNNNNNNNNNNNNNNNNNNNNNNNNNNNNNNNNNNNNNNNNNNNNNNNNNNNNNNNNNNNNNNNNNNNNNNNNNNNNNNNNNNNNNNNNNNNNNNNNNNNNNNNNUUAAGGUAAAAAAAAAAAAAAAAACUUUUCAAAAAAAUGUUAUUAUAAAAGUUGUUUUAUUAUUUUGGUGUAAUUAUAAUUAAUCUAUUGAGAAAAAUAUAAAAAAUUAUCUUAUAAUUUCAUUUAAUUUCACUUUACAAUCUAUAAUUUAACUUGUAUUAAAAUAAUAUUUAGAGUAUUAUAUAUUUUUUAAUAAAUAGUGAUAAUUUUUUUAUACCAUAAAUAAAUGUGUUGAUUUAAUACUGUAAUUUUAUUUAUUUUUAUUUUUAAAAUUUAUAAUUUAAUUUAUUAAAUUAUUAUUUUAUAAUAUGUGAUAUUAUAAAUACUAAUUUGAUACAAUUUAAACUUAGUCGGAAAAUAGAUAAAAUAAAACCAUAUAAUUUUUUUUUAACUUUCCCUUAAAUUAUAUUUAAAAAUUUAAAUAUUGAUAAUUAAUAUAUUUUAAAAAUACUAAAUAAAUAAUUUAUUUACAUAAAAAGUCAGUUAAAUACUCUAACAUUUUCAUUUUAAUUUUUGACACUUAUAUUUUAUAAAAAAAAUAAUUAUUUAAUUCUUAAACUUUGUUAAAAAAUAAUUAUUAAACUUUUACAUAUGAAUAUGAAUUAUAUGUAUUCUAAAUUUUUAAGAAAUUAAAUAAUUAUAUUUUAUAAUAUUUAAGUAUUAAAUAACUAUUUUUUAUAAAUAUUAAGUGUGAAAAAUUAAUAAUAAAAUUAAAAUACCAACUAUUUUAUAUAAAAAUUACUAAACUUACAAUUAAAAGCUAUGGAUGAAGUGGGAGAAUUAAUGUAUUUAAAAGGUGGAGCCAGUGAACAGUCUGCUUUACCCAUCACUGCCUAUUGUGGGGUCUAUCUGGUGGCCGGUCCCACCACCUUUUGUGGGGUCUACCUGGUGGCCGGUCCCACCACCAUCAUCCCAUGGCAAUCGUGGAAAUAUAAUUCUUGCAAACAUUACCAUUGGAUAUUGCUAAAUUAUGAAAAAAAAAAUUUCCUUCCAUAAUUUUUAUUUAUUCUUUAAUUAUUUUAAAAGUAUUAUUUAUUUUCUUUUUUAGACUAUAUUAAUAAAAAAAUUAACUAUUAUAACUUUAUUUCAUUUUAUUUUAUUUUUAAUAAAAUUUUCAAAAUAUUUUUUAAUAUUUAAUAAAAUUUAAUAUAAAUAUAAUUAAAAUUUUAAUAAAAAAUAUGUAUAAAAAAAGUGGAGUUAUAAAAUUAUGAUUUAAUUAUAAAAUUAGUGAAUGAAAUUGUUAAUAAUUAUAAUAUCUAAAUGUUAAAAUAAUAAUUUAUCUUAAAAUAUUAACUAUAAAAGCUUUUAAAAUAUGUGAUGAUUUUUUUUUAAAAAAAAAAUUUAUAAAAAAAUAUAGAGACUCAAAUCUAGAAUAAAAUUUGGUGUUUUAACUAUCAAAUUAAUUUGAAUAAAUUUAAAUAUUAUUAAUAAUAAAACUUUAAAAUUAAAUAAUAAUUUUCUCUCACAUUAAAUGCAUGAUUACUAUAAAAAGAAAGGUUCAAAGAUGAUAGUGGUCUAUGCUUGGCAAAGACAUGACUAACAAAGUAGCACAAUAGUCAACAAAUUCAGCUACGGUCAAUAUCGAUAAUUUCUCCAUUCAGACAAGAGCUUCUAUAUUAAAUAUGUGAUGCUCUAAACACUUUGAUCAAUCUAGACACGAUCAUGUUAGGAAUCAAAUUGAAAUUAGACUGCUUAAUUAAUUUUAAUUUUUAAAUUAAAUUGAAAUUUUAAAUUUGGAGAUCCGUUAUUAUUUUUUGUGUGAGUUUUUAGUUUAAUUUUUUUUACUUUUAAAUUAAAAUUAAAUUGACCAUUUAUAAUUAAAUUUUAUUAAAAAUUAAAAUCAAAAUUAUUUUAAAUGAGACUAAUUUUAAUUUAAAAAUAAAUUAAACUGUUAAUUUCCAACUGAAAUCGAUCAAUGGGAUCAACAGCUAAAUUGCUCUACAAUAGUUGAUUGAAACUUGACGACGGAUUUUAUGAAGUGGUUCUGGUUGAUCAUGUGCAUGGUAUGCCCUGCUGCUGCUGCUGCUACCCACGCGAUGCAGCAUCUUAUUUAUUUAUUUAUUAUAUAUAUUAAAAAAAAGAGCUAAGGUGCUCAAAAAGGUCCACUCUUCUUUCAACAAUGUGAUCAUUACUUGUGUGUAAUGCAAACCUGUUUUGGCAAUAAAAAGAAAAAAAAGUUAUUAUUAUUUUAAUAUUUUUAUGAUUAAAUCAUGUUAAAAAUAAUUUUUAAUCGAUGUUUAAUAUUACAUAUUAUUAAAAAAAUAAAAUAAUAAAAUUUAAGUCAUAUUAAAAAUCAUUCUUAAAAUUUAUUUUAUAAUUUUUAUAUUAAAUAGAUUUUUCUUAAAUUUAAUUUAUAAAAUCAUAACAACAACAAUUUACUUUUAAUUUAUAAUUCAACAAAAAAUAAUAAAAAUAAAAAAUAAAAAUAAAAAAUUUUUAUUCUUUAUCUAAAAAUAUAAAUUAUUUAUAAUAAAAAAAAUCACUAUAAAUUAUUAUAAAAAUAUUAAGAUAAUAUAAUUAAAUUUAUAUAAAAUCAUAACGAUUAAAUUUAAUAUUAAAUUAAAAUAUUAAAUAUAUUAAAAAAAUUAUAAAUAAAAUUUUUAACUGCUAUAAAAUUUUAUAAAGUGAAAUAAUUAUAUUUAAAAUUUAAAAUUAUUAAAAAGAUUAAAAUUAAAUAUUCAUUAAUAAAUUAAAAUUUUUUAAAAUAUAAAUUUAUUUUUAAAAAAUCUUUCACAUAUUUUAAAUAAAUUUUCACGGUUAAAUUUAAAAUUUAAAUGUAUAUAUUUCAAAUAUAACGCGUUUUAGACUAUAAGUGUUUAUCUUAACCGUAACUUUAAUAGAAAUAUCAAAUAGGUUCUAAAAAAUUUUCAACUUAACAGAUAGAGUUACCACGGAGACGAUCCGACGGCUGAAAAUUUUAUAAUCCGAAAUUGACGGUUGAUGUUAGCUCUAUUGUGGCGGGAAAAUCUGGUGGGAAAGAGAUAUUAUUAUUUUCUUUAAUUUUAUUUAUUAUUAGUUUUUUUUUUAAAUUAUCCGAGAUGAAAAAUUAUAAAAAAGAAGAAUUGAAUUGGGAAUCCCAUGUAGACCGACGGCAGCUAGCGGACUGUCUACUCAUGGACCCCACAGAUUUUUUUCUUUUUCUUUUUUUUAUUUUUUUAUUUUGAGUUUGGCGGGGUUCGUUACGAUCCAUUCUUUUGACGUUACUUUCUCUCUCCUGCGGUUCCUUCCUUGGAUCAACGGAUGUCCCUAAAAAAAGAAGCUCCGUUAUCUUUCUACGCAUAAUUACCAAAACGACCCCGCUUUCUCACUUGCUUCUCUUACUUAAAAACUUAAAAGUUUUGCAAUUUUAAUUUAAUUAUUCUUUAUUUUUAAAUUUAAAAAUAAAAACCAAAAAUUCUAGUUUUUUAAAAAUUAAUAAUAAAAAAUCUAUAUUUUUAAUUUUAUUAAAAUUAUACUCUAUAUUUUUUUAUCAAUUAAAAUAUAAUAUUUUAAAAUUAAUUUAACUGUAUUCUAUUAUUAUUUAUUUCAUUAAAAACUAAUAAAAUUAUUAUACCACUCGGCAUAUUAAUAUCACAUUAAUAUAUUAUGUCUCUAAAUUUUAAAAUAAAACUAAUAAUAAUUUAAAAAUUAAAAUAUAAUACAUUAAUAUAUUAUGUCUCUAAAUUUUAAAAUAAAAUUAAUAAUAAUUUAAAAAUUAAAAUAAAAUUAGGAUAAAACUAAAAGUAUAAAAAAAAUUUAAUAAUUAUUUAUUUUAUUAAUAAUUUUUUUAAAAAAUAAAAAUUGAAUUUAUAAUUUUAGAUAAAUUAUAUAUUUUACUUGAAAUUUAAAAAAUUAAUUUAAAAAAUAUCUUAAAAAAUUAUUUUAUUAUUUUUAUUAUUUCAAACUAAAUCAUGUUAAAUAUUAUUUUUAAUUACUUUUUAAUACUUAUAAUUAAUAUAUUUAGUAAGAUUUUUUUAAUGAUAAUUUUAAAAAUAAUUUUAGAAUAUUAAAAAAAUCGAUUAAUAAUAAUUUUAAAUAAAAUAAAAUUAAAAUAAAUUAUUAUUAUAAAAUUAUUAAUAAAAUUAAAAAAAUAAUUAAUAAUAUAAAUUAUAAUUUUUAAAUAUAUUUAAUAGUAAAAAAAAUUAAGUUGUAAGUUUUUAACUAUAUAAAAAUGAAAAGGGAUAUAGUUUAAUUGAUAAAAGAUAAAAAUAUACGAUAGAAUUAUAACAAAAAUAAAGUAUAAAUUUUUUUGAUAGUUAAUUUUAAAUUUUGUUAAUGUGAUGAGGUGAUGUAACAAUUUAAUGAAAUUUUAAAUGACACAAAUAGCAGUGGUACAAUUUAAAUAAUUUUAAAAAAUUAAAUUAUAAUUAAUAAAAAGUAUAGAAUAUAAUUAUAAUAAAAUAAAAAAAUAUAGACUUAACGAUUUUUUUAACUAAUUUAAAAAAUCAAUAAUAUGAAAAAAGUGUGAUAUUAUGAAAUUAAUUAUUAUUUAUUUCACAAAAUUUAUUUCAAAUGAAAUAAUGGAUUUUCUAAAUGACUUAAUCACAUACAACUUUUAAAAUUAAUUUAAUAAUAUAAAUUUUAAUAAAAUAAUACUUCUAUAAUUUUUAUUAUUUUUAGUUUAUUAUUUUAAAAUUAUUAUCUAUUUUUUAGACUAUAAUAAUAUAUAAUUAAUUAAUAUUAUUUUAUUUUAUUUUUAAUUUUUUUAAAAAUAUUUUUUAAUAUUUAAUAAAAUUUAAUAUAUUUAAAAUGGAUAUAAUUAAAAAAUAAUAAUUUUAAUAAUUUUAAUAUAUAAAAAAUAAAAAAUUAUAAGGCAGGGAAAGUAUUUUUUAAUUUACAAUUAUUUAAUAAAUAGAAAAUUAUUUUUUAAAAAAAAAGCAAAGGAAAGGGUAUUUUUGUCAUUUGAUAAUUCCCCAUCACCCCACCAGAACCGGUAGUCAAGGGGUCAACCAAUGUAAUGCAAAACCGGCUGCCGGGUUUUCCCGCAACUUAAAACGUCCCCUCCAAUUGCAUGAUUAACGUAACUUCUUUCCUGGGAUACGUGGCGACGUUCCAUUGGUCCGUUCAUCUCCGUCGGGAUCCAUAGCAAACAAUCAAUGAACAAAACCAGUCACUCUUGUUCUCCUCUCUCACAUAUAUAUUUUUUAUAAAAAAAAAAAAACACUUCCUCUUUCAUAAUUCUGUGUUUUUUCUCUCUCAGAAAAUCGCAAAUUUCUUCUCAAUUUCUCUCCCUUUUGUCCCCGAAACCUCCGUAAACCUUCUCAGCAAUACAUGAUCUUCAUUUCAAUUCUAGUUUCGAGUUUUGAUUAUCUAAUUUUAACCCAGUUUUUAUUGACUCACUGAGUUGGAAUAGAAAUAAUGCUCGAGGCUAUGGAGAGUUCAGUCAAUGGAGGAUUCUCGCAUUUACAGAGCUGUGGAGACAGCAGCGAGGAGGAACUCUCUGUGUUGCCUCGUCAUACUAAGGUGGUGGUGACCGGAAAUAACAGGACUAAGUCGGUGCUUGUGGGUCUUCAGGGAGUAGUCAAGAAGGCUGUUGGUCUUGGCGGUUGGCAUUGGCUGGUAUUUGCUUCGACUUAUUUUGGGUAUUUCAGUAAAUGGGAGGAUUGAUUUUUGGGUUGUAAUGUAAAUUUUUAGUGUGUUUUACGCCUUGAAAUUUUUUAAACUUUUAUUUUGUUGUGUUUAUAUGGCGUGUUAUGGCAAUGUGGGUCAAUUUUAACACUUUCGCUUUUGAUUUUCGUAGUGGGAUUUUGUUUUUAUCAUCAAGUGGUUUUGGUUAAUUUGAAUUUUGUAUUCUUUGGGGCUCAUCUAUAAGUUCAAAUUUGGGUAUCAUUUUCAAAGUUAAUCUUCUUAAUUUCAAAAGAAAAUUGUUUUGUAUCAUAAUUUGUGAAGCACGAUGCAAAUUCUGCGUUGUCUCCACAGUUAAGGUGCUUUAUUGCUGAUUUCAAAUUACAAUUCCUGGGUUUGGGUAAUGGGGUUUCAUUGCAUGCGCAUUUUUAUCAGUGGAUCUGAUGUUUUGGUGGGACUUUACUGUUAUAGGAUUUUAAAUAACUUCAAUCGAGUUAAUUUUUAUUGCCUCUUCCUCUUUGAUCAUGCCUGUUGUUUUCAGGGGUUUAGUUACAAUGGGGGGUUUGAGGUUCUUUAUAGCUCAGCAUGAUUGGGUUUUGGCUCUGUACACAAUUGCAGAAGUGUAUGAGAAUUCAAUCCAUUCUUAUUGGAUUUAAUUAGUUUUUCCCCCUUUAUUCCGAUCUUUACUUUUGCAUGAUUGGGGUUACUAAAUUUUCUUGUUUGUUUAAUCACAGAGCUUUCUUUGCAUGAACGAUCAUUUGACAUAAACCCAUUUGAUUUUUUUUUUCCUGCUUUCUGGGUUGUUGAUAGAUUAACCAUUUUUGCUCUGAAGGGACUCAUAUACUCGUUCAAUUUGUUUUUGGAUUUCUAUUGAGUAUAUAACUUGUACUGCAAUUGAAAAUUAGCCCAUUUUUUCAUCACUUGUACUGCAAUUGAAAAUUAGCCCAUUUUUUGAUGAAAAUAAAGCGGAUGUUUUAGAUUAUUUUCUACGCUGCAGUAUUAUGAUACCUUUCAACAUAUACCUUGCUCUUGAUAUCUUUCGAUUUACCAGCUUAUUUUGAUUGUAAAUGUAAUUGAACAACUAAAUAAUCAUGGUUGCCUGAAUUUGAUAACUUAAAUAGCAUUGAAUUCCACUGCAUCCUGUGUUUGACCACUGACUAGUUCAUCAUUUGGCAUGUGAUAUUCCAUUGGACUUUUGUUUUGGUUAUAAUAUUUGGAAGGUACAAUUUCUAAAAUUGCAGGUUCUUACAAAUGGCAUUGAAGUAAAACUACAGAGGAAUGCCCUCAGUGUGAUUGAGGCUCCCACUGGCAAUGAAGGUGAUGAUGACUUGGAAUUUGAUAACCUGCACUGGAAUGUAUCUGAUAUGGGUGAGUUUGUUUUUUUUAUCCAAUUUCAUCCUUAAAUAUUGUCCUGUAAUGUAGCCCCUUAAUUUUGUUGACACUCGUGACUAGUUAGUAAAAUUUUGUUUUGGAAAGAAAUCUUGUCUUUCAAUAGGAGCUGACAAAUUUGCUAAUUUUAGCUCUUAUUGUAGCAAAUUGUGUUUGUUCUGCUAAGAAUCUCUGUUUCCUGAUCUUCCUAGCUGUGAACAAAAUCUUUUCUGUCAGGGUGUAGUUAAUUGCUUGCUUGGACCUUAAUUGUGAGACUGUAAGAGUUCUUUUGAGUGGAAGGUGAUUGAGUAUGGUACAUAGGAUCCGUUUUGUCGUUCACCUUUUACUUUCACUACUGCAAAAGCUCAGCUCCCUUGUUUCAUUGCUUUAUCUUUUAAUUGGGCCCACCACUCUUUUUAAUUCUGGUUUGUGCUCUCUCUGAUUUUUCCAGCAUCCGAUGAUACCCAAAAGUCUCAUAGAUCAAGACAUAGGACUCAUAAAUCAACAGGAUCAUCUCACAAGAUUAUGAGCAGGUCUCUCUCUUGUGAUUCUCAGUCUAAGAGCUCUGUUUCUACGCCUCAUGGGGCUGCUGCCGCCGCGGUAUAAUAAACUCUCUAGCAAUCUAUUUACUGGUGUAUAUUGUCGUUUUGUGACUUUGACAAGGAAUGAAAAUUAAAAUGCAUAAGCAUCUCUCUCAUUUCUUUUUUACUAUGAACAUCACUAUCACAGAAGGUUGACCUCAGCAAAUUGGAAAUGGCUGCCUUGUGGAGAUACUGGAGGCACUUCAAUCUUGUGGGUUUUUUUGAUUGAGCAACCUUUGAUAAUUCUUUUUUUCUUCAGGCACAUAGCCUACGUUAAUAUAUUAAUUAAUCAUACAAUAUUUAUAGGUGGAUGCUAUCCCCAACCCAUCUAAAGAGCAGCUUGUAGAUGUUGUUCAGAGGCAUUUUAUGUCCCAGGUACUUGCAAAAAAUUUUCAUUUGUCUUUAAAACAGGAAGAGUUUAUUACUUUGUACUGAAAAACAUGUUGUGGUGGUGUUGAAGCAAAUGGAUGAGUUGCAGGUGAUUGUGGGAUUUGUUCAGGCAGCAAAGAGACUGAAGACAGUCUGCAAGUGAGAUGUUCUCUCAAUCUCAAAAGCUAACAGGACAGUCUGUAACAUAUGCACGGCUUGUUUAUCAUUAUCCUUGAUGUUAGUGGCUAGUAUUUACUUUGUCCCCAGCUAUAGAGCUUUUUUUUUUUGUGGGUCUUUUUGUAGUGUAGCUAUGUAGAUAUUUUGUAAACUGGACCUCCCAAGCUUGGUUUAAUGUAUUGCUGACAUUGGGGAAGUGGGGCUUCAGAAACUGUAUAUAUUCUUGGAAGAUCUAUUUAAUCCAAGUAUCAAAAAGGGGCCUGGCCCUGCCCUGCCCGGCCCGGCCCAGUGCAGCCCAAUCAGUGAUUAUCAAAGCAUUUGGUUGCAAAGUCCCCACCAAGUGCCCUGCUAUUCUCUGCUUUUUUCCCUAGGCCAAACGACUGCAAUCCAGUUCCUGUUCGUUUCUACAUGUAAGAUAUAUGAUGAUUACUAAUAAUAAUAAUCUGAAAAUUAAUUUUACUGUUUUUUUAAAGCAAAACUACUAAUUUGAAAAUUACUAAUAGUAUUAAUAAAAUUUCAUCAAAUAAAAACUGCAAUCUACAAAAACUAGAUUUGUUAGUUUCUACAUGUGAGAUAUAUGAUAAUUAGUUUCUACAUGUGAGAUAUAUGAUAAUUAAUAAUAAUAAUAAUCUGAAAAUUAAUUUUACUGUUUUUUGAAAGUAAAAUUAUUAGUUGUAUUAAUAAAAUUUCAUCAAAUAAAAAUAAUAUUAUUUCAAAAUUCUCUAAUCAAAAUAUGAGCCGUUAGAGUGUUAUAAUAACGAAUCUAUUUUGAUAACGAAUCUAUCUAAUAAAAAUAUCAGUUUCAGAUUCUAAUAAAGAUUUAUAAUUAUUCAAAAUCAAAUCCAGUUCAGAAAAUCAAACUCAAUUCAGAAAUGUUUAAAUGUUGAGAAUGAAGAGCUUGAAUCAUCUGCAAAUAGUCCAUAAAAAUGUAACUAUUAAAAGGCAAAAAUUCCGUCAAAAAAAGUAAACAGUGACAGAGAGCUAAAACUUCAACAAUUACCAGCGUACCAUUACCUUCCGGUUUCACAAAAAUUCCGUCGCAAAAAGUAAACAAUGACGGAGAACUAAAACUUCAACAAUUACUGGUGUACCAUUACCUUCCGAUAAACCAGAAACACCAUAUUGAAAUAUACUCUCAGAGUUUUCCACAACAAAACCGUAGCCAAUAAAAUCUUGAACUUGAAAUAAAACCAACUGAAAUUGUCCAAGCUUAAAGAUGACGCACGAAUUUGGAGAGGAAUGGCUUCAAAAGCACGAGCAGGGUUGGAGGAAUAAAACAAAUUCCUGCCCUGAUAUAAAGUAGCAGUGGUAUUUCCAAGAUAUAAUGCAUGACGUCUUCCACAAGAUAAGCUGCUGAAUUUUGCACCUGGUUCCAUAAUAAUGAGUUCCUUACCGACUAUAAUCUCCAUGCACAGACUAUUAUAAAGAUUUUUCGAAUCUUGUCUUGGAACUUCAAAAUCUUGAUGAAGCCAUAGGCGACAACUAUCGAAAACAUCAUUACCAAUCAAGUGCCAAAAUCUCUGGUAAAAUGCAGGAUUUAACCCAUCCGGCCCAGAUGCCUUGUCUGGAUGCAUCUGAAAAAGAACAGCUCUAAAUUCCUCAUUCGAAAAGAGAGCACAAAGAUCAGCAUUAUCGGCAUCACUAAUAAAAGGCGGCACCAACUCAAAAACCUGAUCACAAUCCACAGAACUGCCAUAAAAAAUAGACUGGAAAUAAUGCAGAACAUGAUUUUUAAUUUCAUGCUCAUCCUCAAUCCAGGUACCCGACGACUCCUUUAAUUUAGUAAUACAGUUCAUUCUUCGUCUACCAUUAAUUUGUGCAUGAAAAAAUUUUGUAUUUCGGUCCCCAUUUUUAAGCCAAAAGCACUUUGUCUGCUGUUUAAGUCUAGUUUCUUGCUGUUUAAGUCUAGUUUCUUCUUGUUCAAGGAGACAAUUUCAAUCUUCCUUUAAAUAGGCAUGAGAAACAGUACUGGACCCAUUAUCCAAUAAUCUAUGUAUAGUCUUCUUCUUUUGCCAAAACUUUCUAUUUCUACUCCUACCUCACAAUGAAAGAGCAGAAACUAAAUCAUUAUGUUUCAUCAAAAGGUUGCGUGGUAUAGAAUUAACCCAAGCUCCUUUAACAACCUCAGCUAGACCCUCAUCACAUAACCAUGCAUUAUCAAAUCGAAAUCUCCUUCUAUCUCCCCUAUUAUCCUUAGAAACUGUAUUAAUCACCAACGGUUUGUGAUCCGAUCUAGGAACAUGAACAACAACAUUAGUGAAUUUACGAGCACAGUCCUCAGUAGUAAGGGCUCUAUUAAGCUUCUCUCUAACCAGAUUAUUCGACUCCAUGCCCUUCUCCCAUGUGAGAAAAGAGUCAACAGUGGGUAUUUGAACAAGAUUACUGUCCUCAAGUGCCUGUUUAAACCCCUGCAUAAGGUAAUUUGGCAAAGUUGCUCCUCCUUCUUUCUCAUCUCUCGAGCAUAAAUCAUUAAAGUCUCCCGAACAAAGUCAACGAAGAGAGCUUCUACGAGAUAAAGUUCGAAUAAGGUUCCAAGACUGACAUCAUCAUUGCGAUUCUGAAAACCCAUAAUAACGAGUAAACCUCCAUUGAACAUUACCUUUCGAAACAAUCGAAUCAAUAAAAUUUGAAGAAAAGCCAACCACAGAAACAGACACAUAACUCUUCUACAUUAACGAAAGGUCUCCUCUCAAUUCUUGUCUAUUGACUGAGAAGCAACCAUCAAAAUGUAAAAAACUAUGAAAAUAUUUCAUACGAAAACUAAAAAUUUUUGUUUCCAUCAAAAAUAAAAUGUCUGGCUUGUAACUAGUAACCAGUAACUAAAUCCUUCAAUGCAUUAAUUGUCCGAGAAUUGUCGAGUUCUCGGCAGUUCCAAUACAGGACGAUCAUUGCUUUCGGCUAUCUUGACCUUUGACGGGAUGAGCCGUUUCGAUAGUCAAUUGACGCAGAUCGUCUUCUAUGGGGAAGGGAAAAGAAAAAAUUACGUUUAAGGAAGAGAAAAAGGCGAGAGUAUCGAGUCACAUAGGGACCACAGAGGGAAACUUGGCAAAAUAUUUUUUCCGAAGGCGAAAAUUAAUUUUAUUUUAUAAUUUUUAUUCACUUUAUUUUUUUACACAUUAAAAAAUAUAAUUUUUUUAUUAACUUUUUAUAUUUAUAUUAAAUAAUAUAUUUUAAUUUAUUAUAUUUUAAAUUAUAUUAGAAAUAUUAUUAUCUUUUAUAAUUUAAAAAUAAAUUGAAUAAAUUUACUUUCUAAAUAAUUAUUUUCUACCCUAAACACAUUUUUUAGGGAGUGAAUUUCCUAUAAAAUACAAGUAAUAUUCAUUAUAUUUAGGCAUAAUUUUUAUGAAGCAAGAAUAACUAUUUAACCCAUUAUCUCAACAAAAUUAAUUAUUUGAUCUUCUAUAAUGAAAAAUACAUAAAUUAGUCAUUGUAUUUUUGUUUUAUUUGCUCUUUGAUCCCAUUGAUCAUUUUAAGCAUUAGUUUGAAUUGCAUUCGAGUCCUAUAAAUUUAAGAAACAUAACUAUAUAGUUCUUUUUAUUUUUCUAAGUUUUAAAUUAUUUAAAUUUAUUAUUUAAUUAAUUAAACUUAUUAUAUAUAAUUUUAAUAUUUUUUUAUUAGCUAAAAAGUUUCAAUAAUUGAAUGAAAGAAUGGACCACUUUCUGGUCAAAGAAUGAAGUUUGAUCCCACAAUGUGGGAAUUCUUUAUGUUUUAUGAAUUCUCAAAACCAAACAAAAUAAUGCAAAUUUUUGUUUUGUAAUUUUGUCAAAGUUGCUUUUUUUUUUUUCAAUAAAUAAAUAAAAGCUUUUUACUUUUGCCCUUUUAUAAAGAUUAGGUAGCUACUUGUUUGUGUUGGAGUCAAUAAGAAAAAGAGGUUUAGUUCUGUUUUUUUGUGAACUUUUCCUUUAAUAUUGGCAAAUGGAAGAACAAAGCUAUUACUAAUUGUUAUAAAGGUGGUGAAUUUGAAUGGACAAGAAAAUUAGAGGUUGGUUUAAUAAUUAAUAAUCAUAUUUUCAUUUCAAAUUUUUUUAAAAAAAUUCAUAUUUGUCAAGCUUUACUCAACACCCAUUGGUUGGUUGAAAAUCAUUGAGGAUUGUAGAGUUUGUCCUAUUAAUUAAUGCUAUAUAGCUGCACUUAUUGUUUUAUUAUGACAAUAAAAAUGCCCAACAAAUUUUCUUGGCAUAUUUUAAUUCAUGAAAAAUUAUUAUCAUUAUAUAUUUUGUAACAAAAAAUUUUUAAUUAAUUUUUAUAAAAUUAAAGUUUCCUUUGUGGUCUCUUUAUUGUUCAAUACUUUCGCCUUUUUCUUUUUUUUAAAUCUAAUUUUUUUCUUUUUCUUUUUCAUGAAAAACGAUCUGCAUCAAUUAAUUAUCGAUGAAGAAGAAAAUGUUAUUAUCCCUAUUAAGAAUUUUAGAGAUAUUUCGAUCGUCAUUUAUGAUUUCUGUAUGGUGGGAUGUUAUUAUCCCUGUGUCAGGCGAGCGUUUAAUUCCCUUCGGCGCAUGCAUGGUCAGGGCUGUGAAAUAACUAGAUCUGCAGUCUUUUCUUUUUGUGGCUGGGUUUGAGGAACAAGAACCGGAACCUAGUAGAGGGUUGGAUUUAAGGCUGAGAUGUGUUGGGCCGGUCUAAUUGAGUGACUUAAAUAGGAGGCUAAUUAGGAGGAUGAACGGAUUAGACCUGACUUGCUUGGGGGCUCAGAAGCCUCCUGAUUGUGGAUUGCUACUAUCGACCCGACCUUAUAAGGGGAUGGGGAAAUCCAACGAUGAUCAGAUCCAAUAUUUUUUAAUAAAUAUAUCUUAUAUUUUAGUUAACAAUUUAUUUCUGCAUACCUUUAUUAACACCAUUAAUUUUGAAAUUAUAUAUAUUAAAAUAUAAAAAUUAAACUAUUUAUUAAUAAAAAAAUAAAUGAAAUAGCAAAUAGAAUAUUUGAUAUAUUAUUCUUAAAUAAGUUAAAAAUAAAAAAAUAUAAUAAUAAUAAUAAAGCUUUUCUAUUUUAAAUAUACUUUCUCGCCUUAUAAUUUUAUUCACUUUAUUUUUAUAUGAAUAUAUAAAAAGAUAAUUUUUUUAUUAAUUUUUUAAUUAUACUCAUUUUACAAUUAUUAAAUUUCAUUAAAUAUUAAAAUAUUUUGAAUACUAAUUUAAAAAAAUACUAAUUAAUGAAAGGUUAUUUUAAAAAUAAAAUAAAAUAAAAUAAGAUUAUAAUAGUUAAUUUAUAUAUUAUUAUAAUAUAAAAAAUAAUUUUGGAAUAAAAAAGUGAGUAAAUAUUAUGAGAUGGAUAAAAUAUUAUUUAAGGUUAUUAAAUAAAAUAAUUCAAAUAUUUGUGAAAAUCAUAUUUAUUUUUUAAACUUUAUUUCUUGAUUAAUAAAGUCAAAUUUUUAAAAUUAGUCAUGAUUUUAACUCAUUAUUUAGUAAGAUUUAUUUUGCAAUAAAAAAAUUUAAAUUAAUUAUUAUAAAAUUAUGUAAAAUUUUAUUUAUUUUAAGAUAAAAAAAUUAAAAUUUUCGAUUCUAAAAAAAUUAUUAAAAGAUAAAUAGAUUAAAUUAAAUUAUUAUGAAAUUAUUGAUUUGAAAUGGACGGAAAAAGAAAUCUUUAACUCCUUCUCAGCUUUUAUUAACUUUCCUCCAUUUGGUUCUAAAAAUGUAGGCCCAUAUCUUCGAUUUUUUUUAUUAUUAUUAAUUGCGUAAUGGUACGUCACAAAUACAUAUCUCGAAUAAAUAAAAAAUAAAUUAUUUUUUAAUUUUAUGAUAUAAAAAAAUUUAUUAACUAAUUUUUUAAUUUUAAAAAAUAUAUUAAGACAUUUUUAAUAUUUUAGAAAUUUAUUAAUUAAAAUUUUUUUUGUUAAUUUUUUUCUAUCAUCCCAUCAAUUGUAUGACGUGCUGAGAUAAGGGAGAAAAUGUGUAUUAGUGGAGUGCCACGGAGGAUUCCCACUGAGAGGAGACCCUCAACUUUUGGAAAAUUAUAGCAAAUUUCCACCGACAAUUCUAACAGGGAUCCUUUCUAACACAAUCUACCUUGAUUCUUUUUUUUUCUUUUUUUUUUCCCCAAUUCGUUUCAAAUAAUUUUUUUAAUAAAAAACUAAUUAAUUUUUAUAAAAUUAUUUAUAAUUUUGUUUUUUAAAUUAAAAAAUAAAAAAUGAUUAAAUUAAAUUCUUACGUAAUGUUAAAUUUUAAAUAAAAUAUUUGUUUCCGUGUAAAACACGUGAGAAAAAAAAAAUCCAAAAAUGAAGAAUUGAUGGGUUAAAGGCAUGUGAUCUGUAUUGGAAUGCAAAGUUGUAGAAGAGUUGAAAGAACACUUGAUGUUUAUCACAUGGGAAAAAUGGACUAGCGUCCAGACAAUUCCUUACCCACACACAUAAACAAAUGGAAUCCAACAAUCUUUCUGCUUGCCUCAUAUGAUUCCCUGCGGCUCCAAACUUGUUGGGAUUCUUUUAUUCUUAUUCAGCAAAUUAACAAAGAUUUUUAUUAACGUAUUGCUGUUGAAAUAAAAAUCCUUAUAGAGNNNNNNNNNNNNNNNNNNNNNNNNNNNNNNNNNNNNNNNNNNNNNUUCUUCAUUUGUUUUGCUCCUUGAAUUGUUUAGAAUCUCCAUAUUUCCACUUGAUUUUGGAAUCUACCUCCUUUUCGUCUGGUCUUUUCUAAAAAAAUUUUACGGCAAUGCAGUUAUUUUUAAGGUUGAGCAAACCUAAAUUUUAAUAUUUAUAAAAAUUAAAUCGAAUUAAUAUUAUUAAAAUAAAUUAAUUUAAAUAUUAUUAAAAUAUAAAAGUAUAUAAUUUUAAAAAUAAUUUGAAUAUUAUUAAAAUAAAUUAAUAAUUUAUCAAAAUUUAAGGAUAUUCUUACGGGUUGGACUCGAUUACUGUGUAGUUGCAAUCUGAUGAUUCCACCUGUAUUUUAAUGAUUUUUGGUUGGUACUUUUAACAUAAUUCAUAGAUUCUUGGUCCGUCAGGGACAAGCAAGUAUAUUUUUUUAAGCUAAUAAACUUUUUUUUAAAUAGCAAAUAAAAUUUCGACUAUUGAAUUAUGAUUUAAUGUGAUUUUUUAAAUUAAAUAAUAAAAUAUUAAAUUUUUCUAUAGAAAUUAAAUAUAAUUUUUUUAUUAUGAGAUUCAAAAGAAAAUUUGAAAUUUGGGUUUCAUACACUUACACGAGAGAAGGAGCCAGCGGUUCAUGGCCUAAUACCACAGUGUCAGCUAAUUUCAGCUGGCAAAAAGUUUAAACAAGUCCUGAAAUUUUUAUAUUAAAAUUCUAAUUAAAUUAAAUUAAAUUAAAUUAAAUUUUUUAUCAAAUAAAAUCAUAAAUUUUACAUUUAUUUUGAAAUAAUCAAGUUCCAAUCAAUAAAAAAUUUUAAUAGUAAAAUGUUAUUUUUGACAUAUUAAUUUUUUUUACUGUUUUUAAUUAAAACAAACUAAAAUACAAAUAGUAUAAAUUUUUAACACUUAAAAAUUACAGGAAAUAAUAUUUCACUAUAUAAAAUUUAUUUCAUUAGUCUUAAAUACAAAAUUCAGAGUUUUAUUUGACCUUUCGAAUUUUCAAUGAAUUUUGGGUUAACUUAAAUGAAAAAAAAAUAAAAAUUCUUAGUUAAUUUAGAUAAAAAAUAAAAAAAAGUAUAAAUUAAAUUUUUUAUAAUAAAUACAUGAAUGAGAUUAAACAUUAAACUUUUAACUCUUAAUUUAGUAUGAUUCAUUUUACAAUAAUUUAAAUAAAUUUUUAUAAAAUUAUACAUAAUUUUUAUUUUUUAAAAUAAAAUUUUAAAAAAAUGAGCAUUUUAAACGUUUUAUCCAUUUUUAAUAAAACUUGAAAAAAAAAGAAAAAUACAACAAAAUUUAUUGGAAAAUUUUUUAGAAAAAAACAGUAAGACAGAAUUUUGUGUUUUUACGUAUCAUUUUUCUACCAGAAAAACUGGGAAAUUAGUUUUCCGUUUUCAAAAUUUAGCUAAAAUUAAGGGAAAACAACUUUAAGUUAUUUUCCGUUUUUUUAUAACAAUUUUUUAUUUCAUAAUCUAAAAUUAAAUAGUAAUUUUUAAACAUUUUUUUCUAAUAAUGAGAAAUUAUAUUUUCAUAAGCUGGAAAUAUUAUGUGGUAAAAAUAUUUUAAAGAUUAAAAAAAUAAUUUUAAAUAUAUUAUUUAAUUAUUUAUUUUUUAAUUUAUGAGUUAUUAAUUGAUAUUACUAUAAUUAAAUUGAUGAUAUGACCAGAAUGGAACUGAGCUGCAAUUAAUUAAAACAUGUAAAGGAGAAAAUCUUAAUAGGCGACAUCUUCACAGAGAUGAAGUCAAGCAAGAGGGAGAGGGACAAGUUGAGGAAUACCCCAUCGAUCAAGUCUUUGCUAAUAGAUAUAGAAAACCCUGGUUUAAAUUUGGGAGGAGGAAACUGAAAGCCUCUCUCUUCCCAUGUGAUCUUUUGUAAUGAAAAUAUAUAUUUUACAUAUCUCGUUAUUAUACUUUUUAGGUGUUUGUAUGUUUCAUACCCUUGUCCAAUAUCACUACUAACGACUUAAAUAAUCUUUUAACAAUUGGCUAAGGGGAUAUCACCCAAUCAAUCCCAGAACUUGAUGAUCACUAUUUUUUAUCCAAAAGGGGCUAAGGCAGGUUCACUUAGCAGGGUCUAACACUCGGUUUGCAGUCAUAAAAUAAUUUGGAGAAUUUUUGUGAGAUAGGAUCAAUGCUAGGUCAUGUGGCGUAGCGGACUCCCGCCUUCGAGCAUGAAAUGUCUUAGAGAAAUUUUGAAUAUUGGACCUAUACUUGAUUGCGCGUUUUGAGGCUUGAUCAUAAGAAUCGCCCUAACAACUUUAAUCACUGACUGAUGCCUUCGUCUUUUGGGAAUUGUCAUCCACAGGUUCGUCUUUCGGUUGCUUGUCUAGUUACUUAGCACAAGAUGCUUUAUUUGCGAGAUUAACACUUGCAUUGUGGCCUAGUGAAACCCACCUUGUGGUCCGGUAUGAAUGCCUUGAUUAGUGGGACCAAUGCCUGGUCUUUUGGUCUAGCGAAACUCGUCUUGUGACCUGACCUAACAAGACCCGCCUUGUAAUCUUGAUUAGUGGGACUGACGCCUGAUAAUUUUUACAUGGGAUUAACACCAGGUAGUUGUGCCCGUCUCAUGGUCUGGCAUGAAUGUCUUUUUUAGUGGGAUCAACGUCUAGAUUAUGGCCUGGCUAAAACUGCCUUGUGGCCUUUUAAUAGGAUCAACGCCCAAUCUUCUAGCCUGGCAGAACCUGUCUUGUGUUAUAGCAUGAAUGCCUUUUUAAAUGGGUCCAAUGCUCGAAUUAUGGCCUGUCUAAAACUGGCUUAUGGCCUUUAGUGGGCCUAACACCCAGUGUUCUGCCUUGGCAGAACUCGUCUUGUGGCCUGGCAUUAAUGCCUUCAUUUUCAUGGUCUAACACCUAGAUUAUGCCCUGAUUGAAAUUGCCUUAUGGCCUUUUAGUGGGACCAAUGCCCGGAUUGUAGUUUGACAGAACCCGCCUUGUGACUUAGGCUGGUGGAACCCACCUUGUGGCUUUCUCUGAAUACUCCUUGAUCCUUUUUCAAUAAGGUGACCACAUCGUUUCAUAUUACUAAAGAACACAACAUAUGAAAAAAAUAUCUCAUUAUCUGUUAUUAAUAAAAUUUUCUCAGGUUACAAAUAUUCUGUAACAGCCCGGAAACCGGUACCUCUCUGUAACGGCCCCCGAACUGCUCGGCACUAGGAUUCAGAUCGGCUUAAGGCCGCCUAAACCCGUAGUAAGCCUCUCCUGAACUCCGUGUACCUGAUAAAAUCCCAUACAUGAUCCAACAACAGACUGCGGAAAAACGUUUCUUGAAAACUACCAGACUUAACAUUUAAAAACUGUACUGUGGGUCCAACCAUGUGAACCAAAUGUUCAGACAUACUAAUCUGAACUCGCCCUCAGGGCUACACCAGUGAUACUCUACCAAGUAACCUCCAUGCACUAUGCGCUGUGUCAUAGAACCCACUCUGUAAGGGUCAGCAUAUCAUAAGGUAACUUGGCUACCAUAGAGUUACAGGACUCAAACCUGGUCUUCUCUAUAGGUCUCUCUAUGGAUCACAGGAAUCACACCUGGUCUUUCCUCUGCACUGGUUUUGGGUCAAAGGAAUGAAUCCUCACAGUUAUCAUUCACUGGGUUUUCGAAACACAACAUGUAUUAAGUCUGGUUUGACUCAUUUCUCAUCAAGAAACUUUGAAAACUCAAGGGAUUAAGCAUACACUGGGGAUAAAACAUACUAUAGGCAAAGCACUUACGAAUCCAUCAGCACAUUAACUUACUAUCUAUACAUCUGUACCAAAUAUCUCUUUAAUUUACAUCAUGUCCACUAUUCUAUUACAUAAUCACAACCUGCACUAUGACUUCAUGCCUUACUCUUCGGAUUCUGACAUCCCACAGCUAACCUGCAAAACUGGGGUUAAGGGAGAGGGAUGAGCAACUAAAGCCCAGUGAGUAGAAACACUGAAAACAGUUCAUUCAUACGCAUUUAAUAUGAAAAUGCCUCACAACUCAAACAUUCCACAUCUUUGAUUAGACAUGACCUCAAAACUCCCUCGACGGGCUAUUGAUGUCGCCUUGGUCCAAUUGCAAAUCACCCUAAUAUAAAUCAUAGCAUCCAUGAUGCAUGAACUAUGCUCAUACAGUCUGUGUCUGUAGUAAAAAAGUUUAAGUUUCGUUCUACUCACCUCUGCUCUUCUAGCAGAAACUGAACUGACUCUGUAAUCUCUAACUCUGAUGACCUCCUCGAUCUCUCGGGUCCAAUCCUACACAAAUGGACUCAAGUGAGGUGCCAAACACACUCUAAACAACUCAUAAACAACUCUACAACAACUCCCCAAAACCCCUCUACAAGCUCANNNNNNNNNNNNNNNNNNNNNNNNNNNNNNNNNNNNNNNNNNNNNNNNNNNNNNNNNNNNNNNNNNNNNNNNNNNNNNNNNNNNNNNNNNNNNNNNNNNNNNNNNNNNNNNNNNNNNNNNNNNNNNNNNNNNNNNNNNNNNNNNNNNNNNNNNNNNNNNNNNNNNNNNNNNNNNNNNNNNNNNNNNNNNNNNNNNNNNNNNNNNNNNNNNNNNNNNNNNNNNNNNNNNNNNNNNNNNNNNNNNNNNNNNNNNNNNNNNNNNNNNNNNNNNNNNNNNNNNNNNNNNNNNNNNNNNNNNNNNNNNNNNNNNNNNNNNNNNNNNNNNNNNNNNNNNNNNNNNNNNNNNNNNNNNNNNNNNNNNNNNNNNNNNNNNNNNNNNNNNNNNNNNNNNCUCACCUCAUGCUCAACUUCCCCCAAACCUUACUCAACAUGCAUACAACACUCCACAACUUGCACAUAUGCUUAUAUAUGCACAAAGGGGUCCAAAACUAGCCUAUAACCCCAACAAAACACACUCAACUCAUCAAAUAGCACAUAAUCACCUCAAAAUCCUCAAAAACUCAAAACAUGCAACGAACCAUGAAAACUCCUUAAAACCUUCAAAAAUCAUGAAACCAUGUAAGAAAUCUCCAUACUCCUCUUGUAAACAAAAGGAUGGAAGAUCCUAACGUGAAGAAAUGGAGGAAACCCUCUCCAAAUCAUCACACCGUCAAAACGCAACCUUUUUGCUUAAAAUCCUCAAAACAUGCUUAAAUCUGAGUAAAACUCUCAAAGAUUGGAAAGAACACAUAGAACUCACUUAGAGAGGAAAGAAGACACACCUGAGGCGGCUGGGAAGUCGGAAAGCUUAUCCCUUGACCGACUGAGGGGCCCCUUAAAUAGUGGCUGGCCAAACCUCCUUCGGCAGCCGAACGUGCCUCCUAAUCCAUGCAAAGUUCGGCGGCCGAAACUCAACCUUCGGCGGCCGAACCUGGCAAUUCUCCUCUAUGCAAGUUCUUGCCAAAACUCAAUUCUUAAAAUUCAUUUAAAUAAAAACCGCUAAAAACAUGUGUAAAAACAUCCAUGAUACCCUUUGAGAGGAAACCGGCUCCAGAAAGUCCAUCGGAACACCGGAAUUCCAGACCCCACUCUAGCCGGGUAUUACAUAUUCCAUGACUCGGCCAUCUAAUUUGGUUAGCCUGUAAGACCCUGGGUGAAUAACCUUCGAGACCUUAAAUAGUCCCUUCUAGUUUUUUUCGAGCUUGCCAGACCGGCUGUUAUAUUUGUGGUUUGCUUAUUUUCCCUGAUCACCACUAUGUCAUUCUACAAUUACAUAAUUAAUUCUCAGAGGCUACUUGUAAGAGGUGGUUUCAGGAGUUGUUGUCUCGGGUUCAGAUCUCCUCUCUUCCUUACCAUUUUUGGUAAACUUUUAAAGAGUGUCGUCCCUUAUCAGCCUCUCAAUCUUAUAUUUCAGCUGCUAACGCUCCUCCAUUGUAUGACUGUGAUAUUUGUUAAAACGACAGUACUUGGUCUUGUCUCGUCUUUUUGCUUUCUCAUGAUUGAGUUUGGAAGACUUCCUUGUCAUUUUUCCUUAUCCACAUUAGAAUGCGUUAUUCAAUGGAGUAUAAUUCUUAUACUUAUUUUGAUCAUCCCUCCUUCGAGAUACGAGAUAACUCCUGUGAUCUCAUUCAUGUCCUUGCCUCUCCAGCUUAUGGUUUUACUUUUAGUUUGCCCUCUUGUCCUCUCUCAAUGCUUGGACUUUGUCUUCCAGUCUGAUAUACUUCUGAGUUUUAUCUAUCAACUGUUAAUACAUUGCGGCUGGAUUUUUUUAUUAAGGAAUCCAUAAACUUGACGUUGCGUAUUCCUUUCUUUAAUGUUUCACACGCUAUCUCAUGAUUUAACUCCUUCACCUGUAUUGCUUCAACAUUGAACCAUGAGAUAAAACUCCUUAAAGGCUCUCCCUCACCUUGGCGAAUCUUUCGCAAGUUAGAGAAAAGUUUUUUACGAGGUAUAGAAGUAAUAAAUUUGGAUUUAAAUGACAUAGCGAAAAAGUUCUGAAUUAAGUCUGGACUUAGAUGUUGGUACUAUUUUUUAGUCAAACCUAUAAGUGUUGAUGGAAACACUCGGCACAAUACGAAGUCAUUGACAUCCUGAAACUGCGUGGUUGUCCUAAAGAUCGCCAAGUGACUUAUGGGAUCUGCUGUUCCAUCAUAUUUGUCCAAGCUAGGCAGCUUCAACUUGGUUGGGAAUGUCUCUGCUAAGAUUUCUUCUGACAGAGACGAGGCAUCAUUCAGGCUAAAAUCCCCCUCUUGCUCCUUUUGGUUCCUCUGAACUGUCCAUACCAGCUUCCAGUCAACAUCUUUCAGAACAUUGUCCGAUUCGUCUAAUUCAUCUUCUUCGAAUUCGGCCUUCCUUUUGAACAGCCUUUUGAUUGUCUAUGUCCGAGUUCUAGGGGUGUCAAGGAGGCUUUCUCUCUUCCUCUGGGAGCCAUGAUUGAUGCCUCCCCCGAGUCUUAUACUGCUCGAGAGUAGCCUGUAACUUUUGAAUGUAUUGGAUCAUUUACUCGUUGUUUAGAUUGUUGAGAUCUAUUUCAUUGACCAUUGAGGGUGUAUUUUAUCCACUGUUAGGGUGUGGAAGAAAUGAUAACGCCGUCAUCAGUAGCAACCUUAGCAACAGCCCGUGAACUACCGAUCAUUUUGAGGGAAAAAAGAGAGAGAUUUCUUUCUAAGAGAAAAAGAAUAAGAAACUGGCUUUAAUCCAAGUGAACAGAAACGAUUCAAAAGAUAUCCCGGCAAUGGAAUCAAAUGAUGCGGGUGGAAAAUGGAAUUGUACUGUGAUUUGUUAAUCCUGCAAGAGAGAGAACGUGAGGUAGUGGGUACUCAUAACAACUACUCCGAUGCUAAAGUCAAUAAACUGGAGAAUAGGGCAAAUGUAAGGAAUUGCAUAAAAUUCAAGUGUAGUUGUGUAAGAGAAUUGCGUAUUUUUAUCUUUGUGAUCGUUGAUUUUUAUACUGUAAAAUAAUGGAGUUAAAUAUAGUAUUUGUUGAUAAUCCAACGAUGAUGUGGCUAGCUAUUUGAUAAGGGAUCUCGCCAGUUUAUUUGGUCGAUGAUCUGUAAUUACAGACGUAAUAAAAGUAUGCUAGAUUGUGCUUGCUAAUGGUGACUUAAUAUGAAGGUUCGACCUUUUCAGGGGAGAACAAGUCUUGAAGAGGAACUGAGUGUAACGGUAUUCGGCUUUUUGUUUUAUAAAAUCACGCAUCCACUUAUCAUACUUUUAUCAUGUUAUUCUAUUUUAUAGUAGCAAAUGACUAUUUGAAUAAUUUUUGUGUACCAUCAAUAAAUUUAUUUAAUAUUACAAACUAAAUAAGAGAGUUUGUCAGCUUUGGGCUCAAAAAAUCUUCAGCUUUGGGCUCAAAAAAAUCUUUUUCUUUUUUUUCCCCUUUCAAAGGUUCUUUAGUUACUACAGCAUCGGCAGAUACUGGAAUCUUGUUUGCUGACGUUACCCGAAUCUUUGCCGACUCCAAGAUUCUUAAGGUGAAUCCCUUCUUCCCGCUACUGAUGGAGGCCAGAUCCCACAGGGGUACUUUCGUCUUCUCAUUUCGCCUGCCCAUCCCUCUCCCUAUGCCCAGCCAUGGUCAGUGCUGGUUUGCCGGAUUUCAUGGUUUGAACCGUUUCAGUUGAAAAAAGGUCAGGAUUCAAAAUAAUUUUGAUUUGGUUCAAUUCAAAAGUUGUUUAAGAUAAUAAUAAUAAUAAUUAAAAAUAAAUAAAAUUUAUUUAGAUCUUUUAUAUUUAUAAUGGAUUAUGUAUUUAAUAAUAAUAAAAAAAUUAUAAAGUACCAAACCAACCAAUUUAUUUUUUAAAAAGAAUAUAUUUUCAAAUCAGUCCAGUUUUGACUUGGAAUUAGCGAUUGAAUCGAAUUGUUUUGUAACUGUUUUUAUCCUCACUCAGUAGGGAGGAGGCUCAUAACCGGUCUUCUUAUGGUUAUGAUCCAAGUUCUAAAAUUGAUCUGAUCCAAGUUCCACUAUCCGAACCGGACUGUGGUCUGAUCUCUCUCCCAGAUUCUAUUCUCCAUCCAAUUAUGCCAAGUCGACUUGCGUGCUUCACACGGCCAUUUCAUGCAAUUUAAUUUCAGUAGCAGUAAUUUUUAUUUUUGCGAUAUUUACGAGCCGUAUAAAGAAAGAAAUCAAUAUUUUUAGUAAAUAAAGAAAUAAAUCUCUUUUUAAGUCAUGAGUAAUCUUUUUUAUUAUUUAAAAAAUUAAUGACUUUAUUACUCAACAUUGUCACGAUAAAAAAAAAAAGUUAAUUUUGAAAGAGCAAAAUAUCUUAUAAUAUUAUCAAGUAUUAAAUUAUGAUAAUUGCUUAAAUAUAAUAAAUUUAAAAUCAUAUAUUACAAGAGAAAAAUAAUUUUUUUAAAAUGUAAUGUAUCAUUAAUUAAAAUGUUUUCAUACAAUAUUUAAUUAAAAAAAUAAAAAUAUUAAAUAGGAGAUUGAAACUCAACCAAUUACGGAUUCAACCGAGUUUCACAGGUUUUGGAUGGGCAUAAAUAAAAGUAAUAAAGUUAUUUAUGUAAAUUAUAAUUUAAAAAUUAGAAAAAAAAUUAAAUUGCGAUUAUUUGAACUCUAAUAAAAGUAGAUGGCUUGAUUGGACUAUUUCCGUUUUAAAAAUAUAUGAAAUAUAAUUUUUUAUUUUAUUUUUGUGAGAACCACAUACAUAGUUGUGGGUCCCGACGCUCCUCUAUUUUUGGACAUUAUAAGUACGGCAGGGCCCGAUAUCUGCCUACUAGCAUGAAAAGGCCAAUCAUCCUUAAAUUUUCACGAUCAACCCUCAGCGCCUCAUCUUCUCCCUCAUCAAUGGCGCUUCGUAAGUUACUCUCGAAGCGUCUUUCCGAUACUUACAGACUCGCCUCACCGGCGGUGACUCUACAGAACUCGCCUAUUUCCUGCCCUCCCAAUCUCCAAGUCACACAACUACUAAAUGCAGCCAAAACCGAUUACCUGAGCUCGCCGGAAUUAUCCGAGAAAGGUUUUUCCAGGAGAUUCCUUCAUCGGAAAUCCGUAAACCAGUUGCCUGAGUUCCUUUCCAUACCGGUCGGUGAGAAGCUGAGGGAAAAGCUCAAAGGAAUUAACAUUACCGGAGAACGGCUCAGACUGGAUGGACUCGUACCUCCGCGGCAGGAAACGGUUGGCAAAGAUCCUAAUAGGUUUGAAAUCACGAUUAUUGGUGCGAGGAAAAUUCUGAAGCUCUCUCAGUUGGAGAGGCUAAGAGCAAAGUUCAGGGAGAUGCCAAACAGCUCAAUUUCGUAUUCGGAGUUCGUUCAGAUGUGUGUUGAGGAGUGUGGAGACGAAAAUCAAGGUAUCGAGUUUGCCAAGGCGCUGGACCGGUCCGGAAACGUCAUCGUUUUGGGGAAUAUUGUGUUCCUCCGGCCCGAACAGGUAUUAAAAUAUUCCGAAAUUAAAAAUAAUAGUAAGAAUAAAUAAAGAAACUACAAAAUUCCAUUAUAUUUUAGAAAAAAAAAAUAAAUUUACGACAGAAUUAAAAAUAUUAAAAUAGUUUAAAUAUAUUAAAUAAAUUAAAUAAAAUGCAACUCAAACUUUUAAAUUUCGUAAAUUGGCGAGGAACGGUAAAUUUAGCCUUUUAACUACUAUAUUCUCCGUCAUUUUUGUUAUCGAAAAGACCUUGCGUGACUCAAACGGACUGGAUUUGAUAUGUGGAUUCCAAAUCGAACUAGUCCCAUCCGGAUGAGUCUGUAUCGUGUGGGAUAGAAUUAUACAAAUCAGUUGGAUCUGAUUCUUUGAAAUUGUGGGUGGCCCCCAAGUUUCUGGUAAUGGAUUGCAAGUGGCAUUCAUGAAAUUGCCUCAGGUCCACUUGCUUUCCAUUUCUCGGUGAACGAGACAAACUUAUUAGUGAUAUUCUGAUUAACCCCACUACUUAAUUUCAUUGAUUAAUAUGCUGAACGAUUUAAUUUGCCUUCUGUUAUGCUUGAUAGAUGGCCAAAUCAAUGGAGAAUCUAAUCUCUCAAUCCAUAUCAACUCCUAAUGACCCAAGAAGAAAAGAACUGGAACAAAUGGAGCAGCAAAAGGCUGUAAUAGACCAAAAGGCCAGAGCCCAAGUUCAGGGUGAGCUUUAUUGUGGACUAGGCUUUCUAAUGGUGCAAACACUUGGGUUCAUGAGGCUCACAUUCUGGGAGCUCAGCUGGGAUGUUAUGGAACCCAUAUGCUUCUUUGUCACUUCUCUUCACUUUGCACUUGCCUAUGCUUUCUUUCUCAGGACAUCCGUUGAGCCGUCUUUUGAAGGCUACUUCCAGAGAAGGUUCAAGACCAAGCAGAAGAAACUAAUGGAAGCCCACAGCUUUGAUUUGGAAAAAUAUAAGCAGCUUCAGACAUUGUUUUAUCCUCACUUGGUUUAUGGGUGUGCUCAUUCGAAACAUUACAAGACAUUGUAACAGAGAUGAGGAAGCAUUUCCUAGACCCAUGCACCACUGCAAUUAAUUUGUAAAUUUAUAGCAAUAAACAGUACAAAGAGAGUGAAAUUUUUUUAUGAUGAACAUAGAUGGAUUAGAGUAGUUUUUGAUAGCCUAAAUGCAUGUUUGGAAUCUGUAAAUUACAGGAGCCAGGAGGAAUAGACCCUAAUCGUGGAAAAUUAUAACAUGCAACAUUUGGUACCAUAUUAUCAGAUGGAUUUCCUUAAUAAUUUGAUGUAUAAACAAAAAAACCUUAUUUAAAAGAGGAAAUUGUUUAAUACUUUUAGGAUAUAUUUUUACAUAAUUAUUUAAAUUUUAUUAAAUUAUUUGCGGGAUGAUAUAAAAUUCUCUUAAUAGAAGCUUAUCUCGUGUAUACAUUUUGGACAGUCAUUAAACACAAGAUAGACUGGGCCUUGGGCUUAAGAGUUAGCACUAGAAUCAGUUGUAUCAUGGUCCACGUCCAUUCUCCGCUGUGGGUAAUUGGGUGUGCCAUAGAUUCUGCUUCUGCAGACUCGGUAAACUGCAGAGUGUUUAGAGGAUACAUAUCCGGAUACAAGUAAUUCAUCUAGGUAUUAGAAAAAGUAAUUUAUAAUGUAGUUAACACAAUAGUUAUCCUCUUAAAAUUCAUUGUUGUAUUAUAAAAAUUUAAUUUUUUAUUUUUCAUUUUUUAUAAGAGUAUAGCCUGUUUAGUCGUAAUAAUUUAGUUUUUAUAAUUUUAAUAUUUAUAAUAAUUUAAUUACGAGUGAACUUUUCCAAUUUAUGAUUUAUUAAUGAUAUAAAAUAAUUAUUUUAUUAAUAAAAUAAAAAUUCAAACAUUAAUUAUUUAUUUUUAACUCAUGAAUUAUAUUGUAAAUUAUCAAAAAAACUCAAUGUCCAUACAUGGAGUGUCUAGUUUUAAGCAAUAUUCUUGUCAGAUUGUAAUUUUAGUUUGCUAGACUGAAUUUAGAGUCUGCUCUUUUACAUCUGAUUGAGAAAAUUGCAGAUAUAUUUAUAGUGAGUUAGUCCUUUUCUUGGCAAAAACAUUUAACAGUUGCCUGCCCAGUUGUCGAUUUGAAAACUAUAAUUAAGUAUUUCACAAAAUGAUAAGCCUGCAAAAGUUAGAUGACAAUAAAUUUUUGUCUGAAAUCCUGAAAUUUGGCAGAAAACCUUGCCCGAAUUCUGGCAGAGUCAGAUUGACGCAUGGCCAAAAUGUUUCCAGCAAUUUCCGCUGAAUAAUUCGUCUUUUACGGAAACUCAUAUUCAGUGGGUAUUGGUUGAUAAUCAAAAAUGAAAUUGAGUUGUUUUAAUUUAAUCUUUUAAUCCGAUUUAAUUAUUUUAAGAAAGAAUUAUUACUAAAUCAAUUUUUUAAUCCGAUUUAAUUAUUUUAAGUCGGGUCAGGAUUGUUGUUCUGAAUCUCGGGGCUUAGGAUGUUUGGGCUGGCUAUUCUUCGGAUCCUAAGAUUCUUGAUUUGGUCUGUUGUGUUGUUAAGUCUAUGAGUCUUGCAUAUCUUUUGGGCCUUCAUGGCUCUUAGAAAUGAAUCAGCUAUUAUUUUUUAAAAAAAAAAUAUUGAGAAGAAUUUAUUGAGCAAGGAAAAUUCAAUGCAACUCAUCAUAAAUACAGGAAAGAGUUUGCCGGCAACUAGUUUUGGUUUUUUCAGGUACACCGGCAGUUGUUUGAUUUAAUGUGGAAGAGUACGAAGUUAAGCCCCUUAACUGUCACCUGUUUUAAAGCUUACCGACAACAUGUAAUUGGGCCCAUUUCUCUGCAAAGCUGAGUUGAGGUGAUUUUAUGAUCGGUUUGAUUUAAAAUUGAAUCAAAUCGAAUAAAUUGAAAAAUUAAAAUUUUAGUAUUUAUAAAAAUUAAACUGAAUUAAUUUUAGUAAAAAAUUGAAUCGAAUUAAACCGAUCUGAUUCAGUUCGAUUCAAUUUGGUUUGAUCGAUUUAAAUUUUCAAUAAUUUUUUUUAUUUUUUAUACUUUAUUUUUAAUAUUUUAAAAUUUAAUUAAAAUAUUUUAAUUUUAAUAUAAUCUAAUCUCUCAAUAUUGUUAAAAAUAAUACAUUAUUAUUAUUAAUCGAUUCAGUUUGAUUUUUUUAUUUUUUCUGAUUAAAAUCGAAUCGAUUUGAAAUAAUUAAAACUUUUAAAAUUUAAAAUCAAACUGAAUCAAAAUAAAUAAAAAAUUAAUUCGAUUUGAUUAAUUUUUUAAAUUUUAACCGAAUGAUCCUCGGUCCGGAAGCCUAUUAAAGCAAGAGCAACGGUUCCCAAUUUAACUUUGAGAAACUCAUUAAUUUUUAUUUCAUUUAAUUUUGUAACAAUUUUUAUUAUAAAAUAGUAAAUUGUGAAUAACCUUAUCUGAAUUUUUAUUUUCAUUAGAAAUAUCAAAUUUUUUUUGAAACUUAUAAAAAUAAAGUUUUGUCAUUAAAAAAAAAUAUUAUGACAAAUAAUUUGUGUAAAAUUAUUUUUCGUUUAAAAUAUUAUAUGGGAAAAUUUUUAAUGCAAAAUUUUUUAAGAAAAUAACUUAAUUUCAUUAUUUAGUUAUAAUAAUAAAAAGUCAAUAAUAUUAGUACAUUUAAUAAUAACAUUCUCUAAAUAAUAAAAAAACUCUUGAAAAGGUAUUAUGAAUAAUUUAAAUAUAAAUUUAUGACAUUGUAGCCACCUUCAACUCCUGAAGUUCGUAAGCACACCUUCAGUCCCUCGAGGUUCUAAACACACCUUAACUCCUUAUAUUCCGAUUGUAUUGGUUUUUUUUUUUCUUCAAAUCAAAACUAUGAAUUGUAUUAAUAAAAUUUUAUUAAAUAAAAAAAAAAAUAUCAUUCAAAUAGAGAGAUAACUGUAUCUGAUAAAUUCUCUAGGCAAAAUAUGAAUUAUUAGAGUAGUAUUAUGACAAAUUCAUCUAACAGAAAUAUCAGUUAUAGAGUCUAAUAAAAAUUUACAAUCAUUAAAAAUCAAACCCCUGAAUAAGAUAAUUUGACAAAAAUACUCCUCAAGUGUCUGUCUAAAUUCCUGUAUAAGAUAAUUUAGCAAAUAUACUCCUCCUUUCUCAUCUCUCAAAUAUAAAUCAUUAAAAUCUCCCGAACAAAACCACAUAAGAGAGUUUCUAUGAGAUAAAACUUGAAUAAGGUUAUAGGACUAACGUCAUCGUUGCGAUUCCUGAAACCCAUAAUAACUAGUAAACCUCCAUUGAAUAUUACCAUCCGAAACAAUCGAAUAAAUAAAAUUUAAAGAAAAGCCAACCAUAAAAAUAGAUCUAUGACUCUUCCACGUUAACGAAAGAUUUUCUCCCAAUUCUUAUCUAUUAACUGAGAAACAACCAUCAAAAUGUAAAAAAUUAUGAAAAAAUUUUCUAAGAGAACUAAAAGUUUUUUUUUCAUAAAAAAUAAAAUGUGCAGCUUAUAACUAGAAACCAAAUCUUUCAAUGCAAUAAUUGUCUGAGAAUUGCGGCCAUAAAUCUGCCAAUGAGGUCAGCAUAUUCUAAAAAUUGAUUGGAUUGUAUGUGAGAAAUAUUCCCACUAUAAAAAAAUUAUAAGUGACAAUAGGAAUAUCUCUAAAACUCUUAAUAAGAACAAUAACAUAUUUUUCUUCAUCGAUAAUUAAUUAACGUAGAUCAAUUUUCAUAGAAAAGGGAAAAUAAUAAAUUAGAUUUAAAGAAGAGGAAAAAGUUAGAGUUAUAAAAGGACUAUAAAAGAAAAUUUAUGAUAAAAAUAUUCGUAACCAUCGUAAAAGUAUUUUUAUAACCUUUAAAUCAUAUUCCAAUUGGAUUGUUAGCAUCACGAUUUUCAGGAUAUCAUUUAUGACGCAAUCUUAAUUUUCUAUAUUAUUAAUUAAUUUAGAUUUAUGUUCCCUUAAUUGAGUACUGAAUUUUUCUUAUUUUAAUUUAAUAUUUUUACAAUUUAUAAAGUUUAAUUGUCACGUAUUUAAUUUGAUAUAUUUAUUUAAAUAAAAUUUAAGAAGUUAAGAAUUUUUAAUUUUAUGAUUUUUUUAUUAUUAGAUUAGUUUUAUUUUUAUUUAUAUUUAAUUUAAUUUUCAGAUAUUUUAUGUAACGUUCAUGCAAACUGUAAUUUAAUAAAAAUAUAUGCAGACACAUUCAAUAAAGUAAUGCUUUUAAAUAAAUUAGUCCAUGUAAAUUGCUAGGUGUCCAAUGAUUUAGUUGCAGCAGUUGUUGAAACAGAGACCAACAACCUCAUACUUAUUAUAAAAAUGGAGAGUUUGAAAGAGAAGUGAGGUUAAACCAAACUAAUUAAUUAAUAAAUUGGUAAACCACUCUCUUCUGGGAUUCUCCUAAUCUACCAAAAACCUUAAUGUUCUAUCCGACAAAAUACCUAAUUUUGUUUAUCUAUCUCAUCUGCCUUUCUCAUAAUUAAUUAAUUAAUUAAUCAAUCAACAUCAUCUCCAUGUGGGUAUCUGAUAAAUAUUUUCCUCCUCCUGGUCCAUGAUAGAUCUGGUUUUCUUCUGGGUCCCUUCUUGCUGGGCUCCCUGGUGGAUCUCUCCAUGUUCUUCCUGGUGAAGGGACCUGUAAAAUAAGAAAGAAAGGUCAGGGGCCUACCGGGUGUGCCCCGGCAGAGGCCCUCCGACGCUCAAGUCAGAUUUUAUGGCUCAGAGUAGUAUAUUUAGGCAAGGGUUACAGAAAGAAUAAAAAUGGUGUCCAGGAAGGAAAAAGAAGAAGAAGAGAGCCCCCUCUGCGUGGCCUCUAUCGUGAUAUAUAUAUCUGUCUCUCUGCCACAAUGCUAGCUGUCUUCUGUCGCCUAGCUCCGUAUGUACGGAUGUGUCAGGCGCCUGCUCCAUGCGUAACGGCCAUUAAUUCUCCUCUGAUACGUAUGAUUCUCCUCUGAUACGCAUGCGGAAGGACCUACCAGCGGGGCAUCUUGGUCAUUUUCCCCUUUCCGGGCUGGGUUGAAUGGUAGGGCUGAAGUUGAGCCUGGUGGGGGCCUGAUUACUGGGCCGAAAGGUUUGGGCCGGUUUGAUUGAGGAGUCUAGGCGGAGUCCGGCCCUGUGACUGAGCGGGCUGGACCUGGCUCUCGAGGGGAAUAUUGAAGCCUUCGGAUCAUGGACUGUUUUCAUGGGCCUGGCCUUUAUACCGGGGUGAAGAAAUCCAGCGAUCAUCAGUAUCUAUUCAAUUUAUUAUGUUGGCCCAUUGAUAUGAUCAAUUGUUCAAGUCAUCAUGUCCCUUUUGACACUUUAAAUUUGAAAGUAAGUCUAUUUUUUAAAAAAAACAAUUAUUUUAAAUAAUAUUUUAUUAUUUUUAAAAUAUAUUAAAUUUUAUCUACAUAAAUUUAUUACUGUAUUUUAUUUUCUCACUCCAUGACUAAAAAAUAAAAAAUAUUAAAUAUCAGUUAUUUUAUGAAAAAAGCUUUAAGUUGAUACUUAAUUAUUUUUUCAAACAAAAUCAUUUUAUAUAUUUUAUUAACCUCAUGAAUUUUCUAUACAUAAAUCUUAUUAAUAUUAUUUUUUUUAUCAUUGCAAUUAAAUAGUAAAAAUAAGUUUUGCAGUUGAAAAUUUUUUUUGUACACAAAGUAAUUUUUUUAAAAUAAAUGAAACCUUAGCGGCUUCAAGAAAAUUAAAUUAAAUUGGAUUUUAUAUAAGACUUUAGACAGAUUUAAGUAUCAUCAAGCUCUUGUAGCUCAGUUGGUUAGAGCACCCGUUUAGUAAGCGGGAGGUCUUGAGUUCGACUCUCAACAAGAGCACUUUGAAAUUCUAAUAAUAUUUUAAUAAUUAAAAUAAUUUUUAAAAUUUUCAACGAUUAAACAAUAUGAAAUUAAUUAAAAUUUUAGUAAAUAAAUAAAAUUAAUUAUAUAUAUUUGAAAGCAUAACUGUGUAUUUAAAAAUUUCAAACUUUUGUAAAAAACUGAAUUAAUUUGUUACAAAUAAACAGCCUUUAGAUACAACUUUUGCGUGAUUCCCUUGCACUGGCAGCCGUUCCUUUGCAGCGUUAUAUGGAAUUUCUUCAAGAUCGAAAUUCAUUUAUCAUAUCAAACAAUUACUAUUUCAAAUAUUUAUAAAUAAUUAGUUAUAAUAACUCAUUAAAAUUAUUUUUUAAGAAAAUAUUUUUCUAUUCAAAAAAAUAAUAUAGUGUUAUUUUCUCUAUUUAGAGAAUUUAAUUAAGACUCCUAUAUAUAAAUUUAUUAAUAUAUUUUAUUUUUAAAAUUAAAAUUAAAUAAUGAUAUUUAUUUUUUAAAAAAUAUUUUUUAUAAAUAAACAAAAUUUAUAGCGGGUAUUUUCCAUUAAAAAAAAUCCAAAAAAGAUUUUGGUAAGAUUUGGCAUUUUCGGAUCUCAGAUUUUAGCAGGAUUUGGCUAUGGUAGGUUUAUGUUAUAAAUAUAUAUCUACUCACGAGUAAUUGCUCCGCCAUGGAAAUUACCCUAUCACUAUCAAAAGCUUUGCAAUUUCUACCAAUAUUUUCAACUACUUUCUUCUUUCUUUCCUUUUCUUUUUUUUUUUCUAAAAAAAAAAANNNNNNNNNNNNNNNNNNNNNNNNNNNNNNNNNNNNNNNNNNNNNNNNNNNNNNNNNNNNNNNNNNNNNNNNNNNNNNNNNNNNNNNNNNNNNNNNNNNNNNNNNNNNNNNNNNNNNNNNNNNNNNNNNNNNNNNNNNNNNNNNNNNNNNNNNNNNNNNNNNNNNNNNNNNNNNNNNNNNNNNNNNNNNNNNNNNNNNNNNNNNNNNNNNNNNNNNNNNAUGUAAUAGAAAUUUAUUUAUAAUAAAUAUUUAAUUAAAAAUAUAUUUAAUAUUAUAUAUGAUAAAUAUAAAUAUAUUUAAUUUUAAUAUAAAAUUUAAAUUAAAAUAUUAUAUAUUUUAUUAAUAAUAUAAAACUUUAAAAACUAUAUUAUAAUUUACUGUUAACUUAUAUAAAUUUAAUUUAAUUCUAUUAACUAUAAUUACAGCAAUUUAAAAAAAUUUGACUUUAUUAUUUAAUAUUUAAAAUAUUAGAUAUAAAUAUAAAUAUAAAUUAUUCUAAAUAUUUAAAUUUUUUAUUAAUAAUUUUAAUAAAAUUUUUAAAUUUUAAAAACUAAUUUAUUUUGUUAUUUUAUUUUAUUAAAUUAAAAAAAUUGUAUUAACCAAUGCUAACAAAAGGAGAUGGGAGAUUUGAGUGUUAAACACGUAAUUUAUGAAAUUUAAUUAAAUGUAUUUAUUCGGUUAGAUGUAAUAUUUGUAUUGAAAAGGAGUAAAUGCAGUAUUUACAUUUACAUGUCAUAAACAUAAUAUUUUUUUUUUAAUCAAGAAAUACUUUAUUUAUUUUGUAAAAUAAUAAUUUAAGAGACAAUUAGGAAUAUCAAUCUGAAUAUUGAAUCUACUAUGAUGAAUAGACUCUCUAACUAAUAAAUGGGCGGCUUUAUUUUCUGAACGCCGUAUCCAACGAAUAUGAAUAUUAUCAUGAGACCGCAUAGCAUCCUUGCAAUCAGAAACAACUAAUUCAAAUUCCAAAAAGUCAUUCAAAAGAGAGUGAAUAGCCAAAGUUAAGUAUUGGUUAUCCGUAAAUUUAUAUUUAAAGGAUAAAAAGUAUUCAUUAACAUAAUAUUUAUGCAAAGUUUAAUUUAUAUGUUAAAUUAAUUAUAAUUUAACUCAAAUUAAAUCUAUUAAAAAUAUAAUUAUAAUUAAAUAAAUUUAAGUUGAUUAAAUUUUUUUAUUUUAUUAAGCUAAUAAAAAAAUCAAUUUUUUAUUUUUUAUUUUUUAAAUGAAGAAGCUAAACGUAACAACAUAUUAAAAAUAAAAUUGCAUUUAAUCUAUAUUUAUUUAAAAAUUAAAAUUUUAGGAGAGUCAACAAUAGCUCCCGUCUAUUUCUUAAAUUCAUCACUAUUUAUAAUUAAGUGUUAUUAAUUAAUAUUUUUAAAUAUUUUAAAUGUGAGAAAAUAUAAAACAUAUUUUGCAUAAGAUAAACGAAACUUAAAUGUUUCUACUAUUUUGGGUUGAAAAAAAAAGAGCAGAAUAAAAAUGAAAGAAAUUAUCACAAAAUUAAUAUAAUUAGUCAAUUAGAUAUGAUGUGAGAUGAUAUUGUCCAAUGAUCCAUAAAGCAGUGUCCUUAGAGGAAAAAAAACCUUGAGCAGGGUCAUUUUCCACAAGCAUUUUCCUUAAUCUAUGCAACAACGUGAGACAAAGCCUUCGUGAAACAUCAUUGUACGUAAAGAAAUUAGACUCUAUAGUUACCUGGGAACAUGUCUUCUUUGGCGGCCUUUCAUUGUUUUGGUACUUUGGGGGUAAUUAUUCAACCCUGUGUCCGUAAAUUUUCAUUAUCGAGACAAUGUAACAUUGCAUUUGCAUCUCUUUAGCCUUUCCAGUUUUUCCCAAGAAAAGAUUAGGCUUUCAGUUCAAUAUCUCAACACUUGAAGCUUUGCGGUCAACUUUGAUAUUAUUAUUAGAGUUGUAUUAAGAAAAAAAAAUUAUUUUAAACAUAAUUUAAUUAUAUAAUACUAUUAUUAAUUUUUUCAUAAAUGUUAAUUUGAAAACACAAAAUAAUUGUAUUUUUUUAAGAAUGUAAUAUGUAAAUUUUUUUAUAUUUUUUCAAUUAAUCCUUGUUUAAAAUAAUUCAUUUUAUACAAAAAUUUAAAACAUUGAAUAUUAAAAUAGAAAGAACUAAAUUGACUCAAAUAACUUUUUAACUUACUUAUUCAUUUUCACUCAAAAAUUAAUCCAAAUUAUUUAAUAAUAUUAAAUUUAAAUUUUUAUAUUACCAAUUCAAUUGGUAAUUUAUCGAUGUGAAACUAUUUUAUAUAGCGAAAUAUCACUCUUGCCAUUAAAAAAUUUAUAAUAUUUUAAUCAUAAUCGAAUACUAAAUCAAUUAUAAUUGUUAAAUUAGAGCUAAAUAUUCAAUAAUGUGAUUUACUAGUAUUUCAGACAGUUCUAUCUCGUUUUACAUUGAUAUAUUUUUUCACGCAAUUUCACUAUCUCUAAAUAUUUUUUCUUUUAUUUAGAGUGAUUUUGAUAAAACCUAUACAAAUUAAGACAAAUAAUUUUUAAAUUUAUAGUUUUAAAAAAUAAUUAUCUUGAUAUUUAUCACAUUAUUAUAAUUAUAAUUAUUAUAAUAAAUUAGAAAGUCAAACCUCCAACCCAAAUAAUAAUAAAAAUAAUUGAUAAAGAUUGAGUUUUAGGUGUGCCAGGUAUACCAAACCCAACAAGCAACAGGCUACCUUAAUUUAAAUGAAUUAAUUGAAUAGUUUUGCUUAUCCUCUUCAAAUAAGAAUCCUUCCAAACAAACAAUCUAAUUCACGCAAUCUAUGUUGUCACCUUUUCAAAAACAAAUAAUAAUAAUAAUAAUAAUAAUCCUCUUCCUUUUUUCAUCAUUAAAUAAUUUAAUUAAAUUAUAAUUUAUACUCUAUUUAUUUCAGAAAAUAUCUUUUAUUUAAAAAAUAGUAAAUAUUUUAUGUAAAUUAAUAUUAUCCAUUUUUCUUUAAGAACAUUAAUCUUUUUCUUAGGUAAUUAAAUGGAAAGAGAAAACAAUAUUUUAAUGUCAUUACCUUAUGCCAUUUUUGUAGUUCACUUUCUCUACUAACAAACUUACUUAAAUACCCCUCUAUUUUUCUCUAUUUUACCUUUUUGCCCUUUAUCUAUUGGGGAUGUUCCAUUCAAGAAAUCCAACUCCAGCAAACGUCCACUAUCUUUCCCUUUGCUCAAAGUCAAUCCCCUUUUUUCCUUAACCUCUAUUUUAUUAUGAAAUAAUUAUCUGUGUGCACAACUACAUUAUUUAAUUAAAAUUUAAUAUUACAUCCAAUGGUUGAGGCCCAUAACAAAUGGGACCAAUGAUGUUAUUGCAUUAAUGUCAGAUAUUAUAAGUAUGCAAAUCAACCUAAAACCGUCACCUUUGAGGAAAAAAAAUAUCAAAUAUAUUUAAAUUUUUAUUUGUAAAAUAUAUUUAAUUUAAUUUUAAAUUAAAAGACUUAAAACGAAUGCGUUGAAUUUCACUAUUUAUCAAUAUAAAAGUUAAUUAAUUAAAUUAUAUGCUGCCGACCAUUUUAGCACGUGUGAGCCGUACGUAUGCCUUUUAGUAUGAUCCGUACGGCAAGCAUGCAAUUCCUUCACAGAAUAAUAAUAAAAAUGAAAAUUGAUUUUUCAUUUUUAAAUUAUAUCAAAAUUAAUAUAUUUUUAAAAUUCAAUAUUUAAUCACUGUAUUUUCUCCCUAUGGAAAAUAAUGUAUCUUUUCUAGUUUAAUCAAAGUAUAUAGAUUUAAACAUUUUUUUAUGAAAAUAUAAAAAAAUGUAAAUGUUAAUUUUCAUAUAAUUUUAAAAUUAAAAAAUAGUAUACUUUGAAUUAUAUUCGGUGAGUAUAUGAAUCAGUUUUAAAAUAUAAAAAAAUAUUUUUUUAAAAAUAUACAAAACAUUGACAGAUCAUUAGUUUUUAAUUUUAUGGUAAAAUCUAUUUAAAAUAUCUAAUAAAAAUAUUUAACAUUAAUAAUAAAUAUUUCAUCCGUCUCAUAAUUUAUUUAGUAAAAAAAUAUGAACAAUUUAUUCGUAUAGAUUUUAUAUAAUAUUUUUAAAUAGGAGCGUUUUUUUUUUUUUGAAAUGGGGAUGGGAAUUCGAACCUGAGAUCUAUGAGAUGACCGAAUGCACUUACCAUCAGGCUAAGCCUGGAAGUGUAUAUAAUAGUUUCAAAGGUAUGUGGUAUUAUAAUAAAAAAUAAAAAAUAAGUGAGUGGAGUAUAAUAAACUCUAAAAUUAAAGGACUAUAAAUAUAAAUUAUUCUCUCUGUGCAUAUAUAUUAAAUGAAUAAUAAUUAUAUUUAUUUGCCUUUAAAUCAAAUUCACAGUCCAACAUGAUCUAUUUAUUAUGCCCACUACCCGUGCCCUUCUUUUUUUUUUUUGGAAAAAUUAUUAUGGAUCACUGAAUUUUAAUCAAAUUUAUUAGUAAAUCAAUAUUUUUUAUAUUUUCAAAAUAUAAUAAUUAUGCCCCUAUCCUCUUCCUCACUCCCUCUCUCCCUCUCCAUUCCUCUCUCUGUGGUUCUCUCAUUCCCACACGGGUUGGUGCAAUGCUGUGUACUCAUCAGAGUGGAUUCAAGCUGCGACACCGGAAUUGGUGCAUAGGCGAUGAUAAAGACGUUGAAACACAGGAGUGAGUUGUGAUGUACUCGUUGGAACUUUAUUCAUCGAAGUGGAUUCAAGCUACUAUGCUAGAAUCAAUAAGUACCAUGUUUAUCGAAGUGAAUUCAACUAAUACCUAUGUUGAAAUUGAUGGAGUGAAUUUAUUUAUAGAGUCAGAGAAAAAGUUGAGUGACAUUAUGGAGUUACCAAAUCUAAGAACGAGUUACGAAUCGUCCAAUUUGAUGAGUGAUUUUUCGUUAGAUGACUCAAUAGAGGAAUGAGUAUAUAAUUAUGGUAGUGGGUGUGUGUUUGAUGAGCCAACGACGACAGAGAGAAUUUUGGACAAGAAAAUUCAAUUGAACAUUUAAAGAAAGCUAAUGGCAGCUUUGUUCGUCGAUUAUUAGCCAUGAACGACAUACUAAAGAGCAAAAUUUGCAAUCGAUAGAGUUAAGAGAUUGAAAAAUGCACACUCGUUAAGUACAUCGGAGAUGUACUCGAGUUUUCCAUUGAUUUUUAGGCGGUCAUUUGGUUCUUCAUAUUGCAUAGGGGAGAUUAGAGUCAUUGAUUUUUCAUCUUGUAUAUGGGAGAUUUGAGUUAUUGAUUUUGAUUUAUAUCUUUAACUAUGGUUAGAUUUGCAAUGGUUGAAUACUGUGUUUAUCAAAUAUGAUCAGACCAUUACGAUGAGUGGAUAAAUUUACAAUAUCAUAUUUCAACUUUUUAUUAUUAUCGUUUUUAAAAAAGAUUUGGAUAUAUUGUUUUAUAAAAAAUAUUGAUUGAUAUUUUUUCUUUGAGAUGUAAAUAAAAUUGUAUUUUGCAAAUUAGAAUUACAUAUUAAAUUAUACAAAGAAAUUAUUGAUAGAUUAUUAAGAAAUUUAUCUAUUUUAAGAGUUUAAUUAUCGAUAUUCUUAAAAACGAAAGUAAUCCAAAAUAUGGAGAUUAUUUUUAUAAUUAAAAAUUAUUCUAUUUCUUUUUACUAGUAUCUUGACUAAUUGAAUUUUUGACAAAAUGAUUAAUUUAUUUUAUUUUAAAACAAUGAGGAAUAUUUUAAUUAUUAUUAAAAAUUAUAAAAAUUAACUAAUUAAUUUUUCUUAAAUUCACAGACCCUAUAAUAAUUUACCCAUUUUUUUUUCUUGUAUUUCCAUUAACGAAUAAUUUUAAAUAAAUAUUCUUAUUAUAUGUAUUAAAAAAUAAUUUUAAAUAAAUUAAAAUAACUAUCAAUUGAAUAAAGGAACAUUUACUGCACAUUCUUUGAAUCGGUUACUUUCAAUUUUUCAUGAAAUAACAAAUUUAACCGUGUGAGCAUUAAAAAAAAUAAAUGGUUUCAACUUAUCAAGGAAUUAAUUAAAAAUGAUAAUUAAAUAAAUAUAAUUUUAAUACUUUCUAAAAAUUUGAAAAUUUUUAAUUCAACUAAAUAUGAUGAAAAUUAAUUUCAACAUAAUGUAAUUUAAAUAUUAUCAGCUUAUUUUAUAUUAAAAAAAUAAAGUUAAGUUAGAAAAAUACCAUAUAAAUAGUUUUUUUUUUAUUAUUAUUGUUAUUUUUUUAACAGGAGAUUGAGGAAAUGAGAAAUUAAAUUUUAUCAAGGUUUAAUGCGCAUUAGCAGUACCAAUUUUUUAUUUUUAUUUUUAUUUUUCCUUCACCUGGUUUUUAUUAAAAAAAUUGGUCAUUUACCCUUUAUUUAAAUUUGAUAAAGUUAAAAAGUUAAUUUAAUUCUUUAUGCUUAUAUUUAAAAUAAAAUGUAAUUUUUCAGUUAUUUUUUUUUUCACUUUAAAAAAUAAAAAUUAUAACUGAUGUUGUAAGGCUUCAAUUGUUACAAAUGGUUAUUAUGGAAUUGAUGUCUACAAGCACAUUAAUUAAUAUUUAUUAAUGUAUUUAAUAAUAAUUAUUAAUAAAAUAAAACUAUGUUUUUAAAAAAUUAAAUUAUAUUAUCCUAAAUCACCUAUAUAUUAUUACACGGGACUCUGUUAGUGGCAUUUUCGUUAUUUAACUACAGAACGAAGGCGAUACCGGACAUUCCGACGGCUGAUAUUUUAUUUCUUGCAACUCUUUCAAAGCUGACAAUAUAAAAAAGGAAAAAUAAAAAAUAAAAUAAAAUUAUCGAGUUAUCAACUCUACCCACCACACCCGAUUCAUUUCAUUUUCUCUCUCGUUCUCUCUAUCUAUGUGCUUCCUUCUGUCUUCACUGUCACUGUUUCUGUCUCAUUUUCUCAGGAAAAUCUACCGAGCCAAACAAGUCCUCGAUUUGGAGUCUGAUUUGCAUGUUACGUUUCAACACCAAAUCAGUUUGAAUCUGUUUAAGAGAACAUCCGUCCCUAUUCAAACCCAAGACACGCUUCUUUUUCACUCAUUCUCUGUCAUUGCAAAAUCGCGCAGAGUUUUUGAAGUUUUUCUUGGAGAUUUUUUUUAUAUAUAUUUAUUUAUCUUUAGAUAGCAUUGUAAAUGCGGAACAGCCAGCGAUUCUUCAAGGUGUUAAGGCCAAUCGGAAAAUCGCCGGCGAUUUGAUGGAAUCGACAGUUUUUUAGUGCGGGAGCUUUGGACAUUUCAUGGAGGUCAUUUUCCGCUGUAGUCCAUGCUCGGUCACUAGAUUUGAUAUUGUUAAGCUCAGAUUCGCAGUCGUUGCUUUCGAGGUGAGUUGUUUUUUAGGGGGUUUUCUUUAAAAAAUUGUUUGUUGGUGAUUUAAUUUUAUGUGAUUCAUUUAUUCUUCUGGCUUAGGUCUGUUUUUGGAAAUGGGAGAUUGAGGGUUUUAGUUGAUUGAGGAAUGCAGUAAUUUCUCUCUUCGUUUGGCUUCUGAAAACUUGUGGGAGAAAUCUAGGAUUUUGCUUCCUCAGUGUAAACAACAAGUGAUUAUCAGAUUUAAAAUAUUUUGUUUUUAGUUUAUUUUAAUGCUUUCUCGGAAAGCAAACGGAGCAUAGGGGUUUAUGUAUGUGGGGUUUGGUCCAAUUAGCAAAGCCCCGUUUUGAUAAUUGGUAGUGUUAUUUGCUUUUUCUUUUUGUUAUAAAGAAUGUGCCAAAGGUCUUCUGUUUGGUCACCAUCUUUCCAUUCUUUCCUUUUCUUAAUGUUUCCUUCUUUUGUUUUUGGAGGUUACUUUUGUGGAACUAUUCAUUCCUGUAAUUUUUAAGGAAAAGAAAAACCUUUUUAUGGCGAUUUAAAAUGAGCUGGGCAUUUUUAUGUAUCUGCAGCUUCAGUUUAGCGUGAAAGGGCUUUUGGGGCGAGUAUAAAUUAUAGUUGCUUCAUAAAUUUGUGUUUUAACUCAGUUAAGCUCAUGAAGUCCAAAGUUUUCAUCUUUUUUCCUUUUCCCCUGGUACUGUCUAGGUGAAUUUGAUGUUUGCUAGAUCUGUUGAUUUUGUAGCAAAUUUUGAUGCAAAAAUUGCGUUUUAUCGGUAGAUGUGAUGGUCCUUUGGUUUGCAAUCAUACAAACUCUUGAGAGUUGUCAAUAACUUGUGUUUAUCCUUUCCCUGAAACAGAUUGCGCUGUUAUUUGUAUGCUUUCAAGCUGCUAUUGCAAAUACCCAAGAACACCCAAUUCAAUGGCAGGGCCCUGAAAGUGGAGGUGGAAACGUUAUCUCACAUUCAUGCAUUCAUGACCAGAUAAUUGAACAGAGGCGGAGACCUGGUCGUAAGGUGUACUCUGUUACACCACAGGUUUAUGAUCAGACUGUAAUGUCAAAAUCCCCUCAUCACAAAGGAAGGGCAUUGCUUGGAAUUUCAGAAUUGCGAUUGCAGCAAAAGGAUGCAAAGCAACCUAUUAGGAUUUUUUUAAAUUAUGAUGCUGUUGGACACUCACCUGAUAGAGAUUGUCGAAAAGUUGGUGACAUUGUGAAGGUUGGUGUCACAAAUAAUUUUUGAAGCCCUGUUCAUUAUAUUAGUCAUGGAUGUGUAACUGAUGCUGUGCUUGUAUUCUGUCUUCCUUUUAUCAGCUUGGGGAACCUCCUGUGACUUCUCUUCCUGGGCCUCCUUGCAAUCCUAAUGGUAAUCCUCCAAUUUAUGGCGACUGCUGGUAUAACUGCACUUCGGAUGAUAUAUCAGGGGAGGACAAAAGGCGCCGCCUUCACAAGGUCAGUACUUCUCCUAAUCAUUGCCAUUUUGCUUGCCAUAACCAUGCAAAUAUAGUCAUAUUUUGGGAUUUCUGGUAGUUCUUAAUGUAUAAUAUUGUGUAAUGUCAAAAAGCUAAAUAGAGAAUUUUUUAUCAAGCAAAGAACGCAUUUUGAAAGCAAUAUUGUGCAGGCUUUGGGGCAGACAGCUGACUGGUUUAGGAGAACAUUGGCUGUUGAGCCUGUGAAGGGGAACUUGCGGUUAAGUGGAUAUUCUGCUUGUGGUCAAGAUGGUGGUGUGCAACUUCCACGUGAAUAUGUUGAAGGUAUUGUCAGUGUAUAAGUGUCUGUCUUGCUGAAUUGCUCUUUUUUAUUCUCGGUUUCUACUGCAUUUGCCAUAUUAAAAUUUCUGAGGUAGAAAUUGUACUUGUUUAAAUCUCCCAGAGGGUGUCGCUAAAACGGACUUGGUUUUAUUGGUGACUACGAGACCUACCACAGGCAACACUCUUGCAUGGGCGGUGGCAUGUGAGCGUGAUCAAUGGGGACGUGCAAUUGCUGGUAAUUUUUGAUUGAGCAUUUUCUUUUAAAAAAAGUUAUAUCAUUAUCAUACCCUUAUAACAGCAGAAUUCUGGAUGGUUUGUUUCUUUGCAGGACAUGUGAAUGUUGCUCCUCGCCAUUUGACGGCUGAGGCAGAGACGUUACUUUCAGCUACUCUAAUUCACGAGGUCAUUAAAUUUCUAGAUUAAAUGGACUGAAAAAAAAUUCUUUUCUUGUACUUGAUUAGCUUGCUUAAUCUGUUCCAGGUUAUGCAUGUUCUUGGUUUUGAUCCCCAUGCAUUUGCCCAUUUUCGGGAUGAGAGGAAAAGAAGGCGUGGUCAGGUAGAUGCUCUGAUUCACAUUCUCAAUGAAAUUCAUCAUCUUCCAAGAACACUUGUGAUGUUUGAAUAUGGUCAGAAAGUAUAUGAAUUGUUUGUUGGAACAAGAAUGGGUUUUCUAUGUACUUGAAGAUAAACAAUCACAAAACUUUCAAAUACAUGAUUUAUCCCCUCCCAGAACUUUCCAUUUUCCCUUGUCCAAAUAUGAAACUUCUUUUUUUAUUAUGCUUUAAUGCACUGCUGCGCUGGUGAUUGUUUAUCACAUGAUGAAAGGAAAAAAAUAAAAAAGGAUAUUUGCAACUAAGAUAACUUUGUACAAAUUACACAAUGAGGUUUUACUCGGCUUUUAUGAUCUUUCUUGAUGCCCUAAAAUAUUGACAUGUUUUAAAACUAUUUCAUGUGAGUAUUUUAAUUAUGAAUUUGGAAGGUAUAUAGAGUCAUAACCUAAAUUCUGGAACACUCCAACAACUAAGCCUUAAUCCCAAACUAGUUGGAUAAGUCUGCUAUAUGGAUUAUUUUUCGCCAUUCAGCUCUGAUAGACACCGAGUCCUCGUCAAUGCCUAAAACUUUUAACUUUCAGGUUACUGAACAAGUCAUGGAUGAAAAGCUUGGGCGGAUGGUAACACGUGUGGUGCUUCCACGUGUUGUCAUGCACUCGCGACAUCAUUAUGGGGUAAUAGAAACACUUUCAUUUGAAAUAUUUGCUUUCUUUUUCUUUAUUUUGGGACUGAAGGGGGUGUUUUCAUUUCAAAAUAUACUUUGUGUCAUGGCGUUCUAUCUCUGACUUUUACUAACCCAGAACCUUAAGAAAUUUUUGGGUUCAUUUAUUGGCAGGCAUUUUCUGAGAAUUUUACGGGUUUAGAGCUUGAAGAUGGGGGAGGACGUGGCACAUCAGGUUUUCUUUCUUUCUUCCCCCCCUCCCAACCUCCAACCCCCCUCUCUAUGAUCUCUCUCUUUUUCUUUCUCCCUCAGUCCCUCACUAGAAGUUUUUCUUUAAGUUGGCCAUAAAUAUCUGUAUUAACAGUUAAACCUUUUCUGCUUAAGCAUGCAGUAAUCAUCUUCAGAACUGAUGUAGUGUGUUAGAACUUAAAGUAUGGGAACAGAAAUUCUGCGAAAAUAAGCACAUGCAAAUUGCGUUUCGAUUUAUUCUGCAAUAAGAAGUUAUACAAAAAUGAUUUUGUGAACUUUAUAGUUGUGGAAACCUUUAGCAGUUUAAUAGUUGUUUAUUUUAUAACUUAAUGCAGGGUCACACUGGGAAAAGAGGCUUCUUAUGAAUGAGAUUAUGACAGGAUCUGUGGAUACAAGAUCUGUAGUUUCAAAAAUGACACUGGCUUUAUUGGAGGACAGUGGGUGGUACCAGGCCAACUAUAGCAUGGCUGACCAUCUUGAAUGGGGUCGCAACCAAGGAACUGACUUUGUGACCUCCCCUUGCAAUCUCUGGAAGGGUGCAUAUCAUUGUAACACAACCCAGUUAUCAGGCUGCACGUAUAACAGGGACGCUGAGGGUUACUGCCCAAUUGUAAGUUAUAGCGGGGACCUUCCUCAGUGGGCUCGUUACUUUCCUCAACCCAACAAAGGUGUGGUCUUGAGUCCUGUCUUAAUGCCUUAUCCUUGUCUAUAAACUUAUUUGAUCAUGAAAUUUCGAAGAUAAUCUUAACAAGUUGAUUGCUUUGGCUCAUAGUUUGAAUUUAAUUUCUUUUACUGGUCAUUGCAGGUGGGCAGUCCUCAUUGGCCGAUUAUUGUACUUACUUUGUGGCCUAUUCUGAUGGAUCAUGUACAGACACUAACAGUGCGCGAGCACCUGACAGAAUGUUGGGUGAAGUUCGAGGGAGCAGCUCCAGGUGAAAAUUGACUGGAAGUUCUCAGAAUGCAGCUGAGAAAAAAAAGUACAUUUGGCACAGUAUACUAAUACAGUCUCUGUUUAAAUGUAUGUGUAGGUGCAUGGCAUCAUCUUUAGUACGCAGCGGCUUUGUGCGGGGUUCUGUGACCCAAGGAAAUGGUUGUUAUCAGCACAGAUGUGUAAACAACUCUCUUGAGGUAUACUUUGGAGGUUUGAUGUUUCCUUGCAUGCUAAGCUGUGGUUUAUUAGAUGCAUCGGUGAUGUUAUCUGGUUCAGCAACUUAGAGUGUCUGUUCAAGUGAUAUGACACCACAAUUUAAAUUAAAUACAAGUAUGUUUCUUAAUAAAAUGGCAUCUUCAUCUUUCAGUGCAUUAUGAAAAAGGAUCAAAUGAACUUCUCGCUUUUCUUUCCUACCUUUUCUUUUUUGUUUAUUUUUUUACCUUGUGCAAUCAUCUCCUCAAUGCCAUUCUGAUCAUUUUUGUAGGUUGCUGUGGAUGGUAUUUGGAAAGUAUGUCCUGAAGCUGGUGGACCAGUUCAGUUCCCUGGCUUCAAUGGUGAAUAUUAUGUUUUUAUCUUAUUUAUUUAUUUAUUGUAUUUCAUCAUGAAAUCCAUUUUUAUUCAUAUUUUCUAUAUUCUUUUUCUUGCAGGUGAGCUGAUUUGCCCAGCUUACCAUGAACUCUGUAGUACGGGCUCGGUUUCUGUACCUGGGCAAUGCCCCAGUUCAUGUAAUUUUAAUGGAGACUGUAUUGAUGGAAAGUGUCACUGUUUCCUGGGAUUUCAUGGUCAUGACUGUAGCAAACGUGAGUGCCUCCAUCCUUUCAUAUCCCACAAUGUACUCACUUGUUGGGAUGAAACAUCACUUGUGGAAUCCCUAAUAUGUGAGCUACAUUUAUUUGUUUCUUCUGGUUAUUUGCUGAAAAAUUCAUUCUUUGAAUUUCUUUUGUAGGGUCCUGCCCUAGUAAUUGCAAUGGGCAUGGUACGUGCCUUUCAAAUGGGGUCUGUAAAUGCAAAAAUGGUUACACUGGCAUUGACUGUUCUACUGGUAAUAUGAUCCCCCGACCCUAUUUUUGGGGAAAACCAUGUUUGCUGAUUUAGGUGAAAAAAAAAUCAUGUUAACGUUCCUAUCUGUUUGUGCCUAAUUGUGUUUAUAAUGGAAAAGGAAAAAUGAAGUAUUCUAGAUGUACUAUUGUGGCUGUGAUUUGUAAUUGGCUUGAAGAAGUAUGACUCCCAUUGUUGUAGUAGUUUCUAAAGUAUGUGGAUUGCAUGUUAGAAUGUAUCUGGUAUUUUUGAAGGAUGAAUAGAUCAAAAGAAUGCUAUCAGAAGCUAAAAGUUCUUUUUAUUUUUGUUUUACUUAGGACACCAUUUGAAUGAUAAGUUUGGUCUAGUAGUUCAUUGUUAUUGCUGAGGUUUUUCUUGUCUUCGCUUUUGUGAUUUGUGUUUCAAAUCACAAAAAUGGCAAAUAGGACAAUGAAGUCCAGUUGUGGCUGCUUGCCUGGUUGCACAUGUACUAUGAGAUAAAAUAUCUUUGAAGUAGCUUUAAUCUACCAUUCUCUAAACUAUGCUUCUUUGUGUUGUAUGUAGCUACUUGUGAUGAACAGUGCAGCCUUCAUGGUGGGGUCUGCGAUAAUGGAGUUUGUGAAUUCCGAUGCUCAGAUUAUGCAGGGUACACUUGUCAGAACAGCUCAACGCUUCUCUCUAGCCUUUCAGUUUGCAGAAGUGUGGUGGAAAGCGAUAUGUCUGGUCAACAUUGUGCACCCAGUGAACCAAGUAUAUUGCAGCAGCUAGAAGAAGUAGUUGUCAUGCCUAACUACCAUCGAUUGUUCCCUGGUGGUGCCCGGAAGUUAUUUAAUGUCUUUGGCAGCAGUUACUGUGAUACAGUCGCUAAGCGACUAGCCUGCUGGGUGAGUUACAUCCAUUAUUUUUUCUGGAGCAAUCUAAUAUCUUAUUGUGCAUGAUAAUGACUUCUCUAUCAUGUUUGACUAAAAAAAUUGACGCCAAAUGAUCAGAUCUCCAUCCAAAAGUGCGACAAGGAUGGUGACGACAGGCUUCGUGUGUGCCAUUCAGCAUGUCAUUCAUAUAAUUUAGCAUGUGGAGCAUCACUGGACUGCUCAGACCAAACCCUCUUUAGCAGUGAAGAAGAAGGUGAGGGUCAGUGCACGGGCUCUGGAGAGAUGAAGGUAUCGUGGUUGAAUCGACUGGGGCUUAGGUUCUUUUCAAGCAAUACUUCAGUCGAAGGGACAUCUGUAAAGUAUAGGCAGCUGUAGUUUCUUUUCAUUUCCCCCUUUUAAUAUUUUUUUUUUUUUAAUUUUUGGCUGUAAUUUUACAAGGAGCACCAUUUUAGGAAAAAGGGGGCAUGUAGUGCACGUGCCUUAGAUGUAGGUGGUUGUCUUUCAAUCAUCCCAAAUGCCAUUUAAGAAAUUUGGGUGAAAGAGGCUUUCAAAGAUGAAAGCAGCAUGUAGAGAUUUGGAAAUGUAUGCAAAAAGAAAGAACAAAAAAAAAAGAAAAAGAAAAGAAAAAAAAAAAGAAAAAAGAGAAAGCUCUGUUGACGAGCAAAAGAAGUUUGGCCGAAGGCCUAGAAAGAAUGAAAAGCCUGUGUUUUCGUGUUUCCCUUGUCUGGCAUUCCAUACAUCUUACUCUCUAAUUUUUUUGUCUUAGUUACUAGCUCAUUUAGAUUUACAAACAGCUGAACUAAGUUGAGAUAUGGUGACGAGAGUUUAUUAAAGCCAUUACCAGGGCCCUCAAUCAGACUAAUUUGCUUCUCGGAUCAACCUGUGAAUCGGGGUUUAACUCUUGCCAGAGAUUCGAAGCCCGUAUGAUAACCGGUGUGGCUUGCAGCUGCUGAAGCAGCUCAAGUAAAAACAUGAACUAGCUAGGCUCUGUGACCUGUAGUGGUAAGAACGCAUGCCAUGUCUCCAAUUUACAUUUUGCUGCCAAUGGUUUCUCAUUUUUAUCUUUAGGAAAGGGAUUUAGUGAAACUUACUAGAAUGCAAAGGCUACAGGACCGCAAUUCUUUUCUUCAAUCGAGGACAAAAUGCAAAGACGGUCCUUUUUGUCCUCCAAAUCAUCAACAUGAUUACAAGGCUCGCUUUGAUGAACCAUAAGCCUCAAAUAAAGGUAAAAAAAUGUCAAAUAAAUGAGGAGCCGGCCAAGCCACUCAUACAGCCCAAUCCAUAUGAAAAAAAAUACUACAGUUGUCUCCUUCAACUCAACAGAAACUGAUAGCUGUCCAACUAAUGAUAAGAGGCAUUUUCCCUCCUUAUAACGCAUGUAAAUAGUACAAUAUGAGCAGUAAAUAGUGUUCUGGAUUAUUCUUCUUUUCUAUGUAAAUAGACAUCGUAUAACGUCUCCCGAUCGUUUUUUUUUUCUGUUCAUAGUAUUAGAGUCUCUCCAUUGAUAUUAGACUUCUCGUAAAUGUUUCAUUCUCCGAUAUAAUUCUUGAUAUAAGGAGUGUGUUGAAUUCUAUAUCGGUUUAGAAUAAAGAUAGUGUCACUUAUAAGGGUUUUAGACACUCUUUUCUUUGAGUUAACUUUUAGAAUGAGUUAACUUUUAGAAUGAGUUAAAUUUAAUUCAAAUUUAACAUGGUAUCAAACAACCUAAGCAUGUCCCUUGUAAUCAUUCUUCUUACCGGUGGAAAUUGCAUGUCCCUUGUAACCAUUCCUCUUACUGGUGAAAAUUACUUUACCCGAAGCUGCUCUAUGUUAAUUGCGUUACGAGCUAAAGAUAAGCUUGGCUUCGUUAAUGGCACUUACAAGAAACCCAAAGAUGAUGCCCCUGAGUAUGAGAAGAGGCUCAAAGUUGACAAUAUGAUCACUGCCUGGAUUUUAAGCUCCAUUUUCAAAGAGAAAGUGGAAGCUUUCUUGUAUGUCACCUCAUCCAAAACCACUUUCAUGCACAUCUCCAAACCAUACGUACAGAUAAUGGUACUGAAUUCCUUAACCAUAAGUGUGAGCAAUUAUUCCAUCAAAAGGGCAUAUUGCAUCAGAGGUUCUGCAUUUACACCCUCAACAAAACAGGGUGGAUGAACGCAAGCAUAAACACCUUCUUCAAGUUGCUCAAGUUCUUUUAUUUCAGUCCAAACUAUCACAAAAAUUUUUGUAUACAGUUCUUCAUGCCACCUACAUCACUAAAUUGAAAAAUUCCAUUUAAAAGUUUACACUCAAACCAAGUAUUAUGGUAACCUCAAAAGCUUGCGGUUGCCUUUGUUUUGGAACCAACACCAAGCCCACAAAAAUAAAAUUUGAACCCAAGCUAUUCGAAGUGUCUAUUUGGGAAAUGCUACAGGACAGAAAGCCCAUAUCCUCAUGGACUUGCUUAUACAAAAUUUUUAUACCUCCAGAGAUGUGAAGUUUCAUGAGCAUAUUUUUCUUUUCAACCAAACUUCAAUGCAACACACGUACCCCCAUCACCAUGAUCCAUCCGCCAAUGAACCCAGUUCAUCCACUUUCGAACCUGAGCAGACGAGCACACCCACUCAAUCUUUAAGAAGGAGCACAAGGCAUCAUGCUCCACCUGCAUGGUUACAAGAUUAUGUUGCUCACAUUGAUGUUAGUCCAUCCUUUCCAAUUAUUGCAACGAUUUAGCUAGUCCAUAAUCAGUUUAAGGUAAUACUGAACCAUACCAUUUGACAACCUUUAUUUUGGAUCAUAAGCAUGUUGAUUUUGUUGCAUCAAUAUCAUUAGCUCAUGAACCUAUUUCCUGUGAGCAAGCAAAGAUAGAUCAAAUUGGAUAUCUGCUAUGAGCAAGGAGCUGGAAGCCUUAGAAAUAAAUAGGGCAUGGGACCUGGUGCCUUAUCCUACUGAAAAAUGCCCAAUAGCUUCAAAAUAGAUUUUUCGAAUCAAAUUUAAACGAGAUGGAAGUAUGGACAAGUAUAAAGCCUACCUUGUAGCAAAGGGGUUUAAUCAGUUGGCCGGUAUCUAUUACACUGAUUGUUUCAGUCCAGUAGCCAAACUUGUUGCAGUCCACUUGUUCUUAGCUAUUGCCACAAGCUUUAGUUGGCUCGUAGAUCAAGUCGACAUCAACAAUACAUACCUCCACGGUCAAUUGACGAAGAACUCUACAUGCUUCCGCCAUAUGAAUAUACAAAGGCAAAAGCAGAACAAAUAUGUCCAUUGAAAAAAUCACUUUACGGCCUAAAACAAGCUGGAUGACAAUAGAAUCGUGAGUUUUCCUCUAAGUUACUGCAAUAUAUUCACUCAGUGUCCCUCAGAUCAUUGCCUAUUUAUCAAAGGAUCCAGCUCUCACUUCCUUGCACUUUUAAUUUAUAUCGACGACGUAUUGAUAACAGGUCCGUGUGAACAAGACAUUCAGAAUGCAAAACAGUUUCUUAAUCAAGCCUUUACGAUUAAAGAUUUGGGGAUUGCAAAAUAGUUUCUUGGAAUUGAGAUUGCUCGAUCUACUGCUGGAAUGUGCCUCAACCAACGCAAAUACGUCAUGGAUCUCCUAAGUGAACUUGGGUUACAAGAUACUAAGCCAGCACCUACACCUCUCUCACGAGGCAUGCAACUAUCUUCUAACAACAUUCCAGUAUUGGAGUUUUCAGAUAAAUAUCGGAGAAUUGUUCGCAAACUGCUCUGCUUAAAUAUUACUCGGCCAGACGUUUCAUUUCCUAUGCAACAACUCAGCCAAUACAUGCAAAAUCCCAGGAAAAUCCAUUGGAAUGCUAUUGUACAUGUAAUGCUGUGGACACGACGUUCCAUUACAGGCUUAUGUAUCAGCCCACUGUGAGCCUAUCUUCCAUUGAAAUUGAAUACCGUAGCAUGGCUUUUAGUGUUUGUGAAUUAAAAUGGCUUUCUUACCUCCUUAAACAAUUUCACCUUCAACCCACACUUUCAAUUCCAUUCUACUGUGACAAAAAAGCGGCCCUCCAUAUCGCCUCAAACCCCUUCUUCCAUAUGAAAGAACCAAAUACCUCAACAUUUUGCCAUGUUGUUAGAGAACACUUACAGAAAGGCUUUGUGGGACCUCAAACACAUACCAGCCACAUAACAAUUAACCGACCUAUUUACCAAAAAUUUAACGACUCCUUCCUUCUCUUCCCUUAUUCUCAAGCUAGGAUUAAUCCAGCUCCCGCUUCAUAAUCUCCUGCUUGAAGGGGGCCUGAUGAACCAUAAGGCUCAAAUAAAGGCCCAAAAAUGUCAAAUAAACAUGAACCAAUGUUGUAUCCAUCUAUCGCGCUAAUGUCAUGGCAAUCCUUGUCAUUUGGAUCUGUGGUAAUAGUGAACUCUGCGAAUGUCACUGGUGGAGCUCCACCUCCCGUGCACUUUAAAAGCCUCCAUAGUCACUGGUGUCACACUUUCCAGACCCAAAAUCAUCAAACGUGCAUCUGGUUCGAACUAAGGGUGGAGACUGAUCCUGGAUUGAUGAACCAGGUGGCAAUACAAAACACCAUUGCUAAGAGUCAUUGCACCAUUCCACCAGGCCAUAUCUUGUAGUUGCAUACAUUAUGAAAAGCGAGAAAAGGUGGCAUUUAAUUUACAUCAACCCCUCUAAAAAGAGGUCCAGUAAAAUAAGUCUUUUUAAAGUAAAGAUUUUUAAAAGCCUUAAGUUCAAAAAAAUCCUUAAAAAAAAUCCUCUUAAUAUUUUAUUUUUCAAAAAAAUCUACUUCACCAUUAUAAGUUUUAUACACAAAUCUUAUUAACAUUAUUUAUUUUUAUACAUGAAUUUUAUAUGUAAAUUUUACAAACAUUUUAAUAAAUAAUUCAGUUAAAAAUAUAUUUCAUAUAUAAUAUUCUGAAAUCCAGAAAAUAGAGUUUACAGUGGUCGUGUAAAAUUAGUCGAAAAAGACGUUUCUCCCCUUUUAUCUCUUUUCCUUUUAUCCGUCAGUGAUAUCUAACCGCUACAGUAUCACUUAUCUCUGUUACUCAGAUCCGUACAUAAGAAUGUGUCAGAACUUCUCUCCACACCAGACGGCCAUUUAAUUCUCUCCAGCGUGCAUGCAAGUAGAGCUGCGAAAUGACUUGACCUGCUCUCCUACUUCUUGUCACGUCACUAGAUUAGACUUUCUUCAGAUGGGUCCGCGCGUGUGGCCUGUCCGGCCUGAUUCUUGUCACCAAGCUGAAAUGUGUCGCGUGAGAUUGGCUUACUUUGAGAAGGAUUUGAUGGGUUUCGAGCUUGUAUUUUUCUUUAGGAUCCAAUCUUAUCCCAAAUAUAAUAAGUCUAGCGGUCAUCAAUAUGUAAAUUGUUUUUCACAAAACACUCUUAUUUCUCCAUCGAUUAAUCAAUGUGCCUUUUCGUUUGGUAAGCAUAGUAAAACACUUAAGCUAAACACAUACGUACAUCCGUACAUCGAAUGAAAUUGAUUAUGUGCCACAUAAUUUCAGAAUAAAAGAAAAUGCAUCUGUGCCUCAUUGAUUAAUGUUUGACAAUUUCCUCAUUGUUUUUAACAUCCAUCAUUAUUUUAAAUGUAUGACCUAAGAGAUUAACUACUAUUGGUGGACUAAUGGCUUUCAGAAUUUGGGUAUACAAUAGACUGCUUGGGAUAAAUUGUGUCACUCAAAGGAAGAUGGUGGACUUGGAUUUCAGAAAUCACAUGAAUUCAAUUUGAUAAUGUUAGCAAAACAGGGUUGGCAUUUAUUGAUCAAUCCAAAUACAUUACUUCUGUGAGGCAUUGACUUGGAUUAAAUCCCGUGGGUUUUACUUCUGUCCUUUUAGAACCAGAUGUAUGGAGGAUUUACCAUACAUUAGUAAUAGUUAUGUUAAUGUUGUCAAGUCUCUGUUGUUUGAGCUUGAUGUGCUCUCAGUUACUUUUGUCCAUAAGUCUACAAAUUCGUGUUCUCAUUUUUUUGCACGGGCUGCAGUUUAUUUGUCAGAUUCAAAUGAUCGUAAUUUAUAAUCUGAAUUAAAUUAAAUUUAAUUGACCUUUAAAAAAAAAUACAAAAAUUUAAUUAAAAUUAUUUAAAAUAUAUAUUAAUUAGCACCGCUAAGAAAACAUAUUACACUCUUAAAAUAGACCAGGUCUCUACUGUCAUAACCGCAUGUUUCCAACGUCCAAACUCAACGAUGAAAAUUGUGCCAUUGUUUUGUCACUCAAGUGAUUGCCAACUACUUCCUUUUAUCUUUUUGUUUCUUCCCACCACUGACAAGAUCUUUUUUUUUAUAUAUAUAUACUAAAUUUAUAAUCUGGUUUUUAAUUUUUACAAAAAAAAUCAAUUGAUAUUCUAAACUUUUACUAUUAAUUUUUGACAUAUAAUCUGUAUAAAAGUACAAUAUUUAGCCUCUAAGCACGGAUAUAAUUUACACAAUGGAAUAAUUAUUUUAAGAAUUUAAUAAUUAUAUUUAUAAAUUAAUAAUUAUAUUUUUAUCAAAAUCAAAUGUCAAAAUUUAACGAAAAAAAAGUUAGGAUAUCAGCUAAUUUUUUAUAUAAAGGUCGAGAGUUAAUUUACAUAUUCUAUCGGUCUUAUAAUUUUUAUACACUUUAUUUUUUUAUAUAUUAAAAUAAAUGUAUUUCUUUUAAUUAUAUCUAUUUUAAAAAUAUUAAAUUUUAUUAAAUAUUAUGAAAAUUUUAAGAGAUUUUUUAAAAAUAAAAAUAAAUAAAAUUAAAAUAAUCAAUUUAUAUGUUAUUAAACAAUAAUUUUAGAACAAUUAUACAAGAAAAUACAUAUAAAAAUGUCUAUUUGGUCUUUUCUUUUUAAAUAUCUUCUACUCGUACAUGACAAACCCUAUCAAAUGCAAUUGUUCUAUCUUCCAUUGCUCAAGUGAUAAGGUCAUUCAUAUUUGAAACUUUUUCAUGCUUGUCCCGAAUAGCUAAGGUGAGGGAUUGACAAGACGAAGCAGAAACGGUAAAAGGAAUCGGAGAAAAGUGUAGCACUCCAAAAGAUAAGAGCAUGUAGUGCACCCAACAGUCCUAUCAUCAUUUAACACGUGCACCCUAAUUCAUUUUUCGAGUCAUGUGAACUCUAUCCUGGGUGCCCGCUUAGCGGGCUUAGUAAUGGUAUAUAUCGAUCUCGUAAAUACGAGGAUUGAUUUCUCUUCCACAUUUGACAAAAAAAAAAAAAAAAAAUCUCUUUCACAUUUGAUUAAAGAAAAAAAAAAAUUCAUGGAUGAAAGUGGGACCCUCUAAACCCGUAAGAUUUUAGUUAUAUUGGUGAAGCCCGGACCAAUUUUCAAACUCUUUUUGUAAAUAAGCUUUGAACAACCGGGCUGGAAUGAGUAAGGUUCUGUGAGAUUUGGGCUGGCUACAUACUGACGACUUGCAUUCCAACACUCCCUUGCACAAUCAAAACUGAUAUCAUUUAAAUUUGGUUCUCCAUAGUCAUAUUGUUUUACAAUCAUUUAAAUAUUACUUAAAGAAAUGGAAAAAAAAAUUCUCAAACAGUAUAUAUAUUGGGAUAUAUCAGUAAUUUGGUAUGUGUACAGCCCAAUCUAUUCAAUAGACUUGUAUCUGAGUUUAAAAGAGCUGUAGACCCACCCAGAGGAAGAUGAUAAUCGAGGCAUAUGCAAAAGAACCAAAACCAAUGGUUUCCAAAUUGCAAGUGAACCUCAAGUGGUUUCGUAUUUGCCCUUUUAACAGAAAAGACAUUAUAACCUUCUAUGUAAAAGUAAUCUAGACUCACUAAUGAGCACAACCUUUACUCUUAAGAGGGAAAGCAGCAUUUACAUCUAGGAGCAAACACAACAUUCACAAUUAGAUAGUUAAAAUAUUCACUUGCGCAAUAUUUAUACUUAAUAAAAACAAGACAUGCAUUUAAUAAGUUUAAAUUCAAUACAAUUAUGCUAAACUAAUUAUAAUUUAACUAAAAUUAUGUUUACUAAAAAUAUAAUUUCAAUUUAUUAAAUUUAGACUCAUUAAAUUUUUAUUUAGCUAGAUUUAUAAAAAAAAAAUCAACUUUGUAACUUUUUUUUAAUGAGGGAGCAAUAUAAAAUAAACUCACAUUUAACCUACUUUCAUUUAAAAAUUAAAAUUUUAGGAGGUGUUGCCAUCUGCCUACCUUCGUCAUUAUCAAUACUCUUUCUGCCUUAUAUCAAUCAUUUUGGAUAUAAACUGUAAUGCUUGAAAAACCCUAGCUAGUAAGUUUCUGUCAAAUAGAUUUUCACCCCUGAAAUUAAAAUAUUUUGAGGGGAGGGGGAUUAAAUAAAAGUUUCUAUCAAUUUGCAAUAAGGUCUCACAUGAAUCUAACUUGUAUAUAUCUUGUAUGACAAGCUAUUCAUUGCUAGAUUUUCUUUUUCUUAAACACUGUUGUAGAAUUGCCUAUAAUUGGCAUUGGCUGAAUUUUAAAGUAAGUAGCCAAGGAAAGAAAUGCACAAGCUGAACUUACAUAUAUUUUGAACCAAAUGGAUGAAAAGAGGGUGAGAUACGCAAAUAUCGCAGUCAAGGAAAUUACCAUCAUAAAUUUUACCAAGCAUUUCAAUGUAGAAAGUUCUUCUUCUGUUCCUUCAUCAGGGAAGUGGCCAUGAGUUUUGAAAUCUGAUAGCAACUGAUCCUUCAGCUGGAAGGCAUUCAUUAACCAAGUAGCAGCCUCACUAUCAGAUUCUGGGAUAUCCUUGACUGGAAUACGUCGAAUAUGAAUGUGAACUUCUGCUGGAUCCACACCAAAUACAAUGUCCAAAAAGGUAGGGCAUUGAUGCUUGUAUCCAAUAGUUAUGUCAUAAACUGCAGCAUAUGAGAUAGACAUGUAAGUGUACAAUAUAAUAUCUGGAAGCAUAUGAGAGAUAGAACUGCAGAACAAGAUAUGUAAUUUCGACAAAUCAUGCACAUAUAAUCACAAUUGGAUGCGUUCCAAAGAAAAUAUAACAGUAAAAUUAGUUAAAAACUAAUACCAGCAUCUAAGGAACUCCGAAGAACUCCCAAGCAAAGGCAAAAACCCCUUGUCUUUGGAAGCAGCACAUUAGUCAGCAUAGGAAGUCCAACUUCAGCUGCAAAUUUUUGACUCCUCAGGCAUUUCUGUUCUCUGUGUAAACAAUGCAAGCAAAGAAAGCCUCUUAAGUGCUCUGAUUAUAAAUCUUACAUAAAAUCUAGUUUCGUUGUCAAGAUCAAGGAUGAUAUGGAAAAGCAAGCACAUGGAAAAUUAAGGAGGAAAAGGGAAAACAAGCCUUACGUAAAAUCAGUCCCUUCAGGAAAAAGAGCAAGCCACAAGCGAUCUUGAGGAUCCUUAAAAGUUGAAAGCAUUUGAUGCAUGACAGGUUCAUCAACUUCCCACUUUCUAUCAACUGAGAUGAACUCCAAAACGUGAAAACCCCAACCCAGGGCAGGAAGUUUCAUCAAGCUGCUCUUGAGGAUAUAUUUAAUGGAGCCUAGGCACCCUUUUCGCAAUGCAAGAUCCCACAAAUACAUCCAAUCAACCUCAGUUCUGUGAUUGGCAAUAAUCAAAACACGUUCUUUUGGUGGCACAGCAUUCCCUGAAAAUACAACUUUAGUCCCAUUUAUCUUUUCAAACAGAAAAGGCCACAAAGAUAGCCAAAUUGAAAAGAGAAACGAGGCUACUUUUCUGGAAUAGUGUACGCUGGCAAGCCGCAUCAUUACGGCAGGGGGUCCAAAAUACACUAGAAACAUAACAGAAGUAGAAAGAAACACCAGAAGACACAUCAGACCCCUAGUGAAUCUAAAAGGAGUCAAUGGACGGUGUUUUUGCUUAUCAGUAGUUUUGAGGGGCUGCGAAUCUUCCAUCUCUUUCUAGGAUCUGAUAUAAAGUCCUCACUUCCUCUUAAGGCCAACUGCAAUGGAAUGUGCACCUAAGUUACUCGAGUAAUUGAAUUAUCCUCCACUUUUAACAGAAAGAUGCAACAGCACAGAGACGAAUUUUAUGAUAUAUCAAAAGCAUAUUAAAGCAUAAGCUACUCAUUAUCAGACAACUAUUUGGAGUAUAACUAAAGGUAUCAGCCGGUUGGAGAAAAAGUUAAUUACUAGAGAGUGAGAAAAGGCAUUGAUAACAAAAAAAAAAUUCUUGGAAGCCAAGCAAACAAACGAAUUACUGGUCCCUCAGCAAGAAAUGAAUCAGUAAUCAGGCGGCCCAAAAAUUGGAUAGACUACUCCUUUCAGUUACCAAUAGGAGGAACCAAGCACUUCAACUUUUUUUUUCGGGGUUUGAAACACAAUAUAUCUCAACUCUAGACGAAUCUAGUACCGAACUAAAAGCCCAUUGGUGCCAAGCACUGUAACUUUGUGUAAUAUAAAUAAUGACCUAAACAAUAGAAGAAUGCCUAAUUAAUAUUUGCAUUUAUGAGCAGCAAAAAAAAUCCUUUUUUUAUUAUAAAGUGGUAAAGAAAAUUAAUCCUAAGAGCUUGAACUCUGUUUUUUACUUGUGCAUUGUCAAUAUUAGAUUUGAUUUAAAUAAAUUUAAAUUGUUCAACAAUAACUAGCAAAUUUGAUUUCAAAUUUCCCCAAAAUAAAGCUUAGCUCCGUGAUAACGAUCUCGUUUAUUGCAGUGGGCCCUAAUUUAAAAAAAAAAAAAAAUUGUAACGUGCUGAUUAAGAAAAAUUAUUACUGUAACUUUCGAUUUAGAAAAUCUCGACCUAAAUUACAGAUAAUCUCUUGCAGAGAUUACCAAAUAUCGCAGUAUAAAUUUCAUUUAAAUUAUUUAUAAAAAAAACGUGAUUUCAUUUAAAAAAUAAAUAAAAAGCGAAUAUACAGAUUACUUACCAUAGGUGAAAUUAAGCGGAGAGAAAAGUACCAAACAAGCGAGACCGUGAAUUAACCAAAAAAAUAAAAAACAAAACUACAAAACAAACAAUCAGAGAUUCAAAAACUUUGCGGUCUCUAAUGGCGGACGAAGCAAAAGAGAAAUCAAUCAGAAAGGAAGCAAAGAAGAGCAAAUUGAGAAAAAGAGUGGAGAAUUACCUCGUCGCCGGAGAGAAGUCAACAGAUAGGAAGCGAGUAAGAAGAUGCGGUUUAGGAAAUAAGGAGGAGAAAAUUUCUGGUUUUAAUAGCACAAGAAGAAGAAGGAGGAGGAGGAGGAGGAGGAGACUCCAUAUAUAAUAAAAAUACUAAAAUUGGUUAAUCAAACAGGGAAUUUCGAAUCUAGAUUCGGAAGUAAAGGAUAAUAACAAGAAGAGCUCCAUCCACCUCGAUAAUUACUUGGGCCUGAUUGGCCAACAACGUAAAAAUUUUAAAAAAUAAUAAAAAUUUUGAAAUUUUGUCAAGUGGAGUUUCAGGUACAGAGAGGAAAUGGCCAACUAAGGAAUUAUUGAGGUUAUGUUGGUUUGUGUUUUGUAUCUUGUGCCAUUUGUAACUGUCCAAUCACAAUUGAGAUUUGGAUGCAGAGAUUGGGUUCUAAAUGGGAGGAGGCAAUGAUUCCCGGAGAUCAAUUCCAUGUGCUUACCGUGUAGUUUUUUAAAAAAUUGUCUUUUUAGUUCGGCUAUGUUGGUUAAAAAUCAACUGAUUAAUGGCUGACGAGAUCUAGUUUGAAAUUGGAAGGAGUCAAGAAGGGUGGGCCGAAUGGGAUUGGGUUCUUUGAAUUUAAUUCACACUAAGCUAAAGCCUAUUUAGCUAGGCCCACAACGCCGGUCCUUUUUGAAUUAGAUUAAUUUUUAUUAAUUCUGGUCCAUAGCGUAAAGAAAAUUGGAAAACCUUUUUUCUGUCCUCUUCUCAUAUUCUGUAUCAAUAAAAUUUUGAUUUAUUUUUAUAUAUUUAAUAUAUAAAUAUUAUAAUUUUCCCCCCCAAGUUUAAGCAAAUUUCACUCUUCAGCUUUAAUAGGAUAAAACAUUGUGAUUGCUCAUUAAGAAAUUGUAUCGGUUCGCCCGCCCGUGUACCACGUGUAAGCAAAAGGUUGAGAUUUAUUAUUAUUGCAAUUAUUUUUUUUUGUCGGAAAGGUCCAGACUUUGACAUACAAUGGAAGCUUCCUUUCUUGGAUUUUUCUUGCUUUUUCUGUCAAAAGACACGCAAAGAAAAUGUAAAAAUUGAAACAUCAAACCGGCAAUAGUUUCUUGCUUUUCUGCCAUGAAUCUAAACUAUGAAAAUUUAUUCAAUGCAAUGAGUUGUAUGAAGAACAAUUGGAUAGUCAUUACUAAUUAUGGUGAAAUUAAAAACUAUAAUAAAAAAUUAAAAAAAAAGAUGUAAUUUUUCGAAAUUAAAGUGAAAAUGCUUAUUCAUUCUUACUAUAAAAGAUCGAAAUUCUUUUUAUAUAUAAACACUUAUAUGACCUGUACAAGGCAUUGAAAAGUAAAAGAAAUACAGGGGGAACAUGAGAUCACCACCUAAGAGAAAUUAAUUUAAAAAAAAAAAAAAGAAAUAAAAGAUGGGCUGCUUGCCCUUUCAUGGCGUUGACCCAGCAAAAUUGCUGAUGUUGUUCAAACCAUUACCGCUCCUCCUACCUCGUUGGCUGCAUCAAGCAACAUCUGAAACCUUUGCAAACACCCUGCUUUCAAGUUCCUACGAAAUUGCAUGUUCAGACUCAAGAAACCGUUUCUGUACAAAUGAACCCAGCAAACCCAGUUCAGCUUAACUCAUCAACUUGCCUUUUUUAUCUCCGAAGCAGAGUCCUUAAACUCACCCAUCACUGCGCGAGCCUUCUUCUUAAUCAAAUGCACCUUCACGUAAAAUCUCAAAAACAACAGUAGAAUCAUGCCAUUUAAUACAGAAUUCAAACCCCAAGCCACCAUCCCAUUGCAUCCACCUUUCAAGAAAUGCAAGAAUAGAACCCCAAAAUGGCAGACCAGAUUGCAACCCAACAGCACAACUUGACAGUUCGCUACAAAAAGAAAAUGUGCCCUUGGCAACCCUAUUGCCGUCCAGAAUCGGUACCCAUAAACAACAGAGUAUAAUAAAGUUGUUAGAAGAAUCGCCAACACUUGAAAAGAUUGAGAGAAUUCGAGCCAGAGAAAGGACAUGAACAAGAGAAUGGAUUGGUUGAAGAGAGUAAAGAAGGAGAGUUUACGAUAACGGAGGAUUGUGAAGAAUGUACGGAACAAGUGAAGGAAUCUGGACAGAUAGAAAGCGUAAGACCAGAAGAAGACUCGGCCGGUGGGGCGAGUCCCAAGUGGGAAACAGAGAAGCCACUGGAAGGCAGUGGUGGUUUUCGUACGGCGCCAGAACCAUCGUGUGUCACGGAUCUCGGCUGCGGUUGAGAAAAGUAAGCCGAUGAAAAUGAAGGCUGAGAUUAACGCCACAGUCAGACUGUGGAUUGCUGGGAUGGGGCCGAGUGGCACCCGGCGUUUACGGCUGAGGAGGAUGGAGAGGAAGAGGUGGAGAGUAAUGGAGGCGGAGAUGUAGAUGGAUAUAGCCGAGAAGAUGAAAAACCAGGUGGAACCCCAUGUCUGGGUAAUGCUCCACCGGAAGUUUACUAUUGAUGGGUGCUCCGAUAAGCAAUGUUUCAAGCUCUGUAACGUAGAUAGCACCAUGUUCGUAACUGGGGUGUAAUCAAUCUAGCAGAAUUGCGAUCCUAGCCGAUUUCUUUGUUUCUUGCAGAUUCAGGGAAAGGGAGAGCUUGAGAGUCGAGAAAAAAAUAUAUAUAUAUGAAGAAAGAAAAGAAAAUUUUUCUGGGAAUGAGAAAAGACAGGUGGUGAGCAAUUGGAUUAAAUACGACGAAUGGAAAAAAAAUAAAAAUUGGAGGUUUGUCAGCAGAUUGCGUGUAUAAGGAUUGAGAAAAGCUUAUUUCGCCAUUAUUAUGGAGCUUGUAAAGGCGGACUUUUCAACCACUGUUAGGAAAUAAUUUUGGACCUCAAGGCUUGACUUGGGCAUUGUUUUUUUCUCAUUAUUAUUUUUUGAGAAGACUGUUAUUAUUAUUAUUAAUUAAUUUAUGAAUUUAUCUAAAAAAAUUUCAAUUCAAAGAUAAUUAACAAUUUCCUUAUAUUUUUUUUUGUGUAUUUUCUACUUAGCUCUAUUUUUUUCUAAUAAUAUGUAGGUAUAUAUAGAUUUUAAUAAUUUUACGUUUAUAUUUAGAUAUUAUUAUUAUUAAUAGAUUUUGAUUUUUUUUAAUAAAUUUUUGUCGUCUGCUUUCGUGGGAUUUACUCACGCCUCCCUCGUGAGACUUUAUUAUUUCCUUACUUGUGAGGAUUUAUUUAUCAUUUUAUAGAAGUAUAACGUUUUAUUUCAUUUCAAUAUUAUUAGCUCUUACCAAAUUUAAAUUUGAAAUUUCUCAGACAUGGAGCAUAAUAAUAAUAUAAAUUAUAUAAAAAAUCAGCACUCACAACUUUAACCUCAUUAAAUUCAUUUAAAUAAAUUUAAGAGAUUUCAAAUUUUAUUUCUCUUAUUUUUAAUUAUCAUUUUAAAAAAAAUAUAUACAAAAAACUAAACAAUUAAAUUUGCACUUUAAUUAUAAAAAAAUAAAAAUAUCAAAUUUUUAUUAAAAAACACCGUAUUAUCUAUUUUUUAUGAGAAUUGCACUUUUUAUAUUAAAAAAUUAAAUUUUAAUUUGAAAAAAAAAUAUAAUGACCGGGUAUAAUUUAUAAAUUAUAAAAUAAAAAAAUAUAUUUUUUCUCUAUUUUUAUGAAUAUUUCAGAAUAAAUAAAAAGAUAAUUAAAAUCAAGAUGCCACAAUUUGGUGGAAAUUGAAUUUGUUUUUUUUUUAAAGAAUUGAUGGUAAUAUAUUUCAUAAUUUAUUUAUCAAUUAAAAUAAUUUAUAUACGUACUAUGUAUGUAUAAGAUAAAUGUUGGAGCUUAAUUUCAGUCACCUACCGCUGCUCUAUUAACAUACAAAUGCAAACACUAUUUUUAGAACUAUUAAAGUUAAUUAGCAUUAUUAUAUUAGAUGUGUUCCAUCAAUUUGGAUUUUACACAUGGAAACUGGCGUCUCUAUAAGUGGUCCUUUUUUCAUUUCAAAUUAAUGAUUCUAAGUUUUCUUUUUAAAAAUAAAAUUAAUAAAAAAGUCAAUUAAAUAAAAAAUUUUAAUAUUUAAUGUGACCGAAAUAAAAUUAUAGUGUGAUUGGUCAAUUUUACAAAAAAGAGAAUGUAAAGUCAUUUGUGUUUAUAUCACACAAUUCAACGCUUAAAUCAGUAAACUAAAGAAGAGAUAAGUAUAAUGAAUUACUUAAAAUUUCAGAAAAUUUGUGUAAGAGAAUGUGUACCUUUAUCCAUGUAAUUAUUGGUUUUUAUACUGUAAUAAAAUUAAGUUAAAUAUAGCAUUUUUUGAAAAUCCGGCGAGUAUUAGCUAAUUGAUAAGGGAUCAUACAGCCUAAUUGAUUGAGAAUCCCAUAAUUAUAAGCGUAACGAGGAUCUGUUAAAUUGUGCUUGUUACCCUUUCCACGGAUGAAACCGCGUAUCGGUUUAUCAAAUCCUUAGCACAUGACUUUGUUUUAUGGUGACAGCUCAAUACUUACUUUGGGCGAUUAUUGUGUUAUAUCAAAGGUCAUUCGUCGGUCUUUGAUUUCUCAGAUUCGAAAGUGAUAGUUGUCUUCACGAUUUUUGGCGCGCGACUAAUUUAGAUUGGUCUUUCUCUGUUCACAUCGCUUCGCAUGAUUCUACCCAUCAAUAAUGACUGCCCUUAUUUCUCGAGCCGCAUUAAAAACUUGGCGAAACCGUCACGUAAGAAUCCUUCUUCUCUUAUAGAUAUCACUUUUGCUCUCAAUUGACAUCUUUUAUAAUACUCGGCUAAGCUCCGGCAUCGGAAUUCUUAGUGAUGAGCACUAUUCGGUUCAAAUCAAAAAAACUGACCGAACCGAAUUAAUUUUAAAAUUUAAUUCAAUUUUUUAUUCAAUUCGGUUCGGUUUUCAAUUUCAGUUAUUUCAGUUCGGUUCGGUUUUGAUUAGAAAAAAAUAAAAAAAUCGAACCGAACCGAUUAGUGAUAAUAAUUUGUUAUUUUUAAUAAUAUAAAGAAAUUAAAUUAUAUUAAAAUUAAAAUAUUUUAAUUAAAUUUUAAAAAACUAAAAAUAAAGUGUAAAAAAUAAAAAAUUUAUUAAAAAUCGAAACGAUCAAAUCGAAUCUAAUCAGACCGGUUCAGUUCAAUUCAGUUUCUAACCAAAAUCGGUUCAGUUCGAUUUUCAUAAAUACUAAAAUUUUGAUUUUUGGUUUAUUUGAUUCGGUUCAGUUUUGAACCGAACCGACCGAAUACUCAGCUCUAGGAAUUCCAACCUUCUGAUGGAAUUCCCGUUGGAAUCUGGAAUUUCCGAAUCUGGAAUUCCCUUAGAAGGGUAAAAUAAGGUUUUAUAAAAUGAAUUUGAAAAUUUUAAGAUUUUAAAAAAGAAAGAAAAGAGUUUUGAAGAAAAAUGCUUUGGAGGGAAAAAACCAUGUUCGGCCGCCGAAUAUGGUGCUGUCGCGGGAGCUCUCCUUUCGGCCUUCGAAGGUGGUCUAGUCAGUCAUCUAUAAGAGGCCUCCAGUCCAAAAAUGGGGAGAGAUCGGACUGGAGGCCUCUUAUAGAUGGCUGGCCAUACCACUUUCAGGGGCCGAAAGGAGAGCUCCCGCGGCAGUACCAUGUUCAGCGGUCGAACAUGAAGGUUCGGCGGUCGAACCUGGUUUUUCCCCUCCAAAACAUUUUUCUUCAAAACUAUUUUCUUUCUUUAUUAAAACCUUAAAAUUUUCAAAUUCAUUUUAUAAAAACCUUAUUUUACCCUUCUAAGGGGAUUCCAGCUUCGAAAAUUCCAGAUUUCAACGGGGAUUCCAUCGGAAGGUUGAAAUUCUGACGCCGGAACUUAGCUGGGUAUUACAUCUUUGCUUUAAAAAAGACUCGGUUAUUCCUCUUUUUCGUUUACACUUCCUUGUUUUCAAGGUAAUUUUUGUUUGCUUUUCCUUAAAAUGAAUAGAAAUACUUUCUCUUAUUCUCUUUCUUCUGGUGAAAGUUUCGCCUCGAGCUCCUUCUUCGACGGCCUCAUCCGUGCCCCAGCUCCUAUUGUUCCACUGAGAGCAGCUCAUGAAAGUGAAAGCGGCCUGAUUAGUGACAUUCCUUCUAUACUAAUAGAGAAAAUGGACAUCACCAAGGCGGUGAGGAAUGCCAUUUUGUCUUGGCAAAGCCAUCUUCAGGCGAGGCAGGUUCGGGAUCCUUACUCGCCCAUCCCCUUUGGUCUUGAGGAAAGCACCUCCUUAGCUAUAUUUUAAUCUACACGUUUAAAUUUUGAUAUAAAUUUAUAUGAUAUUUGCAUUUGAGUUUAAUUUUAAUUAAUUUUUUAAAAAUAAAUUUUAUUUUAUUUUUAAUAAUUAAUUAAAAUCAUAUUUAAAUAUAAAUAUUGAGUCACUUAAUUUAAAUUUUAAAUAUUUAAAUUAAAAUAUAAAAUGAUGUAAAUAUAAAAUUUCUUUCCAUCAAUUGGCUAAAUAAAUAUAAAGAGUGGCUUCAAUUUUAUAUAAGUUAAUUAAUUGUGAAAUUUAAAGGGUGCUAUUAGAAUAAAUUCGAUUUGUAUGAUAAUAUAUUUAAUAAUUAUAAAAAUAUAUAUAGAGAGAGUUUAAAUAUACAUUAUUAAUUAAUUUUGUAAAAAUUAUAAUGUGAAUAUUUAAUUUAUAUAAAAAUUAAGUUUAUGUAAGAUACCUCAUAAUUCAAUGAUUCCAACUUCUCCCCUUAAUUAGUGAGACUGGUCAACAUCUCUUGAGUUUAAUAUAUAUAUUGACAAAUGAUAGUCCCAUCCUUAUGUUGAGUUUGAUUUUAUUAGGUAAUUAGAUUAAUGUCAAUUUCAAUCAUGUAUUUAUUUUAGUUUUUAAUUAUUCAAAUUUUUCAAAAAAUUAGUUUAAUUAAGAAAAUAAAAUUUUUAGUUUGAAAAUUAAGAAAAUAAAAAAGCUCUCUUGAUUUUUAAUCGAAUAAAAGCAGUAAUUUUUGUUUAUCAAAUUUAAUAAAUUGAUCUCUUAAUUUUCAUUAAAUUAAGGAAUUAAUAAAUUUACCUUAAAAAUUUUGAUUUUAAGAGUAUAAAAUUAAAUAUCCCUAAUUAAUACAUAAAUGAAAAUUGAAUAUCUAGUUCUAUUGAUAUUUCAAUUAUAUAUAUAAACUUUUUUUUUUUAACCUAUAUAUCACUAUACUGUAUGAUUGACUAAAUAAACUCUCUUAAUUUUCACUAAAUUAAGGAAUUAGUAAAUUUAGUCGGUUUUGAACCAUAAAAAAAAACAACGUGAAAAUUUUGAUUCUUUUAGAUCAAUUAAUAAAAAGUUAGAAUUUUAAAUUAAUACGUUUAGAUAUUUUUUUUAUUUUAUUUUAAGUUACAUGGUAUUUUUUUUUUAAAGCAAAACUACUAUAUUAAUAAAAUUUAAUUAAGGAAUAUCAUUCCAAACAGAGAGACUAUUAUACCUAAUAGAUUCUCUAGCCAAAGUAUAAGCAAUUAGAGUAACAUUACGACAAAUCCAUCUAACAGAAAUAUCAGUUUUAGAGUCUAACAAAAAUUUAUAAUCAUUCAAAAUCAAACCCUGCAUAAGAUAAUUUGACAAAAAUGCUUUUCAAGUGCAUGUCUAAACCCCUGCAUAAGAUAAUUUAGCAAAAAUACUUAUUCUUUUUUCUCAUCUCUCGAGUAUAAAUUAUUAAAAUCUUCCAAACAAAGCCACGGAAGAGAGGUUCUACGAGAUAAAGCUCGAAUAAGGUUUCAAAACUGAUGUCGUCGUUGCGAUUUCGAAAACCUAUAAUAACUAGUAAACCUCCAUUGAACAUUACCUUCCGAAACAACCGAAUGAAUAAACUUUGAAGAAAAGCCAACCACAGGAAUAAACCCAUGACUCUUCCACAUUAACGAAAAGCCUUCUCUCAAUCAUUGUCUAUUGACUGAGAAGCAACCAUCAAAAUGUAAAAAAUUAUGAAAAAAAUUCUAUACGAGAACUAAGAACUUUUGUUUCCAUCAAAAAUAAAAUGUCUGACUUGUAACUAGGAACCAAAUCCUUCAAUGCAAUAACUGUAUGAGGAUUGCCGCCAUAAAUCUGUCAAAGAGGUCUGCAUAUUCUGAAAAUUGAUUGGAUUGUAUGUGAAAAAUAUCUCCACCAUACAUAAAUCAUAAGUGACGAUCGUAAUAUCUCUGGAACUCUUAAUAGGGACAACAACUUCUUCUUCUUCAUGAUAGUCAAUUGACAUAGAUCGUCUUAAAUGGGGAAGUAGAAAGAAGAAGUUAGGUUUAAGAAAGAGGAAAAUGUGAGAGUAUCGAGUCACAAAGGGAUCACAGAGGGAAAAGCUUGCGUCGAAAGUUAAUUUUGAUUAAAUUUUAACUGUUUUUUCUUUAGAUUACAUGUUAUAAUUACAUUCAACGGAUUUAUAUAUUUAAAGAUAUGAAAAAGAUGAUGUUUUAGAUAUUAGAUUGAUGACGUGACCGGAAUACUGUCAUUGACUAAGCAUGCAAGAAAGAAAAUGUAAGAUGAUGGUGGGUGCCAACGGCAGUCACUCCGAACUGAAAUUAGUAUGCUAAAAAAUAAAGAAAAUAUAAUGAAUUGUUUAGAUUUGAGUGGUGUAAAAUAAUAGCGUAUUUUUAUUUCUGUAAUUCUCUCUCUUUUAUAUUGUAAAAAAAUAGAGAUAAAUAUAAUAUUUCUCAAUAUCCUGAUGAUGAUAUCGUCGGCUUAAUGAUGGAUAUUACCAACUAAUAAGUUUGGUAAUCUCACAACUAUAGAUAUAAUAGGGAUGUAUAUAACAUGGAUAUAUUGGACUUGUUGCUUGACAAUGGUAAUUUCGUGUCGAGACUUGUCCAAUUGAGAGAAGAGUGAGUCUUAAUAAUGAAUAACGUAUCUUUGUCUCUAUAAUUCUUUUUCUUUUAUAUUAUAAAAAAAUGAAGAUAACUAUAAUAUUUCUCAAUAUUCCGACGAUGUAUGACCAGUUUAAUGAUAGAUAUUGUCAACUAAUAAGUUGAUAAUCUCACAAUUACAGACAUAAUAGGGAUAUAUUAGACUUGUUGCUUGACAACGAUAAUUUUAUAUUGAGACUCAUUCUGCCGAGAGAAGGGCGAGUCUUAAUAAUAAAUUGAAUAUUUAAAGUGUUUUAAUUUUUUUUUUCAGAUUAGACCAUUUUUUUCGCUUGUAAAAUUAUAAUAACUGCUCUUAAUUUAUUUUAAAAUUAUCAUGUAACAUUAAAAAAAUUUAAUAAUAUUUAAUUUCAAAGUUAACUAGACCUUGUAUCUAGGUUGGAGCAACAAAAAUACUAUAUAGGUAAAAUUCACAUUGCUUCUUGUGUUAUAAAUAAAAAAUAAUAAUAAAUUUAUAUAUAAUGAGAGAGCCAAUAAGAUUUAAAAAAUUUAGAAAAUAUUUUUUUCCAUAUUUUCUAAAAUAAUUUAAUUUUUAUUAAUAAAAAACUACAUUAAUUAAUUUUUAAAUAAUUCAAAUAUAAAGUUAUAUAAAAAAGUAUUUCUCCGAAACAAACUUAGUUUUAAAAGCCGUCAGAAACUCUGUAUCGUUACAAAUAAAUCGGUCAAAUAUUGUUUGACGUUCUAGAAAGUCUACCGUUGCAGUCUCAUCACAUCAAUUGCCCUCUCAUAAAUCAAAGAAAAUCAAAUCUUCAAAUAUUUGUUUUUCUUUUCAAAAUUUGUAUUUAUUAGGUAAGAUGCACAAAUAAUUAAUAACGUAAAAGAAUAAUUAAUUAUAUUUAACUUUUAUAUAAAUAAAAGUAUAAAAAAAUACAAUAAAUAAUUUUUUAUUUUAAAAAUAAGACAUGAGUGAAAAAACAGUACAUUUUUGUGGGAUUAGGGAUUUCAAGCAUAAGUAUAAAAUUGCAUGAAAAAUUAUUCUUGGAGUUUAUUGACCCUCAAAGAAUUUCUAUAGAAUUCAACAUAAAUAUUUUUUUUUAUCAAUUCUCUUAGUUUAAAUGAGGGAAUUAAUUAUUUUUAAUUUAGAAAAAAUUAUUUUAAAAAAUUAAAAUUAUGUAUUGAAAUGCAAUGUUUCAGUUAUUUUACAAUGUUUAAAUGAAGCUCGCUACUAAAGAUUUUUCAUUUUUCAUUUUUAUUUACCAUAUACAAUUACUUGAAAUUUAUUUACUGCUUCGAAUAAAAUUUAAAAGGAGUUAAACUAAAAUUUCGUAAAAUUGGAUUUCAAAAAAAAAUCGUAACAUUGAACUUGUUAGCAAUUUUGAUUGAUUAAUCACCGACUUCGCGAUUUGCUUUUAAUCUCCACCUUUGGAUUGAUGGGCCAGUGAAUCACAGUGCCAAUCCUGAAGGAGUUGACACGUUUGGCAUGACGUGGAUCGUACAAAUGGCAUUAUAUGAUUGGAAGAAGAAAUCGUUUUUUCUGGAAUAUAUAUUCUUUUAAUUUUUUGCCAAACAUGUCACACUACGUCUGCGCCCCAAGUGCAUCCUACGAAGAUGGCUCGCAAAAUCGUUGUAUUUCAACCGUCCAAUUAUUUGAAAUGGGAAAAUGCCAGACAUAUCUAACGGUCAACACUCAACGCGGUUCAAGAGGAUUUUGGAUCCGCGACAGCUGGGAAAAUCUGGAAGAACACGAGAAAGAAACUCCGAGUGGAAGUUUCUGAAGAUAGAAAGAGAAAGGGAAAAAAAAAUAUUUUUUUUCUUUGUCGUCAAACUAAUUUCUGAGGAAUUUUCAAAGCUUCUCGCUGGAUCGAUCGCUUCGUGGAUCGAUCGAUCGAUCGAUCUUUUUCUGUGUGAUUAUCUUAAAAAGGUCAGAAAUUCGAUCGAUCUUUUUCUGUGUGAUUAUCUUAAAAAGGUCAGAAAUUCCAUUCUUAAUUUCGAAUAGUUUUCAUUUUCAUUAUAAUAAAUAAUUUUCCUUUUGAAAAUCUUGAUUUAAUUUUGCUUGUGGAUGAUAUCUUUCAUUUGUUAAUUAUUGCCUUGAGCUUCUAGAAGUAAAUAGACGUGAGAGAGAGAGAGAUAUCUGAGGAUUUGGUGGUUUGAAUUUGUUGGGUUUUUGGAAUUUUGGUUCUAAUUUGGAGGCUUGAAACUUUUGUUAGGAAACACUAUUUCAACUCCAAUGAACCGUUUGGUUAUUAGAAAUGAUAAAGAAUCUAGAAUUCUGAUAGCAUCAGUCUGCUUUGGAGAUAGACCAUAAGAACUCGUUGCCAUAGUAAUAUGUUCUAUUUCUGUCAGUGGCUUUAAGGAUACCUUUUUAUGGACAGUUCCUGGAUUAUAGAUUAUCUUUAAGGUUUCCAACUUUAAAUAUCUGUAGUGUCCUCUGGAUUGUGCUUAGGACGAUUUGGUUAUAGGGUUAUAGUUUUCAAUUCUGCAGUCUUCAAAUUUGAUGCCAGAUUAUUAGUCAUUGUUGGUGUUGAUUUAGUUUUAUAUAUGAUUUAUAGGCUUUUGACUGGGGUAAUAAUCGUGAGAUGGCAAGUGGGUUUGGGGAAUCAACGAGCAGGCCAUCCCAAAACUCCUCAUUUUCUAGCAACAACGGUAAUGGGGAUGCUGGUAACUUUGAAUGCAAUAUUUGCUUUGAGUUAGCUCAGGAUCCCAUCGUAACUUUGUGCGGGCAUCUUUUUUGCUGGCCUUGUCUUUACAAAUGGCUCCACUUUCACUCACAAUCCAAGGAAUGCCCAGUUUGUAAGGCGCUUGUAGAGGAGGAGAAAUUGGUUCCUUUGUAUGGUAGAGGUAAAACAUCUACUGACCCUAGAUCAAAGUCUGUUCCUGGUGUUAAUAUUCCUAACCGUCCAGCUGGGCAGAGGCCUCAGACAGCUCCUCCACCGGAAUCAAAUGACUUUGCCCAACAUGGAUUUGGAUUCAUGGGAGGGUUCGGAGGAUUUGCACCAAUGGCAACAGCUAGAUUUGGGAAUUUUACAUUGUCUGCAGCUUUUGGUGGUCUCAUUCCUUCUCUUUUUAACCUUCAGUUGCAUGGAUUUCCUGAUGCUGCCAUGUAUGGUGCAGCUGGUGGUGUUCCUUAUGGGUUCUCUAAUUCAUUUCAUGGUGGCUAUGCACAUGGAUAUCCUCAGCAUCAUGGGCAAGGACAGCAAGAUUAUUAUCUGAAGAGGCUACUUUUUUUUAUUGGUUUUUGUGUUCUUCUUGCUCUCAUUUGGCAAUAGAUUUAAUCAGUUUUCAAAGCCUACUAAUGGAUAGUUAGGGCUUAUAGUCUCAUGCCUUUCUAAAUCUGUUAGUGCAUUUUUUUUUUCUUGGCACUGAGGAAAUUGUCCAUAACAUACACUUCCAAAACUCUUGUAUCUUCUCCAUGUUUUCAUCAGCCAUCAGCUAUGUGGAAUGUGAUAUACAUGUUUUUUCUGGUUGUAUUGUCAGUUUAUGUGCAUUUACGCACACUCAUGGAUUGAGUGGAUCACUAUAGCUGCCAUGCAAUUAGGAGUAAUAUACUUUUCCUUUGUCUACAGGUAACCAAAAGACUUGCUUCCCUCAUGGUUUCAGUCAUCACCUUGAGUAUGCUACCAUAUUACAAAAUCAUGCACUUUUUCCAUUUUGUCCAACUUGUCUGUUCCAUAGUGUCACUAUAAAUCCUGGAAGAAUUGCUUAAGUCGCUGACCAAUCAGGUAAUAAUAUGUAGCAAAAGAUAUGCAUGAACUGCGAAAUCCUUUUUCAAUUUUAUGUGCUUUUCCUCACUCCCUUCAAUUAAUUGAUUUUAGCUGGCUUUUAUUAGUUAUAUUCUCCUAGUUGACAAGAGGUGAACAUUUUAAGUAUAAAUAUAGCUAACUCAAACUAGUUUGCGAUUAAUGCUUAGUUGUUGUCGUCUCUUUGUUGACAAGAGGCUAUUUCUUUAAGGUUGUUGUCGUCUCUUUGUUGACAAGAGGCUAUUUCUUUAAGGUUGUUGAUCUAUUUUCACUGAAUUGCUAAGAGGUAUAAUUUAUUUUAUGAAUUUAAUGAUAAUCCAACAGUGACACCCUGGGUAUUGUCUUUAUUCGCAUGGUUAUUUGGCAUUGAUUUCACAUUCCAUUAAUUUGUUUUAAUUGCUUAUUCAAUCCAUAUGAUGACUAUCUAAAGUCUAAGCAGCUCAGUGGAUGACUUGCUUAUUGUUUUGUUGUAAUUGGCCCAUAUUUUGUAACAAAAUAUGCCAAUUAUAAAAUGGAAAUGCUGAUUGAUUCUUGCGGGACAGAGACCUUGUUAGCAAUACUCUCCAGAUUUACAAGAGAUUUACUCAUGGAAAGAAGAAGGGAAUAAAUGCAAGUCACUAAUGCAGUCGAGAAAAACUAGCACCAUAUGCCCAUAGUGUUAAUAGUGCUAUUAGUUGUAUUGUUGGUAUUUUGCUUUAUUUUCUUUUGCUUUCCUUGAUUGUAGGAGAGUGAUCCUUCAUGUUCUGAUUACGCUAAUAAUUUUCUUUGUUUAUAGAAAAAGGUUAUCUCUUCCCUUUUUGUAUUUAAGUUCAGUUGAGAAGGAGAUGAUUAAUUUGCUAAAAGUUGUUGAGUACUUAACUCAAGAGAUCUAUAAGUUCUCCCUUAAUGAGUUUGUGUUAUUGUUAUCAUAAGUUGAAAGAAGAAAAAGAUUUCCUCUCCAUCAACCAUUACUCUCUCAACUCUACCCACUCGAUCCAUAGCUAGAUCCAUUUUCUGAAACCCUAACAGUUUGGCAUUUGAGCUAGGUUUAUGGGCGAAUCCAUCUAGCAGCAACUUGAUCGAAUUGUAUCUUUGUUUCUCUAAGAACAUGCCGCUAACAAAUCACAACAGGAAGAAUUAUACACCAAAUUAGAAACUCUCACUCGAGAUGUAGCUAGUGCUAAGCAAUUUUUUUCUAUUGCGAAUGACAGUGGCCCAAGCUGUGUUUUUAGACCGAAGGGACAAACCCACUCCAAUUCCAUCGGAGACUCUUCGGACAGCUCAACUAUUGUUUCCAAAUUCACGAAGCUAAAUUUUCCACGAUUCAGUGGACAAGCUGAUUCUGUGGCCUGGUUAAUUCGUUGUGAGCAUUCUUCCAACAUUAACAAAUCCUGAAUGAAGAGAAAGUAAGUUUAGCUUCAUUUCACUUGGAAGGCAACUAAUAUAGUUGAGAAAAACUAGCACCAUAUGCCCAUGAUGUCAUACUUGCUAAUAAUGUUGUCUCCUAUGUGUUAAUAGUGCUGUUAGUUUUGUUGUUGGUGUUUUGCUUUGUUUUCUUCCACUUUUCUUAAUUGUAGGAGGGUGAUCCUCUAUGUUCUUAUCAUGCUAAUAAAUAUUCUUGUUUAUAAGAAAAGGUUAUCUCUUCUCUUUUUGUGUUUAGUUCAAUUGAGUCAAUAAAGGAGUUGAUUAAUUUGUCAAAAUUUGUUGAGUACUUAACUCGAUAUUUACAAAUUCUCUCUUAAUAAGCUUGCGUUAUUGUCAUCAUAGGUCAAAAGAAAAUAAAAGAUUUUCUCUCUAUCAGCCAUUACUUCUUCAACUCCACCCACUCGUUAUGAUCCAUUUCCUGAAACCCUAACAGACCUGAAUUUAUAUGGUAAAAUGGGUGUCUUGGUGGACAGUUCAAUGUCAUGUGAUUACUGAUGCUGGUUGAAGAAGGAUUAGCUAUAAAUUGUAGUCCUGGUAAUCUAGUUAUUUCAGCCUCUUCCAAGCUUCCACUAGUAGGUCUCUGUUGUUGUCAAACAGUCAAACAUGCAGGUGAUUAGCCAGAUUCAUGGGGAGGUAAGGUUACUGGCUAUACAUGGGAUGAGCUGUUUAACUCUGAAAUUUUACUGAUUAUGUUUGCCUCUUGGCGCUGCGCAUUAUGGUAGCUUUGGUAUUUUGAUUGCUAUAAAAUUUGUUGCUAUGACAUUUUGGACUUGAUCUUGGUUAGCAUCUCAAGUGCCUUGAAAGGAAUGCGCAUCAUAAGAAUUUGGAGUAUGCUAAAAGCAGAACAGAUUCAGUUUAUUUUUACUGUUGAUUUUCUUAAAUUCCAUGGAUUUUGCAGGGCAUUUUGGCCUUGUUGAAUGAACUAGUGAAGAGGGUAGUUGAACCAUGUAGGCCAUAGAGAUUCAGCAGUGGGCACUUUAUAAAAGUUGGGGGAAGAUGAGCCUUUGAUGCCAUAAUUUUUUUAAAGAUGAGUCUUUAUAUUAGCAUACGCAUUAAUUUUUAAGAUGAAUCGAUUGAGGUUCUUCAAUGGCCUGAUCCACCACCAGAUUAAAGAUCCAUAUUAAUUGUGGCCCCUUAAUACUCGAAAAAGAAAAUCACAUUUUUUGCUUUCAAAAAAAAAAAAAAAAGAAAAUCACUUUUUCAGCACAUGGGCUGCUUGAUUGAGAUUGAGGUAAUGGGUAACAUGCAGACCUCUACUUGAAUGUUGUUGUUAGGUUAGCAUAUACAACAGAGAUUUAAAAUUACACAAGACUCAAAUCCUAGGAUUACUUGAAUGUUGUUGUUAGGAUAGCAUAUACAUUGCACACCUUAUACUUGUGAUGGCAAUGUUUUUGGUCUUAGUAGGAAUAAAAAUUAUUCAAUACAAUCAUUAUAUAUAUUAUAAUUAAUUUUUUUUUUUUAAAUGAAAGAAAUAUUAUUAACUCAAAACGAUCAAGGAAACUAUAUGAGAAGGAGGGACAUGAACCCAAACUCUUUGACCUGACUCAGAAUGAGCCGAUAUUGCUAGAACAUGAGCGACAUCAUUCGCAGACCUGUAAAUAAAAGCAUAUCUUGCUUCCUCAGACCAAAAGGUGAUAAAUCAUCUAAUGAAGCAUUAUUAAUGGACACAAUAAGAACCUGAGCAUCCGAUUCGAAAAGAACUCGAUCCCAUCCGCACUCUUUAAUCCAGCUCAAUGCCUCUCGAAAAGCCACUGUCUCAGCACACUUAACCUCCAUCUGAUUGCAAAAACAGCCUGUUUUAGCCACUAUAAAUCUACCAUAGUUAUUAUAGUGUAAUUUAUAUAAAAUUUAUUAUAAUUAAAAUUAUUAUAAAUGUAAUGGUUGUAUUAUAAAAUUUUUUAUGAGAUUUAACAUGAAAAAAUGCAUUAUCAGUUUGUUAAAUGUAAAAAAAAAAAAAUAAUUAUUAUAAAAAUUAUUAUAAUUUAAAUAGCUAAUAAUUCAAUUAUUCUAAAAAAGAUAAUUUUUUUUAAAAAAAUUUAAUCAUCGUUCUAACAAUUAUCUAUACGAGAAAUAUUUUUAAAUAUAACAUGCGGCGUUUAAAAAUUGAAAAAUAAUAUAGCUGACAUUAUAAUAAUAAUUCUUUUCAAUUAAAGAGGGCAUCGAUAUAAUAGUAAAGAGUCCGUUGUUGUCUACAUGAUUAUAUCGUAAUCAUAGUUAAUUUGGAACGACCAAUGAAGGUGGGCUUUGGUCAUUCGAACUUCCUUUUUUAUUACCUUCAAAAUGUUAAUGUUAUUUGGUACUGUCUAGACGGAAUAAUAAAAUUUAAGUCCAAUAAUAAUAAAAUUUGAAUCGCGUAGAAUAUUAUUUUUAAAAAUUUAUUUUAUAAUUUUUUAUAAUUAAAUAAAAUUUUUUAAAAUUUUAUUUUUAAAAUUAAAAUAAUAAAAAAAUAAUUUUAAUUUAUAAUUCAAUAAAAAUCAAUAAAAAAAUAAAAAUAAAGUAUAGAAAAUAAAUGGAUUCUCUUUUAUAAAAAUAAAAAUUAUUUAUAGUGAAAAAUAAUCGUGAUAUAAAAAUUUUAAUAUAAUAUAAUUAAAUUUGUAUAAAAUUAUAAUGAUCAAAUUUAAUAUUCGAUUUAAAUAUUAAACUAUUAAUAGUAAAAAAAAUUUAUAAAUAAAAUUUUUAACUAUUAUGAAUCUUAUACCAUAAUUAUAUUUGAGAUUUAAAAAUAUUUAAAAAUUUAAAAAUAAGUAUUUAUUGAUAAAAAUAUUUUGAAAUAUAAAAUUUUUUUACAGCGAUUCCACCUAUUUUAAAAAGUUUUUCAUUGUUAAUUUUAAAAAUUUAGUGCAUAUGUUUUGAAUAUGAUAUUUUUUAAAUUAUAAACUAAAACAGAUUAAUAAAACUUAACAUACAUAAUAAUCGGUGAAAUUUUUAUUUCUAUAAACUAAAAACUCAUUUUGAUAAGUUAAUAUUUUAUUAACAUCAUAACACACCAUAAAUUUUAUUGUCAAUACUAUUUUGCGCUAAUAGAUCAUGUGAAUACCCGAUAGUUCAUAAAUACUCUAGAGAUUAUAUUAUAAUCUUAUACUAGCGGCUCUACAUUAUAUUUAUAUAAGUGAUAAUAUAUAUACUAUAAUUUAUAUAUUAUUUAUAAGAGAUAUGAAUAUUAUUAAAAGUUUUAAGUUAAUUUUCUCAUUAAUGCAGUUUAAUACUUCUCACACCAUAAAAAUAGAUUACGUUUUAUACAAUAUUAAAUAAUACUAAUAGAAUUAAUAAGUGACUUAUUAUUACACAUAUAAAUAUUUUUUUUAUAGAGUUUUUAAUCACAAAGAUUGAGUUUCUAUCACUCUCAAUUUUAUAUUAGUUCAAAUCCCAUUUACCUCUAUAUUUUAUUUAUUAACUUUUUUUUUAAAAAAAAUUAGUAAAAAAAUUAAUCAAAUUUUCCACUUCACAUAAUUAAUAGAUGAAAUAAUAUAAAAAUAUAAAUAUAUAUUUAGCUAAAAGAUACGACAUUUAUUUCGCAGAUAAAAUAAGAAGUUUGGCGUUUUUCUCAUCUUCAUAGGCGCGAAGAGUGAGGGAUUGAGUUCCUUGAGCGGAUAACGUAGGACUCUCUGGUUAUUCACAGACAUGGAGUGCCCAAUUUUUGUGCUGUUUCUACGGCACGCAUUUGGAGUUGUAGCUAAUCAAUGUUUCAAUAGUUGGAAAUUACAAAUAAAUUAUUCAAUUUAAUUAAAAUGAAUUAUUAUUAAAUUAAAUAUUUUAAAAAUUAAGCAAAUUGUAUAUACUAUUUAUUUAAAAUUAUUUAUCACCUACAAAAAAAUUUCAGAACUACUCUUGAGUUUAGUUAUUUCAUGCAUCAGUAAAGUCCUGCUUCAUCAAUCAUCGGGUCAGUCGACAAUGUGGCAUGUGACGCGUCUUAAAUAGAAUUACUAUUUAAUCCCUUUAACUUUUAGAAUUGUUCAAUUAGGUCCAAAAUAAUAUUAUAUAUAUUAAAAUAAGGUUUACCAGAUUGGCAUGGGAUAUUUUUGGCUAAAUUCUACAGAUACACAGGCAGUUUUAGGUCCAAACAAAUGACGCCAAGCCAAGACAAUGCAGAAUUCUGUGAUACAAAAAACUAGGUUGGCAGGCAGUGGAAGGUCCAACCGUGUGGCAAUUCUUAUUAUAAUUUAUUUUUAUUAUGAAUAUAUAUAAAUUUAAUUUAAAUAAAUAUUUUUUAGUUGUAUGGCAAAUUGAUAAUAGUUUAUAUUAAUUAAUGAGUAAUAUAUAUAUAUAUAUAUGAAUGAGAUGAAGACUUGGGUUUAAAGCAUGAUUUUUUUUUGAAGUUGGUUGCUUAAGCUUAGUUUUCUCAGAAGGGGACGGUUCAACUCAUAUGAAAUGGAAGUAUAGAUCGUCCUAGACCAUGAACCAUCAACUAACAUUCUUUUAUUUUUAAUUUAUUUUCUUUUUUCGUAUAAUUAGAAUAAUUAUUUCGUUUUAACAAUUUUUUUAUAUUAAUAAAAUUAUAAAUAGUGAUAUUAAUAAUAUUUUUGAAGUGUAAGAAAAUAAUUUCUUUUGUUGGGAAGAAAAAGUCAAUUUUUUUUAAAGAUGGCUUUAAUAUUUCUUUAUUAAAAAAAUAUUUUUCACUCAAAUUCUUUCAAAACAAAUAGAAAAUAUACGUAUUUUUACUUAAAAAAAAGUUAAUUUUAUAAUUUAAAUUAUAAAAAGGAAUCCACUCAUUGUAAUAAUUUUCCGUAUAUACCCAUUUGUCAAAAAUUCAGAAAGGCUCCACCCCCUACAAUUCCAAGCAAUGUGAAUCCUUGACCAAAGCUUCCCUGCAGCCCAUCCACCCUCUACCUUUACUUUAUAUAAUAAGAAAAACUAAGUCCAAACCCUGUGUUUACUCUCUCAAUAACAUAUCUCCUUAGCCUCGUCCCCAUGAUAAAAACCAAAACACUUCACAAUCCUUUUCUCUUCUUCACCGCAAAACCAAAACUCUCCAAUGCUUAGAGUUAGACUCCCAACUCUUGCACUCCUCCUCCUCUUCUCCCUCACUUUCACCGCCAAUGCCUCUGCCUUUCCUCAACGAUUCAAAGAAGCUCCCCAGUUUUACAACUCCCCAGACUGCCCUUCGUUUGAUCGACAUGACCCUGAUUCAGAAUCAGACGGUGAUGAUCACACCAUAAUCUUCUGCUCCGAUCAAGCAGUACACGUAGCAAUGACUCUAGAUACUGCCUAUAUACGUGGCUCCAUGGCUGCUAUUCUCUCUGUUCUUCAACACUCUUCUUGUCCCCAAAAUAUUGCUUUCCAUUUCGUCGCUUCCGCCUCUGCUAACGCCUCUUUCCUACGCGCCACCAUCUCCUCCUCCUUCCCUUAUCUCAAAUUCCGGGUUUACACGUUCGAUGACUCGUCCGUUUCUAGACUCAUCUCCACCUCGAUACGUUCUGCUCUUGAUUGCCCUCUAAAUUACGCUCGUAGCUACUUGGCUAAUAUCCUUCCUUUAUGCGUUCGCCGAGUUGUCUACCUCGAUUCGGACCUCGUCCUCGUCGAUGACAUUGCCAAGCUCGCCGCUACUCCACUGGGUGAAAAGUCUGUUCUCGCAGCUCCUGAGUACUGCAAUGCGAAUUUCACUUCUUAUUUCACGCCAACUUUCUGGUCUAAUCCUUCUUUAUCACUCACAUUUGCGGAUAAACAAGCUUGUUACUUUAACACUGGUGUCAUGGUCAUCGAUCUCUAUGGAUGGAGAGCUGGAGAUUACACUUCCAAGAUUGAAGAUUGGAUGGAGCUACAAAAAAGAAUGAGAAUAUACGAACUGGGUUCUUUGCCGCCGUUUUUGCUGGUUUUUGCAGGAAAUAUAGUGCCUGUUGAUCACCGGUGGAACCAGCACGGACUCGGCGGGGAUAAUUUCAGAGGUCUCUGUAGAAAUUUACAUCCGGGUCCGGUGAGUCUCUUGCACUGGAGUGGUAAAGGGAAGCCAUGGGCAAGACUCGACGCCAACCGUCCAUGUCCUUUGGAUACUCUAUGGGCUCCAUACGAUCUCUUGCAGACUCCAUUUGUGUUGGAUUCUUGAAGAGAAGGAAACUUAAGAUUCAAAGCUCAUGCUCUUACAGGAACCUCGUAGGAUCACGAAGACAGAGAUCUAGAGAGACAUCAAGAAUUCAAGAUGAUAUACAAAAAUAUAUUACAGUAUCGAAGCUUAGGUAAGUUGCUGUGUGUAUAUACAUCUAUGGAGAAUUAAUUGUGUUGAAAAUUUUGAAAUUGUGAAGCUAGAAUAAGGAAGAAACCCGCAAAUGGAGAGUCAUCAACUUCCACCUUGGGCAUAAAUGGUUAAUUAAUUGUAAUCAAAUUUCCCACAAUAAUAAUGAUAAUAUUCUCUAAAUAUUUUCCUUUUAUUUUUUAUAGUGUAUUAAAUAAAUUUUAUUUCAACUUUCUCUUUCAGAUGUAAAUGAAAAAUUAAGAAAGCAAUUAAGAGUUGCUCCCUGUCAAUUAAUCUAACAAACUCUAAUUAAUAUAAUAAUAAUAAUAAUUAUUAUUAUUUUGUUUAAAAUGAUGGCUUAAGUGUAAGAAAAUGGAAGGCUGGAAAGACAUUUUGCCAACUGAUACAGACUGAUGAACUACAGCAAAUAAAUUCUAAAGGAAGUCUCCAUUUCAUUUUUUUCUACUUUGUAUAGUCUUUUGACGUAGCUUUAUCAUAAAUUCUCAAUCAACUAUUCAAUAAAGACAAAAACCAUUAGUGAUUUUCAAGGUCUUGCCUGCAACUAAAAUCUAUCUACACCGUAUUCACCCUUGUGCACUUCUCUUAAUGGGUAUCGAGAAGAAUCAUUUAUUAAAAAGGAAAAAUAUUUUAUUUUGUAAAUAUUUUUUACUUUUGAAAUUAAACUAUUCAUUUAAAAAAAAAAUAGAAAUUAAGCAAUUCAGGAAUUUGAAUGUUUCUUUCCUUGCUUUGUCUGAGAAAUAUAAAGGGGUUGAAAUGGCCAAAACGUUAACGUCAUCAUGAAAAGUUGGCAACUUGGGAAAAAGGCACAUAGUUGCCAAAUGCUAAUUUCUUCUUCAAUCAUUUCCAUAUUAUAAAAAAAUGGUAUAUAUCCAUUGCCCCCUCUUUCUCAUCAUCACCUCCAAUAAUAAAAAAAUAAUAUUUAAUAUAUUUUUUGACAAUUUCAAAUUACCAAAGAAUUUUCCUUACCGAAUAAAAUCGAAUUAUUUUCUUCCCAUAAUCUUACCAAACAUAUAUAGAAUUAAUAAGAUCAUAAAGAAUGACCUAAAGUAAAAUAGCUACAGCCAAAUUUUUAUUGGCUAGUUUUUUUUUUUUUUAAAAAAAUAUAUUAAUAAUAAUUUGUAGGAUCUCAAAAUCAGUUUUUUUUUCCUAAUUUAAUUCAACAUGCAUGUAAUAUAAAAUGGGUUUAAUUUAAUAAUGUUAGAAUUGUAUUUUAAAUAAUAAAAUUUGAAAUUUAAAUUAUAAAUAGUUGAAGUAAACUCAGAAUAAGAAAUGUAUAGUGGGCUUCAAUAAUACUUGGUUUGUCAACUGUGUAGAAAUUUGAAGAUAACAUUGUCAUGCCAUCCUGUUAGAAUUUUUAUUUUCCUUUAUUUAUAUUAAAAAAUAUAGAAAUAUAGACAUUAAUUAAUAAUGUACAUAAGACUUUCGGUAGCCCAAAGCACUUAACAGUGAACACUGCAAGGGAAGCAGAGGUUGGAGGAAAAACUCGGAGGGUAAAUAAUUUUAGGUAAAUUAUAUUUUGCUUUUCGGGUGUUAAUAGAUCAAUUUUUAUAUUUUUAAAUUAAAUAUUUAAUUUUUUAUAAUUAAUUUAUUUAAAAAAUUAUUUAUUUAUUUUUAUUGUUAAAAAUAUUCUUUUAAAAUGAAGAUUAAAAAAAUUGAAAGAGAAGAACUUGAAAUCUCUCAAGGUUAUUCAAAUGUACUUACUAUUAGACGGUAAAUAGUGAAUGUUUUACUUUUUUUUUUUAAAUGUUAAAUUUUUUUUUUCAUCCAUUUUAAUGAGACUUAUGACUUUAUAAAUUUAAAAAUAAUUUUAAUAUUUAUGAGUUAAAGUCUAAUAUUUAUAAGAGAAUUUAAGUAAAGAAAAGUAGAGUAAUUAAUUUUAUGUAGAUAAUAAUUUUGGGUGAUUUAAAAAUACAGCAACUUUUGCAAUCCUACGAAUACGAAGACGAAGAUCGGAUGAGAAAGGAUAAGCUGGUGGAAAGAGAAGAGAUUCCAUUAUUAGAUUUUGAAGAUGAUGAGAUGAUGUUGUUGAAAAAACGCGUUUUUAUAAAGGUGGGACGUGGACCUGCUGUUAUGUUUUACAGCAGGACCAUCGUGGCCUUUGUUCCCUUUCAAAUAAAAGCGGAUUCCAUUUUUAUUUUUCUUUUCCUUUUACUCAUUUCAAAAAAUUGUUAGACGGAUCCGAUUUGUUAUAUAUAUAAAUUAUUUCAAUUUAUUUUUAAUUUCAUUGAAAGAUCAUAAACUAUAUUGUAAUAAUAAAAAAAUAUUAAAUAUUAAAUUUUAAUUUUAAUUUAUUUAUAAAUUAUCAUUAAAAAAAUUAAAUAUAUUUUAUAAAAAUUUUAUUUGAACUUAAAUAUAUUAUGAAUUCAAAAUAUUUAAAUAGAUUUCUCAUUAAAAUUUAGUCCAUAAAAUUUCUCUCCCUUUCAAAAUGCUAAUUUGAACGUGCCUUUAUAUUUGGUUAGAGUAGCAAAUUAUUAAAUACACUUAAAGUCCUACUUUAUGAUACUAAUAUGAUAUAUUAAAUAAAUAAUGUUAUAAUAAAUAAAUAAUAAAUAAAUUCCAAGUAAGUACAACUGCCUUAUUAAUGGUGGAAAUUUAAUAUAGUUUUAAAAAUUUUAAUCACUUAUAAUAUUAUUUAUUUAGUACUCUAUUUCAUAAUUUUUGUUUAUUUUAUUUUAUUUUUUUAUACAUAUUAUUUCCAAAUAUAUCCAUUAUUAAAUUUUAUUAAAUAAUAAAAAAUAUUUUAAAAAUAAAAUAAAAUAAAAUUAUAAUACUAAAUUUAUAUGGUAUUAUAGUUUAAAAAAAAUAAAAAUGAACAAUAAUUUUUAAAACAGAUAAAAAAAAAUAAAAAUCAUUGGAUGGGGGAAAUAUAUAGUGAUUUAUAGAAUUUAGUAAUUUUGCUCGUGUAAUUUCUAUUAGUUUUGGCUCAUUCUAUGUCAAUAUUAUAAAUAUCUCCUAUAAUUUCAGCAUAUAAAAAUUAAAAAAAUAUAUAAAAAUAAAAAUUUAUUUUUAAAAAUAAUAUUUCAUUAUUAAAAAAAUAAUAUAUUAUUAAAUCAAUUGAUUUAAAAAAUUGAAUUAGACUUAUUUAACCCUCAAAUAAAAAUAUAAAAGCCUAAUUGGAUUUAUUUUUGAAUUUUUUUUAAUCUUUCAUUAGACGUAAUUGGGAGAGAUAGACAGAUUGAUGAUGCUUCAUGCUUCUUUACUGUCAUAUUUCAUAUUGUAAUUGCCUAAAAAUCCUAAGAAAAUAUUGACAAUUACAUGUGAUAAUACCUUUCUAUUCUACCAACUUUUUUUUUACCAUUUUUUCAUAGGAAAUUCUCCAAUUAUCAUAAUUCAUUUUAUAAAAAAUAUUUAAAUAAAUUCUUACACAUUCUAAAUAAAAAAAAAUUGAUAAAAAAUAAUUAAAAUUAGUUUUUGUGAAUUUUUUUUUUAAUUCCAAACACAGGGUAAGUAUUUUGAUUUAAAAGAGGAAGUUGCUCUAUCUUGCAUUAUAAUAAAAGAUUGGACAUAUAUACACUUUCAACAGGAGAAUUCAAAUUUAAUCAUUGAAGACAGCAAUAUUGAGAGAAAUAAUUAUAAAGUAUGAAAAAUUAAUUUUUUGGUAUAUAGUAAAAUAAACAUGAGAUAUUUGUAAAAAUAGAAAAUAAAUACACGCCUUUCUGCUUUCUAGUUAGUACAGUUGAUGGCAGCUGCAUAAAUGAUUUAUGAAGUCGUUUUCAAUUUAUGUCAAUUUUAAGGGAAAAUUUUGCUUCAAAAUGUCAGCAGUAAUAAAUAUCCAUGUCUUGCUUCAUCAUAUAAUAUAUAAAUGCACAUAAAUUCUCUAAGCUUUGAAAUAACAAUUACAAAAGAGAAAAAAAAAAAAAAAGCAUCAACUUGCUUUUUUUUAUUAUAGGUCGUAAAUUAACUAAAUUAUUUAUAAAUUCUUUAAAAUUCAACUUAGCUUAAUUUGUUUUCUAAAUGAUCAAACUCUAAAUCUAAUGUUUUCUGACCUAAUUUUCAUUUCUCAAGAGGGGAAAAACAAAAGGUAAUUCUUAUUUCCACAGUAACGGAGGAAGUAUACAGACAUCUAUUUUUCCAACUUUCAUUAAGAAUCUACUGUUUGUGCUUCCUUGGAAGUCACUAUGAAGUACAUCUCAAUCGACAGCGACUGAGCAACUAUGCCCACAGUAGGGGUGAGCAGAAUCCGGUUCGAACCGAAAAAACCGACCGAACCGAACCGAUUUGAAAAUUUGGUUCGGUUUUUUAUACAUUUCGGUUCGGUUCGGUUCGGUUUUAAAUUUUAGAAAUUUCAGUUAUUUCGGUUCGGUUCGGUUUUGAUCAGAAAAAAACCGAAAAAACCGAACCGAACCGAUUAGGAAUAAUAAUAUGUUUUUUCAAUAAUAUAGAGAAAUUAAAUUAUAUUAAAAUUAAAAUAUUUUAAUUAAAUUUUAAAAUACUAAAAAUAAAGUGUAAAAAAUUAAAAAAAUAUUAAAAUUCGAAACCGAUCAAACCGAACCGAAUCGAACCGAAUCAGACCGGUUCGGUUCGGUUCGGUUUCUGACCAAAAUCGGUUCGGUUCGAUUUUCAUAAAAUCUAAAAUUUCGGUUCGGUUUUCAUAAAAUCUAAAAUUUCGGUUUUCGGUUUAUUCGGUUCGGUUCGGUUUUGAACCGAACCGACCGAAUGCUCACCCCUAGCCCACAGUGCCUGAAUGAGGGAGAUCUUUGGUAUACUCUUUGGUAUACUUUCUCAUAAGCCUACAUCUCAUUAGCCUUCCCACUUACUUUCCUAUUAAAUUAGACAUGUUACUCAGUCAAUUCUCUCUCUUUCUUGUGGGGCCAAUGCUGAAACCGACAACAUAUAAUCUAAGUGCUUAUUCUAUGGAAGUCAGCCUAUAAUAGUUUUUUCAAUUAUGACUUUAACCAUUAACUGAACUAUUUAAGACAUCAUCCAGGGCCACAUCGUAACAAGUAUAAACUACAUGAUGUAUUUAAAAUAUAAUGAUAACAACCAUCAUGACCGAGUCUUGAUGACAAACAAUGGAAUCUUCAAAAAUUCCAAACAAUGGAGUUAUAGCUUCCGUGUACCUUCAAACUCAAAAACAAAAACUAGAUAACUAUGUGCACAUCAAGUUCACAUUUCUUAUCAACGUCUUAUCUUUCCAAUUUAUUAUUGGGUUCAUCAGAUGAUUAACUACUUAAUUCAGCGAAUGAAAUAAACUACGACAUAUUUUUUUGGCUUAAUAAAAAAACAAAUUACAAUACCUCAUGACAGCCAUUGUGCAUCAGCUAUCAUGCUCAAUAGGUUAGCCUUUCUAGCUUCUGUCCAUCACAUUUAUCAUCUCAGGGACUUAACGUGCAGAAUGCAUAAUAAUCCGGUGAUAAAUGCAUUAAUAUUUCACACAAGUGGCAAUGUUCUCCAUUCAACAAGCGAUUCUUCAAGUUCAAAAUUUAGUAAGAAAAUCUUGAAGCACCAAAAUUUUUGAAAGUAACACUCAACAAUACAUUUGUGUCAACAUUUUCAUGCUUGAUAUAUAGUUUCUCUUUAACUUUUUCAUAAAAGAAUUAAAAAAAAUAAUUUUAAAAAAUUAGAAUUAAGAUUUCUGGGAAGAGGUACCUGGCCAGCGGGCAAGUAUAAUAUUUCAAUGCAUAUCCUAGGGAUAUGGGCUGGCUUUCCAGGAUAUCAUGUGGAUGGUGGUGAAGCAACAUCUUUUAUCUCCAGGCGUGGACCUUAAAAAAGCAGUCCAAGUCCCAAAUAUUGGCAUCAUGUUGAUCGAGUAUAUGGUGAUAUGCUGUAGGUGAAUUUAUUGUAGUGCCAAACAAGCUCCUGCAACAAGAUUCAAUAUUGACAUUAAGGUGAAGACAGAAAAAAAAAUACUAACCAUUUAUAAACACGUCCAAAUAAUUCCUGAAGUCAAUUUUCUAAUCCGAAUUCCAUCCUUUCCCCAUUAACUAAUUGAACAAAUCAGAAAGCAGCAAUCAAACUUUAUUUUUAACAUAAUAUCCUACAAGCAUGAAUGCGCAUACAGUAUAAUAACCUAAUUUCCACACGUUAAAAGUCAAAAAAUGACUUUUCAUGUCCUUUUCAAAACUAUAAGAAGGAUGCAUUCCUCUCAGUACAGGCUGAUGGCAAAAGGAUGUGAAACCCAUUAAGAAACAAUUUCUGGAAGAGUCUAAUUUCCCAACCAACCUACACAGAAAUGCAUAGUGAUUGGACUUCGACAAAAAAAUUUAACUUCUGCCAUGCUCCAAUUCUCGUUUUAAAAGGCAGCCUUCAAAAACAGUUGGGUCCAGAAGAGAAAAUCUGUCUCCUGCCUUUAGCCUUCAAUUACAAAUCGGGCAUGGUGAGCUAUUUCCACAAGAAACACUAUGCUAUGGAUUGGCCUUUUCACAUUCAACCUACUGCCAUCCAUAAUAUGUCUUCUUAACCUGGGAAAAUGGACAAUAUUUUGAUCAAUACCCUAUGGAGGUUGUCAGACUUUCAAGAGCAUGUGAAAUUAAUGCAAAUAAGAAAAGGGUAUAAUGGAACUGGGUGAAUGCUACACUUAUAAGACACUAAACAAUUUCUUAUACAAAAGUUAAUCAAUUUGACAAUCCCACAAUUUGAACUCAAUCAUCAGUCUUUCACUUCCAAAUAUGUUAAGUAUAAGUCAGUAAGCCCUCCAAGGCAAUCACACCUGUACAUGCAGAGACGAGACAACUGUACAACAAAGAAUCCAUAUAGCCAACACGUUGUUUGGGAUCGCCGCACAGUUGUAAGUCAGUAAGCCCUCCAAAGCAAUCACACCAGUACAUGCAGAGAUGAGAGAAUUGUAGCACUAAAAGCCAAGAUGAAACAGACUGAUUAUCCUGCAACAUUAGGGCUAAAUUCAACAAUAUAUUUAUGUAAACAAGAGUCAAACGUACAUGUAAAAAUCAUGCAUUUUACCUGGCCUUCUCAAGGAGAUGGCUGUAAUCAAAAUAACUUAAGAGCAAACUCAAUAGAGAUAGUGUCUAACAAAGCCAUAUGGCAACAAAGAAUCUAUGUAGCUGACCCCAACUUGUUUGGGAUAAGGCACAGUGGUUAUAAACUGAACAAAAUUUGUAACAAAUUCCUAGUUCGCCGAGCAUUCAACAACUCACAGCUUGAGACAUAAUACAUGAAUCCAGGUCCAGUAUUUUUUUAGCAUUUGAGAACACGUCUAACUCCAUUUGUUUAUGAGAAAUAACACUGGCAGAGUGAUAAGUCACUUGCAUCAUAUUGUGAAGCUUGGAUAUCUUCUUUACAUCUCCUUGUUUAAUAUAACCCUCAACUAACUUGAGAAACGUUGCCAGAUUUUGAUCCACAAAGACCUCUGUCAUCUCAUCUAAAAGCUUAAUAGAUUUUUCCACAUCUCCUUGCUUGCAAAAACCAUAAAUCAAGGCAGAACACGUAACUAUGGAAGGAGAAAUCCCUUCUUUUAACAUCUUGUUUCUCAAAUCCAAGGCUUCUCUAGUGUUACCAUUUUUACAAUAUGCAUCAAUCAGUAUAUUAUAAGUGAUAACAUUUGCAUUUAAUCCCUUGGAGUGAAGUUUAUUGAAAAGCCUCCAUGCUCGAUCCAGAUUACCUGAUUUACACAGGCCAUUCAUUAGAGCAUUGUACGUAACUAUGUUUGGAACAAGACCCCUUUUCAUCAUCUCAUCCCUUAAGAAGAAAGCUUCAUUCACAUUACCAGAUGCUGAAAGGCCAUGAAUCAGAGUGCAGUAUGUGAAAUUGUCUGGAUUGAAGCCUCUCAGCAACAAGCCUGAGAAAAGAUUUCUUGCGUCAUCAAUUUUCCCAGACUUGCAAAGCCCUGCAAGAGCUAUGUUGUACACCACCCUGUUGGGUAGAGAAAAACUUUUAGCACUUUCAUCAAGAGUAUCUGCAAUUUUCUGACUGUCCACAUAUCUACCAUCUGCCUUCUGGAACCUGUCAAAACUUCCAUGGUCUAGAAAAACAUCAAAAUCCACCAUCUUCUGCAAUAACAUAUUUGCUUCAUCUAUUCUUCCAAGUCGAUAGAGGCUACUGACAAUUUUGCUGCAAAUAAUUACAUUAGGAGCAAACCCCUUUUCAAUCAUAUCAAAAUAUGCACUAAAAGCCUUAUCCAACCUGUCUUCAUCACACCACCCAGCAAUGAGGGUUCCAUAAGUGACAACAUUAGGAGAUAAUCCCUUAAUGCACAUCUCAGAAAGAAGGACCAUAACUUCACUUGUUUUCCUGGACUUAAAAAGUCCAUAAAUAAGAGAAUUAUACAAUUCAAUGGAAAGAGAAAUCGCUUCUUUUUCCAUUAUCUCUUUAACUUUAAAAGCUUCUUCAACUUUUCCAAGUCUACAGUACCCAUCACUCAGAGUUCUAUACGUUAUUGCAUCAGCUUUACAACCCAAGUCCUUCAUCCUACUAAAAAUCUCCUCUGCUUCAGCCAUUUUCUUCAUCUUACACAAACCAUUAAUCACAGUAUUGAAAGCAUAUGUACUUCUUCCAAAACCCCUUGCUAGGAUAUCAUUCCACAGGGACAAAGCCCUUGGAAAAUCUCCCAUUUUGAAGAGUCCAUCAAGCAAAGUACAAUAGCUGACCUCAUUAAGAGACACACCUCGCUUUAGCAUCAAAUGCCAAAGGUUCAAAGCAUCCUCAAAGGCACUCACACGGCAUAAGCCCUUGAUGAGAGUAUUAUAAGUAACAACAUUAGGUUCAAUUCCAACCUGAAGCAUUAAAUUGCAAACAUUAAAAGCCUUACUUGUAAGACCUUCUCUACAGUAUCCAUCCACAAGGGUACUAUAACUAUAAGAAUCUGGUUUUAAGUCCCAGUUCCCCAUAGCUGUUAACAACCUCUCUGCUUCACAAACUCGACCAUUUUUACAAUAACCAUUGAUCAAUGAGUUGCAAAUAAAUAAAUUCAUCUUCAAUCCUACAUUUAACAGCUCAUCUCGUACCCUAAUAGCAUCAUCCAUUUUGCUAACUCGACAGUAUCCAUCUAUCAACACACCAUAAGCAUAUUCAUCCAAGACCACACCUUCCUCUUUCUCCAUCUCCCGAAGCACCUUCUCCGCUUCCUCAAACUUCCGUUGUCUACAAUAACCUUUAAUCAAUAAGGUAAACGUGACCUUGUUUCUCAGAAUCCCUCUUUCACCCAUCAAAAUCAAAACCUUUUUGGCUUGUUCCAUAUCUCCCAGACUAACACACCCAUCAAUCAAGCUAUUAUAAGUCACCACAUUCAAUUCAUAACCUAAAUUCUCCAUUUCCUUAACAAACUCCAUAGCUCUACCGACCCUCCCCUCCUUGCAAUAUGCGUUAACCAUAAUAGAACAAGUAAAAACAUCAGGCACGAUCCCUAACCUGUCCACUUGGUCAUAAACAAGCACUGCGGUGUAACUUUGACCUUUUCGAACCAAACUACUCAACAAACUAUUACAAGAUCGCAAGCUCGGUACGAAACCGCACUUUCCCAUAUUAUCAAACACAUGGAGUGCAUAUUUUGUCAUUCCCUUUUCAGCAUAUGCUUUCAAUAACAUAUCAAAAACAGUAGGCGAAAAAGCAAACUCCUUAUACGCUCUAACAAGCUCAUCCCAAACAAUAAACGAAGAGUAGUUAUUCUUGCAAAGACCAAUCAAUUCAUUUAAAUAGGAUCUGGUCUCAUUGUACAUUCGAACACGAGACAGAAUGUGAACAAGCUUACAGUAGGACUUUACACUCGGUCUAAAAUUGGGUUGCUUCGAGGCCAAUUUGAAGAAAUUCAAGCAGGAAGUAGGAUGCAGUUUGAGUUUGAGGAGAACAGAAUCGAGAAGAUUAUCGGAAAAAUCGAAAUUAAGGUUUUUGAGGGCAUGGUGGCGGCCAAGGAUGAGAAGGCGGGAGAUACGGUCGAGGAGUUCGGGGCGGGUAAGCUUGGAUUCGUGGCGGGGCUUCCAGUGUAGGGAUUUUUGCGGGCGGAGGUGAGAGUGGAGGCGAGAGGAAUAUGGGAUUGGAAAGCACCUGAGCAUUAGAGGAGAUUUGACGGCCGACCAUCAUAACAUCUGGCCACUUUAGGCAUCCACUUAGCUCCAGGCUUUGAACUUAAGCAGUACCAUUACCAAAGGCUCUGCCCAGGCAACAUGGCAAUAGAACUACAUGUCGUGUGAUGUAAAUCUACAAUAAAAAAAAUAAAAUUAAUUUUGUAAAAAUAAUUAAAUAAAGUAAUUACUUAAUUUAUAUAUUAAUUCAUUAAAUAAUUCAUAAAUAAACUAAUCAUAUUAUUAUAUACGUUAACUCGUAAAUAAAUUGUACGGAAAUUUUAUUAAUUCAUUUAUUUUAUUCAUUUAUUUUAUAUUGUAUUAUUAUAUUAAUAUUAAAAAUACAAAUAUAGCAAUGAAGAAUAAAGAAUGAAAAAUAAAUACAUGAAAAAAUAUUAAUAAUCUAAAAAAACGAUAGAAUACACCAUAAAAAAAUAAAUUAAAAAAGUAAUUUUAUACAUAUAUUUUAAUAUUAUUUAUUAUUAAUAUAAAUCAAGUUUAUUAUUAAUAUAAAUCGAGUUUAAAUUCAAAUAGUUUUUAAAUUUAAAUAGUGUAAUUUUCAAGGAUAUUUUUUCCGUUUGCGUCCCUAAUAGGAAGAGGCGAGCCUCUUGAUACAAAGUUUCAGUUCUGAUUCUUAACCGGUCCGGUUCACGGUGCAAACGGGCCUAAAGGGGACUUGUUUAACAAAAGAAUUCAUACGUUCUUUAACAAUGUAGAAUCUUUUCAGCAAGGAUUGGUCUGAAGGAAGAGACAUCAACCCAGUUUCUAAUUAACAAUCCCAACGCAUUGGCACCUAUACUCAGAGCUAAUGAAAGGAGCUUCUGUAUCAGUAUUGAGCAAGACAGCAACACUGAAAUCAAAGAAUGAAUAUUUCUCAUUAGAUUAAUAAAUUAACCCAAAAAAACUAUUCAAUGGCAUCAUACCCAUGAGACCAAGAACAAAUCAGGACUGCUAAAAACUACUCUCUAGAAAACAAUUCCUAUGUGCAGUGUGCUUAGGCCUUGGGAUCAUAUAAGGAAAAGACCAAAGCUUUUUAACUAUGUUAAAGAAAAACAUGGUAAGACUUCAAGAUUCAGGACUUCAAUAUGGAAAUCGCCCUGUCAUUCGAAUAUGAUCGAGUGUACUUUGAAGGCCGUAUUUUUGCACUGCUCGAUGGCCGAUUCUGAAUCCAUCUCCAUAUACUGGAGAAGUGUCCGACUCAAUCUGAUGCUUAAAAAAUUCCCCCAGCUUCCUCUCAAAUGGAGAUCUUACACCCUGUUUUGACGCUCGCAAAGCAGAGGAUGAAGCAACAUUGCUGCCUGAACCAGUUUGGAGCUGUGUCUCUAACCACAUAUAUGCAAGAACCUGACAAAUGCCCUCUUCAACAUCUUGACUGAGAUGUUGGAAACCUUGCAGAAACAAAGAAUAUCUCAGCAUAUCUAGAAAAAGACACCAAAUGCACCCAUUGCAAAGAAAUUAUUGGGUCUUUCUGUCAAUUAACUUCAUGCAAAUUGCUAUUGCUGGAAAGGAUCACCAUCAUCGUAAUAAAACAGAUGCCACUAUUUGAAAUUAUGUUGUGAACUUUAAGAAAGAGAAACAAACUGAUUUUAUACAUCGCAGAAGAAGAAAAUUCACCUUUAAGUCGCAUCCAUGCAUGCAUCAUCUCAUGAGCCAGGAUUGACCCGGUAAGCAACCUGCAUGAAACCCACACAUCAAAUAUCAAAACUGGUAAUUACAUAUGCAAUACUAUAAACAUUCAGAUCCGCAACGUAUUAAAGCAGCACAGGAUACAUAGAGUUCAUGAAGGAGACAUAUUAAGUUGUCUCAAACUUCGGUACAAGAGAAACUCCAAGAACUGCAAAAAGUAUGCAAUUUCUUCAAGGGUAUCGUUGGAAGAGAAAUUUAAACUUCACAUAAUUUAAUUCCAAAGGGCAGAAAUCUUUAAUUGGCUCCUAAUGCCUAAUUUGCACACAUGAAGAUAGAAAUUAUAUUAUAUUAUAGUGCUUCUAAUAGAAUAAUCUAAAGGGAGAUUUAUAAUUUAGUCCCUGGAUAUUACCAUUAUUAACAAGUCAGUCUCUGCAUUUUUAGAAACCUAUUAAAACGUCCUUAUCUUUUCUUUCCGUCAACAAAAUAGUCCUUCUGUCCUCUUUUCUGUUAAAAAUAGAUAAAAGAUGAGAGAAAAAAUCUUUAAAAUCUAAUCUUACCCUCAAAUAAAACUCUUAUUUAGUCUUUGAAUAUUACUAGUAUUAAUAAGUCAGUUCCUAUAUUUUCAAAAAUCUAUUAAAACGUCCUUAUCUUUUCUCAUAUCUAUUAAAAUGUCCUUAUCUUUUCUUAUAUCUAUUAAAAUAUUCUUAUCAUUUGUUUCCGUCAACGAAAUUGUCCCUCUUUCUCCUCCUCCAUAAAAAAGAAGAAAAAGAAGGGAUAAUUUGAUCUUUUGCUAUAUUUUUAACGGCAGAAAUAGACAGAAUGACUAUUUUGUUGACGGGGAGAAAAAAUAAGGACGUUUUAAUAAGUUUUUAAAAAUGUAGAGACUAACUUAUUAAUAAUGACAAUACCCAAGAACUAAAUUGUAAAUCUCCCUAAUCUAAAUGACAUGGAAUGGCAAGCUUAUAAAUAUAGACGCACAUAUACAAGUGGUCGAAUGAAAAAACUUCAUAGUUCCCAUUAAAUUAUAACUAGCCAGCUUUUGUUUUAUUUAAAAAAAAAAGCUAUAAAUUGUUUACAUGUCAUUUUACUAUUGGUUUGUCAUUCCAUGUCAAAUUCUGGCGUGGAAUAACCAGUUCAAUUUGUAAUUACUCCAAGAUGAUGGGGGGCUAAUAAUAAUAUAUAUUUUUAUUUUAGUUAUCUACUUCUUGAUGAUACACACUGGUAAAAGUUUAAUAGCAAAAGACAAAGAUAUACCUUGGGAGGCCAAACAGAACGAGAAUUGCUGUCACCUCACACCGACGUGUCAAUUUGUAGGGCUCUGUUACCAUAUCCAUAGCCCAGUUUCUUGCACCAAACCUGGGCCGCCUGAGUAUCUGGUCAUUUAUGGCGAUUGUAAUGUGAAUUUCCGGUCAAUGUACAAAUGUCAGAUCAAUAUCAACCAAUCCACCACAAUAAACAAAAGGAAGAUUUCAAAAAUCUCUUACCCUGCUGACUGUUUGUUCCUCUGAAAGACAAAGUCCUCUGGUUUCUGGCAUAUGAUAAUGGCCCUGUCCGAGAAAGAAGUUUCAAAACCCAACUACAAAAGGCUUCUAGAGAAAAACAAAUGCAAUUGCUAGAUUUUAAUUGAACAUACGGACAAGGACAUCCCUUUUUUUCCAUAUGUUCAAUAAUGUUGGACAUGAUAACUCUCUGAGAUCAAGACUUGAAGCAUAAUGCUGUUUUCAUUUUCUGAAAAAGAAAAAUAAUAAUUGCGCCACUGAUAUUGCUUGACUAGAAGAACAUAUAUCAUUUCAUUUUGUAAAAUAUUGGAGAAGAUAGAUAACCAAGAAUAGUGAUAACUUCGAAAAUCUUCAAUUUUAGGUUGUAAUUAAUUAAAAAAAAAUCAAAAUUCACAUAUUUUUUUAUUUUUCAAAAAAAAGAGAGGGUGGAAAUUAAGUGUAUCUGAUGUAAAUGGCCACAUGUUUUAGAUCAAUGUUUAAUAAGCCAAUUUUGAUCACUGGAAAAUUGUUUUAUCAUAGGCAAUACAAGACCUGUUUUUACGCAUUUACACUUACAUUCUUUUCCCCUUCCCGGGCUUCAUUCAGCGCUUGUCUCUCAACCAAGAGUAGUGGGACAUGCUGCUCCACUCUCAUAUUCAAACUUUCAUAAAAUUCACGUAUAUCAAGGUAAAUGGGCUGACAUUGAUUGGUGUCCAUGAUUGCUGAGUCCAGACACUCUAGGCAGAGCUUCCGACCAUCACUAAGCGCAACAUAUCCUGUGUCUCGUGGCUGAACAAGUUCAGAAGAUAUAUCCCGACAUUUUGUAAGAAAACCAGGUGAAUGAGAUUUUCCCUGGAAAGCUUGAGAUUUUUUGUGCUUGCAUAAGUAAUUCAUUCAACUAACCUCCAUUCGCUCACAGCUGCAGCACCGAGGAGUACCGUCGUGUUCAUGAGAUGGGCAGUAUUUUUGGACCCAAAAAGGAUGUGCCCUAUAUUCAAUAAGACCAGCAGGGUUUGUUGGAAUCUGUCAAAAAGAUAUAAAAUCAAUUAAAAAAUAAAACUUGAAGAAUAGCAUUAACACAUACUUCAGAUCUAUUCCAUUAGCUAGGCAAUUAGUUUAUACCAGAAAAAAUUACUAACAUACAUUUUGCAUGUCAAUUUCACUGAAUUUUUAGUAAUCAGAGUAAAGUAAUCAAUGGUCCAAGGUUAUAACUCUCAUUUUUAUCCUUGGUCAAUAAUCAGAGACAAAUACAUUGUCUGAUAUCAGAAUCACUAUAGGAUUUUCUAGUUAUUGAAGAGAUACUCACAAAGUACUUGCAAACAUCACAUUUCGGAUGGUACCGCUCCUUGUAGCAAGAUUUAUGAUAACGAUAAUUCCCAGACAUAGAGAACUACAGGAGAAAGAGUAUAUGUAAAGUUAGAAGCUUCACUUCACUGAAAAAAAAAAUCUAGUGAAACAUAAUAGGAUUGGCUGAAAUCAACCAUAAAAUUUCACUGGUGGCUAAUCAGAAGUAUAGUUUGCACCUCAUAAUCAGAAAUUGGUAGGUUGCAGGCAUGGCACCGGAAACAUUCUGGAUGCCAGAAUGCAUUGAGGCAAUUUAGAAAUCUUCCAUGACCAAUCUCUGUAUUGCAACCAGCACAAAUCCUAGUAAAAAAGCAGGCAUUCUUGGGUCAUCUUUCUUGAAAUUACUAAUACAGUAACAUAGUUACUCAGAGAUAGAGUGGUAGCAUAAAAAAAAAACAGAGGAUGAUGUUCAAUUAGCAAUGCUAAUGAACAAUCAAACUUGAUUUAAUUUUUUAACAAAUAAAUUGCGGGAGACCUUGACAACAAACUAAAGAAAAAUUUAAUAAACAAUACAAUUGAGAUACCUAUAUCCCAUUGGAAACUGGACUGGGACAGGUUGAUAUAAAUUGCCUUGGUAUGCAUUGCCAUUUCCAUAUCCAUAUCCAUACUGAGGAGGAGAUUCAACAUUCAAGCUCUCUUGUAUAGCUCUAGCAAGUUGUUCAUCUUCUUCCAGCUGAGUCUCAUUAUCUAUUAAGGUAUUGAGAAACACCAUAGAUUAAAUCAUGAGAUAAAUAUAUAAUGAUUUCAUAAAAGAGAAAAAGGCUCAACCAAUUUUACACGAAAAUAAUUGAUUAGAAAUCAUACAGAUACACCAAUAAAGAGAUAGAUUGAUUGUUUGACAUAUCAAGGGACCAGUAUAAAUUUGCAGAAAAGAAGCUAAGAGAUGAACAUCAAGGAAAUGCAGAUGAGACAAGAUGAAAAAUUAAGCAUACAACAAUCCAUAAUGGUAAAAGAAUUUUAUUGAGACAUUACAAUAAUUAGUUUAUUUUAAAUCAGAAAAGAUUGACAUCAGUAAUUGAAUUGAAGCUCUCCUAUUUCGUAGCAAACCACACAACAUUAGAGAUGCGGUAUGAAACUACGAAAAACAACAAUAACAACUAAGCCUGGACAACAAAUUAAGUGGGAUGGGUAUUUGGAUCUUCCAUUCAGCUCUAUUCAGCUAUGAAUUAGAAACUUAAUAAGAACAAUAAGUUCUCUUGAAAGAAACCAAACGAACAGCAUCUUGAUGUCAAAUUCCAAAAAUUAAUUCAAGGACAUGCAAUAGGUCUUCAUUUUGGAAGUGGAAACAGUGUCUAACCACUGAAGCACAGUGCCAUUAUGUGGAGCUUUCAAGGUCAAGCCUAUGUAAGCAACUGUAUGAAAAAGCGAGAUCUUCUUAUAUUAUGCACCUUUCUACGAGGAAUUUCCCUAAAGUUUAUCAGUCUCAAUCAAGAAAAAGUACCAUAAUAAAUGAACGUAGUAGUGAUAGUACUGAUAAAAUCAAAGCAUUACAGUAUCAUCACUUGGCAUCAGUAGUUCACGCUAUUCUUUGAUACUGACAAGAAACCUAGAAAUAUCAUGUCAAGGUCUGUACAAGAAAAGAGUUGCAUACAAGAAAAUGAAACCAUUUAAGCACAACUCCAAGCAGCAAGCAAUAAACAAUACCUAGAGUAUCCAAAAUGAUGAAAUGAUUCAAGCACAAUUCAAAGCAGCAACGUAUAUUACUAAAAUGUGCAUUAGAGUAUCAUCUAACAGCCAUAUUACUUACCAGUAACAAAUUUUCCAUUCUGACGUUCUUCUGAAAGGGACAAUGCAAUAGCACGAUCAAUAUCUUCAUUCUCCCGCUCUGACCACACAGCCUGCAGUCAUUAUCCGAGAUCAAAUUAGGAACGAGGGUUAACUUCAAGCAAAAUUUCAACCACAGUUAUUAAGAUGCUCAUGGAGUCAUGGUAGUACCCAAAAAGUCAAAGUUAUAAUAUUUUGGUAUGAAGGAAGUACUACUUGAGGCCCUCCUAAACUUUAGCUAACUUCUAAAAUGCACAUGACUUUAUUACUCGAUGCAAUGCAUAUUCCUACUCACAAUCUAACUCAAAUACACAAAUGGAAAUAUUACAGAUCUCAAGGCAAAGAAGUGGCAUUGAUUUAACCAAAAACAUAGACUGGAUGCAAUGCAAACUCGAAACAUACUAUCUAACCCAACUACAGAAAUGGAAAUAUGACACAUUCGAUGGCAAAGAAGUGGCAUUGGUAUGUACCCCUGAAGUGGACGGAGCAUAAUAAUUAGGAUCCUCUCCAUAAUUUCCGUGGUAAUGGCGAUCUGAAGCAUUAUGGCUGAAGCCUUUAAAAAUUUUGCUAAGCCAUCUGCUCAUGGUGGAUGAAAUUUUUCCUGAAAGAUAAACCAUUCAUACAAUGAUUCUAACCAAAGUACAAAGGCUGCUAAAUACUUAUUGUUUUUAUCUCAUGUGAGAAUGAUAAGUAGGGUGUUCAUAAAAACUGAAUAAACAAAUUAAAGCAUGGAUUUACAAGCAGUUGCCAAUCCAAAAUGAAAGUUAAAAACUCAAUUUACUUGGUAGCUGAUAGAAUUGAGGAGAAUUUCAUAUUAAAGAAAUGGUCAAGUCAACCCUAAAACAAAAAACUGAAUGCAGUUGAAGGCAAUUCACAAAUAAACAAUAGUAAGACAAGGUCCUAAGCAUCCAAGUGUCCCUGCAAUCCCAUAACUGGGCGUUUUAUAUGCCACAUGCAAAUAUUAAUUCCAGUUGUAGGAUAACCAACUCUUACAACUCUACUACAUUUCUCUAAGCAAUCAUUGGAAACCAGAGAAACUAUAGCUAGUAAAAAUCUUCAACAAGUUAUUGGUAAGCUAUCAAAACUUGCCAUCAGCUCAAGUCAAUCUAACAGAAAUAGAAAGAGAAUAAGUUCGAGCUCGACAUGCCAAUCAAAUUCACGAAAAAUAACAUUUUUUAUAUUAGAAUCUUAAGAGAGAAAAAGGGUAAAUAACCAAAACUAUGGAGCAACGCACCUAUAAGAAAUCAAGAACAAACUUGCAAAAAUGGCAGAAACAGAAGAGACCCAGAUGAGAUUAGAUCCCAAUCAGCUCGAAAAGCCACAAAAUUUAGAGUCAAACAAAGAAAAGGUAAAAUCUUUUGCUAACAGGCAUUAAUCUUUUUGCAUAUUUUUAUGUGGGCAAUAGAAGAAUCUAACACGGAAUCAGAAAAUUCUUUAUGUACAACGAAAGAAUAGAGAAUAGAGAAUAGAGAAUAGAGAGAAGAAACGCGUAAGAGAGAAACAAGAAGGAACAGAAAGUAAAUACGAUAAGAAUGUAGGCAGCGAGGGAGAGGGAGUUCUUGAAUUGUACGCAAAUUUCAAAGUCAAAUUUGGACAAAUAAACGUAUAAAAGUAUGAGAAUUAAGAUUAUCAAGAGAUUAUUGUCAGAAACCAAAAAGGGUUUGACGAAGGAUCAUCAUCAAAACCCAAUUUGGUGGGUAGGCAUGUGGGGUCCCCUCUGCAAUUCUAUAGGAGAAGACCCCAAAGAAGGUUCUCUCUUCUCUGUAGAGCAAGGAAUGUGGUUUUUUCUGGUUUCUGCUGUUUUCCUUAUUAUUUAAUUCGUUGUUUUAUAUUGUAUAUUAUUAGAAUUGUGGUAGUUGAGGCGCGCGUCUCAUGGGAGCUUUGUUCUAAGCAUGCAAAUAAUAAUUAAGGAAAAUUAUUAUUUGGAUUCUCUGUACUGGAAAAAUCAUUGAUUGGUUAUUUGAUUUUAAGAAAUAUAUUAACACUUUUUUUUAAAUUUUAUAUUUUUAUAAAUAAUUAAUGUUAGGAUUAAUUUAUAUUUAAUUAUUAUAAUUUUAUAAAAUUAAGUGUUUAAUGAAUUAUAAUUUUAAUUAAUAUAUUUAAUGGAUUAAUAUGAAAUAGUACAAAAUUAUAAAUAUAUAUUUAGAAAAAAAAUGGCAUGCUCAGUUUGUAUAAAACAAAUUCAAUCAUGUUCAUUUUUAAUUUUUAAUUUUAAUUUAUAUAAAUACGUAAAUAUAAAUAUUUAAUUAAAUAUUUAUUAAAUCUAAAAAAAUAGAGUUUUAAUGUGAACGAGUGAAUUUAAUUUAGAAUGAUUCACACCUUUUUUUUAUUUUUUUCUCUCUUAUUCUCUAGUGACACGUAAUCAUUAUUUCACCAUCAUCGGACAAUCAUUUAAUUUUAUUUCUGUAUUCGUUUUGAUAGAGUCACAGUAUAACUUGAUAUGUUCGUCUACUACUCAUUACGUUAGAUAAGUUGAAUAUCUCUUUGAUGAGUUCAAAUCUUGAUUAACUCGACUUGCUCGACUGUAGACUAGAUUGCGUGCUAAUAGAUCAGUUUGUAUUGUGGACUAUAACUUAGAAUGCUAGUGCUGAGCUAUCAUCAAACUUGAAAUUAGCAAUUUAAAAAGUGGAAAUAAUUAUCAUUUUCAUCGAAUAUAAUUGGAACAGAGUUAGGAAGAUCUAACUAAUGGGUUAAUUGAAAUUGGAUUUUGCCUAAUUGAAGUUAAAUUAAAAUCAAUCGGAAUAUUAAGAGUUUUGUUUAUUUAUGAAAACUAAUUUAUAUAUAAAACAUAUUAUAGAAAUAUUUUUUAAUAAAAUAUUUUUUAUUAUUUAAUUUUAAUUUAAAAAUAAAAUAUAUCAAACAAAUUAUAUAUAGAAAUUUUAAUAAAAUUUUUAAAAGUCACUUUAAAAAAAAAACUUUAAAGUAUAUAAAAUGAUUUUUUUAUCAUAAAAUUAUUUUAACUAUAAAAUAUUGUUUAUUAACAAUUCUUCUUUUGGUUUCGAAUGUUUAAAAAAUAUACGUAAAAUAUUUUUUAAAAUUGAAUUUUAAAUUAACAAAUUUUAAAAUUUUUAACCAUUUGAAUUUAAGCUACAAAUUAACUCCAAACCCUCCCUUAGCCAUCCGAUGAUUGUCCCAUUAUGUCGGCUACUUUAAAAUAAAAUCAAAAAAGGAAAAUUACUUUUUAGUCUCUGAGGUUUAACGUAAUUAAUACUUCUAUCCCUCUAUUUUGGCGACUCAACACUUAAGUCCCUCACUUUUUUUCCGUCCAAAUUUGUAAUCCUUCCAUUCAAAAUAGCCUUUUGGAAUAUGUGAAUUGAUAAAAUUGACCCUCACUAAAAGUCCUGCUAUUUCAAAAUCACGAAACCCAAACCCAAUCUAAUGCUUCUUCAUUGUAGAUGCUUCUUCAUUGUAGAUGCUUCUUUACUGUAGAUUAUUCUUUUUCUUCUUUUUCUUCUUUUUCUCUAUCUCCAAAUCACUAUUAGCCUCCUCACCAUAACUCCUACCCUUUUUACAACAAAUCUCUCUCUGUUUCUGUAAGAGUUCACUCUCUCAUUUCUCUAUUGACCCUCUAAGAAAAGAUUUUGCAACUCUCAAAUAAUAUUUUAGGGAGAAGAAAAAUGGAAAAAAAAAAGAAAAAUUAACAAUGUCAAGAGAAAAUAGAGAAAACAUGAGGGAGAAUAAAGAUAAAAAAGAGAAGAAAAAAAGAAAAAUCAAUAAUAUCUAAAGAAAAUAGAGAAAAUAUGAGGGAGAAGAAAGAUGAAAAAGAGAGAGAAAAGAAAAAGAAGAAUCAAUAAUGGGUAAAAGACAAUGAAGAAGAUAUGAAAGAGAAAAAUGAUGAGAGAUUGCAUGUUGAGGGGGUUAUUUUUAGAAAAAAUUCACACCUCUCACCUUUGACUCUUUGAUCAAACGGCUAUUUUGGAUGGAAGGACUACGAAUUUGGACGGAAAAGAAAGUGAGAGACUUAAGUGUUGGGUAGCCAAAAUAGAGGGACAGAAGUGUUAAUUACGUUAAACAUCAGGGACUAAAAAAUAAUUUUUCCAAUAAAAAAUAAAGAAAAGGGUAAAAUAGUAAAAUGGGUCGUGAAGUCAGGAUGCGAUGGGCCGCCCUCUUCUUGUCUGGUUUUAUGUUAUGCCCCCUAAUGAACCAAUUCCCAGAGGCCCUAAACAGCAAAACAUCAACUUUUACCUCAAAAGAAAAUAACUAUUAGGUCCCUCUACAUUAAAAAAAAAUUACUACUUUAUUUAUAUUUAAAAAUUACUCCAUUAAAAUAUUUCUCAAUUUCACAAAAUUAAACUAUUUUAAUUUUUUUAUUAAAAAUUUCUAACGGUCUUAAAUAUUUAUAUUAUUUAAUUUUUUUAAUUUUAAUUAUAUAUAUUAUUUAAUUUCAAUAAUUUUAAAUGUUUAUAUUAUUUAAUUUUUUCGAUCGAUACUAACACAAAUUAAUUAUAUUUUUUUUGAUAAAAUAACUAAAUGAUUUGAUUUUAUAAAUAUAUAAAAUAUUUUAGUUGUAUAAUUUUUAAAAUAAAAACGAAGCAAUAAAUUUUACAAAAUUUUUUAAAUGUGAUAGUAAAUUAGUAAUACUCCCUAAAUCACUCUACUAACACAAAUUAAUUAAUAAUUUAUUUUUAUAAAAUAACUAAAUGAUUUGAUUUUAUAAAUAUAUAAAAUGUUUUAGUUGAAUAAUUUUUAAAAUAAAAAUGAAGCAAUAAAUUUCACAAAAUUUUUUAAAUAUGAUAGUAAAUUAGUAAUACUUCUUUUAACUCAAUAAGAAUCCAUUAAUUUCCACAUAAUAUAGAAUACAAAGCCUAUUAAAUAAGUUAUAAAGAAAUAAAUAAAGUUUGAUAAAAAUACAAAUAUAUAAAAUACAAUAUAUCUUUAUCAUAUAUCUUUAUUAGGAUCCUUAUCAUAUAUUCUUAUCAUACCCCUCAAUUGAUAAAUGAUACAUGAGUACUCGAUGUCGAGUUUUGACUAGUAAUUUUAUUAAAAUGUCAGCAAGCUGGUCUUUGAAGCAAAUAAAACAAACUUGAACUUCUUACUUUUAAACCUUGUCUCGAACAAAAUGGAAAUUCACCUCUAAAUGUUUAGACCGUACAUGAAAAAUAAUAUUAGCAUAUAAAUAUGUAGUUUCAAUAUUGUUAUAACAAAGAUUAGAAAUUUGUUUAGAAGUAUACCCAAUAUUUCGUAAAAGAGAUUGUAUCCAAUUAAGUAAACUCUAUAAUCGCCAAACCAAUUGUCCUGUACUCAGCUUUGGUGGAAGACUUGGUAACGGUUUGUUGCUUCUUGAAAUUUCAAAAGAUUAGAUUUUUGCCCAUAAAAAUGGCAAAACCAGUUGUAGAUUUUAGAUCGUCUAAAUCACUUGCCCAAUCAGCAUCCGUGUGUAUAUUCAGGUUUGUAUCUUACGAUUUGGAGAACAAAAGACUAUAGCUGGCUGUUGCUUUCAAGUAUCGCAAUAUGCAUUUGACAAAAGUCCAAUUCUCAUUUAUUGGCGCAUACGUAAAUUGUGAUAUUUUGUGAACGGAAUAACAUACCGCAGGACGAGUAAGACUUAAACACUGCAAUCCACCAACAACGCUUCUGUCUUGAGCUCCAUAGUAUUCGACUCGUUAAAAUUUAUAAACUCGACUCAUUUUCCGAAUUUAUGAUUAGGCUCAUGAACGGUCUCGUUAAGCAGAUUAAGAUUAAUAUUAUAAGAGAAAUAAACUCAAACCCUAUAUAUACUUUCAUUAACUAAAUUUAAAUUUUCUAAAAUUCAGCUCUAUAUAGUUUAAUUACACUCUUAAAACUUACAUAUAUUUAAAUUGUUAAGAUUUAAAAGUUCAUCUUUAUAAAUUUACGAACUAAUUUAUAUAUAUACUUAUUUAACUAAAAUUAUUUAGUUUUAAACUAAAAACCAUUAUAUAUGUAAAUAAAUUAAACUAUUCGUGAAAUAUUCGAGAUUAAAACUCGACUCAUCUAAAUUCGUUUACUAAACGGGUCAAGUUUGAGUUUAUUAGUAUUUGAAUCGAGUUCGAAAUGAGUAAAGUAUGAAUUUAGCUCAAAUUUUAAAAAAUUUUAACAAACCAAACUUUAAUUCUUUAAAACUCGGUUCGGUUAGGUUCAUUUCCACCCAUUCCAAUUUGAACAGUGUGUUUGGUAGACAUACAAGUCAAGUGUUGUUGGUCAGUAUAGCUUGCAGUUAGGUGAAACUCAAACAUAAUUAACAGUUAAAACAUCUAAGCAUUGACAUUUGAAGUUGGAGAUUUAUGCACUUUAGUUGGUCAGUAGUUUCUAAGGCAAAGACUCAAGUAUAAAACCAAUUUCAACACAACAUAUAGAGGAAAGAAGGGUUAAGGAUCUCAUUAAGUUAAUGGUGCAAUUAAUACACAGGAAAACUAAUAAUGUUAAUUUUAUUACAGAAAAGAAUAAGGUGAAAUUGACCCAAAAAUAAUCACAGGGAAAUUUUUUUCAUUUGGGCAUAUAGAUACAGUUUUGAAGUUAUUGGUUUUAGUCAGUACUAGGAGGUGCUGCUUGUUGAUUGACUUUCAAGCAGAGGUGAGCUUUCACUGGCUUGUGAUCUGAGCUGUAAAUAUCGUCGAUGGACUCGUAGCAAUGUAAGCUUGCACUAAUUUCGUCGCCGUCAUGUAUCUUGAACAAUAUCCGAUCUGUCCACGAAGGCACUCGCACCUGAAAAAUCCAUCCAUAAUAUUACUUGUUGAAAAAAAUAUGGAACUUUUUAUUUAUCCAUACACUCAUUCAAUCAAUUAUUAUAAAUUAUUUAUAAAUAUUUAAUAGUUAAUUUAAAUCAAAUUGAAUACAAAUUAAAUAAAUUACUUAUCUAUUUAUAUUUUAUUAAAAUAAUGAAAAUACUACUGAAAAAUAUAAAUUAAAAAAUUAAAUAAAAAUUAUAAGAAAAUAAAUCAUUUAAUUUAGAUAUAUAGUACUUUCCAAAUAAUUAAAAAAAUCUAAUUAAUUUUAUAAACUAAACAAUUCUAAAAUAGCAAGAAAUAGUUAUUACCUUGUGACUUGUAUCAUAACUGCUGCUUCCGACAUUGUAUUUGUACGUUGGUUUAAAUGUCAAUGUCCCCUCGCAGAAUCCGUCGAAAACCUGUCCCUUUUCUGCUUCUUGUAAGAGCUGAUCUUUGCUGGUGAGCAGCUGUAUCCAUUGUUACACAAUCACAAACAUUAAUUAAAACAAUAAUCUUAAACGACAGUUAACCUGAUAACAUAGAAAGUGAUAGAUCGAUGUUUCAUUACAACAACUCACUCUAUGAAGAUCUUUCUUUAUUAAAUUUCUGACAGGAUAUGUGUCUAUCCCCUGAAUCCUGUAGUUGAGGUCUCCCAACCAUACAGUGAUUUGGGCAGGUCUAGCGUAAGGAUUCCAGUUCCUGGAGAAAAGGUUGUGUGAUAUGUGUCUGCACUGGGAAUUUCUCUCUUCCACAUUCCGAGCAUGAGCUGCAUGCAUGCGUGCCAAUAUAUUUAUUUACUGCAAACUAAAAUUGAUAAAUAUAUUUCAUUUAUAUAAAUAAAUAUUGCAACGGACAAUAUAUCAACCGACCUAGCCACCACCCACCAGUAAAGGCAUAACAAAUCAAACCCAUCGACUGGUUGGUUUGACAAUAGUGCUUCCUCCAAUAGUCUUCCACUCCUAACUACCUCUCCUCUCCUUUAUCAUAUAAUGUUUAAAAUAAUAAUAAUAAAUAAAUAAAUUUAUAUAUUCAUAGUGAUUAACCCUAAUAUUUAUAUAUUAAUUAAAUUCAUAAUAAAUUUAUAGCAAAAAAUUACCACCACUAUCCCAACUUGGGCCCCUAUCUGCCCAGAGGUGGUUCCCAGCUAGGUUCCACAUGGAAUUGAGAAGCCCAUGCACGCAAGGCCCAGUUCUAGAAAUACACAGUUGCGCAUCCCAAACAACUAAUCAAAUUCUUAAUGGAAAAUUAUGAAAAUUCUUAAUCGUAUGUAUGAAAACUCAGCUAAUAGUAAAUCACCAAUAUACUUUUAUAAAUAAAUUUACCAUGAUUUUCAUAUAUAUAGCAUUUUAUUUAAAUGGUUGGGACUUUCCCAGAAAAUUAAUCAUCAAAUGGAAAAAGAAAAUGAGAGUAUGUAAGUGAAAAUUUGGAUUCUUACCAGAGAGAUGGCAAGAGACAAACACCAUUCUAAUUCCUUUGUAAUUGAUACGGAUUGCUACUGCCCCUUUCGUUCUCCUAAUUAAUCUUCCAAAUCCACCCACAGAAUGCUUAUCCACCUUCAAUUCUAUUAACCAGCCUUUUAACAUAAGUAUGUGCAUGGUUUGGGAAAUUAAAUUAAAUGAAUAGUAAGAAGAUUUUCACUCACCUUUGAUGAAUAAUUCUGAGUUCAAUGGCGAAAAUACGUACAACUGAAGAGAUUGCAUGAUGGCCUUUCCUUGCAGUCUUCAUUCAAAUUUAAAACUUAAUUAAUAUACAGUUAUUAACUAUGAAAUUUUAAGUUUGUUUUCCUUUUCAUUUGAUAGUGGUGGUUAUCUAUGGCAACAUCUUACACUCAGAUUCUAUAAGAAGAAUGGAGAAAGUUGUAGUAGAAGAAAAGAGAAGGAAGAGUUUGGAUUCUUACAUAUGAGUAUCCGCAACAACUGCCUGCAAUAAUACUGCAACAUUUUUCCGAGGUACCUCUUGCAAACCAACAACAAGUAGAUCAAACUUCCGAUCGCUGCCAACAAGCUCCACCAAAUCUUCAAAAGAGACCUAACGAAAUUGCAAACCAUGCACACUCUAAGAUUAAUUGUCAGCUCAUUUUAUAUAACAACAAUUAAUGCAUGAACUUUUACCUUUCCGUUCAUGUUCCAGGUCACUAUGCAGACGCAAAGGUCAGAGUUUCUUGAGAAGUUGCAGAGGUUAUCGACCUUCACAGUCUUUAUUCCUUCAUGCUUGCUCAUGGAAUCCAUUUGCUCUCUCAUCACGAACUUAGACCUUAUGCGAUAAACAGAAACCCAGAUUAAUAUCAUCAACAUGAGCAAGAAUCCAAGACAAGAAAGAAAAAGAGAAGUUGACGACGAUGAUAUAUACCUUUUUCCAGCACGAUUUCCAUUGCAAUUUCCCAUUUUCUUGGUUUAAGAUUCACGAAACCAGGGACUCUAUUACUGUUCUGUGAGCCCAUGCAGAGUUUUGAGAAGAACACUUUGGUUUUGAUAGAGAAGAAGAGAUCAAACAACUUUGUCGUUUGACUUGGGACGUGGGAAGUUAUUGUUAUAUACGUGGAAACGGAAACAUUAUUAGGGUUUUUGGCGGUGAAGAAGGUAUGGAAAGCUAAAGUCAAAACAUGUAAACUCUUCAUCUUCAAUAUUGCAUAUCUGAUAUGAUCACGAAAUUUUCAAUAGUUAGGUGAGGCGUUAUUGACAAUUCAUGCAAGUUUAAUCCAACUUGGAAAGGACCACAAUUUCUCACGUCAUUAUGACCAAUGUAGCUAAAUCAUUCGAUCAUUAGCUCAAUUAUAUAUGCCAAUUAAAGACACAUGUCAUCAUUUGCAUAAAGUGUCAAAAUGGAUGCCAAUCAUGCAUAGCUAGUUGGUAUACAUUCCAAUUUUUCAUCUAUUUAUUUUGAAAUUACUCAUCUUAUAUAUGAUGAGAAAAAAAAAUUCAAUAUCUGUUGAAAUAAAAUUAAACUAAAACAGAGAAAAUGUGAAACCGUUGGUAUUUAUGGAUAGUUAUUCCAGUUUAAGUUAUUAAACUGAUAAAAUGGCCGAAUAUAAUAAAGGGUUAAAAUUCAAAAUGAGUGUAUAAGAAUACAUAUCUUAAUAUCUGUCAAUAUUAAGUUUUAUAUCGUAAGAAGGUGGAGUCAAUUAUUAAAUUUCAUGUAAAAUUGACUGAUAUCAAUUAAUAGAUAAAAAUUUCUGUGAUUGUAGAUGUAAUGGUUAUCUGCUGAAUUAUAUAUGCUAACAGAAAUUUUUACGAGUUUUAAUAAACAAUAAAAUGUUACGGUGUCUGAAUUUCUUUUUUGGGUGAAAUCAUGUAUAUCUUAUUAGAUUUUUAGAUUUUUGUUAAGUGAGUAUGUUUUAAGGCAACGACUCAUAAUUUAUUUUAAAAAAUUGUUUUGUGGAUUAAAAUAUUAUAAUAAUUUCCGUAACUAAUUUAAAUUUUUUAAAAGCAAUUAUCAAAAUUGAUGCUUUCGUAUUUCCCCAUCUUUUCAUUUUGAAAUUUAUUGCUUUUAUCAUCACAAUUAUUAAACAAAAGGUUAAAUCGUGAUGUGUAGUUCACCUAUCAUUAUUUGAAUUAUUGAGGUUUUCACUAAAUAAAUAAUUAUUAUUUUUUUUAGCUUUAAAUUUUUAAUAUAUAAAAAAAAUCAUGAGCAUAUGCUUAACUUUUAUAUAUUAUAGUUUUAAUUAUCCAUUAAACUUUGAUUUAAUUUAAACUCAAAUUCACUGAUUUCAAUUUCUCUUAAUUUAAAUUAUUCUAUAUAUAAAAUUUAUUAAUUCGACUUAUCUAAAUUAUCUGAAUUAACGUCAUAUAAUAAAACAUUUAUUCUCAAAUUUUAAAAAAAUUUAUAUUCAAAAUUUGAAUUCAAAAUCAAUAAUUAAAAAAAUAUAUAUCAUUUCAUUUCACUUCACUGAAAUAUAAAAAAUUUAAAUUUUUUAUCAAAUAUUUAUCUGAAUUAUCUGAUAUUUUAACAUUUUUAUUGAUUAAUAUUUUUUCACCUAACAUUUAUAGAAGUGUAAUAUUUAUUUUUUAUAUGCUAAAAUUUUUCAUCUUUGCUAUUAAUAAAAUUAAACUUUGAUUAUCUAUAAAAAAAACAUGUAGACUGAUUUUUCGUUAUAUUUUUUUAUAAAAUUUAAUAUUUUAAUAUCUAUAUUUUAUAAAAUUUAAAAAUUAAAUAGUUAUAUUUUUAUAAAAAAUAAAUUAAAUAUUAAAUAUUUAUAUAAAAAAAAAAGUCAAAAUGUCAGUUAACUUUUCUUUUAAAAAAGUGUAAUGCAUUUAACUUCAAAAAUGGGGAUCCAGAGCCUUUAUGGUCUUCCAGCAUAAUGCGGCUGAAGUUUGACACUUCAAAUUCUGAAAUGAAGAUGAAUAUAUUUAUAUUGUAAAAUCACAGCCGUCCAGUGAUAUCUUUUCAUACCUAAAAGAGGAAUACUAGAUUGAUGUGAACACUUCCAAGGACCAAGGUUUCUAUAUUAUCUAGAUAACGUGCGCUUGCAAAAUUGCCUCAUCCCAGUUCAAAAAACUUAUUAUUAUUAUUUUUUUUAAUCAAAGAUAUGUAGAAAUUCGUUAUAACGAAGUCGGGGCUUUAGCCCAAUACAAAAGUUGAAGAAAGUAAAUAUUAAAAUUUUUUAAAUUUUUUAUAUUUUUUAUUAUAAUAAUAAAUAAUUUGAUUAUUAUAAUUUUAUUUGAUUUUAUAUUAUUUUAAAAAAUUUAAAAUAUCUUUUAAUAUUUAAUAAAAUUUAAUGUAAAUAAAAAAUUAUAUUAAAAAAAUAAAUUAAAUAGAAAUUAUGUGAUGGAGAGUAAUAAUUUAUAAAUUAAAAGAAUUUAAUUUUUUUUUUGUACAUUUUAAACCGUAGUUUUCCUUUAUUUUAUAAAACCCCACCAAAAUUCAGAUUUAUUUUCUCCCAAGACUCCAUUUAGUAAUUCAGUGAUUGUCGGUUAUAUUGCUCUUUCGCAUAAGCUGAAUCGCUGCUAUCAGUUUUAGCUAUUUCCAGCAUCAAUUGAUAAUUGCGCUCUUUCAGCUACUUCCUCCUCAGGUAAAAACUGCAAUAUAUAAGAGAAACACAGCUCUUUAUUUGUUCUUAUUCACUGAUUUUUCUUAGAUCUGAUGCCUCAAUUUUCUCCCAAAUUGUUUCUGUUUAUACCCUAGAAAUUGCCUUUUCUUCAUCGCAUUUUUACGUUUAAAUCCUCUGCUCAAUCUCAGUGCCACUGUAAUGAAAUCCCUUAAACUGCAGCUACUUGUGAAUUUUGCUACUGUUAAUGACGAUUGUUUGUUUGAUUUUUCCCCCGCUUUUGUUUGGCAUUUCAUCUGGCACAUUGAGAGAUAUGGAUUGCAUUUUACUAAUGUUCCUAGGAAGUUAAUCCAAGCUAGUUGCAUUGUAGUGCUCUUAAUUAGUGGAGUUUGAACUUUAAGCUUUUACAACUUUUUGUUUCUUGAAUUUGAUUUUGGCCCGUCGUAUUUACUGAAGCAAGCUCUUGAUGGCUCGGCAAUCUUUGUGGGAAAAUUGAAUCCAUGUGAGUAGAAGUGAAGAACGAAUAUGGUGAGCUAUGCCUUUUCUUGCAGUGGCUUGCUUCUUGUUAAUGCAGUUAUUUUUUAUUCUCUUCUUUUCUAUUUCUUUUUUUACCCUACUCGUUCUAGUGUUCUUUUCAAUAAUUUGGCAUAUUUUGAUUCCUCUUUUUUGUAGAAUUGUGUGUAGAGGCGCAACUUCGCUUCUGGUGAUUUUAUUUGCAUUUUGAUAUGUUUGUACAUAACGAUCUGCAUUAUCCAAUGGGUAUUUACUUGUUAUAUGCAUCAAGUAAAGCUACUAGAUCAGUGGCAAUAUAUCUGAAGUAUUCGUGGUUUUGAUGCCCGGUUGCAAUUCAACCAGUGUUCUUUGACUUUCAUGGUUCUUUAAGAUUGAGGAGGAUGGUUACUGAAAGAUUUUCCUUGUAAGAGCUCUUUCUGCCCUGAUACACUGCAACGGCACCAUGUUAACAAUGAAAAUGUAGGUAGGGAAAUGUUUUGCUUGUUUGCCCCCUGGAAGGGUGGGAGACAUUCUGCUUGUCCUUGCAGCUUGACUUGUUCAGCCUAUAUCGUGGCAGAAUCAACAUUCAUCUUUAUGCGCUUUCAGUUCCUCCCCAAGUUAUGCAGUUUCGUCUGUCAUUACAGGAUAUCCAGUCUGCUGGAGCUUAUCCACAUAGCAUACUUUCUUAUUCUUCCAAGAAAGUGUAUUCAGGACUAUAAUUUUAGUUAAGACUGAAGGGGUAAUAGCUGUCUGGAGCAUAAUUUCAGCCAGUAGUAUUAUUUCUGUUUGCAGUCAAUGUCUUGUAUUCUUUGAUUUGUCAUUCUUAUUAAACUGAUCAAGGGGGCCAAUGAAUACUAGAUUAACUGUUGUUAUAUCCACUAGUGACUAGACUGGAAAUUAUACUUUCUUAAUGAGCAUUGCAGUUGUGGUUCACUAGUUUCUCUAUUAAGAGUAGAUGGCCUGUAAUUGCCAUUGUUGAUAAUUGUGGAAAUGUGUUUAUGAAAGUGAUGAUCCUCAUGUUUGCUUGUCAUUUUGUAACUUGAAAGAAUAAUUAGUUUUGCAGUGGGACUCUGGUUUUUUGUUUGAAUAAUUAACCGAAAUGUCGAGUUGUCACCACCACAUGAUUCAAUGGGUGUUUUCCUCAUCUAUGUAUCUACUGUUAGUCCUGGCACUUCUUUUUCGUAGCUUAUCAUAGAUAUUGGCUGGCACAAAUCUAUGUCUUGAUAUCACAUCUAGUAUCAUGGGAUUGCUGUGCUUGCUAGUACUUUUUAACAAGCUCAAGUUUUGUAUGUAUUUCCUUGGUUUUUUUAGAUUGAUGAAGUGAAGAAUAUUUCCAAUUCGGAUUGGCAUUUUAGAUACUGUUCUGAAAAUAUGAUGAAUCUUGAUUUUCUAUAUUCUCUUAAUUAUCCAUAAUAUCCACUUGUCAGUAUCGCUGAAUAGCCUUUAUUUUCUUGCAGUUAAUGAUUUUUUAUUUUCACAUUUUCUGUUUAGUAUACAGGCACUUAUUGACCUUGUUUGCCUUUGUCUUUGUAUGAUGUCUAAAUGCUUCUCCCCCUUGAGUAAAUCAGAAGCAUAGAGAACCACCGAAAUUUCCUUGCUUAGAGCCAGAGGUAGACAGAAUCAGCAGCUUACCAGGGCAUGUUUUGGACCAGAUUUUAUCGCAGCUGUCAAUUAGAGAUGCAGUGAGAACAAGUGCUUUAUCAAGUAAAUGGAGGUAUAAAUGGGCUAAAAUUCCGCAGCUUGUGUUUGAUAGUAAUUGUGUCCCUAAUCCCUCACAAGAUCAAACUCUCAUAAAAAACAAGCUUGUCAACAUUGUUGAUCAUGUCCUCUUACUUCAUACUGGCCCGAUACACAAGUUCAAACUUUCUCACCGAGAUAUUCUAGGUGUUAGUGACAUUGAUAGAUGGAUUCUUCAUUUAUCAAGAAGCUCUAUCAAAGAAUUCAUACUUGAAAUAUGGAAGGGGCAGCGCUACAAAGUACCAUCUUCUUUGUUCUCUUGUGAACAUCUUAUUCAUUUGGAGCUAUUCAAUUGCUUGCUAAAACCUCCUUUAUCAUUCAAAGGAUUCCGGAAUUUAAAGAGCCUUGACCUUCAGCACAUUACCCUGACUCAGCAUGUAUUUGAAAAUCUAAUUCUUAGCUGCCCUCUGCUUGAGAGAUUGACAUUGAUGAACUUUGAUGGUUUCACUCACCUUAAUAUCAAUGCUACAAAUCUUCAAUUUUUCGACAUCGGAGGUGUUUAUGAUGAAGUCAGUUUUGAGAAUACCUUUCAGUUAACUCUCAUCUCCAUUGGCUUGUAUGUAAAUGUAAAAAAUGACCGAAAUGCGGUUCAUGGGAAUUCUAGUAAAUUGCUCAGGUUCUUUGCUAAUCUACCUCAUAUACGAAGGCUCGAGAUUCAGAGUUUAUUUCUAAAGGUAAUGGUUAUUCCAAUAUCAUUUCUUUUGCAUUUUGUAACCUUGAACUUUUAUGAAGUUUGUUGGGUUAUACAGGGUAGAUGAUAGACAAACACACGCACUCCCUCACCCCCUCAUCAGACGCAUAUAUAUGUUUAGCACUUAUUUUGAGAUUUUAUAUUUCUAUAUCAUAUCACCUACUUGCCUUUUUUCAACUUUCAGUAGAGUAUUCGAGGUUAUUCCAUAUGCAAUUUUGUCAUAUUUAUUUGAGAUUUAGAUUUAUACUGUUGGUCUACAUCUUUUCUUGCUUCAGUAUCUGGCUAUUGGCAACAUACCUAGCAGAUUGCCAAGACCAUGCAUUGAUCUGAAUUACCUUUCUAUACGCAUAAAUUUCAAUGAUAUGGAGGAAAAUUCUGCUGCCCUGUGUAUUUUAAGAAGUUCUCCUAAUGUGCAAGAACUGGAGAUGCUGGUAAGCUUCUUUCAUGUACUGUUAUGAACUUUCAGGUGGAUUGACAAUUUGACAUUAGCUUUUUAUUUUUUCCGAACAAUUUAUCUCCUGCGGUUCAUUUUUGUAGCUUUGUACUAAAUGGAUUAAGUUGCAACUUCCUGAUAUUCUAGACUUCAUGUAGGCACGCCCAGAGGAGCAGGCUUCUGUGGGAGCAAUAUCUAACUUUUGGGAGGAUGACCACUGGAACAGUCUAUUUGGCCAACUACGACUUGUGAAGAUAGUUGGUAUUAGUGGUGUGAAAUCUGAACUUGAUUUCAUUAACUUUCUGCUUUCAAACUCUCCUGUUCUUGAAAGAAUGACUGUUAGGCCAGCUACCAAUGAUGGAGGAUUUGAGUUGCUAAAAGAACUGCUGCGUUUCCGGCGAGCCUCAGUGAGAGCAGAAAUCAUUUAUCUUGAUCCGUAGGUAUUAUCUGAUUGCCUUGGCAACCUUGAAAAAUGCAUAACAUGUAAAAAAGUAAGCAAACUUCUUCUGAGUACAUUCAUAUUUUGCUUCAGACAAUUUGCCAUUUUGCAGUUGAUCAUGCGGGAACAUAUGAUUGAACUAACGGUCUUUUAUAAUGAAUGAUCCUUACUAGUAUUAACUAAAUGAAAUUUCUUUAGAUUGAUAGUUCGGCUUCUGUGUUUCUGUAACCAUUGACGUAUCAAGAUUUAUAAUAUAUGUGAACGAGCGGCCAGGAAAGAAAUAAGGAGAGUGGCUGCACUCAGAUGGAAGGGACUAUGCUGGAAGAAGUUAAUAUCAAGUAAGCCGUUAAGAUAAAUUAAUAAUUAUCCACUGAAUCCCUCGAAAACAUCCACAAAACAAAUUAUCCACCAUUUUUUUUUUGUAUAUUAUGACCAACGUUGUGUUUGGAUAGAGCAACUUAUUUCUAUGAUAGGACUCGAAAUAUAGUUAACUUGUUAUGUAUUAACCUGUUUAAAUUUGUUAUCAUCUGUUUAUUUAAUUAAGGUAAUAGGUUAACUUAUUUUAUUUUGAUCAUUUUAAAUCCAUUAUGCUUUAUUUAAUUUAUUGCUAAAUUUUUACNNNNNNNNNNNNNNNNNNNNNNNNNNNNNNNNNNNNNNNNNNNNNNNNNNNNNNNNNNNNNNNNNNNNNNNNNNNNNNNNNNNNNNNNNNNNNNNNNNNNNNNNNNNNNNNNNNNNNNNNNNNNNNNNNNNNNNNNNNNNNNNNNNNNNNNNNNNNNNNNNNNNNNNNNNNNNNNNNNNNNNNNNNNNNNNNNNNNNNNNNNNNNNNNNNNNNNNNNNNNNNNNNNNNNNNNNNNNNNNNNNNNNNNNNNNNNNNNNNNNNNNNNNNNNNNNNNNNNNNNNNNNNNNNNNNNNNNNNNNNNNNNNNNNNNNNNNNNNNNNNNNNNNNNNNNNNNNNNNNNNNNNNNNNNNNNNNNNNNNNNNNNNNNNNNNNNNNNNNNNNNNNNNNNNNNNNNNNNNNNNNNNNNNNNNNNNNNNNNNNNNNNNNNNNNNNNNNNNNNNNNNNNNNNNNNNNNNNNNNNNNNNNNNNNNNNNNNNNNNNNNNNNNNNNNNNNNNNNNNNNNNNNNNNNNNNNNNNNNNNNNNNNNNNNNNNNNNNNNNNNNNNNNNNNNNNNNNNNNNNNNNNNNNNNNNNNNNNNNNNNNNNNNNNNNNCAUAAAAAACUAUAGAAUACAUUUAUAUUUCAAAAAUUUUCUUCAGUUCGAGAAAAAAUGAAAUGAAAUGAAAUGAAGUAUGAAAAUUUUCUCCCUCAAAAUUUUCUUUAUUUUCUUCAGUAAACAUAAAACAAUGAAAAAAUAAAGUAUAAUUAUGAGAAUAUAUUUAUAUUUUAAAAUAUUUUUGGUGAAAUAAUCAGAGCUUAAAUUAGGAUUUAAUUGCCUAACCUAAUUUGAUCAAGUGGUUAAAAAUAUAUAUAAUUCAUCUAAAAUCAUAAAUUUAAAUAUUUUUUAAUAAAAUAAUUUAUUUUUUAUAAUUUUAAUUUAAAAAAUAAAAUAUAUUAAUAAAUUUACAUAAAAAAUCUUAAUAAAAUUUUCUAUGCUUAGAAAAUGACUUAUAUUUUAAAGAAAGAAAGUAGUUUCUUUUUAAAUAAUUUAAUUUUUUUAAUUAAUAAAAUAUUUUUAUUCAUUAAAAUUUUUAAAUAUACUAAAUAUUAGAAGAUAAAAAAUUUUUAUUUGAAAAAUAUUUUUAGUGAAAUAAUCAGAGCUUAAAUUAAGAUUUAAUUGUCUAACCUAAUUUGAUCAAGUGGUUAAAAAUAUAUAUAAUUCAUCUAAAAUCAUAAAUUUAAGUUUAUGUUCUCCUAUUUCCUAUUAAAAAAAUUAAAAUUUUAUUAAUGUAAUAGAUAAUUAUAAAAAAUUUUAUAUACUUUAAUUUUAUUAUAAUUUCAGGCCAUACUAAUUUUUUUUAUAAAUUUAACUCUAUUUUUUAAAAAAAAUUAAUAAUUUUAUUUUAAACUUUUAAAUUAUUAUUAUUUCUAUUCUAAAAUUUGUUAAUGUGCUGUAAUAACAGUAAUAAUAUAUCGAAUAUUAUUAAUUUUAUUUUAAAAUUUAUUGACAUGUUGUAAUGAUAGUUAUAUGUAUUAACCGGCGUAAUAAUUUUAUUAAUUUUGAAAUAUAAAAAUAAUGAUAGGAUAAUUUUAAAAAAUUUAAAAUUUAUUUAAUAAAAAGAAUAUUGCGACGGUCAGUUGCUUCCAGCUGCCUGCUUACGCCGCAAAUCCGUCCCACAUCGGAAAAUUGAAAGAAAAUUGAUUUGUAUAUAUAGCUAGCACAGAACUAUUAAAUAAUUUGGAUUAACUAUUUUGGAUCAAGUGGAAAGUGGGUCUAAAAGUUAUUUGGGCCAAUUCAGGCCCGGCUGUUUCAAAUACUAUAAAGUAUAAUUAUAAUAAAAUUAAAAUUAAAAUAUUUUUUCCAUUUAACUCAUAAAAAAUUUACAAAAUCUCUUGUUAUUUUAUGAUAGUGGGUUCUUCUUCCAGCAAAUUUCUAAGGCCACCCUUCAAGAAUGAUUGAUGUGCCUAAUUUCAAUGUCAAUCACUCAUUAUUAUUGUCGUUAUUUUGAAAAUAAAUGAGUUUCUUUAAGUAGAAUCAACAAUAAUAGCAUCCACUUCCAAGGAAAAACAACAAUAGAGGAAAGGAAAUCAGUGAAAUUAAUGCCUUGUUUGGAUGACAUGAAAGGAGAGGAAGGAAAAUAUUGUGUGGAACUAAAUAUUGACAAGACAUUUUCUUUUGUUUGGUUAAAAAGGAGAAAAUUCUUAGAGAAGGGAAAAUGUUGUUUAUUUUUUCCUAAAUAUUAUCUCAAAAUGAAAAAAUAAAAAAGAGUUGAAUGAAAAGUCCAAAAGUGCACAAUCAAAUAAAAAUUUAUAUAAAUAUCUUUUUUAUUUUUAUUUAUAUCAACCAUAUUUUAUUGUGAAUAAUUAAUAUAAUAAGACAGACAGUUACUUUUUUUUUUUCUUAUUCAUCUCUUUUCCAAAGAAGUGAAAAUAAAUUUAUUUUCUUUUUCAUCCUUUUAUAUUUUUUGCUUAUUUAAACAUAACAGAGAAAAUAAAAAAAUAAAAUAAAAUGUAAAUCUCUAUAUUUUUAUUUGGGAGUUAAAUAAGUUUAAUUUAAUUUUUUUAAAUAAAUUAUUAAAUUUUACUUUUAAGAUUAAAUAAGUCAUUUGUUAAAAAAAAAUUAAAUAAGUCAUCAUUUAAUAAAAUAUCAUUUUUUAAUUUAAAAAUUAUUUAUUAUUUAUAUAUUUUUUAGGUUAAUUAAAAAUACUAAAUUUUAAUAUUUUAAAUUAUAAAAAUAAUAUUAUACUGAAUUAAAAUUUAUUUGGUCUUAAAAAUAAAAGUUAAAAAUUUAUUUAGUUAAAAAAAUUAAAUUAAAUUUAUUUGACUCUUAAAUAAAAAUACAAGAAUUUAAUAGUAUUUAUUUUCAAAAAAUAUGAACGUGAGAUCCAUUUUCUAAUGGCAAAUAAAUAAAUAGAUCCACUCAUACGUUUUAUAUUAUUUUUUCUUGUGAAAAGAAAAAGCGAGAACAGAGAGAAACCAAAUGGUACUAACAGCAUCGGGCCUCUCCUCUGUUGAGUUGCUUGUGCUUGCCGUCGUCAGUCUGUACACAUCACCUUGUUUGUUUAGUUUUUAAAUAUCGUUAUCGUUGUUUUCAGUUGGAUGUCACAAUGAUCGAUUUUAGUGUCGGUUUGAUAGGUUUAUGACUUGUGUGCUUCUGAUGUGUGCGGUUCUCAUAGACUUCUCGAUCAUAGAGAGGUUUUUAUUUGAUUUGGUUCGACACUUUGAGAAUCGCACCACCACGUCCAGUGACCACACUCUUGUCGGUCUUGCUAUGGCUACGAGUUCUGUCGAACGACCUCUUUGUGUUUUGAUCAUCGUGGGUUGAAGACUUUUACUCCUCUGUUACUUUUAGUUUACAGAUAGUGUUGGCUUGGAUUUCUUUGCACAUGCUUCUUCGUUUUGGAUUCCAAUGAGCUACAUAUCGUCUUUUUCUCUUUUUAUUUGCGUUUGUCACUGUAGACAUGCAGUUGUUUGUUUGGCCUGAGUGAAUUUUUUCGGUGAGCAGACUUGUGAUUGUUUUAGUUUUUCAGAAACAUUCGGUGGCUGUGGUUUUGCUGCUUCCCUAACUUUUUUGAUGGCUCCUUUUUUGAAAUUGUAUUUUGAUUUUAAAUUGUUGAUUUGGUUGUUUGACAUCUUCAGCAUGUCUAGUAGACGAUGGUCUUUCUCUGAUUUGCUGUGUAGAGGUAAGGAAUGAGAGGGUAAAAGGAUAAAGCGGUGGGUUAUUUCAGCAUGAUCUCGAAAUGAGUUGGAUUCUAUUUAGGCAAAAGACCGGGAUUUGGGCUACUGUUUCUAAGCCAGUUUGGUUGGAUAUAGAUUGGCUUAUUUGACUUGGGUUCAAUCGUGUUAGGCUUGGGUGUUUCCUCUUCGGCCUUAGUUAUCCACUAAACUUUUAAUAAUAAAAUACUAUUUUGUAUUAAUAAAAGAAAAAAAAAAGAAAGAAAGAAUAAAUAGAUAAAUAAAUAAUAAAAAGAAAAAAGAAAACAGUCGGCCCGCUUAGAUUAGAAAAAAUAAUUAUAAAAAUUAUAAAAAUAUAUAAACGUAAACGUAUAAUAAUUAGUACAAUAAUUAAAUAUUAAACAAAUUUAACCAUCAUAUUUAUAAUAUCUUUGGCUUAAAAAUAUACAAUAAUAUUUAAUAUUAACAAUGAUUUUUUAAUAAUCGAUAUUUUCUUAUUAAAAAUUUAAAGUAUUAUUUUAAUUAUUUUUGAAAAAAAAUUAAUUUAAUCCUAAAUCAAAAGAUUUAAUAAUUGAAUAAAAAUUUAACUUUUGUCAUAAUUGGAUACUUUUUCCAAAAUUUAUAAGAAAAGUGAAAUCUCAGAAGCUAAUGAGAUAUAAUGAAACACAAGAACAUCAAAAUAAAAAUGAAAAUCACUGAGCUUAAGUUAGUUAAAUUGAUUAUAAUAUAAUUUUAAAAUUUAGUAAAAUCACAACUUAAUUCUUAUUUUUUAAUAAUAAAUAAUUUAAUUUUUUUAGUGUUAAAAAAUAUAUAUAUAUAAUUUUAAGCAGUUUUAGCCAAACCCUUAAAUAAUUUAAGUAUUUUUAAAUUAAUAUAUAAAUUAAUAAUUAAAAGUCGCUAAUUAAAUCAAACAAUUUCUAAAUUGUUAUGCUUUAACAGUAACUUUUUAACAAAAUAUAUUAAAUUUAAUUUCAUUAAAUCUAAUGAAUUAAAUAUAAAUCGCUUAUAAAGUAAAAUAAAAAAUUACUGAAUAAUAUAUUAAAAUAUUAAAUUUAAUUUUUUUUAAAUAUUAAAUUUAAAAUUUUUAAAAUUCAACUAAUGUAUUUAUUGUGGAACUACUCUUAUGAGUGGUAAUAUUCACAACAUCGUAGACUCUUUUCUUGCUGUCCUACAAAAGAUUCUGUUAUGCAGAAAAACACAAAAAUAGAAAUAAAAAUUAAAAAAAAAAAAAAAACAAAAACAAAAACAAAAGCCAAAAAACAAACAAAUACAAAACAAGAGUACCCAGUCAUCCGCUAUGCAUGAUACCUUUAAGUUUGUCUAGAGCGACGGCUCGGUACGAUGCUUUGCGGUCAAAAUUAGUAGUCCGCAAUAUUUAUUUAAAUUGGCAUUAUAUAAAUUAAUAAUAUAAAUAAAUAAAAUUUUAUAUAAAUUUAUUAUAUAUUUACAUUAUAAAUUUAAUUUAAAUAAAUAUUUUUAAUUAAUUAUAUAUCUAAUAUUUAAGCACGUUUUAUCUACUAGUGUAAAUAUAUAUUUGAUUAAUUAAAAUAUAUCAUACUAUUUUAAUCGUAAUAAAUUUUCUCUAAAAUUAUUAAUAUUAUUUUAUUAUAUUUUUUUAAAUAUAAAUUUAUAAAAUAAAAAAAAUACUGAAUGAAUUGAUAUGAUAAUCUUUUUAAAAUUAAUUAUAAAAAAAAUAGUGUAUUUAAAUAUAGAAAUUAUGGAUUCUUUAUAUAAUAUAUUGAGUGAAAUUUGAAUAUUAUUAAAGAUGGAUAAAAUAAUAAAGUUAUACUUAGAAUAUAAUAUUUAUAAUUAAUAAAAACAAAAUAUAUAUUUAUAAAUUUAAUUUUAACAUAAUUAUACUAAAUCAAUUAUAAUUUAAUUAGAAUUAUAUUUAGUAAUUUUUAUUUAAUUAAAUUAACAAAAAAUCAACUUUUAAUUUUUUUUAAAAUAAAAUUAUUAAAUAUAGUAAUAUAUUGAAACUAAAUUCAUAUUUAGUUAUAAUAAAUUAAUAUUAAUAAACUUUAAUUUAAAAAUUAAAAUUCAGCGAAAGGACAGGCAGCCUGGCUGUCCCCUUGAGCUUGUCGCUGAGUGCAGGAAAAUUCAAUUUAUUAUCUAAUUGAACUCUUCUCUGGAACAGCUCUUAUCGUACUUGUGUGGUUGUGGGUCCAACGGAAGGGUGGUGAGUGUUACGUCUGAAACUGACAAGCGACUAGAAAUACAAUCCAAACACAACUUGGCAACUCUAUAGGAUCAACGGCCAAUUAUUGAAGAAAAUAAUUAUUUCAAAUCAGAUUUAGAUCUAUAAUAUAGAUAUAUAAUAAAGUUUAUAUAAAAUAUUAUAUAUUUAAAUUAUAAAUUUAUAUAAAAAUUUCUCCGAUUAUUAAAAUAAUCACGGCAAAUCAACCUCCAUUUAUUUUCCUAAGUCGCUAGUAAAUUAAUUAACCACGGUAACUGCCUUUCAGAAAUCGACGCGCUUUAUUGUCACACCUACCCCUCCUAGUUGGCUAGGAUUAGGAACUACAUAGACUUGGCCGCCAAUCAAUUUCGGUCUCAUUUUGGAUGGAAACUAUCCAUACUAUAUUAUUUAUUUGAUUUUUAUACUAAAAAAAUUAAAGAAAAUCAAAUUAAAUAAUAUAAAUUUAUUUAAAAAUAUUUUGAAUUAUGCCGAUUCUAAUUGAAAAUCAAAUUCAGUGAUUUUGGAUGGGGGAUAUUGAUGUAAAUGGAGGAGUGGCGAAACGGAAUUGUAAGGAACUUUCUAAUAGCAUUUGUAGGUUUAGUUUGGUUUGAUUUUUCUUUUUAAUCUUUGAUAAGACUUUAUGUAGUCCCACUUUGUAAUUUGUGGACCAUCUAAAUGCAGUUUCCUUGCAGAUCAAAAAAAAAAAAAAAAAAAAAAAAAUUCAAAGAUCACCCUUUGCGUCAGCAUGAGCUUUCCAAAUCUCGUAGUUGCUCCCAUGUAAAUCGCGGACUUUUAUUUUUUCAAUUUACGUGAUUAUCUAGUAAAUUUACCUUAUUUUUGUGUUUAUCACAUUUUUAGAUAGAAAAAAGUUUUAAAUGAUCAGAUUGAUUAACUUAAAUUAAAUAGUGGCUGCAGGUGGAGACCAUAUCUGUUAUGUUGUAAAGAUUCAUAGCGGCAUACGAGGAGCUACAGCAAGCUAGCACUCAUUUAUGGCUAUAGAUGCUCCUCUUCUCGACGGCUAUGCCAAAAGUGAUCAUCAAGAAAACAAGUAUAUCAGCGUCGUUAGAGAUUUUAAUGAAGAGUCCAAGCGGCUAUGGAAGCUAGCAGGACCAGCGAUAUUCACUGCCAUUUGUCAGUACUCGCUGGGUGCACUCACUCAGACCUUUGCCGGUCUCGUGGGCGAGCUUGAGCUCGCUGCUGUUUCCGUUGAGAACUCGGUUAUUGCUGGCCUCGCCUUCGGUGUCAUGGUCAGUUCUUCUUCCCCUUGCUUCUUUUGUUUUUUCUGUUAAUAUCUACAAUGUUUUUGUUAGUAAAUAAGAUUAUGAGGUGUUUGGUUUGAUAAAAAAUUGCAUAAUAAUCAUAAAACUUAAGUUUGGAUUUUGAGUUUGAGUGCAGCUGGGAAUGGGCAGUGCAUUGGAGACGCUUUGCGGGCAAGCCUACGGUGCGGGGCAGCUGAGAAUGUUGGGUAUAUAUAUGCAGAGAUCAUGGGUGAUUCUGUUGACCACUGCCUGCUUAUUGGUUCCAAUUUAUGUUUGGUCUCCACCCAUUCUGGAACUCAUUGGACAGACUACUCAGAUAUCUACUGCUGCAGGUUUCUUUACUACUGUGUCCCUUUUCUUAUUAACUCUCUCUCUCUCUCAUUAAACAUCGUAUGCAUAAAUAAUUCUGGAAAAUUCCAUUAAUCCAAUUUUCAAUUCAAUAAAUAUAAUUAACCUCCUUUAAUAAAUUAAACAUUGUCAGAGCUAAAAUGAGAUGUCAUGAAAAUUUUUUCCCUUGAUAGUGGUCUAUGUCUUAAAAAAGAAUAAUAACAAAAAAAAAAAUAUAAGUUGGGUGGAAUCCCGUGGCUAGAAGUAACCUGCACGGCCUUGUGCAAUGAAGGCUGUGUGACAUGCUGGCGGGCCUUGUAACGUGCUGCUUUCUUCAGUUACGUCCAUUCCUCUUCCAACAGUAGACUACAUAAGUCAUGUAAACUAGGUGCAAAUGAAUUAAACUAUUCUUGAAUUAUUCAAAGUUUACUCAUCUUCUACAUCAGUUAAAUUCAAAUUUAAUUUUAAAUUAAUUUUGUAAACAAGUCGGAGUUUGAAUUUAUUAAACACACUAAAUUUAAUGUCUUAGGAGAAUUGAACUUAAUUUGGAAUUUAUAUAAAUUUUUAUGAGUCAAACUUAAACCUUUAAGUCAAUUCUACUCGAUUCGAUUACACUAUUAAAACUUGUAGAUAUUUAGUAUAUUAAAAUUUAAGAUCUUAUCUUUUACAGGUUUGUAUAUGUACUUAUUUAAUCAAAAUUAUUUAGUUUUAAAUUUAUUAAGUUUAAAUUAAAACUUAUUAUAGUUGUAAACAAAAUUGAAUGAAUUAUUGGAGAUUAGACUUGAUGAUAACUCCACUUGUCUUAAUUUAUUUACUAAAUAAACUAAAUUUAAACUUUGGACGCUUGUUAUUUGUUCAAUAGGAUUUGAUUGUACCAUAUACAAUGAGUUUUUGAGAAUACAUUUAACUAGGGCAUUUGUUGCAGGCAAAUUUGCUCUAUGGAUGCUUCCGCAAUUAUUCGCAUAUGCAAUGAAUUUUCCAAUACAGAAGUUUUUGCAAUCACAGAGGAAAGUGUUUGUAAUGGCUUGGAUAUCCGCUGUGGUACUGCUGUUGCAUGCAUUUUUCAGCUGGUUGCUAAUACUGAAGCUUGGCUGGGGCUUAACAGGAGCAGCAAUCACCCUCAACACUUCUUGGUGGAUCAUAGUUAUUGCCCAAUUGCUGUACAUUUUCAUUACCAAGUCUGAUGGGGCUUGGUCUGGAUUCUCAUGGCUUGCAUUUUCAGACUUGUGGGGUUUUGUCAAGCUUUCUUUGGCAUCUGCUGUUAUGUUAUGGUAAAUUUUACUUUCUCCUCUUUAAUUCGUCGCUAUAAAUUUGCGUCAUGCAUUGAUGAUAAGCAAUAUUGACUUGCAGCUUGGAGUUUUGGUACUUGAUGGUACUGGUGGUGAUAACUGGUCGUUUGCCUAAUCCCCUUGUACCAGUUGAUGCCAUUUCUAUAUGGUAAGGUCUCUUAGUCCAUUGUCAUUAUACAGUCAUAUGCUCAAUGGUAAGGUCUCUAGCUGUACAUAUAGAGAAUGCUUAAUUAAAUCAAUUUCUACUUGUUUUGCAGCAUGAACAUACAGGGAUGGAAUGCAAUGAUCGCAAUCGGUUUCAACGCUGCCAUAAGGUAAAUUUCUCGGUUCUUUCAUUUAUUAACAGAGCUUGUACAAUUAAGGGUAUAGGCUUGCACUUAUACGAGAAUAAGUUUAAUGGCUGUUAGAUCAAAUAUCUGCAUUAUAGUCGAGUUUAUAUUAAAUACACUCUAGAAGUAAAUCCUGAAGCAAGAAGUUGUAACAUCACCAGCAAGAAAUGGUGAUGUAUCAUGAAUAACGCACCCAUUAUUUUUUCCUGACAGUGUGAGAGUAUCAAAUGAACUUGGAGCUGGGAAUGCUCGGCUUGCAAAAUACUCAGUGAUAGUUGUUUCAGUGACAUCCAUCGCAAUAGGGGUUAUUUGCAUGGCUGUGGUUUUUGCAACAAGAGACUAUUUCCCCUACCUCUUCACUACGAGCGAGGCCGUUGCUAAAGAAACUACUAGACUUUCAAUCUUGCUAGGAAUUACCGUGCUUCUGAACAGCCUUCAGCCUGUCUUAUCUGGUAAGUGCUGAAGGACCUUAGUCCUUAGACAUUUGAUAGGCGAUCUAAUUUCAGAGUUUUUUGAGUGAAUAUUGAGUUUCUCCUGUUUGUUAAAUUUCCUCUAUGGAUUUUGUUUAAGGUGUUGCUGUUGGAGCUGGAUGGCAAUCUCUUGUUGCAUAUAUCAACAUUGGUUGUUACUACAUUGUUGGAUUACCGGCAGGCAUACUCUUAGGAUUCACAUUUAGUUUUGGUGUCAUGGUAAUUAAACUACCAGAAUCUAUCUCCUUUCUACUUCUUGAUUGUCCUCUGCAACUAACAUUUGCUUAUGUCUCUUCUGAGAAAUCUGAAUGCAAAUGGAUAUUUUAAUUUUUGUGUUGCAGGGUAUUUGGUCAGGGAUGGCAGGAGGAAUUCUGUUGCAGACCAUAAUACUGAUUAUAGUCACUUCAAUAACCAACUGGCAAAAAGAAGUCAGAACCUCUGCUCUUUCUUUGUUUCUCAUGAAAUUGCCUCGAAUUUUAGUUGUUUACUUUAUCAGCAAAUGUUGAUCGUCAAUUUAUUGGAUUCGCAGGCUGAAGAAGCUGAAAGCCGUGUUAGGAAAUGGGGAGGAUCAAUUGCAGAGGAUCGAUCUGAAUGGUGAGAAGUGUUCCAAGCAUAGAAGAAUGACACCGUUGCUUUUGCAGUGCAGAGACAGACAGCGAGACAUAAUCAUCUGAGACAUGUUAGGCCUGAGAAGUGAUUGUAGCAAAUGUCUUCUUUCCUACAAUGUGAACUAAUUCAUUUAUGAAAAAUGAAAGAUAAAAAUAAAAAAUUCACCUUUUGAGCUAUAUGGUAAAGGUAAAAAUAUUAAAUUUUAUUUUUAAAUUUAAAUUUACCAUAAAUUAUCUUUUAAAAGUCAAAGAAAAUCAAAUAGAUUAAUUAGAGUGGAAUUUUACAAUCUAAAAUUUUGUUAUGGUUUUAUUUAGUUUUUUAAUAAUAACUUAAAAAUAAAUUUAAAGUAAAAAAUAAAAUUUAAUAUUUUUGCUACAUUUUUUUUUUUGAAAUGGAAUUUUUGCUACAUUAUAUAAUUCAAUGAUAAAUUUAAUAUUUUAACUAAAAAUACAAAGAAGUGGAUGUUAAUUUUAUUUAACCUCGAAUAAAGUAAUUACUUUUUUUAAGUUAAUUCCAUGUGAGAAUUACUUAACUUAAACGGCGUCGUCUGCUACCAUCCCACUAUGCAGAUUGAACAGAAAAUAUAAAUGGGCAUUAUCGUCAAUUUGCUUAACAUUAUCCCCUUCGACCGGUUUCGCCUGCUCAAAUACUUCCUCAGCUAGCUCACGGCAGUACACCACAACUGUCACCAGUGUCCCUCGCUGAAGCUCCAUACUCAAAUCAAAAUGUCAAUCUCAAUCUCCUCACUCACCUCUUCAUUAUCUUCGCUUUCUUUCUCUUCUCAGAUUUCGCAAAAACCAAACACCCUCUCAUUUUCCCGUUCAAAAUCCCUUCCUCUCUCGCUCUCUUCCAAACCUGCUCGUCUUCUUGUCUCCGCCACGGUUGCUUCGCCCGUGGAAUCCGAGGCUACCGAUCUUAAGAAGUUAGUUAAGUCGAGGCUACCCGGUGGAUUCGCUGCCCAACCUAUCUUCGGCACUGGUCGCCGUAAAUGCGCCAUUGCUCGAGUCGUUCUUCAAGAAGGCACAGGCAACAUUAUCAUCAAUUACCGCGAUGCCAAGGUCUUUCCUCUUUCCCUCUUUCACUAUGUGACUGCUGAAGGUUAUGGUUUUUCACCCCUGCUUGUGUGGAUCGUCGAGGUUUAGUUGUUUGAUAGAUGAAAAUUUAGGGAUGUUUAAACAAAUUCAGGGCAUAAUUCGAUUGGAUUAAUUAAUUUAUAUGUGUUAUAUAUUGCUUGAGACUAAGGACAUAGAGAAGAAUUGAAAUUUGCUAACUGAAAAUUUGUGGAUUGAGACUUGAAGACUGAAAGGAACAAUGGCAAAGGUUCACAAGUUUUGAGUGUUUUUAGAAUGGCAUGUAUUCUGUUAUUAUCAGAUAUAUAGAACUGUGUUUUUAUGAAUUCUUUUAAGCGCAUGAUAUGAAUUUUCUAGCUCAGAUUUUGAAUGCUUAACUUCUAAAAAUUGCCGGUGAACCACUCGUCUUCAAUUUAGAGAUGCUAUUCAGCCAUCCAUGCAUAAGGACCUUUUGUUAAAGCAACGUACUUUUCACUUCUGGAAUACUGAUUAUUCCAACAUAUAAAGCAUUAUGUUCCUCAUGCUGUUUGAAAUUAUUGCUCUGCACUAACCAGGCCAACCUCAUACGAAACAAGUUCCUCUGUUUUAUUUUGUUAUGGAAUUCAUGUCCUUGCAGGCUUUUAUGUUCAGAAAUUUUGCAUGAAUUUUUAUAUGGUAUCUCAUGAUAUGUUUGUUGUCAUACUCAAAGAGCCGGGGAACAAAAUGGCUAACCUUACUGAUAGUUUUGUAAGAUAGAAAUUCUCUCUUUUAUCUUGUGUGUGGGUCUGUUUUUUUUCUUUUGGGAUCUUUUGCCUAGUCAUUUACUAUAUUUUGCACGUACAUUCUAUUACACGCCUAGUGGCAACUUGUUAAUUUAUAAAAAAAAUUGAUAUUAAUAACUUGAGACAAUUUUUAGGCUAUGUAGUUCCAUGUUUUAUUGUUAAUAAUGCAUGAUUCCUUCCCAGUUAUUGUAGCCUUGUUUGAAUAACUUCCAACUGCUUGUGUCAAAUUUUCUUCAUCUAUUUACAUGCUGUCUUUCCAUGAGUAACUUGUGCAUGGAACAAUAAUAUCAUCACUUUUCCAUUUGCUUUCCUCUGGGUUGCUUUUCAACUUCCUUGCAAAGGAUGAGCGCCUGUUAUGGGCUUAGGCCUUUACCAUAGAGAAAGAACCACUUAUAUAUGCUCUUAAAUAUGGUUUUUAAUUCACUUAAGAGUGAUGCCUAGAAAUCAUUCUAGGAAGUGUCUUUUGAUGAAUACAGUGGAUGCCUAAGUUCUCAAUUCUUACAUAGAAGGGGUGGCAUGCUUUUUCAUGGGUAUCUUUUGUGGUAUGAUCAUGGCUCUUGGGUUCUUGUUAUUAUGGAGCUAUGCUCUCCCUCUCUCUCUCAAUUUCUCUCCCUCUCCACAUGUUUAUUCCUUGUGACUGGGUUUUGUAACGCUGUGCAGGAAUAUCUUCAAGGUAACCCUUUAUGGCUUCAAUACAUAAAAGUCCCAUUGUUAACUCUGGGUUAUGAGAGCAGCUACGAUGUAUUUGUCAAAGCUCAUGGGGGUGGCCUCUCUGGUCAGGCGCAAGCAAUCUCCCUUGGCAUCGCCCGUGCAUUGCUAAAGGUGAGUGAGAGCCAUAGACCCCCUUUGAAAAAGGAAGGGCUACUGACCAGGGAUUCAAGAGUAGUUGAGAGGAAGAAGGUUGGUCUGAAGAAAGCUCGCAAGGCCCCACAGUUCUCCAAGCGUUGAAGUUUAAUGUUAUUGUUUUACACGUUUAAUUAGCAGCUUUUGUUUGUGUAGAUCUCUAUCGCGCUGUAUUUAAGCAAAUAUUAUUUUACUUUAGCAAUUCAUUGAUGAAGUGAGAUUUGCAUUGCAAAACAGAAAAUUUUUAUGAGAAAUUCUCAUUCUUUUAAAUAGAAUAUGUAAUAAUUUUAAGUAGAAUCACAAGAAUCCACUACUCUCUCCUUAGUAGGAUUGUAUAAUCGAAAUUGAAUUGAAUCAAGCUAGAGCUCACUUUUCUUUUUCUUUAAUUUCAUUAUUAUUAUUAUUAUAAAUUUCAUAAAUUACAUAGUGUAUUACAUAAAAGCCUAUAAAAUCAAUAAAUAAAUAGGGAAAUGGAUGGGUUCCCUUUUUAUAAACUUUUUGAUAAAGAUAAUUAAACUCAAUAGAAAACUCUCAAUUUUCUAAAAAAUAACCGAAUUCCAACGAUGCAAUUUUAUUUUAUAGUUAAAAAUAUAACAUAAAUAAAGUUACUUGUGAUGCAAUAAAAAAAAUUCAAGUCUUUUUCUCUUGCCAUAAAAAACAUUUACCUAUGAGCACUAUUUUUUCAUCUUUUGUGGUUUAGACUUUAUUCAACAUAUUUAGUCUUUAGGUUAAGUCAAAAAUUAAUUUUUAUUAUUUAUUGUUUGAUAAGUAAUUUUUUGUACUAGUAUUUAAUGAUUAAACUAAUAAAUAUUGAAAAGCUACUCUUCUUAAUAUUUAGUGUUUGAUGAUCUCUAAUUAUAUUUUUUUAUACUUAUAUUCUUUUAUAUUUUAUAAAUUUACAAGUUCAAACUUUAAUAUAUAAAAUAUAUGUUGAUAGAUGGAUCAAAUAUAUGGAAAUGCUCAUAACACUUGCUAUCUUGUAUUUUUUUGUUUAUAAUAUAAACAAGAAGAUGUUUUUUUAAGUAAUGUUUUACUAUUAAGCUUCCAUUUCUUUUUGAAAAAUAGAACGAAAAUUAAUUUGUAUUUAGAAAAUAUUUUUUAUAAAAUUUUUAAAAAAUUAUUUUAUUUUUUAUUAUUUAAUUUUAAUUUAAAAAAUAAAAUAUAUUAAUAAAUUUAUAUAUACAUAUUAAUAAGAUUACUAAAAUGUAAAAAAUAAUUUUUUUAAAAAAAAAUUUCUUAAAAUAAUUUAAUUUUUCUUUUAAUUAACAAAUAUUUUUUAUUAACUAAAAUUUUAAAAUAUUUAAAUAUUAAAAAAUAUAAAAUAUUUUUUAUAAAACAAAUGAAAUAUAAAUUAAAUAAAAAUUUAAUAAACUUUAAACUAGGUGAGUUGUAUGGAGACAUGGUAGCAGUGUUAUUUAUGGGCAUGUUGGAUGAUAAUUUUUAAGAUAAUGUUUAAUAUUUUGAGGGAGGUAAAAUACAUGAAUCAUAAAAAGUUAGCAUUUUAAUUUUUGAUAAUUACUGCUAAUGGUGUUAAAACAGUUAGCAGUAUUGUGGGAAUGAGGAGACUUUUCCUCUAUGAGCUGCCCCAUGUACUGUUGUACACUCUCAAACUGAGUAGUGCGCACAACAUUCAUCUUCUUUCAUGAUUACCAUUUGGAUUGGGCUUAUAAAUGAUAAAAAAAAUCUUCACUUUUAAUUCCAUUACAAGUACAUUCUAUAUUUUUUUAAUUAAAAUUUAAUUUUUUAAAAUUAUUUUAAUUAUAUCAUAUUAUUAAAAAAUUAAAAAAUUAUCAUAUUACUUAUCACACAAUAUUAUAUUAUUGCGUACAAAUAAUUUUUUAUACUUUAUCAUUCUAUUUUAUACUUUUAUCUUUUAUAUUAAUAAUUGUUUUAAUAUCCGACUAAAUGUAUUAUAUUAUUAUUUAUAUGAUUAAAAUUUUAUAAAAUUAUAAAAUUAUUUUUUUAAUAUUUAAUAUAUUUAAAAAUUAUUUUUUAAUUUUUUAAUUUUUAUUAAUAAUUUUAUAAUAAUAAUUUAUUUUAAUCUUGACUAAAAUUAUUAUGAAUUGAUUUUUUUAAAAUUUAUCUAAUAUACUUACUAUUUAACAUUAUUUUUAAAAUUAUUAUUGAAAAAAUAAAUUUAUUAAAAAUAUUAAUUAUAAAAUAUUAAAAAAAUAAUUUUUUAAAAUUUAUUUAAUAUAUUAAUUAUUUAACAUUAAUUUUAAAAUUAUUGUUAAGAAAAUAAUCUUAUUAAAUAUAUUAAUUAUGAAAUAUUAAAAAUAAUUUAAAAUAAUAUUUAACAUAAUUUAAUUUAAAAAUAUUAAAACUAAUAAAAUAAUUUUUUAAAAUAUAUUUUUUAAUUAUUUUUUUAACUCUCAAAUAUACUAUUAAUUCGUUAUUUUUUUAAAUUAUACUAAUAUUUAAAAUGAAUUUUUAAAAAAUUAAUAAUAUAUAGAUUAAAUAUUUAAUUUUAUAUUCAAAUUUAUUAAAUAAUUAAAAAUAUAUAAUUUAUUUAAAAUUAUAAAUUUAGUUUUCAUUUUUUAAAAAAAAAUAUUAAUAAAAUAAAUAAUUAAAAAAUCCUUAUACUUUUAAUUUUAUUAUUAUUUUAUUUUAAAAUUUUAAAUUAUGAUUAAUUUUAUUUUAAAAUUUAUUAAUAUGAUAUUGACGAUGAAAAUUUUAUUAAUUUUUAAUAAUACAAGCCAGCAUAUAAUUAUAAUAAUUUUAAAAAAUUAAAUUUUAAUUAAAAUUAUAAAAUAUAAUUAUAAUAAAUUAAAAAUACAUACUUUCUUUCGCCAUUAAUUUAUAUAUAUAAUUUUAAUGCGACGGUUACCAUUUUAAUGAGAUGAUAACAUAUUAUAAUUUGCCCAUUUCAAAAAAACAUAUUAUAAUUUGCGAUUAAAAUUUAAUCAUAUUUAGUAUAGUACCUAAAUACAUUAAUAAAUUAAAAAUUAAUUUUAUAAUUAAUUUUUUUUGACAAUAAUUAAAAUUUAUUUUUCUUCAAAUAAUAAAAUUUUAAAAAUAUAAUACCCUCUUAUAUAAAAAAAAUUAAUAUAUUAAUUUUAAUAAACUUAUAACAACCUAUAAAUGUAUAAUAUAGUUAUACAUAUAUAUAUGAAAAAAUACAUUAACAUUUUAAUUCAAAAAUGAAAAAAACUUAUAAAAUGUAAUAGAAAUGAAUUUUAAUUAUAAUUAUUAUCAUGCAAUUAAAUUUAUAAAAUUAAAAUUAAUUUUUUUAAAAUUAAACAAAUAAAAUAUAAAAUUUUACAAGGAAGGUUCAAUGAGACUCUUUUAAUCAAAAGGUAAUAUUAGAGAUCAUUCUUUUCAGGCUGUUAACGUCCUUGCUGCAUCCGUCCGGUGCUCGUUGCUGCCUCCGCUGGUUCUAUUUGCGUCCGAGAAGUCCUACAUCAGGAAACUGCGGUUAUCACUCACGAUAGGAGCAUUGGAGCUAUAAUCUGACCACCACCUUUCAGCAACUCAGUGGCAGCAGUGUGAUUACAGAUUAAUGCUUCCUCCAAACCCUAAUGUCCCAAAAUUGCAAUUUUGAAUUUAUCAUUUCUAUAGAUAUUUAGUCACUUCAAUAUUUUUUAUAAAUAUAAUUUUCUAUGUCGGCCUCUAUAUUCAACAACAGCAGCAUUUCGAUCUCCGUCUCAGAUGAGGAGUCGGAUGAACUCAGCCGGAUACGGGAACGAGUCCGCAGAAAGCGCAAGAAACAGCAGGUUCACCGAGUUAAGCACGAGUUCUCUCAGCGUGUUCUAAGGUUCCUCUUGAAAUAUUGGAUGGUUUUGAUUUUCCUUCCCGCUGCUGGGUUACUCGUGUUUGAAGCCUCGAGAAUUGGUAAAAGGCCAAGUUUGGAUGUGGAAUUGGAACAUGGCGAAAAGAAGACAACUGAUUUGAAAAUUAACCAGACUGUUAGUGAAUCAAAGAAGAAAAUACAAGAGAAUUUGGAUCGGCUUGAUCCACCACGUAAGUGAUUAUUGAAUAGUUUUUUUUUUUUUUUUAUCUAAUUAGGUUUAUAAUUUUCCAAACUUCAUCAACUUUCCCAUGAAGAUGUUUGCUUUUACAUUAUUGCAAUAAAUAGUUAACAUUUAUAUAGUCUCUGUUUAAGGGAACAGUCACUGGAUUUGCAAAUAUGAUAUGCAGAUAAUGAUUGCUGUAUUUGGUGGUGUUUGGUGAAAUUUGUUGAUGUUUCCUCUAAAAAAAAUGCCUAUUGAUGUUUUCACUGGUGAGAAUACUUGUCGUAGUCUUAUGAUGGUGAGUGUCUGAAAGAGAGAAAUAAAGGUAUUAUAUCACCUGAAACUCAAUGGUGCUAUUGGUUGUGGCAUUUGGGCUUUUGGAAUAAGCAGGUAAUUAUUAAAAUUUAGAAUCAGGUCAUUAAAACCCAUUACAUUUGUGGAUGGUUUCAGGUUGCUUGAAGCUACUACCUCCUACAGAACUUCAACAUCUGGAAAUUCCCAUGCAUGAUGAAUCUAGUCCUGUUAAAAAUGUGGUAUACAUAUCAGAGAAAGACACACAACAUGGAGGGAAUACUACCCUCCCUCAGCUGCGCACAGUGGGUACACGAUUUAAUUUAUUUACUGGAGACCAAACACUUGAGAAGAGAGAGAAAAGUUUUAAGGUUAUAAGCCACAUCUUCACAUCAUCAGACAUUUUCUAAACUGAUGUUAGGAUCACAACUUUGAUUCUCUGACAUUAAACUUUUUUAUAAGCCCUUGUUCGUUUCUGCUCAUACUCUGGUAAUUAUGGCUUUCAGGUGAGUGAAACACCGCAAAUACAUUGUGGUUUUUACGGUGAAAAUGGAGGGUUUAAGAUUUCUGAUGAGGACAAAAUUUACAUGCAAACCUGCAAAGUUGUGGUGUCUACUUGUGCAUUUGGUGGUGGAGAUGACCUUUAUCAACCUAUCGGAAUGGUAGACACAUCGCUACAAAAGGUUAGCUUCAGGUUGUUGAAACCUCAUUUUGUUGCUUAGACAUCAACAAGCUCUAUGCAUAUUUUGACUACAUUGUUGCAGGUGUGCUAUGUUGCAUUCUGGGAUGAAAUUACUUCAGCAGCGCAAGAAUUAAAGGGGCACAGAAUUGGUGAAGACCAUUUUAUUGGGAAAUGGCGCAUUGUGGUUGUAAGGGAUCUUCCUUUUAUAGACCAAAGGUUAAAUGGUAAAAUCCCAAAGGUACCAAAGUUAAUUAUUUUUUAUAUGAUGUUGGAGAAAAUACAUAGAUAUGUACGUGUAUGAAUGCAUGUGAUUCUUUCAUGUUGACUUCAUCUGUCUAUUUCAUGUCUCAAACAGAUUUUGGGUUAUUCCUUGCAGACUUUGUUUUCCUUUGAAUAUAUAAGUUUAUGCAGUCAAUUUAGUGUUUAAUCCACUUGCACUUGGGGAAUUUUGAAAAAAAAAAAAACUACAUACUAAUUGCUCCUCAUAUUCUUGCAGUUUACAUAAAAUUACUAGUCCUCAAAAUUAGUAACUUGGAAAUUCUUUUCUACUAUUAGAAUUUGAAAAAGAAUUUUAUUCACAUUUGUUAAUUUUGUGAAUUUUAUCAAUUAUUAUUUGCAAUUUCUUGAGAAAGCACAUGUAGAAAUAUGGUAGAAUUUUUGCCAUUUCAGAUCUAUGGAUCCACAUAGACAGAAGAUAUUGAGCUUAGUGGGAGGAAACAAAUAUGAAAUUACGUUUGUUUGGUAGUGUUUUCCCUUGUCUGCAUUUUGAUAAACUUUUUUCACAUGGACACUUUUUUUUUGUUCAUAUGCUGAGUUAACUUGAGGUAUCAAAUUAUUAAUAAUGAUGUAUGCAUGUUGCUGCAUUCCUGUACGUUGAUUUCUCCAACUAGGUAGAGUUUCCUUUUUCUUUUACCAAAUGGUUAUCACCAUUGUAUAGGAAUCCACAAGAAAAAUAAAACAAGCAUUGGAAAAAAGUUAGUGCUAUGUUUAGUAGCAAAUGUAGCCAAGAGUGUGGUCUGGAUCAGUAUCAUUAUCCUGUACCGACUGCUGCUUGAGUAGGCCUAUGUGUUUUUAACAUGGUUUAGCUAUUACAGUUCAAAUUUCAUACUGAUCCUUAUGUUCAUCAAUGUCAUACACGGUCCUUGGGUUAUUCCUCUAAGAUGGCAUCAUGUAAUCUGCUCUCCUUUAUGCUGUGUCAAUUCAUGCUUGUAAAUUUCCAUAUUGGGAUAUGGUGCUGUUUGAAUGAUUUUGUGGGGAUUUAUAUUCACUCCUGCUGCAAUCAGAUGUUGGGGCAUCGUCUCUUUCCUCAUGCCAAGUUCUCUAUUUGGGUAGACUCAAAAUCCCAAUUUAGGAGGGACCCCCUUGGUGUUCUAGAAGCCCUUCUUUGGCGUACCAAUUCUGUAUUAGCGAUUUCACAACAUGGAGCUCGCAGCAAUGUGUAUGAGGAGGCUACAGCUGUUGUGAAGAAACACAAAGCCAGCCCAGAAGAAGUUGAGGUGCAGUUGACUCAAUAUCGGCAGGAUGGCUUGCCUGAAGACAAGAGAUUUAAUGGAAGGAAGGGUAAUUGUUCUUUAGUUUUAACAUUAAAACAAAAGCACAUUGUGCCUAUCUUUAUGAUCUAAUGUUAGUAAGAAAUUUUUUACUGCAGCUUUAAAUGAAGCUUCAGUCAUCGUGAGGAAGCAUACGCCAUUGACAAAUCUAUUUAUGUGCCUUUGGUUCAAUGAAGUGGUUCGCUUCACUUCUCGGGAUCAGUUGAGCUUCCCUUAUGUAUUAUGGCGGUUGAAAUUGUUAAAGGACAUCAAUGUGUUCCCUGUUUGCGUCCGAAAAGAUCUAGUUAAUAGCAUGGGCCACAUAAGCAAGGCUAAGCCAUUGAUAAAUUGAUGGUAUGGUACUGCAGUCCAGUUCCACGGUUGGUGAUUGCAUUUCAUUGUGACUGGCUAUCAGGCGUAUCAUUUGUACACAAUUUGAUUGAAGUUAAAAGUGUUGGAGGAAUUGGUCAGAAUGAUAUUUUUAGCUGGUUCCUGCUUGUUGCUUGAUCAACUCUCCUUGUAUUGUUAUGGUCAUCAUUUAAAUGGCUUGAGUGGAUUUUGUAUUUAUCUUCAUAUUCCAGUUAUAGAAAAGGAAUGAAUCAAUUUACUUAUUUUUUUGGAAGUUUUGCUUCUUCAUUUACUUUUCCUUUGUGGGGAAAAUAUUGUGUUCUCUUCUUGGCCAAUUGAAUUAAAAUUAGCAGUUUCUUUCCUUGUAGCUUGUCGUGGCGUUGGACUUUGAAUGGUUUGGAUGGUUAAAGACUUAAAGCUAAGGAAAAGCAAAAUCUGAUAAUGUAUAAAUGAUAUUUAAGUAUUAGUUAUUUCACAUAAUAUUACAUGUACAUGUACCACAUUUCAUUCUCUAACAUGUUAUAGGUGCUUGGAUUUUUGAUACAAACUAUGAAAGAAUAGAUCCUAGCCAUUAAUUUUGAUUAAAGUUAUCCCCUCACACGUCGCUUACAAAUCAAGUUGGCAUGAACAGGAGUCUUUGCUUGUUUUGUUUUAAGAUGUGUUUGAUACAAUGAUAUCCUGCCCAUUAUAUGGUGUUACUCGAAGAUGCACUUUUUUGUGUCUCCAGGUUCCCUUAAGAUGAGCUAUAUAGAGAAGUUGCUCUUAUGAAGGGAGUACUCAUCGUCCUCUGCUCGUUAUUAUGUUGGGGUCUUUUCGGUGUAAGCUUCUUUUUGUCUGUUUUUAUUGGUCCAUAGAUGUUUAAGUGUGGUACAGUAAUUUUUCAGAAUAGACCUUUUAUACUCCAAUUCUUCAUUUUCCAAUAUUGUAUUUAUAUGGACGGCACGAUAUUUCAUGAAAUACAAUAUAAAAUAUAUCUGAUUUAUAUUUAUGCACUUAAAUGAUAUAUUUGUGUAUAAUUUUUUUUUUUCGCUAGAUGAAAAGUAUAUAUUUAAAAAAAAAAUAUUUAGUUAUUAAAACCUAUUAUAACUGAAGUUGAAUUAAAACCUAUUAUAUAUAUUAAUUUUUAAAUCAAAUUUGAUUAUACAUGAUUCAAAUUCGUCACAAUAGAUUUUUUUUUUUAGUGUGAAAAUAGAGUAGACUGUAAUAGUUGUUUUCUCCCUUCAACUUAUUCCAAGAAUCCAUUUCAUCCAGGAAUUGGAGAACCAAGUCAUUCAUCCAAAAUCAGAUCCGAAACUCAUGUCUCGGCACGAUACCAAAUCUAUCCUUGCUGACUUGCCAUUGGGAUAUAAAAAAAUAAAAGAAAAUAAAAAAAGAGAAGAACAAAAAGAUGGGAAGGGGUAAACAAUGACAAAAGAGGAUGUAAUUAUUCAAGCGAUUUUCAAGUUCUGUAACUAGUGAGGGCUUUACAGUCAUUUUUGUAACAAACUAACAGUAAAAUUGACCCUAUUUUAAUAGAAUGGCUAAUUUGUUAAAUGGAAUAAAGUUAGAAGCCUAAUUGUUACUUAAACUUAAAAUAUGCACUAAUAUGUGAGUUUAACUAAAACUUAAAAACUUAUUUGUAGAUUACCUUUAUUUUUAAUAACUUAGCAUUUGAUUGUUUUACAUCCCAAAAAAAAGAGUGUGUUUCUGCUAUGAAAGAAAUUAUUAAUGCUCUUAAAAUACCCCUAAUGUGAGCUGUGGUUGAUUUUGAGGACUGGUACUUGUUGUUGGGUUUGCUCAGGAUUCCAUCAAUGUAGUGGACAAUUGAAUUUAUGGAGAGUGAGAUAUUGGAAUUUUUUUGAAUUCGUUUGUUGUUGGGUUCUUUCUAUGAAUUCCCAUUGUUAAAGAACAUGUGCACAGGCUUGUUCUGGAAUUCUUUUGUGCUUUAGUCAUUUGCUUGAUUUUCAGAUUUGUUGUACUUCAGAAUAAGUAUUUGGAUGAAAUUCAGAUUAUUUUGAGGAUUGAUGAUUUGCUUGAUACUCAAAGAUUAAGAAUCUAAAGCUAACAACUGUGUAUGGGCUAUUAGCCUUUGUAAUAUGACAAUAAAGAUUGUUAAGAAGUCAUAGCUUAUCAAUUGAAAGUUAUUUUUGGAGAUCUGAUAGAUGAGUAGCAAAGUGCAUUUGUUCUUAGCUUUUUAAUUAAUGUCUUGGUGGCUUUUGAGGUUUUCCGUUAUAUGAAAACUAGAGGUCCUUUUAGUCGUCGUUUAAUUGGAUAUGAUCGGUUUAUAAUAUGAUUGAAUAGUCAUUUCUGAAAUUUACCAUAUUAAAGUUAGAUUUUUCAGCGAUUUAGAAAAUAUUAAGUAUGACUGAUAUCCGAACUGUAUCUUAUUCUAUAUUUAUUAAUAGUGCUUUAGUGGCUUCUAUCAUUCUGGUUAGAGGUAUUGAUAGGUGGCCAAUAUUUCCUCAUUUAUUUCUUCUUUAUUGCAAAAGUUUGUCUAAUCAAUGAGUAAUGGCAGUUUACAUGGUCUUCGAGUUUGGGUUUGCAGAGGUGCACUAAGGCUCAAUUCUAUUGAAGUUGGCGCUAUUGCAUCUAUACUAGAGCGUUGUGCAACUUUUAUCUAGCUAAAAGGUUAAUAUGCACAAUGGUUGUUUUUAGUGCUCAUGCGGCGGACUCUUUAAAAAAAUUCUUUAUCUGCCUCCUUAGGGCAGCAAAAAAUAUUCUUAUUAAAAUUGUUGCACAAGCGAUAUCUAUAUAUAAUAUGUAGUGUUUUGUGUGGUGAGGCAGAAGCAGAAUGAAAAGUGAAAGCAUUUAUGUUUUUGAAGGCAGUUAUGUCAGGCGAAAGGGGUCUUUUAAAUCAGCUGUAUUUUAACAUUUUCUCAGUUUCGGCCAAACGAUUUCCAUUCCUCCCGUUAUAUUGUUUGUUCUUUUCUAUUACAUUGUUGAAUUUCUAAUUCUCACAUCAUACUCUUUAAAUGGUUUUUGAAGAUCCAAAUCACUAAUAAUAUCACUUGAAUUAAACUCAAGACUGAGUUUGUUUUUAUAUUUAUGCAGUGGUGUUGGAGGUUGAAUUCCCAUUCGAUCUAAUAUUCUUUUGCUUAAAUUUAAAAUAUCUUUCAAUAUCUAUAAAAUUAUAUAUGUCAAAAAUUUACACUUUAUAUCAAUAUAAAUGUAAUAUUAUUGGUAAUGAUAAAUUGACAAAUGUCAAAUGAAAAAUGAAAAAUAAUAUCAAAUGAAAAGAAAGUAAGGAAGAAAGAAAAUAUCACAAUUUACAACUUUAAAUUCUUUUAAUAUUGCAAGUUAGAUAAAUUAAUUAAGUUCAUACAACUAACUCAAUAGUAUUUAAUAAUGACAAUGACAACUAAAUUAAAGAUUUUUAAAAUGCAAUUCAGGAAUUUUAUCAAACACUUUAUGUAUAAAGUUUUAAGUUAAGUAAUUUAAAUAUUAGUUUAUACAAUGGCAGCAAUAAAUUACUCAUGAAGAAAAAAAAAAAUUAAAGUAUUUCAAUAAACACCUAACAUGCACUAUAUACACAAGGCAAAAUCAAAAAAUAAAUAUACAAAUUCUAAUUUGAAUUAGUUCAAUUUCAUAAUUGAAGUAUCAAAAUAAUAUUGAAAUUGAAGAAAAUAAAAAACUUCACUCACCUAAAAUUGAAGAGCAAGAGAAAUACUUUGAAAUUUCAAUUCAUUUAAUUAAAAAAAAGUAAAAAGCUAUAAAUAAUCUUUAAUUUGUGAAAAAGAAAAUUAAAAUACUCCAGAUUGCAAGUUAUAAACAAAAUUAGUUUUCUGAAAUUUUUUUUAAAAUUUGUAUAGGGAGCGGGCGUGAAAAUUUUNNNNNNNNNNNNNNNNNNNNNNNNNNNNNNNNNNNNNNNNNNNNNUAUAUAUAUAUAUAUAUAUAUAUUAAAUUCGGUGCAGCUAACGGGAUGGAAUAAUAGAAUUGGAAUCUCAUAAAUUUAUUUAAAUAUAUUUAUUAUCAUAUUAAAUCUAUUAGUGCACUUUUUAAAAAAAGAUAUUAAAUUUAAAUUUAAAUAAUUUAAAUAAUUUAAAUUAUAUUAAUUAUUCAUAUAACUUACAAAAUAUUAUUCGUAUUAAGUAAUAUUUUAUAUUUUAUCUUAUAUUUUAUAUAGAAUUCAAUAUCAUGUAUCAAAAGAUAAUUUUAUUAUUUAUAUAAGAAUCUCACAACUUCAAUUUGAUUAUUUAUUCAAUAUUUGUAUUGACGUAAAUAUCAGAGAGGUUUCAAGUGCAUUUACUUAAUAUUUUCUCUAUUUUGUAGACUCGAGAGAAAUAUAAUGAAAAUAAAAUAAGAAUUAAAUUAUAAUUUUUUUUUUGUUAUAAAGAAUUUCAACUUAUUAUUAAUUAAGAGUGUAAAUAAAAUUAAAACCAAUGAGACUUCCUAACUUAUCUUGAUAAUUAUAAUUUUAUUAUUAUUUAAAAAAUUAUUAUUUAAAAAAUUAUAAUUUAAUUAUUUAAUUAUAUGAGCAAUUUAUUUAAAUUUAAAAUAAUAAAAAAAUUUAUUAACAUUUAAAUUAUAGUUGAUUAAAUUUUAUCGUAAAAUAUUUCUUUUAACAUUAAAUUAUUUAUAUUGAAAUUUUAUCAUGACUUAAAUUAUUUAAUAAAAAAACAAUUAACUAAAAAAAUUAUCUCUCUAAUACUUACAAUUUGUUGUUAUUUAAUUUUUUUAAUUUCAGAAAUCCUUAAUUAAAAUUUCUGGUAAAAGAUGUUUUUUUACAUUUAAAUUCUAUUUAUUGAAAUUUUAUUAAAAAUAAUGACUUAAAUAAAAAGUUUGUAUAUAAAAAUACAAAAUUUAAUAUAUUGUAUUGGGAAUCAAAAUUUUAUAAUGUAUUAUAUUUUGAAAUAAAAUAACAAAUUAUUUAAUUAAGUAUUAAUUUAAUGGAAUUAUUAUUAAUAAUAAAUUCAUAUAAAUUUUUUUAUUAUUUAUUAUUUUAUAUAUUACAUAUUAUCUUUAUUUUGAUUCAUUACAAAAUAAUAUAUCAUUUAACUAUUAUUUAAAAUUUAAAAUUUAAUUAAUUUUUUAUUUAAAUUUAAUCAUAAAUUAUGAUAAUAGUGUAGCUUUCUAAAUCUCAAUAAUCAUAUAAUCUUUGAUGACUUCAAACACUUUUACAAUUAUUUUAAUAGUUUUUGAUUUCAUUUAUUUUUUUUACCAUUAUUUUAAUAGUAUCAAUAGAGUUUUAUUUUGUCGUUUUAGUGAUAUUUAGAAUUAAUUUUUUUAAUUAUUAUACCAAUAAUUAGAUUUUUAGAUGGUUUUUCUGUUUACAAAUUUGUAACAAAUUUAAUUUAAUUUAUUAUUAUUUUAUUAUUUAUAUUAAUGAUAUAAGUAAUUUUUUAUAUGAAAAUAAUUAAUAAUAUUUAUUUUUAUAACGAAUAAAGACACAUGAAAAGCAUGUAAAAAAAGUUUAAUAUAAAAUGAAAAUAUUCAAUUUUAUUAAAUAUUAAUAGAUAGUUGAAUUCUCAUUUAGAAAAAUAAAUAAUUAGUUGAAAAUUGUAUUAAAAAUAAGAAAAUUAAAUAAAAUUAUAAUUAUCAAUUUAUAUAUUACACAUAAUAUAAAAAAGGAAAAUGAGAAAUAUUUUAAGAUAAAUGAAAAUAAAAAGAUAGAUAAAAAAAUUAUGGGAUGACAAUUAUUAAUUUAUAUAUUAAUUAUAAUAGAAAAAAAUAAAAUAAAAAAUAUUUUAAGAUAAAUAAAAAUAGAACAUGAAUAAAAAUUAUGGGAUAGAAUAAAUAAUUUUAAAUAUAGUAAAAAAACUCUUAAAUAUGUAUUAAAUAAUAAAAUAAUUUUUCUUGCUUUAGUAAUUUAAAAUAAUUUAAAUGAUUACAAAAAUUAAAAUAAUGAAUAAAAAUAUCAAUUGGCUUAAGUUAAGAGUGAGUAUGUGGAAUUUUAUUUUUUAUUUUUAAUUUAAAUAGUUUAAUUUAUUACUUUUAAAAAUAUUAUUUGAUUUUAUCUAUAUUUAUUUUUUUAAAAAAAUAAAUUCAUAAUUUAUUAAUUUUUUAGAUUUAAUUUUUUUAUAAAUUUAAAUAAUUUAUAAAAAUUAUUAAAUAAUCUAACCAUAACUUUUUUAUAUAAAAAAAUUUUUAAUUUAUUUUUAUAAAGAUAAAUAGUUUAAUAUAUAAUUUCAAUCAGAUAAAUAAAGUAAAAUAAAAAUAAUAAUUAUUUUUAAUAAUAAAAAGUGAAUGUAUAAAAAUAAAUUAAAUAAUAAAUGAAUAAUUUAUUUUAUAAAUAUUUUAAAAAUAAAAAUAUUAGUAUAUUUGAGGUUGAAAACUUAAAAAUCAGAAGUAAAAUUUUAAAUUAGAAAAUAAUAGAGAAAUAGGAUGAUUGUGAUUUUAUUUAUAAAAAAAUUAUUAUCAAGUUUGAGAGUUUUUAAAAAAUUUAUUAAUUUAUUUUAAUAUCAAAAUCAUUCAAUUAAAAUAUUUAUAUAGUUCAUAAAAUUAAAUUAUUUAAUAAUUUAUAAAAAAAUUAUUCGUCAAUUUAUUUUGAUUUUAAUUAAAUAUACUAAAUAAUAUGAAUAUAAAUAUUAAAUAUGUAUAAUUAAAAUUAUAUAAACUAAAUAAUAUAAAUAUUAAAAUAAAUUAAUAAAAUUUUUUAAUUUAUUAUAUGUGAAUUUACACAUGAUUCAUAGGCUUGUUUUUUCUUUGAAAAAAAUGAACUUAUAAUUAAUUCAUUAAUUAAAUAUUAUAAUUGCAAAUUUAAAAAAUAUAUUUUUAAAAAAUUAUAUAUUGUCAUGUGAAAUUUAUAUAAAAAAGAGAAAAAAUAUUAAUUGUACUAACACAAAAAAUUAUAUAAUUUCAAAAAAAAAAACACAAAAAAUUAUAUGUAAAUUAAAUUUUAAAAUUAAAUAUAUUACAAUUUUAUAUUCUUCCCCAUCUUAAAAUGUUCCUAAAUAUAGUAUUAAGUACUUCGUUAAGAAGUAUUUGUAUGUAUAGAAUAGGUAACCGACUCUGUACUAAGAAUAAAUCCUAGCCAUUAAAUUCUAAUCAAUUGGUUAAAAAAAGUUCUGAUCAGAGUUAUCUGUUAACGCGUCGCUUACAGAUACGCUAACAAAUCAGCGUCCACCGCCUCUGAAAUAAAGACCUUGUCAACAUUCCGCAACCGACUCUGAGAUGCUUCCAGAUUAAGCGACACUGAUUCAAAAUAAAUCCCGGCCGUUAAUUUAUGCAAUAACAAUUUAAUCUCAGCCUUCCAAUCUCAUUCUACUUCUGUAUAAAUACUGCUCUACCUCCGUUCCUAGGAUUCUUGCCUUGGGUCUUAGGGUUUGAGAUGGUGAUGGAUGUGUUGAUUAAUUCUGGUGUUUUCUUCUAUUUUAUGCCAGACGUCUGUGAGAUCGUUUAUCUUUGAUUGUUUAUAUUGAUGAUAUGAUUCCUGUAUGUCUCGGUUCGCAUGUGCAGGGAAGAUUUUGAUGCGAAGAGAAUUGUUGAUCUGGAUAUUUCUUCUUUUCUCCAUACGUGGUUUUUGUUUGCAAGUUAUUUUUGCUGAAGAUCGAAAUGCCUAGUUUUAUUAGGAUCACUUUCUGGGUUGGUUUGGAUUUGGUGGAUAGUUCACCAUGUUGGUAAGAUUUCUUUCUGGUUGUUUUGUGGUGUUAGGUAUUGGAAUAAGCAUAAUUGUGGAUUGAGGUCGAAGGUAUUUUCUUGUUUUGCAUUGGCUUUCUGUUCACGAGGAAUUUGCAUCUUGAAUUGAAUUGCCACGCAGCUUAACACAGUUCUGAUGAUUGGUUAAUUGAUUGAUUUCAGCUCUAGUAGGAAACAGAGUUCUGUUCCUGAUUUUUUACGGUGUAAUGCGGCAUUGGUGGUAGCUUGACAAUCGAUUUAAUAUGAUAUUUACUUUUGAAUUAUUGCAAUUUCUUCUUCUAUACACGUUUCCACAAAGACAUUCAAGGUCAGUGAUUUUAAAUUGGUUUCUUUCUCUUUUCGGUCAAGUGUUAUUUCGUCGUCCUUCAUUCAACGAGUUACUCGGUGGUUCUUUGAUCAUUGUUAAAUCUUCGAAACUCUGAUUAAUUAACUUAUAUGAUGGCUGACAAAAACGGUUCUGUUGGUGGUUUCUUUCUGCGGCCUUUUUCAAGGUAUGGAUCAAUCCACUUAUUACCAGGAUUGGUGGUUUGUGGUUUGAUUUUCAGGAUCAUGGAGCAUUUUAUUUAAUCCUUAUAAACCUGUCAGCAGGCUGGUGAGGGAGAUCUUCUUUCUUGCGUUUGUUAAUUUAAUUUAUAUUUCCGGAUCAUUGGGCAUAUAGAUUAUUUUCUGAUUUGGUAUGUUUGUAUGUGGUUUCAGCUAAUUGUUCGAUGAGGAUGUUGACUAGGAAUGAAAAAUUAUUGAAAAAUUCUCGUGCUUUGUAUAUCCAGGAAAUUAUUGGUAUGUUAGGGAGUCAUCUUGUCCCUAACCAGACAUAUGGAACAUUAUUGAAAAAUUCUUGUGCUUUGCAUGGAUCAAUGGUGAUCCAGGAAAUGUUUGAUAAGCUAAACGAGUUGGCCAUGAUUUCUUGUUGCCUAAUUUAGUAGGAACUUGCCUUUGUUGGCUGUGGCAUCAGUGGCGUUUUGCUAUCCAGCACUUCCAGUGCAUUGUUCUGCCAGCUUGUGUCAUGGGACAUAUUGAAAGAGAAUAUUUGACAUCCAUUUGGCGUUGGGUCUUUGAUGACAGGCAUGAGCUUGCAUCUUCUGUGACUCAUGAUUUGCGAAUACGUGCAAAGGCUUGAUAAGGAAGUCUUUUGUGCCUUGUCCGUUGGUUGAAAGUUUUUUCUUCUAAAAUAUCAAAUAUUUUCUCCUUAAGAAAAGGUUUUGGGGGUUAUUGUUCUGAGGUUUGUGGUGUGAUUUCCAGGAUUGGGGAGCAUUUUUGGGGUUGAUUCCUUUGUGCAUGGUUAGAGCUGUUGGCCUGGUAGUUGGGGGAGAUACUUUCACCCCUUUGAACUAGUUUCCUAGCCUGGUUUUUUAUGUAUUUGCAGCUUUUUAUUUGAGGAGGAUGUCAAGCAAGAAUGAAUGGUCAGGGGUUUGUCUCGCUUUUUCCAAUAUUGGUUCUUUCAUUAUAUCAAGUAGUGUAAGUGUUGUUAUAACUUUGAGAUCCUUCCUUGACAGGUUUCCUUGAUUCCAGUGUUAAAUUGUGGAGCAUAAUGGAAUUAAUUGAUGAUAUUGAUGUUGGAAGUAUUCUCUUCUUCUCUUGUCUUUUCUUAACUUUUGAUUUUCAGGAUCAUGGACCAUUUUAUGUGAUCCUUAUAAACCUGUUGGCAGGCUAGUAAGGGAGAUUUUCUUUUAACCCCUUUGUUUCUUGCAUUUGUUGAUUUAAUCUAUAUGUUCUGAAUUUUGGCAUAUAGAAUUAGUUCCUGAGUUAGUAUGUCAAGGGAGUUUUGUUGUCUCUCUUCAUUCUCUCUACUUCAUAUAAGUAGAAUCAUGGAACUAAUACUGUGAUAAUUUUUAGAUUUGUGGUGCCUCCUGAUCAGUUUCAUUGGUAAAAGUGUUAAGAUUUAUCAAAUUUUUAUUUGAUGUUUGUUUUUCCAGGAUCUGCACGACAUGGAUUAAUAAUGAUGCAAUAAGUGUUUGAUACGAUAAAUAUGUUGGCUGUUUGUGGGAGCCUGCCUUCUGUAUUGUCUCUGGAGUCCCAUUACUAAUGACUGCUCUUAGCAUUAGCUUGCAUAUUGUGUGCUAAGUGGCUUAAGAUGUGUUUGAUACAAUGAUAUUCUGCCUAUUAUAUGGUGUUACUCGAAAAUGCAUUUUUUAGUCUCUAGUUUCCUCUUUAGAUGAGCUGCCCUAUAUGGAGGGAGUUGAUGUGUUUGAUACAACGGUAGCGUGAGCCCAUUUUAUGGUGUUACUCGAAGAAACACUUUUUUGCUUCUCCAGUUUCCCUUAAGCUAAGCUAUAUGAAAGGAGAAGUUGAUGUCAUCGAGGGAGUAUUCAUUGUCCUCUGCUUGUGUUAUGUUGGGGGCUUCUUAGUGUAAGCUUUCCAUUUGUCUGUUCCUUUUGGUCCAAGAUGUUUAAUUGUGGUUUAUUUUAUUUUAUUUUUAAUCUCCUCUUAUUUUUCUGGCAGUUACAUCUCCAUACACAUUAGGAGCGUAGUGAGUGAAAAUUGUGAUAUUGAUGGGGAGGUAUUUUUUCUUUUGCCUGGAUCCUCUAAAAAUGAGAUAUGCUUGAGCUGCAUUCCCUUGAUUUUCUGCAUCCUUAUCUUCUAUUAGGCUAUGAACUUGCUUCUGCUUGGGGGGAAUGCGAUAGUCUUGAUUAUGUUCCUUGGUGAUAGUUUAUAAAUCUUCAUAUGAGCAGGUGGUGUCCUUGUGUAAGAACAGUAACAAAUGAGAUGCAGAUUCUUUUUACAGGAUCUGCUCGAGUGGAUUGACGUAUGGACCACUACUGAUAGGAUGUUGCCUUUUGUUUCUUCUCUGGGGUCUUAUGGCUGCAUGGGGAGUGUAAUUAUGACUAUUCUCUUUGGUUAGUUCAGCUUCAGUGUGAGUGCCUCCUGCGAGUCUUUCUGGCAGUGUGUGGAUGAUCAUGAACCGGAAGUUAUUGCCCUUGUUUUUGGUUUGAGUUGUACUUUCUCAGAAUCAACCACCACCAAACAUUUGUGAACCAAUAAAACAAAUAAAAAAGAACUAGUAGUAAUUUUUCCCUGUAGUGGAUGAACUGGAUUUGUGGAGUGGGAGAUAUUGGAAGGUUUCUUUUAAUUUAUUUGUUGUUGGCUUCUUGAUGAUGGCACAGACAUGAGCUUGUGCCUUCUUUAUAAGUGCCCUCAUUACUAGAGAACAUGCACACAGGCUUGAUCUGGAAGUCCUUUUCCCUUGUUUUUUGGAUGGAAGUGUUUCUACUUGAGUACCAUAUAUGUUGUUCUUAAGAACGGGAAUUGGCCGCAUCAACCUUGGUUAUCUAUAGCUUUUUUCCCCCUUGUUGGAUCCCCAAUGCACAUUGUGAAACCUGUUGACAGACUAGUGGGGAGAUUUCUGUAACCCUUUCUGUUUGGCUGGAAGUUAGAUUUAUAAUAUUAACUAUUCACAUAGAAUUAUUUCUGAGUUUGUAUAUUUGUGUGUUUUCAGCCCCUUAUUCGAGGAAUAUGUAUUGUGGGAAUGAUCAAGGGAGUUCUCUUGCCCCUUCUAGCGUGUGUUUCAAGCUUGUUAUUUGAUUUAGAUGUGGUGUGGGAAUGAUCAGGGAGUUCUCUUGCCUCUUCUAGCAUUGGCUCUCCCCUUCAUACAAGGAGAAUUUUUGAGUGAAUAUUCUUAUAGUUUUGCUACUUCCCUUAUCAGGUUUCCUUGAUUCCAGUGUUUUCUCGUGGAGCAUAUUGAGAUCAAUUGAAGAUGCUAAUCGAGUACUCUCUUUUCCUUCUUGACCUUCUUAAAAAAAACCUUUUUUUUCCUUUUUUAGGUGUUUGAUCGUCUUUUCUUUUCUUGAUUCUUGUAUCUAAUCUUUUAAUAUAAAAUAAAUUACUAUUUAAUCCCUUCAUAUCAGGCAUUUUAGAUAUUUUCCUAGUUAGUUCUUAUAUUUUGUAAUACGUAACGGCUUUUUAAAAAGUUUACUAUAACUUCUAAAACUAGUAGGCGGAUUAAUUAGACUUUUUAAAAUGGCAGGAUUGUUUUAAUGCAUUUUUCAAAAUUGAGAGGCUAACUAGUGAGUUUUAAUUUUCGCUUUAAUUUAAUGCAUGCUCCCUAUUGUUUUUGCUAUGACUUUGCACACAUAGCUUCUUAUAAGAUAUCCUUCUUUUCAGGACAAAAAAAACUAAGCAUGUGUAUAUGAAAUUUUCUCAUUGAUCUUUCCAUAGUUGUCUAAUCGAGAUUCGAAAAUCGAAUAUAGUUGUAAGAUCUGCUGAAAAUUCAAAAAAUCAAUUAAAAAUAAUACAUUAUCAUGAUGACAUAUAGAAUAAUAUUUAUUUGUUAUGUUAUAUAAUUUCAAUUUUAGAAAUAUUUGUUUAUGUUAUAUAAUUUCAAAUUUAGAAAUAUUUGUUAUAAUAAUGUGUUGUAUAUACACAUAUAUUUAUAUAUAUAUAGAUAUAUGUAUGUAUACACACACACACACACACACACACACGCACACACACUUUAUAGCAAAAAUGAAUACUUAUGAUAGUUUAUUUCUACAAACCUGCCAGCAGGGGAGUUGGGGAGAUGUUUCCAUAGUUAUGAAAUUUUCUCAUUGAUCCUUUCCAUAGUUGUCUAAUCGAGAUUCGAAAAUCGGAUAUAGUUGUAAGAUUUGCUGAAAAUUCCAAAGAUCAAUUAAAAAUAAUACAUUAUCAUGAUGACAUAUUUUGAUAAUAUAGGAUUGUCAUUCGUCUAGUUAGAAAUAUUCUUUAUAAUAGAAUGAUAUUUAUUUGUUAUGUUAUAUAAUUUCAAUUUUAGAAAUAUUUGUUUAUGUUAUAUAAUUUCAAAUUUAGAAAUAUUUGAUAUAAUAAUGUGUUGUAUAUACACAUAUAUUUAUAUAUAUAGAUAUAUGUAUGUAUGUAUGUACACACACACACACACACACACACACACACACUUUAUAGCAAAAAUGAAUACUUAUGAUAGUUUAUUUCUACAAACCUGCCAGCAGGGGAGUCGGGGAGAUGUUUUACCCUUUAUUUUGUGCUUGUCAUUUAAUUUAUAUAUUCCUUGUUAUUAAUAUUAGGUCAUAUCGAACUAGUUUUUGAGUUUGUAUAUUUGCAUGCAUUUUCAGCUUAUUGUACGAGGAAGAUGUCAAUGGGGAAUGAUUGCCUAUUCUAAUAUCGAUCCUCUUCACUAUAGAAUCCUCUAGCAGAUGAUUUAUAGUUUUUUUGAUUUUUGCUGCCUCCUGAUCAGGUUUCUUUGAUUCAAGUGUUCCUGAAAUCCAGACAUAAGGAACUUCUUUAGAUUAUGAUAAGGGAUUGGAAGCUCUCUUCCCCCCUUGCUCUCUUCCAGAAAGAAGUGUUUCAUAAGAUAUUUUGAGUUGGCCAUGUUUUCUUGCUGUCUUUGCCCAAGUCUUUGGCUUAAGAUGUGCUGAUACAAUGAUAUUCUGUCCCACCGUAUUUCAUUGACAAAGAUGCACGUUCUUAUGUGUCUAUGGUUGAGCCAAUGAUACUGUCCAUCUUAUUACAUUAUAUGGUCUCAAAUAUGUACUUGUGUUUCCAGGUUCCCUUGAGAUGAACUGUAUAGAAGGAGAAGAUAUUUAUGAAGGCGUGUAUUUCUAGACCUCUGCUCAUGUUAUGCUUGGGGAUAAUGGGUGUGGUUCUCCUCUUGUUUGUUUUAAUGGUUCAGAUAUGUGUAGUGGUGGUUGAUUCUAAGAGCUUUCAAUUCCGUCAAUGUAGUGGACUAAUGGGUUUGUGAAGGGACUUGUUGAAAGAAAGAAUUUUUCGUGUCCAUUUGUUGUUGGCUCUUUGAUUAUACGCAUGAGCUUGCAUCUUCUAUGACUCAUUUGCAAAUACGUGCACAGGCUUGAUCAGGAAGUGUUCUGCACGUUGGCUGUUGGUUGAUUUGAAUUUUUUGCGUCCAUUUGGUGUUGGCUCUUUGAUUAUAGGCAUGAGCUUGCAUCUUCUAUGACUCAUUUGCAAAUACGUGCACAGGCUUGAUCAGGAAGUGUUCUGCAAGUUGUCCGUUGGUUGAUUUUUUUUUUCUAAAAUUAGUAGUUCUUUUUUCACUUAUGAAAAGGUUUUGGGGGCUACUGUUCUGAGGUUUGUGGUGUGAUUUUCAGGAUCGGAGACCAUUUUUUGAGUUGAAUCGUUUGGGCAUGGUUAGAGAUGUUGGUUGGGUAGUCAGGGAGAUUUUUUCAUCCCUUGAACUAGUUUCUUAGUCUAUUUUUGUAUGUGUUCCCAGCUUUUCAUUUGAGGAGGAUGUCAAGCAAGUAUGUGAAUGAUCAGGGGGGUUGUCUUGCCUCUUCCAAUGUUGGUUCGUACUUUGUAUCAGGUAGCGUUUAGUGUCGUUAUAACUUUGUGAUCUUUCCUUGACAGGCUUCCUUGAUUCCAGUGUUGUUAUUGUUACAUUAAUGUAUUGCACUUGUUAUGAUGACUUAGAUAUGAGGGGUACGGAUUUGAACAAGGCUGAUCCAUCUUGUUUAUGAUCUAGCACGUAUUUCAAUUGUGUGCUUUUGCACGACCUGCGUGGCUAUAUUAAUAAAUUCAUGGGCUUCACUGGUAUUAAUAUUGAUGUGGUUACAAUAAUUUGUUGGUGAUGAAUUUCUGGUUAUGUUGGUGAGUUGGUAUGGUAUAAUUCAUUGAUUUGUGGCAUCAACCAGUUUAAGGAGCUUGUGAUUUGUAUGUGGUUCUCUUGCUCCAAAGAUGAGAAUUUUAAGCAUUAAUUCCUGGUCUUCUUGAUUGCCAGCUUUAGUGUGAGAUCGAGUUUCAUCAAGGAGUUGUUUUGACAGCCUGUGGAUUGGCAUGAACAGGAAGUUAGGUCUUAAUCAAAAGAUGCUGAUGUAUCCAGGCUCUCCUCAUAAUUCGUUCUCGUUAUUGUUUGUCUUGUUACUUUGUGAUGGAGUGUCUUAGAUGUGUGUCAGCCAACGCAACUGUUAACAUGGGUUUGCAAGUCUCAGCCUUUCCUUUCCCCACUUUGAUGUAGUUCCCAGAUGUUUUGAAGUAACAAAAUUUUCCUGUAUACUUCCUGGUGCUUUGCUGUCUACUGGUAUAUGGUUGUAAAAUAACUGCAAGUCUUGUUCUCUUCUUUGGUCUUCUUCCAGGUUUACUUGCUACAAUUGGAUACUCGAGGCAUGAAGGGAAUCCUGAUUUAAUUUUUUAUUUUGUGCUCCUAUUCUCUAUCUGUAUCAUAUAGUGAUCUUAAGUCUGCAUGAUUCAAUUGCUCUCUGAGCUCUGCUGUUGCUUUCCCUCUCUCCUCAUAUGUUGGCAGUGAUGAUGAUCAGCAAAUGAGGUUUCUGUUAUGAUCUUUGUUCCUUUCCUUGAGGUUGAGUGAGAUAGGUUGACACGGAUAAUUAGCUGGUUUCAAGAUGUUGGGAAGGAGACGGAAGAUGUCCUUUGACAUGUUGGUUAUUGCUGCAUCUGUAUUUUCUGGUUGUGGUAUUGGUAUUUUCUUUGUGCCACAGGAGGCUGGUCUUCUUGUGAAUUGUUUUCCAAGCGUUAAUUACUUUCUUUGUUGUUCUUUCUUCUUUAGUGGUCUUCAUUUCUGCCGUUUUAAAGCAUGUAACUCCGCCUGUGUUAGCGAAUACAUGGCCGGUCUCAAGCCCGGAUAAAGGAGGAGAGGUUGCAAGUGCUAAUUACUUGGUAAGGUGAUAGCAAUUGCUUAGUGCUUGAUACUUGAUUAUGACGGUGAUUGUUGAGUGUCUGAAUGAUAGAAAUGAGGUUGUUCAUCACCAGAACUCAAUGCUGUUGUUGAUUGUGGUAUCAGACCUUUUGGAGUAAACACGGAAGAGUAAUGGAGCAUUUAAGAUCUCUUAUGAAGAGAAAAUUUACAUGCAAGAAAUUCCAUAUUUAUAGUGUACUAUUUGAAUACUUUUGUGAGGAUCGUCCCUUUUCUCGUGCUAAACUCUCUCUUUGGGUAGACUGAAAAUCCCAAUUUAGGAGGUUUUCUUUUGGAGUUCUAGAAGUCGUUUGUAUUACCGAUUUUGCAACAUGGAGCUCGCAGCAAUGCGUAUCAGGAGACUAUUUCUCUCGAUGAAGUACAAAAUCAGAGUUUUUUUUUUUUUAAUAAUUUUACUAAUAAAUGUGUUUAUAAAUUUAUUAUUAUUAAAUAUUUAUAAAUAUUUUAAUUAAAUAUAUAAUUAUUUAAAAUUCUAAAUUUUUAAAUAUCAAUUUUUUUUAAGGGAGUAGAAUUUGAAAUUUUUAGAUUUACUUCCAAAUAAUUUAAGUAACUUUCUAAAAAUAAUUUGUUAGUGUAUUGCAUAGGACUAAAAAUGUACAAGUAAUCUUCAAUGAAAAAACUUACGUUAAAUUUUUAAUAAAAAAAUUAUAAUAAUUUUGUUGGUUAAAUUAUGUUUAUAAAUCGUUUAUAAGUUUGUUAUAUUGUGUACAAUAUUUAAAAAAAUUAGAAUCAGCACUAAUUGUGCCUUUGGUUUAAUAAAGUAGUUACUUUCCCUAUGCAUUAUGGCGGUUGAGAUUAUUAAAGGAAAUCAAUGUGUUUCUGUUUGCAUUCCGUGUCUUGCAUGCUUGUGGUUCUCUUGCAGGUUGCAUGCAUGUAGGUGGAGAUUUGGAUUGACUGUGGUUCUUAGCUAAGUUCACAAAAAGUAAAGGAAGGUAGUUUGUGGAGCUUCGACUCGGAAGGUGCAAUUGGGACGUUAAAGAAUGCACCUUUUUCAUUGCCGUUUGUUGAUUUCAUAGCCUUCUUUGAUUUGGCUUUCUACUGUGCGUUACUGUUGAUAAAUCUGUGCAUUUCAGUAUUCUUUCAUUCGAUCUCUUUUUUUUUUUGGGCAGAAUAAAGAUAUGCUUCUAGUAACUUCUUAUGCCUUUGUCUUUUCUUGUCUCUUUGGCUUCAAUCCUUCCAUUCCAGUCGAUGAAAAUCAAAUGACUCCCUGCCAUGAAGGUGUCAAGCAUAGUCGAUGAACCAAUCUAAGUUUUCAUUUCUUCUUUUAACUUGUUCUAAGAACCCCUUUCAUCCAUGAAUUUAAGAAUCAAUUCAUUCACAUGUAAAAUGAAAUCUGGAACUCAUGUCUUUAUGUAGCACUAAGUCUAACAUCACUCGCUAGUUAAAAGAUGUAAUUUUUAGUAAAAAUUUAAAUUUUGCUUUUUAGAUAAAUAUAAAACUAGUCAUAUCUCUGUGUGGCACUAAGUCUAAUCUCAUUCACUUGUCAAUUGAAAGAUGUAAUUUUAUCCAAAAUCUAAAAUUUGCCUUUUAAAGAAAAUUGAUCAUGGUAAAAUAAAAUAUUCUUUUGAAGUGUCUUUAAAUUAACUUGAGAUUAAUUAAAAUAUAAUAUAAUUAAAUUAAAUAAUAAUGCAUAAUAAUUUAAUAAAAAAUACAUCUAAUAAGGUCUCAAAUUAAAACUACAGCACUAACGAACAAACAAUUUUUUUUAAAUUUUUAUUAAAUGAAAAAUUAAAAAAAAAAAAACACAACAGAAAUGGAUGAGGCCUAACUUUAGAGGCAUAAUUAAAAGGACAAACCGGUGUUCAAGAAAAAACUAAAUAAUACCUACUGUCAUUGCAAAUACAGCCAAACUGUUAUGUUGAUAUAUAAUAUAAAUAAUUUAUAGAAUAUGGCAUCUCGCAAAAAAUCAGAAAGUCUUACUGAUCUGGCUAAAAAUCAGAAAGUCUCGCUACAAAAUGUUUUAUGAAUUAUUAUAAUUCACAGUAUAAAAUUUACAAGGGAUUGUAAUAUAUUUUAAAUAAAUAAAUUUUUCAGAUUUGGAAUAAUUAAAUAAUAAAUUAUACUUCACUCAUAUUUCAUCCAUAAUCGAUUAUAUUUUAUGAAUUAUAUAUAAUUUCACAGUAUAAAAUUUACAUAGAAUUGUAAUAUAUUUUACAAAUACUGAAAUAUUUAGAUAUUUUCAUAUUUUAUGACGGAUGUCUUUUUAUUUCAUAAGAAUAUAAAAAAUCAUGUAAUAUAUUCAGAGAGUAGCCGACAUCCACAUAAAAAUAGUUCAUUUAGAGAAAAAAAAAAAGAAUAAACUAUUUUUUCUUCCAUCAAACUGUUUGUUCUUUUAUCAAACUGUCUUGAUGAUAGAUAGCAAAGAGAGCAAAAAAAAUUUCUAAAAAAAAAAAAUUUCUUGAGAAAAUAGAUUUUUUUAAAUAUGAAGAAACAUUCAGAGAGAGACACACACUCUUAGUUAACUCUCUAUAGAGAGAAUGGGAAUUGGUAGGCAGUGCUCACCACUUUCUCAAAGCAACAUGGCUUUUUGUCAUGUAAUUGCUAAAAAAAAGUUAAAAUUCAAAAUUUAAAAAUUUUUUUAUUUAAUUUAUAUAUAAUAAAUUAAAAUUAAACUAUUAUAAACAAGCGGCUCUAACUAUAGUGUGAGCGACUUGGUUCACUAAUUUUUUGACAAAGGAGAAAAAAAUUUUAACUAGAUCGUUUACAAGAGCAUUACAAUUAUCAAUAAGCAUUGCAAAAUAGGACCUAUCACUUUGUUUUGAUUGUAAAGUAUGAACCAAAAUAAGACAAUCAGAUUCUACACAAAUUAGGAAAAAAAUCAGCCUCUUUAUCCAACUUAAAGCUUCUCUAAAGCAUAAAACCUCCCUUGAGGUUGGAUCAUUCAUUCCUAUUUAUGUAACCAAUUUACCAGCACAACACAAACCAUUGCUAUCAUUAAUUAUCACACCAAAAUCGAAUAUACCAUUUUGUUGGAUUGAAACAUCAACAUUACAUUUGAAUUGACCUGCCAUUGGAGCCUUCCAUGAAGCUUCCACACGUUCAACUGGUUGUCUUUCAGUUAUUUGUUGUGCCAACUGCGAUUUCAGGAGUGUUGAUCUUGCUUUGGAAAUCACAUAAUGAUGAUCACACUUCUUACCAUUCCACACAACAUCAUUUAUCCCUAACCAUAAACUCCAUAGAAUCAUGAAACCUCCUCCUUUUGUUUCGGUUUGUACUGCUGCAAAACAGUCGCCAGCCAUUGAUAAAGCAACUAAAUUGCAUUCCAUCCAAAAGAAGAAAGAAGCCAUACAUGUUUCGCAAAGUAACACUAGUGAAGGAUAUGCAAAUCAGUUUCUAGUUGUUGAUGACAAAAGGGGCAGCUUACUUUGACAUCAAUGUGCCUAUGGCAGAGAUUCGCUUUGCAAGGAAGUAAUUGCCUUGAUAUUCUCAAAACCAAAAUCUGCACCUUUUCAGGGACUUAAACCUACCAUAUUUUACUCCAUGGAAACGUCUGAUCUGGAAGUUGAAUAUCAACACUUUCCAUGGCAAUUCUAUAACCUUCCUUAACUGAAUACUAACCACUUCGAUCAUUUUCCAGCAUCAUUCAUCUCUGCGAGUAGUCCUUGAUAGUGGAAUUUGCAAAAUACAAUCAACAUCUCUUGCAUUAAAAUUGGCCCGAAUCAAAUUUGUAUUCCAUCUACCUUCAGUUAGCAGAUCAGAUACAUUUGUUAACUGACUAGAAGUAUCCGUUUCUAAUUGAAUGUAUGGCAUAUCAUCUAAUAACCAAGGAUCCCUCCAAAUGCUUACUUCAAUACCAUCACCAAUUCUUCUCAUACUUCCUUCCAUUAAAAUAUGUCUGGAAGCCAAAAUUGCUCUUCAAAUCUGACUUGGAUUGUGACCUAACUCUGUUUGAAAAAAUGAUGAAUCCCGAAAGUACCUUGCCUUCAUAAUUUUUUAGGCUAAAGCAUUCGAUUGUUGCAAUAUUCGCCAACCUUGUUUUGCAACAAAGGCUAAGUUAAACUGAUGCCAAUCAUGAUAUUCAAGACCAUCUUGAACCUUCAAAAUAGUCAUUUUGCCCCAUCUAAUCCAUCUCAUACCCUUAUUAUCUCUAUUUUUCAGAUUCCCAAAAAAAUCCAUUCAUUGUUGUUUCCAUCUCUCUACAAGUCUCCAUGGGUAACAAAGACAAACUCAUAAUGUAAUUGGGCAUAGCUUGAGCCACAGUUCAUAAAAGAACGUCUUGGCCCGAUCUAGACAGCAAUUUUGAUUUUCAACCCUUUAAUUGUUUUGCUACCUUAUCUACCACAUACUGGAAGACAUGUUUCUUGUCUCUCCUAAUCACUUAUGGCAUCCCCAUGUAAGUUUCAUGACUCUCUACCUCCUCUACUCCGAAGAUGUUACAUAAAGUAUUUCUAUUCUCAACAUUAACAAGAUGUUACAUAAAACAUUUCUAUUCUCAACAUUAACAUUUGGAGUAAAAACAAAAGAGGAUUUUGCCAAAUUCACCAUUUGACUUGAAGCUUUCUCAUAUUUAGCCAAGCUAGUCUUCAACUCCAUAGCUUCAUUCGGGUUAGCUCUAGUAAAAUAUAAGGCAUCGUCGGCAAAAAACAAAUGAGAAAUCGAAACUGCCCGUCAUGCCACUUGUGCACCAUGAUGCGUCCAUAAUUCUGUAAGGAUGAUAGUUUAGCCGACAAACCCUCGGCAAUAAUAAAAAGAUAUGGGAAUAGGGGAUCCCUUGCCUCAACCCUCUCUAUGGUAUUACUGGUCCAAACUCUUCACCACCACGUAAGAAAUAGUAUUGAACUGAAGUAAUAAUCUGCAUAAUCCUCUCAACCCACAAAAUCAAAAAACCCAACAUCAGCAAAAUUUGUUUCAAAUAUUACCACUUAAUCCGAUCAUAUGCUUUAGUCAUAUUUGUCUUCAAAGCCAACCAACCAGUAUUUCCUUAGGUCUUCCUCUUUAAAGUAUGGAAAGUUUCAUAAGCAAUGAUGAUGUUAUAUGUAAUUAAGCGAUUUGGUAUAAAAGCACUUUGAGAAUCAAAUAUUAUAGAGGACAAUACCUGUUUUAAUCUGUUUGCAAUGCCUUUACACACAAUUCUAUUAAUUACAUUGCUUAAUGAAAUCGGUCGCAAAUCCUAAACUCUUUCCGGCACAACUUUUUUUGAGAUCAACACCACAUUUGUUCGAUUACUUACAGGUAGGAGUGACCAGUAUUCGGUUCAAACCGAAAAAACCGACCGAACCGAACCAAAUUGAAAAUUUGAUUCGGUUUUUUAUAUAUUUCGGUUUGGUUCGUUUUUAAUUUUAAAAAUUUCGGUUAUUUCGGUUCAGUUCGAUUUUGAUCAGAAAAAAAUCAAACCGAACCGAUUAGUGAUAAUAAUAUUUUUUUCAAUAAUAUAGAGAAAUUAAAUUAUAUUAAGAUUAAAAUAUUUUAAUUAAAUUUUAAAAUACUAAAAAUAAAGUGUAGAAAAUAAAAAAAUUAUUAAAAAUCGAAACUGAUCAAACCGAACCGAAUCGAACUGAAUCAGACCGGUUCAGUUUGAUUCGAUUUCUGACCAAAAUCGAUUCGGUUCGGUUUUCAUAAACACUAAAAUUUCGGUUUUCAGUUUAUUCGGUUCGGUUCGAUUUUGAACCGAACCGACCGAAUGCUUACCCCUACUUACGGGAAGUGCACCACCAUCGUUCAAACACUGAAAAAAUCUCGAAUUUAACCCAUUAGGUCCAGGUAAUUUGUCCGGGUGCAUAGAGAAUAAUGCUUCUGAUACGGAUCUAAUAGGGCAAAUUUCUAACAAUAGUGUGGAGCAAACUUAUAUCAUUCAAAUGAAUCUAAAAGUAGUUCAAAAUCAUAUUCAUAUGAUCCAUAUACAUUUGGGGCGUGCUUCAACUCAUAUGGGGCAGAUUUGAUGCAACACUUGCAAUUAUAAGCUUAGAGAGCCUAAUCAAACCUAUGGGCCAAAACUACACAAAUGGAAGCCUAAAGUGAAGAUCAAGAAAAGUUUUUGCGAAAAUUCAGUUUUGUCAUGAUGGGCUUGCUAUAUUUUAUUAUUUAAACAUUUGCUUUAUUUUGGUUUUGUUUGGACUUGUAUUCUGACCAUAUUUUAUCUUUUAAGUUUUAAAGUUUUGGGCCAUGUUUUGGGCUCAUGUUUUAAUACUUAUGAGUUUAAUGUGUUAUUUUAGUGUGUGAUUGGGCAUGGGCCUUAUGUGUAAUUUGGCCAGACCUAAAAGAGUGUCUUAAGGGUUUAUUUGUUUUCUCCUUACUAUAUAAGGAUUAAAAACACUUGUAAGAGGCAGUUUUGAAUCUAAAUUUUUAGAAUUCUUUUCAUGCAUUGGGCGUGUAUUGCUUUGAGUGAGAGUGAGGAUUUGCUUUCAUCAAUUGCACCAAGAAUUUUGGCUAACUUAUCAACUAUUCGUUGUGGCAUUUGUCAGAUUCUCUUCUAAAUCCUUCGAUCAUUGGUGUUUCAGUUUCUCUAAGUGUGUGGUGCCAUAGGAGGUGGGUUUAUCAAAUCUUUGGAUUCCAUAUCUACUUGUGCGUGUGGGUUUGAGGCUUGUGCCAGAGGGUUCCACGUCAGUUGGUAUCACAAUGAUACGGAUCCAAUAGGGCAAAUUUCUAACAAUAGUGUGGAACAAACUUAUAUCAUUCAAAUGGAUCUAAAAGGAGUUCAAAAUCAUAUUCAUAUGAUUCAUAUACAUUUGGGGCGUGCUUCAACUCAUAUGGGGUAGAUUUGGUGCAACACUUGCAAUCAUAGGCGUAGGGAGCCUAAUCAAACCUAUGAGCCAAAACUACACAAAGGGAAGCCUAAAGUGAAAAUCAAGAAAGGUUUUUGUGAAGAUUCAGCUUUGUCAUGAUGAGCUUACUAUGUUUUAUUAUUUAAAUACUUGCUUUAUUUUGGCUUUGUUUGUGCUUGUAUUUUGGCCAUAUUUUAUCUUUUAAGUUUUAGAGUGUUGAGCCAUGUUUUGGGCUUAUGUUUUAAUACUUAUGAGUUUGAUGUGUUAUUUUAGUGUCUGAUUGAACUUGGGCUUAUGUGUAAUUCAGUCAGGCCUAAGAAGAGUGUCUUAGGGUUUUAUUUGUUUUCUCUUUACUAUAUAAGGAUAAGAAACACUUGUAAGAGACAGCUUUGAAUCUAAGUAUUCAGAAUUCUUUUUAUGCCUUUUGGCGUGUAUUGCUUUGAGUGAGAGUGAGAAUUUGCUUUCAUCAACUGCACGAAGAAUCUUGGCUAACUUAUCAACUAUUCGUUGUGGCGUUUGUUGGAUUCUCAUCUAAAUCCUUCGAUCAUUGGUGUUUCAGCUUCUCUAAGUGUGGGGUACCAUAGGAGGUGAGUUUAUCAAAUCCUUGGAUUCCAUAUCUACUUGUGCGUGUGGGUUUGAGACUUGUGCCAUAAGGUUCCAUGUCAGUUGGUAUCAGAGCCAAAGUGAGGUAAAUUCUGAUUUAUCUUAGGAUCUAGGGUUUUUGAGUUUUUUUUUUCUUUCUUGUUAAUUUUGGUGAAAGGUUGUGUGUCCAUGAAUGCACCUUAUUGAUUAUUAAUCAUUACAUAAUCUCUUUUGGAAGAAAAAUUUGAAAUCCAUAAAAAAAAAUCGCCUUUACCUUAUUUAUUUUGAUCUAACCAAAAUUGUGAUAUAUUUCAUAUUUCAUCUAUAUUGUCUUAACUGUCUCAAUUGAUAGCUGUAAUUUAUGGGAAUCAAUUUUGAAUUUUGAAUUGGGUUGAAUCCAGAUUAGGAGACAAAAGAAAUUCUGCCUAUUUCCUAAAGUGCAUAUUUAAGGCAAUUGCAUCUAAAUUGAUUUGACGUCAAAUCCUUCUUUUAACACCUGAAUUUUUGUCCAUGAUGUUGAACUUAGGGAAAUUUAAUUUUUUUUUUUACUUUAUUUGUGGGGUUUUGAUACUUGCCUUUUUGGGUAGAUUUAAAUAGAUUCAUAUUUAAUUUGGUUUGAAGUGAAUUAAAUUUAAACUUUUGUCCAGAUUCAUUUUUAUUUAAAUUCUAAGUUUCUUUUUUGGUUUAAGUUUGCUUUUACUUUCUUGACAUUGCUGGAUUAUUGUUUGCUUGUGUCUAUACUCUAGGUGAUAUUUUUCAAGUAGUACAAAACCUAGUUCGUGUGUUACUUUCCAAAUUGUCAAGGUUUUCUUUCUAGUUUUUGCGCACUUUCUUCUUUUUUUAGGUUUUCUUCUUUGUUUCAUUAAAUGCACUUUGGGGUUGGUUGGUUGACCUUAGUUUCUGAAGUGCAAUUGAAGAAUCAACAAAAGAGUGGAAAGAGUACAAACACUUGAGUGCUUUUAUUUCUAACACCAUAUUUGCUAGUUUAUUCUUUAUUAAUUUAAGGUAGGAUAAGUAAAUACAAAAUAUGGUGGAUAGUGAUGAUGAAAGUGAAUGGGACAUGGCUUGUGAUUAUAAGCUCUUCAAAAAGUCAGUUGGUGUAACGACCCGGAAACCGAUACCCCUCUGUAACGGCCCGAACCGCCACCGGCGCUAGGAUCCGGAUCAGCUUAAGGCCGCCGGGACCCAUAGCAAGCCAAACAUACUUCCUAUCACCUGGUCAAAUCCCAUACAUGAUCAAAACUUUAACAUAAAAACGUAAACAUCUGAUGCAAAAACCGAGCCUGACCUGUAUGCGACAUAACUGAAAACAUAAAAGGAUCCCCUACUAGAGCCCUCAUUAAAACUCUAGCUGGGUCAACAUAACAUAUAUCAAGCUGGGAUUACAUCCAAGGAACUAGAACCUAACCUGUGCAUGCAUCAAACCACAAAAAUAAGACCUCCUCUAGGGUCCUCAUCCAUUACCAUAGCGUGGUAAACAACACAUGCCACAAGAUUAGUUCAAACACAACUCAACAUCUAGCAUAACAUACAUCAUGUACUAAAAAGGGACUAACCAAGUCUUAGGGCCAAGCACAACUAACCAUACACAUAACUCCAAUUAACUUUACAUUUCACUCUCUUACAAAUCAAUAUCUCAAUUUAUAACACAUGUCCACACUACAAGUACUAAGCUAAUACUAUUACAAAAGUACGACCUUUUUACCCUUGACGUCUUCCCGAUCAACCUCAAACCUGCAACACUGGGGUUAGGGGAGAGGGGUGAGCUAAAAAGCCCAGUGAGUAGAAACAUAGAAAACAGUUCAUUAAUUACAUGCUCUCAUGAAAUGCGUCAUAACACAAAGAAAUCAUAUAACUGUAUCUUGUCCGUCUCGGGGUUCAUGCAAAUAAAUAUUCCCCACGGACUGUUUUUGAGAGUUCCUUUUUGCUAGCAUCCUUUACUCUCAAGGAUCGGACAUGACCUCAAAAUUCCCUCUGUCGGUGCCCGGCUCCCCCAAGGAAGCUCACACAGGACUUUCACAUACAUGACAGGGUACCAAAUCCACAGAGAGCUCACCAGGACUUUCCUAUAUGUACUUGUCCGGCUCUCAAAGGACUUACCCAAGACUCAAUGACAGAAAUGGGCUAUUGAAGUCGCCUUAGUCCAAACCUCCUGAAUCAACAUCAAAUAAUGCAAUGCGUCACAUUCGUGAAACUAGUGCAAUCAGCCUAUUACAUAUAAUCAUGAUGCAUGAACAUGCUUUAGGCAUUAGAUUUCGUACAUAAAAGAUUAAGUUUAGUUCUACUCACCUCCUGGCAGACGCUGACUGACUCUGCAAUUGCUAGCACUACUGGCCUCCUCGGUCCCUCGGGUCCGAUCCUACACAGUUGGACUCGAAUGAGGUGCCAAACAUACUCUAAACAACUCAUAAACAUACCCCCAAAAACCCUCUAAAACAUCACUUAAGCAUGCAUAGAAAACAACCAUGAAAAGGCUGGACAGGGCACUUUCGGCGGCACCUUCGGCGGCCGAACCUUCCCUCCAGAGACGAAACUCGGGCACCUUCGGCGGCCGAAAGUCCCACUCCAGAGACGAAAGUCAGACACUUUCGGCGGCCGAACAUGACCUUCGGCUGCCGAAAGUCUACUUUCAAGCCAAACUCAACUUUCGGGGGCAAGGUUAGGCGGCCAAUCCAUGCAUCCAAAAGGCAGGUUCGGCGGCCGAAGCCACUUUCGGCGGCCGAACCUGAGUUCUUCCCAGAAGGGCAGAACUCAGCUUCUCAUGCAUUCAAGCCUCCCAAACCUUCCAAACACCCCAAAACAAGCACUCAUCUUACCAAAACAUGCAUAAACACUUAACCAUGCACAAAGGAGCUUAAUAGCUUGAUUAAACUCCAAAAACAACAUCAAAACAUACAUAGAUAGCUUAUGACCCACAUAGGCCAAAACUAUCAAAACAACCCAUAACCUCACUUUCUCUUUCCCAAUCAUGCAUACACUCUCCCUCAAGCUUAAACCUCCAACAAAGCAUCAUAUAAACAUACAUGAGCAUCACAUAACACACAUUGGGCAUAAAACCCACAUAAAUCCUAACAUGCAUAUCUACCCAUACUCAACCAUCAAAACCUUCAUAAAACUUCAUAAAAACACUAGGGAAGCAAAGAUCUACACUUACCUCUUGAAGAUCGAGGGUGGUGUGAUCCUUAACUCGGAGGUGUGGAGAAUCCAAGCUCCAAAAGCUCCAAGCUCCCAAAACUCCUUUUAAGCUUUAAAUCUUCAAACACAAGGGUAGAAAUCAUGAAAAACUUGAGAGAUGGGUAGAGAAAACACGAAAACGACCAAAGGAAGGCAUAAACUCACCUGAGCUCGAGAAUGGGGAGAAAACUCGCUCAUUUCCGAUCUGAGGGCCCUUUAUAGGUGGCCUGGUCAAAGACCUUCGGCGGCCUAACGUGCCCCCUAAACUCAUGCAUGUUCGGCGGCCGAACUUGACUUUCGGCGGCCGAACCUUGGCUCGUUCAAACAAGACUUUCGGAGGCCAAAGGCACUUCCGAAACCUUUCCAUGUUCGGCGGCCGAACUUCACUUUCGGCGGCCGAACCUGGCAAAUGCCUCCUUGGUCUUUUCUCUUCAAAACUCAAUUUUCUUUCAAUUAAAACCCUUAAAAUCAUUUGAAAAUAUUUUUAGAAAACACAUUCUACCCUUCUAGAGAGAUCCAACACCCUAGAUUCCGCCGGAAGGUAGGAAUCUCGAUGCCGGAUUCUAGCCGGGUAUUACAGUUGGUUGUGAGUUUAAAAGGAUUUAUAAGACUCUUGAGAGAUUGACCGAAACUAUGGAGGGUUUGAAUGUCUCACAAGCGCCCACUCCUACAAGAAUACCUCAAAAAACUCGUAAUUGCAAUAAGGCUCAAGUCCGAGAUGAAGAGUUGAUGCGCCAGAGAUUUAUCCCUUCACACUAUUAGAGGAAUUUAGAUAACAGGUUGGCAAGACUAAUUCAAGGAGGGAAGAUGGAGAAAGAAAAGGAGAAACAAGAGGCUAAAGUUACAAUCUCAACUUCCAUAGAUAUUGAAAUUGAAGAGGAAGUUGUAAUGCAUAAAGUUAAUAUAGUUGUUGCUGAAAAUUCCAUCAAUGAGUUUAUAGAAGAGGUUGUGAAUGAUGGUGGACAUGGGGAGCGCGUGAUUGAUGAGGUGGAGGAAGUGAAUGAGACUGUUUUGAAAGUUGUAGAGGAGAAUGAAUCAUAUUCACAGGAUCUUUCUAUGACUAAUAUUUUUAUGCCUAGUUCAUUUGUUCUUGAUGUGCAGGUUGUUGAUGAAAACAUCCAUGACAAAAGUUUUAUGCUAUUUCUACCUAUUUAAGAGGAGGUCUUUGAAGAUGCAUUGGUUUUUAAAGCUUCCCUUCCUGACAUAAAUAUUAGCAAGAUUUGAGGAUGAAUCUUUUCUAAGGAAUGAGGGAAUGAUACGGAUCUAAUAGGGCAAAUUUCUAACAAUAGUAUGGAGCAAACUUAUAUAAUUCAAAUGGAUCUAAAAUGAGUUCAAAAUCAUAUUCAUAUAAUCCAUAUACAUUUGGGGUGUGCUUCAACUUAUAUGGGGUAGAUUUGGUGCAACACUUGCAAUCAUAGGCUCAGAGAGCCUAAUCAAACCUAUGGGCCAAAACUAUACAAAGGGAAGUCUAAAGUGAAGAUCGAGAAAGGUUUUUGUGAAGAUUUAGUUUUGUCAUGAUGGGCUUGCUAUGUUUUAUUAUUUAAACACUUGCUUUAUUUUGGCUUUGUUUGGGCUUAUAUUCUGUCCAUAUUUUAUCUUUUAAGUUUUAGAGUGUUGUGCCAUAUUUUAGGCUUGUGUUUUAAUACUUAUGAGUUUAAUGUGUUAUUUUAGUGUGUGAUUGGGUUUGAGCUUAUGUGUAAUUCGGCCAGGCCUAAGAAGAGUGUCUUAGGGUUUUAUUUGUUUUCUCUUUAUUAUAUAAGGAUAAGAAACACUUGUAAGAAACAAUUUUGAAUCUAAAUUUUCAAAUUCUUUUCAUGCCUUUGGCGUGUAUUGUUUUGAGUGAGAGCGAGGAUUUGCUUUCAUCAAUUGCACUAAGAAUCUUGGCUAACUUAUCAACUAUUCAUUGUGGCAUUUGUCGGAUUCUCAUAUAAAUCCUUCGAUAAUUGGUGUUUCAGUUUCUCUAAGUGUUGGUGACAUAAGAGGUGGGUUUAUCAAAUUUUUGAAUUCCAUAUCUACUUGUACAUUGGGUUUGAGGCUUGUGCCAUAGGGUUCGACGUCAGCCUCUCUAACCUCCUCUUUAGAAUAUGAUUGAAGAAGAAAAAAUUAUGAUCCUCUUUAAUUUUUGUUUGCACAAAUGAUAAGAUUUUGCCCAUAUCUCAUCGUGAAGACGUACAUAGCUUCUUAUAAAAAUCCAUUAUCAAAUUUGGCAAACCCGAAUCCCAUGAAACUCACUGAGCAUCAUCAUUCUUCAACUGAUUAACAUAAUUCUUCUUAAAUCUAUUCGAAGCAUAUAUGUGAAAAUAUCUACAAUUUGAGUCACCAGUUGCAAGGCAAUGUUGCUUUGCCCACUGUUUCCAGUAGCAUUCAUUUUAUAACAAUAAAUUACUAUAUCUAACUUCUGCUUCCUUAAUAUCGGCAAGAGGAACAUAUCAUUGUUUAUGGAGAAAUGAUAAAUGUUGCUUUACCUCUUUUAACCGCCUUUGAAAAUCCUCAUGAUGGCUUCUCGCCCGCUUUUUAAUUCGCUCCACACACUGCACUAUUCUAACUUGCAAUUUAAUAUUUUCAUUUUGCUUCCACCCUUCAGCCACAAUAGACUCACAGUCCACCUCCUGCACCCACGAAUUCUCGAACCAAAAUCGCUUCCUCACAUACCGUUGCAACUGAACACCUAGUGAUAAAAAGAUUGGCAGAUGAUCCGAGCAAUCGAUUUCGAGAAUUUAAAGCUUUGCCAUCUGAAACGUGGAUCUCCAUAUACUUGAAACCACAACUUUGUCCAACCUUUCCUUGAUUAAAUUGGAGUCUCUUCUGUUUGUCCAAGUAAGCAAUGGACCCUCAUAACCCAAAUGUUGUAACUGGCAAAAUUCAAGAGUGUUUCGAAAGCCUUCAAUAAGGUGGUUGUCUAUCUCCUCCUUCCUUCUCAGUCGACCAUAGUAGAUCGUUAAAGUCUCCAAUAACGCACCAAGGCUUACCAAAUUUUGCCACUAAUGCAACUCCCAUCCCUUAAAACGCACCGUUCUCUCGCGUAUCCAUAAAAACCAAUCAAUCUGAAUUGGGUCAUACCUUCAAUAGUUACCAACACAUCAAUAUGGUGUGUAGAAUAACUAAUCAAACUAGCUAUUGAACUCUCUUUCCAAAAUAGGGCCAAACCACCACUAAACCCAAUUGGAUCCACUGCAAAGCAACCAACCCUAAUAAUCCAAGUUCUUCUUAAGUUGAAAUAUUUUUUUUUUAAUUUUGUUUUCAUAAGAAAAAUAAAAUUAGACCUUUUGUUCUGGAUUAAAUCAACAAUGCUUGCGGAGAGGUCAAUCCACAACAGUUCCAACUUAAAUUACUCAUCGAUCUAGGCAGGUCUAGAAACCAAAAGUUGCCUCUUUCAAGUUUUUUUAAAUUACCUUAAAAAGAAUCUUGCACCUUAUCAAUAUCCUCCUCAUUAUUCAAACCCUACAAAACAUCCUCCACUCUCCUAUGUUUCUAUUCGGAUAAUAACAAUGAAUCAUCCAAAUUUUGAAAAUCGUCUCCAAUCUCCUCCCUAUCAUUAACCACCUCCAUGUUAUAUGAAUUCAAAUUUUGAAUUGGAUUUAAAUUAGACGUACCACUUUCGUUCAUUGUCGGCUUGUUUCCACCAUCGUUCUGUUUUAUUUUUUUAGCCAUCUUUUUAGUUGCGUUGUCCAAUGAUUUAUCCAUUCUUAAUAAAUCACUUUCCGAUCUUAACCAUUUAGCACCAACCUGAGAAACCUUUCUAGUUUUUGCCUUCAACCAAGGCCCCCAUAGAAACUUUUCUCAUGGAAAGUUUGGCAUGUCAUAUAAUAAACGGCACCCAAAUAUCUUUUGAUAGGCUGCAACUCAUGGAGAAGUAAAGGAACUUCUUGAAAAUUCCAUGGUGCACCCUUCAAAACCUGAUCUACAUCCAUUUGAUGAAAGAACUAGAAUAGAUAAGCAUUGUUUCCAAGUUCUUUGAUAAUCACUCCCUUAACAGGUCUCCAAACCAUGAUACUACCUCCUCCUCCUUUGGCUGGCCAUCGUCUUUCAAAUACUCCAUCUUUUCGUCUUUCGACUCUAUAUUCAACUCUCUAUACAUCUCCACCAGAUCAUUACCUGAUUAUUUUUCGCUAUUGAUUAUAAAUAUCACAGAAAAUAAUAGAAAAAAGAGAAAAAAAGUAGAAAGAAAAUAAUAGAAAUAAUUGAAAGAAUUAUGAAUAGGCAAAUAAUAAGGAAAUAAUGAAGAAAGAAUAAAGAAUCAAGAGUUGCUGAUGAAUACCUUAAGUUUAAUGGUAAAGUGUACAUGAUACAAAUAACAGCUUUAGAUGAAUCUAAAUUAUUAUAUUUUAUUUUUUAAUAUAAUUAUUGAUGUAUUAUAGUAUUUUUGGUUGAAUAUACAACUAUAGCUUGAUAUGAUGGUACUCCAAAACCAUAUAAUAAUUUUUCUGGCUGCUUUACAUUAGCUCAGGAAAGAAGACAAUAAAACAUUUUUCACCAAAUUACUUAUAUAAUACUUUGUUUUAAUUAAAAAUUAAAAAAAAUAAAAAAAUAAAAAAAUAUGCUAUUAUUUGACAAACCAGAGAAGAAAAUUGAUUUUAGGGCUAUCAUUGUUUUAAAAAAAUAAAUAUUUACAUAUUUUAUCAUUUAAUUAAAUUCUUAAAUUUUAGCACAAUAAUUUAAAUUUUUAAAAUUUAUAAUUUUAUUCAAUUUUUAAAUUUAAUUGUAAAAAUUAUUAUCUCACGAUAAUACUAUUUUUUUAUUAUUAUUGAUAUUAUACUAAUUUACAUCGAAUUUAAUCUACAAAAUAAAAUGAAUACUGAAUAAUUCGGUGGACAAAUCUUGAUAUAUAUAUAUAUAGUAUAAGUAACCGACUCUAUAUUAAGAAAAAAUCCUAGCCAUUAAAUUUUGAUCAAAGAUACCCCCUAACGCGUCCCUUACGGAUCAAGUUGGCGAAACAAAUCCGUGCCCACCGCCUCUGAAUAAAGACCGCGUCAACAUUCCGCAACCGACUAGCCGCUUCCAGAUUAACUGACACUGUGAUUCAAAACAAUCCUAACCGUUAAUUUCAGCAAUCACAGUUUAAUCUCAGCCUUCCAAUCUCAUUCUACUUCUCUAUAAAUAACGCUCCUCCUCCCUUCCUUGGAUUCUUGCCUUGGGUCGUAGGCUUCGAGAUGAUGAUCUGUGGUGAAGGCGUUGGUUAAUUCUGGUUUUCCUUCUAUUUUCUGCUAGACAUCUGUGAGAUCGUCUUGGCUUUGAUUGUUUACGUUGAUGAUAUGAUUCGUUUAUGUUUCGGUUCGUCUGUGCAGAAAAUAUUUUGAUGCGAAGAGAAUUGUUGAUGUGGAUAUUUCUUCUUUUCUCCAUGCGUGGUUAUUGUUUUGCUAGUUAUUUUGCCGAAGAUCUAAUGCUUAGGUUUAUUUAGGAUCUGUUUCUGGAUUUGUUUGUAUUUGGUAGAUUGUUCACCAUACUGGUAGAAUUCUCUCUGGUUGUUUUGUGGUGUUAGGUAUUUGGAAUAAAGCAGAAUCGAGGAUUGAGGUAGAAGGUAUUUUCUUGGUUUGCAUUGGCUUUCUGUUUGAUCGCGGAAUUUGUGUUUCGAAUUGAAUUGCCACGCAGCUUAACACAGAUCUGAUGAUUGGUUAAUUGAUUGAUUUCAGCUCUAGUAUGAAACAGAGUUUGAUCCCUGAUAUUUUACGGUGCACAGCGGCAUUGGUGGUAGUUUGAUAAUCGAUUUAAUAUGAUAUUCUCUUUUGGAAGUUCCUCUUUUCGGUUAAGUGUUAUUUCUUCCUUCAUUCAGCGGGUUCGCUCAGUGGUUCUUAGAUCAUUGUGUUAAAUCUUUAAAACUCUUGUUAAUUAAUUUUAUGAUGGCUAACAAAAACGGUUCUUUUGGUGGUUCCUUUCUGCGCUUUUUCAAGGAAUGGAUCAAGAUUGUUUGCUUGAAUUUCCACUAUUAUCAGGAUUGGUGGUUUGUGGUUUGAUUUCCACUAUUAUCAGGAAUGGAGAAUCAGUUUCUGAGUUCUUAUGUUUGCAUGUGUUUUCAGCUAAUUGUUCGAGGAGGAUGUUGACUAGGAAUGAUAAGGGAGUUUUCUCGUCUCUUCUAAUAUUGAUUCUCUCCACUUCAUAUAAGUAGAAUCAUGGAGCUAAUACUUCUAUAAUUUUUAGAUUUUUAGUGCCUCCUGAUCAGGUUUCGAUGAUUCAAGUGUUUAUAUUUUGAUUAAUAAGAUAGAUUUAACAAAUUUUUACUUGAAAACAAGAAUUUAUAGGACUUCUUUGUACGCACAAUAAUAAAUGAGUUUUGGAUGUUUGUUUUUUCAGGAUCUGAUUCCAUUGACAUGGAUUGAUAGUGAUGCCGGAAGUGUUUGAUAACAUAAAUAUGUUAGCUGUGAUUUCUUGUUUUGUUGCUGUGGUAUAAAACAUCUAAGUUUUAAGGUGAUUAAGUAGGAGCCUGCCUUCUGUAUUUGUCUCUGGAGUUCCAUGGCUGACUAUUGCUCUUAGCAUUAUCUUCCGUUGCAGCUUCAGUGUGCCAAGUGGUUUAAGAUGUGUAUGAUACAAUGAUUUCUGCCCAUUAUAUGGUGUUACUCGAAGAUGCACUUUUUUGUGUCUCCAGUUUCCCCCUUUUGAUGAGCUAUAUAGAGGGAAUUGAUGUUUAUGAAUGGAGUGUUCAUCGUCCUCUGCUUUUGGUGUAAGAUGUGUUUGAUACAAUGUUAUGGUAUUACUCGAAGAUGUACUUUUUUGUGUCUCCAGGUUCCCUUGAGAUGAGCUAUAUGGAAGGAGAUGUUGAUGUCAUGGAGGGAGUAUUUUCAGGAUUCCAUUACAGUGGAUUGAUUAAUGGAUUUGCGAGAGACAUAUAGAUAUCCUUUGUCUGCAUUCGUUUGGUGUUUAGGUACAGCUUAGAUGCAAGUUGGAAUCUUCUUUCUAUGACUCAUUAUUUGAUGUCUUUUGUGGCUUGGUUUUUGUUGAUUUUUUCUACUUAAGUUUCAAGUUUGUUCUACUCAAAAACAGGAUUUGCUGUCCGUCAGUUUUGAUUAUUCCAAGGAUGAUGAUUUUUUGGUGUGAUUUCCAGGACCUUGGAGCAUUUUGUUGGUGGUUAAUUCUAUGUGCUUGGUAAAACCUGUUAGUAGGGUAAUCGCUUAGAUUUAUUUUAUUUUAUUGAACAGUGCUUAGCUUAGGUGGACUAACAGGACCCAGGGUUUUUAUCCCCUGUUAUCUUUCUGGCAGUUAAAUUUACAUCUCCAUACUCAUUAGGACAAAUAACUAGUUUGUGAGUUUCUAUGCUAGAGGGAGAUGUUGAGUAGGGAGGGUGAGGGAGUUCUCUUUCCUCUUUCUAAUGUUGGCUUGCCCCUUAUACCAAGUAAAUUUCUGAAUUUAAUAUUUUUAUAAUCGUGAGAUCUUCAUCUCAGUGUAAUCCUUGAGUGUAUACUGUUAUAAUCUUUAGAUUUUCACUGCCUUCUGAUCAGGUUUAUUUGAUCCAUUGUUUUGGGUAAUCAUACAUAAGGAGCUGAGAUAUGCCUGGGCUGCAUUCCCUUGAGCUUCUGCAUCCUUAUCUUCAAUUGGUCUAUGAACUUGCUUCUGCUUUUCCAAUGAUGCAAUUUUGUUUUAGGAACACGGGGGAGUGUGAUAGGCUUGAUGAAGAUGUAUGUUCCUUGGUGAUAGUUCAUAAAUUUUAAUAUAAGAAGGUAGUGUCCUUGUGAGAACAGUAAUAAAUGAGGUUCAGAUUGUUUUCCCAGGUUCUGCACAAGUGAAUUGAUGUACGGACCACUACUGAAGGAUGUUGCCUUUUGUUUUGGCUCUGGGGACCUAUGGCUGCAUGGGAAGUGUAAUAAUGACACUGCUCUUAGCAUUAGUUCCAGUUCUUGUUGAUUUUCAGCUUCAGUGUGAGCUUGGGUGUGCCUCCAGUGAGCCUGUCUGGCAGCUUGUGGAUGGUGUGAUCAGGAAGUUAUUGACUUGGUUUUUGUUUCUUUUUUAUUUGUUUUUAUUGGUUCACAAAUGUUUGGUGGUGGUUGAUUCAGAUAACUGGUAGUAAAUUUUCAGGAUUCCAUCAAUGUAGUGGAUGAACUGGUUUUUGAAUUCAUUUGUUGUUGGCUUCUUGAUGAUGGCAUGGACGUUGUCUUUUGGAUGGAAGUAUUUCUACUUUUGAGUUUCAUAUUUGUUGUUUUUAACAACAUGAAUUGGAUGCAUCAACCGUGGUUAUUUUGAGGAUUGAGGAUUGAUGAUUUGUGGGUGAUAUCUAGGAUUUUGGAGUUUAGCUGCUUUUUUUCUUGUCAAGUGACCUGCUGGCAGACUAGUCGGGAGAUUUUUGUGACCUUUUUGUUUCUGGAAAUUAAAUUCAUAAUAUCCCUAUUUCUGAGUUUUUAUAUUUGUGUGUGUUUACAGCCUGUUAUUUGAGGAAGAUGAUGUGUGGGAUUGGUCAGGAAGGAAGUUCUCUUGCCCCUUCCUGUGUUUCCAGCCUGUUAUUUGAGGAAGUUGUGGUGUGGGAGUGGGAAUGAUCAGGGAGUUCUCUUGCCCCUUCUAGCAUUGGGUCUCUCCUUCAUAUAAGAAGAAUUCUUGAGUGAAUAUUGUUGUAGUUUUGAUACUUUCAUUGAUUCCAGUGUUUACUCGUGGAGCAUAUUGAGAUCAAUUGAAGAUGCUAAUCAAGAAGUAUUUGCUUUCUUUUCCUGACCCUUUUAACAAACUCUCUUUUUUGUGUUCUUUUUCCCCGGGGGGGGGGGGGUUUGCUCUUUGGUCAUUUUUUCUUCACUUGAUUUUUGCAUCUAAUCCCUUUAAUAUGAUGUAUGCUCCCUGUCAUCUUUGCUAUGUCUCAUCAAGUUUUGAGUUAAGAUUCAAGAAUCAAAUAUAGGUGUAAGAUUCGUAAAAUUUCAAAAAAACAAUUAAAAAUCAGUUAAGAAACAAUACAUGUUCGAGAAUAAGUUAAACUAUUACAGUGACUGUAACGACCCGAAAAUCAGGCCGCCAUCGGCGCUAGGAUCCAGAUCGGCUUAAGGCCGCCGGGACCCGUAGCAAGCCAAACAUACAUCCUGUGAACCUGUUUAAUCCCAUACAUGGUCAACAACAUACAUGAAAAUUAAAAACUUUUCUUUCAUUCAUUCAAACAUUUCUUUGCCAAGCCUAGCCUGUGCAUGCACAACAUAACAUAAACCNNNNNNNNNNNNNNNNNNNNNNNNNNNNNNNNNNNNNNNNNNNNNNNNNNNNNNNNNNNNNNNNNNNNNNNNNNNNNNNNNNNNNNNNNNNNNNNNNNNNNNNNNNNNNNNNNNNNNNNNNNNNNNNNNNNNNNNNNNNNNNNNNNNNNNNNNNNNNNNNNNNNNNNNNNNNNNNNNNNNNNNNNNCUCGGACACUCCCAAGACAUGUGUCCCUCUUGCCCACACCUAUAGCAGGCUGUCGUCCCAAACCGGCAUACUCCCCUGUGUAGCUUACCACACCUUGCACACACUGCAUUAUCAGCACCAGAACUUGAGCCACUUCCUAAUCCCAGACCUGAUUUGAUCUUGCUCCAGAACUUAUUUUUCUUUGAUUUCUUAGUGGUAUUGCCCCACUUCUUACUAGCCGAACUCAAGGAUGAAGGGUCUAUCCUUCCCCCACCUGGGGUCUUAGAACCAGAAGGUUGUGCCACAGACUGCUUGACUUUUCCCUCUAUUACGGCACUAGCCUCCAUUCUCCUGGCCAUGUCUAUAAUGGCAUGGAAACUUUCUCUAUCAGCUGACUGAAUCAAAGAGGAAUACCUGGAAUUGAGCCUCAUGACAUACCUCCUCGAUUUCUUCGGAUCUGUGUCCAGAUGCUGCCCAGCAAAUGGCAACAACUCUAAGAAUCUAUCGGUGUACUCAUCGACACCCAUCUCAUCUGUCUGCUUCAGCUGUUCGAACUCAAUCACCUUCAGCUCCCUGGAACUGUCAGGGAAAGCCCAUCCUGCGAAUUCAUUCGCAAACUCCUCCCAUGACAAACUGUCCACCUUUGGUUUCACAUAGUUCUUGAACCAUUCUCGAGCCUUCUUGCAUUUCAGAGUGAAACCAGCCAUCUGAAUGGCUCUACUGUCAUCAGCCCCUAUCUCAUCUGUAAUCGUUUUGACCUUCUCCAGGUACACAAACGGAUCAUCACCGGUAUCAAACUGAGGAGCACCCAACUUCAUAUAGUCGGUCAUCUUAGCCUUGCUCCCUCCAGAUGAGGUAGGUUGAGGUCUUUGGUUUUCUGUAACUGUGGUUUCUGUUGGUGGUGGAGGUGCGGCAUCCCCUGGGAUAGGGUUUGCUGUGCCUGGAUGGAUGGAGGUGGGUACAUAGGGUACUGUGGAUAUUGUGGGUAAAAAGGUGGGUAUGGCAUGUGAGAAGGGUAAGGAUUAACACUGGGGUAAUCCGAUGUACCUCCCAUCGAAUACCCGGGGUAUGGUGAAAAAGGUGGGUACUGGGGUGGUGGAAUAAACCCCGAGGCCUGAGUGCCUCCCUGAGACUCACCCAUGCCCUCUUCUGGCAUGCUCACACCAAGACUACCAUCCCUCCUCUGGUCCACAUCCAUCUCUUCUCCCACAUCCACUGACCUGUCUCCUUGCACCGUUCCUCUUACUGAUCUGUUUCUACCCAGAUCCAGAGAUCUUCUAGGAUCUCCCACUGCUCUGUCCCUGUGGGACCUACUCGACAUUGCCCUUGGCAAUGCUGGAGGACGGGCGCUCGUGCCCUCAUCCUCCGGUGGUACUCUAGCCAAUCUAGCUGAUCGACGAGUUCCUCGCAUUCUGAUNNNNNNNNNNNNNNNNNNNNNNNNNNNNNNNNNNNNNNNNNNNNNNNNNNNNNNNNNNNNNNNNNNNNNNNNNNNNNNNNNNNNNNNNNNNNNNNNNNNNNNNNNNNNNNNNNNNNNNNNNNNNNNNNNNNNNNNNNNNNNNNNNNNNNNNNNNNNNNNNNNNNNNNNNNNNNNNNNNNNNNNNNNNNNNNNNNNNNNNNNNNNNNNNNNNNNNNNNNNNNNNNNNNNNNNNNNNNNNNNNNNNNNNNNNNNNNNNNNNNNNNNNNNNNNNNNNNNNNNNNNNNNNNNNNNNNNNNNNNNNNNNNNNNNNNNNNNNNNNNNNNNNNNNNNNNNNNNNNNNNNNNNNNNNNNNNNNNNNNNNNNNNNNNNNNNNNNNNNNNNNNNNNNNNNNNNNNNNNNNNNNNNNNNNNNNNNNNNNNNNNNNNNNNNNNNNNNNNNNNNNNNNNNNNNNNNNNNNNNNNNNNNNNNNNNNNNNNNNNNNNNNNNNNNNNNNNNNNNNNNNNNNNNNNNNNNNNNNNNNNNNNNNNNNNNNNNNNNNNNNNNNNNNNNNNNNNNNNNNNNNNNNNNNNNNNNNNNNNNNNNNNNNNNNNNNNNNNNNNNNNNNNNNNNNNNNNNNNNNNNNNNNNNNNNNNNNNNNNNNNNNNNNNNNNNNNNNNNNNNNNNNNNNNNNNNNNNNNNNNNNNNNNNNNNNNNNNNNNNNNNNNNNNNNNNNNNNNNNNNNNNNNNNNNNNNNNNNNNNNNNNNNNNNNNNNNNNNNNNNNNNNNNNNNNNNNNNNNNNNNNNNNNNNNNNNNNNNNNNNNNNNNNNNNNNNNNNNNNNNNNNNNNNNNNNNNNNNNNNNNNNNNNNNNNNNNNNNNNNNNNNNNNNNNNNNNNNNNNNNNNNNNNNNNNNNNNNNNNNNNNNNNNNNNNNNNNNNNNNNNNNNNNNNNNNNNNNNNNNNNNNNNNNNNNNNNNNNNNNNNNNNNNNNNNNNNNNNNNNNNNNNNNNNNNNNNNNNNNNNNNNNNNNNNNNNNNNNNNNNNNNNNNNNNNNNNNNNNNNNNNNNNNNNNNNNNNNNNNNNNNNNNNNNNNNNNNNNNNNNNNNNNNNNNNNNNNNNNNNNNNNNNNNNNNNNNNNNNNNNNNNNNNNNNNNNNNNNNNNNNNNNNNNNNNNNNNNNNNNNNNNNNNNNNNNNNNNNNNNNNNNNNNNNNNNNNNNNNNNNNNNNNNNNNNNNNNNNNNNNNNNNNNNNNNNNNNNNNNNNNNNNNNNNNNNNNNNNNNNNNNNNNNNNNNNNNNNNNNNNNNNNNNNNNNNNNNNNNNNNNNNNNNNNNNNNNNNNNNNNNNNNNNNNNNNNNNNNNNNNNNNNNNNNNNNNNNNNNNNNNNNNNNNNNNNNNNNNNNNNNNNNNNNNNNNNNNNNNNNNNNNNNNNNNNNNNNNNNNNNNNNNNNNNNNNNNNNNNNNNNNNNNNNNNNNNNNNNNNNNNNNNNNNNNNNNNNNNNNNNNNNNNNNNNNNNNNNNNNNNNNNNNNNNNNNNNNNNNNNNNNNNNNNNNNNNNNNNNNNNNNNNNNNNNNNNNNNNNNNNNNNNNNNNNNNNNNNNNNNNNNNNNNNNNNNNNNNNNNNNNNNNNNNNNNNNNNNNNNNNNNNNNNNNNNNNNNNNNNNNNNNNNNNNNNNNNNNNNNNNNNNNNNNNNNNNNNNNNNNNNNNNNNNNNNNNNNNNNNNNNNNNNNNNNNNNNNNNNNNNNNNNNNNNNNNNNNNNNNNNNNNNNNNNNNNNNNNNNNNNNNNNNNNNNNNNNNNNNNNNNNNNNNNNNNNNNNNNNNNNNNNNNNNNNNNNNNNNNNNNNNNNNNNNNNNNNNNNNNNNNNNNNNNNNNNNNNNNNNNNNNNNNNNNNNNNNNNNNNNNNNNNNNNNNNNNNNNNNNNNNNNNNNNNNNNNNNNNNNNNNNNNNNNNNNNNNNNNNNNNNNNNNNNNNNNNNNNNNNNNNNNNNNNNNNNNNNNNNNNNNNNNNNNNNNNNNNNNNNNNNNNNNNNNNNNNNNNNNNNNNNNNNNNNNNNNNNNNNNNNNNNNNNNNNNNNNNNNNNNNNNNNNNNNNNNNNNNNNNNNNNNNNNNNNNNNNNNNNNNNNNNNNNNNNNNNNNNNNNNNNNNNNNNNNNNNNNNNNNNNNNNNNNNNNNNNNNNNNNNNNNNNNNNNNNNNNNNNNNNNNNNNNNNNNNNNNNNNNNNNNNNNNNNNNNNNNNNNNNNNNNNNNNNNNNNNNNNNNNNNNNNNNNNNNNNNNNNNNNNNNNNNNNNNNNNNNNNNNNNNNNNNNNNNNNNNNNNNNNNNNNNNNNNNNNNNNNNNNNNNNNNNNNNNNNNNNNNNNNNNNNNNNNNNNNNNNNNNNNNNNNNNNNNNNNNNNNNNNNNNNNNNNNNNNNNNNNNNNNNNNNNNNNNNNNNNNNNNNNNNNNNNNNNNNNNNNNNNNNNNNNNNNNNNNNNNNNNNNNNNNNNNNNNNNNNNNNNNNNNNNNNNNNNNNNNNNNNNNNNNNNNNNNNNNNNNNNNNNNNNNNNNNNNNNNNNNNNNNNNNNNNNNNNNNNNNNNNNNNNNNNNNNNNNNNNNNNNNNNNNNNNNNNNNNNNNNNNNNNNNNNNNNNNNNNNNNNNNNNNNNNNNNNNNNNNNNNNNNNNNNNNNCCGAACCUGGGUUUUCCUCCAAUGCUAUUUUCAUGCAAAAACUCAUUUAGUUUCAUACUUUAAAACCAUUAAAAACAUAAAAACAUUUCAUAAAACAUGUCUUUACCCUUCUAGAAGUUCCCGACAUCCGAAAUUCCACCGGACGGUAGGAAUUCCGAUACCGGAGUCUAGCCGGGUAUUACAGUGACAUUUUGAUAAAUAUAAAAUGAUGAUUUAUCAAUAUUCUUAAUAAUGGAAUAAUAUUUAUUUAUUACGCUAUAUAAUUUGAAAUUAGAAAGAGUUGUUAUAAUAGAGUAACUUGAAAGUGUACUUUGAGUUAUUAGUUUACUCAAUUUAUAAAGAUUAUAUUGGUUUUUUUAAUUUGAAACUAUAUGAUGUUUUUUAAGUUAAGUAAUUUCUAUUUCAUGUAUUUAUGUUUAUUAUGCAUUUGUAUUUAUUGUUCUGAAUUAAAUUUAAUCAAUAUCAUUUCAUUUAUGAACUUUGUAAAUUUUUUUUGAGAAGUUUGCAACUUUUUUUGAAAAGUUUGUGUAGCGUUAGGCCGUUACCGUUACUCAAUUGAGACCGGGAUUUAAAACUAUGUUUAAAUUGAAAACAUUUUUGUUUCUGUACUUUUUCAAGGAAUGGAUCAAGAUUGUUCAUACUUAAUGCUUGAAUUUCUAUUAUCCUCAUAAUUUGUGGUUGUGUGAUUUCUGGACUCAUCGAGUGUUUAUGUUGUUGAUUCCUAUAAACCUGGCAGCAGGAAAGUCGGGGAGAAUUUCUUUACCCUUUAUUUUGUGUUCCUGUCAAUUAAAUUUAUAUAUACCUUGUUAUUAGGUAUAUUGAACUGGUUUCUGGAUGUGUAUAUUUGCAUUUGUUUUCAGCUUAUUGUUUGAGGAAAAUGUUGGCGAGGAAUGAUCUGUCUUCUUGCCUCUUCUAAUAUAUAUCCUGUUCAUUAUAGAACCCUCUGAGUGAAUAGUGUUGUAAUUUUUUUUUUUUGCCGCCUCCUGAUCAGGUUUCUUUGAUUCAAGUGUUUCUCAAAACUAGACAUGGAACAUUUUGAGAUUAUGAUAUGGGAUUGGAAGCUCUCUGUGUCCCCCUGACCUCAUCUCUCUCCGUUGCUCUCUUCUAAAAAGAAGACUUCCUUUUGCCGUAAUCAUUACUUUAUUCAGCUUGGUGAGUGCAUUGAAAAAUCCUUGGGGCCUUCCAGUGCGUUAUUCUGGCAGCUUGUGAACAGGGAAGUCUUUGCCCAAGUCUUUGGAUUAAAAUGUGCUGGAGACAAUGGUACUCUGUCCGUCUUAUUCCACUAUAUGGUCUCAAAGAUGCACUUACUUGUGUCUCCAGGUUCCCUUGAGAUUAGCUGUAUAGAAGGAGAAGAUGUUUAUGGAGGGGAGUAUUCUAGUCCUCUGCUCAUGUUAUGUUGGGGAUAUCGGGUGUGGUUUUCUUCUUGUUUGUUUUAAUGGUUCAGAUAUGUUUUGUGGGGGUUGAUUCUAAAGAACUAGUAGUAAUUUUUUUGGAUUCCGUCAAUGUGGUGGACUAAUGGGUUUGUGAGGGGAAGAACUUUUGCAUCCAUUUAAUGUUGGCUCUUUGAUUACAGGCAUGAGCUUGCAUCUUCUGCAACUCAUCAUUUGCGAAUACGUUGACAGGCUUGAUCAGGAAGUCUUUUGUGCCUUGUCCUUCUGUUGGAAGUUUUUCUUCUUAAGUAUCAAAUUUUUUUCCACUUAAGAGAAGGUUUUGGGUGUUGUCGUUCUGAGGUUUGUGGUGUGAUUUCCAGGAUCGAGUAGCAUUUUUUGGGGUCGAUUCCUUUGUGCAUCGUUCGAGCUGUUGGCUGGGUGGUUGGGGAGAUAUUUUCACCCCUUAUAACUAGUUUCGUAGUCUUUAUUUUUGUACGUGUUCCCAGCUUUUUAUUUGAGGAUGUCAAAGCAAGAAUGAGUGUUCAGGGGGUUGUCUUGCCUCUUCCAAUAUUGGUUCUUUCUUUGUAUCAAGUAGCGUGAGUGUUGUUAUAACUUUGAGAUCUUUCCUUGACAGGUUUCCUUGAUUGCAGUGUUAAAUUGUGGAGCAUAAUGAAACCAAUUGGAUGAUAUCUUGGAAGUAUUCUCUUCUUCUUCUCCUCCUCUUUCGUGUUUUUCUUUUUUUUUUUUUUCNNNNNNNNNNNNNNNNNNNNNNNNNNNNNNNNNNNNNNNNNNNNNNNNNNNNNNNNNNNNNNNNNNNNNNNNNNNNNNNNNNNNNNNNNNNNNNNNNNNNNNNNNNNNNNNNNNNNNNNNNNNNNNNNNNNNNNNNNNNNNNNNNNNNNNNNNNNNNNNNNNNNNNNNNNNNNNNNNNNNNNNNNNNNNNNNNNNNNNNNNNNNNNNNNNNNNNNNNNNNNNNNNNNNNNNNNNNNNNNNNNNNNNNNNNNNNNNNNNNNNNNNNNNNNNNNNNNNNNNNNNNNNNNNNNNNNNNNNNNNNNNNNNNNNNNNNNNNNNNNNNNNNNNNNNNNNNNNNNNNNNNNNNNNNNNNNNNNNNNNNNNNNNNNNNNNNNNNNNNNNNNNNNNNNNNNNNNNNNNNNNNNNNNNNNNNNNNNNNNNNNNNNNNNNNNNNNNNNNNNNNNNNNNNNNNNNNNNNNNNNNNNNNNNNNNNNNNNNNNNNNNNNNNNNNNNNNNNNNNNNNNNNNNNNNNNNNNNNNNNNNNNNNNNNNNNNNNNNNNNNNNNNNNNNNNNNNNNNNNNNNNNNNNNNNNNNNNNNNNNNNNNNNNNNNNNNNNNNNNNNNNNNNNNNNNNNNNNNNNNNNNNNNNNNNNNNNNNNNNNNNNNNNNNNNNNNNNNNNNNNNNNNNNNNNNNNNNNNNNNNNNNNNNNNNNNNNNNNNNNNNNNNNNNNNNNNNNNNNNNNNNNNNNNNNNNNNNNNNNNNNNNNNNNNNNNNNNNNNNNNNNNNNNNNNNNNNNNNNNNNNNNNNNNNNNNNNNNNNNNNNNNNNNNNNNNNNNNNNNNNNNNNNNNNNNNNNNNNNNNNNNNNNNNNNNNNNNNNNNNNNNNNNNNNNNNNNNNNNNNNNNNNNNNNNNNNNNNNNNNNNNNNNNNNNNNNNNNNNNNNNNNNNNNNNNNNNNNNNNNNNNNNNNNNNNNNNNNNNNNNNNNNNNNNNNNNNNNNNNNNNNNNNNNNNNNNNNNNNNNNNNNNNNNNNNNNNNNNNNNNNNNNNNNNNNNNNNNNNNNNNNNNNNNNNNNNNNNNNNNNNNNNNNNNNNNNNNNNNNNNNNNNNNNNNNNNNNNNNNNNNNNNNNNNNNNNNNNNNNNNNNNNNNNNNNNNNNNNNNNNNNNNNNNNNNNNNNNNNNNNNNNNNNNNNNNNNNNNNNNNNNNNNNNNNNNNNNNNNNNNNNNNNNNNNNNNNNNNNNNNNNNNNNNNNNNNNNNNNNNNNNNNNNNNNNNNNNNNNNNNNNNNNNNNNNNNNNNNNNNNNNNNNNNNNNNNNNNNNNNNNNNNNNNNNNNNNNNNNNNNNNNNNNNNNNNNNNNNNNNNNNNNNNNNNNNNNNNNNNNNNNNNNNNNNNNNNNNNNNNNNNNNNNNNNNNNNNNNNNNNNNNNNNNNNNNNNNNNNNNNNNNNNNNNNNNNNNNNNNNNNNNNNNNNNNNNNNNNNNNNNNNNNNNNNNNNNNNNNNNNNNNNNNNNNNNNNNNNNNNNNNNNNNNNNNNNNNNNNNNNNNNNNNNNNNNNNNNNNNNNNNNNNNNNNNNNNNNNNNNNNNNNNNNNNNNNNNNNNNNNNNNNNNNNNNNNNNNNNNNNNNNNNNNNNNNNNNNNNNNNNNNNNNNNNNNNNNNNNNNNNNNNNNNNNNNNNNNNNNNNNNNNNNNNNNNNNNNNNNNNNNNNNNNNNNNNNNNNNNNNNNNNNNNNNNNNNNNNNNNNNNNNNNNNNNNNNNNNNNNNNNNNNNNNNNNNNNNNNNNNNNNNNNNNNNNNNNNNNNNNNNNNNNNNNNNNNNNNNNNNNNNNNNNNNNNNNNNNNNNNNNNNNNNNNNNNNNNNNNNNNNNNNNNNNNNNNNNNNNNNNNNNNNNNNNNNNNNNNNNNNNNNNNNNNNNNNNNNNNNNNNNNNNNNNNNNNNNNNNNNNNNNNNNNNNNNNNNNNNNNNNNNNNNNNNNNNNNNNNNNNNNNNNNNNNNNNNNNNNNNNNNNNNNNNNNNNNNNNNNNNNNNNNNNNNNNNNNNNNNNNNNNNNNNNNNNNNNNNNNNNNNNNNNNNNNNUUGUAUUUUACUUAAACUGCUUUGAAUUGUACCCAUGAGUUGCCGUUUGAAGUAAUCAGAUCUUCUCAGUGAUCUUAGUUGGUUAUGUUGGUGAGGUUGUAUGGUAUAAUUCCUCAAUUUGUGGCAUCACCCAGUUUAAGGAGCUUGCUAUUUGUAUGGG